CUAAUUAAUAAAUAAAUUCAUUUUAGUCUGAGAAAAUAUAUAUGGCGAUGAAGUAAUUAAUAAUAAAAUAUUAGUCUUUUCCCACACAUUUUUAAGUGAGAAUGGGGCAUCCUAUGGAGAGCUAAUGUAAAUUAUUGCUCAUUAAUAAAUAAAAAAAUGUCCAUAUUAAAUUGGAUGGAUUUGCGGAUAACGUAUUAGCUCACAGGACCACACCACCCCCAUAAUUUCCUGUAUGAAUACAUUGUCUCUAAUGUACGUAUCGAUUCCUUUUUUGCCAAAGACCUAAGUGCCGAGUACAGCGUAAUUUAGUGAAAGACCAAAUAUUUGACAACGUCUAUUAGCCAAAGACCAAUUUGAAAGCCUACUUCUUUCGAUUGCCGAAAGUUGACCAUAGCAUUACUCGCUUCAAAAGUCUCCUCACGCCUACGAGUUCCAAUUGCAAAGAAAUUGUGACUUUUUCCUUGGGCACGCUUCAUAACUCCUUUCAUGAUGGAACGUUUCUCCAACCUAAUGAAAACUAGUAUUGCAGAGUACUUUUAAAGUGUUUGAAAAAAUUAAGUUGAUUUCCACAUUCAACCCCCCAUGUAUUACGCUACAUAUCUGUUCAUCUUUUAGGAAUAAUGACACGAGUUUUCCUUAUCUCUUCCAACAAAACGCUUUCAAGAAGUAUUUGAUAAGUCCCAGUGUACAUCAAUGCGGUAUUUUACAUUUAUUCAUGAAACCUGAAAAUUUUAAGUAAAAUUAUAAAUUAUUCAUGUUAACGUUAAUCUUGAUACGUAAAAUAGUCGAUGUUGAUUGGACUAUCAUGUGCGAUUUUCGAUUAUAAAAAUCACACAAGUGACGCUAGUUAUCACCAUCGCUUGCAAGUCUUGCCUCAUUUGAUCUCUCAGCCUCGAUAAUGACUCCUACGACAACAAAGGCAAGCUCGCCCUCGCUCCUCUCGAAUCGCCCACCCUAACCCUCCCCUUGUAUAUUUAAAUCGGCAGCGCAUUGAGGGAAAAUCUUCCUCAAAUCUUCUGAAACUGUUUGAUUAAUGCUCUCUCUGGUAGGUAUAACGUCCGAUUUAUAACCUUUUUUUUCCCUUCAAUCAUUACUAUUGUUCGCUAUAUUUUGCUUUUGUGUUUGCAUCUUUCUGCAAAUCGAAAAGAAGAAAGAGAAGGAAACCGUGACAUUUGGUUUUGCUUCAAGAUUCUGUUACUCUUUUUCUUUUUGUUUCUCUUCAAUAAAAAUCAUUUCGUUUUAAGUUCAAAAUCAUCUUCUUUUUGCCUUCUACAAUAAUAAAAGAUCGUCAAGUUAGCUUACCACGUGAACGCCAUUUGCCACGUAGGUUAGUUGGAAAAGAUGAUAGUGGCGAUGUUCAUUCGUCAAGAAAAAAUACUUGCUUUCUUUUAUGUAAAUACGUGCUUUUUUCUGGAGUUGGCCCACCAGAUAUGUGAGAACUUUAAAUGGCAUUCCAACCCACGAAGGCCAUUGAAACCUAGCCCUCUAUGUUAACAACUUGUUUUUUCCAAGUCGCAUUAGCAUGGUCAAUUAAAAAAAAGAAAAAAGAAAAAGAAGUGUCGUCUCUUUCUGCGAGAAUGAAGAAAGAAAGAGAACAUUAAGAUGGUCACUAUUGACUAGUCGGAAACGACCGACUCCAUCUAGACUGCGGUCGAAACAUAGUUUUAGGGAGAUUGAGAUAUCUGGUAUAUGUCUCUCUGUCAUUUCCUUAUGAUAUUUCUCAACCAAUCAAUUUUUUUUUUAUAGCAAGACACAAGAGAGAGAGAGAGAGAGAGUUUUUGAACAUUGUAAAAAUUACCUCGAGCCAUCCUAUUACUAUUAAGAUGAAUAGAAUAGUUACAUUAAAAAAAUGAACAAUCUAAGCAAAUUAGUAUUUAUGGACCAAACUUACAGACUUAAAAGUAUUACAAAAUUUAAUCCAUCAUAGUUUAAAAGAAGAUGGGAGGAGCAAUGUUGAUAGCGAGAAACGAAAAGUACGGUUAAUUAACCAUUAAUUGUUUUUCUCUCAUAGAAGAAUAUUUAGUCAAUUAAUAAUAAACAUGAAAGGUGAAGAGAAAAAAAUGAGAGAGAAAAAAGCGAAUGAAUUGGUGACUGACCUUUUCCAUCUCUCUCUGAAACGCUUUCACCAACCCAAGCUCAUCGUCUUCACCGAGCAUCAGCCAUGGGGAAGAGAAUAGACAAAACCGUGCUGAAUCACCCAUUCCCACACCCUCCCCCUCGUCGCCUUCCCACUCCUUCUCGUCCUCCUCCUCCACCGACUUCGAGUUCACCAUCUCUCUUCACCCCCCGGCUCCUCCUCCACCCUCUGCGUCACCUAUGAGCUCUUCUACAAGGGCCAGCUCCUCCCCCUCCACCCCCCGCCUUUCCAUGGUCCGCACCCUUCUCGCCUCUUCCUCCACCUCCCACUCCGCCACCACCUCCUCCCACGACACCUUCGGCAGCUCCACCACCAACUCCGACCAGAUCUGGCCGAAGGACGCCGACGACGGCCAUGGACGACCGUCGGCGUUGCUCGCGAGCCGCUCGUCUGGACCUGGAUCUCGAGAACAGCCCAUUGCCGGGCUCGGCUUCCGGUUGGUGGGGCCGGGAACGGGUGGCGAAGGCCUCCGACUUCAUCUUCGGCGGCUCUUGAGACCCACAAAUGGUCUCCCAACUGCAUUGAAACAUGAAAAAAUCGUUGCACGUCGUUAAUGGUGUUUCGAAGUUAGACGUGAAAUAAGCAGAUGGGAGAGAAAUCUGAAAGAUGAGCUCACCCAGACACGUGGCGAGGUCCCGGAGCACCCAAUAUUUGAAAAGUGGGCCCACUCAGAGAAGCGGUGAGGGUCAGGAGCACCCCGCUAUUUUUAUAUUCAAGUCCAGACGGUGGAUGGUACAAACAUCCGAAUAUGUACGAGCUGUCAAAUGUUAUUAGUUCACCAUUUGUUUAAAAAGUACUGCUUGCUUUCCUGCAAAAUCCUGAAAAUGAAAGAAAUGUUUUCAAGCUUUAAAAUAAUGAGAAACAGUUCUGAACAAUUCUAACUGUCAAUGCUUAAAAGCAUCGAUAAUAAUAUGCAUGUAAUGUUCCUCCUCAUGCAUUGGAUUUAAAUUGGAACACACCUGAACUUUCUCUCGGAAACACUUUGAGAGCGUGGAAUUGUAAUGGAGAGUCAUCCUCAAGAAUCAUAUAGUAAAGAAAACUGGGACAACAGAGAUAGAGAAGCAAAGAAUUAGCCUUCUAUCGUGCGUAUUAGACCAAUAACGUGCUGCUUAUCCACGUACGAUCAUUUGCAAAUUGUCCACGUGGACCAUGUUGCUCGCUUGGGUGCACCGAGUGCAGUAACUGUACGUUUUUCUUUUUUCUUUUUGCAUGCACUACUGUUCUCUCUCUCUCUCUCUCUCUCUCUCUCUCUCUCUCUCUCUCGUCUUUGGUUUUGUUUCGUUGUUCACAUUCUUUUAUCACUUUGCCAUUCCUUUCUUUUCAUACAUCGCAAGUGAUUAGUUCUGUUCUGUUCUCUUUCCUUUGCACAGAUUUGUUUAAGCAAAUUAAUCAUAGGAGGCAACGACAAAAGAAACAAAAGUGGGGGGAAAAGGAAUUUCUAGACAUUAAAGAAGAACUUAUGGCGGGAUUUGCUACCGCCGUUGCAUCGAAUCUUGUGUCGAAACUAGGUGAGUACCUAUUUGCUCCCAUUGGAUGCCAAUUUAGAUAUGUGUUGUGCUACAAGAGCUACGUCCAAGAUCUCGAAUAUGAAGUCGAGAAGCUAGAUAAUGCGAGGAAAAGGGUGCAAAGCUCCGUCGAUGAAGCUAUGUAUGAUGGAAAAUCAAUACACACUGAUAUUAAGAAAUGGUUGGAUAGCGUGGAGAAUAAGGCUAAGGAAGCACAAAACUUGUUAAAACAAGGUGAAAGUGCAAAAAAUGCUUGCUUCCGUGGGUGGCUUCCCAACCCCAUGGUGCGCCAUCCAAUUGGCAGGAAGGUGAAGAAGAUGACUAAAGUCAUUCAGGGACUACAUAAGACAAGCACAGAUAGCACCUUCCAGAAGGUCUACCAUGAGAAUACUCCGACAGGAAUUGUCGCUGCUACCACUUUUGCUGCUGGAUCUGUCUACAAUAAUGAAGAUAUCCUGGAGUCGAGGGCUUCAAUCGCAAAGGAUGUAAUUAAGGCUAUAGUUAAUGACAAUAUAAGUGUGGUUGGGCUGUAUGGACCGGGUGGGGUCGGCAAGUCCAAGCUUUUGGAGGAAAUCGAAAGGCGAGUAAAGGAAGAAAAGCUAUUUGAUGUGGUUGUCAUGGCAAAUGUAUCACGCAAUCCCAAUCUAAAAAAAAUACAGGGAGAAAUCGCUUAUGCCCUAGGCCUGAAGCUAACGAAUGAUGAACCUACUCGUGGAAGAGCAAACCAUUUGUGUAAAAGGUUAGAGAGUGAUUCUGAGAAAAGCAUUCUCAUAAUUUUAGAUAAUUUAUGGGAGAGGUUAGAUUUGAAGGAAGUUGGAAUCCCUUGUGGAGAAGAUAACAGAGUAAGAGGUUGCAAACUAUUACUAACGUCCAGAUAUCGGCAGGUUUUGCUCAUUGACAUGUGCUCUGACCAAGAAUUCCGACUCAAAGAGUUAGAGUACGGAGAAGCACGAAGACUUUUUGAAAGGAAAGUGGGGCAUAGAGUUAACGAUCCUGAGAUUAAACCCUUGGUAGAUGGAGUGGUCAAGAAUUGUGGAGGCUUGCCACUUUUGAUUGUUCCAUUGGCAAAAAGGUUGAAACGCGGAGAUUUGGUUGAAUGGAGGAAGGCUUUGACCCAUAUAGAAUGGUCGGAUGUAAAAUCAAUUGUGGAACUAAAUUACAGUGACUUAAAAGAAGAGAGGAUCAAAUCAUUGUUUUUGGUUUGUGCUCUUGACUCUGGGAGAAGUUUCUUGAGGGAUACCCUUGUCUAUUGCAUGGUUUUGGGUUUAUUUAAGAAUUGCAGCACAACCAUUGAAAAUGCUAGAGAUACGUUGAUUGUUGAUUUACGCAGCCUACAAGACUCUUCUUUGUUACUAGAUAGUGAUGACAUGGAAGUGUUUAGAAUGCAUGACAAAUUUGUAGACGUGGCCAUCUCUAUUUCUUCUAUGGAUUGGUACCCCUUGGUUGGGAAGAAGGAUUAUGGGUUUAAAAAAUGGACAGAGGAUGAUCUCAGAAAAUGCACCGCAAUAUCCUUAAAUUUUGUUGGCAUUAAUGAGAUUCCGGAAAAUUUAAAUUGCCCAAGCUUGAGAAUUCUUUUUUUAUGCGAAUACAACCCAUCUCUCAAGAUUCCCAAUUCAUUUUUUGAAUCUAUGGAGAAGCUCCAAGUCUUGGACAUUACUGGCUUAUCUUUCAACUCUCUACCUUCAUCGAUUGAGUUCCUUGAAAACCUCAAGUCGCUAUGUCUUGAUGGCUGCCAUCUGCAAGAUGUGACUGUUCUUGGAAAGCUGAAAGGAUUGCAAUUCCUAAGUUUCUUAGACUCUACAAUCACUCGGCUGCCCAAAGAUAUAGGUGGACUAACAGAAUUGAGAUUUUUGGACUUGACACGUUGCUAUGAGCUCAAAGUUAUCGAACCCAGCGUGCUUGAAAGCUUGGUUAAUUUAGAAGAACUGUAUAUGGAAGAUAGUUUUGAUCAGUGGGAAGCCGAGGAUGAAGCACCUCGAAGCAAUGCUAGCCUGGCUGAGUUGAAGAGCAUGAAGAAUUUGAGUACUUUGUCCAUUGCCAUUCCUCAUCCCGCCAAUCUCUCAAGAUACCUGCCAAUUGGGAAACUUAACAAUUAUAAAAUCCAUAUUGGGGAAGUUUGGGAUUGGUUAGGCAAACACAAAGAAUCUAGAACUUUAAAGCUAAAGCUAGAUUCAAGCAUUCUUCUUCUUGAAGAGCGGGUGCAGAAAUGUUUGCAGAAAACACAAGAUCUCUACUUGGAUGGAUUGCAAGAUGACAACGAUAGCAUUCACGAUUUGUGCAUCGAAGGAUUUCGGGAAUUAAAGCAUCUUCACGUACAAAAUAGCCCCUCAUUUCAGUAUGUUGUUUGCUCCACGGAGAAUGUCCAUUGCACUACAUUUACUAAAUUGGAAUCUUUGUUUCUUGAGAAUUUGAACUUGAAGAAGAUUUGUCACGGUUCUCUUGCCCAGGAAUCCUUCAGAAAAUUAAAGAUUGUCAAAGUGGAUAACUGUGGUGAAAUCAAAUAUUUGUUUCCUUUCUCCAUGAAGAGAAUAAUAUUGCAGCUCGAAGAGAUUGAGAUAAGCAGGUGCUGCUUGAUGCAGCAAAUUCUUGCAAAUGCUGAGACAAAUGAAGAUGGAGAUGAAAUAGAUGAUGAUACAAAAGUGAGGCCAUGCAAUUUGUGUAGGUUGACAUUACGAAAGUUGCCAAAGAUGAUGAGCUUCUAUGAAACUGCAGACCAUUUAGUCAAUUCCUUCGAUGGGCAACAGGUAUAUCAUUUGUUUUUUUGAGAUUUAGAGCAUGGUUAUGUGAGAGGAUAAUAGGAUGUAGAAAAAUUGGAUAAAUAAUUCUUUUAUGAGAUUUUGCUUCCAAAAUAACUACGACAAACAAUAAUUUAAUUUUGCAAAAUGGAAUUGCUAUGUGAUAUUUGAAUCCAUUAAAACAUUUAUACAUCGGUUAAUUACAUCUCACUUUGUGUUAUGUUACCAACAUAGUUAAAAAGCACCGUACGAUGCAUAGAUUUUUUGAAUAAUUUCAAAGUUUUUUUGGUAAAAGGUAAGAAAUUAUAUUAGAGCUUUGGAACAAGAUACAAAAUUGGUACCAAAAACUUCCACUCUAACUGCAACAGCAGAAAGAGUGAAAGGGAGCCAAGUAACAAGCCAAACAGGCAAAAAGCAAGAGAACCAAAGCUAAACAGCCCAAUCCAAAGGCCAAGCGCCAACCAACAAACCCAGCAACCCUCAGAAAUACAAAAGGGAAAGGGUCGAAGAACAGAGAGCCUAAGAGAAGGCUAGAAAGCAAAACAAGGCACAGACUAGACGCUUAGGACGAACCAGGCGACUGAGCAAAAACCGAGAUCAUAUAGCACAUAGUUGCGAAAGAGAAUCGUGCAAUACUGUGAUAAAAGUCCUUUCCGGCUAAGAACUUAAGCGCCCAAGAGAUGGUAUCCAUCCAAGUUCUACUCCUCCAAGGAAGGUUACACCUAGAAGCCCAUAAGUAUGCAAGCGUAGCGGAGUUGUGACAUUCAAAGAAAAGGUGGUCAAUUGAAUCUGGUUGGGCAUUGCAAAAAGCACAUACCGUGUAAUCAAUUCUACCAUAAGAGAGGAGGAGCAUUUGAGUGGGUAGGCGAUUUUUAGUAAUAAGCCAAAGAAGGAACUGGUAUCGAGGAGCUAUGGCACUAUCCCAAACUAGAGAAGCCCACGGAACACAGUCUCUUUUCGCUCUAAUGGUGCUCCAAGCAGAAGAAACCGAGAACGAACCAGUUGGAUCACACCGCCAAGAGAAUUGAUCAGGAGCCAAGGAUAAAUUCGGGAGGACAAUGCCCCAACUAUGGAGAAGGGAUUUUAGCGUGUAUCCUGCAGGAGAAAACAGGUCCGCCACAUCCGCAUUGUUAGGGAGAUUUAUACUGUCCAUCAUAGAGGCCGGAAUAAAAGUGUCCAAGGGGCCACAAGGAAGCCAAUGCUCAUGCCAAAGAGAAACCGAAAGCCCAUUACCGAUUUUCCAAAAGAAGGAGAGCCGAAAAAACCUUUUGAGUUGUAGUAUUUUCUUCCACGCCCAAGAACAAAGAGAGGGGCAAGAAGAAAUCCAGAAAUUCACUUUCUUUAAGAAAUUUGAAUGCACCCAACGGCACCACAAGGAUUCUUUAUCAGUAAAGAGUAUCCAAAUAUACUUAAGCAUUGAAGCUUUGUUGCAAUACUUCAGUUUUCGAAUGGCUAAACCACCUUCUUCUUUGGGAAGACAAACAUCAUCCCAAGAUACCUUAGCACCCCCCCCCCCCCCCCCCCGGCCUAGGGUAGUGCCAUUCCAUAGGAAUUGUCUCAAGAUACGCUCAAUGGUCAUUAGAACCGAGGAAGGCAAGGAGAAGACACUAGCCCAAAAGGCUUGUAUGGAGUGUAGAACUGACCUUAUGAGCUGAAGCCUACCUGCAAAGGAUAGAAAAUGUUGUGCCCAAGAUUGGACCCUGGCGGUUAUGCGAUCUAUCAAGACGAUGCAGUCUGCUUUCCGCAGUCUAGAAGAAAUUAUAGGCACACCCAGAUAGCGGACCGGGAGUUUCCCUUCUUGAAUAAUUUCAAAGUUUAUCAUUGCUUAAUGGUAAAUUUGAAUAUGAAUACACAAACAUUUAUGGAUAUAUUUAUAAAUUGAAGAAGGUAUAUAGGAUCUAUAUAAUUUUUUUUUUGGACCUAUAUAAUUUUUAUGACCUUAUUUAAUAAUGAAUGGACAUACAUAGAAUUCUAUUAGACCCGAUUGAUUAAAGUGAAAGAAAGAACUGAAAAAAAAAUUAAAAAAUUCAAUAGGUGAAUUUAACUACCUUGACUAUGUGUCAUACAACAUCCAAAUUAAUAGUUAUUAAUUUCCCAAUUUUAUUCGUAAGUACAUCAGCAUUAGAGUAGUUGGGACUAUUAAGUUGCUUUUUUCUUCCCUCAAUGAUUGACAUUGUAGAGAGUUGUGGUCGGUAAAUGUACCUUUGUGGAAUUGUGGUUCGACACAAAGUUCCAUUAUACUCUUAUUUGUUAAAUGAAGGAACUAUUAUGUGCUUACAAAUGAAAAACUAAAUAUAAUAUUCAAUGGUUCAAAUUGCUUUUGUAACCUUGGCACAUGAAUGAGAUGUUAGGGAAAUAAUUAAUUUUUUUUUUGUUCUAAUUUUUGUAAGCUAUUGAGCUUUUUAUUGUGAUCAAAUCUAUCACUAAUCUUUGUUCGAACAACUUUUCUAAUAUUAUUGGUAGAAUUUAUGUACGCUGCCCACGUUUAAAAAUUUCUUUUUUGUAAUAAAAUAUUGCUUUGAGAAUAUUAAUUAGAAACACAUUUAACAUUCAUUUGUGCACUAUCGUUUUGAUUUAGCAAUUGCUUUAAUUGUUCUGUCAUAUAAAUUAAAAAACUAAACCCUUUUCAGAUUAUUUUUUAUCAUGUGCCCCAACCGNNNNNNNNNNNNNNNNNNNNNNNNNNNNNNNNNNNNNNNNNNNNNNNNNNNNNNNNNNNNNNNNNNNNNNNNNNNNNNNNNNNNNNNNNNNNNNNNNNNNNNNNNNNNNNNNNNNNNNNNNNNNNNNNNNNNNNNNNNNNNNNNNNNNNNNNNNNNNNNNNNNNNNNNNNNNNNNNNNNNNNNNNNNNNNNNNNNNNNNNNNNNNNNNNNNNNNNNNNNNNNNNNNNNNNNNNNNNNNNNNNNNNNNNNNNNNNNNNNNNNNNNNNNNNNNNNNNNNNNNNNNNNNNNNNNNNNNNNNNNNNNNNNNNNNNNNNNNNNNNNNNNNNNNNNNNNNNNNNNNNNNNNNNNNNNNNNNNNNNNNNNNNNNNNNNNNNNNNNNNNNNNNNNNNNNNNNNNNNNNNNNNNNNNNNNNNNNNNNNNNNNNNNNNNNNNNNNNNNNNNNNNNNNNNNNNNNNNNNNNNNNNNNNNNNNNNNNNNNNNNNNNNNNNNNNNNNNNNNNNNNNNNNNNNNNNNNNNNNNNNNNNNNNNNNNNNNNNNNNNNNNNNNNNNNNNNNNNNNNNNNNNNNNNNNNNNNNNNNNNNNNNNNNNNNNNNNNNNNNNNNNNNNNNNNNNNNNNNNNNCGUAGCACUGGUAGGCUGAUGUUUAAUGUUGUUCUAUGUCUUUCUUUAACUUAAUAUGUUGUUAGUUCAUGACCAUUUGGUGAAAAUAAUUGAGCUUUUUUCUGCAUAGUCGUUUAAAAUAUUAUAUAAGACCACAUUUAACGACUAACAAGAAUUAAUUGAGUCUAUGCCAUUAAUUUGUAAAAUUUAGAAAGCAUAAAAUGUGAGCGUAAAUUCAAUAACCUCAAUAACUCAGGGAUUAUCCCCCCUGGGGAUAUAUAUAAUGGAGCCCCAAUAGACAAUAAGGUAAAUGAUAAGUCAAGUGUAAAAGUUGAUAACAUUUAAAGAAGAAAAAGGUAAAAUUCAAAAAUCAUUACUCAACUUUUUUUUUUCCGUCAUCUUCAAAUCUAUUAUGUUGAGAUUAUUUCCUUUAUUAAUUUUUCAUAGAUAGCGAGUGUACAUAGCUUUUAGUUAUAAGCAUUGUGAGAUUAUGUGGUGUUUUCCACUCCUUGCAGUUAAAGAAAAAUCAAUGCAUAUGCCUUUGUAACGUGUUUCUUCUUACUUUUUAAGGUUUCAUUGCCCUCGUUGGAGUCCUUGACACUAUCUGAACUUCCCAAAUUGAAAGAGAUAUGGAAUUCUCAAUUUCCUUCAAAUGUGAGCAACCUAAAAUUUUUGAAGGUCGAGGAUUGUGCGUUCCUCUUGAGCAUCUUCCCAUCAAAUUUGGUGACAAAGCUACAGAAUUUGGAAGCCAUAACCAUUGAAAGAUGUCAGUUAAUACGAGAAGUAUUCGACCUUGAAGGACUGACAACCAUUGGGGAUGUUGAGAUUCUAUCGCGAUUGACAACAUUAACCUUGAGUGACUUAUCAAGGUUGGGACACAUAUGGAACAAGAAGCCAAGAAGAGCAUUGUGUUCCCGAAACUUGAGGGUAUUAAAGGUGCAAAACUGUGAGAACCUGAGGUUUAUUUUUUCUUCUUCCAUGGCUAAAGCACUCCAACAAAUAAAAGAGAUAAAAAUAGUGAGAUGUAAACUGUUGGAGGAAAUUAUACAUGUGCAAGAAGAAGAAUCAAAGGAAGAUGCAUCCAUCGACACUCUAGAGUUCCCUCUAUUAUCCUCCUUAUCUCUUGAGGAAUUGCCAAAUCUCAUGACAUUCUCUUAUGGGACGUACUGUAUUCACUAUCCAACCUUAACAAGAUUGACAAUAUCAAGAUGCCCCAAAAUGAUGACAUUCUUUUCAUUCGAAGGAAAGCAACAAUCGAUAACAACUGAUGUGGGUUUACAAAAACCAUUUGGUCGUGUCAACUCUAACUUGUCAUUGCCUGUCUUCUUCGAUGAAAAGGUAAGUAAGCAUCUAUAGUAUCCUUUUUUUUUUUUUUAUUCAGCAUUCUUCUAGAUUUGAUAAGUGAAGAAAUUUCUUAUGAACUAGAUCAUUAUUCUGUACCAAAAGUUUAGUAAUUCGUAGUGCAAGAACUAAAUCAUGAUGUUGUUCAUUCCCAAAGAUGCCGCGAAAUUAUUGGCAUAAGAAAUUCCAUACCAAAAAUUUCAGUUAUUCAGCAUAUACGAGGUUUUCACGCAGGUUCUUUUUCCAAGCUUGGAGGAAUUGAAACUUUCGUCCAUGUGCGAAUUAAAGAGGAUAUGGCACAACCAAUUCAACGGACAGUCCUUCUGCAAACUCACAUCCCUCACUCUUGAACUUUGUGAAAAUCUAUCACAUGUUUUUCCAUCAAAUUCAAUCAAUAGGUUGCAGAGCUUGUAUGAAAUUAAGGUGGUCGGGUGUCCCUCUUUGGAGGCAUUAUUUGAACCGGUAAGUCUCAAGGCCAAGAGAAGGCAAAAGCCAUUGGUCCUCUCUGCAUUAAAAAAAGUGGAGUUGCUGAAUCUACCAAGGCUAAGAGACAUUUUGAAGAGUGAAUGCAAAGUAACCUUGGCAUUUCCUAGUUUGAAGGAAGUGAACGUGAGGCAUUGUCAUAAUUUGUCAUAUCUCUUCUCAAGUGUCACGGCCAAAACUCUUCAUGAACUUGUAGUGCUUGAUGUUUCCUGUUGCAAUAAUCUGCGAGGCAUAAUUGUGAUGGAAGAAGGAAAGGGGAAAACCGUAGAGACAUUCAAGUUCCCUCAUUUAACCAAACUCAAGCUUGAUGACCUUAAGAGUUUGGUUUGCUUUAGUUCAAAGAAUUGUGCUAGCGAUGGGUUACAUCCUCUAUUUGAUGAGAAGGUAUCCCGAUUUAUCUGAUUUGUUAUUUUUCUUUGUUUUUAGUGCUUUGACCCUAAGCUGUUUUGCAUAUUUUUUUGUUUAUCUCUUUACAUUUGUAGCUUGCAUUUCCAAAGUUAGAAGAGCUACAUGUUGAGGGAGUUCAACAAAAAGAAAUAUGGAAUGAUAAAAUCCAUGUGGAAUCCUUUUGUCAUCUAAAAGUCCUCAAGUUGAAACAGUGUCACAACCUAAUGAAUGUGAUUCCGUCAUCCAUGUGGAAGAGGUUGCUUCACUGCAUGGAGUCCUUGAUAGUUGAGAAAUGCCAACGUCUGAGAAACCUUUUUACAAUGUCCAUGGCAAAAUGUCUUGGACAACUCCAAUAUUUGGGUCUCAGUGGUUGUGGAGAGAUAGAGUACAUUUUCGCCAAAGAAGAGGAGGAACCUGAAGAAGCAGCUGACCAAAUUGUAAUUCCUCAACUUGUCACUCUAUAUCUUCACAACAUGCCAAAACUCAGAAGUUUCUGCCAAGGGAAGCAUAUUUCAGAGUGGCCCUCCUUGAAAGAGUUCAUUAUUGAUGAUUGUAAAACUGUGAAGGUGAUUCUUGGAGAUGUCAGUUGUGGAAAAUUAGAGGGUAGCGUUCUAACUCAUCAACCGCUUUUACUUGUUGAAAAGGUUUGCACUCAUUCUUCUUUAAUGGCAUAUCUAAUUUGUUGUCUUGAUGGUUUGAGUUAAGACAAUAUAAGGGUCUGCAAGUCACUUAUGAUACCUUAUCAUUUUCUUUUACAAACCUUUGACCUCAAAUAAGAAACAUCUCAAAACCUUUAUAUUUUUUUCUUUCCUUUUCUAGUCUUAGACUACAUUGUAGAGGCUAAGCAUCAAUUAGUAACUUUUAAUUAAUCUAGAGUCUAGACAACACAAAAGAUGUCAACUCAACUUUAAAUAUUGUUUAACGCAAGAUCAAGGGUUCAUAACACUACAAGUUCUAAAACUUGUGUUAGUUCGGCACUAAAGUUCUAAAAUUUACACAAUCGAUGCAUUUCAAGGCUUGUUAAGUCUGUCCUUUUUUUUUGUAGAGAAAUUCUGCAUUUUUAUGAUAUUUUCAGUCCAGCAUGGCCUUUGACACGGUGAUGGAGCUUCCUCAAGCACAAAGGGAGCUGUUUCACUAUUGGCACAUCGAAAUAUUGAAAAAGAAAAAAAAAGAGUAAAAAUUAGAAAAAAAAAUCAGCACUAAUAUGAAACUGAAAAUAAAAAGGGUCCUAGAAUAGACCGCCAGUUAAUGGGGGAAGGGCUACAUAGGGAGCGCCACUAGGGCAGCCCUUCCUGCCGACAAGGACUUACAAACUGUUGCGGGGCUAAGGCAGGGCUAGCCCUCACCUUGAGCAAGCAAUGGCCUGUCACCACCCUUGCUAAUUUGGUGAGGGCAACUGUGCUCACUCACGUGGUGGCGAGGAGCCAAGUUUGGCAACUAUUGGUGACUUUGCAAGGAAGUUGAACGCCCUCGCCAAGACUCAGGGGACACAGUUGCGGCCCUUGCCAAUGCAAAAGCCCUGAGAACCUUCCCUCUCUCCCGCAUUGUUUUCUUAUAUGUACUUUUAAAAUUUUCAUCAUCUUUUUUAAUGUGGUAUCACAACAUUUUUUACCAUUAGAAAAAGGAAAAUUCGAGGAAAAAUGCCAUAUAUACUUUCUGUCCUCCUAAAACUAAUUUGAGCAAUGGAAAGACUCAAAUGCUGAACCGUAACAAGUUUUACUAAUAAAGGAAAAAAAAAUUAGUUCUUAAACAUGCCAAACCAGAAUAAGUUUUAGGAGUCAUUUUGUCACUAAUCCUGAAGUCAAUUGUAAAUGUUGUGAUGGGAACGUCAUUCCUUAGGUCCUAAAAUGUAUUUAUGAAAUGCAAUCAAAUCAUAAAUUUUUUAGCUGGUGCAAUGAACUCUUAAACCUUUAUCAAAAAGUGCAAUCGAGUCACGAACCUUUCAGUUGGUGUAAUUAAGUUAUAAAUUAAUACAAACAAAUGCAAUUUGAGGUUGCCAGGCAAUCUAAGUUAUUGUGUAGUAAAAGAACUUGAUUAAGCUUUUUCAAAAAUAAUUAAAACUUAAGUACACCAAUUGAAAGGUCUAGAACUUGACUACAUUUCAAAUAUAAGAUUAAUACUUCCAACGCACCUUUACUUCUUGAUUAUGACUAAAAUUGCAAGUAGUUGACAUAAUAUUUUUUAGUUUCAGGUGAAACCUAGUCAGCUUAAUCGAAUGCUAAUCAAAGGAGCUUUAGUGUAAAAGUGGAAUCAUGAACUUAGCAAAUCUGCAUUUGUAGCUCCACACAAGCCAAUAUUUUCUUUGCUACGUGCAAUAUACUUAAAUAACCCAAUUGCACUGACAUGGAAUUUAUAAUUCAAUGUGUUGUCAUUCACUAUCACAAAAAUUUGAGCUUUUUACUAGGUGUAUGAUACAUAUAGCAACUAAUAAUGUAGAAUGAAAUUGCAUAGCAAGGUUGGUUCAAAAUCAUAAAAUCCAAAGGAAAAUCAUAUAGCAAUAAACUAGGGAAAAAACGAGAGAGAGAGAGAGAGAGAGAGAGAGAGAGAGAGAGAGAGAGAGAGAGAUGCCAAACUAGGCGAGGAAGAAGAAACACCAACUAUGCAAACUCAUUAGUCAAUGAAUUCAUCAUCAAAAUUGAAGAAAAUUAGUAUCUUGGCCAAUAUCAUAGGUAAUUAAAACAAGAUUUCCUUACCAAAAGAAAAACAAGAGUUUAAACUAAGCAAGCAUAAAUAAGACAAAUAAACAAUAAGGUGGUUGAAGAAUCAUGUCGUAUAUCAAUCUCCACAAAAAGGAGGAUUUGGAUAUGCACCUAGGAAGUAUAAGGCUAUACUAUACUAAGUAUUUUAGUACAAAUUUUAGCAUCACAAAUUUUCAAUUCUAUGAAUGAUCAAUAGGAGAAAUUGUGUUCCAAAUUUUACUAAAUUUCAGAAGGUGUUUCUAUAAAUUCAUCCAAAUUAGUUAGUAGAAUUUUACUCCACUCACUUCACUAUUCCCACAAGCAUAGUCCUUAUUUAACUCUUGAAGACAUCGAGAGCACUUAUCCAUGUUGUUUUGCUCAAUAGUGAACUAUUUUCGGACUAUUUUCUUGUAUUCCUUACAGUUUUUGAUUGAAUCUAUUCAAUUCUCACUAAAAUUGUUGAAAUGUUUUCUCAAACCAAUAAAAUUUGUUUAAUCUCUUCAAGAUUGUUAAGGAUUUAUGAUAACCACAAUCAUAGCAAUAGUCACGGCAAUAGUUGAAUUACUCCUGACUGUCAACAUUAUUAGAAUAGCACGAUAAUCAUAAUAAUAAUAAUUGCCAUACCAAUCGACAUAAUAACCUUGGUAGCCCUACUCUUUUCAAAUUUCAUCAUAUCUGAGUUAAUAAAUAUUGCAACAUUAUUCAAAGAGAAAAUUUACCAAACAUAGAGUGGCUACAAAUCAACAAGCAUGGUGGCUGAAGUUUUAAUAGGCAUGAAUGCCAUAUAUCUUCAUGAGCAUUUCAGAUCAGAAAUGCAAGUGUAGCAUCUAAAAUAAGUACCACAGAGUUGGCCCUUGGUCUAGAAUAGUUGCACAGCGAUAAUACAUAUUUAAAGCGAAGUUAUGAUACCCCUUAAUGGUGAAAAGAUCUAGCUCAAUGACCAAGUGAUGAAGAACAUAUCUAUAACCGAAACCAACUAACGUGGAAUGAAAGCAUGAAGAAAGUUAGGUUUAAAUUCAUUGAAAGUGGAGGAAAAUCAAAUAAUAAGAAAAAGACAGAAAUUAAAGAGAGAUAAAAGAGAUAGAAAUGCCAAUUCAGGUGGGGAAAGAGAUACAUCAAAUGGGCAAACUAAGUUUUCAAAAUUCAUCAUUAUAACUAAAGAAAUAUAUUUAAUCGGUUUAUACUUAUAGGCAACUUUAAUAAUAGUGAUUCAACUAUUAAUAGAAAUAAAUCAAGAUUAACAUCCUCAGUUUUGAUAAUUUCGAAUAACAAACUUAUAAAGAAACAAAUCAGCUAGUGAUCACAGAAUCCCGUGCAACAUUAAUUAAACAGUACAUACCUAUAUUCAUGAUCUUUUGAUCUAAUUGUUGGAUUCUUGUCUUCAGUAUCUGAUGUGUCUUCUUUGAGUCUAUACUUUGUCAGAGAACUUUUGAAGUGCAAGAACCAUGAAGCAUUGGUUUGUGCAAAUUGGUUUCUAUUUUGUUGUUUGCACGUCAAAGAAAUGGGACAGUGUAUUGGAUAUUAUGUUUUCAGUGUUGUAAUGAGCUAAAUCUAAGAUAGGCCAAAUUUGAGUUUCAUGGGAGACAAAUUAUGCACGAAAUGAAUAUAGUUGUCUUACUACAAAGGCUAUGUUUAUGCUAUUGCUUAAACAUAAUGCUUGAUAUAUAUUAGAAAAAUUUAUGCCUUCUACUUUAAACUAUAUGAUAGGAGAAUCAAUUUUAGUAGGUGGAAUUUUGCUAAAAAGAAAUAGCGUACAUCCGGUCUUCUUUUCUUUCUAUUCUUUGAUAAUGUCCAUCUUGUGAUUUUCUUUGUUCUUGAAAUUAAAGUAUUCUCUUUUUUGAGGGAAUAGAGAAUCAGCUCUAAUUAAUUAAAUUGAAAAAUAACAGGUUGAGUUUCCUAGUAUGGAGUCGAUGAAGAUCUUGCAUAUGGAUAAUAUGGAGAAGAUAUGGCUUGAUGAUUUUGAUUCAAAUGCCUUUGGCAAACUCAAGACGCUAGUAGUGGCAUAUUGUGAGAAGCUUUUAUCCAUAUUUUCAUCUUAUAAUAUGCUCACAAGAUUUCGAAACCUAGAAAAGAUAACCGUGAUCGAUUGUGGAUCUUUAGAAGUGGUAUUUCAAGUCCAAGAGUUUGGAUUUAGUGAAGCUUGUUCUACAAAUACUUUUCAAUUGAGAGAAUUAGUUUUGACGGGACUCUCAAAAAUGAAAUGCUUGUGGAGUGGACUUCCUCAAGAAGGUCUUACCUUUGGACGCUUACAAUGCAUGGAGGUUGUCCAGUGUGAGAGUCUCAAAAGUUUAUUUCCAAGCUCGGUGGCAAAAAGUAUGACACAGUUCCAAAAACUUUUGUUAUUGGAUUGUGGGGUGAAGGAAAUUAUUGCGGAGGAAGACGAAGUAGGGAUGACUGCAGGUGAUCUCUUCUUUCCGCAAUUAACCGAACUAAGAUUAGUUGACUUGCCGAAACUGAGGAGCUUCCACCAUAAUAGUCAUACUUCAGCAUGGCCACUCUUUAAGCAAUUGCAAGUAAGACAUUGCGACAAGAUGAGGUCAUUCUCAUUUGCUUGUGAAUUCCAAAGCUGCCAAGGUACAACCACCAGCGAAAACCAGCCUACACUCUUUUCUUUUGAAAAGGUACCGUCCAUGAGUCUAGCUCUGUGCCAUUAUCUUCAUUGGUUUAUAUGCACUUUGUUAUUUUUCUACAAGAAAUUAAAGUUGUCACACUUCUUGCUUAUUAGUGCUCACCAAAACACACUUGUGAAUUGCUUAGAAAUUUGACUGCUGUUAACUAUUUCUAGCUCAUAUUUUUGGCAUAUAAUAUAGUGAUCCUAGCUUUUACUUUGAAAAAAUAAAUUAUUGAAUUAACUUGCAUAGAUAGUGAUGCUUCUAAUGAGCCGCUCUUGCCUUAUGGUUAGGAUUUACCUAUUUACUUUAAUUUGACCUACCUGUCUGCCAAAAGUGAAAAAAGUUUAGUAUUCCUUUCAUUUGGAACAAAGUUCCAUUCUCGAACAUUGUGAACCCGGUUGUUAACUGUCUAGUACAGCAGAUAAUCUGCUAAUAUGGGCUUUGAAAAGCACAAAACCUUCUUUAUUCUUUUUUUCAAAACUACCAACUACUUAAUAAUCUACCAAUAUUUAUUCUUGGGGCUCACCAACGUAUUUGAAAUUACUAACUUUAUUUGAAUAUACUGAACUUAAUGUGAUUGGUGUAUUAACAUUUGUCACGUUAAGAUACAAACUGAUUUUAGUUCAUUGCCAAUGUCUUUUUACUUGUUAGGUUUUGAAAAGUACCAACAUUUUCAAAAUUAUGAACUAAUUUAAUAAUCAAUCAAUAUUUAUUCCUAUGACAUUUUAACGCCUUUUUUUUGGGUCAACAAUGCAUUUCAAAUCACUAUUUUUAAUUUAAAAUUACAAAAGUUAAUUUGAUUGUGUUAUCAACAUUCAUCAAAUUAAGAUUCCAAUUGAUUUUAGUCACUUGCUAACUUUUUAUCCUAUGGAUCUUGAAAAGUACUAAUAUUUCUUUGCACUUUCAAGAUCACCAACUAUUUUAAUAAUCUACCAAUGUUUAUUCUGAUGGGUCACCAAUGCUUUUGAAGUUACUAAUGUGUAAUCAAAAUUACCACACUUAAUUUGAGUGAUAUAUCAUUGAUAUACCAACAUGGAAUUAGGUUUUUUUUUUUUUUUAACGUACAUAAUGCUAAAAUCAUCCAUUUAUUGGUUCGGUUUGUACGCGUUCUUUUCAGCGUCAUAGAACAGUGAACCCAUGCGCUACUUAUGACAUAUGGUAAAAUAGACAUGAGAACAACUGCUUAGAAAAGAAUGCUACAUAUUAAUACGUCAUCUUACUAUUGAAAUACAUCUAAUAUAUAAAUAACACAGAUUUGUUUUGAGUUUUUUCUAUGAACUUGUUGACAUUCACGUAUGUUUACUUUGCCAUUUGAAUUUAAUUAGUUGACAAUCGAAAUAGAUGAAUAUCAUCAACUAAUAACUUUAUUUCAUCUAAAUUCACGAAACAUGAUUUGAUUGAAUUGUGCAUAUCACUAAAAAAAAAAAAACGUCCCACUUAUACAACCCUUGUAUAAUGGUCAUCAAUUCUUGCCGUCUGGCUCUAGAUUUUUUUUUAAAAAAGGAUAAAACCGACCAAAAGCCUACAGGUUCUUUUUCCUCAUUUCCCUAAUAAAUAGAAGGCCAAUUUAGUCAUUGGACCAUGGCUGUGCCCUAUUUUACUUUUGGUGGAUGGUGGCCUAAUUAAACGGAUUCCCACAGGUCAUUCCUCACCUGGAAGUAUUGGAAUUGUCGAAGGAGGAUGUUGCGAUGCUGCCGCAGCAUUACAUCUUUGGCAAUCUGAGAGAACUGGUUUUGGGAUGCUACCAUGAUGAAAAUGCCGUUUUCCCCUCCGACUUCCUUCUCCAGGGAUUCCCCAAUCUAGAAUUGCUUGAUGUGCACUGUAGUUCCUUCGAGGAAAUAUUUCCAGAAGAUGCUCUUGGACAUGGGGGAGCGACUCCCUAUGGAGGAUUAACAGACGCAGACAAACCUCUUAAGUCACUUGGAAAUUUGAAGCAACUUGAGCUGGUAAAGCUACGCAACCUGAGAGGAGUCUGGAAGCAUGGCUCCUUGAUGGCUAAAAUCCUCAAACAGAUUGAAUAUCUUUGGGUUGAGCACUGCCCUAGUUUAUCAAUCAUAUUUCCAUCUCGGGCCUCAUUCCAGAGAUUAACACAAUUAGAAGUAAAGGAGUGCGCUGGCUUGGUUCAUAUGGGGACUCGCUCGGCAAUGAUGAGUCUGGUGCACCUUACUUGGCUAACCCUAAGAGAUUGUGGUGCAAUGGAAGAUGUGGUAACAGAUGAUGGAGAUGGAGCAGAGGAGAUCCAUUUCCCCAAGUUGAAAUGGCUAAUGCUUGAUCGUUUACCAAGCCUUGAGAGCUUCUCCCCAAUGAAUUGCGCCUUCAAGUUCCCAUCACUGGAGCAUAUUGUCAUCACACAGUGCCACAAUAUGAAUAUAUUCUGUAAGGGUGCCUUAAGGACACCAAACCUAGAUAAAGUACUCCUAUUCGAAGAGGAUGAUGAAGGACUCUGGGAGGGCGACCUCAAUACCACCAUCGGAACCUUGUCGGCUUGGAAUGAUCCACUAUGAAUUCAGUAAGGCAGGUGAAUCUAUUUGCUUAAUUGUGUCUGCCUGAACUUGGUGACAAAAGGAAGAAACUUGCGUUCUUCUUCGAGUUCUAUAUUGGCUCAUAUGAAUUCGGUCUUUCAUAAAAUAAUAUAAAAAGUUUGGCUGUGUUCUAACAAAAUCGUUACAUAUUUCGAAUAUCGGGGGCUUUUGUGCAAUUACUCACCAACGCAUUCUAGCUAUUUGAUGAAUUGUUUAGCGUAAUUUCUGUCAAUGUAGCUUCGAAAAUUGUGAGUUUUGUUAUAUGGGGCCAUGUGCUCGCCCACUUCUCUGGUUAAUUUUGAGAAGUAUCUUACUGAUAUGUUUGUUUCUUUCAGGUGUCUUGCACCCUAGGAUCAAAGUGGCUGCUUUUAUUUGCUAGAAAGUGUCGCCUGGAGUAAGAUAUUGAAGCAAUCUUUUUGCAACCUGUGCUCUAGUAGUGUUCUAGUGCAUGGUGUUGAUGCCUCUCGACAUGGAAUCUUUUUGCCGACAUGUGGUAUUCACAAUGGGUAGGUGCUUCAUUGAAUAUCUCAUUCUUUUUCUAGUUUGGGAUGUCCUCUCUAUGUAAUUUCCUUGAUAAUGGUACUGGUGUAGCAUAAUGUUUGUGCAAAUAAUCAAUUGAAUGAGGGGGUGCUCUAUCCUAUAUUGAAUUGUAUAGGAAUUUUGAAUGAGUGUUGGCUUUUAGGCAGCCUCAUUUAGCAUCAAGAAGUUUCUUUGAAGUUUGGAUGAUGACAACAACGGCUAUACACUGACCAAAGGGGGAAGAAGUCCAAGAAUCCAAAUAAGCACGUGUCCUUCAGGCAACAGACCAUAGCUUACGUGGAGCCAUUCACACUAGAUGUUUUCAUCUCCAAGCAAUUUGUCUCGGCUUCGCUCACUCACGGGGUCGCAUGCAAGCAAGUUGCUAUUGUGGGUACCAAUUUUGAGGACAUCAGAGCCUACUGAAGUCUCAGUUGGACAUACUGGCAUGUUUGGCCUUAGGCCAUAUUUUGGCAGACCAGGCGGGGAAAGCUGAUGUGUACUCUGCUUCCUACACUCCAAGAGAGAGGGACAAGUUUGAAGGAAAAAUCGAAGCAGUAGUUCAAUCUCUAAUUGACAGUGGUAAUGAUAUUUAAGUUUAUCUUCACUGAUUUUUCCUCCUUGAGCAUGAUCUUGAUUGUGUGCACAACUCCUAGUUGGAAUAUACUGACAUCUUUGAUAUUGUUUUGAGAAUACACGGGAUGUAGUGUUGGUUCAUUUGCUGGUUUAAUAUAGAUAAUAGUGAUUGUUUGUUUGACAGGAGCAGAAUACGUUUUUGUUUUGGCUUUGUUGAAACAUUUACCUUCUGGAUUCUUGGCUGAGCAUUGUGAUGGCUAUCAUAGCUUUGUAUAUCUUUCUCUAAUUUUACAUGGUUUUGAUAUUGACUCCUUUUUAAACAUUAUGGAUGUCCAUGCCACAAUGAUUAGUUUCAUCCAAUCUUCUUUUAGCGGACACUUAUUUACAAAGUUAGGUCCACAACUCUUAAUAGUGCGAAGUACUAUCAUCACCUGGGUUAGCAAGUACUAUCCUACUCAAAUUAUCAUAACUUAAGUUGGUUUAGUUAUCUACUUUUCAGUUGUUUUGCUUCAAUUCAUAACAUAGAGAUACAUAGAUAUUACUUUGCCUGCCUCAGUGACUUGAUGAUAAAAAAUCAAUUAACUUUGGUCAUUGUAUUCUUGUGGAAGAUAUGAAACUAAAUAUAAAAGUGGUGUUUAGUCAUUCUUUUUCUUCUGCUUCUAAGUUUGACUAUCUUGGACACGAAGAGUAGGCCUCAUGGAAAAGUGAAUUUGUGUGAUCUGCUGCUUUUUGAAUGUUAAUUCUUGCCGAUUUACUUUGGAGGAAACUAAGAAAAACUUUUUCUGCAGAUUGAUGUCAAUCUAAUAUCCCUGUGUCUUUACCACAACAGUAGUUAUUGCCUAGCUGAUGUGAGAAUCUCUAUAAUUUGCAAUGAGGUCAAGUUAGAAUAUCAUCAAACCAUCAAAGAGAGAGAAAAAUGCCUUGGAUCCAGUUUUCGGUAGAAUACUUUUAUAAAACACUCGCCUGAGCUUUCCGAGAUUCUCAGAUCAUGGUGGCAUCCUCAUUUUGCUCGAUCCUCUCCCUUGGAGGAUGAGCAAUAUAUGAGGAAAAAGAGAGAUGUCUGAAAUCCAAUAUACUCACAGGUAGAGUCCACUAUUGACAUGUCAAAAAAGUAAUAUAGUUGAUUGAAGGUGAUCUAUUGCUUCAUGAUUCACCUAUUUUAGAUGCAUUUACUGCAAAAGCAGAUGAUCUAAGGAUAACUCAAGUGUGGAGCCUACUGCAAUUUUAUGUGUUAAUCGGAAGGCUAGUAUAAAGAAGAAAGGCUCACUUGCUAGUUGCUAUUAUCAAAUAAUGUUUGAAUUCUGCUCUUUUCCUCUUGUUGUAGUUUUAGUUGUAUUCAUUGCUUUUUUGGUGCUUCAUCCUCAUAGCUCUUUCCAUAUGCGCCAAUAUGAACUAUUCAAUUGUUUUUUUAAUGGAUUAGGAAGUAAUAUUCUCUAUUAGCUAUGAAAAAAUAUCAUUCGAGUGCACGAUCAUAUGAGUUCUUAGGAAUUUGACUAUUCAAUUGUUUCAAAUGAGUUUAUGAAAUACAUCAAAUAGUUCACAAACUUAAAAGCUCAAUAUUCAUUUCCAUGACACGUUUGCACUUGCAUAUCUCUUAACUAGUCAAACGUCCAGAAUUCAACAUAAUCAAUACAAGAUUGUGCAGUAAAAUGUUACUUACUCCUGGAUCACACUAUGAACGUGUCAUUUUUUAUGCAUUUGGGUUCAGUGAAAUAAAAGGGUAAUCCAUCAAGAUCUUGUCCAUAGCAUCUUCUCCUUUCCAUUUUCUGCAGAUAGUCACAAAGAAAAUCAGAGUUUGACCUUGCUGCUUCUUAAUAAGAAUGCACAAGUAGGGUUGAGAAACCUGGUUACUCACUGAUGAUGAGGAAUCUGUUGCUUCCAGGAAUGCUAUUGAAAUAAUAUUUCACUGUUCCUAGUUUGGAAAACAAAGAUAUGUUUUUUUAAAGUGUGAACUGUCCAAAAUCUCUCAUCAAAUGUCCUAUUUGAUAUUGUUUCUUGCCAUAUCUUUUGAUUGCUUUAUAUCAAGUACUCAGUGUCAAUCCAGAGUAGUUGAAUCCGGGGGUUCUCUUUGUACUUCCUUGAAGUCGUCAUCAUAUUGUCUAAUAUGUUCCUGGAGGCACUAGUGAAUUGACAUACUGUAAAACUUUUUGCCGGAGAAUCCAUUAGUCAUUGAGUGCUUCGACUUCAAUACUAGCGGCAACCAUGCACAUGGAGGGUAAAUGCCUUUUCUCAUGCAUUUUGUAGAACAUGGGCUUUUGUGUGUUAAUUUGCUUGUCGUUUAUUACAGUAAAAUUCAGUAAGUCCAUAGCAGACUUGGGGAAAGUUCACGGAGAAAGAAACAGGGAAAAUUUUACUUACCAGCUUCUCAUCAAGGCUAUGAAAAGUUGUCUGGCAUUCUUAAAUAGUUUAAUACUCUUCAUUCUAACAGGCCCUUUGGUCAUUUUGCACAUGCAUUUUUCAAAAGUUGUCAGUAAAGGUGAUGAUUAUAUAAGUCCUAAAAAGUAGCAUCAUAUAAAUUUCCACAAUGAACAUCUUGAAUCUAACAUACUACCAAUAUGUUUUGGCCAAAGACCUAAGUGUUGAUUAUAACAUGCUAGAUAAGUUCAUGUAAAUUUCCACAAUGAACAUCUUCAAGUUGACAUACUACCGAUCUUUUUUGGCCUGUGUUGUUAAUAACAUGCCAGAUAAAUUGAUUUCGACACCGAACUUAGAGCUCAUCUUUCUCAAUAUUCGCAUGUUUUUUGCUCGGGAUAGGGUGUCUAGUGUUGUCUUGCUCAGCCUCACCAUCUCUCUUAUCACUCGGCAAAAGAAAAAUCAUAAAUGAAGAGGAAUGGCCAUUAUCAUGGACUAGCUCGCAAUAAAAUAAGCAGUGGUGGUGAUCAUCAUCAAGAUCCCUUACAAGCCUUAUGGCGACGGAACUCUCAACCUCGAUUACAAAGCUACCGUAGACGAUGGCAAGCUCAACUCGUGCCCCUGUAAUCAACUCCCACAACACCAGUCAUGUAUGAAUUUCAAAUGACUCCCCAACCCGCCAUGGCCACUGGCCCCAACGCUCGUUGUUAGUUUCCUGGCUAUGUCUAAGUCGCAAUAGCACGGUCAAUGGAAAAAUAAAUUAAAAAAGAAAAUGAGGCGCAGUCUCUUUCCAUUGCAUGACAUCAUGUCUAAUAUAUUCUUGUCGGUAGCCUAGUUUGUGACUUGAAAAUAAUAGGGUGAUCUUGAAACAUUAGCAUGUGAUUGGAAAAAAUUGAUUUUUACUCAUAGCAAAACUCCUAAAAUACUAUGAAGCAUGCAAAUUAUUACAUGAGUUCUCUCAUAACAUUUUCAAAAACAUUAUUUCAAAAAUUGCUUAUAUUUCUCACUUCAUUCUUUAUAUUCAAAUGAUUGGUAUAGAUAGUUGGGUCAAUUGAACAAGUAGAAUCGCAUACCGCCCAUACUCCGGUUCAACCUCUGGUACCAUUUUUGAAGCAUUGCCUACAAUCAAACCCGGAAUAGUUGACUAAAAGUCAUCUUGUUUCUUGAAAGGUGGAUAUAUGAAAAUCUUUAAUUUAAAGCCAUCACCUUUGGUUCAUAUAUCUAUUCAUCAAAAUUCUUUAAUGGUUGACCUCGUUCGUAAUUUAUUAAAAUAUUAUUCAAAGUAAAUUGUAAGUAUAUAUGAAGAUUAUAACAAUGGAGAACUGGCAUUGUUACUUUUAACCUGCUUCAUCCUUUCAUUGAGCGAGAGGAUCCAUAAAAAAUAUGCAUUUUAAACAUGUGGAAGGAGAGAGAUAUAGGAGAGUCCUAUGCAAACAAGCAUAAACUGAACUUCCUCAAUUUGAAAACAAAAGAGAAAAAAAAAAAUUUACCAUAAUUUAUGUAAAGGGCUAUACUUUGGUACAUCCCUAAUUGUAGGAAACUUUAUCGAACCAUGCCUUUGGUCAAUAGAUUACAAAUUAUGGAUCACCUACAUGCAAAUAAUGUAUUAUAUUAUGCUUAGCACAUGAAAUUGCACAUGACCACAUUAUCUAAUCAAGUCCGGCCAAACUUAUUGUGGCUCCAUUUACCUCUCAAUCUCUUGUAAUACCUUAUGAUAGAUCAGAUGUUGAAAAUUAUAGCUCAACUUUUGGCUUGAUUACUUUUGUUUAAUUCAUUAUGUCAUCCUUUUCUAGAUUGAGGCAUCAUUGUCUAUAUUCUUAAUAAAGAACACUAGGUAUUUGGUUACUAUUUAAAACUUGAAAGAAGAUAAACUUCUUACUUAUUCAUGAACAAGAGAAUAUAGUGAGCAUUGUUGAGCUCUAGGGAAACUCAUCCAGAUCAUAGCAAAUCGUCAAUAACCUCAAUUAUCUCAAUAAGUAGCAUCAAGUCUAUACUUGUUUUGUCCGUCACAGAACAAGGGAUGUGAACAAUCGCAUACACAUCUCCCCUCCUUUUAUUAAUAAAUUUUCUUAGCACACAUUCAAAAUUAGGUACAAAAUUAAUGAUAUUUAUCCAAGUGAGAUUUGUAAAGUUAUCUCCAAAUAAUGGACAUUUGAGAGAAAAUUAAUGGGGACAAUUUAUUUUAACAAAAGACAUCCAAAAUUUUGAUCAAUGUUUAUUAAAGCAAAAAGAAAAAAGAAAUAGCACCAAGAGUGUCGCAACCUACCUUUUCUGUCUAGAGGGGAAAAGACAUAAGUUUAGGGGUAUUGCCUAAAGAGCGGGCCUACAGCCCUCGUUUAGGCAUGGACUCUCCCAAGCCCAUAUGUCAUGCGACAUUGGGAUAUUUAAUUCUAGUUUCAAAUUGAAGCUAUAAUAAUUUUUUAACGAUGAGUUGCCACUAGCCUAUUGGAACCGACUAAAAACCAAGUGAGACAUAAGGGUAUAUCUUACUUCCAACUUAACUAGAGAAUCUAGGGUUAGGAAUUUGAUUACACUAAUUAAUUAACUAAUUAACUAGUGCCCUUUUGAUAUUUGCUCUUGUUAAUUUCAAUAGGAUGUUUGUCAGGUACUCUGUAUUGAUUUUAAGCUUAUCCACUCACAUGUAAGACGAUCAUGCGAGCGCGCAAUCAUAAAAAUAACAAUCAGUAACUAGGAAAACAUUAAAUAAGUUGUAAGGCAGAGUGAAAAUCUAAUGCUAAGAAAUAAGAAAUAAUACCAUUUCUAACUAGGGAAAUCAAAAUUAACAUAUCAAAAGUGCACAAUCACGUAAUAGUCGAAAUGAAAAUACGCAAAUGACGACUUAGCAUUUGUCUUUAAAAACACUUAAAUCCUGUGGUGAAGCUAUAAGAACUUGUUUAAUUUUGAGCACAAUUUUUUAUCAAGGAUUUUCACACAAUUUGAGAGAAAACUACCAAAAAAAAAAAAAAACUUAUUUUAAAGCUUUUUCUUAAAAAUAAAUUUUUAAUUUUUAAUUAAUUUUAUAAUAUAUGAAAUAGGAACUUGGGCGGGCCCCAGGGGCCUGGUCUGAAUAUGGGCUGACGUAGGCUCUCUUUUCUGGGCCAUGGACAUUAAUCGGCCCAUUCAAAUAGAAAAUCACCAAGCCCAUUUCGUCGGAAUAAGCCCAUUUAUUUCUAGCCUAGUCUUCCCACUUCGAAUCCCCAACAUAUUACUGACGUUUUCAUCUCCUGCUGCAAAGUUCAUUCCCAAAGCUAAACAUCAACUCCAGAACCAGCGCGGCUCAACCAUCAACGCUCUCAGACUUCAAAUCGAGAAUGACUUAAACAUCACACUUGAUAGCCUACAUAUGCCAGCAGACCCACGUCGUUGCCGCCACCACCAUGCUAGCGCCAUGGCCAGCCACUGGACGAAUAUCCGCCAAUGAGACAUCAUCAACCACAUCACCCUCUUCGGCUCACUACCAAUCACCCUAACCUUCCAAUAUACAUUCCACAUUCACAAUCACAAGAUAAAAGACUGAAUAGAGCAGAGAUCAGGAAAGCAAGCCAACGCAAAUGACCCAAGAGAUUGACGUUUCGGCCGUAGACUUCAACCGAUUCCUCACGCGAAAAACAUAGAGUAAUAAAAACCCAAAGAAAAUCUCAUUCUUCCACCUGGUUCAACGAUGGAACUACUGCUCAACGAGCGACAAGGAGUUUGUGAUGAUGUGAAAUCUGCCUAUACGCACUUAAGAACGAAUGGCAAUCGGCAACGCAUGCGCACGGGCUGACUUUGACCUAUUAUCAAACAUGUGGUGACUGUGAAAGUACAGAUACCAAAGAUGAAAUGUAUAUGAAAGAAAGAACUCUGUAUAUUGUGAGCACUGAAUGAUCAAUACAUCAGUCAAGAUCUCUUCUUCUUCUUCUCUCAAUCUAUACAAUCAUCUGUAGUUCUACUUCUUAGAGAAAGCAUAAAAGCACUUGAGAGAAUCGAGAGAAUCAUCUGUUCAACCUAUCUUCUUCUCUAUUGACAAAGCUUUUAUAUUUUUGGUUAAACGUCCUUCCAAAACUGACUUAACAAAAUUUAGUUACAAGAUUGAAUCAACAUAAUAACUACACUGUUAUAUUGACACAUGUACGGCUCCUGGUGCAGCUUGAUCAACUUCUGUCUCUAGAUUGCCAACUCAGCUUCUUCACGGAUCACCAGCUCAGCCUCUGUUUCUUUCCUUUGACUUCUUCAUAGAUUGCCAACUUCAGCUUUUCUUUAUUUCGAGCUUUGCUCUGUUUCUGCUUCAGUUUGCUUUGCUCUGUUUCUGCUUCAGCUUGUUCAGCUUCAGAUUCUGCUUCUCUACUUCCAUCAGUAUUUAUAAUCUGUGUUUUUUUUUAUCGUUGUUCUUUAACAUCCCCCCUCAAAUUGGGAAUGGAGAGAGAAAAAAUUCCCAAUUUGACUCGCAUAUGAUGGUGUGCUAGUCGUGACAAAGGUUUUGUAAAAAUAUCAGCAAGUUAGCAAUGACUUGGAACAUAUCUUACCUAUAGUGAUCCUGAGGAAACUUUUUCUCGAACAAAGUGGAAGUCUACUUCAAUAUGUUUUGUUCGAGCAUGUAAGAUAGGAUUAGCAGUGAGAGAGAUGGCUGACUUAUUGUCACAGUAUAGAUGAAUGGGAGGAGUAAGAGAGCAACCUAUGUCUCGUAGUACAAAACUUAUCCAAGUGAGGUCAGCUGUAGUGGAAGCAAGGGCACGAUACUCAGCUUCUGUAGAGGAUCGGCUUACUGUUGGUUGCUUCUUUGCUGCCCAGGAGAUGAGAUUGGAGCCGAGGUAUGUGCAAAAACCUGUUGUUGAUCUUCUGGUUUCAGCACAGCCAGCCCAAACUGCAUUUGAGUAACCAUAAAGAUGCAUAGUGCUUCUGGAAUGGAUGAAUAUUCCAAGAUUGACAGUACCUUUAAUAUAUCUCAACACCCUCUUUAAUCUAUGAAGGUCUACAAGAGUAGGUUGCUGCAUUUUCUGGCAUAGUACAUUUGUAGCAUAGGCAAUAUCUGGACGAGUUAAUGUGAGAUAUUGGAGACCGCCAACCAAACUUCGAUACUCAAUUGGAUUGGAUAGAAGUAUAAGAUCAGUGAGCAAACUAUUUGGUCUCAAUGAAAGUGGAGUUGAGAUUGGUUUACAGUCCAGCAUAUGAGCUCGAUUGAGAAGAUCAAUAACAUACUUAGUUUGGCAAAGAAACAGAUUUUCAGAACCACGCUUAACUUCAAUGCCAAGAAAAUAGUGAAGUGAACCCAGAUUUUUCAUAUGGAACUGGAGACUUAGAGAGUUAAUGAGAUUAGAGAGCAUUGAAGAUGAACUUCCAGUUAAAACAAUAUCAUCAACAUACAACAGUAGGAGGAUUGUCUUUGUACCAUUAUGUAAGACGAACAAUGAUGGAUCAGUUGAGCUACAGAAAAAACCAUACUCUAGUAAGAAGUUGCUGAACUUAUCAAACCAAGCUCGAGGAGCUUGUCGAAGUCCAUAGAGGGAUUUCUUGAGAAGACAUACAUGAUGAGGUCUUUGUGAUUCUUGAAACCCAGGGCUGUUCCAUAUAAACUGUUUCACUUAGUGUACCAUGUAAGAAAGCAUUUUUAACAUCAAGUUGAUGAAUUUGCCAUUGUCUCAUCAUUGCUACUAACAGGACUAGUCGAAUUGUAGCAUGCUUGACCACAGGACUGAAGGUUUCUAUAAAAUCAAUGCCUUCUUCUUGGUGAAAACCCUUAGCUAUAAGUCGAGCUUUCAGCCUAUCAAGACUCCCAUCAGGAGCAAGUUUUGUCUUAAACACCCAUUUGCAGCCAAUUACAUUCAUUUGAUCAGUUCUAGGAACUAAUUCCCAAGUUUUAUUAUGAUACAAAGCAUCCAUUUCAGCUUGCAUUGCUUGAUAUCAUCCUUUGUCGGCCAAAGCAGAUUUUACUAAUUUCGGUUCAAUAGGAACUUUGUAUUCAGCCAGACAUGCAUAUUUUGGAUUUGGUCUAACAAUUCUGGAUCUUAGUCUAGUUUGCAUAGGAUGGAUAGAGAGAGUACCUUGUGUAUUUCCUGAUGCAGAACUGGUUUGAGCUUGCUCUGUAUUACUUUGUGGCAUUAGAACAGAUUCUUGACUCGAAGACACUUGUUCCUCAGUACUUAUAGAUAGAAGUGGAAGUUCAAUAUUACCUGAUGCAUUAUCAGGAGCAGUCUGCAUCACAUUAUCAGGUACUGUAUUCAUUUGUGGUAUUCCUAUGGGAUCGAUUGUACUAAUUUCUCUGUCUUGUACAUCAGGAAUUGUUUGAACUGAUCUAGUAUUCUGCAAGUGUCCAAUAGGCUUAUGGACUUUUGAUUUGUUCUGUUCUGUAGUAUUGAAUCCAGAGAUUCCUCUUAUCCAUUGUUUGUACAGCUCAGAUCCUUGUUGAUGCUCAGCUAUUAUUAUCCGAGUGAAAGGAAAUACUGCCUCAUCAAAUACUACAUGUCUACUGAUAUAGACAUGUCCAUUAAUAGGUAAGAGACAUCUGUAGCCUUUAUGUCUCUCACUAUAUCCCAUAAAUAUGCAUGUGAGAGACCUUGGAUCGAGUUUAUGCUGUGUAUAGGGCCUGAGACAAGGAUAGCAGGCAGAUCCAAAGACUCGUAGGUGAGCAUAAUCUGGUUUCUGUUUAUACAAUUUAUAGUGAGGUGAAUUCAUGUUUAGCCUUGUUGUAGGAAGGAUAUUGAUUAUAUAGACUGCUGUCAUAAAGGCAUCUACCCAGUAUUUCAAAGGUACUCUAGCAUGAUAUAGCAUUGCUAUGCCUAAUUCAAUCACAUGUCGAUGCUUCCUUUCAGAAAUACCGUUUUGUUCUAGUGUAUAAGGACAGGAAAUACUCUGCUUUAUGCCGCACUGCUGCAAGUAGUUCUGAAAUUUGAUACUAGUAAACUCACCUCCUCCAUCACUCUGAAAUAUUUUGAUUUUGUGAUCAAGUUGAUUUUCUACUAGCUUUUGAAACAUGACAAAAACAUCAUAAACUUCUUACUUCUGUCUCAUUGGAUAUAUCCAACUAUAUCGAGAAAAAUCAUCCACAAAAAUGACAUAGUAACGAAAUUUCUGAACAGAUUAAACUGGUGAGGGUCCCCAAACAUCACAAUGUAUUCUUUCUAGGGGAGCAUUAGAUGUAUAGUCUGAAGAUGGAAAAGGCAAAGCUGAGCUUUUAACAAUCCGACAACUGCUACACAUGUUUUGAGCUUUUGAACUACACUGAACUAGAUGUUGGCUUUGUAGAAGCUUCACUGUUUUUAAACUGGUGUGAGCAAGCCUUUGAUGCCAGACAUCUUCUCCUACUUCUUGUUGAAUCUGAGUGAAGAAUACUUCUGUGGCUUUAGGAUCCACUUGAUACAACCCCUUGAUUUUCCUUCCUAGCUUCACUGUUGUAUGGUUGUAAUUGUCCUUCAUAUACACCCCAUGUUUAUCAAAAAUAAGAGAACAGGGAUAGUCAUCUGUUAACUUCGAUAUAGAAAUGAGAUUCUUCUUGAUUUCAGGAACUACUAGAAGAUCAUUUAGUGGUAAUAUGCUUGUUUUUGCAUGUAAUAUUCCAUUACCGAUACAUGAAAUUGACAAACAAGAUCCAUCUCCUAUCAUAACAGCAUCAGUACCACUAUAUGCAGAGUAGUUAUGAAGCAUACCAGGUUCUGCAGUAAUGUGGGAUGUAGCUCCUGUGUCUGGGUACCACUCUGUACCAUAAGGUUCUUCAAUCCGCAUGGCUGCCAAUGCGGUUGGUAUUUCAUCUACUUGAUAUGAAUUAUCAAAACGAUACCAACAUGGAAGAGCUGUAUGCCCUGGUCUUUUGCAAAUUUGACAUUCUAGAGGACCAUUAUUUAUUGGUUUUGUGUUUUGCACAUACUUGUUACCAUUUGAACUUUGUGGUGGAUAUGAUCUAACACCUUGAUACCUUUGAGAAGGAUUUGUAUAUGGUCUAAAACCCUGUCCAUAGUUAGACCAGUUGUCCUUGGUAGCUUGAUCUUGCUGUGUUAUAUUCAGGUUAUUUAUUUGAUAUUGGUGAUUCCUUCUUGCUCCAGUAAAGUUAUUUCCACUAUUCCUUCUGUUAGCAGUCUGUCCUCUGCCAUAGUUAUACCCACCUCGGAUACUUUCUCUUUGGUUUCUGAAAUUCGGCUUUUCCAGACCUGUUCCAGUCUUUCUUUGUCCAUAGUAUGCUAGGUUAGUAUUGUAUUGAUUUACAGAAUAUGUUUGUAAUCUAGUCUCAAAUCUCUCAAGUUGAGAAGUAACCUCAUCAUAUUCUGGCUGAGGUUUGAGACAGUACAUGGUUGUUCUAAAACUUUCAUAUUCUGAUCCUAACCCUUCAAGAAUGUCGAACAUCUUGGUUAUAUCAUCAACCGGUUUUCCAAUGGCAUUUAAUUGAUCACAAAUGGAUUUAAAUUCUCGAAGAUAUUCACUCAAUGGUCUAUCUCUUUUCCUGCAAGCUUGUAAUUUUCCUCUUAAUUCGAAUUCCUUUGCUACAAAUUUCUGUGUAAAUCGAUUUAUAAGAGUUUGCCAUACCUCAAAUGAAGUCUCUAAGCCAAUUAUCAGACUUAGAAUGUUCUCAGAUACUGCUCCACUUAUCCAGGAUGAGAUUAACUGAUCAGUCUUUAUCCAAUCUAGAUGAUCAGGGUUCAUCACUUGUGUUUGCCUUCCCUCAAUCUCAACUUGUAUCAUUUGAGCUGGAGGAGAUGUUUCGCCAUUAAUGAAACCAAUUAGAUCUUGACUCUUCAGAAACCUAUGAAAUUGAGCUUGCCAUAGUAGAAAAUUCUCUUCUGUCAACUUGAUUGUAACAAAAUUGGCUAUAUUCACAUGAAUAGGAAAUGGAUACUUUUGCAACCUGGUUGUCAUUCUGUAUAUCUAUACACUUUGAAGAUAUGACAGAACAAGAAGUAACCUUCAAAUAUCAGUUUUCUGAAAUCAAACCUUCGAAUAUCAGUCUUCUGAAAUCAACAAGAUCUUGAUGUUGCCUUGAUCAUGCAGUCUUUAUACAAACUUUCAGCAAUAGAGAAAGAAGAUCGAGAACUCCCAGGAAGAUGCUCUGAUACCAUGUGAAAGUACAAAUACCAAAGAUGAAAUGUAUAUAAAAGAAAGAACUCUGUAUAUUGUGAGCACUGAAUGAUCAAUACAUCAGUCAAGAUCUCUUCUUAUUCCUCUUCUUCUUCUUCUCUCAAUCUAUACAAUCAUCUGUAGUUCUACUUCUUAGAGAAAGCAUAAAAGCACUUGAGAGAAUCGAGAGAAUCAUCUGUUCAACCUAUCUUCUUCUCUAUUGACAAAGCUUUUAUAUUUUUGGUUAAACGUCCUUCCAAAACUGACUUAACAAAAUUUAGUUACAAGAUUGAAUCAACAGAAUAACUACACUGUUAUAUUGACACAUGUACGGCUCCUGGUGCAGCUUGAUCAACUUCUGUCUCUGGAUUGCCAACUCAGCUUCUUCACGGAUCACCAGCUCAGCCUCUGUUUCUUUCCUUUGACUUCUUCAUAGAUUGCCAACUUCAACUUUUCUUUAUUUCGAGCUUUGCUCUGUUUCUGCUUCAGCUUGUUCAGCUUCAGAUUCUGCUUCUCUACUUCCAUCAGUAUUUAUAGUCUGUGUUUUUUAACAGUGACCACGGAUCAAGAAGAAGACACUGACCAUCUUUAGAACUCGACCUCACGUCCGAACUUGAGAGAACCGAUAAACAAAGUUCAGAAACGACAGAUAAAGGCUGGUUGAAAGCAAAUCCGCAGAUAAACUAGAAAAUGUCAAGCCUCGGUUUCACGGGUUGGCCAAAAUCGGGCAAGGCAGCAAAAGGUUCACGGGACGGGCGUACAAUCGCGAGGGUCUCCCUACCCGACUUAGAGACAUCGGUUAAAGGGUGAGCUCGACACAAAUACGGCCAUGGCCGAUCGCUUCGACACCUCUGAGCCUAGAUCCUCGGGUGGGGGGUCUCGGAACCAGGAAAAGGGACUCGCCGGAAACACGUACGCCAAGGAAAGGUGGUCUUGGGGAUGCCGUUCGGAGGUCGUCGGGGACGCGUAGUUGGAUUGAUGGGGGCGAGGCUGGGCGCCGCUCUCCGAUUUCACUCUCAGCCUCCCUCUCUCUCGGAUCUCUCAAGCUCUCCCCUCCGUCCCCUCUCAAACGAGCCAGCCUCCCCUUCGCUCGCUCUCCUCUCUCCUUUUUAAGCCGUUCGGCGCGAAUGGCCUCCUGCGACGCUGGCUGCCACUGCCGGCUUGGCUCUGACCACCAACUCCCGGUCGACACUCUGCCUCUGUCCUGUUCCGUCUGUCUUCCUUCUCUGUCCUCUUGCAUCCUCUUGUUCGACCAGCGUGAGGGAAGAGCGGAAAGAAGGAAGAGGGAAGGAGACUGGGCCGGGGAAGAAGGAAAAUUGAAGAGGCUGGGCUGGCCUAGGCGGAAAGAAAAAGAAGAAAAGAUGGCCAGCCCAGCCCGGCCCGGCCUUUUUUUUUUUAAAUAAUAAUAAUAUUCUUUUUAAUUAAUUUUUUCCUCUCCUUUAAAAAGAAAAAAAAGGUUUCUAUUAAUACUAACACAAAUGCUCCUAAUGUUUAUAUGCUGUGCAAUUUAAUGAAAAUUAUUUUUGCUAAGGAUUAAAAAUUAAUCUUUAAUGUUCCAUGCAAUUAAUGAUUGAUUAAACGGGUUGCUAAAAUAUAGGUAUCAACAAAAAUGAGAUUGCUUCACGGCUACAUAACUUGCUCCUAAAGUGCACAAAGAGGGGAUUCAACGGGGUGCAAAUUAAUUUGGAGCUAAGUGCAGAGAAAAAAAAAACUACAAGAAAAAUGUAAAUUGCAUUAAUAGGGUAAAUUUCGAGGAAAAUAAAAUGGUGCAGUAAAAAGUAAAUAUAAACAUAGAUUAUAGAUUUUCUUGAUUUGUGGAAAGAGAGAGCUUUACAAUCUCAAAACAUUGGUAUUUAUAAACUAAAUACUAAUAAUAACUGUUCCCUCCUAUACGUACAAGAACCACACGGAUGUUAUUCCACCUCUUUUGCAACUUCCAACUUCAAAGACAAAUGCUACCGUGUGCAAACUCAAUCAUGAGCUCUUCCUUGUUACUUCUCCCAACUUACCUGUACGUCUUCGUCACUUAUUAUUUCCACUUUCUCUGCUUUUUGGUUCCCUUCUCAUUAAUAUUGGAUUAGCAUCUAAUGUGCCUAUUUCGAAAUUGGUAAAUUCUCUCACUUAGUGUUUGUGAUUUUUGUUUGGUUUUCUAAUAACUUCAUCUUAGUUAACGAAAAAGUUGCCUCUCAUCUUUAGUUAAUCCGAUAAGCCUAAAAAUGGCUCUAAUGGAUGAUACGUCGGCAUCUUUGUAAUUUUAAUGAAAGGACAAACUUGAUUAGAAAAAAUAUAUAUAAAUUAGAGACCAUGAGAGAGAGAGAGAGAGAGAGAGUGAAUAAUAUUGAACAAAUUUACAAAAAAAGAAAAAGUAAAGGCACUUAAAAUUUUCGUACAAGUUUUAUGAAACAAUUUUUCUAGAGGCUUUGCUAUACACUAGGGGUGCAUUACUUCGGGUUCUUCUUCAAUGAUAAUGAGUAGUUAGAGACUUUCCAGUUCAAGAAUUGGAAAUCACCGAUUCAAAUCCCAUCAAUAAUUAACAAAUGCAUAAUCUACCUUUCACCUACCAAACAUCUUUUCAUCUUUACAGCGAGCUCAUUGGAAUCCUUGCUGACUAAUCAAAACUUGUCCUCAUCAUAUGGGAAGCUUUUUGAUCAAACGUCUUGUUUCACGUGACCCACGCACCUCACCAUGACCAUUGCCCUCAUUUUGUUCUGGCUUUGUCUGAUGGUCGAAUGCAGUUUACCCGAACAACUUGGACAGAAUUACAGUGAUGAAUUCUAUCUUCGCAAUUUUUGAAUAUCCUCAUCUUUGAUUUGAGGGGGCCACGUGGUACAAUCAUAAAGAGAACUAAGAAGGACGUCCUUGAAGUCCAGAGAGGGGUUUUGAAGGGAUAGUCUUGCUGGUGUUGGACAAGAGGCGAGAGAGUUAACAAGGUAAAUUGCCUCGUUCAAGGAUUUCGUGCAUGUCCUAAAGCACAUCUGGUUCAUCCCAUCCUCUGGGGCUAGGGAAAAGGUAAAUCUUAUUUUAAGUGCCCAAGAAAAAGAGCCUCAUCGGAGGUAGCAACGAUACCGAUGAAUCAUUGAGAUGUUCCUUGUAAAGAAAAGAAAAGGAAAGAGAGAGGAUGGGAAUGAUAUUGAACAAAUUAAAAGAUACUUGCAUUGACAGCUCUGUUAUCCCUAAACUUUUCGCACGAGUUUUAUCAAGAGAGCUCAUAUAUUGGGAGUGUAUUACUUUUCGUUCUUCUCAUGCUAUGACAGACAAUAAUAUCUUUAUAAAAGGAUCCACAUGCAUCAAAGUCUAUUUCUGUUUUCACCUAUAUUAUCUUCUCUAACCUUUCCAUAAAUUGCUUCUUUCUCCUUCAUUGCUAGUCAUUGCCUUCGACUGCCACAACUUUGUUGCCGAUCGUUGCUCGCAUAGUAGAGAGGCACUCCACAUGAAUUGAGUUCGAAACAUUCAGGAUAGCACAUUUGAGAGAGAUUUCAUCAAAAAUUUCCCUCAAGAAAUCGAUUUCUAGAGCCUUCUUUCUCAUCUUUGGCUCGUCGCCACACCCAAGGCAACAAAGCCAUCGCCCAACUGCCGCUCUCGAGAAGCCCCUAUUCAACUCUGUUUUGCUGCUUUGAAGAUUGAAGUGGCCAAAGACUUAGCUUGAAGCUCUUCCACCGGUCUUCAAUAUAGUCAACGACGGUCACAAAGAGCUCCCAUAGUUGAUUGCACUGCCUAUUGCGACUUAGCUUGACUUCAUUGACAAGGAAUUCUCCGAUUCUCCACCAUGCUAUGAUCUGGGGGACGGUGAAGUGAAUGUAAAUCUCGCUCAACUUCAAUUAGGCUUGGCCAUAUCAGAGUCCAUAUAUUUGAUUCUGAAAUUCACGUGUUAGUUUCAUUUGAGUAUGGUCGCCAAUACGAAUUUCAAAUUGCAAAGAUCUUCUACUUAAUCAAUUGACUAUAAUAUAUUUGGUGCAAUGACUAUGAUGUUUCAAUGUGAAUUUGUUUUCAUUUUCGAAACCCGAAAGUAUGUUGGCAUAGAUUAAGUGAUAUUAAUUGAUUUUCAAGUCAUUUAAGCAAGCUCUAAUGUUUUCACAAUAGCCAAAUACAUUUCUGAAUCAUUAUGCUUCUCUGUCCUAUCUUCUAUGUUCCUAUAGCGAUUGAUGGCGAUUACGGGCAAGAGAUGUCCAAGAGGAGAUGACAUAUGUACUGAUGUCCAAUGAUUACUCAUGUCGUUGUAAUGUUAUGCCUCUAUAUAAUUGUUAAACGUGUGCUAGUGUGGCAUAUGCUUAACGAAUGAUGGUGGUUGUCAAAAGCGAAGUUUUUCUUUCGGUUACGUAAGGGCUUGAUGAUUAACAUCAAAAUAAUCAGAAUUCUAAGAACGUUGGAUUGGGCAUAUGGGGAAGACGAUGGAAAAUGACGAUUAAAAAAAAAAAGGCGAGGCGAUAAUUGUAAAUUGGCUCGAAGUCGAUAUUGGUUUUGAUGGAAAAUGGUUUUGAGUGGUUUUAGUGCAGUGGGCUUCAGUUGGGUCUUAUAAGGUCUGGGCUUGACAUAGUUUAGAUAGGUUUGGGCUUGACUUAGUUUAAAUAGUUGUGGGAUGAGAUUGAUAUCUGUGUCUGUGGACCGGACCUGCGAAUCUCAGUGUUGGCCCACAUUCGGACCGAGCCCUGGGCCGGCCCCGACUUCCUUCGGAAAGUAAAAAAAAAAUGUAAAAUAAUUAGAAAAAUAGUUCUUGAUUAGGUUAUUCGAUUUCAAUAUUAUAUUUAUUUUAGUUCAUUUAAUUAGUACACAUAUGGUUUAGGAAAUUCCAUGGUCUUUUAUAAGUUCUAGUUUAGAUUUAGGAAAAUUAGUUUCUUAGAGAAUUUGAAUUUGAUUCGAAUGAUGCUCAUAAGGGUUAUUGUCCUUGAGCUAAAUAAUUGAGCCAUAUUAUAUUCUUUGCCCACCUAUAUCGAAUUACUUUACUACUUUACUUUUUACUCGAUCUUUCAUUACUAUUUUUAAUGAAUCGGUUGUAAUUUUUUUAUAUUGUUUUUUUUUUUUUUUUGUGUGUUGGGAUUUGCUUGUUUUAGAUGUAAGGUUAGAUUACAUUUUAGAAUCUUACUAAACACAAAAAUAUUGCAUGGACACUUGGCGGAUGAAAACCUUAGGCUUGAUAAUUUGGUAAAAAGAUUUUGCGAACAUUUUAGUUGACAAAUAACAAAGUCCAAGUGUCAAAAAGGCACUAGUUAAUUAAGUCCCUAACCAAAUAUCUUUGGUUGCAUAGGAAGUGAGUUAUUUUCACAUAUUCACUUUAUUUCUUGUCCACUUGAAUAGGCUAGUGGUCACUCCCUCAUAUAGGAUUUUCAUAGGUUAAUCAAAUUAAAAUGAAUUUUCCAACGUUACACAAGAUAAAGAAUUGGGAGAACCCACACCAAUUGAUGAUCAUUGGUCCUCAACUCGACGUUACUUCUAAACUUGUCUUUUCCUGGCCAUCAAGAGACUUGUGACAACUUAAGAUACAUAAAAGUGUGUCAAUCAUUUUUAAUCAUUUCAUAUCUUUUGAUAUUCAUUUUUGGCUUUUCACUAAAACAAAUUUUGAUCAUUCGUUGUAUCUUUGAGUCUCGAAUUUAAUUCGACCGGUUUGUCCCGAGAAGAUAUCUCAGUUUUAUGGUUAAAUGGUCCAAGUGCCCAUUUCUCUUCUUAGGGAGGAGUAAAUGAAAUUGAGUACUUCAUUAGAUAAUUAAUAUUUAAAAGAGCGCAGUAGCUUGGAUCAUUGACAUGCCUUCAUAAUAAAGAUAUGGACUUCCCAACUUUCUGAUUCACUUUCAAGGAUGGCUGGGAAAAUAUCAUUGCCAUUAACAAUAUCACAAUGAUGCCCGUGCUAUCUACCACUCUAAAGAGGCAUAUUGAGCAUGGUUAGCAGAAAAAUUUGCCAUUGUGUUGGUGUGAGAUGAUAAAGUGAAGCAAUCGACCAAUUAAAAGUAUCCAUCACUAGAAUAGGUACAUUGACUAUGGAGCAAAAGGUGCUCAAUAACUUAGUAAUCCCACGCCAGCUUUGUUUAGUGCCAUGAGAAGUACUCUCUCAUUGGAAGAAUUUAAAGUAUUUUGAAAAAUCUUAUAAAUAGAACAAUUUAGGAAAAAAUGCAUACUCAAAGGACCAAAUUAAAUAAGGAUUGAAUUGAUGAGUUAGAAUUUUGAAAAAUUCAGAGUUUUUUUUUUUUUUUGGUCGGAAAAAACUGAUAUAUUAUACGAACAUGUGCAUACAACCAGCAAGUAGUGCAUCUGUAAGGACAAAAUUCUGGAAAGCAAAAGGAGUAAAAACAAGCCAGUUUGAAACAGAUCCAUUGGCCCGAUGGGCUUUGGCGGCCCAGUCUGCAGCUAGGUUGGCAUCGCGAGAGACAUGAUGAAUCGAGGCAUUAGGGCAUUGAGAGAGUAGUUCGUGAAGAACGGCAAGAAGAUGUCGCUCCUGCCAUGGCUGCGGCUGGUGAUGCCGAAGGAUCUCCACCAAGAAAAGGCAGUCCGAUUCAACCAGAACUCGAUGGUGCUGAUGCCUCUGCUUGAUCAGGUGCUGAAAGGCUCGAAUCAUCGCGAAGAUCUCCGCUUGAAAAGCCGAUGUGGCCGGAACAGUACUGGUAAACAAAAGUCACCAGACUUGAAUCUUAUUCGCAAUAAACAAAGCAAAUUACUCGGGAUGUGAUAAAUCAGUCAUCCACCUUAUAGAAUAAGUGGACUUGCAAUUUUGUUUUUUUCGGCCUCACAAUAUCGAUAGAAAAUUUUCGACCAUAGAGUAAUUAAUAAAAGAUUUUAUUCUACUGUGUACGACUUGUAGCUUAGGAAAAGAAACGUUACUCUCUUUCCACACAUUUUGUAAGAGAGGAAAAAGUGUUGGUCAAUCGCAACUAUUGAUCCUAGAACCACAGUGAUGAGUUCCGUCCUUGAAUAUUCUCCACUUUAAUUUGUGUAGUCACAUCGGUCCAAUUACAAAGAGGAAGGACAUGUUUGAUGUCACCGUUGAAAGAGUAAAUCGCCUCAUUAAAGAGACGCAACAACCACGAGAUUUUGUCUGUACGAGUGUACAAUGACAUCUAGUCCUUCGGGACAAGGGAAAAGCAAAACUUGGGUUCAAGUGCAAAAGGGCUUGUGCUUAAAGAGCGGAAUUGCUUAAAUCGUGAAUAGUAAUUAUUCCGUGCAUAAAUCGAUUUUUUCGGUUAGAAAUAGAUUUUAUCCUUCAUACGAGUUUCCUAGUAAAAUUUACGGAUUUAAUAACAAUAUAAAAAUUCCAUUCUUAAUAUAGAAAUUCGUGUGAGUGAGUGGCCAGCCAGCCCAUGUCAGGCGAGCGGCUGGCUAGUGGUGAGGUCCCGUAAGAAAAGGAGUUUUUAUUUUCUAUUUUGUUUCAAAAAUAGAAAAGUAGAAAUUUUUUGUUUUUUGUUUCUGUUUCAAACUUAUUUUGUAAAAAUAUUUGAAAAUAGAAAUAAAUGUAUAUAAAUAUUUUCUGUUUCAAUUUAUUUUGAAAUAAAAUAAUUAUCAUCAAUUGAAAUUAGUUGAUGAUGUUGAGGAAAAACAUCUUGGUUUCGGGACAAGUGCGGCUUGUUCGUUUGUCUUGGUCUGGGUCACUCGCAAUUAUUUGUCUAGACAAGUUGGACAAGCAUCAAGUGAUGUGUUUUUUAUUUUUAUUUUUCGAAAGGAACAUCAAGUGAUGAGUAUGUCCUCACAAUUUGAACAUAACCUCCACUUUGAUUUGAGUGCCACGUGGUCCAGUUACAAAAAUAUCCUUGAAGCCUAGGGGGAACCCUGGGGGUGGUUGGGUAUCCUCGCAAAAACUUAGACGAAGGGAUUGAGUUGCUGAGCUUUUAAAAAGAUGAAAUAAAUAAGGGAUAUUGAGCAAAUUCAAAAGGACAACCGCAGAUGAUCACAUUUUCUCUAAGUUUUAAGCACGAGUUUUAUUUAAGAGAGCUUUCUAAAAGAUUCCUUAUACAUACUGAGGACAUAUUAUCGUCUAUUCUUCUCUUGUGAGUGCACUGGUAUUACACAUACUUUCAAAAUGUUUUGAGAAAUUAAAAUUUUUUCAAAGCAUAACUAUUCAAUAUCUUGACUCUAAGGGAUAGCAUCAUGCAAAAGUUGAAUUUUUAGUACGAACAACUUGAUUCUAAUAUGUGUAUCGAUUCUUUUUUGACCAAAGACCUCGGUGUUUAUUAACAUGUCUUUUAGCAGGGGACCAAUUAUCCUUGAAGUCUUUGGGGGAGGCUAUACUUGCCGAUCUAGAGGGAGGGGCUGAUUUAUCCUUUGGGGGAAGAGAAAAAGUGGUCUCCCCCGCGAAAGUUACCAAGUAAAAGGAGAUGAUAAUUUCCACCAUCCACACAUUGACUCGGACAUAAAAUAUUGAUUAUUUCAUUUAAUGGGGCAGGGAGAGCCCAUUUUAUGUUUGAUUUGCGUGGCCACCCGCAACUAGCAAAGUGUCUUCGGAUUCUAAGGUGGGGGUUAUUCUUGCCAAUUCAUAAUUUGCUUUCCCUUCGGUUGUUACCUCUUUUUCACUGUUAUUUUGUUUUAUGUCUGUGAUCUCUCUGCAAAUUGACAGGAAGAAAGAGAAGGAAAAUGUGACAUUUGCUUUAGAUUCUGUUAAUUUCUUUUUCGUCUUUAACAAAAAUCAGUUUAAUUUGUGUUUAAAAUUAUUAACUUUGUUUUUUUUUUUUAACUUCUUUAGUAAUAAAAAUUGCCAUAUCAACUUACCACGUAAGUGCUGUCCGGCAAGUAACUCAUUUGGGCGGAAAAAUAAUAGUGGCCAUUUUUGUCCAUAAAAAGGGGCUGCAUGCUUUUCUUCGAAAUGACAUCAUUUUUGUCCUCUAACAUAAAUAUGUUAUAUCUUUUUCCUAGAUUUGGUCUACCAGUUACGUGAGAACUUUAACUGACACUCCAGCCCACCCUGGUCACUGGCCCAGCGCUCUUUAAUAACUUGCUAUGUUUAUGGCGUGAUAGCACGUGCUCAAGGAAAACAAAAUGAAAAGGUCAAGAAAUACCGUGUUUUUCCACCCUACCGAGAAUAAAGAAAGAAAGAUUGACGUCGAGGUCGUUGUCUUGUUUCGUUUGUCAUUGUCCGAUGGUCUUUUGCAAUUGCUUUAUCUGGGCAAGUUGGCAGAAUUACAGCGAUGAAUUCUGUCCUGAUCAUUUCCCGACUUGUCAUUUUUUUUAAUGGCCAGCUGUUUGUAGUUCUCCAAGUCAAAAAGUGGAGUCAGUAGUGUUCAUCAUAAAAAUGGCCAGCCAAGCGCUUGCCCUCUAGACGUAUUGGUUCAAACAUACUCUCGGCAAUUACAUGUUUCAUUGGCCCAUUGCAAGAACUGAGCAAAGAAUCCCUUCAUCCUCUAGUCACUCCAAGUCGAAGCUGAAGGUACCGAAACAUCUCGAUUACAUUUUUUUUCAUUAAUAAUUUUUCAGUUCCCUGCUGUUUCCUUCCCCGACGGUGUCCACUUGUUUUUGCGUUUUGCCGAUAUUUCCACUUACAUUCUGGUGUUAUCAGGAUUGCUUUUGGCCUGCUGUCCUCUUCAUCCAUCUUCACAGACGAGCUAGCAGCCAAGAAAUCUCAGUUCCUCUUGCAUCCUUACGUUGAAGCCAUUCUGGUAUGUGCUAUCGGUGCUUGUUUCACUUUCGCCCUCUUUGUUUAGUUAUUUGGUUCUAUUGAUUAAACCCAAUAAACCUAAAUGCACAAAAAAGAAAGAAAAAAAGGAAGAGGUAACAAAAAUGGGUAAAAGAAGUGCAACUGAUAAAACCCUAAUAAACAUAAAGCAUCCGUUUUUUUCAAAGGUGGUUUUGUGAAAAUCUUUAAUUAAGGGCCGUACCUUUAGUUCAUAAAUCUAUAGAUAAGACUUGGUUGAUGGACGACCUCGCUCUUAAUUUAUUAAAAUUCCAUCUGCUUAUAUUUGCAUAAAUUAUUGCUUAGGCUCUUGCAAUUAUGUUUUGUCUUAUAUGAAUCAUAGCUUAAAAAAAGAAAUAUUAGUCUCUUUUCACAUGUUGUAAGUGAGAAAGGGGAAUCUUAUGUGAAGCUCAUGCGAAUUAUUGCUUAUUAAUCAAAACACAUCCUUAUUACAUGGGAAGGGUUUGAGAAAAUUAUCUUAGAUAAUGAUAUCUUUUGGUUGAGUUAAAGAAAUUAAUUCGAGGCAAGUUAUUCAACAUCUUGCCAAAAUUGCUAGUACAGGCGAUGGCUACGGUGCUCUCUAGAAAAGUAUUGAUUCUUUUUUAGACAAAGACCUAUGUUGAUUAAAACAUACUUUUAGCAAAAGACCAAUCAUUUUGAGAACAUCUAUUAGCAUGAGGCAAUAUUUUUUCUAGUUGCUGAAAGGUUGAUCAUGGCAUUAAUUGGAAGUUUCCUUAUGAUAUCCAAUUUGCCAUCCCACAAGUUCCAAUUGCAACAAUAUGGUGAUAAUUUUUGCUUGGUUAUGCCUCAAAACUUCUUUCUCGAGGAAAGCUUUCUCCAAUCUAAUGAGUGCUGAUGCCGCAGCUAUUAUUGAAGCGUUUCAUGAAAUCAUGCAUUUUUCCACAUUCAAUCUUCAAUAGAUUAUGCAGCAGAUUUGUUCAACCUUUAGGAACCUUUAACUCGAAUUUUCUUUUUUCUUCUUCCUAUAAAAAUGUUAUAAAAAGUAUUUGAUAAGUCCUGAUGUGCAUCUCUGUGAUUUACGUGCAUUUACGCGAAUUAGUUGGCUUUUAAAAAGUUCAGCUACUCCAUGCUUUUAUUUAAUAAAAGAAAAAUAACAUUUCAUAAGGAAAAAUCAACUAUUUCAUUUUCUUUUAUUUUAAGACAAAAAGGUGCCUGACAUGAAAACUCCUAGUUCGUAAAAUAAUGUGUAUAUACAUAGAUACAUACAUAUAGUACAUCACUGACGGAAGUCAUGUCAACAACUUAGUAUGUAAUUUUAGAUAAAUUUAAGGGCUACGUUAAAAAGAGAGAGGGAGAGAGAAAUGACAAGUCAUUCCGUCAUCACUAAACUCCAUAAGCUUUAUUAAUAGAUCUUUUUUUUUUUUUUUUAUGCUUCGCUCUCCGUUCUUCUCCCACCACAACGAGGGAAAUAACAUUUUUAAGAAAGUGAUCUACAAGUCUCAAAAUCUAUUCCAACGUUGCACAACUCUCGAACAGGUCACCCACCUUCACUUUGAUUUUCGUGGCCACGUGGUCCAAUUAGAAAGAGAACUAACAAAAUAUCCUUAAGGUCUACACAAGUAAAUUGGUGGUAUAGGACAAAUUUGAGGGCUAAAGAAGUAAAAUUGCCUCUUUAAAGAUUCCGUGCAUCACAAGGACCCGCGGAUCAUGGGGCAAGAGAAAAGGCAAAAGCUUGUUGGAGUGCUCAGGCUUGUGCUUUAGGUGGAGAAACGCAUCUAUAGGAACGCCACACCAAUUUUCAGAAAUCACCGAGACGCUCCUUUUUAUGUUAUGAGGUGUUUGGUUUGACAUUUCCAAGUUGAGCCGUCAAGAUAAUUCUCCAAUUACAAGGUCUUUCGAGAAACGGACACAACUUGAUAAAUCCAUCUCAAACACAGAUCCCAUCAUAGUGAGUUUUAUCUCUGCAUUGCUCCAAACAAGAACAAAAAAUAAAAAUAAAUAAACACAUUUGAUAUUUACCCAUGGCAAAACACCUAACAUUGUUUAUAGCAUGCGAAUGUUACGUGUCAAACUCACACGUGACUUUUCACAAUUAUUAUCAUGUAUAUUACUUAUUUUUCUUACUACUUUCUUUUUAUCUAAACCGGUUAGUAUAAAUUGUUGGAUUGGUUUAACCUGGACGAAUAGCAAAUCAGCCCCCAAUCCACAGUUCUAUACCUCCCUCACAAAGUGCACAAAGUGGGGAUUCGACGGAGACCAAAUUUAUGUGAUGCUAAAUAAGGAGAAAAAUAAAGGAUUACAAGAAAAAUAUAAUUGUAUGGAAAAUAAAUUGUAUGAAAAGUAAAUUGAUGUAGUGAAAAAUAGAGAUAAACAUAGAUUAUAGAUAUCUUGAUGGUGGAAAGAAAGAGCUUUACAAUCCUAAAACACUUGUAUUUAUAAACCUGAUAAUAAUAACUGUUCCCUCUAUACGUACAACACUCGCCCACACAACUCCGUUCUUCAGUCCACCUCUUUUGCAACUUCUUUUGUUAGAGCAGAGGCAAAGUUCACUUGGGGUUGCACGGCCAAGAUUAUACAUACAGCUCUAAAGCCACAACCUCUUUAUGCUUCUUGGUCGAGCUCUCCAUCAGAUCAACCAAGUCGAUUAAUUUCAUUCUUUAAAGGCUACAAGAUUGUAAAUUAUCAAACCGAGGACCAACAUUACAUCGAACAUAUUUUAAAUUGGCAUAUUGGUAAAAAGUGGACACCAACAAUUUAUCUAAAUAUUUUUAUAUUAACCCACUUUUGUUCAUGUUGACAUGUGUUCAGUUCGUAUUAAAUCAUUUGGAGCCGUGUAAUAUUCACUUAGACUAUAUUAUAUAUUUUUUAUUUGUUGAUUUGCUCGAAUCAACGUAGUCAAUACUUAAGACUGAGUGAACUAAGUGUGUCUUGCUUACUGAUUGCUAAACGAAUUAUUUUUGGGGAUUCGGAACCCUUUGGAUCUCAAAUUGCUCCUUUUGAGACCAAAAGAAAAAAAAUUGCUCUUCUGAACUUGCGCAAGGUGAUCCCAUAAAUUUUAUUGGGCAUUUAUACAAUUGAAAAAUUAUCACAAUCUGACCUAAUUUGGUCGAAUUGCAUAUUCAACUUAGCCAGAUCGAGGGACCACCCUUCUUCUGCUAUAAUUUCUGUUCUUUACUAAGAAACGUUUUUCAAUGUUGGUGGCAUUUUUCGAUCACUAGAUAGAUAGCACGGACUAUUUCUUUUCGAAGCUUAGCUAAUAGUUAUACCAUCUAAAAUAUGUUUGCUCUUGCGAGUAAGCACCCGAGCAGCAGGCUGAGCCACUGACAACGAUGUCAGUCCACUCACUUGAAAAUAAUCAUCCUGAUUGUCCGCUUCUUUUGGCGGUUAAAUAACAUAUUAACAUUAUUCCCUUCAUUUCCAUUUCUGGUCUUGAAAGCAUUUUUACUUAAAAAGGCCCGUAAAGUAAAUCAAUAUAGACCAUGUUCACUCAUACAAAAGUUUCAAGCCAAUUGUUCGUACACAUGAUUUUCCAAUGGGCAAGAUUUUCAUAAUUCUCUUGAAACAUCAAAGUGCUUGGCCAUGUUACCCCAACAAAAAUAUUUUCAUACUAACCAGGAAGACAGAUGCUUAACUGAGUGAAGUGGCUCGGCCCAAAUUGGCGCCUACUCUGCUUCUCAAGACCAUUAGGGAGUUAUGCUUGUUCCACAAUAUUUGAAAUUUCUUACAGAGGUUGGUUUACAAUGGAGCCAACAGUCUUUACAAGAAAAGUGAAUUCAUUUGCAAACAAUUUCUCUCACAUAAAUCGAUUUGCAAAGUGAAUACAAGGGAGAUUUUGCAGGUAUUUUGAUGUACGCACAUGUCCAAGACCUAUGUAGCACGGACACGCAAUACGACACGACACGAUACGUGACACGUCAGUUCUUAAAAAGUAGAGAAUUUCGAUACGUUCCGACACGUUAAAUAUUAAAUAAAUAUUUUUAUUUUUAAUUAAUUUGAUUCAAAUUUAUAAAUAAAUAAAUAAAGAGUUUACAAUGAAUUUAUAUUAAUAAUAUUAAUAAAUCUUACACUUUUUUUUAUUUCAUUAUCCCAAAUUUACAUUUAUUUUUCGAAAUCCUCCCUCCCCCGCCCCCAAACUUUCCUUGUCUUUUCCCCCCAAAUUUUUUUUCACUUUUUUUUUUCCCUCUCCACGUCGUCCAUUCUCCCCCCACUUUAUUCAUUGACAGACAGGUUGUCCCGUCACUUCCCCUCCCCCCAAAUACGUGAUGGCCAUCCUAUAAAAAACCCUAGCUUUACUUUACCUCAUUCUCCUUUGCCGCUCGCCGCACGACCCUUCCUCUUCUCCUCCUCUAGAUCUGUCUCCUUCCUCGCCGCUUGCCGCUCGCCUCUCACCGCACGACCCACUUCUUCUUCUUGAUCUCCACGUUCUCCCGGUACACGCCCUUUUUCACGUAGAUCACGAACCGGCGCGUCCCGUGAUCGGGCACGGCCGCGAUCGUGUCCUCCACCUUGCUGAAAUUGCUGCUCCGCCGCCGCCGGAGUUGGAGCCGGAAGAUGGGUGGACCAUAGUGAGGAGUCGUGUGACUAGUGAAGUGAUUUGGUUGAGACUUCCAGAGACGACGCUCUUGACAAUGCCGCUAGUGCCCUCAAACCCAUCUCUGCAUGUCUCCUGGUUUGCAAGUGCAACACUUAGCCAUGUCCUCACUGCUCGCCGCACACGACCCCCUUCCUCGCCGCUCUUUCUCUGGAUAUCUCUCGCCAUCGCGGGCUCGCCGUCGGUCUGUCUCUACUCCCUCGCCGUUACUUCCACCUUCCAUCGUCUGCCGGACACGCGUGUCCAAACAUGUUGGGCAAAGGUUGACCACACUUCAUAGUCCAAGACAAUGGGGUAACUUAUUUUGAAGGAAAACAAACUCUCUCGCCUAAUUUCCAUCGGUGGUGGCAGUCCCUGAGCCGUUAUUAACACUUCAAAUGACUAGUUUUCAAUGACACUCUUGAAAAUUCAAAAUGGUCCCAGACACUAGCCCCGCCGGCGCCCCCGGGAGUGGCAGAGCAAAGCAAAAUUCAUAUUUAAACUGCAGAGCCGGAUUUUCAGCCAAACCUAGCUGGCUAUCCCGCCAAUACUUAGCAAGGUACCUACAUACAUUUUUAGACAAACCUGAUCUUCUUUAACCCUUUCCAACCUACACAACUUGCAGAAAACAUGUCCAAAUAAUUUGUAACGAUUAUAAAUAUACAAAAAAGAAUUUUGGAAACAUCAAAACUAAUUUUGGGAUCAAUCGUGACAACUUGUAAAUAAAAGGUGCAGCUUAAGAUUAAGUUUGACAGCCAAAAAUUUAAAUACGAUAAAUGCAACAUUUUGACAGUCUAAUCUAUUACGAAUUAGGGAAUAAAGAAUCCAGCAUUUUAAGAUAACAUAUCGGGUAACGACUGAGAGUUUUGUGAUAGGAUUGUGUGAGCUUCAUCUUCACUAGUGAGUAAUGAUACUAAGAAAGAAAAGGAUAGAAGUGCAAGGAUAUGACUAUCCUACAAUUGUUGAUGGAAUUAGGUUUUUAGAACCUUUAGCUUCCAUUUAAAUGAUACAAGAACGUACAAGUCCAUUUUUCUUAAGACGGCCGAUGGUAAGACCUUGAAUUAGCCAAUUAGUAUGAUGAAUUUAUCUAAAUAGAAUAUUAUUAUGAGGAGUAGAUGUUGAUAACCCUCAAUAAUUUAGAAUGUUAUCACGUCGUCCAAUUCUGGCCGGUGCAAAUAAUCCACUGUUUAGUUGAUUUCCUUUCCUCUUAAUAUAUAUGCACCUCUUUUUUGAAAAUUUGUGGGUUAAUAAGGUAUUAUCCAUUGCUAUGAUCCUUUUCUUUUCAAAUAUUUAGUUGAGAUUUUCUUUAUAUUCUGCCUCACCUGUGCACUAGAUACCAUCCCUCUCACGUGUGAGUCUAUUAAACCGAGGCCAAACAUUGCCGAUUGAUACAUGGCCUUUUCUUUUGCGAAUCAUUGAAUACUUCUUUUUAUCUCAAAGUUCAGAUGUGGCAUUUGUUUUUUUUUUCUCCUCAUAAUAAAGGAAUGCUUCAAAAUGUAUUUACUAAUGCCAAAAAGAAAAAGCAAAAGGUACGGUGGGCCAUAGAUUGGUUUGUCUUGCCGACUUUCAAGCAUUUUUUUUUUUUUGGAAUUAUUAAAUCACUUAUUGUAAAAGGGCCAAAUUAACUCUUAGAAGCUUCAAAGGAGCCCAUACGGUAUUAAAACAACAGUGUAAAUUCAUAAAUAACUAACAGUGCAAAUUGUUUGUUGACGAACAAUGAACAUGCGUAUUUGGGUUGCACGCGAGAGAGAGAGAGAGAGAGAGAGAGAGAGAGAGAGAGAGAGAGAUUGGACAAUACCAAGAUAUGGUUUCUUGAGAACAACACGUUGACUUAUUGACUGCUAAUUGUGUUUCUUGAUUUGUGUAGCAGCACACGCCCAUUCCAUUAGCUAUAUAUUUUCAAUCAUAGAGUAAUUAAUGAAUGAGUUUAUUUUAUUGUGCACACUAGUGUGAGAAAAUGUAAAUGAUGAUGAAGAAAUUAUAACUUACACCCUUACAAUUAGGUUUUGUAAGCGAGAAAGGGCAAUCUUAAGGCAAGCUCCUGUGAAUUAUUUCUUAUUAAUCAAAACUUGUCCUUAUUAGAUGGGAAGGGUAUUAGGAAAACUAGUCUGUGGGACCAUACUGCACCACAAUUUUCACAAAGAUUGAUUAUUAGAGAAUGAUGCCUUUUGGUUGAGUUGAGAAAAAUACUUCGAAUAUACAACAUCUUGCAAAUAUUGGUGGUAAAGAAGACGGUUACGUGGCCUUCAAAGAGUAGUCUAAAAAUCAAAUUCUACAAUGAACAGGCUAACUCUAACAUGAGUAUUAUUCUUUUUUGGCCAAAGAUAAGUGUUGAUUAAAACAUCUUUUAGCAAAAGGCCAAUUGUUUUAGAACCUCUAUUAGGAUAAGACCAAUUUGCGACCAUAGCAUUAAUUUAUUUAUGAAUGAAGAAAUCAAUUACACGUUAAGGUUACAAAGGCAUGGUAAAUGAAGAAAAAUGCAAAAAAGAAAAGAAAAAGUGCCAUCUCUUUCCAUACCAACAAGAAUGCAGAAAGAAAGAAAGACGUUGAGAUGGUCGCCAUCAUCAAGUCGGAAUAGAUAACUGGCGAUCUCUGUCCCUCUUCGUCAUUUCCUCUAUAUGAUACACUAGUUCUCAAUUAAUAAAUUUCUUAAUUGCAAGUUGUGUUGAGAAAGUUGUGAUUUUUUGUUGUCUUGUUUUUCUUGUCUUUGUCCGAUGGUGAUUUGCAAUUAUUUAUCUUGGCAAAUGUGACAGAAUCAUCCUCAUCAUUUCCCCCUACAAUACAUUUCUUAACGAAAGAAUAUCUUAACUGCAAGUUGUUUUUUGAUGAGCAAUUUACGUGGCUAUUUGUGUUGCACGUGAGAGAGAAAGAGAGAGAGUUUGGACAAAACCAAGUACGGUUUCUUGAGAGCAACACAUUGAUCUGCCGACUUCAAUUACGCUUCUUGAUUUCUGUAGGAGCAGACCGCGAUUCCGAUCAGUUGGGCUCGGUAUUGGCAGCAAGAACACUCGGCAAAAAAAUCCCUUCAUCCUCUAGCCAUUCCAAGUCAGAGUUGAAGGUAUUAAAAAAUCUUCCUCGAUUACAAUUAUCUUCAAUGAUUUUCAGUUCCCAGCCGUGCUGCUUCCCCACAGUGUCCACUUGUUUUUGUGUCAUGCUGAUAUGUCCACUUAUACUCAAGCAUAGUCAGGAUUGAUUCUGACCUGCAUUGCCCUUUAUCCAUCUUGCAGACAAGUCAGCCGUAAAGCCAAGGAAUCUCAGUUCCUCUUGCAUCCUCACAGUGAAGUUACUCCUGGUAUGCGUGUCAUUAUAUAUCUACUUUCCAUGUGCUAUCAGCGCUUGUUUCACUUUCAACCUCCUUGUUUGGUGAUUUGGUCGUAUUGAUUUUACCUAGAAAACCCAAAAGCGAAAAAGAAACAAGGAAGAUGAAAAAAAAGGGUGUAAUAAUUGCAACACACUCAUUUCAGAGGCACCGAUUUAUGCCUGUCUAAGCUUUUAUAUAUCACUCAACUUACUUAAAUGAAACUAAUUUUUAAAGAACAAAAAGGUGAAAGAAGUUUUUUUUUUAAAAAAAGAUACUAUAUUUUUUUUGUUGAUUUAGCAAAAUAAUUAAAAUGAAAAUAUUUUCUAAAAUCUGGCAAAUAGUGCAAUAAUGAGAACUUGUGAAUGUUACGAUAGAAUUGAUUUGACUUUAUUGUGCAAACUUGAGAGGAUAGAUUAAACAAAUUAAAAAUUUAAAGACUAAAUUAAAUAUUUUCUAAUUCUUUAAGGUCCACAUUAAAUGAAAGUUUAAGGAUGACAUUGCACAUCAAGCGAAAUUUUAGAGACUAUUAAUGUCAAUUUCCCUUUACAAAUUAUCUAUAUAUAUAGCUUAUUACUUCACUUUUUAUAUUCAAAUUCGUCGGUAUAACCACCGGGACCGAUUGAAUUAGUGGAAUCACAUACCGACCAUUACUUUACUUAUAUUGUUAUCAAAAUACUGCCUAUAAGAGGAGAGCGAAAUGGAUGACUAAGAAUCAUGCUUUUUUUUCUUGAAAAGUUGGUAAGUGAAAACCUUUAAUUAAGGGCCCUCACCUCUGGUUCAUGAAUCAAUACAUAAAAUUUCAUCUACUUGCUAUCUCCAAGUUGCGAUAGCAUGUCGUUAUGUCUGGACUGGCGUGCUACUGUAGGAAUGAUUUGCAUGCUCCCAAUUCCAUAGCGACAGUUAUUGUCGGUUGAUGAAUCCCAUAAAUCAAUCAUUAACUUCUGUGCGUGCUUUGAGUCAAUCAAUUGUCACCACAUGUCAUGUACUUCAUUGACAUUACGCCUAUUGGGAACUCAUGAUAGAUGAGCUCACCGAGUAUUCCAUCGAUGGGUUUUGUAUUGAUUAUGAUUUGAUUUGGGUCAUUAGUUUCGUCACGUUUUGGUCUAAAAGACAAAAACACAAAAGAAAGAGGAUGGUUGCAAUCACAAACCAGCUCAUAGCAAUCUCAUAAGUGGUGUUGGCGCCUCUCUCUCUCUCUCUCUCUCUCUCUCUCUCUCUCUCUCUCUCUCUCUCGUUUUAUUUCGUUUUUCACAUUGUUUAUCACUUUGCUCUUCCUUUCUUUUCAUACAUCGCCAGUGAUUACUUCUGUUCUUUGUUCAUUUUCUUCGCACAGAUUUGUUUAAGAAAUUAAUAAAAGGAGGCAACUACAAGAGGAAGGAAAGAGGGGAGAGGGCAGAAAACGGAAUUUCUAGACAUCAAAGAAGUAAUUAUGGCCGAGGCAUUUGCUACCUCCGUUGCAUCAAAUCUUGUGUCGAAACUUGGUGAGUACCUGUUUACUCCCAUUGGACGCCAUUUUGGAUACGUGCUAUGCUACAUGAGCUACGUCCAAGAUCUCGAAAAUGGAGUCAAGAAGCUAGAGACUGCGAGGGAAAGGGUGCAACACUCCGCUGAUGAAGCCAUGUAUGACGGAAAAUCUAUACACACUGAUAUUAAGGAUUGGUUGAAGAGCGUGGAGAAUGAGGUUAAGGAAGCACAAAACUUGUUAAUACAUGGUGAAAGUGCAAAAUUUGCUUGCUUGUGUGGGUGGCUUCCCAACCCUGUGGUGCGCCAUCCAAUUGGCAGGAAAGUGAAGAAGAUGACUCAAGUCAUUCAAGGGCUCUUUGACGAAAGCACGAAUAGCAAAUUCCAAAAGGUCUACUAUGAGAAUACUCCGAUGGGAAUUGUCACUGCUACCACUUCCUUUAAAAGAUCUGUUGAUGAGGAAGAAGAUGUCUUGGAGUUGAGGGCUUCAAUCACAGAGGAUGUAAUGAAGGCUUUAGCUAAUGACAAGCUCUCUGUGAUUGGGGUGUUUGGACUAGGUGGGGUUGGCAAGUCCAAGCUUUUAGAGGACAUUGAAAGGCGAGUUAAGAAGGAGAAGUUGUUUGAUGUGGUUGCUAUGGCAAAUGUAUCACGUAAUCCAGAUCUAAAAGUAAUCCAGGGGGAAAUUGCCGACACACUAGGCCUAAAGCUGAUGAAUGUGGAAACUGCUCGUGGGAGAGCAAAUCUUUUAUAUAAGAGGUUAAAGAGUGAUCCUGAUCAUGAAAUGAAUAAUCUUGAAAAUAGUGAAAAGAAUCAUCUUGAGAAAAGUGAUCUCGAGAAAAAAUUUCCUAAGAAAAAGAUUCUCAUAAUUUUAGAUAAUUUGUGGAAGUUAGAAUUAAAGGAAGUUGGAAUCCCUUGUGGAUAUGAUAAUAAAGUAAGAGGUUGCAAGCUAUUGGUAACGUCUAGAGACCGAGAUGUUUUGUGCAGUGACAUGGGCUCCGACCAAGAAUUCCGAUUCAGUGAGUUAGAGCAUGGAGAAGCAUGAAGACUUUUUGAAAGGACACUGGGUGACCGAGUCAGGGAUCCUGAGAUUGAACAUUUGGUAGAUGGAGUGGUUAAGAAUUGUAGAGGCUUGCCACUUUUGAUUGUUUCAAUGGCAAAAAGGUUGAGCCACGGAGGUUUGGCUGCAUGGAGGAAUGCUUUGGCCCAUAUGGACAUGUCAGAUGUAAAAUCAAUAGUGGAAGUAAGUUACAAUGACUUAAAAGAUGAGAGGAUCAGAUUAUUGUUCUUGGUUUGUGCUCUAACAUCUGGGAGAAUUCUUAUGAGGGCUUCGCUUAUCUACUGCAUGGGUUUGGGUUUAUUUAAAGAAUUCAUCAAUACAAUUGAAAAUGCCAGAGAUAUGUUGAUUGUGGAUCUACAUAGCCUACAGAACUCUUCUUUAUUACUAGAUAGUGUUGACAUGGAGCUAUUCAGAAUGCAUGACAUAUUUGUUGACGUGGCCAUCUCUAUUGUUUCCACGAAAUGGAACGCCUUGGUUGGGAGAAAGGAUUAUGGGUUUAAAGAAUGGUCAAAGGAUGAGCUUAGAAAAUGCAACGCGAUAUCCUUUCAUUAUGUUGGCAUUGAUGAGCUUCCUGAAAAAUUGGACUGCCCAAACUUGACGAUGCUUCUGCUACUCGAAGAUAGCCCGUCCCUCAAAGUUCACGAGUCAUUUUUUGAAUCUAUGGAGAAGCUCCAAGUCUUGGACUUAUCUAGCUUAUCUUUCACUUCUCUACCUUCAUCGAUUGAGUUCCUUGAAAACCUCAAGUCUCUAUCUCUUGAUCACUGCUAUCUAGAGGAUGUGACUAUACUUGGAAAGUUGAAAGGAUUGCAGUUUCUAAGUUUCGCCAGAUCUACAAUCUCUCGACUGCCCAAAGAAAUAAAAGAAUUAAUAGAAUUGAGAUUUUUGGACCUGACAGGGUGCACCAAGCUCCAAGUAAUCGAACCUGGCUUGCUUGGAAGCUUGGUUAAUUUAGCAGAAUUGUAUAUGGAGGACAGUUUUGAUCAGUGGGAGGACAAGCAUGAAGUACCGCGAAGCAAUGCUAACCUGGCCGAGUUGAAGAACGUGAAGAAGUUGAGCACUUUGCACAUUUCCAUUCCUCAUAUUGCCAAUUUCCCAAUAGACUUGCCAUUUGGGAAACUGAACAGGUAUAAAAUCCAAAUUGGGAACAUUUGGAAUUGGUCUGGUAAAUACAAAGAAUCCAGAACUUUAAAGCUUAAACUAUUUUCAUGCAAUCUUCUUCUUGAAAAGUGGGUGCAGAGAUGUUUGCAGAGAACGCAAGAUCUCCACUUAGAUGGGUUGCAAGAAGGCAAAGAUAGCAUUCACGAUUUGUGUGGACAAGGUUUUCAGGAAUUGAAGCAUCUUCACGUACAAAAUAGCCCCUCAUUUCAUUACGUUGUUCACUGCACAAAGUAUGUCCAGUGCACUGCAUUUACACAAUUGGAAUGGUUGUUUCUUGAGAAUCUGAAUAAUUUGAAGAAGAUUUGUCGCGGCUGUCUUGACCAAGAAUCCUUCAAGAAAUUAAAGAUUCUGAAAGUGGAUAAUUGUGGUGAAAUCAAACAUUUGUUUCCUAUGUCCAUGACAAGAAUAUUCUUACAGCUCGAAGAGAUUGAAAUAAGCAACUGCCACUUGAUGCAGCAAAUUGUCUUAGACGAUGAGGUAGAUGAAUACGAAGAUAUAUUGGGUGUUGAUCCCAAAGUGAAGUCAUGCAAUUUGCUUAGGCUAACAUUACGAAACUUACCAAAGAUGACGAGCUUUGGUAAAACCAUGGACCAUUCGGUUGUAUACUUCGACGGACAACAGGUAAUUUCAUGCUUUCUAUAAGGUCAUCUCUUCCACCAUCUGGAGCAUUCUAAUAGGAAACCUUCUCCAACUAGUCUUCUAAUCCAUGAGCUACAAACAUGGACAUUACCUUCAAUGGAAUAUAUUAGUCAUAGACAUAUACUUGGUUUAAGCAUGGAAUAGCUCUAUUCAAUUAGUGAUACACUCGAUAAAGAAAUCAGACAAACUAACAUAAUAAAGUUUAUGAUUUUUAUAGCCUUUUUCAAUUUCUUCCUUAUCUUCUGUAUUAAAAGGUAUUGAUUUUUAAUCAACAGUGGUUAUAUAAAUAUUUGACUCAUAAACACAAUGAAGUAUUGAUUUUAGAAUUAUCUCGAUUUAUAUUUGAUCUGUGAUAAAAUGAUGAAAGCAUAAUUUUUUUUUUUUUCCAUUUUGAAGUAAAUGAAUUUUUGUGCAUGGAUUUCAUAAGUGAGAGUAUUGUAGGACAUAGAAAAAUUGGAUAAAUAAUAUGUUUUGAAGAUUUUUUACCAGAAUAAUUAAAACUAACUAUUAUUUUAAUUUUUCAAAAUGGAAUUGCUUGUGAUAUGCGAACACAUAAAAACAUUUAUAUAUCAGUUAAUUACACGUCACUUUAUUUGUGUUAUGUUAUCAAUAUAGUUAAAGAAACACAGUAUGAUGUUUAGAUUUUUUUUUUUUAAAUAAUCUAUAAGUUGCUUAAUGGUAAAAUUGUAUAUAUACACACCAACAGGUAUAUUUAUAACUUGAAGGAAGUAUAUACAGCCUGUGUAAUUUGUAUGAUCUUCAUUUAAUAAUUAAUGGACAUACGUAGAAUUUAAUUAUAUGCGCUUGAAAGAAAGAACAAAAACAUAAAAAAUUCAAUAGGUGAUUUCAACUACAGUGACUAUGUGUCAAAUAACAUCGAAAUCAAUUAAUUAUAUAAAUUACAACUUUAAUUGUACGUACAUCAGCGAUAGAGUAAUCGACACGAUUAAAUAAACUAAUUUUGCAAUUUUAGGUAGCUUCCUUUAUUUUUUCUCCAGUGAUUGUAAAAAGUUGUGGUAAUGAGUGGACCUUUGUGGGAAUAUGGUUCUAGAAAAAGUUAUCAUAUAAAUUUUUUUAUACUAUUACUUGUCAAAUGACGGAACUAUUAUUAGACUACAAAAUUAAAAAAAAAAUCAAAUAUAAUAAUCGACAGGCCAAAUUGUUUUUGUUAACCUUGGUACAUUAAUGAGAUGUAAGUAGGAUAAUAAUUUUUUUGUUCUAAUUCAUGUAAGAUAUGGACCUUUUGUGGCGAUCAAGUCUACCACAAAUAUUCAUUUUAACCACUUUUCUAAUAUUAUUAGUAAAAUUUAUGUGCACUGCACAUGUUUAAUUUUUUUUUUUGCAAUAAAAUAUUGCUUGAGAAUAUUGAUUAUAAACACAAUUUCACGAUGCCUUUAAUUAUUUUGUCAGUAUAUAAUAAAAAAAUGGAGACCUUUCUUCAAUUAUUUUUAAAAUUGUCUUUAUCAUGUAAGCCAAACCGCAAAAGCAUGACGCUUGCCUAAAAUCAUUUGCUCAAUUAAGCAGUUCUUUUUUUUUUUUUUGGCUAUAUAACUAAAAUUUGCCAUAUAGAAUAGCUCUUGUAUAGGUAAAAAUUAAAUCCUUUACGAAUAUUGUCUUUGAUGCCCAUAUGGCGCUGUUGGGGCAGUUCAUGGAUCUUAUGUCCAACCAUGGAUCUUAUAGCGAUGAACCCGUUUUUUGACUUUUCGGCCGAGGUGGCAUAUAUUCCACAUUACAUUUGUGCUAGAAAAUAGUGGAUCUUAUAGUUCCACGGGGACAACAAAAUCUUCUACUUUAGUAUUUUUCUCAUAGUUUUACAAUAAAUUUUAACUUCAUGCUCAAAUUGCCCCUGCAAAUCAAUUAAAAGGACAAUGUUUAUCUGCUUGUCAAUUUAGUUCAUGACUAUUUGGUAGAAAAUAAUUGAGAUCGUUUUUGCUUACACUGUCGUUAGAGGUAUUAUCCAAAAUCACAGUGAAUGACUGAAAAAUCAAUUGAGCCUAUGCCGUGAAUAAGGAAAAUUUAGGCAGAAAGCACAAAAUGUGGGGGUAAAUUCAAUAACCUCAAUUAAUUAAAGGAUUUUAAACUCUCAAAUCAUUAUAUAUAUAUUCCAAAUACAAAAUAGGCAAAUGGUAAGUAAGUGUAGAGUUGAUAAAUUUUAAAGAAGAAAAAGAUAAAAUUAAAAAAUUCUACUCUGUUUUUUCUUCCAUUGUCUUUAAAUCUAUGUGAGAUUAUCUCAUUUCUUACUAUUUCACAUGCAAUUUAUGUGGGGUUAUUCACGCCCUCCCAGCUAAUAAAGCUACAGAAUUUGGAAGCUAUAACUGUUCAAGGAUGCUAGUUAAUACAAGAAGUCUUCGAUCUCAAAGGAUUGACAAUUUGUGGCAAUGUUGAGAUUCUGUCACAAUUGACCGAAUUAACCUUGAGUGACUUACCAAGUUUGGCAUGCAUUUGGAACAAGAACCUAAGAAGAGCAUCGUAUUUCCAAAAUUUAAGAAGUCUGAAGGUGCAGAACUAUGAGAAGUUGAGAUUUCUUUUUUCUUCUUUCAUGGCUAAAGCACUCAUGCAGAUAAGAGAAAUAGAAAUAGCCAGUUGUACAUUGAUGGAGGAAAUCAUGGAUGUGCAAGAAGAAGAAUUAGAGGAAGCUGCGACUUUUGACAAUUUAGAGUUUCCUAUGUUAACCUCCCUGUCUCUUGUGGAAUUGCCAAAUCUUAGGACAUUCGCUUAUGGAAAGUAUUGUAUUCAUUAUCCAUCCUUAAUAAAACUGACGAUCUCAGGGUGCCCUAAUAUGAUGACAUUCUCUUCAUUCAAAGGAAGGCAUCAGUUAAUGAUAGUUGAUACAGGUUUACAAUAGGCAUCUGGUCGUAUCAACUCUAGCUUCUCCGUGCUUGGCUUCUUCAAUGAAAAGGUAAGCAAAGCAUAAAUAGUAUUUUAAAUUGAUCAUUCUUCUAGUUCUAGUCAGAGAAGCAAUUUAAUAGAUACUGGAUCAUUAUUUCUGUACCAAAAGCUUGGCAGUUCGCAGUGGAAAAACUAAGUCGCUGAUGGUCUCAUUCCCAAAGUUGCCUCCAAAUUUCGGCAAAAUAAAAUUUUGCACCAAAAAUUUUAGUCACUCUACAUAUACAAUGUUUUUAUGCAGGUUCUUUUCCCAAGCUUGGAGAAAUUGGAGCUUUCGUCCAUGUGCCAAUUAAAGAGGAUAUGGCACAAUCAAUUCCCCGGACAGUCCUUCUGCAAACUUGCAUCCCUCACUAUAACGCUUUGUGAAAAUUUGUCACAUGUCUUUCCAUCAAAUUCAAUGGAUAGGUUGCUGAGCCUGAAUAAAAUUGAGGUGGUGGGGUGUCCCUCCUUGGAAGCAUUAUUUGAACGGGUAUGUCUUAGCUCUGAAAAAAGGCAAAAGCCAAUGGUCCUCUCUACAUUAAAAACAAUGAAGUUGUUGAAUCUACCAAGGUUGAGAGACAUUUUGAAAAGUGACUACAAAGUAACCUUGGCAUUUCCUAGUCUGAUGGAAGUGAAUGUGAGGUGUUGUCAUAGUUUGCCAUAUCUCUUCUCAAAUGCCACGGCCAAAACUCUUGAUAAACUUGUGGUGCUUGAUGUUUCCUAUUGCAAUAACCUUUGGGGCAUAAUUGCGAUGGAAGAAGGAAAAGGGAAAACCGUAGAGACAUUGAAGUUCUGUCAAUUAAGCACACUCAAGCUUGGUGACCUUGAGAAUUUGAUUAGUUUUUGCUCAACAAGUUGUAGUAGUGGUGGGUUAUAUCCUCUAUUUGAUGAGAAGGUAUCAUAUCCCGAUUUAUCUAAUCUAUUAUUUUAUUCUAUGUUUUAUGCUUUGUCCCUAAGCAAUUUUGGGCAUUUUUUGUUUAUGUUUGUACAUUUGUAGCUUGCAUUUCCGAAGGUAGAAGAGCUACACGUCAAGGGAGUUCAACAGAAAGAACUAUGGAAUGAUGAAAUCCUUGUGGAGUCCUUUUGUCAUCUAAAGGUCCUCAAGGUGAAGCAGUGUCACCACCUAAUGAAUGUGUUUCCUUCAUUCAUGUGGAAGAGGCUGCUUCAUUGUAUGGAAUCCUUGACAGUUGAGAAAUGUCCACGUUUGAUAAACCUUUUUACAAUGUCUAUGGCAAAAAGUCUAGGGCAACUCCAAUAUCUUGGCCUUGGUGGUUGUGGAGAGAUGGAGUACAUUGUUGCUAGAGAAGACGAAAAACCUGAAGAAGCAACUAACAGAAUUGUAAUUCCUCAACUUAUCACUCUAUAUCUUCACAACAUGCCAAAACUUAGAAGUUUUUGUCAAGGGAAGCAUAUUUCAGAGUGGCCCUCCUUGAAAGAAUUUAUUAUUGAAGAUUGUAAAGCUGUGGAGGUGAUUCUAGGAGAUGCCAGUUACAGAAAACUAGAAGACCAUAUUUCGACACAACAACCACUUUUACUCGUUGAAAAGGUUUGCACUCUUUCUUCCUUAGUGACAUAUCUAGUUUGUCAUCUUGGUUUUAGCUAGACAAUGUAAGGGUCUCUAGGGUCACUUAUGCUAACUUAUCAUUUUCUUUUACAAAUCUUUGACCUUAAAUAAGAAAAGCUUCUUCUUUAAUUUAAACAUAUUGACAUGUUUAUCAAACUUUUUCAUAACUUUCAAAAAAUAUUUUCUUUCCAUUUUAAUAUUUUAGAUUAAUGUGACAUUUCUCUAAUAUUAUAGCUGAAGUACAAAUAUUAAUGAGAGGCAAAACUUCAAUAAACAAAAUUUAACUAAUCUAAAGUCUAGACGAAGUUAAAGUUGGCUCAAAUUAAAUCUUAUUCAACUUAAGAUCAAGGGUUAUCGACAUUAUGAGUCCUACAACUUGUGUUGGUUGGGCACUUAAGUUCCAAAUUUUUUUUCAUACAUUUAAGUCGUAAUAUUUGCACAAUUUAUGCAUGUCAAGACUUGUUCCCUUUUUUGUGAAAAAAGAAAAAUCUGCAUUUUCAAUCCUAUUUUCAGUCCUACAUGGCUAUUAAUACGGUGAUGGAGCUUCCUCAACCACAAAGGGAACUGUUUCACUAUUGCCGCACCCUAAAUAUUGAAUAAAAAGAUUUAUAAACAGACUAAAAAGUAGAAAAAUAAAUCAGCACUACUAUGAAACUGAUAAAAAGGUCCGGUGAGACCCCGCUGAUCCAAGAGGUGAAGGGUUGCAUAGGGAGUGACACUACUACAUCCCUUCCUGCCAACGAGGGCUGACAAUCACAGCAAGGCUAUUGGCCAAGUGUUGGUUGUUUGUUUGUAAAAUAAAUAAAGUAAUAUUUUUUCUUAUCCCACAUAGGAAAGUUAAGAGUAUGUGGGUCCCCAUAUAAGUGUGGAUAUCUUCUAACUUAUUCAAAUGAAGAUAAUGGGUUGUGGGUUAGACCUCGCAAUACCCGCGUGCUAGUGCGCGAUUAUUAAGCGCACUUGAAAGGUUGUAUUUGUGCAGUUAUUAUUUUUUUCAUGCGGUUAUUUUGCUAAUUUUAUUAGGUGUGUCACAAACCUCAAGAGGUUGUAAUUAUUCAAUUGAUAUUUUUUAGAAGUUGUGAAAUUCGAAAUUUCUUUUAAAAAUAUUAUUAUUAUUUUAUUUCGAAUUUUUAAUAUGUCUUUCCCACAUUUAAUGUGUCCAUUCACUUUGCAACCUUUUGCGAAGGGUUGCUGCUAUUUAAAAGACUGAGAUAAGUAUGUCGGUUUUUGUUAUCAAUUAUUAUCAAGUCUUGUCAAAAUUUUCCAAAAAAUACAUACAUUUUUUUUCUAAUUGUUUCCUUUGAGAGUUCUUCGAAAUAUACCGGAAUUGCUAUAUAAUAUCCUCAUUUGAAACUUUGUUGUAUCCUAAAGAUUUUUUUUCCAAUAGCCAUUAACAACAUUAAUGCCUAGUAAUGCACAAGCUAUAUUGUUUUAAAUGGUCCAAAGAAAUGGGAGAGUACGUUGACUAUUGUGUUUGUGUGUUGUAACGAGCGGAAUCUUAAGGUAGGCUAAAUUUGAGGUUCAUGGGAAACAUAUGAAGCACGAAAUGAUCAUGCUUGUCUAACUAAGGUGGUUAUGGGUUAUGCUAUUGCUCAAGCAUAACGCUUGAUAAUUAGAUGAAUAUAACUCAAAAAUAAUAUGGUAGGAAAUGGAUUUUAGGGGUUGGCAUAUGCUAAAAACAAAAUAAUGUGCAUCUAGUCUUUUUUCUUUAUUUAUUUUCUAUUCUCUCAAUGACUUUCCUUAUUCUUGAAAUUAGAGUCUUCUCUCUUUUGAGAAGAACAGAGAGCCGGCUCUAACUAAUUAACUUGAAUAAUAUUAUAGGUUGAGUUUCCUGAAAUGGAGUCAAUAAACAUCUCCCACAUGGAUAACAUGGAGAAGAUAUGGCUUGAUGAUCUUGCUUCAAAUGCCUUUAGCAAACUCAAGACAUUAGUAGUGGAGUAUUGUGAGAAACUUUCAUCCAUAUUUUCAUCUUAUACUAUGCUCACAAAAUUUCAAAGCCUAGAAAAGAUAGCUGUGACCGAUUGUGGGUCCUUAGAAGUGGUAUUUCACGUUUGAGAGUUCAAUUUUAGCGAAGUUCGUUCUAUAGGUACUUUUCAAUUGAGAGAAUUAGUUUUGAUUAAACUCCCAAAAAUGAAGCACGUGUGGAGUGGGCUUACCAAAGGAGAUCUUACCUUUGGACGCUUACAAUUGAUGGUGGUUCUCAAGUGUGAGAGUCUCAAAAAUUUAUUUCCAAGCUCAAUGGCAAAAAGUAUGACACAGUUUGAAGAACUUUAUGUAUUAUCUUGUGGGGUGGAGGAAAUUAUAGUGGAGGAAGAUGAAGGAGUGAGAACUAGUGCAAGUGACAUGUUCUUUCCACGAUUGACUACCCUGAAAUUAGUAGAAUUGCCAAAACUGAGGAGCUUCUAUAUUAGGAGUCAAACUUUAACAUGGCCACUCUUGAAGGACUUGCGAGUGGCACACUGUGGCAAAAUGAGGUCAUUCUUAUUCGCUUGUGAAAUCCAAGGCGGGCAAGGUACUGCUACCAACAAGAACAAAUAUGCACUCUUUUCUGUAGAAAAGGUAAAAUCCUAAAUCCCGUCUCUCUACCUUCGUGUUCAUUGGAUUACGUGCAUAUCUUUUGAUGCUCAUUAUUUACAUUUGGAAAUUGAAUUCUUCAAGCAUUUCAUGCUUAUUAAUACUCACUCAACCACAAUUAUAAAUUGCUUAAAAACUCUUGGCCCAAAAAAAAUUGCUUUAAAACUUGAAGAAUGAUUGAAGUUAAACUAUUGUCGGCUCGUAUUCUUUUGAAAAUAUUCGAGUGAUCCAAGUUGUUACUUUGAAAAGAGGAAAACUUUUUUGUUGGAUUAAUUUGCAUAGAUAAUCAAGUUUCUAAUAAUGUGCUUGGUUUUUUGUCUAGUCCAUUAUGUUAGUGGCAUAUCAGAAAAAAAGGACAUUACAAAUAUCAUAACUUUUGUUCGGCAUUCACUUAAAUGUCAUAACUUUUUCCUUCAAUCAUUUCAGUGCCAUAACUCCUAAAAACAUUAACUUAAGUGUCAUGACUUUUAAAAAAAAUGUUUACCACUCAAAUGAUUAAAAAAAUUAUGACUUUAAGUGAUUGCAAAAAAAAUAAAAAAAUUAUGACGCUUAAGUGAGUGUUGAACGAAAAUUAUGACACCUAUAAGGGCCUUAUACUAUGGCAUGUCUAACAGUUAGCAUUUGCCUAGUUAAUUUAAGUUGACCUUCCUCGUCCACCAAAAUUAAAAAAAUUUAAGCAUUGUGUUUAUUUGGCAGUUUGCCAACGUUCUAUAGCUUUAAAUACGGAAUAGAGUUCCCUGGUACAUUGUGAAAAAGAUUGGUAACUACUUAUCCAAUCAUGUGUCUGUAACUUACUAAUAGAUUUUGACAAGCACCGACAUUUAACCAUACCUCAAGAACUCAUCCACUAUUUUAAUAAUCUACCGAUUUUUAUUUUUGUGGCUUACCAAGGCCUUGAAAGUUACCAUUUUUUAUUCUGAGUUACUAACCUUAAUUUGAUUGAUGUGCGGACAAUUAUCACAUUAAGAUAACAACUAAUUUUAGUCACUCACGAACUUUUUAUGAUCUACCUACAUUUUACUAUUGUGCUUACCAAUGAUUUUGAAAUACUAAUUCUUAUUUGAAAUUACCAACCAUAAUUUGACUUAUGUGCCAACAUCAUCAGAUAAACAUUCUUUUAUACGUCCAAAAUUACUAAUAAUUUGCCAAUGUUUAUUCUUGUUACUUACCAACGUCUUUGAAAUUACAAACUACUUAGUCAUUUAUUAAUUUGUUUUUUUUAUUAUAUCUUAUUAGGUUUUGUAAAAUAUUGACAUUCGUUUAUACUUUCAAGAUUACCAACUACUUUAAUAAUCUAACAAUAUUCAUUAUUAUGGUUACCAACACUUCGAAGCUACUAACUUUUAUUCAAAACUACCAACCUUAAUUAAACUGACGAACCAACAUGUCACCUUAAUAUACCAACUAACUUUGAUCAUUUUCCUACUUCUCAUCGUGUUAGGUUUUGAAGGGCAACGAUUUCUUCGAUACUUCCAGAUUUACGAACUACUUUAAUAAUCAACCAAUAGUUAUGCUUGUGGCUACCUGACAUCUUUAGAUUUAUUAAAUUUAAUUUGAAAUCAGUAACAUUAAUUUGAGUGCUGUACCAACAUCCGUCAAAUUAAGAUGCCAACUGAUUUUAGUUACUAACGACUCUUUAAUCUUGUAACUUUCGACAAUCAAAAUUUCUUAUAUUUUCAAGAUCACCAACUACUUUAGUAAUUUAGUAAUAUAUGUAAGAAUUAUUGUGGCCCAUAUUAUGUGAUUUAUUAUAUGGUUUAAUAAUUAUUGAAAUGCUAUAAAUAAUAUUGGUUAUGAGAAGGUAUGACUCUAAUAAAACGAAAGGGUAUAUCGCUUUGAUGGAAGGCACCUUUUCAACGAACGUAUAAAUAGAGUCCGGUCCUCUCUCCACCCACAUACGAACAACAAUAACAAAAGAAACGUAUUCUCUCCUCCAUCAAUUGAAUACAUUAAGGUUUAGUGGGUUAAGGGAGAGAAAUCGGAUUUCUCCUUUUGGUUCAAGAUCAUUGGGUUUUCUACAACGAUCAUCAUCAAGCGUAGCGCUAUGGAUAAAGGUAUGUCUUCAUCCAAUUGUGAGAAUCAUGAAGAUCAAAGAUCAAUGAUUUGUUAUGAGUUUCCACAUCAAGUUUUAUAUGAAUUAUAUUCUAACAGUUGGUAUCAGAGCGUUUGGUUUAUGAUCUCAUGAUUUUUCCGUUUAAAGAAAUAUUAUAGUUGAUGUUUGAUGAUUUGUUGAACGAUCCUGUUCGUAGCAUUUGUUGUUGUUGAAAUGUUUUGGAAGGUUCUGUUAAAGAAAAUCCGAAUGAUGGAACGUUUUUCAUGGACUAAAAUGGUGAAGAAAAGUUACUGUGUGCACGAGUGGAAAAGGACAAAAAUGGUGGAAUUCGGAAUUUUGAGGGCAAGGAAGAAACUCGCCGGUUCCGGGUAAAAUCCGGCAACCCACCGCUUGAUUUCGGACCCACACCGUCGCACUGUCAUGAGGAACAUUAGCCAUGAUUUUUCCGGUAUAUUGGUGUUCGCCGGAGGCUAAUCGAGCGGCGGUGGUGGAGUUUUUGUGUUCUGAAAAUUUUGGUUUGAUUUGGGGCCAAUUUCUUGGUCAUUUUUGCCGAAACUUAAAUCCAUGUGGUCGUGCCGGCAUACUCUUCAAAACCUAUUAUUUAUUUGUGUCUGGGAUGGGCUACCGGAGAAGAAACGGCCGGCGAAACCGCGGCGGAACGGCAAAAAUCGGCGAAGAAUCGCGUUUGUGCGCGAGGAAGAAGGCGCGUGGGCUCCACGCGCGCGCUGCGGUUGCAGGCGCGUGGAACCCACGCGCCACGCGCCUUCACGCGCGCUCAAGCGCUGCGCGCGUGGGAUCCACGCGCGCGGGGCUCCCCGCGCGGUUGCAGGCGCGUGCAACGCACGCGCCCGCGCGGCCUUAUUUACGUUUUUGCCCCUAUGCCAUUUUUAAAAUUCCAAUUUUGUCCUUCUCGCAAUUUAUUUAUUGUUAUGCCCCUGUUUAAUUAAUAAUUACAAUUCUGCCAUUGCUGAUUAUUUACCAUUUUGCCCCUAGAUAUUAAAUUUAUGAUUCUGCCCUUAUGAAAUUAUGAUUUUACAAUUUUGCCCUUAUGCUUUAAUUGCAUUUUAUCCUUGUGUGCAAAUUUGGUAAAUAUUUGUAUUUUACAAUAUUGAAAAUUCAUAUUAUGAAUGGUUUGUUAGUCACCAAAGUGGCCGAACCUUGAAGUCUUUUGAAUUUUUUGAUAUUGUAAAUUAUUUUAUUCAAUUACCUAUGAUUAAGUGAUGCUAUAUAUGAAAUUGAUAUGUUUUAUAUCAUUAUUGGAGUUAUGGGUAUAUUGAAGUUCAUUUAUUAUAAGAACUUAGGGAUUAACCCAAAGGUUAAUUAUUUUCUUAUAAUUCAUGAACAUGAUGGUUGAUAAUUAAUAUGAUUUGUUAAAUUUGUUUGUAUAUCCAAAGAUAACAAAUAAAUUUUAAUAAGAUAUAUUUACAAUUAUCAAAUAAAAGUUAUUAGCAUCAUUAUGGUUUAUAUAUAUUUGUAUAUCAUAGGAUCGCCCAAAGGAGAACUAUGAUGUGCAUGUGUAGUUUAGUUUAAUCUGAUUAUAUGAUAUUCUCAAAGCAUUAAUGUAUGAGUAUUUUCUUGCACAUUUGCAGUAUCUGUACCUGUUUCACUCCAUUCGCACGCCUCAUCUGUUCCCUUAUUCAAUGGGAUAAAUUUUCUUGAUUGGAGUGAACAAGUCCAGUUUCAUUUAGGUGUCCUGGAUCUUGAUUUAGCACUUCAAGCUGAGAAACCAGCUGCUAUUACUGAUGAAAGUAGCAAUGAUGAAAAGUCUUUCCAUAAAGCUUGGGAAAGAUCAAACAGAUUGAGCUUAAUGUUCAUGCGAAUGACAGUUGCAAACAACUUAAAGACUUCUCUUCCCAAGACUAACAAUGCUAAGGAAUUUAUGAAAUUUGUGGAAGAACGUUCUCAAACUGCUGAUAAGUCACUUGCUGGUACACUGAUGAGCACACUGACCACCAUGAAAUAUGAUGGUUCGCGUACCAUGCAUGAGCAUAUACUUGAGAUGACCAAUUUAGCAGCAAAGUUAAGGACUUUGGGAAUGAANNNNNNNNNNNNNNNNNNNNNNNNNNNNNNNNNNNNNNNNNNNNNNNNNNNNNNNNNNNNNNNNNNNNNNNNNNNNNNNNNNNNNNNNNNNNNNNNNNNNGGCCAUUUCAAUGAAUUACAACACUAUAAAGGAUAAGUGGAAUGUAAAUGAAUUGGCCAGUAUGCUAGUUCAAGAGGAAAUAAGGAUAAAGAAUCAAAAGGCUCAUUCUGUUCAUCUCUCAAGUCAUCAAGAAGUUCGAAAGAAUUUUAAGAGGAAAGGUGGAAGGAGCAAGAAGAAAGGACUACACGUCCUGAAUGACUCUUCAAAGGAUUCUCAAAUCCACAAGAAGGAACACAAUCUUAUUAAGUGUCAUUUUUGCAACAAAAUUGGACACUUGAAGAAAGAUUGUCUGAAAUGUAAGGCUUGGUUCGAAAAGAAAGGUAAGCCUUGUGCUUUAGUAUGUUUUGAAUCAAACUUUACUGAAGUUCCUUAUAAUACUUGGUGGAUUGAUUCUGGUGCCACCACUCAUGUGUGAAAUACGAUGCAGGGAUUUCUUACGAUCCAAACUAUAAAGCCAAAUGAAAGUUAUGUGAUUACGGGGAACAGAGACAAAGCUCCAGUUGAAGGCAUUGGCACUUAUCGUUUGAUCUUAGAUACUGGGCAUUAUUUGGAUUUGUUUCGAACCCUUUAUGUACCUACAUUUUCUCGCAAUUUAGUUUCUUUGCUAAGACUUGAUGUGGCGGGAUUUUAUUGUAAGUUUGGAUCUGAAUCUUUCAGUCUAUUUAAGAGUGAUACUCUUAUUGGAACUGGAACUUUAUGUGAUGAUCUCUACAAAUUUAGACUUGAUAAUACUUUUGUUGAGACAUUAAUGACCUUGCAUCAUAAUGUUGGCACUAAACAAAGUUUGUGAAUGAAAAUUCUACUUACUUGUGGCAUAAACGNNNNNNNNNNNNNNNNNNNNNNNNNNNNNNNNNNNNNNNNNNNNNNNNNNNNNNNNNNNNNNNNNNNNNNNNNNNNNNNNNNNNNNNNNNNNNNNNNNNNNNNNNNNNNNNNNNNNNNNNNNNNNNNNNNNNNNNNNNNNNNNNNNNNNNNNNNNNNNNNNNNNNNNNNNNNNNNNNNNNNNNNNNNNNNNNNNNNNNNNNNNNNNNNNNNNNNNNNNNNNNNNNNNNNNNNNNNNNNNNNNNNNNNNNNNNNNNNNNNNNNNNNNNNNNNNNNNNNNNNNNNNNNNNNNNNNNNNNNNNNNNNNNNNNNNNNNNNNNNNNNNNNNNNNNNNNNNNNNNNNNNNNNNNNNNNNNNNNNNNNNNNNNNNNNNNNNNNNNNNNNNNNNNNNNNNNNNNNNNNNNNNNNNNNNNNNNNNNNNNNNNNNNNNNNNNNNNNNNNNNNNNNNNNNNNNNNNNNNNNNNNNNNNNNNNNNNNNNNNNNNNNNNNNNNNNNNNNNNNNNNNNNNNNNNNNNNNNNNNNNNNNNNNNNNNNNNNNNNNNNNNNNNNNNNNNNNNNNNNNNNNNNNNNNNNNNNNNNNNNNNNNNNNNNNNNNNNNNNNNNNNNNNNNNNNNNNNNNNNNNNNNNNNNNNNNNNNNNNNNNNNNNNNNNNNNNNNNNNNNNNNNNNNNNNNNNNNNNNNNNNNNNNNNNNNNNNNNUCAAGCAGAAGUAAGAAUUUACAUCACAUGAAAGGAAAUGGAUUCAAGAACGACCAGUGGUUAUUUCAUUGGUUAUGCAGAGAAAUCCAAAGGGUAUAAAUUUUAUUGUCCUAAUCAUAGUACAAGAAUUGUUGAAUCUGGAAAUGCUAGGUUCAUUGAGAAUGGUGACAUCAGUGGGAGUGAAAGAAUGCGUGAUGCUUGCAUUCAAGAAGUAAGGGUAGAAGUUCCUAUGCCUAAAGCUUCUAAAGUUGUUGUUUCUGAUAUUGUAGUACAAUCUAACAAUAAUCGAGAACAACAAACACCCAAUAAUGGAGAUGUCAAUAAUGAACCUCUAGUAGCCGAGUCACAAGAAAUAGCAUUAAGGAGAUCUCAAAGAGAAAAGAGGUCGGCUAUUUCUGAUGACUAUAUGGUUUAUCUACAAGAGUCAGAAAUUGACUUAGGAAUUGGAAAUGAUCCAGAUUCAUUUUCCCAAGCCAUGGAAUGUGAAGAUUCUAAUGAAUGGUUUAAUGCCAUGGAAGAAGAGUUAAAAUCCAUGCAUCAAAAUCAAGUUUGGGAUAUAGUUGAAUUGCCUAAAGGAUGUAAGAAGGUCGGGUGUAAAUGGGUCUUUAAGACCAAGCGCGACUCAAAAGGCAAUAUUGAACGACAUAAAGCCAGACUUGUUGCAAAGGGUUUUACUCAGAAAGAAGGCAUUGACUAUAAAGAGACAUUUUCACCAGUCUCUAAGAAAGACUCACUUAGAAUCAUUAUGGCUUUGGUGGCUUAUCAUGACUUGGAGUUACACCAAAUGGAUAUAAAAACCGCAUUUCUUAAUGGGAAUUUAGAGGAAGAGGUUUAUAUGGACCAACCCGAAGGCUUUUCAGUUAUAGGAAAGGAACACAUGGUAUGUAAAUUAAAGAAGUCAAUAUAUGGACUUAAACAAGCUUCCCGACAAUGGUAUCUUAAGUUUAACGAUACCAUAACUUCAUUUGGAUUUAAGGAAAACACCGUUGAUCGGUGUAUAUAUAUGAAGAUUAGUGGGAGCAAGUUUAUUUUUCUAGUUCUGUAUGUUGAUGAUAUUUUGCUUGCUGCUAAUGAUCUUGGUUUGUUACAUGAAACCAAUAAAUUUCUCUCUAAGAAUUUUGAAAUGAAGGAUAUGGGAGAGGCAACAUAUGUGAUAGGAAUAAAAAUAUUCCGUGAUAGAUCACAAGGAUUAUUAGGAUUGUCUCAGAAAGCCUACAUUGAGAAAAUUUUAGAGAGAUUUAAUAUGAGUAAAUGUUCAGCAGGAAUAGUUCCAAUUCAGAAGGGUGAUAAAUUUAGAGCCUUAUGCAAUGUCCGAAAAGUGAAUUGGAACGAGGACAAAUGAAUAAUAUUCCUUAUGCAUCUAUUGUGGGAAGCUUAAUGUAUGCACAAACUUGCACCAGACCAGACAUCAGUUUUGCUGUCGGAAUGCUGGGUAGGUAUCAAAGUAAUCCUGGAAUGGAUCAUUGGAAAGCUGCAAAGAAAGUUCUUAGAUACUUGCAAGGAACGAAGAAUCAUAUGCUCACUUAUAAAAGAUCUGAUCAUCUCGAGGUGAUUGGAUAUUCAGAUUCAGACUUAGCCAGAUGUGUCGAUACAAGAAAAUCAACAUUUGGUUACUUGUUUCUUCUGGCUGGAGGGGCAAUUUCAUGAAAGAGUGCGAAGCAGUCAGUUAUUGCUGCAUCCACUAUGGAAGCUGAAUUUGUGGCAUGCUUUGAGGCCACAAUUCAUGGAUUAUGGCUGCGGAAUUUUAUUUCAGGGCUUGUGAUUGUCGACAGUAUUGCCAAGCCGCUGAAAAUCUAUUGUGAUAACUCUGCAGCAGUUUUCUUCUCUAAGAACGACAAGUAUUCUAAGGGUGCUAAGCAUAUGGAGAUCAAAUACUUGUCUGUCAAAGAAGAAGUUUAGAAACAAAGAGUGUCAAUUGAGCACAUUAGCACCAAUCUUAUGAUAGUAGAUCCUUGACAAAAGGAUUGCCGCCCAAAACAUUUAAUGAGCAUGUUGAAAGGAUGGGCAUUAUUGGAUGUCAUUUAAUGUUUGUAUUAUGAUUGUAUUAAGUUUAUGUAUUUGACACUUUGAGCUCACUUACAUGUUUCUGAUAUUUCCUGUUUUCUAUUUAGUAUACAUUAUGGAAAUAGAUUAAUGUUAAACAGGAUAGUUUCUAAAGAAACAUUAUGGUUGGACUAUUACUGUACUUCUCAUUUAUGGAUCAUGUUAAGUAAAGUGCUAUAGUUGUAGUACAUAGAAGGGACUAUGUCGAUUAAUGACAUAUAACCGCUAUGACUCGCAUUAGUUUUCUUUACUUAAUUGUGAUUAUUAUGUGAUUGCCAAUUUAAUGAAAUUUUAUAGCAUAAUCUUAUUGUGCACAUUAUAGUCUUCAUUAAACCAUGAAAGGAUAAUCAUAUGGGCCAAGUGGGAGAAUGUAAGAAUUAUUGUGGCCCAUAUUAUGUGAUUUAUUAUAUGGUUUAAUAAUUAUUGAAAUGCUAUAAAUAAUAUUGGUUAUGAGAAGGUAUGACUCUAAUAAAACGAAAGGGUAUAUCGCUUUGAUGGAAGACACAUUUUCAACGAACGUAUAAAUAGAGUCCGGUCCUCUCUCCACCCACAUACGAACAACAAUAACAAAAGAAACGUAUUCUCUCCUCCAUCAAUUGAAUACAUUAAGGUUUAGUGGGUUAAGGGAGAGAAAUCGGAUUUCUCCUUUUGGUUCAAGAUCAUUGGGUUUUCUACAACGAUCAUCAUCAAGCGUAGCGCUAUGGAUAAAGGUAUGUCUUCAUCCAAUUGUGAGAAUCAUGAAGAUCAAAGAUCAAUGAUUUGUUAUGAGUUUCCGCAUCAAGUUUUAUAUGAAUUAUAUUCUAACAAUAUACCGAUGUAUGUUACUGUUUACUAACGGCUUUGAAGUUACUAAUGUUUAUUCGAAACUGUUAACAUUAAUUUGAUGGUAUAUCGCUGAACUAUGAACAUGGAACUAGGUACCAUUUUUUACCCCACGAAAUGCUUUCAAACAUCCGUUAUGUGGGGUUCUAUACUUUUGGUUUGUUUCCUAGUUUAUUUAACAUUUCUUAAGUAUUAACAGUUUGUCUUUAUUAUUUACUCUUUUUCGGCGACAUUUUAAAAAAUAUAAUUUCUAUCUUGUUCCAUCGCUUUUUCACCGAUGUCCCAUCGAUUCGAUUUUUGUUCUCCUUUUUUGCCAAUUACCGGUUCAAUUCGAAUGCGUUCUUCUCGGAGCUAAAGAAAAGUGAAGCCAUGUACUACUUAUGACCAUAGUAAAAUACAUAUGAGAACUAAAGCUUAGAAAACCGAGUGCCACAAAUUAUCACAACAUUUUACUAUUGAACACAUCUACUUACUAUAUAAGUAACACGAUUCGGUAAAACAAAUAAUUUUAAGUUUUUUCUACAAACUUGUUGAAAUUCAUAUGUGUUUAUUUUGCUUUUUGGAUUUAUUUAAUUGACCCUUUUUUUUGGUCAUAUAAUUGACAGUUGAAAUACCUGAAGUUUUCUGUUGACUAAUAACUUUCUUAUCCAAUACGCGGAACUUAUUUUGAUUGAAUUGCGCACACCACUAAUAACCAACAUCCCUUGUAUAAUAAUCAUCGAUGCUUGCUCGUUUGGCAUCGGGAAUUUUUUUUUAAUUAUAAAAGGGGCUAAAAACCCGAUCACUUUUUUUUUUCCUCCCUAACUGGAAGAACAUUUUAAGUAUUUGGUCUGUUGCUGUGCCAAUAGAGAUGAUAUGGACUUCUGGGGGCUUAAUUAAAUGGAUUCCAGCAGGUCAUUCCACAAUUGGAGGGAUUGACAUUAGUGAGGGAGGAUGUUAUGAUGAUGCAGCAGCAUUACAUCUUUCACAAUCUCAGAGGGUUGACUUUGGGAUGCUACCAUGACGAAAAUGUUGUUUUUCUGUCCGAUUUCCUUCUCCAGAGUUUCCCUAAUUUGGACAACUUGUGGGUGGACUGUAGUUCCUUCAAGGAGUUAUUUCCAGAAGAUGUGUUUGGACAUGGGGAAGUGACUCCUCAUGGAGGACUAACUAACACGAAAAAAUCUCUCGAGGCACUCGGAAAAUUGAAGUGCCUUGUGCUGUCUAAUCUGGAUAGCCUGAGGCGAGUUUGGAAAGAUGGCUCCUUGAUGGUUGAAAUCCUUGAACAGAUUGAAUUUCUGAGGGUUCGGCAGUGCCCAAAUUUAUCAAUUGUACUUCCAUCUCCGACUUCAUUCCGGAGCUUGAUAGAAUUAAAAGUAUAUGAUUGCUCUGGUUUAGUUCAUAUGGGGACUUGCUCAGCAAUGACAAGUCUGGUGUACCUUACUCAGCUAAUGCUAAAAGAUUGUGAUGUAAUGGAAGACGUGGUAACAAAUGAUGGAAAUGGAGUAGAGGAGAUCUCUUUCUGCAAGCUGCAACUAUUGACACUUGAUGGUUUACCAAGUCUCGAGAGCUUCUCCCCUACGAGUUGCACCUUCAUAUUCCCCUCAUUGAUGCGUAUUUUUGUGAAGCAGUGUCCCAAGAUGAAUAUAUUCUGCAAGGGUUCCUUGAGGACACCAAAACUAGAUAAGGUACUGCUCUCUACUAAGGACGAUAUAGGGCGCUGGGAGGGCGACCUUAAUACUACCAUCCAAACCUUGUCAACAUGUAACGAUCCACACUGAGUUUAGUAAGUCAGGUAAAUGCCUUUUCUAACAACAUAUGUUAUUUUAGAAAUUGUUAUAGUUUUUUUGUCCACUAAAAACAUGAAAAAUUUAAUAAAAAUUAUGAAAUCAAUUUAUAAUCCCCUAAAAUAUGAUGUUGUAAGGGCUGUUAUUAUCACCUAAAAGGGGGUAAAUAGGUGAAUAUGGGGAAAUAGAAGAUAAUUGAAUUCAAUAUCGUAAUAGGACAACGUUCAGUGACAAAUUUGAAUGAUGAACACAUCUUACCAAUGUGCAAUAUUCUAUCACACAAAAUGAAUAAGACUUUAAGGGAUAGAAAAAUGCAAACAAUUAUUAUAGUGGGUCGUCUUAUGGAAAGACUACUUUCACCCUCUCCCCUUGACAGCCUAUCGGUUGAAUUUCACUAAUAUAUCAAUUAGAGGUUACAAUAACUAAGUACUCACAACUCGAGUAGGUGUGAUCAAGUCUUCUGAUCUCACACCCCAAGAGCAACCUCUAAAUGAUUACAAAUAAAGCUCACUAAGAAGAGUAUUAGGGUCGAAGCUCUCUAGAACUUUGGAAUUUUUAGACUGCAAUUCUUGUUCUUCCUUUAGCAUCAUGAUCUCCUUUAAAUACUCCUCAUUCCCCAAGCCAACCGUUGGAUAUAAAUUCGAGGAUCAUUAAUUCAAUCUACCCUUUGGACCUUGAAUGAUACAAGAACAACUGAUUACCUCUGGAAUGCCGAGAAUAGAGUCUCUUUGAUUAUGCUACCCAUUCAACAGAGAUUAGGUUUCCAUAAGUUGAGUUUCUCAUUUGGAAAAAAAAGCAUCUCAUCUUCUAUUGAUUAUGACACGAAUUCCGAAUCCUUAUUAGGAAAGAAAAUGCAUUGCUAAAAAUCCCUUCUAGACAACCAAUACCUGGAAAGAAAUCCAGGCCAAUUACCAGACGUUGAGCAAAGAUUUGAUAUAUUCUUCUGUUGGUUUAUCGCACAUAUCUUCUGGAUAAUUCUUUGUACGAAUUAAACCAUUUGCUACAAUCAUGUUCGUAGAGAGCCGAUCGCAUAAACCAUUGAGUCUCAUGAAUUAUAUACACGUUGAAAGUUUUGUCAAUCCUCAAAAUUACUUAGGGAAGUUUCCUCAACAAUCUCCUCAUUUUUUUAUGAUGACAAAACUUUCCAAACAUAAAAGAUUGGAUUUGAAAAGAUUUUAGAAUAAGGUGCUCCAUAUAAAGAAUGUUAAAGAAACUUUUGCACAGUUCAUGAUCUAUAAGAAUCUCUGAGUUGGUGAUCAAACAUAUAAGGCAAGAGUUUCUUAUAGAAGGACAAUCAAUCCAGAGAAAAAUAUAAACAAAGGAAUACACUCUUUGAAUAUUUAAUAUAAAAUCAAGGAAUAAGAAUGUUUUAACCAAGUCUUGUAUGAUGUCCAUGUAUGUAGCUCCCCCUGCAUCUCCCCCAGCAUCUCCCCCUCGAUAUAAGAAUCUCUAAAAGAUCUGCUUGCACAAAUUUUCCCCCCUUUUUCUCAGCAUCACGUAUAAUAGUCAAAGAAACUCAUAGAUAUAACAGUCAAAGUUCAAGCCAAAAUAACUGUCAAACUAUAGUCUUAGUUCAAAUUACAAACCAAGAUUCAAAAUGCAAACAAAAAUAUCAAUCCAAACUUUUAAAUAAAUUGACUGCAAGACGCUAAAAAAUUCUAUUUUGAGGAGGAUGGUUGAUUUGGGUUUGUAGUAGGAGAAAUUGGUGAGGAAGGCUUAUCAGCAGAAAUGGAUAAGGUGGUAAUCGCUCAGUCUGGCCACUGUAUGUUCGACUUCCUUCAAUCUUCUCUGUACAUCCUUCGAAUUUUGCUACAUUUGAAUCCUAAACAAGAGCUUCAUUUCUUUGAUACUCUUUUAUAGACUGCUUUGUUGUUCCUUGAUUUCCAUUAGGGUUUGCAGAAUAACAGCGUGUUGUACAGGAUUCUGAUAUUAAUCUUCUAUUGUAUCCUCUGUCAUAUCAACAUCAGCUACAAACUCUCCAACAUUUGCUUUUUGUUGCUAUUAUUCAUCGUUCUCAGGAGCAUAUAACACCUGUUGUUCAGUCUCUUCCAGAAGCCGAGUCUCAUGGACUACGAUCAAACUUCUGUCAUCAGCAGGUUCUUCUUUAUUUCCUUCAGGAGUUUUCUCAUCAAAUUCAUCCUCACUACCCAAGCCAUCAAAAUCAUCUUCAUCUAGAUCCUCUCCUUCCUCAGAAGGAUCAAAAUCAAGUCAGAAGAAUCAUCGAAUGCUCCAACCUCUUUAUCUUUUUUCUGAGCUUUCCUUUCUCUUUUCUGGAGGGGAUGCUUGUUCAAGAGCAGCUGUUUCGACAUCUAUAGGCACUGGUUUUCCCUCUGUCUUUCCAUCCAUCACUUGUUGACUCAAAGCUCAUUUUUCUCUAUCAUCUUUUCACCAACAAACAUCAGAGGGAGUGAUUUUGAACCAAGCUUCCUGGGAAUUUCAAUAUCUAGAUGUUUGAAGAUUUUUGUUUUCAGAGAUCCAUAGGGCAAUUGUCCCUCAUUUUUUAGGACACAUUAGUACAUAUGGAGGAUCGCCAUGUGGGCUAGGGAGGGAUGAUCAUUUAAGAUUGCCCAAAUUAGUUUAGCUUCAUACCUUGACAUAUCAGUCUUUGACGAACUCUUUGGUCUUAAACAAUUGAUGAUGAUUUUGUGCAAAACAAUUUGCUUCAAAGGGAAAUGAUAAAGCAAAACAUGCAAGAUAGUAUCUCUGUUGAAAUCAGAAAUAUCAGAAAUUGAUCGAUAGGCUAUGUUAGGAUCUAUGUCAAUAGGAAUGAAGUCAGAAUAGUUGACCCCAAGAAUUUUUGCCAACUCAGAUGCUUGAAGAAGAUGUGCUUCAUCAUAAAGUGUAAACUUGGUUGUAUUUAGAGAGUAGAAGGAUGUAUUUGAAUAAAAAUAUGCUGUUAAGGCAAGAUAGUUUGGAAAAUCCAUUGUGCAGAAAUAAGUCAUCAAACGUUUUUCAAAAAAAAAAAGAAAAAUUGAUAUGGAUGCCGGACGAUUCAAAGAAGUCAAAAUUGACAGUGUGAUGAUUAAUAACAAAUCUAUUCAAUAAAGAAUAAAAGUGCGCAAGAUGAGCUUUUGAUCUCGUCAGUUUCCCAACUCUGCUUCCUACAGCCACGAAACCACCAUGUUUCCUCUUAAAUUUUUCGAACAACUUUUCAUCAUUGUCCCCUUUUCUCCAUCAUCAAAGUCAGUCUUCUUCUUACUUCCUUUCUUCUUCCCUUUUUCAGAGACAUGGGUUUUGAUUUUUUCAACAUCCGGAGAUUUGUCCACCUUUUCUUUUCCUUUCCUCGACCUAGUAUUAAUUCCACUAGAAUCACCAAACUGAAUAGGUGGUAAGACUCUGAUUGGACUGGCAAGCACGUUCUCAAGAGUUUCUUCAUUAUCAUACCCACUUUUGGCCAACAGAUUCGAAAUAAGUUCCUCAUUAUUCCUCAAUUUUCUCAACGAUUCAAUGGCUGAUUUCAAGUUACUCACACUGAUGACCUUAGUGUUUGGAAGAGACGAUUGAAGAUCCACAGAAUCAGAGCGAGUACAUUUAAUAUUAUUAGAGGAAUCCGAGAUUUCAAAAUGCUCUACACCUCCCAUUGCCCUAGAGAAUCUUCCCGCAAUGCGAUUCGAUUUUCGAGAGCCCGUUAGUCUAGGCUUUGAGUUUUGCACAAAUUUGGGUGCCAUGGUAUGUUUGGAGAGGAAAUGUUUUGGAUCUUGAAGACAGACAACGAUCGCUGGAGGAAGGGUUUAGAGUCUAUCGAGAGAAGAAAGCAUAUGUUGGGUUUUGAGGUUGAAGGGCGAGAAAAUGUUUUAUAGAUAUUGAAACGACAUGACCUUUAAACAAAAUAAGCAGUUUAUAAAUUUAAAAACUCAAACGAUAACUGCAGUACAGUUAUUCCAAAAUGAACUUCAACAAUAUUCAUUAAAAUAAUUAAAUUUCAAAAUUAAAUACAUACUUGGUUUGUUUACUAAUAUAAAUAUUACCCGCCAGAUUUCAAAAUGGAGAUUUUGGAUAUUCAUAUCUUCCAUUGUCAACUUGCUGAUGCACAACAUCUAAUCGCACCUGUCUUAGGAGACACUUUGAGAAAUUGGAUUAAUAAUUCCCAAUAUAUUUCGUAUGAAAUCAAAAGCUUUCUUUUCCAAUAGUUUUGUAAAAAAAUCAGCUAGUUAAUUUCUAGAGUCAAUGAAUUAAAUGUUUACAUCACUAUUAUGCGCAUGGUCACGGAUAAAAUGAUUCUUAAUCUCAAUGUGCUUAGCUCUAGAGUGUGGAUGAGAUUUUUUGUUAAGUUGAUGGCACUAGUGUUGUCACAUUUGAUUGAGAUAUUUGAUUCCUCAACACCACAACCUUUUAGUUGUUGCUUCAUCUAGAAUCUGAGCAUAGCAACUACCCAACACUACAUAUUCUACCUCCAUUGUUGAAAGAGAUGCGGUGCUUUGCUUUUUGGAAUACCAUUAGACUAAUAUGUUCCCUAGCAUUUGACUACUUCCAAUAAUACUCGUUCUGUCAAUCUUACAUCCUGCGUAAUCAACGUCAAAGUAUCCAGAUAAUACAAAAUCUGAUUUCUUGGAAUACCAAAGUCCAAGAUAGGGAUAUGUGUUAAUGUACUUAAUAAUUCUUUCUACAACUGAUAAAUGCAAUUCCUUUGGAUUUGAUUGAAAUCUGUACACAGCAAAUAAUAAAAAGAAUGUCAAGUCAUGAAGCAGUGAGGUAUAAUAAGGAAUCAAUCAUGCUUCUAUAUAGUUUUUGAUAAACCUUUUUACCCUUUUCAUCCUUAUCAAGCUUCGAUGAAUAUGACAUUGGAGUUUCUGUUUUCUUUGGGCACGUUUGGUAACGUUUCUGUUCAAAAAUUGUUCCAGGGAACAUAAACAAAAAAAACUAUUUUUGUUCCAAGGAACAAUUUUUGACCAGAAAGACGUAUUUGGUAAACUUGUUCCGGUAAUAAAAAAUGAAUAGAAACACGUUUGGUAAAUUUAUAUUCGUUUUUUGUUUCUUUUAAUUUUUUAAUAUUUUUAUUUUAUUUUAUUUUAUUUUUCCUUUUUUCUUUUUUCUUUUUUUCUUCUUUUGGCCGGUCGCCGGCCUCCGACGACCGGUCGACGGGGGCUGGUAGCCUCGCCCAGCCACGGCGAGGCUCGGCCUCACCUUCGUUGGGCGAGCUCGGGCUGGCCCAGAUCCGGAAAGGCCGAGCCUCACCGGUGGCUGGGCGAGCUUGGCCUCGCCCAGAUCCGGCGACGCUUCGGGGAAGGUCGCCAACCCUCAACGGCGUCGCCAGCCAAAGAAAAAAGAAGAAGAAAAGAAGAAGAAAAGAGAAGAGAGAGAAAAAAAUGUUAUUCAAAAGUGUUUCUUGAACAAAACAACAACUUUGUUCCGGGAACAAAAAAACAGAUUUUGAACAAAAACGCAAACAAACACGUUUAGGUUCUUUUUUUUUUGUUUGUUCACGGGAACAAAUAAACAAAAUUUUUGUUCAUAAACAAGAAAAAAGAACAUUACCAUGCAGGGCCUUUGAAUUUAUCAUGCCGAACUUCUUCACAACUUCCUUUGCAUGCUUUUCAUGAUAAAUAAAGGUUAUAUUCUUCAUUUGCUUGAUUUGUAGACUAAGGAAGAAAGUUUAGUCGCUCAUCAGACUCAUCUCAAACUCAUCUUGCAUCAACUUAGAAAUUACUUGCAAAGAAUUUUGUUAGACGAUCUAAAUAUAAUAUCAUUGACAUAAAAUUGAAAAAGCAAAAUAUCUUACCUUCUCAUUUAUAAAAAGCGGUGUCCACUUUACCUUUGUUGAACCCAUUCCAAGUGAGAAAAUUGCUUAGUUUUUCAUACCAAGCAUGAGGUGCUUGUUUCAAACCAUACAAGACUUUCUUUAAUUUGUACACAUGAUCAUUUUUUCUUGGUUCUACAAAUCCUAGUGGUUGUUCCACGUACAACUUUUCUUUGAUAUAUCUAUUUGAAAAGCACUCUUGACGUCCAUUUGAAAGAGUCUGAAAUCAUAGAAACAAGCAUAAGCAAGUGAAAGUAUGAUACUUUCUAACCUUGCCACAAGUGCAUAAGUUUCAUCAUAUUAAUCCCCUCUUCUUGUGAAUAGCCUUUACUCACAAGUCUUGCUUUGUUCCUAUUAGCUCUUUUUUUAUCAUCCAAGUUGUUCUUGUACACCCACUUAGUUCCUAUCACAGGAUGAUCCUUUUGUUUUGGUACCAAUUCUCAUACUUCAUUUAAUUUGAAUUGAUGAAGUUUCUCUUGCAUGGCUUGAAUCCAAUUUUCAUUUGAUAAAGCUUCCUCAAUACCUCUUGAUUCAACUUCUAAUAUGAGUGUUAAGGUACCGAUUACGUUCUUUAAAGUUGAUCUCGUUCUAAUCUUGUCAUUUAUAUCCCCAAUGAUAAGAUCCUUUUGAUGAUCGAAUUUAUGCUUCCAGUUCCUAUUGAACCUCUUGUCUGAUUUUGAUGUCUCCGCUUCAUCAGACCUUUUAAUUGCUGAAUUACUUUAAUCAAUACUCUGAGUUUUUUUUUUUUUUGAACAGAAUCAAUACUCUGAGUUUGAACAUCUGGAUCUGGUGCAUCUUUUGUUUCAGUUGUUGGACUUUGAAUUUCUUUUGAGGGUGGAUUAGGAUCUUCCAAAAAUGUUUGAUUACUUUAGUCAAACUUCACGUUUAUCAAUUCUUCAACCAUGCGAGAAUUCUUAUUGAAGACUUAGAACGGCUUGCUUGUGGUCGAGUAUCCAAGAAAGAUGCCUUCAUGUGAUCUUUCAUCAAACUUGCUAGGGCGAUCAUUAGCAUUUUUAAGUAUAAAGAAUUUACAAUCAAAAACUCGAAAGUAUGAUAUGUUUGGUUUUCUUACUUUAAAAAUUUCAUAGGAGUUUUUUCAAGAGAGGUUCUUGCCAUUUCUUACAAGGACCAAUUUUUCCUUUUCACUGCACUUUUUUGCUCGGGUGUUGGAAAUUAGUGCUCAAAACCAUUUUCAUCAUAGAAAUAUUUAAACUUUGAUUUUCAAAUUCACCUCCAUAAUGUAACCUUUUCAAUUUGAAUCUUUUUUUUUUUUUCAAAUUUUGAAAAACAAGUGAAUGCAUCAUAAAUAUGAGCAAGAAAGUAUACCCAUGUAAAUCUGGCAUAGUCAUCUACAAUAACUAAACAAUACUUCUUACCGCCCAGACUUUGACUCCUUGUAGGCUCGAAGAUAUUCAUAUGAAGAAGCCACAAGUAAUGGUCAAUGCUAACAUGAUUUAAAAGUUUAAGAACUUCUUACUUGCUUGCCCAUAGUACAAACUAAUCAUAGUUCGGAUCUUUCAUAUUUCAAGUCCGGUAGUCCACGAACUAGCUUCUUUGAGAAUAGCUUUGUAAUAUGCUUUAUGCUGAUAUGACCAAGUUUUCUAUGCCAAAGAUCUAAUUCAUCCUUAAUUGAAACAAGAUGGUCCAGCCUAAGGACCUUAAAUAAAGGCCGUGGUUAUCGGAGCCCCCGUUCUACGUAAAUAAAACGGAAGGGUUAACCACGGGGGGAUUUGUAAUCAAAUUUGGAAACACCCCCUGGCUUGAUCCCAGCUCUGCUGCGCUGACCUCUCGACGACUGCCAGUCCAGUAUCUUAAAAAUGAUAGCAGUUGGUUACAAAUUUGGUUAAUUGAAACAAUACAUUUAAUAUUAUAAGACUUUAUGUCUAAUAAAUAUAUGUUUUCAUGUCUUCUUCCAGUAAAGGAUUGCUUAUUCUCACAACUUGUUCUUGAACUGUUGUUUUCUUGAAAGCAUAUUUUGAGUCCAACGUCAUAUGGUUGACUGAUGCUUAUCAAAUUGCAGUUGAAACCUUUAACAAGAGAUACAUUAUUGAUUGUGAGAUUCCCAAUUUUGGUUGUUCCACUACCAAUAAUUUUUCCUUUAAUGUUUCCUCCAAACGAUAUGCUUCCAUCGUUGUAUUUUGAAAGCUCAACAAACUUGGUUGAAUCACCAGUCAUAUACCUUGAGCAUCCAUUAUCCAAACACUAUUUUUUCUUCUUUUUCUUUGAUACCUACAAUUAUAGAACAAAUUCAAGUUUUCUUUGGUACCCAUAUUAGCUUGGGUCCUUUCUUGUUAGAAGGUUCAUCUAUAAUUAUAAAAUUUCUUCGAAUUGGUUUCCAACCUUUUGGGCAAUCACUCUCAAAAUGAUUUGGGUUGCCACAAAUUGAACACUUGAGGAAGCUUUGGCCAAUAGGUUUUAAAAAUUGUUUUUUGAAAUGAUUUCUAUAGACAGCUUUUGAAGGUCAUUGCUUUUUCUUGUCUUUGUAUUUAGGAAAAUCAUUCUAAAGAUCACUUUUGUUUUUGCAUCCAAGACAUAAUUUGUUGUAAUAGGGAAUUCAAAUAGACAAUGGGUGCAUUUGGGGGUGGCCUUUAGAAGGCACAUUGGACACCCAAAGCCCCUUGGGCCAAAUAGAGGGUGUUUGGUGAAUUUUUUUUAAACCCUAUUUGGGAAAUAUGAGCCUUCAAAAGGCUGAAAGCCCAAGGCAGCUCAGGGGGUCUCUAGAAAGCCCAUUUUAUGAAAUCUCCGAGAGAUCAAAAUAAAAAAAAGUACGGAUACUUUAUUUAUCACCAAGUAGAGAUGAAUACUAUAUGAUAGCAGCGAGAAAUUCUUUAGCACUGAAUCAAUGUAUUUAAGAAGAACAAGUUGUUCCAACUUGAUACCGUCAAGAACUCUUAACUAUUGCAUGGGAACAGGUUAAUUCCCAGACAUGUUGAAUAUAAAGUAUGACUAUGCAUUUAUCUCGUAUGUGUUCCUUGCAACGCACGGACAUAAUUCUAGUAUCCUCUAUUUUGGAUUUUGAAGGGCUUCAAGUGGGUGACCACAAUACCACAAUUCACAAAUUAUCCUCAGCAAGUUCUUCAUAUACUCGAAUCUUUUUGUUCUUUCUAGUUCCUUCCUAACAGUUUAGUCCAAAUGGCAACUCCAUUUCACUCCAUUCGCUGAUAGAUGUAAUAUAGCAUAAAUUUACAGAGCUCAAGAAUUGAUCACUACUCCCUAAUCAGUAUGCAUUCUUUGAAGUGCUGUUCAAUGCAACCAUGUGCUUCUCUGUAUCACGAACCAAGUCCUUCAUGUGUUACCCUGAUUCUCUCAAAAUACUGAAUUCUGAAUUACUGAUGAUGUUUUGCAGUUGCUGGAAACCGAUAAGAUGAGAAAUUGGCUCGUCCCAUACAGACGAAGUUGCAUUCAAGCACUUCAGCUUUUCUUGAUCAUCAUAUUGUGCAAUGGCGAAAUUCUCGAGGACAGCUUGGACCUUUUUUUAAGUGUAUUUCUUCUUCCCUUUCGUUCUGCAUUAAAUUACAACUUAUCCUGCGGGAAAUUACUUAACUAUUGUCGGGACAUUUCAUGGGAUUAAUAAUGUAAUGCUACCAGCACACGCAGCCAUGGACUACCAUUCUCUUGGCGAUUUGGCAUUCAGGAAUAAACUUCAUCCACUCUACUAUCAACUAAAAUGAUUGUGCUCUAGCUUUGCGAGAUUCAUAGCUCACAACUCUUCGGGGAGCGCAUGUAACUUUUGUUUUCUUAAGGCUGGGUUCUCAAUUCUCUCGUCCAUCAGUAGGUUCUCAAAUUUCGGCUUUUGCCGUCUUGGAAUCUGUAGAUUGUUAUGUCCCAGGAAUUCUGGAAAAACAAAAUGACUGCGUUGGACGAUCUUACGUUUGCGUGGGAAUUCGUAAGUUAAACGGCAAUCAAGUAAUCAUGAUUGGGGGGCCAAUUAAUUCAUAAAGAGAGAAUUUUCGAUUAAAUAUCGAGGGUCAUUAUCUAUAUCUAUAUUCAAUCAUGCCCUUGAUAAUGUAAAAGGAAUAUUGCAUUAAUUUGAAUGAGAUGAUUAAAAUUUUGACUAAUAUGUUGGUGGUUCCCCUCAAAUCUAACAACUUAACAAAUCCACAGCUCAUUGCCAUCCAAAUUCUUUUCCUCAAUUUUCAAAAUUAAAAGUUUAUCGUGGAUUUUAUCAUUUCAAAUUAAGAUUGUAAUCGUCUCAUGUUUUUGCACGCACGUAAGCAUGUGCCCUAUUUUCCGUAAAAUGAAAUGACAAUUCCAGCUAUUCAGAUGAGAAUUGACAUAUACUAUCUGGCUAUGCGGCAAGGCAAUUCACGUUACAAUAAUAAGUCAAAAACAAAAGAGAUAGGCACUAUAAAAAUCUUAUACUAAAGAGCAAACUCACGACCGCACGAUUGUUGAGUCUUGACUUUCCAAUUAGACAUAAGGGUAUUUUAGACCAUGCACUUUUAUUUUAGAGAUUCUUAAAGGGAGACUACAAAAGAAAUGUAUUUAAUAACAUAUCUCCAACCCUAGUGUCACGCCCCGAACCCCAAAUACGAGCACAUCCUUUGGCGGUCGAUUAAAAAUGCGACGUCCUAGGACGCGUCACUGACCCAUUCUUUUUAUCUUUCAAUUAAGCGCAUGCAAAAGCGAAUUAAAUGAACCAUCGGUCAAUAAACAAACAUAUGGAUAGUAAAACAAGCCAGCAAAUUUUCACAAACUAUGAUUUAUAUAUAGGGAAAAAACCAUGAAAAACCUCAAACUUUGCCCAAAGUGACAAAUUUACCCCAAACUUUUUUUGUGACGUGAAAGAUCCUGAACUUUGCCAACCGUGAUAUAUUUAUCCCAAACUUUCUUUUGUGAUACAAAAAACUUUGAACUUAUAUCCGUGUGACACAUUUACCCUAGUUUAUAGGGCAUUUUGGUCUUUUUACUUUAAAAUUUUUGCUUUCUUUUUUUCUUCUUCUUCUCUCUUCCCUCCACCGGCCAUGGCGGAGCCACCGUCCGGCAAGGGCUGCCCUCGUCGACGUCGCGCAAGAGUCACCCUUACCUGGGCUGGCUAGGGCCGCCCUCGGUUGGGUCGGGCGAGGGCAACCCUCGCUUGGGCUAGCUAGGGCCACCCUCGCUUGCGUCAGGCGAGGGCCUCCCUCGCCAAAUCUAGCGAGGGUUGUCCUUGCCAGACAUAGGUGAGGGCGGCCCUCAUUGGCUACGAGGGUCGCUCUCAGUUGCGUUGAGCGAGGGGUGCCCUCACUAGAUUUGGCGAGGGGAGGCCCUCACCCGACCCAGCUGAGGGCUACCCUCGCCCGACGUCGGCGAGGGUGGCCCUAGCCAGCCCAAGCGAGGGCGACCCUCACUGGACGUUGGCUUCCCUCCGCCAGCUCCGCCAUGGCCAGUGGAUGGAAGAGAGAAGAAGAAGAAAAAAAGGAAAAAGAAAAAGAAAAAGGAAAAACAUAAAAAAAAAUAAGACAAAAAUGCUCUUGAUGAGGUAAAUGUGUUACAGUAUGAAAAGUUUGGGAUUUUUCUUGUAAAAAAAAAAUGGGGUAAAUUUGUCACUUUGGGCAAAGUUUAAGGUUUUUGGUAGUCUUUUCCAUUAUAUAUAUAUAUAUAUAUAUACUGAGUUAACCCUACGAGUUCAUAUAUACAAGUCUAUCAAAAAGUGAACUCCUACGCGACCUACUAACAGAAGGGUCCAGGUCGGGGCCAACUUCCCUCUGUACAACUACUACAAGCUCCUACAACCUCUGCCCUAAUAACCAAACCUAGGUCUAGCCAAGAGGUUGGGCAAGUCACUAGAUGAACACGGCUCCCCGGGCCCUUUUGGCUCUGUAUCUGGUUCUACCACGAUACCUUCCGGGAUGUCUAUAUCCAUGGGGUCGAUAUCCUACUCAACCCCACUUCCUAUGCGUAGCCCAUCAAAACCGUGCAUGGGACCCUCCCGAUCACCAUUCGGUUUUGUAAUAUAUUAAGCCUCAAAGUGGUGGGGUACCAAAUUCACAAAACCUUCAUCGACCCAAACUGUAGUCACAACCCACUCACGAAAUUGGUUGGUCUCGAGAUAGGGUAGAAGGUAUUAUCUAACUCCAUCUCCCAUGGGAUCCUGAAUCGAACUGAACAAACCUCCAUACUAAGGACCUAAAAAAGUUUAACCACGACGGGAUGAAAUAAAAUCCCAGUGAGUCAAUAGGUUUAACCCCAAGUAGGACACAAAUUCACCUCAAAGGCGACCUAAGCACGCACCAUUCAAAACUUACCUCGCCUUGGCACGUCCCGGCAUAUUAGUGUAUCACAUAUGCCAUUAUAAAUACAAUAAGCAUAAUUAAUAACCAGAACACAUAAUUCUCACAUUCCAAACAUUCACAUGGGUCCCGAUUAUAAGGUAAAACCGUUAUGGCACGUCGCAUACCAUGCCUAACAAUUUUGCCCCAUAAUCAAGCGCAAAGCAUCACAACCAUUCAGGCGUGUUCCAAUUAUUAUGAUCCUUUGGUCACAGCCAACUCAAAAGUCUGCGGUCAUUCAGCGUACUAGACAUCGUCCCGCCCUAUUGGGCAUGGCAAUGUCUAGCACCCGUCGCCUAGACGGCAUUUCAUAAGGAAGCAUCAGUCCAGCCUCAACCGCGACUCAGCAUCCCAUUGACGUGGGGGCAUUCGAAUUUAAUCGGGUAUCAUCCCGUGUAAACGCAUUAGGACGGGUUCCAUUAAGUGACCAUACGAGCACAUAUUUAGCAAGAACACCGUGUUUUGCGUUCAAAUGCCUUGUUUUCAAAUAAUGAACUUGGCCAAUUUUUCUUCUUAUUAAAAAUCUCAAUAAAAUAAUCGUGCGUGGUCACGUAUUCGAAAUCGAACCGUCAAACAAACUUAGUACACUGCCAUUUUAAAGCUCCAUGGUUUUAUAUAAUACAUAAAAGUUGGCGUCCAAACCCAACACCAUAUUAUUUUUCUAUUUAAAAGCUUAUAAAGCCAUCUUUUGACAUAAAAGUUGGAACCAACGAUAGAUCAAUCAAUUGCACAAUAUCGGACGUGCAAACACUCAAAAUCAUACAUAAUUGCAUCCAAGAAAAUGAGCGUAAAAUUCUACGUAAUGCCUAAUCUGUCACUAAUUACGCUAAUUACAAUUAAUUAAAUAAAUCGUGAUUAAUUAAGUAAAUUGUGAUUGAUUAAGCUAAUCCAAAUUAAUUAACCUAACCAUGAUUACCUAACCUAACCAAUAUUACUUAACCUAACCAUAAUUAACGAAAACUAAUCAUCAUCAAGACUAAACUAACUACCCCUACGUGCAAUUAAUGGCCUAAUAAAUGAUUAGGGAGUUAACUCACGGGAUUAUGACAGCGGCGGGCUCGCAGCGACGCGACGAAAACUUGAGACAAACACAGCUUGCACGGAGGCUCGACGGUGGCAGUGGUUGCCCUACAAGCUCUCGGCCAAGGGGAGGGCUUGGCUCGGCUACUUGGGGGCUGGUCGGUGGAGGUGGCUGCAGGUGCUGCUGUGGCCAGGACGAGGUGGUGCUGGAGGCGUGCGGUGCUGGAUGUGGGACGGGCGGCUGCUGGACACGAAGGAGCUGGGCUGGACACUGGUGUUGCUAGCUGUGGUGACGUGGGAUGCUAAACGGUGGUGGUGGAUGGUGGUGGAGCUAGUGGGUGAGUGCAGCUGUGGUUGAGAGCGAGCGGUAUGGGUGGAAUGAUGAAGAUGAUGUUGGACGCUAGAGUGGAGUGGCAACCAGGCGAAGGGAAUGGAGAUGCUGAGGUGAGGGGAGAAUGAGCGUGAGGGGGAAAUGAGAUGAAGAAGAUGGUGGUCGGCUGAAGGGGGGGGAUGUGCGUGCAUGAGAGAGUGAGGAAUGGGAGAGAGAGAGAGAGAGCGAAAGAAAGGGAAAAACAAAGAAGUCAAUGGAACAACCAAUGACAAACUUAGUAAAAUAUCUAAACCAUCAUCACAUUGCCUCAAAGUCUUCAUGCCCCAAAGUCCUUAGCUCAUCCAAUUACAAUUUAACUCUAAUUUCCCAAUUUAGAGCUUUUUGGGUAGAAAAAUCCUAUUUUCUCUACCCAUCCGAAUUUCCUUAAAUUUUCCUUUUCGUCCGAAAAAUCAUUUUUCUGUAAAAUUUUCGGACUCGAUGAAAAUUCGUUGAAAGAUGAGAUGACGUCCAAUAAAUGAAUCGUGACACGCUCAAACAUCUGAUUCCCGAAACCGACUUAAAUUUCGUGGUUAAAAUCGACCAAACGCAACUUUAGUACGACCUAAUCUAUCGGGUAGCUUUUAGGGAUUUUAGCACGUUUGACCCGUAAUCUAUCAUUUUCGAUCCACAUUUGUGCAUCUCUGAAUCGUAGACGACCCUCGGUUGUCACAUAAUCGCGAGGUUUCAAUUACGUAUUCCGAAUAUAAUAUCGAUAGAAAAUCGGUUUACUGCCGUUCGACGCGAAUAUCGCAAUCGUGUGGAACCAUCCGCAAUUCGACUACGUGAUUCCAUCGAAUCAACCUAUAUCCGUUCGCUAAUCGUUUAUAACGGUGUCAUCCUGCCGAUUAUUAUGGUCGAGUGGUCGAUUUCUAAUCGAAUUCUCUAAUCUGUCACGUUUAUAUCCCUUAACGGCCUCACAUAAUAGAUAAGUUAUCUCGUGAGUGAUUAAUUUCAAGUAAAUUAACCAUAAGCACAUCGACAAAUCAACCAUUUCAUAUAUCUGAAACGGGCCAAAUUUUUGGGAUGUCACACCUAGUCUCCAUAUUAUUUCCUAUUUUGUUUUUUCCUAUAUUGUUGUUAGAUCUUUAGAUCUUGUGACUUACCAAAUGGUCUUGAGAGCUUUGGAUUGUACUCUUGUACUCAUUAUUGAAGAUAGUGAAACCCCUUUCUCUCCCUGUGAUUUAUCUUGUUUUGGAUUUUCCAUGUAAAUCUUGUGCCUUGUGUGAUUUCAAUUUUCCUUUCAUCAUUUGCUACUUGUGCUCCAAUUGGUGCAUCUUUUGGCAUUUUUCCCCAACAAAUUGGUAUCAGAGUGAAGGAAUUUCGGUCUUUUUGUUUGAAAUGGCAUCUAUCGAGUUUGAAGUGGCACAUUUAGCUGGCCAAAACAAUUUUGGGCUAUGGAGGAUUAAGAUCAAAGCGUUAUUGCAUCAGGAAGGUUGAGUUAGAGCCUUGGACGGAAAUUAUUUCGACGAUAUGACUAUGGCAGAGAUCAAGGAGAUGGAGGAGAGGGCACACAACACCAUCCAAUUUGUCGUAAUUCGAUAAGGUGCUUCGCAAAGUCACAGGUGAAGAAAAGACUUUAGGAUUGUGGAAUAAGCUUGAGAGCCUCUACAUGAAGAAAUCUCUUAUGACAAGAUUAUUCUUGAAGUAUGUGUCUUUACACUAAAGAUGCAAGAAGGUACUCAUAUUCAAGAACAUCUAGAUGAAUUUAAUAAUAUCGUGAUGGAUAUGAAAAAUAUAAAUUUGAAGUUAAAUGACGAAGAUCAAGUUCUAAUUGUGUUAUGCUCACUACUGAGCUCGUAUGAAAAUUUUGUGAAUUCUAUAUUGUAUGGAAGAGCAUCUAUAACUCUUGAGGAUGUGAAAGCAUCAUUGAAUUCUGAGGAUAUGCAUACAAAAUUGAAUGCAAAUAGUGGGGGUGAUAAAGUUGAUGGCUUAAUUGUUAGGGGAAGGUCGAAUCAUUGUGAUAAACACGGUAAUAGUAAAAGGUGUUCGAAAUUUAGAUCAGGCAGAGAUAAGAGUAAGGUGAAGUGCUACUAUUGUCACAAUUUCGAACAUUACAAAAGUGGGUGUCCAGUGCUCAAAGCUAAGGGGAAGAAGCUAACGAAGGGUUCCGAAUCAGCUAUCUUGUGAAAAAUAACAAGUCAAUAAUGUAGACAAUGUUCUUACUAUUUUGUUUUAGAUUGUUAUGUCAAUGACGAAUGGAUUUUAGAUUCAGCAUGUUCAUACCACAUGUGUCCAUAUAGAGAUUGGUUCUACACAUAUGAAAAAGUCAGUGGUGGUUCAAUUUUGAUGGGCAACAAUGCAGUUUAUAGGAUUUUAGAUAUUGAUAAAUUGCAAGUUAAAUGUCAUAACAAUUUAGUAAAGACUUUGACUGAACGUUAGACACAUCCCACAUUUGAAGAAAAACCUUAUUUCAUUGAGUAGUUUAGAUUCCAUUUGGUGCAUGUAAACAAGUGGAGGUGGAGUUUUGAAAAUUUUAAGAGGCUCCUUGAAUGUGAUGUAGGGUAACAUAAAGAAAAAUCUUUAUGUUCUGCAAGGAAGUACCGUUGUGGGUUCUUUAAAUAUAUCAUCCUCUUCAGAUUAUGAUAAUCAAUGUUGUGGCAUAUGCGAUUAGGUUACAUGAGUGAAAGAGGAAUGACUAUCUUGAGUAAACAUUGUUUACUUUGUGAGGAUCAUACAGUCUCGACUUUUGCAAACAUUGUGUUUUCGAGGAGCAGUGCAGAGUUAGUUUCAAUAUUGAUAUGCACUCAAUGAAGGGCAUAAUUGACUAUAUCUACUCCGAUUUGUGGGGACCGAUAUAGGUAACAUCUAAGGGUGGUGUAGUUUAUUUUCUAACAUUUAUUGAUGAUUAUUUUGGGAAAGUCUAGGUUUAUUUCUUGAAGCGUAAAAGUGAUGUUUUUAAUAUGUUCAAGAAGUGGAAGAUGUUGAUAGAAUAUCAAAUUGGGAAGAAGAUAAAGCGUCUCAGAACGGAAAAUGACCUUGAGUUUUAUGGAGAUGAUUUCAAUAAGUACUGUGAAGAUUCGAGGAUUGUUUUUUUUUUUUUUGGUAAAGGUAAUAAAAAGAUUCGAGGAUUGUUCGACAUCAAAUAGUUGGGUACACAUCUCAACAGAAUGGGGUGAUGGAGCGUAUGAACAAGACACUUUUAGAGAGAGCUAGGUGUAUGCUUUACAAUACUAGACUUAGGAAAGAUUUUUGAGUUGAAGUUAUGAAUAUGUCAUGUUAUUUAGUGAAUCGUUCUUCUUCAACCACAAUUGAAUGUAAGACUCCUAAUGAGGUAUGGUCAGGUAAACCUUUUAAUUAUUCUAAUUAAAAAAUAUUUGGAUGUCCUGCUUAUUAUCAUGUAAAAGAGGGCAAGCUUGAACCUAGGGCCAAGAAGUAUAUUUUUGUUGGUUAUGCAAACGGGCUUAAAUGAUAUAGGUUAUGGUGUUUUGACCCUCAAUCAUCAAAGUUUAUAAUUAGUAGGGAUGUUACUUCUGAUGAAAAUUCUAUACUUGAAAAGAGAAAGGUUAUUACUGAGUCUACAAGUAUUCAUGAGGAGAAUGUUCGAAAAGAGGUGAAGCUUUAUGUAAAGAUCCACGGAAAAUAGUUGAAGCUAUUCCUAUUUAGCCAAAAAGUGACAAUGAGUAACAAGACUCAAAUUCUAUCAAAGGAGAAGGAGAAGAAAUUGAGCAACCUCAAAAUUUAGCUGCCAAGAGAGGUAAACAACAAAUUAAGCCUCCCCAAAGGUAUGGUUUUGUUGAUUUGGUAGCGUAUGCUCUUAUAGUUGCUGAAGAGCUUGGUAUUGAAGAACCUUCUACAUUCCAUGAAGCUAUUAUUUGUUCUAGAUCUAGGAAGUGACCUGUUACGAUGAAUGAAAAGAUGGAGUCUCUUUAUAAGAACCAAACUUGGGAUCUUGUGACAUUGCUUAAGAGCAAAAGAGCUGUUAGGUGUAAGUGGAUCUUCAAAAGAAAAGAGGGAAUUCCAAGUGUCACGUCCCGAUCCUUGAGCGAGUGCCCAUCUCUUAGUGGUCAAUUAAGUAGAGACAUCCUAGGAUGCGUCAUCGAUCCAUUCAUUUUAAUGCGCAUGUGGAAGCGAAAAAUUAAAUCCCUAAACAACAACAAGAUGGGAUAGAAAAGCAGAGCCACAAUUUUCGAAAACUAUAACACACUUAUAUACACAUAUCAAACUAUGUCAUAGACAAUAUUAGCCGAUCUAUACAAGGUCUACAAAUAUGGGGGGUAGAGUGCUAUAGAUUCUCUAAGCAUUCGAGUCUUCAACUGAAUACUCCAGGGACCCUGGAUUCGACGAACUCGGGUCCACCAUUGAACCAUCUGGAGGGUCGGCCAUGCCUUUUCCAAAAGCAACCUCCAGCACCGACAUAAGGAUCUCAGAUUCCGGUAUGGGACCCUCUUUUUGUCCAUUUCGCUCACAACAAUACCACGAUCUAUAUUGAUGGAGUACCUUAUGGGUAGACCCUCAUCAACCCAGACAAUGGACCUUAUGAGCGCAAAGACCCAUCCCCUUGGGUUCCCAUGAAGUGGAAUAUAAGAUACCUGCUUGGUGACCUUCUUCGGCUGUUCAAAACGUUUGGGAGGUACUACCAUCUAAGGACAUGUAAAUGUUAUCCCAUAAUGGGGUGAGACGACAUCUCAGCAAGUUCACCCCCUAAGUCCCAACUAUGAAGGAAAUACGCUCAAAGGCUGCCUAAGCAUGCAUGAGAUAGAGGACUUCCCAUUGCCUCAAUUCCUUCAUGCAAGUUAGUACGAUUCAACCAUUCAACAAGUCAUUUCAAUUCAAUCGAUUCAACCCCAACAAUACUAUCUAUCAUUCAAUCCAAUCAAUACUAUCUAUCACUCCAGUACCGAUUAUUAAAUCACUUCAUCAAUACGAUAGUUGCUCACCCAAGCUGAUAUAGAUAGAUAGUAGUUCACCAAAGCUGAUAUAAAUAGAUAGUCGCUCACCAAAACUGAUAUACGCUCACCAAAGCCGAUAUAUGCUCACCAAAGCUGAUAUAUCAAAACCCGUAGGCUAAUAUAGUAUAUUGUUCUCAUUCCUUGGGAAUUUACUAUCUUUAUAGGUACCGGUAAAAAUAAUCGUGUGCGGGUAUACAGUUGGCCUUAGCCAAAAUACAAUAUUUUCCCUUCCCAAAAAUCUCACCAUUUAAUAUAGUCCACAAAGAUAUUGUUGGCAUUGUAAAUCAAUGCGUGGUAAUUUCCAAUUAAAUAUUGAAAUUACUCAAUUUUGGGAUAAAUACCCAAAAUUACAAUUAACACACAAUUUGCAUAAUUUAACACUCAAUUAAAUAAACCAACCAUACCACUGCGAUUAGCACAAAAUUCCGACCAUCGGCUAUCCCGACCUAAUUUCUGGAAAAUAAUAAUUAAUUAAAUAAUUACCAAAAUUAAUUAAUAAAUACCAAUAAAUUCAACUUAGGCCGGAAAAGCCUAAUUAAAUACCAAAAUGGGCCCGGAAAAUUUCGGAACCUAUCUAGAUAAAUACUACAACUUAUCACAUCUCUAAUUACGCUACUCUAACCACCUAACAUGCAUAAACGAAUCAUUAAAUCGCUAAUUCAUUCUAACUAACCACAUAAUCCAUACUUGACCUAAACUAAUCAACUCUUAAGCAUAAUUAACUCCAUAAGCGGAGAUUAGUGAGUAAACUUACUGGUUUUGCGAUUCGAUGAGUUCACUAGGACGACGAGGUGGAGACGACUGAUAAACUCCGAAGCAGGGGCAUCAAGUAAGGCCGGGAAAGGCUUGGAAAUGGGCCUCAAAGCCCACGGUGGGUUGCUAGGUUUCGGCUUUUAUGGUUGGGCCGAAGAGGCCGCUUGGACGACUAGCUUGGGUGAGAAAUGGUGGGAGCAGGUUGGUGAGGCUGCCGCAGGGUCGGGCAGCCAACGACAAGCGACGGUGGCAACCUGAAUGGCGACCACGACAGCAAGACGAGCUUAGGGUGGUAGGGAGGCGACAACCAGGGCGCAACAAGGCCGCAGAACGGCGGGACGUUCGCACGAGCUCGGGCGCAAGAGUGAGCAGCUCCGACGGCGAGCAGUGGCGAUCCAACGAGGCUGGCAAUGGCAGGGGGACUUGGCUCGAUUUCUUUUGGGUCUUUGGAGCUUCUAGAGGUUUGCAAAUGGAGGAAGGAGGCUGGGGGAAGAAGAAGGAGAUAGCCAAGCUUUAGAUGGGGCCACUUAGUCUCAAUUCUAUCCCUUUGUCCCUUUUGGCUUGACUCCACCAUGGCCGAUUGGCUCCCAUAGCCAAAUGCAGCCACAAAGCUUCCCUAGGAAGCUAAUGAGAUGGUCUAAAGGUUGAGGGCAUAGGGGGUACGAAUUUGCACUUGGUUUCUCCCAAUUUCACUUCAAUUCUCACUUGAAUUAAAUCAAUUCGGCUCCCAUAAAUUCCACCAACGUGUCCUCAAUCAAAUUGACAAUUUUCCAUGCGAAUAGAAUCAACUUGCAUCCCAAAAACAUGAUAAAAAAUGGUCCCCUGAAUUUUCCGAACAAAAAACGACCUCACUUUGAAAUUCCGCCAAAAAUCUCGGUUUGCAGAAAAAUCUUUGGAGGAUGAGUCGACAUUCCUAAAAUGACUUAUGACAUGAAAAAACUUUCAAUUUUUAAAUUUGGAUUCAAAUUCACGGUUAAUUUCAAUCUUGUGAGAUUUUAGCGUGACCUAUUCUACCGAGCAGUUUUUAGAAAAUUUUGAUACAAUUGACCUGUAAUCGAUUUUCUUCAAGCCACCAGGUACCUCUUCGACACAUUGGUGACUCUUGAUGGUUGUGAAAAUGUCGAGAUUUCGAAUACGGACAUAGGGUACCAAAACAACACACAUUGGCGACUCUCGCUGGUUUGCUUCUGGUUUUUUCGCUGCUCAGCCGAGAGAAAAAGAAAGAAGAAGAUGAAGAGUUUUAUAUGGAGAGAGAGAGAGAGGGUACGAAGCUUAAGGGGGAAAAUAGGCUACAAGCUAAUCCCUAGGCUAGUGUAAUGAUUAGAUUUGGCUAAUGAUUAUGCUUCCUUGUAGUUGCCAUCUUCGGUUCUAUGGAUUGAGAAAAACCGUGGGUGUUGAUGAGAGAAUCGAGAGAGAGAAAGGUAUCGUGGCUUUCAUGCAUGAAGAUUUUCGCCAUCUGUCGAUCGUCGCUAAUUAAUAGUUUAUCGAUAUCAUUCAUUAGUUCAUUAGCUUCUAAUAUUUUCAUCUAAUUGCCUUUUGUUUCUACUUAAUCCCAAUUAUACAAAGUCAUAACAUAUAUAUAACAUAUCGACUAGUCAAUGUUAAUAUAUAAAGAAUUCAUCACAAAAAGAAUGCUAAAGUUAUAAGUAAUUUACUAAUCAAAUCACCUUAACUAUAAUCUAUUAAUCUUAACUGAAAAUAAAAUCACUCGAGCCUAAUUAUCCAUUCCUGGCCCAACAGGCUCAAUCUAUAACGAUCUAGCCCGCUAAACUUAUAAAUCUAAUAAUUCUGAACCUUGGCCCACUUCAAGUCAAUUCUGAACCCACAAUCUCUCAUUAGAAAUCUCAAGUCCAAUUCAGGUGGCCCACUUAUUUCUCAAGCCCACACAUUCCUCACGAUCCAUCGGGUUCAUUUUUUGGCCCAAUCUAAUUAAUCUAAGUUUCUAAUAAUCUAAUUUUGCUAAUGACGGUCGAUGAAAUUUGGGAUGUCACAACUCUCCACUACUUAGAAAAAUUUCGUCCUCGAAAUUAAUCUUACCUUAUUUACUUGAAAAGCUGAGGAUACUUCUGUCUGAUCUCCUCUUCACUUUCCCAAAUUGCUUCUUUUGAAUCAUGGUAUCGCCACAAAAUUUUGACUAAAGGUAUAGUCUUAUUCCUCAAUACUUGCUCUCUUCGAUCCAAAAUUUGUACAGGCUCUUCAUCUUCUUCUUUCUUUUUCUCUCGGCUGAGCAGCGAAAAACCAGAAGCAAACCAGCGAUUUCUUCUUCUUGCAUGCGAGAUUUUGGUGUUGAUCUUGAAGCAUCUUUGUGUUAUCUAGUAGCUGAACAAGGUAAGGAAAGAUCUAACUCUAAAUUGAAAGUUAUCCAUUGUUUCAUCAAGGGAGCUUGAGGAUCUAACCAAACAGUGAUGGAUAUAGUUUGUAGUUGCUGUUUUGUGAUUGAUCUAAGCUUAGUGAGUGUUAGAUUGAAGGUAGGAGCUAUUGCAUGUCACUCUUGAGUCUUGCAUGUCUUGAAAUCCAAGUGUGAGUAUGUUGUUUUGUUGAGUGAAGUGAUGAAAUGGAUGUUUGUUUUGGUAGAAAUCGUGAUAAGUGGCUUGCAAAUGCAACGACACUUCGAGCCGAGUUGUGAAAUUGAUCAUUUGUUAGAGAAUGAUAUGCUGAAGUUGCUUUGAGUUGCUGUGAGUAAGCAUUGGAGUAUUGUGGAAGAUUUUUGUGGAUAGACAAGUUGUUUAGUUGAGUUAGAAGUGAGAAAAUUUGUGUAUCUAUUCUAUUCUAAGUGAAAACAGUUAUGGAGUCUUCUGUUUGUGUUUAAUUUUCUUUAUGUAUGUUAAUAGAGAUAAGAAAGAAACCUUUUACAUGAUAGAACAUCUAUGAGAUUGAAUUAUAUACGAAGCUAUAAUCAUAUGGAUAUUAAAAUAGAGAGAUAGAAGUGAACUUAGUAAAACGAGUAAACUGUUUUUGUAAGAAACAGAUUUACCUUUACUGAUUACAUGAAUUUUCUGUAAUUACCUAGUUAUAAUUGGACUUUGAAUCCUUAAUGAAAAUUGUAGAACACAUCUUAAGGAAUAAAUUUUCAAAAUUUGAGAUUAAAUCGAUAAGAUUUGACUAGUGAAACAAUUUUCUUUGUAGAUACGAAAUCUGGACGUCGAUACGGGGUACUAGUAAAGAUUAUGGCAAUUGUUACUCUUAGUACAGUGAGAAUUAGACUUAAGUUUCUUCAUGAGAAUUGUUAGUCUAUGUCUAAAAUAUAACAUGCUAAAAUUUGGUAACAUUUCAACAAGAAUUAAUAUAUCUUCCGUGUCCGAAACCGAAACUGUACACUUAGUAAACUGUCUGGAUCUGAGAACAUAUAUUAGAUAAAGUGUCUUUUAUAUUAGGUCUUCGUGAUGUACAUAGAGCCUAAUAAACCUCAUAAUAGAUGUUAGUCAUAUAAGAGUAAGUCUCAUAUUCAUCAGGUGCGUCCUCUACUUGACCUCUUGUGAUGGCGUACACUCGUCCUUGAACUGGGGGUCUAUUCUGUCCACCCUACGGUGCAAUCUGCGGCGCUAACCCCCUAAUUUGACCCAUCAGUGGUGGUGGUGGUAACUUCUGUUGUCCCCUUGGUCUUCUGGGACAAUCUCUGGCCAUAUGACCCUGUUGGCCACACUCGAAACACGCACCUAUCCUUAAAUGGCAUAGGGCUGAUCCAUGUCGCCUCCUACAGAAGUGAGACACGCCAUUCUGGCUCAGCACUGAUUUUCCAACUCCAUCCUUCCUAUUGGGCGGGACAUGGUACCUUCCUUUGGUCAUCAGUCUCUUCCCAAACCGAUUCUCAUCUUUGAUUGAACUGAACCGUAACCCAGAUACGGUGGCUCGUUCAUUCUAAUCUCUCUCAAUCAGCUAGGCUCGUUCAUAAAGGUCGUUAUAGUUCUUCAAAUUCAACGGCACUAGCGGGCUUCUCACUUCCGGUCUAAGCCCGUCUCUAAACCUUCUAGCUCGGUUUACCGGAUUCUCGACUAGUUCAUGGGCGUACUGUGAUAACUCAGUGAAUUUCGCUUCAUACUGAUCCACUGUCAUUAUACCUUGGCGAAGACAUUGGAAUUCUUCCAUUUUCAGCUCUCUGGCACUGUCAGAAAAGUAUUUAUCGUUGAAAACUUUAACAAAGGCGUUCCACUCCGGAACCACGCCUUCCGAGAACACUAUUCCUUGGGUGGUUCUCCACCAAGUACUUGCAAUUCCUUGCAACUAAUAGGCUGCAAGUACUACCUUCUCCACCUCAAUGCACAUUAGCAAUGCGAAGGCCUUCUCCAAGACCUAAAUCCAUAAGGCUGCGGCUUCGGGGUCUCUUGCCCUAGUGAACUUUGGUGGGUUCAACUUCGGAAACUGUUCCACCAGCUUAUGCAUCGGUCUCCUAGCGACCACGUUUCCUGGUGGAACCUAAACAGGUGUGGCAACAGCAACAACAGCAUCCGCGACGGCAUUAGCGACAGCUGUGGUAGCGGCGGCUGAAGCGGCGACACUGGCAACUUGAAUCUGAGCCUGUUGGUCCAUCCUAUUUCCCAGCAUCUCUAGCGCCUGCAUGAUCCCUUCGAACCUAAGAUCAUUAGGGGCUACUACUCCAACACUAACAGGAGGCGGUGCUACUCCACUACUAACCUGAGCUGGCGCUCAACCACGACCUCCUCGGGUACUAACCCUCAUCGGUGUCCUACCCUGAGUCGCAAGUCUUAUGGUAUGCUUUCUAGGAGUCCUUUGCUUCUGAUCACUCAUCUCACAAGGUCUUUAAAGAAACCUGCUUUCCAAUUCAACACAGAAUCAGAAACUGAGGGUGCGAAUGGUAACGCUUCGGCUGCGCAUGACAAAAUUUCUGAAACAGAAAUUGAUUUCUGGUCAGAAAUCAAUUUCUUAAUUUCUAUUCCCCGGACAAGUUUCUGAGCAAAGAAACCCGUUUGAUAACAACUUAAAAUUUCUAUUUCUAAAACAGAAAUUCGUUUGAUAACAGAACAAAAUUUCUAUUUCUAGGAAUUGUCGAAAUAAUACUAAUACAUUACAAAAGUUGAAAAUACAAUUUCAUGGAAUUUCCGGCAUAUUAUUAUCCCUUGCCAUUUUAUUAGCAAUUGUUUUCCUAAGCAUAUUUAUUUGGUUUCCCUCCUCCGUCAAUGUAUCGUUUGCAAGCUCAUCAUACGUAGGUUCAGACAAGUACUGCGGAAGCAUGAAUAUGGAUGCCAUCAAUGGCGCCUAUACAACCUUGUCAUUUGAUCAAAAACUAGUAUUAUAUAAGAUUAUCAACAAAAUAAAAUUAAUGGUGUAAAGGAAUAUAUAAGAAUUCUACCUUAAAGUAACGUUUAUGGUUAGGAACCAAUCGGGGGAAGGUCUGUUUAUUUUGAUUCUUGAAUUGAAUCAGUAGAGUUGCUCAUCCCUAAUUUCUUUAUUGUUACUCAAUGAAUCUUUAAUGGCCCUUGCAUAGCAAAGAGAGAGAUUCUCUUGAAUCUCUUGCCUUCGAAUUAAAAUUCAAGAUUGUGUAACAAUCUAAUUAUUUUGAUUUUGCAAGAAAAAUAAGGUUAAAUUUCUAGGCACGUUUUUUAUUUAUCUAUUACGUAAGAACUUUUUCUUCAACUGGCCAUGCGCGUGCCUUUUCUAGGAGGAAAAAGCCCCAUUGUUUUUAAGUAAGCAUUUAAGAACUUCGGUCGUUUUUGAAAAUUGGGGACCCAUUCGAUUGCCUUUCAUCCUAAAGAGGAAGUUAUCAAAAAAAAAUUGAAAAAAAAAAUGCAAAAAUAACAUGAGCAAAAUAAGAAAAAGAAAAUUAGCAAUAAUUUGUGAAGUUGUGGUUAUGAGUGAAUUAAGUUAGCAAGAAAGCACAAUGUUCUUUUAUAUAGUUUGAUUUCAGUUUCUGGUUUCUAUUUCAGAAAUAAGAAGUUAAAAAUUUCAGCUUCUGAUUUCUUCAAUUUCUCUAUUUCUGGAAUAGAAAUCUGUUUCAGAAAUAGAGAAAUUAAAUUGCGUUACCAAACUGAUUUCUAUUCUAAACCUGUUCCGCGGAACAAAGAAACAGAGAAAUCGAGGAAUAGAAAUUUUGUCAUGCGCGCCCUUCUUGGCUGGGGAAUAGUUUCUUUUCAGAAAUAGUUCUUUUCUAUUUCUAAUCUAGGAAACAAUUUUUAAGUAAAAUAAUGUGUUUGGUAACUACAUAAUUUUUUUACUUUUGAAAUAGAAAAAGAAUAGAAAUGCAUUUGGUACGAAACAGUUUCUUUUUUCUACUUAUUCGUUUUAUAUUCUUGCUCAUGAAUUGCCGGCCGCCGCUACAUAACCGCUGGCCGUCAAUCGCUAACCGCUACCGCAUAGCCCAUUGGCCACCGGAGGUAGACGGGCGGCCACAGGAGGUGGUGGUCGAUGGGCUGUGCGACGGCAGUCAGUGGUGAUGGUCGGUGAUCGUGUAGUGGUAGUGGGCGACAGGGGGCGACGGGGGGCGGUAAUGGUCGUUGGUGGCGAAGGCAGUUAACGGUUGGCUGGCGGCGGCGGACGGCGGCGACACCGGGUGGCAAGCAGCGGGCGAUGGGCAAAGGCGGUCGACAGUCGACGACGGUGGUGGUGGUGGCGGUCAGUUGCAGCCGGCUGUCAUUGGCGGUGGCAGUAGGUGGCGAUGGGCGGCGGCACCGGCGGCGGCGGGCGGUGGCUCCGAGCAGUUGAAGGCGACCGCAGCAAAAGAGAGGAAUAAACAAAAAUUAAAAAAGAAAAUUGGCUUAUUUCUAGAAAUUGUUCCCGGGAACAAGAAGCUACUUUUUUUUGUUUCUUAUUUCUGUUUCAAAUCUAUUCCCGGGCUACUUUUCUAUUCUAGAAAAUAGAAAAACAAGUUGGCGUUACUAAACAGAUUUUUAUUCUUUUUUUGUUCCGGGGAACAAAAGAACAGAAAUUGAGAGGAACAAAAAUGUCAUCAUACAGGCCUUGAGUGACCCUAAAUGAACAAUUCUACCAAACAAUUAUCAUAGACAUGCGCCAGUAUGAAAUAAAGGCCAAUCCUACUAACUAUCACAUAAACCAUCGCACCUUAUCACUCCAACCACUAACCUUGCUCUUUAUACCACUUAAACGGGGAUGUCACGCCCUAAUCCUCGAGUGCGUGCCCAUUCCUCGGUGGUCGAUUAAGUAGCGACGUCCUAAGACGCGUCGCUGACCCAUUCAUUUUAAUGUGCAUGCGGAAGCGAAAAAUUAAAUCCCUAGACAACAACAAGAUGGGAUAGAAAAGCAAGGCUACAAAUUUUCAAAAACCAUAACACACUUAUAUACACAUAUCAAACUAUGUCAUAUACAAUAUUAGCCAAUAUAUACAAGGUCUACAAAAAUGGGGGUAGAGUGCUAUAGAUCCUCUAAGCAUUCAAGUCUUUAAUUGAAUACUCCGAGGACCCUGGAUCCGAUGGACUCAGGUCCACCACUGAACCACUUGGAGGGUUGGCCAUGCCUUUUGUAAAAGCAAUUUCCAGCACCAAGAUAAGGAUCUCAGAUUCCAGUAUGGCAGAGCUCUUUGUUCAUUUCACUCACGACGAUACCACGAUCUGUAUUGAUGGGGCACCUUAUGGGAUAAACCCUCAUCAAUCCAGACAAUGGACCUCAUGAGCUCAUAGACCCAUCCCCUUAGGUUCCCAUGAAGCAGAAUAUAAGAUACUUACUCAGUGACCUUCUUCGACUGUUCGAAACGCUCGGGAGGUAUUGCCAUCUAAGGACCUAUAAAUGUUAUCCCACAACGGGGUGAGACGACGUCUCAACAAGUUCACCCCCUAAGUCCUGACUAGGAAGGAAAUACGCUCAAAAGUUGCCUAAGCACGCAUGAGAUAAAGAACUUACCUUUGCCUCAGUUCCUUCUUACAAGUCAGUACGAUUCAACCAUUCAACCAGUUAUUUCAAUUCAAUCAAUUCAACCCCAACAAUACUAUUUAUUAUUCAAUCCAAUCAAUACUAUCUAUCAUAAUAGUACCGACUAUUAAAUCACUUUGUUGAUACGAUAGUUGCUCACCCAAGCUAAUAUAGAUAGAUAGUAACUCACCAAAACUGAUAUACGCUCACCAAAACUGAUAGAGUAUACUGCUCACCGAAGCUAAUAUAUAAAAGCCCGCAGGCUGAUAUAGUACUAUUCUCAUUCCCUCAAAAUUUACCAUCUUUAUAAUACCCGGUAAAAAUAAUCGUGUGUGGAUAUAUGGUCGGCCUUAUCCAAAAUACAAUAUUUCCCCUUUCCAAAAAUCUCACCAUUUAAUAUAGUCCACAAAUAUAUUUUUGGCGUUAUAAACCGAUGCCCGAUAAUUUCCAAUUAAAUACUGAAAUUACUCAAUUUUGAAUUUUGAGAUAAAUAUCCAAAAUUAUAAUCAACACACAAUUUGCAGAAUUUAGCACUCAAUUAAAUAAAUCAACCAUACCACUGCGAUCAACACAAAAUUCUAAUCACCGGCUAUCUUGAUCUAAUUUCCGGAAAAUAAUAAUUAAUUAAAUAAUUACAAAAAUUAAUUAAUAAAUACCAAUAAAUGCAACUUAGGUCGGAAAAACCUAAAUAAAUACCGAAACAGGCCUGGAAAAUUUCCGAACCUAUCUAGAUAAAUAUUACAACUUAUCUAAUCUCUAAUUACGUUACUUUAACCACCUAACAUGCAUAAAUGAAUCAUUAAAUUGCUAAUCUGUUCUAACUAACCACUUAAUCCAUACUUAACCUAAACUAAUCAACCCUUAAGCAUAAUUAAUUCUCUAAGCGAAGAUUAGUAAGUAAUCUCACUGGUUGUGCAAUCCGAUGAGUUCACUAGGACGGUGAGGCAGAGAUGACCGAUAAACUCCGAAGCAUGGGCACCAAGCAAGGCCGGGAAAGGCUUAGAAGUGGGCCUUGAAGCCUACGGUGGGUUGCUGGAUUUCAGCUUCUAUGGUUGGGCCGAAGAGGCUGCUUAAAUGGCUAGCUUGGGUUGGAAACGGCGGAAACGGAUCAGUGAGGCUGUUGCGGGGUUGGGCGGCCAACGACGGGUGACGGCGGUGACCUAAACGGCAACCAUGACGGUAGGACGAGCUCGGGGUGGAAGGGGGCGAUGGCCAAGGCGCGACAAGGCCGCAAAAUGGCAGGACGUUCGCAUGAGCUCGGACGCGCAAGCAAGCAGCUCCGGCGGCGAGUGAUGGCGAUCCGGCAAGGCUGGAGACAACAAAGCUUUAGAGGGGGUCACUUGGUCUUAAUUUUGUCCCUUUGUCACCCUUGGCUUGAACACACCAUGGCUAGCUGGCUCCCACAGCCAAAUGCAGCCACAAAGCUUCCCUAGGAAGCUAAUGAGAUGGUCUAAAGGCUGAGGGCAUGGGGGGCUAUGAAUUUGCACUUGGUUUCUCCCAAUUUCACUUCAAUUCCCACUUAAAUUAAAUCAAUUCGGCUCACAUAAAUUCCACCGUGUCCUCAAUCAAAUUGACAAUUUUCCACACCAAUAAACCAACUUACAUCCCAAAAACGCGAUAAAAAACGGUACCCUGAAUUUUCCAGACAAAAAAUGGCCUCACUUUGAAAUUCCGCCAAAAAUCUCGGUUUGCAGAAAAAUCUUUGAAGGAUGAGUUGAUAUUCCUGAAAUGACUUGUGACACGAUAAAACUUUCAAGUUUUGAAAUCGGGUUCAAAUUCGUGGUUAAUUUCAAUCUGGUGCGAUUUUAGCGUGACCUAUUCUACCGAGUAACUUUUAGAAAUUGUUCGUGUAAUUGACCUGUGGUCGAUUUUAUUCGAGCCACCAUGUACCUCUUCGAUACAUUGACGACUCUCAGUUGUCAUGAAAAUCUUGAGGUUUCGAAUACGAAUAUAAGGUACCAAAACGAUAGAAAAAUUAGUCUAAUACCGAUCGACGAGAAUUUUGAAUCACCCACGUUUAACCACACAUCUCAGUCGAACCGACCUAUCUCUGAUCUCUAAUCAUUUUUUAACUGUGAUGUAAUGAUCUUUGCAGUUGAGCACGGUCAAGUAGUCGAUUCCCGGUUGAAUUCUCAAGUCCAUUGCAUUAAAAUUCCUUAAUGGCUUCCCCUGAUAAUCUAGUUAUCUCACGAGUGAUCAGCUCAGAGAAUAGCACUCUAGGCACAUCGAUGAAAGGCCCGAUUUAUUUAAUUGAAAAUAGAAUUGAAAUUCCAUGAUAUUACACCAAGGAUUGAAGAUGAAAGAUUUAAGGCAUGUUUGAUAGUGAAGGGUUCUAGUCAAAAGGAAUGGACCAAGUUUAAUGAAGUGUUCUCUCCAGUUAUGAAACAUAAUUUCAUUCGUGUGUCACUCACGUUGGUAGCCCUUUAUAAUCUAUAACUUAAGCAACUUGAUGUCAGUAUCGCUUUUUUGCAUGGGUAGCUUGAGAAGACAAUUUAUAUGUCUCAACAAGAGGAAUUCGUUAUUCAAAGUAAAGAAGAUCAUGUUUGCAAGUCGAAACAUUCUUUGUAUGGUCUCAAGCAAUCUCCAAGGGAAAGGUACAAGAGGUUUGAUAACUUUAUGUUGAGUUAUGGCUACUCGUGAAGUGUGCAUGACAGUUGUAUGUACUAUAAAAGACUGUAUGAUGGUUCUUUUAUUUGUUUGCUAUUAUAUGUGGAUAACAUGCUGCAACGAAAAACAUAUUAGAGAUCCAAAAUUUGAAGAGGUAACUUAGCAGGGAAUUUGAGGCGAAAGAUCUUAGAGUUUCAAGAAAAUUCUAGGUAUGGAAAUUCAUAGAGACAAAAGGGUUGGGAAGUUACACCUCUCACCGAAGAAGUAUAUUGAGAAAGUGCUUGAGCUCUUUGGCAUGAAGAAUGCUAAACCAAUAAGUACUCCUUUGGCGUCCCAUUUUAGGUUUUCAAUUUCUUUGUCACCUAAAACUACAAAAAGAUUAGAUAUCUCGAGUUCCAUAUUCUAGUACUAUGGAUAAUCUCAUGUAUGCUAUGUUUUGCACUCGUCCGCAUAUUUCACAAGUUAGUGUUGUGAGUAGGUAUUUGGCACAUUCGGGUAAAGCUCACUGGUAAGCCAUGAAAUGGAUUUUUCGAUACAUCUGAGUACCUCAGAUUUGGGUUUGGUCUUUAAUAGAUAUUGUGAUAUUGGACAUUCAGUUGUUGGCUUUGUUGAUUCUAACUAUGUAAGCGAUCUUGACAAAAGAGAUCUUGAUAGGUUAUGUUUUAUGCUUGUGCUUCACGAUUAGUUGGAGAGCAAUUUNNNNNNNNNNNNNNNNNNNNNNNNNNNNNNNNNNNNNNNNNNNNNNNNNNNNNNNNNNNNNNNNNNNNNNNNNNNNNNNNNNNNNNNNNNNNNNNNNNNNNNNNNNNNNNNNNNNNNNNNNNNNNNNNNNNNNNNNNNNNNNNNNNNNNNNNNNNNNNNNNNNNNNNNNNNNNNNNNNNNNNNNNNNNNNNNNNNNNNNNNNNNNNNNNNNNNNNNNNNNNNNNNNNNNNNNNNNNNNNNNNNNNNNNNNNNNNNNNNNNNNNNNNNNNNNNNNNNNNNNNNNNNNNNNNNNNNNNNNNNNNNNNNNNNNNNNNNNNNNNNNNNNNNNNNNNNNNNNNNNNNNNNNNNNNNNNNNNNNNNNNNNNNNNNNNNNNNNNNNNNNNNNNNNNNNNNNNNNNNNNNNNNNNNNNNNNNNNNNNNNNNNNNNNNNNNNNNNNNNNNNNNNNNNNNNNNNGUAAAUGAAGUUCUUUGGUUGAAGCGUUUAGUUACAGAAUUUGGUAUGAAGCAAGAGGGAGUCUCCUUUAUCUUGUGCAGUAACCAAAGUGCAAUCCAAUUAAACAAGAACAUGAUUUAUCACAAGAGGACAAAACAUAUCCACAUACGGUAUCACUUUGUACAUGAUGAGGUUGCUAAGAGUAUGAUUACAAUGAAGAAAGUAUCUACAGCAGAUAAUCUGGCAGAUAUGUUGACCAAACCAGUUCUUUUGAUCAAGUUCAAGCAUCGCUUGGACUUGAUUGGCAUUUUCGCCAUUUGAGUUGCUUAGGCGAAGUUGCUGGCAUUUCAUCCCUUGUUUCUGACACCUUGUAUGCUGCGCGUAGGGUUAGGGUUGUGCAUCAUUAAUUCUGUCGUCUUGGGGGUGACAUUGUGUGUUCAUUUUUGGUGGUGAGAGGAAGAGGUUUUAUGGUGUUUGGCAUAAUGCUUUUUGGAGAUUUGAAGAGAGGCUAUAAAACGAAUGUGUUUAUUAACACAUCUCCCACCUUAGCCUCCAUAUUAUUUCCUGUUUUGUUUUUUCCUAUUUUAUUGUUAGAUCUUUAGAUAUUGUGGCUCACAAGGUGGUUUUUAUAGCUUUUUGAUUGUACUUUUGUAUUCGUUAUUGAAGAUAGUGAAACCCCUCUCUCCCCGUAGUUUUUCCUGUUUUGGGUUUCCACGUAAGUCUUGCAUUUCGUGUGAUUUCAAUUUUCCUUUCAUCCUUUACUACUUGUGCUUCGAUUGGUGCAUCUUUUGGCCUUUUUUUUUUUCCGCAACAGGGAUUAUGUUGACUAUUAAUACACGGGCUUGCACGCCCUCGUAAAAAUUCAAUUAGGAAACAUACAAAUAUAAACAGACAACAAUGAUUUCGGAACGAUUAUGUCGGGUAUAGCUUGAACACUUGUAAUCGCUCCUCUGUCGACAGCGAAGCCACUGAGUCAAAUCCAGACGUUGACCUUAUCCAUGAACUUAUUGAAUUCAGAGAUCAUCCAAGCCUUUUCCCAGAGAUUUCCACAGCACGCAUGGAUUACAAACAAUGGAAUGUCGAAUGGGUGAAUCAACACCUGAUCAAGCGUCGGGAGAGAGUGGAUGCGAUAAUUUUCACCAAAAGCAGCGUCUGUGAAAUUUUGGCUUUUCACGGAGAGAGAGAGAGAGAGAGAGAGAGAGAGAGAGAGAGAGAGAGAGAGUUGGAGAGAGGAGGGAGAAAAUGGGCUGUUCCUUUUCGGAUGGGAGAGGAAGUCAACAAGCGAUGGGGGGACCCAACAAGGGCCCAUGGGAGGAGUAGGAGUUGGAGAAGGAGGUUACAAUGGCGGGCACGACGACGCCGUUGAUCACAUCAUCUGAGCUCGUAGUCAACCCGCUCUCUUCUCUCAAAUUGUAGCUCAUGAGUUCAUGUGAUUAUGCGCGCUUCUUUCCAUGUGACUCGUAAUAUGUUGUGGUGAUACGCUUCGUUUUCUUCAGACCUAAGUCAACAUUGUUCUUGGGAGAAGAAGAUUAAAAGUGCCUUAACUUGUGAAUGGCACUCACUUUAGUACCACAACUUUUCGCCAGCUUACUUAAGUGCCACUUUUUGAAAAGAAAUGAUCACUUGAGUGUCAACUCCAAUUUAAGUUGGCAUAUAGUCUUUAAACAAUGUCACGUAGUAAGUUAAAAAGUAAUCACUUCAGUGCUAGUCAUUGUAAAAAUAUAAUCACUUUAAUGCCAAUUUUUGUUUAAAAAAUGAUCACUUCAAUGCCAAUCCUAANNNNNNNNNNNNNNNNNNNNNNNNNNNNNNNNNNNNNNNNNNNNNNNNNNNNNNNNNNNNNNNNNNNNNNNNNNNNNNNNNNNNNNNNNNNNNNNNNNNNNNNNNNNNNNNNNNNNNNNNNNNNNNNNNNNNNNNNNNNNNNNNNNNNNNNNNNNNNNNNNNNNNNNNNNNNNNNNNNNNNNNNNNNNNNNNNNNNNNNNNNNNNNNNNNNNNNNNNNNNNNNNNNNNNNNNNNNNNNNNNNNNNNNNNNNNNNNNNNNNNNNNNNNNNNNNNNNNNNNNNNNNNNNNNNNNNNNNNNNNNNNNNNNNNNNNNNNNNNNNNNNNNNNNNNNNNNNNNNNNNNNNNNNNNNNNNNNNNNNNNNNNNNNNNNNNNNNNNNNNNNNNNNNNNNNNNNNNNNNNNNNNNNNNNNNNNNNNNNNNNNNNNNNNNNNNNNNNNNNNNNNNNNNNNNNNNNNNNNNAUUAUCACUUCAGUGCUAAGCAACACCUAAACGACGUCGUAUAGCAAGUUAAGAAGUGAUCACUUCAUUACCAAUCAUUGAAAAAAAUGAUAAUUCCAAUACCAAUCGUUAUAAAAAGUGAUCACUUAAAUGCCAAAAAUGCAACCUUAGAUAAAAAAUUUAAUUAUAAAAGUCUCGUAAUUUUUCUAGCUAGAAUUUUUCGCCAAAGCCAUUUAAGUGAUUGUUUUUCUCCUAUUUUGGCACUUAAGUGAGCCAGCAAAAAGUUGUGGCACUUAAGUGAAUGCCGUAAACAAGUUAAGGUACUUUUGGUGUCCUUCUCUCUGUUGUCCCUUAUUAGUCUUUUAUUCUUGCUUUUUCGUGGGAAUGAUUUAGCCAGAAAAAUCCUCUCUGUAGGAGGAUUGUUUGUAGAAACACUGGAAAGCAUUCUUCACAAUGUGGAUUCUCCUCAAACCUCACUAAUGAACUAACUGACUGAUGAUAUAUUAUUUGAAGAAAUUCUGUUCAUGUGUUCCCAACAUGCUUGUCUAAUCAGAGUUUUCUUUGUUGAACGUCAGAGGCAUAGCUUUAAUACCAAUUUGACGGGAUUAUUUGAAAGUGAAAUGCUCACAGCUCACACAAAAAAGAAAAGGAGAUAGAUAGUCUUUUCAUUUAAUUCAUCUUAACAAAAAUGAUUAUAAGACUCUCCUAUUUAUAGACUUGAUCACUUUUAUUCUUCCUCAUAAAUAUAGCAAGUGUUCUAAGGAGAUAAAAUCCUAGGAAUUUACAAAAUAUUGAUUACAACUCAAAACACGAACAGUCACGAUAUAGAAAUGUAAAUAGACUUCUUAAAAGAAAUGCUAUAAUGAUGACUCUUCUUCAAUGCUUGCACUUGUCUUGAGACUCGAACGGAUAUAUUAAUGAAUCAAUAACUUCUUUACAUGAUUGACAACAUCCAAUGAAUUUGGUUUAAUUACAAACACUUCCCCUUAAACGAAAUUAUCUUCAAUCAAUCAUUCUAAGUAAACUCUUGAACUUUCGGAAAGUGUAUAUUGUCAUGCCCUGAUCCUUAGGCAUGUGCACAUCCCUCGGUGGUCGAUUAAAUUUUGCGACAUCCCAAGACGCGUCACCGACCCAUUCGAUUUUUAAUGCACAAGAAGCAAAUAAAUAAAUCCCCAAGAUGGGAUAGAAAAGUAGGGCCGCAAUUUUUAAAACCACAACACACCUUUAUACAACACGGACUAGGUCAAUUACAAGUUAGUCUAUAUUCACAAAAGUUUACAAAGGUUGAUCCUCAAAACAAGCUGUCCUGUAACCAGCUAGUUGGACUCGUUCGCCGAUUCUUCAAUCUCCACCGAAGCUGGGUGUGACGUCGAGUUCUCCACUACGCCAUUGGGAGGAUCAGCUGGACCCUUGACUAGAAUAGUAUUAAUUACCACAGCGGGGAUAUCAAAAGUUCUAAGGGGACCUAGCUGGACACCAUUGGGAGCGUAGCAGAACCAUGCUCCGAAUCGAUGAGGGAACACGUAACAUGGACACUCUUCGACCCAAACAGUGGUCACUACAAGUUCAUAGACCCAAAAGCUUUCGGGAUCAGGAUAACUAUAGAUUCACUCAGUGACUCUCAUCAGCCAACCAUAACGCUCAGGGGGAUUCACCAUCUAAGAACCUAAAAAGUUAAGCCCACGACAGGGUGAGAUAAUGUCUCAGUAAGUUCACUCCUUAAACUCCGACUAGGAAGAAAAUACACCCUACCUAUGCACACACAAGAUGAAGGACUUACCUUUGCCUUAAUUCCUUCCUACAAGUUGGUAUGAUUCAUAUAUUCAACGAAUCACUUCAAUUCGAAUCAAGUCAUCAAACCAAAUGGAGUCAUCGAUCAAUUGAUCCAAUUGAUUCCAUAUCAUUAAUACCAUCUCUCAGUCAACCCAUUAAGCACUAUUUAUACAAUUCGAUCGCAUCAAGGACUGCUCACCCUAAGCUGAAGAUAGAAAGUAUAGCUCACCAAAAGCUGAUAUAUCAAGGCUCGUAGGCUGAUAUAGUAAACAAUAAUGCUCACCAAAGCUGUGCAAUACUUAAUAUCUAUUGUACCAAAUAAAAUAAUCGUAUGUGAAUACACGGUCAGUUUUAGCCAAAAUAUAAUAAUUUCAUUUUUAUAAAAACACACUAAAUAUAAUAGCUCACAAACACAUUUUUAGCGCUGUAAACCGACGCCCGCUAUUUUCUAAUUAAAUACUGAAAUUAUCAAAUUUUGGAAUAAAUUCCCAAAAUUACAAAUAUCAUUCAAAUAGCACAAAUUAGCAUCCAAAUAAAUAAAGGAAACACACCACUACAAUUAGCACGAAAUUCCGAUCAUCGGCUAUCUCAAUAUAAUUUUCGGAAAAUAAUAAAUAAUUAAAUAAAUACCAAUAAAUUCCAAAAAUACAAACUUAGGCUGAUAAAGCCUAAUUAAAUACCGAAACAGGCCCGGAAAAUUUCCGAACCUAUCUAGAUAAAUAAUACAACCUAUCUAGUUGCUAAUUACAUUACUCUAACCACCUAACAUGCACAAAUGAAUAAUUAAAUCACUAAUCAAUUCUAACUAAUCACAUAAUCCAUAAUUAGCUUAGACUAAUCAAUCAUUAAGCAUAAUUAACUUCCUAAGUAGAGUUUAGUGAGUAAACUCACUGGUUUUGAAAUCCGAUAAGUUCAUGGCAAUGGCAAGGCGGAGACAGGCGACAAACUCCAAAACGGCAACACCUUACGAGGUCCGAAAGCGGUCCAAAGCGGGCCUUGAAGCCCAUGGUUGGACUGGGUUGCUCAAUUCUGUCCAAGGCCGAGCGAGUUGGAACGAAGGCUGGAAACGGCAAGGGACAGGCGAACUGGGCUGUUGUGGUGGACGGCGGGUGAUGAUGGUGGCUCUGGCAGAUUGGACGGUGACAAACAGUGGUUGGCACAGUUAGACAGAGGCCUAGCUACGUUGGACAGGGGCGCGGGGACAAGCAAAUGCGAGUAGGGAGGCGGACGGCUAGGCGGGACUAGUUCGAGCCCACAGCUUGCAUGUGGUGUCUCCAGCUGGUCCGACAAACAUCGAUUGCAGGGGGGCUUGGCUUGGUUCCUCUAGUUUCUUUGGAGCUUCAAACACACUAAAAGUGGGGAAAGUAGGUCUAAGAAGAAGAUCAAGCAAGCUGCCCAAGUGGAGGGCCCCCUUGGCCUAAAUAUCUCUCAAAUGCUUAUUGCUUUGACCCCACUUGUCUUUAACUCUAUCCUCAAUCAUUUGCAGACCAUUAGCUUCCUUAGGAAGUUAUUGAAGUGGUCCAAAAGGUUGGGGAUUGGGGACCAAGGAACUACGAAUUUUGAAGUAUUUUUCCCCAAAUCCACUUCAAUUUCCUCUUGAAUUAAUUCAAUUCGGCCCCUAUAAAUUCAACUAUAAUUCCCUUGACCAAAUUGACAUUUUUCCUCAUCAAUAGAACUAACUGGCAUCCCUAAAAUGCGAUAAAAAAAACAAUCCCCUGAAUUUUCUAGACAAAAUCUUCGGAAGAUGAGUUAACAUUUCUAAAAUGACUCGUGACAUGGCAGAACUUUUAAUUUCUGAAAUUGGAUUCAAAUUCGCGGUUAAUUUCAAUCUGGCACAAUUUUAGCGUAACCACCAGAUAGUUUUCCAGAAUUUUUAGUGCAAUUGACUUGUGAUCGAUUUAUUUCGAGUCACAAUGUACAUCUUCGACACAUUGGCAACCCUCUGUGGUCGUGGAAAUCUCCAGGUUUCAAGUACGAACGUAGGGUACCCAAAACAAUAGAAAACUCAGUCUAGUAUUGAUUAACAAGAAUCUUGCAAUCAGGUGAAAUCACCCACACUUUGAUCACGUAUCUCAAUCGAAUCGACCUAUCCCUGAUCUCUGGUCAAUUUUGACAAUGCCAUAAUGACCCUUGCAAAUUAGUAUGGUCGAAUAGUCGAUUUCUGGUCGAAUUCUCAAGCCUAUUGCAUUUAUAUUAGUUAAUGGCUUCACCGGAUAAGCUAGUUAUCUCAUGAGCGGCCAACUCUGAUAAAAGAACUGUCGAUGAAAAGCCCAACUUAUUCGAUCGAAAAUAGAACCUGAAAAUCAGUUGGUCACAUAUACCUUGAGAGGUUUAGUAAAAAUGUCUACUACUUGAUCUCUCGGCUUCACAUGCAACACAUUAAUUUCAUUCUCUCUCACCUGUUCUCGAACAAGUGAUAUCAAAUAUCAAUAUGUUUGCUUCGUUCAUUAAAAACUGGAUUUUUUGCCAAAGCAAUAGUAGAAACAUUAUCAUAAAAAAUCUCUAUUGCUUUCCUUUGCUUCAUAUGAAUGUCUUUAAUUAGUCUUCUCAACCAUAUUGCAUGACAAACACAUGAUGAUGCUGCUACAUAUUCAGCUUCACAUGUCGACAGAGUAACAUUGGGGUUACUUCUUUUAUGACCACAUGAAAGCAGAGUUACACAAGAAAAAUACAAAGCCUAUAAUGUUUUUAUCAAUCAUUGAUGUCUCCACCAUAAUCACUAUGCAAAUAAGCUCUAAGUUGGAAAGCUUUAGAUUGAUAAUAGUGUAAGCCAUGAGCGACAGUUCCUUUGGUAUAUUGAAGUAUUCUCUUUACAACUUUAAGAUGAGAUGACUUUGGUUUCUCUGUGUAUUGACUCAUUAUUCCAACAUUGUACAUGAUAUCUGGUCUUAUACAUGUCAAAUUAUCUCAACUUCUAUCAAGCUUAUAUAUACAUCACUCACAUUGACACCAUCAUAAAAUUUNNNNNNNNNNNNNNNNNNNNNNNNNNNNNNNNNNNNNNNNNNNNNNNNNNNNNNNNNNNNNNNNNNNNNNNNNNNNNNNNNNNNNNNNNNNNNNNNNNNNNNNNNNNNNNNNNNNNNNNNNNNNNNNNNNNNNNNNNNNNNNNNNNNNNNNNNNNNNNNNNNNNNNNNNNNNNNNNNNNNNNNNNNNNNNNNNNNNNNNNNNNNNNNNNNNNNNNNNNNNNNNNNNNNNNNNNNNNNNNNNNNNNNNNNNNNNNNNNNNNNNNNNNNNNNNNNNNNNNNNNNNNNNNNNNNNNNNNNNNNNNNNNNNNNNNNNNNNNNNNNNNNNNNNNNNNNNNNNNNNNNNNNNNNNNNNNNNNNNNNNNNNNNNNNNNNNNNNNNNNNNNNNNNNNNNNNNNNNNNNNNNNNNNNNNNNNNNNNNNNNNNNNNNNNNNNNNNNNNNNNNNNNNNNNNNNNNNNNNNNNNNNNNNNNNNNNNNNNNNNNNNNNNNNNNNNNNNNNNNNNNNNNNNNNNNNNNNNNNNNNNNNNNNNNNNNNNNNNNNNNNNNNNNNNNNNNNNNNNNNNNNNNNNNNNNNNNNNNNNNNNNNNNNNNNNNNNNNNNNNNNNNNNNNNNNNNNNNNNNNNNNNNNNNNNNNNNNNNNNNNNNNNNNNNNNNNNNNNNNNNNNNNNNNNNNNNNNNNNNNNNNNNNNNNNNNNNNNNNNNNNNNNNNNNNNNNNNNNNNNNNNNNNNNNNNNNNNNNNNNNNNNNNNNNNNNNNNNNNNNNNNNNNNNNNNNNNNNNNNNNNNNNNNNNNNNNNNNNNNNNNNNNNNNNNNNNNNNNNNNNNNNNNNNNNNNNNNNNNNNNNNNNNNNNNNNNNNNNNNNNNNNNNNNNNNNNNNNNNNNNNNNNNNNNNNNNNNNNNNNNNNNNNNNNNNNNNNNNNNNNNNNNNNNNNNNNNNNNNNNNNNNNNNNNNNNNNNNNNNNNNNNNNNNNNNNNNNNNNNNNNNNNNNNNNNNNNNNNNNNNNNNNNNNNNNNNNNNNNNNNNNNNNNNNNNNNNNNNNNNNNNNNNNNNNNNNNNNNNNNNNNNNNNNNNNNNNNNNNNNNNNNNNNNNNNNNNNNNNNNNNNNNNNNNNNNNNNNNNNNNNNNNNNNNNNNNNNNNNNNNNNNNNNNNNNNNNNNNNNNNNNNNNNNNNNNNNNNNNNNNNNNNNNNNNNNNNNNNNNNNNNNNNNNNNNNNNNNNNNNNNNNNNNNNNNNNNNNNNNNNNNNNNNNNNNNNNNNNNNNNNNNNNNNNNNNNNNNNNNNNNNNNNNNNNNNNNNNNNNNNNNNNNNNNNNNNNNNNNNNNNNNNNNNNNNNNNNNNNNNGUUUGGUUUCAUACUCCAUUGGUGUAUUGGAGUGUACAAUUCUUCAUAUUAAAUAUUUCAAUGACAUUUUUUGCAUAUCCUUUUUGAUAAAUAAAAAUCCCAUUUGCACUUUGCUUCACUUCGAUGCCAAGAAAAUAGUUCAUGAGACCAGUAUCAAUCAUUUCAAAUUCUUUCACCAUCAAUGCCGUAAAAGCAUUAACCAUUGCAAGAUUAUUUCAUAAGAAACAAGGUCAUCGACAUAUAAACAGGCGAGUAGAACAUCACUUUUUUCUUGCUUCAAAUAGAGUGCAUGCUCAUAUGGACAUUGUAAGAAUCCAUUCACCAUGAAAUAUGCAUUGAUUCUGGAAUUCAAUGCUAUCAAUGCUUGUUUAAGCCCAUAUAGAGCUUUAUUUAACUUCUGUCACGCCCCGAUCCUCACACACGCGCACAUCCCUUACCUUUGGUCGAUUUUAAAAUGCGAUAUCCCAGGAUUAUAUAUCACCGACCCUUUCAUUUAUAUAUGCACAUGCGAAAGCAGUUAUAAAUCCCCAGAUAAUAAAACAAUGGGAUAGAAAAGCAAGCCAUAUUUUUCAUAGUGAAAAUUCACAACCACACCUUUUUACACACAUCUCAUAGUAUUCCACAAUACUACAUAUACGUAAGUCCGAUCUAACAUUUAUUUCACAUGCCAACAAGGUCUGAUAACACAGGAUGGGAUCUCAGUCCUCAUUCGGGUCGUACUUGAGGUCAUUCUCGGGGUCCUCCUCCAGGUACUCCUCUUCGCGUUCCUCAUCAAGGUUCUCCUUGUCAAAUUCCUCCUCCUUAGGCUCCUCAUUCGAGUCCUGAAAUGGUUAUUCAAUAACAACUGAGACAACGUCUCAGCAAGUUCUACCCCCUAAGACCCGAUUAGUAAACUAAUACACCUUAGGGCUGCCUAUGCACAACACGAGCCAGAGGACUUACCUUGGCCUCAAAUUCUACCUGCAUAUUAGCACAGAUCAAAUAGACACCCAAGCAAUCACAUCACAAAUCAAAUCAUCAAUCAAAUCGACCUAGUCGAUUACACGCCAACGAAACCACUCAUGGUCAUUUCCAUUCAAUCAAUCAAUCCACAACAUCAAAUCAAGGUAACGAUCAAUCAACCUAGCCGAUUACGUCUCAAUCAACCAUUCACCGAUCAUUCCAUUCAAUCAAUCAAUUCACAACAUCAAAUCAAAGCAAAGAUCAAUCGACUUGGUCGAUUACAUAUCAAUAAGACCACUUCCGAUCAUUUCGACUAUUCCAACUCAAUUCUCAAUUAUGAAUCAUUGUCCUUAGGACAACUUAUCUAUAGGUGGUAAUCACGGCCCCACCAAGCAACUUUCGAUAUUUAAUGGCUUUACGGUCCCACUCGACCCUUUCAAGAUUCAAUGGCUUUACGGUCCCACUCGACCAUUUCAAAGAUUCAACGGAUUUACGGUUCCACUCGACCAAUUCUCAAUCACAUAGCCAAAAUUGCAUUAUUUAGGAAUAUAACUUUAAAAUGCAUCAUUAAAUCAAUUCGACAAGAAUUAAAACUCAAAUAAAUAAAUGGACUGCUCCACAACAAUCAGCACGAAAUUUCAGUCAUCAGUCAUCCUGGUUGAAUUUCCGGAAAAUAAAUAAUUAAAUAAUUAAUUUCGAAAAUGAAAUAAAUAAACACAAUAAUUCUAAUUUAGCACAAUAUGAAGCUCAAUUAAAUAAACAGACUACGCCAUGAUCAUCAUCAUAAAAUCCCAGUCACUGGCCAUCCCAGUUAUAUUUUCAUAAAAUAAAUAAAUAAUUAAUUAAUUUUGAAAAUUAAUAUUUAAUUCCUAAAAAUUCCAUUUAGGCCCGAAUUGCCUAAUUAACACCCGAUAAGGGUUGGGAAAAAUCCCAUGAAACAUCCAAUAAAUACUAUAGGCAAUUCUCUAUAUCUAAGUACACUAACCAAACAACUAAUAUGCAAUGCAAUUAAUUAAUAAUCGCUAAUCAAUUCUAAUCUAACCACCUAAUUACACUUAACUAACACUAAUCAACAUUCAUGUAUAAUUAGCAAACUAAGAAGGCAUUAGUGAGUAAAACUCACUCAAUACGUCAGGAUCGACGCGAGGAUCGACUUUUCUCAAGGUGGGCCGAGCAUCCGGGCUCGGGAAGCCGGCCAAAAUGGGCCAAAUAGGUGCUGCCAUACCCAUUUCCGCACUUCCAUGUUCAUUGCUGGUUGGGGCGGAUCCGAGGCUGAGAUGGCGAUGCAAGGGCAGCUAGGGCCAGGCGAAGCUCCGGCGGGUCGAGAUGGUGGCGUACGAUGGCCGGAGGUGGCCAAACCGUGGCCUGCGUUGGCCAAAACAGAGUUGGAUAACAGCUCUGGAACAACGAGCUGGACGAGAGGGCAGUCGCGGAGCUGCAACGACGUGCAGUGUGAGUCGGCGACGAUGGCCUUGGCUUCGGUGGUGGCUACAACNNNNNNNNNNNNNNNNNNNNNNNNNNNNNNNNNNNNNNNNNNNNNNNNNNNNNNNNNNNNNNNNNNNNNNNNNNNNNNNNNNNNNNNNNNNNNNNNNNNNGAAUUUCCUCAAAUAGAAAAUUAUUAUUUCAUUUUCUUUCGAAUAAGCUCAUAGAUUCCCAAAAGAAUUUCAUAUUAGAGUACUCGGUUCUCACUUGCAUUUCUGCAUCCAAUUUCCCUCUUGAAUUUCUCUCAAAUGACUCUCAUAAAAUCAAUUGAUGUCUCACUUAUCAAAUUGAUUAUUUCGCUCAUCCAAGAAUCCCUCGUGCUUUUCAAUUUCACAAUCCCCAGCUUCAAUUGAACGAAAACGACCCUAAAUCGACUUUUUCCCAAAGAGUCUCAGUUGUUAGAAAAAUCUUCUGAGACUAAGUCGACAUUCCUAAAAUUUAUUGUGACAAGACAGAAUCUUCAAUUUCUGAAAUCGAACUUAGAUUGACAGUUAAUUUCACUCAAGCAUGUUUUUAGUGUGACCUAGGUUAUUAGGUAGUUUUCAGAACUUUUUAAGACAAAUGACCCGUGGUCGAUUUUCUUCGAGCCACGAUGAACCCACUCGACCUAUUGGCGAUUCUCAGUUGUUAUGAAAAUCUCGAGAAUUCAAAUACGAACAUAAGAUAUCAAAACGAUGGUAAAAUCAAAUUAGUACUAGUCGACGAGAGUUUUCCAAUUUAGUGGAGUCACCCAUGAUCGCUCAUUCAUCUCAGUCGAACCGACCUACCUUUGAUCUUAAUUUGAUUUUUAACUAUGUCAUAAUGACCUCUAAAGAUGACCACGGUUGAGAAAUCGAUUCCUAGUCGAAUUCUCAAGUCUAUCUGCCUUAAAGUCCUUAAUAGCUUACCCAACUAGUCUAGUUAUCUCGUGAGUGGCCAUCUCAGAUAAAAACACUGUAGUCGUGUCGAUGAAAUGCCCAAUUUAUCUAAUCGAAAUCCGAACCCAAAAAUCUGGAUGUCACAACUUCAGCACUUUGUCAUCAUGAUCUUUCACAAUAAACCCUUUGGGUUGUUCAACAUAAAUUUCUUCCUCGAGGAUGCCAUUUAAAAAUGUCAAUUUAACAUCCACUUGAUAAAUUAGCCAAUCAUUUUGAGCAGCAAUAGAAAUUAUCAAUUUAAUUGUUUCCAUGCAGAUGACCACGGCAAAAACUUCAUCAUAGUCGAUUUUGGCAUUUUGCUUGUACCCCUUCGUGACUAAUCUUGCCCCGUACCUUGUCACUUCUCCUUUCUUGUUCUUCUUGGCCUUGUAUACCCAUUUGAUUAUUGUCCUUCUCUCAUGUUUAAUUCUUCUCAAUGGCUUUAAUUUCUUCAUUCAUGGCUUUUUUCCAUUUUUCUUCUUUGGCCACAUCAUUGUAGACAAGUGGUUCACAAUUUGUAAGAUGACAUACAAGGUGAAGCUCAUCGGUGGCUUCAUAAAUAAUAGACAAUAUGAUAUCCUCGAUUCAAACCCCUAUCUCGAGCGCAAGGAAUGGACUAAGGAUUUGUAUGUCAAUAACAAGAAUGGGUUGUGAGUCAAUCUUAUGGAUUGUUCACAAGGCAACUAGCUUAUCAGAGUCAAUGCAACUUUCGAUUAGGGUUACAUUAGACCAUAGCGUUCAACCAUAAGGAUCAAUGUGGACGAUCAUAUGCUGUCAUAAGUUGAUCAAUAGACGGAUAUAGAUUGAUUCAGCUCGAGUAUAUUCCAAUCGCAGUGACUCCACACAGUCACUGUACCGUUCAUGAAUGACCCUAAUUCGAUUCCACGCAACCAUGAGCCAAGAUAAGUCGAUUGAUCUCACAUGAUUACAUGACAAUCGAAGGUCAUUCAUGGAUAAACCAAGCUCAAACAUAGGUCAUGCAUGGAACCUCAGAUAGGCGCCAAACUCAGUUUGGAUCUAGCCGCGCGAGUACAGCUGAUGCUGCUUAAUUAGCGUAGGUUGUGUUAAGGCCAAUUCCACUCGGAACAUAGCCACAAACCUUGGUUCGAUUAAGGGUAUCGAUCAUACAUUACCUCAAGAUAUUCCUGUCCCGUUAACACAGUAAUUAGAUAAUCCUUUUUAUUAUAUCUUGUCCUCUUGACUUUGGACUAAUUGAAAGUGAACUUGGAAGCCAAUGAGACCCCCUCACAUGCCUAAAUGGGAUAAACUUGUGGGACAAGCUGUCUUGUAAGGCUUUAAACCAUUCUUAGAAUUUUGGAGAUAGUUCAAAAGUGCAUUAAGUGGAAACAUGUGCUAAUUUGAGGAUAUAGACUUGAAUAGCCCUGAAGAUGAAAACCAGUUUAGCUUCUUAAGAUUAAAUUGAGAGAAGACAAAAUUUUGGUGGCAAUUCAAGAAGGGGUUGAGCCCCACUUUGAAGAAGACUAGGAGGAUGGACAAAUCUAGUUUGGGUAACAAGACUAGUUGCUCUUGAACUAAAACGGUAAUUGAGUCUUUAGAGCUUGGAGAACAAGCUUNNNNNNNNNNNNNNNNNNNNNNNNNNNNNNNNNNNNNNNNNNNNNNNNNNNNNNNNNNNNNNNNNNNNNNNNNNNNNNNNNNNNNNNNNNNNNNNNNNNNUCACGCCGCCGUUCAUCACUGUCAUGUCAUCUGCCAUGCCGUCGCCAUGAACCGCAAGCCACUGCCGUCCAUUUCUUGUUCCUGUCCCGAUUUGUGUAAGUGGAUUUCCUAAACGUCGCCUUAUAGGUUGACAGUAUGUAGUUUUUCUAUUUUGUCUGCAUUUUGCUUUCACAUUCACCAGGGAUAUUCUUGGUUGUUUUUUAUUUGAUUUUCACAGAAGGGUCUAACUUCUUCUUCUUUUGGAGUAAAAUGUCAACAACAUAUCCUAAUACUUGAUUUUCUGUCUUCUUAUGCCUGCAAAAAAUUUAGGAACAUCACAGCACAUGAUGUAUGCAUUUCUGGUUCAUGCCUGUAAAUUGUGUCUUCAGUAAUCAUGUGUUGCUGAAAUUACCUUAUGACUGGAAGACUCAUUUGUGCUGCAGAAAGCAUUUCUAGGACAGUCUUUGCAGUUCUGGUUGAUGCCUGUAAAUUAUGUCCUCAUUCUUUUUUUUUUCUUUUUUCUUUUUAAAUAACUUUCAACAACUUAUCUUAAAGUUGAUUUUCUGUGUUCUUAUGCUUAUAGAAUUUAAGACACGACAGCAUAUGGUGUAUGCAUCAAUGGUUGAUCUCUGUUAUUUGUGUCUUCAGUACUGGAGUGUUGCUGGAUUAACUUAUGACUGGAAGACUAGUUUGUGCUGCAGAAAACACUUUUAGGAGAGUCUUUGCAUGCAUAUGUUAUGCUAAUUUCGUUUUUACUUGCGUGCUUCACAUGAGGCAAAGGGUAGAAGUCCACCACAAGUGCCAUAACUUGGCACGCCGGGACACUUAGGUGCCAUAACUUCAAAACGGUACACUUAAGUGCCACUUUUUUUUUUCGAGUGGGACACUUAAGUGCCACCUCCGGCGACCCUUGCUGGAAAUCCUACGUGGCAAUAUUUUAUUAUUAAUUUUUGCCUACGUGGCUCGCCGGAGCUCCAAAUCAGCAUAAAAAUUAAAAAAAUUAAAAAAAAAAGAGAAAAUUUUAAAAAUUUUAAUUUUAAAAAAUUAAAAAAAAAAUUAAAAAAAAGAAAAUUUUAAAAAUUAAAAAAAUUUUAAAAAAAAAGAAAAUUUAAAAAAUUAAAAAAGAAAAUUAAAAAAGAAAAUUUUAAAAAUUUAAAAAAAUAAGAAAAUUUAAAAAAUUUAAAAAAAAAGGGGGGGGGGGGGGAGGGAGCUUUUCUUCGCGGCCAAGAAAAGGAGAUGGAGAGAGAGGGUUAUGGUCGGCAAAAGAGAGAAAGCUUUUACAAAGAAAAACUGAUAAAGUGAUCUGCAAUAGAAAAGACAGAAAAGAAUGAGAGAGAGAUAUUGCUGGGCCACGAGUAAAAUGCAUUGAAACUUUGCCUGUGCAUGAAACUUCCACCAGUUGAAGCGACGACCAAAUAAAAAAGACGAUGACCAUAAUGCAUGUUUACUGGUCUAGCGGUGAAUUACCAUUNNNNNNNNNNNNNNNNNNNNNNNNNNNNNNNNNNNNNNNNNNNNNNNNNNNNNNNNNNNNNNNNNNNNNNNNNNNNNNNNNNNNNNNNNNNNNNNNNNNNNNNNNNNNNNNNNNNNNNNNNNNNNNNNNNNNNNNNNNNNNNNNNNNNNNNNNNNNNNNNNNNNNNNNNNNNNNNNNNNNNNNNNNNNNNNNNNNNNNNNNNNNNNNNNNNNNNNNAAUUUUCUUAAUUUUUUAAAACUUUUAAAUUUUUCUUAAUUUUUCUUAAUUUUUUUUAAUUUUUCUCUUUUUUUAAUUUUUUUUAUUUUUUGAAUACUUUAUAAUUUAAUUAAUUUUUAUAUUAUUAUUUACACGUAGACACGAAACGGCGUCGUUUUUGCGUUUCUCCGCCACGUCAGCGUGCAAAACGACGCCGUUUUGGACUAAACUCGCCAGAAAAUUGCCACGUCAGCCAUUUGGCCGGAUUUUCGCCGGAGUGGCACUUAAGUGUCCCAUUUUACUCCAAUGAUGGCACUUAGGGGUACCAUUUUAAAGUUAUGGGGGGGGGGAGUGUCCUGGCGUGCCAAGUUAUGGCACUCCAGGUGUCCCGCACUCUGAGGCAAAGUUCAUCUACCAAAAUUUCUGCCGUAGCACUUCAACUAAUGUCAAAACUUGCAUAUAUAUACUCUUGAUCCAGUUUCAGGCUAUGCGAGAACCUAAACUGAAAUAGUUAAGUAGCUUAUAAUUACAGUAUAUGACUAAUUCCAGGAGAUUUCUGCAUGUUUGUGUUUCCUCCUUUUUUUUCCCCAAAUUUGAGCUUGCUUUUAAAGGUUUCUGAAUUUUGAUCAGUGGACUCUUGCAGAGUGAUUUAAUGGCAAUUGUGUACUUGAGAAAAAGAGGUGGGGUGCUUCAGGAACUUGGGAGGACAGAAGUUUAUAUCAAUUAGUUGGAUCCGGCAUGGAUUGAAACGAUUUCUUAGGCUUGUCAUCUCGAGACUAUUCAACAUUUGAUAUGAGUUUUUCCAACUAUGGCAAAGUAUAACUCAUCAGUCUCUAUGUUGUCUUAAUUGCAUUAUGUAAAUCCAUUUCUUUGUUUGUUAUUAUCUCUUUUCAGCUUUCAUGUAAAGUAUCAUUUCAUAAUGUUAUUUCACAACAUUCCUGUAAAGGCAUGUUGGUUGUUUUAGUCAUUUCAUAUCUUUUGAUAUUCUCUUCUUUGGAUGUUAACUAAUGUUAUUUCUUUGUGCUAUCUUUGGCUCUUUUGGGUUUUUCCCCUCUUAAUUUUAUGUGCGAAGCCAUGUGCUGUGCAGGGCCUUUCCUUGUUAUACAUUAACAGUGUCUCCUACUGCAAUUCUAUGCUCUGUCACAUUUUAGUCAUUCUUCCUAGAGGUCUAACUCAAAAUUAUAUAAAAAUGGAGACUAUUUGGAGUAAUAUAGGGAGUGGGCUUAGAUCGAUUACCAAGUUUCUCCAACUUAUAUAAUAGCUACUUUUACUAUGGUUAUGGAUGAACUAAAUUUUUGGUUUGGUCCUGAAGUAAGGAAUAUAUUAAAGACAGAUGCUCAUCUCUUUUCUUCCCUUUGAUGUUCAAGUGGGGUAGGACGAGACUUUUCUGGGUUGAUUGGCUUUAGCUUUCUUGGAUGCUACAUAUUGAAAUGCCUAUGGAAUUCGGGAAAAGCAAAAUGGAUGCAUUGGACGAUCUUAUGUUUGCGUAGGAAUUUGAAUGUUAAACGGUAAUUAAGUAAUUGCAAUCAUGCUUAUUUGGGCAAUAUAUAGUAGUCCAUUCAGAUUACCUGGGUUUCUAUUCGCCUUUUGCCUUUAAAUGUAAGGAAGAAGAAAUCUAAAUGGUAUCUAUUAAUCAGGAGGUUUGCUGGCAGACGUUAAAGCUAUAGGGCCAAGAGUUUCUAGGAAAAGUUGGCUGUGUGCUGUCUAAAACCUUCAUCUUCAUCUUAUGAAUAAAAAAAGGUACAUGUGCAUUUUUUGUAACACGACUGAUAGUAAGAUCUCGAACUACCCAACUAAUAUGAUGCAUUUAUUGGAAUAUAGAACAUAAUAAUUAGAAGCGGAGGUUAAUAACUCCUGAUUAUUUAAGAUGCCAUGAUGCCAUCCAAUUUUGGCCAGUGCACAUGAUCAAAUCUGUUAAUAGCCUUUUUCUUUUUUUUUGGAUUUGCUUAGGUUAAACCCAGGACUUUUGCGUCCCCAUCCCACCUUUUUUGGGAUUUGCCUAGGUUAAACCGAGGACUUUUGCGUCCGCACCCCUCCCUUCCUUGCCACCAAUGGCUAAUAGAGGCUAUCUACUGGGAAUUGUUUGAAUCUGGAUUUCAAGACAACACACUUGCCACAUUUCAAAUAUGCAAAUCAUAACCACUUGACUGCCUUAGUGGCUACCCUUCCCAUAUGAAAAGGAAGAGAUGAGGAGUUCGAUUUCUCAAUUCUCCAAAGGAACUGGAGGUGGAGAUUUUGAGUUUUAGGUGUGAGGUUUAACUCUCACGCUCUGCAAAGAGAUAGCGCAAAAGUUUAAGAUUGAGUCGAGAGUUAGAGUAAGACAUAUCAAUAAUAAAAUAAUAUAUAUAUAUAUAUAUAUAUAUAUAUAUAUAUAUAUACAAACCAUUACUCCGAUGAUUUCUCUUAGCGAUAUCACUAUGACUAUGACCUUGCAAAAGGUCUAAGGAAAAGUAAUAUGCUUAGGUCGACUAGCACUAGAGAGCAAGCAAAUUAUCAAGAAUGUUGUAGAUUAUGGAGCCAUGAAAUUAAUGUAUAUCAUUGGAGAGAAUCAAGUUUAAGAUAGGAUUAAGUAAUCCAAACAUCUUUGUGCACUUAUCAAAAGUGUAAUUCAAACUAUCGUGCCUACAAGUGAACAAUUUACUAAUGCAUGAUCCCAAGCGACCACCACUUGAGUUCGUGCAACCUCAACAAAGAAAAUAAUCAAAGACUUCUCUGUUCACACAUUAUCGAGAGACCCAAUUUCUCGAGUAUAUAUUGUCUGCUUUUUGUCCCUAGAGAAACAUGGUGUGAAAGUAUUGAAGUGUAUGCUCUCAUUGUCUUGACCAAACACCAAUUUAUGCAUUUACGUGCUGGCUCAAAUAAUUUUGCCAAUUUUACCUUUAUUGUUAAGAAUAUGUUAAAAAAACCAGCAUUUGAGAGGCCAACAUGUCACGCCUCGAUCCUCGAGCGCAUACCCAUCCCUCUGUGGUCGAUAAAAUAUUGCGACUUUCCAAGACGAGUCGCCGACCCUUUCAUUUUAUUGCACAUGCGGAAGCAACUAACAUAUCCCCUGACAAUAACCAUCUCAGGAUAGAAAAGCAGGACAACACAUUCACAAACAAACAUGUUUUUAUAAACAUACUGAGUUAUGUACAAAAGCCUAUACCCAAAAGAUUUCAAAAGACUGGCUCUCAAAAAGAGAUUGUCCUAUCUGACCUACACUUCAGGUCACCUCAGCUCAGCUCCAGGUCCUCCCUCUACGAUCCUGAAAAUUUAAGCCCACGACGGGGUGUGAAAUAAAUCUCAGCGAGUUCAUGCUCUAAGCCCCGAUUAGGAGGGUAAUACGCCUAGAAGCGUCCUAACCACACAAUCACGGAGGCUUAUCUCGUCUCAGACCCUUCCUAUAGGUCAGCAUAGUUCGUAUCACAAUGCAUAUAACAAUUGAAAUGCCUUGUCAACUCAAUUAAUCAUAAUGAUCCCGAUUAUAAGGCCAAACAGUUAUGACACGUUCCAUACCAUGCCACACAGUUUUGUCUCAUAAUUAGGCGCAUCAAACUCAAACAACCAUGCGUUCCAAAUGUUAAUUAAGCCCCUCAAGGCACAUUCGACUCCCAUGUUCGGUUGUCUACUGGCGUAGCCAAGCAUCGUCUCUUCCCCAUUGAGCACGGCUACGUCUCUCAUAGACGGCUUUCCCGAAGGAGCGUAGGUUUAGAAUCUAUUACGACCCGAUACCCUAAUGCAUGGGUAACCCGAAAAGGGAUUUAGUAACGUCCGGUGUAAUUGCUCGAGAUGGGUUCUCUUAACCAACACAUGACUAAUCAAUCUCGGCCCAAGACACUGUGCAUUGCACUCAGAUUCCUCAAUUAAAAUAGUAAUCCUAGCCUAAUUUCUUUGUAUUAAAAAUACCCAGUGAAAAUAAUCAUGUGUGGGUACACGAUCAAAUUGGACCUAGAAAAUUCAUAACCUCCAAUUUUAAAAGUCCACUGAACCAUUUUUGGUGUUAAAAUCCGACACCUGGGAUUUUCUAAAUAAAUGUCGGAAUUCACAAAUUUUGUACUCAAAAUUCCAAUCAGCACUCAAUCUGCACAAAUUAACAUCCAAUUGCAUAAAUUGAACACACCAUUGCAAUCAGUACGAAAUUUCGGUAACCGGCUAUCCCAGUCUAAUUUCCAAAAAAAAAUUAAUAAUUAAAUAAAUUACCGACAAUUAAAUAAAUUACAAAAUAAAUAAUAAAAGCACUCAAUUAAAUUAACCUAAACUAAUCGAGCUAAUUAAUUGAACUAACAAUUAAAUCUAACCAUUCUACCUAAUUCAAUCUAAAUACACUAAUUAUAUGAACUAACUAAUUCCUAACUAAAUCCACCUAACUAUUCUAAUUUAACUAACUAUAUACUUACUCUAACUAAAUUACCCUAAGCUUAAUUAACUUAAAUAAUCUACAAAUUAGCUAACUAAUCAACAUCUAAGUGUCAUUAGCCUACUAAUUAGGGGUUAAAACGCAAUUCACCGGUUUAACACGAAAGCUGGUUCACGACGAUGGUGGCGCGACGGAGGCCGAAACCCGAACUUUCGGCGACGCCAACAGAGGCUCGGACCGGGCCGAAAAGGCCUUGCAAGCCCACAGCAAAUUUGCUGGGCUUGGCUGAAUUCAUGGGCUGAAGCCCACGAGCUGGACCUGGCCGAACUUGCGGGCUUCAAAUGGGCUGGGCUUGCGGACAUGAAGGCUGGAGACAAGCGGGCUGCAGGCGUGUGAGGCGGUGGAGACGAAGACACACGGCUGAGGUUGCUUCGGUCAACCACGUCUUCGCUGGAGAAGAGACUUGACCGGUGGAGGGUCCUUCAUGGACAUGUGGCAGCAAACAUGGAGGUUCGGUGGAGCAGAAUUGCUGGUGGAGCUGCACUCGGUCGACGAUGCUGAUGGUUGACCGAGCUGAAGAGAAGACGCGGACGUGGCAGAGAAGCGGCUGUCUUCGGUGGGGCUGGAGACAAGUGAAGGUGGAGAUGCUGGCGGUCUGUGCUAGCGUGAGUGGAGAGGGGUCAACAAUUGAAGGUUGCAAGGGAAGUUUGACUCAUGGGAGACAAACGAUAGUGGAGAUGGGGCCGUAUGGCAGCUUGGGAAUUCGGUGGGGGUGGCUUCGGUUGCAGAGGAUGAACGAAGAUGAAGACGCAGGGGAAAAGAAAUGAAAACGGGAGCAGCUGGGUGAGUGCGACGAAAAGAAAAGGAGAUGGGCAGCAAACGUGAAAGGGAAGCUUAGAGAGAGAGGGGCAAAAGUCAAACAACUUAUCUAAUUUCAUAAAUGCUUGGUCCCCCAGUAUUCAUGCAUAUCUCCAUGUCCCCAGUUACUUUCUAGCAAAUUAAAUCCAUAAAAUAAGCCAACUGUUGCCAAAAUUCAAGCCCUCCUCCUUAGCUCCGAAUUUCCUCAUUUUGACUCUAAUUUCUUUAUGAAAUUCCCCAAAUCGAUGUCCAAUUUUGUUGAAGAAAAAGCCCACAAAAUUUUUAUAAGUUCCCAUCACCAAAUAGCUCGGCUUGGAAGCCCAAAUUCCCUUCGACUUGGCCCAUCCGAAUUUCCGGUCGUUUUCCGAAUCGUCCAAAUUGAUUUUCCAAAAAAAAUCUCGGAAUUGCUGAAAAUUCUUGGGAGGAUGAGUUGACAUUCCUAAAAUGAACCGUGAAACAACAGAACUUUCAAUUCCUGAAAUCAAGUUCAAUUUCGUAGUUAAUUUCAAUCUGACGCGAUUUUAGCGUGUCCUAAUCUACCAUAUAGCUUUUAGGAAUUUUUAGUGAAAUUGACUCGUAGUCGAUUAUUUUCGAGCCACGACAUAUAUCUUCAACACAUUGGCGACUCUCGAUUGUCGUAAAAAUAUCGAGGUUUCAAAUACGGAUGCAGGGUACGAAAAUGACAGAAAAAUUGGUCUAGCAUCGUUCGAUAGAAAUUUUACAAUUAGGUGGAAUCACCCACGCACUAAUCACAUAUCUCUAUCGAAUCGACCUAUCUCCAGUCUCUGAUCGAUUUUGACGGUGCCGUAAUGACCAUUGUAGAUUAGCACGGUUGAGCAGUUGAUUUCUGGUCGAAUUCUCAAGUUUAAUGCAUUUAGAUUCCUUAACGGCUUCACCUGAUAGGCUAGUUAACUCGUGAGUGGCCAACUCAGAGAAAAAUGCUAUAAUCACGUCGAUGAAAAGCCCAUUUCAUCUCAUCGAAAUCAAAUUUGAAAAUUAGGAUGUCACAUGACAUGUCAUUAAUCUUUCAUGGUCUAAUAAUGCUCUCUUGGAUAGAUUAAGUCUAAUUGCACGUGAUGGAUGGGGGAAGGAAACUGAGGGGCCAAUAAUUUAAUGAAUAGAUCAUUCAUCCAUUAAAUACUUGAUGUCAAUCUGUAUCCGUGUUAUUGUUUGGAAAGGGAGAUCCUUCAUUUAAAGGUAAUAAUCUGUCUAUUUGACUUAUGCCUAUGUUUAAUGUAGAUAUAACAUUGUAAUAAUUUAAAUGUGAUAAUUAAAAUUUUGAGUAAGAUAUUCAUAGUUACAAAUCUAGUAACUUAAUAAAUCCUUUACUCAUUAAAAUAUAUACUUUCUCUCUUUUUUAAUCACUUUGAAUUUUUAAUUGUGGGCAUUGUCUCAUUUUUUUUGGCACAUGCAUAACUUGCACUCUUUUUUUCUUCCGUGAGAUUGAAUGAUAAUUUCAGCCAUUCAAAUAAGCAUUGGCAUUUACUAGCUGGCUAUAUCAUGAAGCUAUCCAGGUGAAGUAAAUUAAAGAUCAAAAGAAAAUACACUUCAAAAUCUUAUCGAGGAAUUCAAAAGCAAACUCACACCCUUGUGAUUGUAUUAACUAUCAUGCUAGUAGCACUCCAUCCAUCUAUCAAAGAGAGAUACGAAAAAGGAGAGAGCUUCAACGGGGAGUGUGAACUCAACACACGAAAUUUCAUGCUCAAUCGUCGAGUAAUCACAUGUUCUCGCACGUAUUCAAUCAUUAAACAUUCAAAAGAAAGACCAAGAAACAACGAUGUCCUCCUCUCUCUCUCUCUCUCUCUCUCUCUCUCUCUCUCUCUCUCUCUCUCUCUAUAGAGCGAUUCAGAGAGUCAAGAUCCAAAAUUUGACCUUAUCCAUCAACUUAUUGAAGAGCCACAAUGGUGCAUUUCUUUCAGAAUUAUGAAAGCCCAUUCGGAAAAUGCAAAGUAAUUUAACCUAAAAGACUUUAAGCAAAUGUAAAGGCCGUUUAGUAAACUGUGCAGUGAGAAAUAACUUUGAGAGAAAUGUUAUUUGGUAGAAAACACAUUUGAAAAGCCCUUUGAAUGAUUAAUAUUAGUUUCUUUUAAUUACAUUUGUUUAAAAUUGAAAAAAAAAAUAAUGUAUGUAACUUUUUAAAUAUAAAUUUUGACAAUAAUACUAAAAAAAUCAAAUACAUAUAUAAUUUUUUUUUAAAAGGCCAAACCCUUCAUUGGAGUUUUUUAAUUUUUAUUUGCUUAAAAUUGAAAAAAUAAAUAAUGUAUGCAACUUUUUAAAUAUAAAUUUUGACAAUAAUGCUAAAAAGAAAGAUCAAAUACAUAUAUCUUUUAUAUAUAUAUAUAUAUAUAUAAUUUUUUUUAGAAAAGAUCAAAUCAUUCAUCAAAUUUUUUUAAUUUUUAUUUGUUUAAAAUUGAAAAAUAAUGUAUGCAACUUUUUAAAUAUAAAUUUGAAAAUAAUGUUAAAAAAUCAAAUACAUAUAUAUAAUUUUUUUUAAAAAAACCAAACCCUUCAUUGGAAUUUUUUAAUUUUUAUUUGUUUAAAAUUGAAAAAAAAAUAAUGUAUGCAACUUUUUAAAUAUAAAUUUUGACAAUAAUGCUAAAAAAAUCAAAUACAUAUAUAUAAUUUAAAAAAAAAAAGACCAAAUCCUUCGUCAAAAAUUUGUAAUUUUUAUUUGUUUAAAAUUGAAAAAAUAAUGUAUGUAACUUUUUAAAUAUAAAUUUGAAAAUGAUGCUAACAAUCAAAUACAUAUAUAUAAUUUUUUUUUUAAAAGACAAACCUUUCAUCGGAAUUUUUAAUUUUUAUUUGUUUAAAAUUGAAAAAAAAAUGUAUGCAGCUCUUUAAAUAUAAAUUUUGAUAAUAAUGUUAAAAAAAUCAAAUAUAUAAAUAAUUUAUUUAAAUAGACCAAAAAAUAUUAAAUUUUUUAGCAUUAUUUUGCCAUUUAAAAAAUUAAUAACGAGAGUAAAAUAAGAAAUUUGAAGAAUGAGUAAUGAUAGUUUUGGAAAAAAAAUAAUAAGUUUUAGAAUUUUAUUAAAUGCUGAAAGUUCAAAGCUAGUCACUACUAGCAUUGGGCUUUCUGCCUCUCCAAUAUUGGCUGCGUUUGGUUCAGCAUUUGCAAUGGGCUUUGAGUCCAAUGCAAAUGCUAAAAGCCCAAAGCUAUUUUGGGAAAAUGCAGUUGUGUUUGGUAAAAAAAAUUUGCAAAUGGACUUUGAGUUGGAUGUGUGUUUGGUAAAAAAAACUUUCGCAAGGGGCUUUGAUGGGUAUUAUUUUUUCUUUUUCUUUUUUUUUUUGAAAAUUCAGCUAAACCCUUCGCCGGACCGGCGAAGGGCUGCGGCCGUCGACUAGCUAAAUCUGGCACCGGCGGGCGUCGGCUGAGGUCACCCAACCUCCGGGGAGCUCCUGCGAGGAGAACAAAAAUGAUUUCAGCAUUGCCAAGGACUCCACUUUCAAUUGAAAGCUCCUUGAGGAAGGUGCCAAAACCCCCUCUCUUUGGGUGAAUGGGGUUUGGGGGACUGGAAGGGCUUUCUAAAUGCCCAUCCAACGCUCGCAUUGGGCUUUUACUUUAAAGUUACUUCAAAUGGUUGUGAACUAUUCAGCUUUUUCCCAAUGGGCUAAGAGACGGAAACGCCCCUAGGGUACUGUACGCAAUGCACCCCAGUAUUUAGCCCGAGGCAAAUAAUUGACACCGGAAAGUCAGCUUAUGAUGGUUAUUUUGAGAGAGAGUAAAUUAGGUAAAGAGCCAGUUUGNNNNNNNNNNNNNNNNNNNNNNNNNNNNNNNNNNNNNNNNNNNNNNNNNNNNNNNNNNNNNNNNNNNNNNNNNNNNNNNNNNNNNNNNNNNNNNNNNNNNUAGUUUUUUUUUUAAUUCCAUCUGUUUAAAUUGCAAAAAAAAAUAACGUAUGCAACUUUUUAAAUAUAAUUUUUGACAAUAAUACUAAAAAAAAUCAAAUACAUAUAUAUUUUUUUUUAAAAAGACCAAAACCUUAAUUGGAAUUUUUUAAUUUUUAUUUGCUUAAAAUUGAAAAAUAAAAAUAAUGGAUGUAACUUUUUAACAUAUAAAUUUUGACAAUACUGCUAAAAAAAAUCAUAUACAUAUUUAUAUAAUUUUUUUUUUAUAAAAAAGACCAAAUCCUUCGUUGAAUUUUUUUAAUUUUUCUUUGUUUAAAAUUGAAAAGAUAAUGUAUGCAACUUUUUAAAUAUUAAUUUGAAAAUAAUGCUAAAAAAAUCAAAUACAUAUAUAUAUAUAUAUAUAUAUAUAUAUUAAAAAAAGACCAAACCCUUCAUUAAAUUUUUUUUAAUUUUAUUUUUUUAAAAUUGAAAAAAAAAUAAUGUAUGCAACUUUUUAAAUAUAAAUUUUGACAAUAAUGCUAAAAAUAAAAUACAUAUAUAUAUAUAUAUAUAUAUAUAAUUUUUUUUAAAAAAAAAAAGACAAAAUCCUUCAUCAAAAUUUUUUAAUUUUUAUUUUUUUAAAAUUGAAAAAAUAAUGUAUGUAACUUUUUAAAUACUAAUUUGAAAAUAAUGCUAAAAAAUCAUAUAUAUAUAUAUGUGUGUGUGUGUGUGUGUGUGUGUGUGUGUGUGUGUGUAUUUAAAAAAGGACCAAACCCUUUGUCGGAAUUUUUUAAUUUUUAUUUGUUUAAAAUUGAAAAAAAAAGAAUGUGUGCAACUUUUUAAAUAUAAAUUUUGACAAUAAUGCUAAAAAAUCAGAUAUAUAUGCUAAAAAAGAUCACAUAUAUAGAUAAUUUCUUCUUAAAAGACCAAGAAUAUAUCUAAUUUGUUUUAACAUAUAUUGAUGGCAUCUAAAAAAAUAGGCAAAAAUAAGAAAUUGUGAAGAAUAGGUGAUGAUGAGUUUUGGAAAAAAAAAAUAGGUUUCAGCAUUUGGCUAAAUGCUGAAAGCUCAGAGUUAGUUUCUGCUAACAUUGGGCUUUUAACCUUCCCAAUGCUGACUUUUACUUGAAAGCUACUUCAAAAUGGUUACCAAACGGUACAGCAUUUCUCUAAAAUCCCUUGACGCACCUUCGGAUAAGGAACAUCAUAGCCUCGAUAGAGACGUCACAACCAACCUCACAUGAUUUAGUGUUACUGUCAACUAAAAUAAAGGAAUAGAGAGAGUGGGUGGGUGCCACAAUUUUCACCAGAAGCAAUUUUUAAGAAAACAAAUCCAAAGGUAAAUAUUCAAGCAAUUCAGAAUACUCUGCGUUGAGUAUGGAAAAUGGAAAAUAUGGAGAUAUCCCCUAUAGCCCAAGGCAUCUUUGAAUUCCAAUUUUGGUCGGAAACAGACAGGGAUAGGGUUCUUCAACAGGGUCCCUGGUCUUUUGCAAAUCACUUACUCUUGUUGAAUUCAUGGGAGCCUAAUAUACCUCCUGCAUGUUACAAUUUCAAAACCUGUGAAUUUUGGGUGCAUAUACAUGGUCUGCCAAUUGAAUGGAUAACAGAGAGGGUGAUAACAAAAGUGGCUGGGGAAAUAGGCAAUGUCUCAGAGGUUAAGAUUGAAUCUAGGGGAUAUACAUCCUACAAGAUAGGAAAGGCUAGAGUCAAGAUAGACAUCUCGAACCCUCUGAUUUCAGGGUCGAUAUUUAGCAACAGAGGAAAGAAAUUAUGGCUGGAUUUCAGAUAUGAAAGAUUGCCUCACUACUAUUACUCAUGUGGGCGCCUAUGAUAUUAUUCUCAAUACUGUGAGGAGGGUCCUUUUACUGAGGAGAAGUUUAAAAACAUUAAAGAUUUACCCUUUGACCCUUGGUUGAAGGCAGAAGUUAAUGAAGUUAGCCCCUAUUGGGACCUAUUUUACAUGAAGUUGAUUGAAGAAUUGAUGGAAGCAGAAGCCAUACCUGAAACACCACUGGAUGCAGCACCUAUUGUGGUGUAUAAGGGCAACCCAACAGAUUUGGAGAAUAUAAGCACCAGCAGGGCAGACGAACGUGGGAAGGCCAAGAUGAAGGAGCCUAUGUCUUGGGAAGAGGAUAUAGGUGUGCUAAAUCCUUCACAAGAACUGGGAAAGAGUGGAGGUGUAUCUUUAGCAAGUAAAGGAUCACUAGAAGCUCGAAACCUAAAAAUAUGCAAAAACAUGAAAAUGCAUGUUAGUAAAAAAAAAAACAGAAGAGAUAUUCUCCUUAUGAAGUGCAGCAAUCCAACAACAAAAUCUUAGAUGCGACUCAAUUGCUAGAGACUCCAAUUCAAACAUGGGAAGAAGUACAAAAAUGGGCUCUGGUGGCUAGCCCUAAUAAGCCACCAAGUUACAUAUGAAAGUUAUAUGCUGGAAUUGUCAAGGUUUAGCCUCCCCCCUGACAAUUCAGUCUUUACGAGCUUUAGUAGCUUAAGAAAAGGCUACGGUCCUAUGCUUACUGGAAACGAAGAAUAGAGAAGAUGUUGUGAACAGAAUGCAGAAAAUACUAAAGUUUCAAAAUGGCUUCACAGUAAAUCCAAGAGGCUUGGCAGGGGGAUUAGCAAUUUUCUGGAAUGAACAGGUUACCAUUACAAUUAUAUCCAGCACUAUGUCUUUUAUCAACUUAACAUGCAAAUUGGAAGAGACAAAGCAAAGUAUGCGCAUUACCUUUGUUUAUGCACCGACUGAAUUUCAGCAAAGAUUACAUCUGUGGGAUGCAAUUUAUCAGAUGACUAGGCUGAAUUGAGACCCUUGGCUGUGUGUUGGGGAUUUUAAUGAAAUAUUAUAUCAGUGGGAAAAAGUAGGAGGAAGAGUGGCUUAAUACUAUAGGUGUAAAGCUUUCCAAGAUUUUAUAAAUGCAUGUGCUCUUAUGGAUCUAGAAAGCAAGGGUUGUGCCUAUAUUUGGGCAAACAAUAGAGAAGGGGAUGAGCUGAUUAGGAAGAGGCUGGAUCGAGCUUUGUGUAGUAUGGAUUGGAGGGUUUCUUUUCCUUCUACGGAAGUUAUUGCAUUGCCAGCUAUUGGGUCAGAUCAUAGUCCCAUUUUAUUAAACUUUUUUCCCCAACAAGUUAAACGUAAAAAAGAAUUUAAAUUCGAAGCUUUCUGGGUUGCUGAGGAGGACUAUGAACAUAUUGUAUUGGAUAGUUGGAAUUCCUUUGGAGGGGAGAACGUAAACAUGUCGGUUCGAUUAAAAAAGGUGGUUGAAGAGCUAGCGAUUGGAGUAAAAGGAGAUUCAGAAAUGCAGAAAAACAAAUUUCAAUGCUGAAAAGAGAGAUGCGGGCCAUUUCAAACAACGCAAAUGCACAUUAUGACAUAAACAGAAUGAAUUGGCUGAAAAUAGAGAUAGAGAGACUAUGGAGACAAGAAGAAGUAUAUUGGGGUAUGAGAUCCAAGAUCAAUUGGCUCAGAUGGGGGGAUAAAAAUUCCAAAUACUUUCAUGCAACCACAGUGCAAAGGCGUCAAAGAAACAGGAUACUAAUGCUGAAAAAUGAGCAUAAUGAAUAGUGUCGGGACCCCAUAGUUUUAAAGGAGAUAACAGUAAACUUUUUCAAAGAGCUUUAUACUUCUAUAGGGCAAAGAAAUAUCCAACCAGUCAUUGACCAAAUCCCAUACCUUGUAACAGAGGAGAUGAACCGCGUGCUGAGAAGUCACCCUACAAGAGGUUAUCACAGCAACUUUUCAGUUGGGUGCUCUCAAAGCUCCUGGACCAGAUGAACUGUGUGGAAAAUUCUAUCAACAUCACUGGAAGGAUAUUCAAGAAGAAGUAUUCAGAGAGGUCAAGUCUUUCUUUAACUCAGGAAAGCUUAAUCCUGAAUUGAAUCACACAUAUAUCACCCUUAUACCGAAAAUGCACAAUCCAGAGAGGUUGGAUCAAUUUCGCCCUAUUAGCCUUUGUAACUAUGCUUAUAAAAUCAUUUCAAAAAUCAUGGCAAAUAGACUAAAACAGUGGCUGCCUAACUCGAUAGCAACAGAGCAAGUGCAUUUGUAAAUGGGCGACAAAUUCAAGAUAACAUCCUAAUAGUGCAAGAAGUGCUUCAUCAGCUACGCAUCAGAAAAUGGAAAAAGAAAUUUCAUGCAGUGCUGAAGGUAGAUAAGAAGAAGGCAUAUGACCACGUGGAAUGGGAUUUUCUUAAAGCUAGCAUGCUAAAAAUGGGUUUCUGCGAUACUUGGGUCUCUUGGAUCAUGGAAUGUGUCUCAACAGUAUCAUUCAGCGUUAAAGUAAACGGGGAACCUACAGCUUCUUUUAAGCCUACUCACGGGAUAAGACAAGGUGACCCACUAUCUCCGUACCUAUUCAUUAUUGUGGCAAACGUCCUAUCUAUGAUGCUGAAAAGAGAAGUGGAAAAUGGCAGCAUUAAGGGUAUUAAGCUGAAUAGAUUCUGUCCAUCACUAUCCCAUCUACUAUUUGCGGAUGACCUAAUCUUGUUUUUGGAAGGCAAAUUGGUCAAGUGUCAAAAUGUAGCAAUGAUCCUAAACCAAUAUUGCUUUGUAUUUGGACAAGCUAUAAAUCUGAACAAGUCUAGUAUGCGCUUUAGUAAAGAUUGUCCAAGAGAAAUGAGGAGUAACUUGACUAAAGAAAUGAGAGUACCAGAGUUGGAAAAGACCGGGAAAUACCUCGGGAUACCUUCUGAUUGGGGUGGAUCCAAAAAGCAAAUGUUUAAUUGGAUUCUUGCAUGAGUCAAUAUGAAAUUGGAGGGCUGGAAAGAGAUUUUUUUUUAUCAAAGGCAGGGAAAGAAAUUCUACUUAAAACUGUGGUGCGGGCUCUACCACAAUAUGCUAUGUCCAUUUUUAAAAUUCCCCUAUCUAUUUGGCGUACCAUUGAAAAGAAAAUAACAACUUUCUAGUGGAAAAACAAUGAAAAUAGGGCAGGUUUACAUUGGAAAAACUGGGAUAUUCUCAGAGUAAGAAAGGAUGAAGGUGGGCUAGGCUUUCGAGAUCUAAUUAAAUUUAACGAGGCACUAUUGGGGCGGCAAGCAUGGAGGCUAAUUCAGAAUCCGACUUCUCUUUGGAGUCAAAUUCUCAAAGGACUACACUUUCCACACAUAGAUAUAUUACAUGUAGAGAAAGGCUCAAGACCAUCAUGGGGUUGGCAAAGUCUACUCAUGGGGUGGUUGGAAAUGGGAAAAAAAUCAGUAUCAGGAAUGAUCAAUGGUUACCGAGAGGAUUUAUUGGAGGACCUACAAAUAGAGAUGACCCAUUACGGGUUUCGGAACUUAUAACCAGAGAUUCUGCCACUUGGAAGGAGGAUAGAGUACUAGAACUUUUCGACCAUGACGUGUGUAAAGAAAUUCUAGCAAUCCACCUAAACCCCCAAUUUCCAAAGGACAAAUUAGUCUGGAAGCCAACCAAAACAGGUCAAUUCACAGUCAAAAGUGCAUAUAACAAGCUCAAAGCACAAGGAGAAAAUCAUAAGCAAAACCAUGCUUCUUCGUCCUAUCAUGCUCCACGAUCAUUGUGGAAUAGAAUAUGAAAGCAAAAGUUCAGCCUAAAAUCAGAUUUUUCUUUUGGCAAAUUUGUCAAAAUGCAUUAGCAACAAAGGAGAAUUUAUAUCGGAGACAUAUCAUACCUGAGGCCAUGUGCACAAUUUGCAACAAACAUCCAGAGUCAGUAGAGCAUCUUUUUCUCCUUUGUCCAUGGACAAACCAAUUCUAGGAAGCCGCUAUAGUGACAAUACAAAGAGAUGGUCAAGGGAUUACUCAGAUAGAGGAAUGACUAGCAAAAUUUCAACAUACCUCAGUGUCUUUUGGGCAAUUAGCUUUCUUGCUGUGGCAAAUCUGGAAAUCACGUAACGAUUGGUGUUUCAAAGCAAAAUCGUUGAAAUCCCAGCAUAUAAUCUCCUCAGCACUGGCCAUAGAAGAAAAUUUCAACAGGUGGAUGCAAAAAUAGACCAAAACAGAGCAGGUGCCGGUGUUCCCAUCUCAAUUCAGAGUGGCUUCAACGGAGACCUCGCCCCCAAACUGCACUCCUCUAAUGCACGAUACAGAGCAAAUCCCGAAUCCCACUUCUUGACGCACAGCAAGACGCAAAAUUGGAAUCCCUCACUACAAAGCCCNNNNNNNNNNNNNNNNNNNNNNNNNNNNNNNNNNNNNNNNNNNNNNNNNNNNNNNNNNNNNNNNNNNNNNNNNNNNNNNNNNNNNNNNNNNNNNNNNNNNCCCCCCCCCCCCCCCCAUCUCAGAUCUGGAGGUCUUCGACGCGAGCGCCAUCUCAAAUGCCCACCCCUCCAACGCUCGGCUUGGCCCAAACCCGAAACCUGUCAUUGCAGCACUUACAUCAGACUGGGAACCCUCCGAAUUUCAUCUCAACUCCAACAGGAACCUCUACAAAGUACGGCUCACCUCAGAUCUGGACUCCCCCGACACAUGGUGUGAUAAAAAUAAACGUCGAUGGCUCCUUUCUUCAAGAAACAGGGGAAGCGGCUAUAGAUUGCAUUUGUCGAGAUAGCCGAGGAGUCCUUGUUGAUGGUUUUGCGCACACGGUCAGAGUCUCCUCAGUGCUUCAGGCGGAAGCACAGGCGGUGCUACAAACCCUAAAGUUUUAUGAAGGAAGAGAAGAAAAGCAGAUGGAGUUGGAGUCAGAUAAUCUUGAACUGGUGAAAGUGUUAGUCGAAAGUACACCGCAAAGCAACUGGGAAGUAGAUGCGUUAAUAUGUGAAGGGAAGGCACGUGUUAUUACUUUCCCAAAUCUGAAAAUAGCCCAUUGCCGACGAGAGUGCAACAAAAUGGUGGACUGGGUCGUCAAGGCCCACCGAAGAAAGGCCCUUCCAACUAAUUGGGUUUUUUAUCCCCCUCUUGUCUUUUGGACUUGUUAUGUUCUGAAGCUAGUGCUUCUAUUGUCCAAACUUUGCUCGAAUGAAUGCUAAAAAAUUUCCUUUCGACCAUAAAAAAAAAAAAAAAAAAAAAAAAAAAAAAAAAAAAACAGAGGUUUUCGGAGAGAGACGUCAAGGGACAGGAAUUGUGGGUGUGAAUCGAAUCCAUGAAGGAGGUGAAAUCGGACUUGUUCGAGAGGGAGGGAGGGAGAGAGCAUGGGGGGCUGCUUUUCGGAUGUGAAAGGAGGUCAACAAGCCGUCGGGGGACCCGAUAGGGCCCCAAGGGAGUAGGAGUCGGCGGAGGAGGAGGCAACAACGGCGGGCACAACGACGCAGUUGAUCGUGCGCGCUUUCUUCGCCGGAGAAUCUUUUUCUUUUUUGCAUAGUGAUGCGCUUCGUCUUCUUCAGGCCUGAGUCAAUGUUGUCACUUGUCGGUAUUUUACUCUUGUCGUUUCGCGGACCAAUGAUGUGGCCAGAAAUAACCUUUCUUUGGGAGGAUGGUUCGCAGAAAAACUGAGAAGCAUUCUUCACAACGUGGAUUCUGCUCAAGCCUCACAAUUUGAACGACAUGAUGUUAAAUUUUGCGCGUAAUGUAAAGAAAACAUAGUCGUCUAAUUGGAGUUUUCUUCUUGUGUUCCUCAUUAGACUUGACUUCAGUAAAUUUCAUUUUUUUUCUUCAAACCCAAGUUUUCGUCUGCCUCUUGAGCCGGGGGCCUUUUUGGAACUCGUGCAAAUGACGAAGAAAUUACCAUACCACGACCAAGUUUAAUCGGAAUUUUCAUCAGUCUUAUUUAAAAGGGCUGCUAANNNNNNNNNNNNNNNNNNNNNNNNNNNNNNNNNNNNNNNNNNNNNNNNNNNNNNNNNNNNNNNNNNNNNNNNNNNNNNNNNNNNNNNNNNNNNNNNNNNNNNNNNNNNNNNNNNNNNNNNNNNNNNNNNNNNNNNNNNNNNNNNNNNNNNNNNNNNNNNNNNNNNNNNNNNNNNNNNNNNNNNNNNNNNNNNNNNNNNNNNNNNNNNNNNNNNNNNNNNNNNNNNNNNNNNNNNNNNNNNNNNNNNNNNNNNNNNNNNNNNNNNNNNNNNNNNNNNNNNNNNNNNNNNNNNNNNNNNNNNNNNNNNNNNNNNNNNNNNNNNNNNNNNNNNNNNNNNNNNNNNNNNNNNNNNNNNNNNNNNGUAGUUUGACAUUGAAUGGAUAUGGACAACAAGCAUAGACAUGAAUCCAGCAAAUUUAAGUUGCCGACAACAUUUAUAACCACAAAUCUGGCAUGUGAUGAACAUACUCAGCAUUCAUAGCCAAGAAAUCAACAUACUCUCGAGCAUGUACAACAAGAACAACAAUGAUUCUAGUAUAUUUGAGCCAUGUAUAGUAAGAAUAGACGUAUUCAGUGAGCCUACGAUGCGGCGGGUGUGCAAAUUCAAGGAAUAGCACAUCCUGCAAUGAACAUUGUGUAAGCUAAUGGUGACAACCGAGAUAAACCACGAUGUACCUACACAUACAUCGGAAGCAUGACACAAACAAUACUCCAACGUGUCCAUCGCAUGUGAAGCGGAUCUCAACCACCCCCAAUACAGAGUAGUAGUUAGCAUGCAAAAGAAAAACUACAACUCUUAACAUAUGAACAAUUUGCGGUCAUAGAGGAUUUCUCUGUAUUAACACCUAAACGAUUAUGAUAAGUGCACUUUGAACACCUCAAGCUCAAAAUUAAAUCCAGGGGCUCUCAGUUUAGAGGACGAUUUAGCCCCGCUCCUAAAGCAGUAUUUAAUUCACCAAGAACAAAGUAAACGGAAGCACCAAGGGAAGGAGAACUCUAGGCCAUCAAGGUACGAAGCAUCAAUUUGCAGUAUAUGAUCAGCACACUAGACAACAACAUACAAAUCACUCCUAUUCAAUCUCAAAUCGAUCAAUUAAUUCAUCGUUGUCAUCUACGAGGCAAAACGUUGAACAGGUGGUGAGCAUGAAAGGCGAGGUUUUACACAAACGAGAAUUCCUAUCAAUUGGCGAGGAAUAUAACAUGAGAAACCCUGCUAAAACUUGCUAGAGAGGAAUCGUCAUCUCGGUCCGUGCGUUGUGUUCUUGCUUCGCUCGGUUCCUCAGCUCUCACGCGCACACCAAGCUUCAGAGAGUGUGUUGUGGUUGUUGUUGUGAAUUCUCGUGCAGACCUUGAAUUCAUCAGCUUCAAGGGAAUCUCUAACGCGUUAGACGAGAGAGAGAAAGAGCGUGAGAGAGAAGUUCGAUUGGUGGGGGUGGUGAUGACUGUCAGAUGCUCCACUCUGUUACGGCCAACGCUGCAGCGGCCAGCAAGGGAGAUCUGAUGGCGGCUGUUGCUGAUCGGAGAUGGAAGACGAUUAUCACCACCACCAAUCUUUCUCUCGCAGCUAUGUCAAAACGCUCUCGUGACCAAGGAAAGUUCGUGCAAAAGAAAGAUUCUACCUGAGACUACCUGCACGCUCUGCCAAGCAACAUCCAAGAAACCACUGAACAUCUCUUCCUCCUCUGUCCGUGGACACAGCAACUUUGGGAAAACCCAUCAAUCAAUAUCAGAAUCGACAUUCACGGACUUACCAGGUUCGAGGCAUGGCUAGCGAAUUUCAAACACGCCUCGGUCUCGUUUGAACUCCUCUCCUCCUUACUCUGGCAGAUUUGGAAAGCUCACAACAAUCUUGCGUUCAGAGCUCAAAAUCCGAACCCCUGUUCAUCAUGGACUCGGCCCCUCGCGAUGAAUCGAAACGUUACCUGGUGGGUGGCGGUAACUUCGUCGAGGGCUCAAAAGAAGAAGCGAUUUUACCCUAGGUUUGGAAAGCGCCAGCUCCUGGCGUGUUCAAACAUCAACGUCGAUGCGUCGUUCGUCCCAGAACAGGGGAAGGCGCCAUAGCUUUCGCGUGCCGCGACUGCCAUGGAACGCUGAUACGACGUCGUGCCCGCUCAGUCGCCAUCUCCUCGGCGAUUCAAAGCUGAAGUAACUGCAAUUCUAGAAGCCCCCAAAUACUUUAUGAGCCCCAGCAUGGUGAAGUUGCUAACGUGAACUGAAGUAGGAACUCGAGGCAGAUCAAUCUGGUCUGGUAGCUGUGAUAAACGAUACCGCAGGCGUAUCAAGUUGGGAAGUAACUGCUCUUAUCACCGACGCCCAGGCCUCUUAUCCUCCCCCCCAACACCAGCGCCACCCCCUCCCCCCCCCCCCGGGGCGGCAAAAAAAAAAAAGCCUUUCGAAUUUGUUGUCCUGCAGCAAACUUUAUGUAUUCUCGAAGUACUUCUUAAUGAGAAAUUCAUUAAUUUCAUUUACAGGAUUGCAUUUAAAGGAAUUGAGCAGAUUGCAUUACAUUUAGACAGCAUCAAUUAGAUUCCAAUUUCCAAAUAUCAUAGUUUUUAUGGAAAUACUCCAUUUAGUAUUCAUAUAAUAGCUCACGUUGUUCAUAUUGAGUUUUCAUUUAUAGCUUAGGGAAGUCCUAUUCUGAGCAUUGUUAACACCCGAAUUUUUACCGACGAUCCAAGUGUCCAUUUUUCGCAAAAAUAUAAAGAUACAAAAAAUAAAAACAAAAAAUGAGAUAGCAAAAUUUUGAUUAAAAAAUAUGAAAACAUAAAAAAGGAUAUAAAAAUAAAAUCCCACUCGGCAAUUUUCGACCUUUUAAUUCCCAACCCCUCUCUUUCGGCCCAUUUUUCUCCGUUCUUUAAGCCAACAACUUGAGCCCAAGAAGACAAGAACGGAGCCCAGCCCCUGUAGCCCCUGUCUCCCAUCUCUUCCGCACAACACGCCUGUGAGUGUUGAAAAAUUAGAAAGAACAAUGACGGUCACCGAAGAAGGCCCGGCGAGCGAGGGAUGAGUAACGAGCAUGUGACGGAAGCGGAUCCGAGAGAAACCUUCUAGAACCGUGAGCUGGCGAGGGAUAACAGAGAGAGAUAAGAGAGAUGUGCAGGUGUCUGCUCUCAUCACCCUCCACGUCGAGGCCUCCACCUGAUCACCAUCUCCACCUCGACUUCAAGAGCUUCUUUCCUUCUUCUUCUCGAACGCUCUCUCGUCGCCGCCUACUCGGCUACGACGGCGCUCUCAAAGUUCCGGUUCUCCUAGCCGCGUAGAGUCUCCCUUCUCUUGAUCGGCGCGUGGCGACGUUGCUGAUAGUAGUUAUCUGGCGGCGAGAGCGAGCUCGAGAGUUCGAGUAUCGAGAACGCGAGAUGUUGUCGAUUCUGAGACGAAAGGCCGCCGCCGGAGGCUCGGAUGCUGUGCUGUUAAAAAAGAGAGGCUGCGGAAGAGUUGCGCGCCACGGCGGCGAACCGGUUUCAGGGCUACGCUACUGCGGCGAAAGAGAUGAUGACUGUGAGAGAGGCUAUGAAUUCGGUGCUUGACGAGGAAAUGUCUGGAGAUCCUAGAGUCUUUCUAAUGGGAGAGGAGAUGGAGCCGACGCACAACAGAGAGGGGAGGAUAGGCUGGCUGAGGGUUUAGCUCGAGAGGAAAACAGAAGGAAAGAGGAGAGAGAGAGAGAGAGAGAAGAAGAAGAAGGGACGUCGGCCAUUGGAGGUUUCAGGAGAGCUUCGCUGGAAAGAAAGGAGAGGCCAGAGAAGAACGAGAAAAGAGAGGAUGAGAAAGGUAAAGUUUCUGGAGAAGUUGAGCCUUCUCAUCAGUCGACGUCCAUUGCAGCCGAACGCCAUCUCCAUCGAUUUUGGGUUGCUGUAACUUCUUCGUGAUGUUUGCAAUUCGAACGUGUAUUGAUCCGAAAUAGGUUUACAUCUUUUGUGAUGGCCGAGAAUGAGCCGUUUGUUCUGGAACUGGAUAUGGGCAUCGCGGAUGAAAUGCACAUAACCUGUUUGAUUAAAUGCCUCAGGGCACAAGCAGAAAAUUAUCCGUGAUCUUGUUCAAAUCUGGGAAUAUGUGGAUGUAGGUUGAUUACUAUCGAUUGAUUUGCUAGCCUCUAGAGUCGAUAUCAGUCUUGUUUCAUUCUUAUUACGACCACAUCCGAACGUUCCUUUCUUUUUAUUUUUGGGCAUCUUUAUGCAUUCCUGCGGUGGUCGCCGGUGGUGUUAUUCCGGCAAUUAACGGUGGAGGUCCGGCGAUAGGAGACGGUGAAGAGCAAGCGUCGAGUGUGCGUUGAUUACAUGCUGAGAUACGUAUGUCUUCAUUCCUGUGUUUUUAGAGUGCUGAGUCUUGAUUGAAGAUCAGUGUGGUUUCGGCGAUGAUAGUGUCCUCGGGAAGAAGACCUGCAAAAGGAGAUGAAGAAAAAAGUAAAAUAUAAAAGGUAGAAAAAGAUUUUUUUUUUUUAAAGGAGAAAAUACUUUUAAAAAAUCGGUUUUAAUCCGACGGAGGUUGGAUCCAAGUAGAGGGGUUGGAUCAUGUUUGGAUCGGGUGAACCCGGUCCAAACCCGUACCCUGAAUAUAAUAACAAUAAUAAAAAAUCAAAAUCAAAAUAAAAAUCACUAAAAUCAUUAAAAAUUCAGAAAAUCCGAAAAAAUUUAAAAAUUUUCGGACUCUUAUCUCCUUUUAUAGCUAUGAGCUUCACCAUGAUUCCCACAACACACACAAAGCUUCGAGCUUGAUUCAGUUUCGACACCAUUCGGAGCCCUCCAAAAGGAAACCAAAUUUAUGUCUGUGCUUGUGGAUCAUUCGACGUGUGGAUAAGACCGUCGUAAUUUUGAUCAAGGUGUGACAACCAACCCCACUCGCUAAAGGCAGAGAGAGAGAGAGAGAGAGAGAGAGAGUGAGUGAGGGGUUGCUUUUCAAAUGUGAGAGGAGGCCAACAAGUGGUUUUUUUUUUCGAGGGUAAUCAUCCAUUUUAUAUUCUUUAUUGCAUUUAGACAUUUGAAACAUUUUUUAGGUUUAGACUAAUGCAUUUGCAUCAAGUGAAGCAUGAGUUGUGAACUCCUUUCGAAUCGACCCGAUAGACAGCCCUACAUAUGCACGCCAAGUCUAGGCUCAUUCCCUCAUUUAAAGUGGAGCCCACAAGUUCAGUUUCUUCUCUCUCUCCCCCCAAAUUCAAGCGCUUUCUGCCCUCUAUUUCUUUGACCGAAAUGUCAUUUGAUCAUGCCAAAUAAGUGUGACUCCAUUUCUUGCCACCUUAGACCAUUUUAAGCAAAGCAGUAACCAAGGCAUCUGAGAUGAUGGGGAUCCUGAAAUUGACAAGGAAAGGAUUAAAUUUUGUGCACUUGAAAGGGGAGAGAAUGAAUAAGAGCUGGACUGAAAUUAGAAGGGGAAGCUGGAGAUCUCGGGCAGAAAGCAAAAGGAAUGAGGCCCUCAUGUUUUUUUUUUUUUUUAAUCCUGCAUCAUCACUAGACAAAUGAGUAUCUCCUCACUUAGUGUUUUACUCCAAAAUUCCUCGUCUGCAGAUCUUUCGUCCACCCGUCCGUUCUUCCUGGGAACUCAAAUGGUGCCGUAACACAAGCAACAGUUUUGGCAGUUUUCCAAGGAGGACGCCAAUCUAGCAUUGUAAAGAAGGAGCGAUGGAGGAAAUGGAAAAAGAUAGGAAAGGAAACGGAUUUGGUGUCUCGGCAGAACGUGAAAAAAAGGACGAGAAGAAUGUGGGAAGGUCGUGGGAUGAGGAAAAUAAGAACAAAGAUGGAAGGGAGUGGGAGACUCGGUGGAGGUGCGCAAUCACUCACAUUCACGAUUUCAUAUCCAUUCUCUCAGUCUCGCGCAUCAGAAGCCGAAGAGACUCGGGCCAGAAGAAGCAGCGCUUCCAACUUCCUCCGUUGUCCCCGGAGUCAGUCAUGUGAGAACCUAUAUUCCUUAGCUAUGCGAUGCAUGUCCUUGCGUUUGCUCAAUUUUCGGUUUAUUUUCGGUUUAUUUUCUUUAUGCUGGGUUCGUUGUAAUCUCAUAAUUGAGUCUUUUUCUAGGUAUCGGUUCGUGCCGAUUGUUCUCCAUGUUUCAAUAAAUGUGGGCAUAACAAUAUAGGAAAAAUCUGCAUCGUGUAGUCUAUAUUUUUGCACAGUUUAGUACCCCUAUUCAGGCCAAUCCAUGGCCGGAGGAGUAGUUAUUGAUUUGUUGCCCAAAAAUUGGUUUCUGUUCCCAUAAUUCGCUUUUACAAUUGAAAUAGUUGCACGCAUCGCCGUUGGUUAUUCAUCGCAUUGGUUCGAACCUAAUGCCCUAGUCUGUGUGAACAUGCUAAACACCAUUGUCCGAUCCAUGAAUAGUAGGAAUUCAGAUAUUUUUCCUGCAUAAUACCUCCUAGGCCUCUACCGACAUGCAUAGUCAUGGAAAAAGCUGCCUAAAAAGUCCUAAAAUUAUUAUCCUGUGGUUAAUUCAAUCUUAAACUUUUUAAUUUUGGCUAAUUGUCAUAAGGUUUAACGCUUAAAUCUAUUUGGCAAAAUUGAAAAUUUUACUUUGGUUUGGAUUUUUAGAGACAAUUAUCCCCUGUAGUCAUGUUAUCUUGUAUGUUUACUUUGGUUAUUUUCGCUUCAACUUCCAGCAUCAUUUUAUAUUUAUUUUCAUCACUUUCCGGUGUCACCAACUUCGAUUGAGCUGAACGCGACAUUCUAAUGUAUUAAGGUCUGAGUCAAUCCAUCAUUCUAAUGUAUCAAGGUGACUGGAGAUGAACCACAUACUUACGUGCACCCAAGGUCCAUCAAACCAAUCAACAAAUCGCAACAAUAUCAUUCAAGUCCAUGCCCAAGAGGAUUCGCUGCAAGGUCCUGCUCAUUAAGCUCGCAAGAUUUACAACUUACCCACUCCAAUAAUACCCAAACAUGUACUGAUAACUAGCAAAUCAAGUAUACAUUGUCACAUUAUCAUGGGUUAUCAAAACCACACUCAAAUGAGUCUUAAAAUAGCCUGACUCAAAUGAGUCUUAAAAUAGCAUAACUCGUAAUUUACAGAGUGAAGUCAACAAAAUCCAAAACAAAAUCAGAACAGCAAAGGUCGAGGAUUCAUGAUUUUUUUAGUAAUGGACUUGAAACAUAUCUUCUUGCAAGUGUAUAUGCGCUCAUGCGAUCAAGAUGAGUACAAAUUGAAUUCAAAUGAAGAUCAACGAUGCUCGUACAGUGGAUACAUGUUUAAUUUCAGCAAUUAAAGCAUGACAACAUAAUUAUCUCCCUCGAAAAUUAACAUGGAUUCCUCAUGUCAACUCAUAUGACUAGGAUAACACAUACACAAGUCUUGGCGAUUGUUGUCUGAACAACGAAUGGAUAUGGACACAUGAAAAUGAAUCCAGCAAAUUUAAGUCAUAGAAAACAGUUAUAACCAUGGCUAAAGCAUGUUAUGAACACACAGUAUUCAUAGCCAAGAAAUCGGCAUAUUUUUGUUCAAACUCAUAGCCAAAAGAUCAACAUAUUUUUGAACAUGUACAGCAAGAAUAACAAUGACUCCAGUAAAUUUGAGCCAUGUACCAUAAGAAUCGACAUAUUUAGCAAGCCUACGAUGUGGCGAGUAUACAAAUUCAACAAAUAGCACAUCCUGAAAUGGAUAUAGUGCAAGCUAAUGGUGACAACCAAGAUAAACCACCAUGUACCUACAUGUACAUUUCAAGCAUGACAUAAAUAAUACUCCAACAUAUCCAAUGCAUGCGAUGUGGAGUCUCAACCAAGCGCAAAAUAGGGCAGCAGUUAGUAUGUGAAAGAAAAGCUACAACUCCACCAUAUGAACAAUUUGCGGUUAUAGAGGAUUUCUCUACAUUAACAACUAGAUGAUUAUGAUCCGUGCACUUUGAACAAUUCAAGCUCAAAAAUAAAUCCAGAGGCUCUCAGUUUAGAGGAAAAUUCAACCAUGCUCCCGGUAUUUAAUUCACCGAGAGCAAGUAAACGGAAGCACCAGGGGAAGGAGAACUCUAGGCCAUCAAAGGAUGAAGCAUCAAUUAGCAAUAUAUGAUCAGCACACUGAACAACAACAUACAAAUCACUCCUAUGCAAUCUCAAAUUGAUCAAUUGAUUCAACAUUGUCAUCUCCAAGGCAAAACGUCGAACAGGUGGUGAGCAUGAAGGGUGAGGUGUCACACAAAUAGGAUCAAACAGUUAAAAUUUGCUAGAGAGAAAUUGUCAUCUCAGUCUCUGUGUUGUGCUCUUGCUUCGCUCGGUUCUCCAGCAGAGCGUGAAAUCAUUAGCUUAAAAGGAAUCUCCAAUGCCUUAGACGAGAGAGAGAAAGAGCAUGAGAGAGAGUUUUGAUUGGUGGGGAUGGUGAUGAGCAUCAGAUGCUCUGCUCUGUUACGGCCGAGGCUGCGGCGGCCAGCAAGGGAGAUGUGACGGCGGCUGUUACUGAUCGGAGAUGGUAGACCAUCAAAUUGAUGGUGAUGGAGCUGAAAUAUGGGCUGAUUCAUGGAUGUAAGCUUUUAGCUCAUAUUUAUUUCAGCACUUGGUUUCAAUUUUGUGUUUAAAAUGUAUAUAAAAAAAAUGGAAAGUUAAAAAAAAAACAAAAUAAAUAAGAAUAGAUUGCAUCUCCAUCGAAAAAUACAUCUAGGAUUGCAUUUAAGAGAACUGAAGCAGAUUACAGUGCAUCACAUUUAGAUAGCAUGAGUUAGAUUCUUAUUUCCAUAUAUCAUAGUCCAUUUAGGGAAAUAAUUCAUUUAGUAUUCAUAUAGUUUUUCAUAUUUGCAUAUUUGUUUUUAUUAGCGGUGGUUUAUUUUGAAGAGUUUAUAUUGAGUUUCCCUUUAUAGCUCACGAAAGUCCUAUCUGAAUAUAAAUAACAAGGCUUUAUAAAUUUUUACCCGAGGCUCGGGUUCUUUAUUUCUUUCCACCUUUAUUUAUUUAUUUGGUUCAUAUUUAUUAUUGCUUGCUUGUUUAAUUUUUACCUACUGGAGUGCUAUGACUAAUCAUCUUUACAUAUAAGAGGAUUUAGGGGAACAUAAUUGAAGAGACCCCAUAAAAAUCAUUUUAUGAAUGGUGUCAAAAGGGAGUGCGUGCCCCUCCAUGAGCGGUUAUUUGAGAAGUGCCACUUCUAUCGGGGUUUCUUGAACAUCAAAAAAGAUAAACAAAGGACAGAUUAUGUUCAUGCUCGAUUUGUGUAUAGCUGCCACUAAAGGUUUGAAAGUUUGUAAAGAGCUCUAUUAUUUUCUGUCAGUGCAACUUCUUUAAAAGCUAAAAAAAUAAAAUAAAAAUGGGAAGGACAUAAGCAGUCUCAUUGCGCAAGUGUUGUUUAUGUAAAUUGCUAAUUUUACUACUAGUAGGUGAAUAUGAUUCACCUUUUCUUGAAUACAAGUAUAGUUUAGUUUUGUAGUUGUUAUCGAAGUACCUACGUGUGAUGAAGGAAAAUUUGAAAAAGUAAUAUUGACACAUAAAUUUUGAUAACCCGUUUAAUCAUUUUUUAAUUGCAUAAAAAAUUAUGGAUUAAUUUUAAUCCCUAACAAAAAUUGAUUUUCAUUAGAUUGCAUCGCAUUUAGGUAUUAGAAGCAUUGGUAUUACUAGUAUUAAAAUUUUGAAAAAAAUUUAAAAAAAUUAUUGUUAUUUUUAAUAUUUUUUUAAAUUAUCAUUUAAAUAAAAAGAAAGCAAGACUGGGCCGGGCCGGCGUGGCCUUUUCUUCUUUUCCCACGCGGGCCAGCCCAUUUUCCCUUGUCCUUGGCCCGGCCCGCGGACCUCUUCCUUCCUCCUCCUCCUCCCUCACGCCUCGCACGCAGUCAGCCAAAAGGAAGGAAGACGUACGGAGCAGCGGAGGGGGCGUCGAGCGGGAUGUUUGGUCGGGGGCAGGCCGGCACGGCAAGCUGGCAGUUGCAGGGCCAUUCGCGCCUGCCGUGAGCUUAAAAGACGGAGAGAGAGAAAGAGAGAUUCGGAGGUGGAGAGAUCGUGAGAGCAGCCGAGGGAGAGAGUUUGAGAGCGAGGAGUCCUCCGGCAGUCCGGCCACGCCCGACCCCCGUCCGACGACUCCUGACCGCGCUCUCAAACCCGCGGCUCCCAUUCCCGGCGCCAAAUCUCCGGUAGGUCACGUUUCUUUUCUUUCUUUGAUUUUUCGCAGGACGAGCCGUUUUUCCGAGGAUCCCGGCUCGGAGGCGUGCGAGGCAACCGAACGUGGUCCGUCUAUCGAGCUCGCCCUCCAUUCGCCAUCACCGAGCCGGAUAGGGACCCUCGGCCGACCCCCUGUUUGUGCCUUGCUUUGCCCCUUUUUGGGCUCCCCGGACCGGGCUUCUUUGUUGUCCGGUUCUCGCGAGCACCGGCCCCGUUCGUCCGUGCGCCGCUACUUUGGGUCACUACUUGUUGAUUCUUGCGAGUCCCAGCGCAAGUUGGUCGGUUUUUCCCCCUUUUAGCCAGUGCGCUUGAAACGUUCGAUGAAAUACCUGAACCAAUUCCGUUUGGUUGAAUCUGGACUUCUGAAUUGUUGAAAGGAGCCCGUGAACAUGUGUGAUGCGAUGUAGCUUCUCUUGUGAUUAGCAAGUACGUUUUCGGUCAUAUUUCAUUUCUACCGAGUUUUUUUGGGUUGCUUUGCUUCGUGCCUUGGUAUAUCCCUGCGGUAGUCCUUGGUGUUUGGGGUGCGGCUGCGAAUGGGAGCCUCCAGUGAUUAGCGAUGGAGACAAGUGGUUGCUCGGUGGCUGAAAGUCGCUUGCUGUGAAGAUGCGGGGAUACGGUCACGUCGUUGACGAUGAGAAGAAUAUUUUCACGUUAUGGUUUGGGGAGAGUCUCGGUUGUGGAUGUGUGGGGGCUCAUCUCUUAGCUUUUACCGAGCAAGAGCAGCUAGACUGUUGGUGGUGGCCCCGUAGCUUGAUUGUUGAGUACGUAUGGUUACUGUUUUGAUGGUUUGGUGUGUGUAGAGGUUUUUUUUCAAAGAAUAAAAAAAAUAAAGAAAAGAAAAAAGACAAAAUAGAGAAGGAGACGACAAUAGCGGCUCAAGUUGCAUUUUGUUGAAUCUGGGCUAAUUCAAUGAAUGAGUAAUUUUGGGCUUGAGUGGUUUUAAUGAAUUCGGGUUGGCUUCAUUUUUGGAAGUGAUUGGGCUGAGUUCUUUUUAGUAAUAUGGGCUUAGUGUACUCAGUUACAAAGGAAUGGGCUUGUCAUAGCUUUGGUGGAAGAGUUGGCUCACUUGGGAGUUUUUCCCAAUUAGGCUUAGAAAGGGUAGAAAUGGAGAGGCGAGAAAGAAAGUCACGACUGUCUGGAGCUUGAGGAUAAGAUCAAUCGUGCCCUCUAGUCUGAACUGUGAGUCCAAGUUCAUCCAUGUUCUGGCCAGGUCCCUAUUUUCAGACUACUAAUUAUUUGAAUAAAAAUUAUAUUUUUAAAAAUUAUUUUAUAAAAAUUAAUUAAAAAUUCCGGAAUUUUUUUUUCCUAAAGUUAGAAAAUGCUUUAAAAUAGUUUUUCAGGGUAGCCUUCUCUUUAAGUUAUGGGAAAACCAUUGAUAAGAAAAUUGUGCUAAAAAAUUAAACAAGCCCUUAUAGGGUUCCGAUUGUCCUAAAAACAAAUACCCUUAAUUACGCAUUUUCAAUAUGUUGAUUAUGAUUUCGCUUUAGCUUAGUUAAGAUGGUAGGCUCCUUAUUUGAUAAUGCUAAAUUCUUGCUCUUCCAAUUUAAUUUAUUCGAUGCCGCUUUGGUUGCUAAUUGUCAUGUUAAUGAUUGGGCAUUCACAUGGUCACCUUAUGUAUUAGGGGAUUCUAAAAUCAACACAGACUGCCUCACAGAAAAUAUUCUUGAAAUGAAUAAGAUUAGUUAUCGAAAUGACACUAAUUAUUUAAUUAGUGUAAUCAAGUUUCCGAUCCUAAACUCUUUGAUUACGUAGGAAUUGAGGUAUAUUCUCACAUCUCAUUUGAUUUCUAGGCAACCUUAAUAAGUUAGUGACGACUCCUCAUUUGAAAAUUUUUAUGAAUACUCCAACAUCGUGGGAGGUACCGCACCUAAUCAUGGACCAUAGAAUACCCCUAAACUUCUUUCCCUCCGUAUUGAGGGGUAGGUCGAGACAAGUAAAUAUUGAUCUUGCACUCUUCAUCAAUUGGAUGAGUACAUAUACAUAGAUUUAUUCAAUGCUACUCUAGACCUAAAAAUUGGAUCAUUGGCAAUCUAUCUUUAUACAUAUAGAAGUGGAUAUUACUCGUGUGAAAGUGACCCAUGAGGCAGCACAUGCGCUUUCUUCAUUUGAUCUAAUUUUUAUGGUAAUUUUAGCAUAUUUUUAUUAGUUUAUUUAAAUUGACGAUUGUUGUGAAUUUUCAAAAAAGUUUAACAAUAUAGGGAAUACAUAUUAUGCUAUGAUAUUCAUUUCACCUUAAUUCGAGGACUAUGAGGUUUUCGUUAAAAGAUUUUCACAAUAUUGAGAUCCAAAUUAUGACGUGAUAGCCCAUAUUUGGUAGAUGAUAUUAGCGAAUCAAUAAAAAUAAAUCCAUUGCUACCAGAAAAUUUCAUCACAGAAAAUUAAUUUCAUGUAUAUUGCAAAUAAGUAAAUAUGAGAAAAUGAUGAAAAUAAUCAUUAGCAAAAGUGUAGAUAGAGUAACCCACCGUUAAGAAAAAUUAAAUUAGAAAAAAAAAUAAGCAUUAGAUGACAUGAUAGCACAUAAUUUCGUAUACAAAUAUGAUAGCUCUUGGGAUUAAAUGAAUGAUCGUAAUCACUAAAAUCAAGCCAUGCCCUAACACUUUCAACCGUUGAAGAAUGCUAUUACAAAUGAAUUACCAAACCUCCACCUAUUAGCAGAGAUAUUUUCAAAUGCAAGCCGGCCAUUGCAAUGACGGUGGAAAUUCCUAACCACGAGCCAUCUAUUAUCAUAGUUAUUUUCAAAUACGGAGUAAUUAAUAGGUAAAUUUUGUUCUGUUAAAUGGACAUGGUGGCAAGGAAAUUAUUACAUAAGCCCUUUCGAUUAUGCUUUGUCUUCGUAGGAACCGUAGCCUAGAAAAAAGAAAUGCUAAUCACGUUUCCACGCAUUAUGUAAGAGAGAAAGGGGAAUCUUAUGGCGAGCUCAUGUGAAGAGUUGCUUAUCAAUCAAACCUGUCCUUUUUAGAUGGGAAGGAACCAAAGAUAACAUCUCAGUUUCUACAACCCACACCACCCAUAGUCGUUGCCUUUGUUUUGUUUUGUCUUCUGUGUUCAAUUGUCGCUCGCUAUUAUUGAUCUGGACAAGUUGGACGGACCCAAGAAAAUAAAGAAAGAAUUGACUCAUGUGUAUCAUCCUUUGUGGGGCAUGAGAAAAGGCAAAGAUCUUUUUCUCUUUUUUUUUUGAGGUCAAAGAAAAUUUUAUUGAAAUUGCGAACAUGAUCGAAAGAGUUCCAAGCUAGGGGAAUCUAAACAAAGAAGAGAACAAAAGGCUUAUGGAGGAAUAGAAAGGCAGUUUUGUGGAAGCGAGCCAAUCCGUCGAGUCUUUGCAACUUAGUUUACAGGCCCACAUUUGUAAGAACAAAAAGUGUCAUAAUCUAUAUCUAUAUCACCAAAUGGAAAGGCAAAUCAUAUUUUAAAGGAAAUAAUCUAUCAAAAAGUGUAAAAAAUCCUCAAUUCCAACAGACAAGUUGGUAGAAUUUGAGGGUGAUUUUCAUGUGAAUUGAGGCAAAAUUUAAACCUUAGGAACCAACACAUCGCUAGCCCCCCUCUGUCAACAGUGCAUGAGAGUCAAAUUUGCAAUUUGUCAAUAUAUUUGAGAUGUUACUAAUGAGAAUAUGAAAUUCACGGCUCCCAUAAGUGGCGCAAACGGUUGGGAUAUAAAAGAAUUUCAAGUUUGGGAAUCGGAAGUCAUAUGUGCAAAUCUCAUAAGAUACAUAAUAAAUUAUUUUGGGUUAUGGUCAUCUGCACAUGCAAAAUGAAAUCUUUAAAUCAUGAAUUAAGAAAUUUUAAUUACUAAUGCUUUCAUGCUCACGUGAAUGUAGGCAAGAAUGUAAAAACCUCAUGCUCUUGUGAUAGCUCUUCGUGUCUCCUCUGCAUAAUUGAAGAAAGAAAUCAGCCAAAAACAAGUCGACAGAAGCCGCCCCCACGGAUUAUUACCAAAAAAAGAAAAAAAAAAAGAGGUGGCAUAAGAGAUGCACCCGAUGUUUUCUCAGUUGUUCCCUCUCUACGGCAAUAUCUGCCCAUUAAUCCGUUCUAAAAUGAAUAUUAAAAUCAAAUUUCAGAGUGUUUCGUUUUCCUUAAAAAGAAGAUUAUAUCUAUGUCUAUGCUGCAUAUUCAGGGAAAAGCAUAGGAGUUGGUCUCUCUUUCAAGAGUCCAAUUAUGCCCUUCAAAAAAUAUUCAUUGUUCCUGCACUUUGCAAAUGGUUGAGGAUACAAAAAGGGGGUAGGUUGAAAGUGGAAAAUGACAACUAGCGGUUGCGAUUUAACCAUCUGCUUUGGUUGGUGGUUUAGUGGGACUUAAGUGAGGGAAAACUACCUCUAGUGAUAAAGUCGCAAGCAAACAGAUUUUGUAUCGAGACAAUUUCAUUACUCCUUAUCAAAACUGUUUUGUUUUAUCUCCAUAACAAGAUUGGGACAAGAUUAUGAUUUUAUAAAACAUCACAUAAUUAACACUUUUAUGCUUAAAUGGUCCAAAUGCCCAUUUCUCCUUAUAGGGAGGAGUAGAGGCAAUUGAGGAAUUCAUUGAAUAAUUUAUAUCUACAAAAGCGUAGGAGUUUGGAUAAUUGACAUCCCUCCAUAACAGAGAUACAGACAUCCCACUUUUCUACACCACUUUCAAGGAUCGCUAGGCAAAUAUUAUUGCCAAUAAUAAUAUCGCAAUGAUGGCCGUGCUAUCUAGUUUUCUAAAGGGGCUUAUUAAGCAUAUUUAAUAGAAAUUUUUGCAAUUGUAUUGGUAUGAGAUGAUAAAGCAAUCAACCACUCAAAAUAUUCAUCGUAAGAAUAGGUACAUUUAACUAUGGAACAAAAAGUGCUCGAUAUCCUCGUAAUUCUGCGCCAGCAUUAUAAGAAAUACUUCCUCAUUGCAAAAUUUCAAGUGUUUUGAAAAAUCUUAUAAAUAGAGUGAUGGAAAAAAGGCGUCUUACAACGACCAAAUUAAAUGAGAGACAAUCGAAUUGAUGGGUUAGAACUUUGAAUAAUUCAAAGAGUCUAAAAGCCGUCAGACUUGAAUUUUAUUCGCAGUAGGCGGAGAAAACAUGCAAGUUGUGACAAGUGGCGCGCAUGACAACCAUUCUGUUCCAGAAAUAGUUUCUGGAACAGAAAUAGAUUUUUCUAUUUCUAUUUCUAGAAGAGUUUCUAAGCAAAAAUAACCGUUUGAUAACGACACAAAAUUUCUACUCUAAAAAUAGAAAUUCAUUUGAUAACGACACAAAAUUUUUUCCUUUCGGACGGCGGUGGCAACGACCGAUGACCUUUAAUAUAAAAAAUAAAAAUAAAAAUGAUUUAGUAACAAAAAAAUAAUUAAUAAAAUAAAAUAAAAUAAAUCAUAAAAAAAUAAAAAUAUCAUUUUAUUUUAAAAUAAAAAUAUCCUUAAAAAUAAAUUUAUUUUAAAAUGAAUAAAAAUAAAAAAUAAAAAUAAUUUUAUUUGGCAAAACACUCAAGGCAAAUAAAAAUAAAUUUAUUAAAUUUAUUUUUAAUAAAUUUAUUUUUAAUAGAAAUAAUUUAUUUUUAUUUAUCAUAAAUAAAUUAUUUUUAAUAAACUAAAAAUAAAAUGAUAAAAAAAAUAAUUUCUUUAUUUUAAAAAAUUUAUUUUUAUUUUUAAAUGAAUAAAAUGAAUAUUUUUAUUUUUAUUUUUAUUUAUUUUUAAUAAAAUGAGGAGAGGCGGAGGAGGAGGAGGAGGCAGAGACGUAGAAGAGAUGAGGGAGGACUCACCGAAAUUAGGGUUUAGUGAGAGAAAUUAUUUCUGAUUUCUCUUCCAGAAAUCAGAAGUAUAAAAUUUUAUUUAUCAAACGGAUUUUUCUUCUAGAAACUGGUUUGGAAAAUUUUAACUUUUGAUUUCUUUUCCAAACCUAUUUCUGAAAUAGAAAUCUAUUCCAGAAAUAGAAAAACUGAAUAGGUUUAUCAAACGGAUUUCUCUUCCAGAAACUGGUCUGGAACAUAAAAACUAUUUCUGGAACAUAAAUUUUGGGUUGUCAUGCACCCCCUUAGUCAACCAUCACCAUUCUCCCUUAGACUUGGCCAAAAUGGUACCAGAGGCAAAAGUGAAAGUGACCCUGUACCAAGAAAAGCACCUUCAUUCUCUUUACCCAGUUAGACUACCUAGUAAUAAUCAUUUCAUGCCUUCUACAUUUGUUUUUGGGUUUUCACUUACAUUGUUUUUUCUUUGUAUCUUUUGUUCCUUUUCCCCUUAAAAUUCGACAUCAUUAAGAAUUUGAAGUCAUGUUCCUUUUUACUACCUUCGUUUCUUUAGUUGGUAAUGGUAGAUUAGCUUCAGCUAUCUUGUAGUCCACAGGAGUGCUAUGUCCAUGUAAUCCUGGAAAAAAAAAACAAAAUGAAUGCAUUGGAGGAUCUAAUGUUUCGGGGGGAAUUCGAAUGUUAAAUGGCAAUUAAGUAAUCAGGACUUGAAAUUACACUUGUGAUCAUGCUUUUUGGGCAGAUAUCGACUAAUGUUAUCAGAUUACUUUGGUUUCUGUUUGCCUUUUGUCUUUUUGUGUCAGGAAGAAGAAAACUCAAUGGAAUAUUCAUUGGAGAGGUUUCUAGGAGAAGCUAGCUAUGUGCGGUCUCUAAUGCUUUUGAUUCCGUUAAAUAUUUUGAAUAGACAAGGUACAUGUCCAUUUUUCUUAAGAUGGCCGAUAGUAAGAACUAUUAAUAUGAAACAAUAAUAANNNNNNNNNNNNNNNNNNNNNNNNNNNNNNNNNNNNNNNNNNNNNNNNNNNNNNNNNNNNNNNNNNNNNNNNNNNNNNNNNNNNNNNNNNNNNNNNNNNNNNNNNNNNNNNNNNNNNNNNNNNNNNNNNNNNNNNNNNNNNNNNNNNNNNNNNNNNNNNNNNNNNNNNNNNNNNNNNNNNNNNNNNNNNNNNNNNNNNNNNNNNNNNNNNNNNNNNNNNNNNNNNNNNNNNNNNNNNNNNNNNNNNNNNNNNNNNNNNNNNNNNNNNNNNNNNNNNNNNNNNNNNNNNNNNNNNNNNNNNNNNNNNNNNNNNNNNNNNNNNNNNNNNNNNNNNNNNNNNNNNNNNNNNNNNNNNNNNNNNNNNNNNNNNNNNNNNNNNNNNNNNNNNNNNNNNNNNNNNNNNNNNNNNNNNNNNNNNNNNNNNNNNNNNNNNNNNNNNNNNNNNNNNNNNNNNNNNNNNNNNNNNNNNNNNNNNNNNNNNNNNNNNNNNNNNNNNNNNNNNNNNNNNNNNNNNNNNNNNNNNNNNNNNNNNNNNNNNNNNNNNNNNNNNNNNNNNNNNNNNNNNNNNNNNNNNNNNNNNNNNNNNNNNNNNNNNNNNNNNNNNNNNNNNNNNNNNNNNNNNNNNNNNNNNNNNNNNNNNNNNNNNNNNNNNNNNNNNNNNNNNNNNNNNNNNNNNNNNNNNNNNNNNNNNNNNNNNNNNNNNNNNNNNNNNNNNNNNNNNNNNNNNNNNNNNNNNNNNNNNNNNNNNNNNNNNNNNNNNNNNNNNNNNNNNNNNNNNNNNNNNNNNNNNNNNNNNNNNNNNNNNNNNNNNNNNNNNNNNNNNNNNNNNNNNNNNNNNNNNNNNNNNNNNNNNNNNNNNNNNNNNNNNNNNNNNNNNNNNNNNNNNNNNNNNNNNNNNNNNNNNNNNNNNNNNNNNNNNNNNNNNNNNNNNNNNNNNNNNNNNNNNNNNNNNNNNNNNNNNNNNNNNNNNNNNNNNNNNNNNNNNNNNNNNNNNNNNNNNNNNNNNNNNNNNNNNNNNNNNNNNNNNNNNNNNNNNNNNNNNNNNNNNNNNNNNNNNNNNNNNNNNNNNNNNNNNNNNNNNNNNNNNNNNNNNNNNNNNNNNNNNNNNNNNNNNNNNNNNNNNNNNNNNNNNNNNNNNNNNNNNNNNNNNNNNNNNNNNNNNNNNNNNNNNNNNNNNNNNNNNNNNNNNNNNNNNNNNNNNNNNNNNNNNNNNNNNNNNNNNNNNNNNNNNNNNNNNNNNNNNNNNNNNNNNNNNNNNNNNNNNNNNNNNNNNNNNNNNNNNNNNNNNNNNNNNNNNNNNNNNNNNNNNNNNNNNNNNNNNNNNNNNNNNNNNNNNNNNNNNNNNNNNNNNNNNNNNNNNNNNNNNNNNNNNNNNNNNNNNNNNNNNNNNNNNNNNNNNNNNNNNNNNNNNNNNNNNNNNNNNNNNNNNNNNNNNNNNNNNNNNNNNNNNNNNNNNNNNNNNNNNNNNNNNNNNNNNNNNNNNNNNNNNNNNNNNNNNNNNNNNNNNNNNNNNNNNNNNNNNNNNNNNNNNNNNNNNNNNNNNNNNNNNNNNNNNNNNNNNNNNNNNNNNNNNNNNNNNNNNNNNNNNNNNNNNNNNNNNNNNNNNNNNNNNNNNNNNNNNNNNNNNNNNNNNNNNNNNNNNNNNNNNNNNNNNNNNNNNNNNNNNNNNNNNNNNNNNNNNNNNNNNNNNNNNNNNNNNNNNNNNNNNNNNNNNNNNNNNNNNNNNNNNNNNNNNNNNNNNNNNNNNNNNNNNNNNNNNNNNNNNNNNNNNNNNNNNNNNNNNNNNNNNNNNNNNNNNNNNNNNNNNNNNNNNNNNNNNNNNNNNNNNNNNNNNNNNNNNNNNNNNNNNNNNNNNNNNNNNNNNNNNNNNNNNNNNNNNNNNNNNNNNNNNNNNNNNNNNNNNNNNNNNNNNNNNNNNNNNNNNNNNNNNNNNNNNNNNNNNNNNNNNNNNNNNNNNNNNNNNNNNNNNNNNNNNNNNNNNNNNNNNNNNNNNNNNNNNNNNNNNNNNNNNNNNNNNNNNNNNNNNNNNNNNNNNNNNNNNNNNNNNNNNNNNNNNNNNNNNNNNNNNNNNNNNNNNNNNNNNNNNNNNNNNNNNNNNNNNNNNNNNNNNNNNNNNNNNNNNNNNNNNNNNNNNNNNNNNNNNNNNNNNNNNNNNNNNNNNNNNNNNNNNNNNNNNNNNNNNNNNNNNNNNNNNNNNNNNNNNNNNNNNNNNNNNNNNNNNNNNNNNNNNNNNNNNNNNNNNNNNNNNNNNNNNNNNNNNNNNNNNNNNNNNNNNNNNNNNUUUUAUUCACGCUCGUGUGGUAAUUUUUUAUAAUAUUUUAUUUUUUCAAAUUUUUCUAUUUUUCUAUUUUUUUUCUUUCUUCUUCCUCUUUGCCUUCUUUUCUCGCUGUGGCCGGCGAGCCUCCGACCGGCAAGGCUCUGGCGAGACUCGCCGGCCAUUGGACGAGGGCCGUGACCUCGCCCAGCCUCACCCACCCUCGCCAGCGGCCUCGUCCAUGGCUGGCGAGGCUCGCCGGCCUCUCGAAGGAGGAGAAAGUCCCCUUUCCUCUCUCUUCCAUAAUCUCUCGCUCCUCAAUCUGUCUUCUUCCUCCUCUUCUCGGUUAGCACCAGGAGCUCUCUCGAUCUCCUCCAUUGCAUUCCAUCCCCUCCAAUCUCUCUCUCCCUUCCUCUCUCUUCCAUAAUCUCUCGCUCCUCGCCUCGAUUUCCCAAACCAUUCUCCAAGGACUCGCAGGUGGGUAAGUGCGUUUGGUUUUUUCCGUUUCGCCGAAAUCGCGUCGCUUUCUUGGAAAUGUUCCGGCUCCGCCUAUGAUCCGAAUUCCGCUCGCGUCCCUGCUUCAAGGCUCGAUUCUCGUCCUGGUGUCGAAUUUCCUCAUUCUGCUCUUGCUUUCUUAGCAAUCCGCUGUGCUGGUUGAGUCAUGCCCCUCUGCAUUUUUUGGUUCGAAACUCUUAGAGCAGUUUCGUGAUUUAAGCGGGGGCCUGGCGAUGGGUUGCUGAGCCAAUCUCCCCCGAGGUAUAGUCGGUGCUAUGCUCCCGUAAGGUGAGCUAGGCCGGAUCCUCGGCAUAAAAAAGAAAAGAAAAAAGUCUUUCAUUAAGGGCCCUCACCUUUGGUUCAUCUACACGUUAAAUUCCUUUAAUGAAUGACCCCGCUCUUAAGUUACUAAAAUUUCAUUUGCUUUAUUUGAAGUAAAGCGCAGGUAGAUAAGUAGAUUAUGCAUAUGAAAAAUUGGACAUUGUAGCAGGUGUAUGUGUAGAUUAUGGGAAAUUGGAUCUUGUUGCUUUAAACCUGCUUCGUCCUUUUCUAAGCAAGAGGAUUCAACAUUCUCUUUUUCAUUUUCUUUUUUUGUUUUUUUUGGGGGGGGGGGGGGGGGGGGGGGGGGGUUAAAAAUAAAAAAUCUUUUCAAGGUUAGUGUUUGUAUCUUUUGAUUCACCUCAUCCAACAACCUACGAAGUAGGAACGAAAAAAAAUAAAAAAAACCCGCAGGGGGGCGGGGAANNNNNNNNNNNNNNNNNNNNNNNNNNNNNNNNNNNNNNNNNNNNNNNNNNNNNNNNNNNNNNNNNNNNNNNNNNNNNNNNNNNNNNNNNNNNNNNNNNNNGAGUAAAGUAUAAAUGUACCAUAUUUUAUGUUAUUCCUGACUUGAUGUUUGUAUUUUAUUACCCUUAGCACGUGGAAUUGCAGAUGACUACAUUAGCUAACAAAAAAUGGCCCAACUUGUUGAGGCUGCAUCUACUCACAACUUCACGUGAUCACUAAUGAUGGAACAAAUAUAUGAUAUUUACAUAUAAUAAAUAUAACUUUUUGGCAGUCUAAUCUAUUAUAUGAAUGAGGGCAAAAAGAAUUUAGUAUGUUAAAAUAAGAUAUCAGGUAACAACUUAGGGUUUUACGGUGGUGUGUGUGAACUUUAUCUUCGUUAAAUAAGUAAUGAUACUCGGAAAAACAGGAUAAAAGAGUGAGAAUAUGACCAUUUUAAAUAAAUUUGGAGAAUGAUGUCUUUCGGUUGAGUUGAAGAAAAUAAUUGGAAGCAUACUAGUCAACAUUUGCAAAAGUUGCCGAUAAAGGAGAUGGUUUCGGGCCUUUAAAGAGUAGCAUCAUCUGAAAAUCAAUUUCCACUAUGAGCAACCAGACUCUAACAUGAGUAUUAUUCUUUCGUGGCCCGAUAUAAGUGUUGAUUAAAACAUCUUUUAGCAAAAGACCAAUUAUUUGAGAACGUCUAUUAGCAAAAAAAAAACCAAUUUGAGACCAUAGCAUUAAUAUGUUAAUGAAUGAAGAAAUCAAUUAGAUGUUGAGGUUGCAAUAGCAUGGUCAAUGAAGAAAAAUGAAAUUAGAAAAGAAUUGCUGUCUCUUUUCAUGUCAUCGAUAAUGAAGAAAGGAGGGCGUUGAGAUCGUCUCCAUCAACAAGUCGGAAUUCCAUCUGGAUUUUGGUUAAAGAUGUCUUAGGGGAUCGAGAUACCUGGCGAUCUCCGGCCCUCGUCGUCAUUUCCCAUUAAUAUGAUACACUAGUUCUCUAAUAAUCAGUUAAUUGCAAGUUGUCUCGAUAAAGUUGUGAUAUUUUGGUACCUUGUUUUGUUUCUCUGUCCGAUGGUCAUUUGCAAUUCUUUCUCUGAGCAAAUGUGACAGAACCACGUGAUGAUUCUGUUCUCAUCAUUGCCCUCUAAAAUACGUUUCUGAACUAACAAUUUCUUAAUUGUAAGUUGUCUUUUUGAUGAACAAUGAACGUGGGUGUUUGUGCGGCACAUUGACCUGUUGACUGCUAAUUGUUUUUCUUGAUUUCUGUAGCAGCAAACGGCCACUCCAAUAAGUCGGGCUUAGUAACUGCGGCAAGAACUCAGUAAAGAAUCCCUUCAUCCUUUAGCCAUUCCAGUCGAAGCUGAAGGCAUUGAAACAUCUUCCUCCAUUACAUUUUCUCUUCAGUGAAUUUUCAGUUCCCUGCUGUAUUCUUCCCCCAGUGUCCACUUGUUUUUGCGUCAUGCUGAUAUGUCCAUGUAUAUUCUGGUGUUAUCAGGACUGGUUUUGGCCUGCAUUGCCCGUCACCCAUCUUGCAGAGAAAUUAGCAAUGAAGCCAAGAAAUCUCGGAUUCCUUGCAUCCUUACAGUGAAGCCACUCCUGGUAUGUGUGUCAUCAUAUAUCUACUUUUCGUAUGCUAUCGGCUCUUGUUUCACAUUCAACCUUUCUGUUUGGUAAUUUGGUUGUAUUGAUCUUACCCUACAAAACCCAAAAGCAAAAAAAAACAUGGAAGAAGAAACAAAAUGGGUGAAAUAAUUGCAACACAAACUCAUUUCAGAUGCAUCUAUGUUUGUGUCUCUAAGGUUUUAUGCGUCACUAAAUUUGCUUAAAUGAAACUAUAAUAAUAUUUAUAAAGAUCAAAAAGGUCAAAAAAAUGAAUAGAAAGACUAUUUUCUUUUGUUGAUUUAGCAAAAUAAAUAAAAAUAAAAAUAUAUUCUAAAAUAUGACAAAUAGUGUAAUAAUGAAAAAUUGUGAAUGCUACGGAAGAAUUAAUUUGACUUUAUCAUGCAAAGUCGAGAGAUCGNNNNNNNNNNNNNNNNNNNNNNNNNNNNNNNNNNNNNNNNNNNNNNNNNNNNNNNNNNNNNNNNNNNNNNNNNNNNNNNNNNNNNNNNNNNNNNNNNNNNNNNNNNNNNNNNNNNNNNNNNNNNNNNNNNNNNNNNNNNNNNNNNNNNNNNNNNNNNNNNNNNNNNNNNNNNNGCUUAUAUUGUUUUCAAAUAUUGCCUAUAAUCAGAGACCGAAAGGGCUGACUAAAACUCAUUCGUUUUUUUCUUGAAAGGUGGGUAUGCGAAAACCUUUAAUUAAGGGCCUUCACCUUUGGUUCAUAUAUCUAUACAUAAAAUUUCUUUAACGGACAACCUUGCUCUUAACCUACUAAAAUUCCAUCUGCUUUAUUCGUAGUAAAAUGCAAGAUUAUAUUUAUAGGGAAUUGGAUAUAGUUGUUUUAAACCUUCUUUAUCCGUUUACUAAUGGAGAGGAUCCCACACUAAUAAACGUUUUCAAACAUGUGGAGAUAGAGUGAGACCUUUGCAAAUACAUGCUAAUCAAACUUACUCGAUUGAUAACAAACGAGUAAAAUAUAAAUUGCAACAUAUUUUAUGUCUUCUUGACUUGACGCUUGUAUUUUAUUAUGCUUAGCACGUGACUACAUUAUCUAACAAAAUAGGGCCCCACUUGUUGAGGCUCCAUCUACCUCACAACCUCAAUUGAUAAGUGAUGAAAGAACAAAUGAUAAAAAUUUAAAUAUGAUAAAUGUAACUUUUUGACAUUGAAUUGGAAAAAAAAGAAUCUAACAUGUUAAAAUAACACAUCAGGUAACAUUUUAGGUUUUGUUGUGGCUUGUGUGAGCUUCCUAAUCGCUAAGGAGUAAUGAUACUCGAAAGGAAUAGAAUAGAAGAGCGAGGAUAUGACCAUCCAACAAAAUUUUGUUGGUUAGAACCUUUUGCUUCAGUUAAAUCUAAUGAAUCAAAAAGAUGUGUCCUUUUUUUCUUAACAUGACCGACAAAAAGAUCUUGAUUUUUUUUUUGUCGAAAGAAAAUUGUAUUCAUUACUCAAAUGGAUGCAAAAGUACACAACCUUCAUGACAAAACAAAUCGAAACAGAGCGAAAGUACUGAAAAACAAAGUCAAAUCCAUAACACAAGGAGGAUUGAUGGAGCAAUUGCAAAGUUAAGCACAAACUCAUACCACAUGAACAAAUCUAUCAAACAAAAUCGACGUCUGGUCACUGGAUCUUGUAUCUUUGUCAGUGAUGAGCACAAGCCAAAAAUUCCUUCUUUAAUAAUUAUGACAUUGCCAUUUGGUGAUGCGCGCCUAGAUUUGGCUUCCUCUACACCAUCGUCAUAUGAAAGCUAUCAUAACAGGCUAAAUAAAUACAGAUCUAACAUGUGGAUGAGCAAAUCUUUGAAAUUCAACGAGAUGCCAAAACUCUUGCAAUCAUCAUUGAUACUCGAGUAGAGAAUUUGUACACGAACACAAACAGAGCACAUGGGCAUCGAAUUCCCAAAAGCAUAUUGAUUAAACUCUUAAAUCUAAAUCGAGAGAGAAUAGCAUCCAAAUCUAGAAUUAGAUCGAGAGAGUUCAAACUCUCAAAUUAAGAACUAGACCAGGAGAAGAGAACUCCCAAAUCUAAAUUAAGAGAGAAAAAAAAAGUAAGAAAAGAACAAUAAACGCAAACAAAAUCAACAAAAGAGAGGGGAGAUUGAGACUAGCUCAAACCCUCCCCAUGGUUGAAGGUUGAAGAAGAUGAUGGGAAAAGAGAGAGAAGAGAGAAAAAAGAUUUUGAAUUUGCCAAUUAAUUUAAUGCAUUAAUUGAAUUAUAAAACAUAAUUAUGAGGGGUGGAGGUUGACAACGCCUGAUUAUUUAGGAUGUCAUCUUGCCACCCAAUUUUGACCAUUGAACAUAAUCCACUCUUUUUGGUUCUCUUCCCUCCCAAUAAACAUGCACCUCUUUUAGUAAAUUUAUGAGUUAAUAAGGUAUUGCCAAUUACUCCGACCACUUUCAAUUCACUCCAAGUAUGUCGUGUGGGAUUUUGUUUAUUUCCCACCUCACGUGUGCACCAGAUAUUCUCCCCCUCACAUGACCAUUGCCAAUUGAAACACGAUCUCUUGUUUUGUGAAUCAUUGAAUACUUCCUUUUUAUCCCAAAUGUCCGAUUUCGUAUUGCCGAUUUUCAAGAAAUUUUUUUUUUUUAGAUUUAAGGAAAAUGAUUAUACUAAGCACUCAAAUGAUUUAAGUAAAUUGCAUUUCUUGUUAAAAGAGCCAAAUUAACUGACGGAAGCGCAUGAGUCCAUGCAGUAAAAUAAAAUAGGCUUUAACAUUUACGACGACAGUGGAAGUUCCUAACUACCAACGUUUAUUCAGCUAAAUAUUUUCAAACAUAGCGUAAUUAAUAAGUAAUUUAUCGGAUCAUCCAGACUAGUGCCAGAAAAUGUGUAGGGUACCGAAGAAAUUAAUACUUAAACCAUUAAUAUUAUGUUUUGACUUGGUUAUGCCUCAUAAGUCCUUUCGUCUCCAAUCAAGCCAUUGAUGAUGCCGGAUGCAUUUUCAAAGGGGUUUAUCAUGAUUAAGGUUCUUUCCACAUACCCAAUAGAUGACGCAGCAGAUUAGUUCAUCUUUUAGGACCAUGAACCCAAAUUAUCCUGUAUCUCUUCCUAAAAAAAAUGCUUUGAAAAGUAUCUUAUAAGUCUCGAUGUACACCAAUUCGGUCGAUUUACAUACGCUCAUGUGGAUCAGUCAAACUUCAUUUUUCAUUUUUCUUUUAUGGAUUUAAAAACUUCAAAAGUUUAAGUACUUCUUGUUUAUACCAAAAAAUAUAUAUUAAAUAAGGAAAAAUUAACUUUUUCGCGCUUUUUUAAUUAGGCUGAGAAGGUUCUUUGGAUGAAAAUUCCAGGUCUGUAAAAUAUUAUAUUAAAUGGCCAAAAUGACUCCGCAUUUCGAAUGUCAAAAAAAAAAAAAAAAAAAGCACCCACUCUUAAUGGACGGAUCCAAAUGGCCACCAUUAUAUUUCCCUCCAAAUGAAUUACGUGCAGUUGACAAAUAUGCUUACAUCUAAGAUGACAUGUCCUUUUUUUAUUAUAAAAAAAGUUUAAAAAAGUGAAAAUAAUAAUUUUAAACACAAAAUAGGAUGUUUUCUAUCAAAGAAAAGAAUAAAACGAAACUGGAAACAGUGAGAGGGGAAGGGGCUGUGUCCGGCGGUGGUGGCCACGCUGGCAUCGAGAUAAGCAUGGCCGCAACCGCUGCCGCGUCGCUCUUGGUGCUCUUUUCGACUCCAGUAGCCGACGACAUAAUCAGUUUUUCCACGACACAUAAUUUGCAAAGGCGACCAUGGAGAAAGCGCCGUUCGCAGCAUCACUCGCGACAGGGUGUCUACCCUUGUCUUGCUCGGCCUCACCAUCUCUAUUAUUUAUCUCACGUAAAAAAGAAACAACAUAAAAGAAAAAGAAUGGCCGCAAUCACAAAUCCGCUCAUAAAGUCGUGAAUUUUUGUCGCCUUCUUUUGUUUGUCUUUGUUUGAUGGUCAUUUGCAAUUAUUUAUGUGGGCAAGUUGGACAGAAGUCACAGAACCGCGGUGAUGAAACUUCGCUCAAGCCAAAAAGUAGGACUUAGUAGUGUUCUGUAUAAAAAUGCCUCAAGUCAUCCCAUUACAAUUUAGAAGAAUUGAAAAGCUACAUUAAAGAAUUAACAAUCUAAGUAAAGUAGUUCUGACCCAAAAAAAAAAAAAUCCAAGUAAAGUAGUUUAUGGACAAAAAUUACAGAAUUACCAAUUUUACAAAAAUUAAUCCAUCAUAAUUUACAGAAAGUAUGGUUGAUUAAUGUUCAAUUGAUUUUCAAACAUAGAAGGAUAUUUUAGUCAAUUACUAUAAACAUAGAAGGUGAAGAGAACAUAUGAGAGAGAAAAAAGUGGGUGAAUUGGUGGUUGACCUUGUUUUCCGAAGGUAGAAGGCUAUCUUGGUCAAUUGAUAAUAGGAAGUUUGUAUUAAAUUAAAGAGGAGGUGGUAACUGCCCCACAUCUCUUUUAUGUAAAAUAAGAUAAUAAGAUCUGAACCUUUACUUGGUGUGACUUUAUUCCAAUUCACAAUAUGUCAAAUUUAGAUGUAGCCAUUUGAGAAAAAAAAAUCUCUUUUAAUAAAUUAAAAAGAUCUGUGUGCUCUAAUAAUUGUUUGUAACCUCUUCCAUACUCAAGUCCGAGUAAUGGAUGGUACAAACAUCACAACAAGUAACAGUUAUCGAAUUUUUUCUUCUUUUUUUUUUCAAAAAGUACUUAUUGAUUUCUUGUAAAUCAUGAACAUACAAAGAAAUGUUUCAAGCUUUAAAAUAUUGGGAAAAAGUUCUAAAUAAUUCUAUCAGUCAAUAAUUAAAAGUCCUAAAUUGGAAUGCACUUAAACUUUCUCGCGGAAACACUAUGAGAGCGUGGAAUUGUGGCGGAGUCUACAAAAUUUGUUGAAGCCCUCGAAGAGUCAUCCCCAUAAAUAAGAAACUAAAAAUAAAGAAAAAAGGAUAAUAGAAAAAAUAAAUGAAGAAAUUUAGCCUUCUACUGCACGUGGUUGACCAGUAACGUGUUGUCUGUCCUCGCAAGAUCGUCUGCAAAUCGUCCACAGAGACCAGUAACGUGUUACUUCGGUGCAUUGAGUGCGGUGAGCCAAGGAGCAACCGAAUUUUCCCAUCAAGUGCUCCUUCUUUUCAGUAUGCGUUGUGCUGAUGUCUUUCUUUUCUUCGAUUCUGUUUUCAUCCUCGAUCUGAUUCUAAAUUGCUCUUGCUGAUAUUCCUCAGUCUCCCUGUUUAUUUACAUUACUAUUGCUUCCGUACACUCAAGGCUCUCUCUCUCUCUCUCUCUCCUCUGGUUUUGUUUCACAGUUCUCGUUGUUUUAUGACUUUGCUCUUCCUUUCUUUUCAUACACCGAAUGAUUAGGGAUUGUCACUGCUACGACAAGAGGAACAAAAGAGGGAGGUGGAGGGAAAAGGGAUUUCUGGAAAUUAAAGCAGAAAAAAUGUGUGACGCAUUUGCUACGUCCAUUGCAUCAAAUCUUGUGUCGAAACUAGGUGAGUAUCUGUUUGCUCCCAUUGGACGUCAAUUUGGGUACGUCCUGUCCUACAAGAGCUAUGUUGAAGAUCUCAAGAAAGAAGUCAAUGAUCUGAAGAAUGCAAGGGAAAGGGUGCAAUCCUCCGUAGACAAAGCCGCGUAUGACGGGAAACCUAUAUUCACCGAUGUUAAGGUUUGGCUGGAAAAUGUGGAGGAGGAGGUUAAGGAAGCAGAAAACUUAUUAAGAGAUGGCGAAAGUGCCAAAAGUGCUUGUUUCCGUGGGUGGCUUCCCAACCCCGUAGUGUGCCAUUCAAUUGGUAGAAAAGUGGAGAAGAUGACUCAAGUCAUUCAAGAACUCCAUAAGAAAAGUAACUUCCCGGAGGUCCACUACGACUAUCCUCCGAUAGGAAUUGUCACUGCUACCACUUCCGUUGUUGCAUAUGCCGACAACGAUGAAGAUGUCCUGGAGUCAAGGGUUUCAUUCGUAGAGAAGGUAAUUAAGGCUAUAGCUGAUGACAAGGUAAGUGUGGUUGGGGUGUAUGGACCAGGUGGGUUAGGCAAGUCCAAGCUUUUGACGGAUAUCGAAAGGCGAGCAAAGAAAGAGAAGCUAUUUGAUGUGGUUGUCACAGCAGAUGUAUCACGCAAUCCAAAUCUUAGAAGAAUCCAAGGAGAAAUUGCUUAUGCAUUGGGUCUAAAGAUAAUGAAUGAGGAAACUGCUCGUGGGAGAGCAGAUCUUUUGCGCAAGAGGUUAGAGAGUGGUUCUAAAAAAAACAUUCUCAUAAUUUUAGAUAAUUUGUGGAAGAAGCUGGAGUUGAAUGAAGUUGGAAUCCCUUGUGGAUUUGAUAAUGAAGUAAGAGGCUGCAAGCUAUUGCUAACGUCUAGAAAUCGAGAUGUUUUACGUAUUGACAUGGGCUCUGACAAAGAGUUCCGACUCAAUGAGUUAGAGCAUGAAGAAGCACGGAGACUUUUUGAAAGGACAGUGGGGGACAAAGUUAAUGAUCUUGAUAUUAAACCCUGGGUAGAUGGAGUGGUCAAGAAUUGUGGAGGCUUGCCACUUUUGAUUGUUUCGUCGGCAAAAAGGUUGAAACACGGAGAGUUGGCUGCAUGGAGGAAUGCUUCGACCCAUAUAGACGCGUCGGAUGUAAAAUUAAUAGCUGAACAAAAUUACAAUGACUUAGGAGACGAGAGGAUCAGAAAAUUGUUCUUGGUUUGUGCUCUAGACUCUAGCAGUAUUGCCAUGAGGUGUACCCUUCCCUACUGCAUGAGUAUGGGCUUAUAUAAACAAUUCAGCAUGACCAUCGAAAGCGCUAGAGAUAGGUUGGUAAUGGAUUUACGUUCCCUGCAAAACUCUUCUUUGUUAUUAGAUGGUGAUGACAUGGAAGACCUCAAAAUGCAUGACAUACUUGUUGACAUGGCCAUCUCUAUUAGUUCCACAGAGUGGAAGGCCUUGAUUGGGAGGAAAGAUUAUGGGUUUAAAGAAUGGUCAAAGGAUGAUCUCAGCAAAUGCACCGCGAUAUCCUUCCGUUUUGUGGGCAUUGAUGAGCUUCCAGAGCAAUUAGAUUGCCCAAACUUGAAGAUGCUUCUGUUAUCUGAAGACAACCAGUCUCUUAAAUUUCCUGAGUCAUUUUUUGAAUCUAUGGAGAAGCUCCAAGUCUUGGACUUGACUUGCUUAUCUUUCACCUCUCUACCUACGUCAAUUGAAUUCCUUGAAAACCUCAAUUCGUUGUGCCUUGAUUACUGCCAUCUGAAGGAUGUGACUGUUCUUGGAAAGCUGAAGGGAUUGCAAUUCCUAAGUCUCCACGGAUCUAUAAUCGCUCGGCUGCCCAAAGAAAUAAGUGGACUAACAGAAUUGAGAUUUUUGGACUUAAGAGAGUGCUUAAGGCUCCAAAUUAUUGAACCUGGCGUACUUGAAAACUUAGUUAAUUUAGAAGAACUGUAUAUUGAUGAAUUUUGUCAAUGGGAAGCCGAGGAUGAAGCACCGCGAAGCAACGCCAGCCCGGCUGAGUUGAAGAACAUGAAAAAGUUGAGAACUUUGCACAUUACCAUUCCUCAUUCUACCAAUCUCUCAAGCGACCUGCCUUUCGGGAAUCUAAACGAGUAUAAAAUCCAAAUUGGGGCAGUUACGCAUUGGUGCGAUGAAUACAAAGAAUCCAGAAGUUUGAAGCUCAAGUUGGAUUCUGGCAAUCUUCUCCGUAACACGUGUAUGCAGGAAUGUUUGGGGAGAACGCAAGAUCUCUGCUUGGAUGGAUUGCAAGAUGACACAGAUAGCAUUCAUGACUUGUGCGCCAAAGGUUUUCGGGAAUUGAAGCAUUUUUGUGUAAAAAAUAACCUCUCACUUCAAUAUGUUGUUGGCUCCACACAGUCCACUGGAUUUAUGAGACUGGAAUCAUUGGUUCUACAGAAUUUGAACAAUUUGAAGAAGAUUUGCCGCGAUUGUCUUACCCCGGAAUCCUUUAGCAAAUUAAAGAUUGUGAAAGUGGAAAACUGUGAUGAAAUUAAACAUUUGUUUCCUUCGUCCAUGACAAGAAUAUUCUUGCAGCUAGAAGAGAUUGAAAUAAAUAGAUGCCACUUGAUGCAACAAAUUGUGGGAGAUGACGAGAUAGAUGAAUACAGAGAUGAGAUUGAUGAUGAUGCCAACGUGAAGUCAUGCAAGCUGCGAAGGCUAACGUUACAAAACUUGCCAGAGAUGAUGAGCUUCUAUAAAACCGUGGACCAUUCAGUCGUAUUCUUGGAUGGGCAACAGGUAAAUUUCAUGCUUUCUAAAAGUAUCAUCUUUCCAUUCAUCCGGACCAUCCUGAUUGGAGGAAACCUUCUCCGACUAGUCUUCUGAUGAAUGAGUUAUGAACAUGGAUAUUGCCUUCAACUGAAUAUGUUAAUCGUAGGAAAAAUACUGGUGUAAGAGUGAGUUAGUUCACUACUCAAUUCGUGAUACUCUCGAUAAUAAAAUCUGAGGAAAGAUAGACAAAAUAACAUAAAUUAAGUUUCCGAUUUUUAUAGCCUUUUCCAAUUUCCUCCAUGCCUUUCAAAGGUAUCAGUUGAAGCCCCCGGCAUUUUACGGUCUUCUUAAAAAAUGACUUGUUGAAAUAUUUACUUUGGAGAGAUAAUGAAUAGAAAUUUUGUGUAAUUUUAACAAAGUAAUAUGUAUUAAUCAACCAAACGACAACAAUUAUUUAGUGAGAUUUGGGUCGUUUAGUGUUUUGUGUUAAAAACGUAUUGAGUUUAUUUGAAUUUGAUUAUUUAAAUAUUUGAUUUGUAAACACAUGAAAGUAUUGAAUCUAGAAUUAUCCUCAAUUUAUUUUUUAUGUGUUAAUUGAUGGACUAUUAUGUGACUACGAAAUGAAAAUUCAAAUAUAAUAUUCAAUAGGGCAGUUUGUUUUCAUUACCCCUGGUUGUAGAAUGGACCUUAUGUGGUGACCAAAUCUAGCACAAAUCUACAUUCUAACCACUUAUUCUAAUAUUAGUAGUAGAAUUUAUGUGCCCUGCAAAUGUUUAAAUUUCUUUUUUUUUUUUUUUGUAAUAAAAUAUUUUGAAAGCAUUUAUUAGAUAUACAUCUACCAUUCAUUUGUUCACUAUUGCUUGGACUUAACAGUUUCUGUAACUGUUCUGUUUGUAUAGAUUAAAAAUAUGGAAAACCUUUUUUAAAUUAUCUUAAAAUUAUGUUUAUAGUGUGACCCAAACUGCAAAAGCAUGAUGCUCGAUCAAAAUCAUUUAUUAAAUCAAUUGGCUACAUGACUAACUCUCCACAUAAAUUAAUCUUUUUUUAUGACGAGAAAGGGUAUAUUAGGGUCUUAUAUACGUAGAAUUAAACCUAUUGCUGAAAUUUACUUUGAAGCCCGUACGGUGCUGCUGCGACCAGUUCAUGGAUCUUAUGGCCAACCACGGACCUUAAAUUGAUGAACCCCUUUCUGACUUUGGUUCGAUAAGUCAUCGAUUCCGCCCUACAGAUAUACUAGAAUUUUAGCCCAUGUUAUGCACGGGGACAACAAAUUUUUCUGACUACUUCAUAAAUUUACAAUUACUUUUUACUUUCAAUCUUUUGAUAAGGCAUGUUUUUGUUUUUGGAACACUUUGAAGAAAAAAGCCAGACUCAAGUUACACGUUUUGAUCAAUUAAAAGUAUAUUUUUUAUCGGUUGGUCAAUCACAAGCCCUUUAAAUAAUGUUCAUUGUUAUGUUUAAUGUUGUUCUAUGUCUUUCUUUAACCUAAUAUGUUGUUAGUCCGUGAACAUUUGGUAGAAAAUAAUUAAGAUGGUUUUUGUAAAUUAUUAUUUGAGAUAUUAUAUAAUACCACAAUUAAUGACUAACAAGAAUUAAUUGAGUCUACGCCAUUAAUUUGUAAAAUUUGGAAAGCACAAAAUGUAAGCGCAAAUUCAAUAACCUCAAUACCCAUGGAUUAUAUCUUCCUUCUCUUGUCAUAUAUAUAAUAGAGCCCCAAUAGACAAUAAGGUGAAUGAUAAGUCAAGUGCAAAAGUUGAUAAAAGUUAAAGAAGAAAAAUGCAAAAUUGAAAAAUCACUACUCGGCCUUUUUUUCCCGUCAACUUCAAAUCCAUUAUGUGAGAUUAUUUCCCUAAUUAAUUUUUCACAAACAGCGCGUGUUCACAGCUUUUAGUUAUAAGCAUUGUGAGAUUAUGUGGGAUCAUCCACCCCUUGCUGCUAAAGAAGAAUCAAUGCAUAUACCUUUGUAACGUUAUUCUCCUAACUUUUUAAGGUUCCAUUGCCCUUGUUGGAGUACUUGACACUGUCUGAACUUCCCAAAUUGAAAGAGAUAUGGAAUUCUCAAUUUCCUUUGGAUGUGAGCAACCUAAAAUUUUUGAAGGUAGAGGAUUGUGCGUUCCUCUUGAGCAUCUUCCCAUCAAACUUGGUGACAAAGCUACAAAAUUUGGAAGCCAUAACCAUUGAAAGAUGUCAGUUAAUACAAGAAGUAUUCAAUGUUGAAGAACUGACAACUAGUGGGGAUGUCAAGAUUCUAUCACGAUUGAUGACAUUAACCUUGAGUGACUUACCAAGGUUGGGGCAUGUAUGGAACAAGAAUUCAAGAAUAGCGCUGUGUUUCCAAAACUUAAGGGUACUGAAGGUGCAAGGCUGUGAGAACUUGAGGUUUAUUUUUUCUUCUUCCAUGGCUAAAGCACUCCAACAAAUAAGAGAAAUAAAAAUAGCGAGAUGUAAACUGUUAGAGGAAAUUAUAAAUGUGCAAGAAGAAGGAUCAAAGAAAGCUGCAUCUAUGCACACUUUAGAGUUUCCUCUAUUAUCCUCCUUAUCUCUUGAGGAAUUGCCAAAUCUUAGAACAUUCUCUCAUGGGACACACCGUAUUCAUUGUCCAACCUUAACAAGAUUGAGGAUAUUUGGAUGCCCCAAGAUGAUGACAUUCUCUUCAUUUGAAGGAAACCAACAGACGAUAGCAACUAAUACAAGUUUACAACAAGCACUUGGUGGUGUCAACUCUAGCAUGUCCUUGCCUAUACUCUUCGAUCAAAAUGUACGUCAAUAUCUCUGGAAAUUUCUAUUAUAUGUUCAUCGUAGAAACUAUUCUUGGUAAUUGUAGUCUUAUCGCCGAUGAAGCAGUUGAAAACUUUGUCUGCAUGUCCUUUAAAGCCUCUUGCUACUGCAUGCAUUUGUCAUUUUUAUAUGAUGAUGGUAAUCUCGAGUAACCAACUUCAUUCAUAAGAAUAUCUUACAUAGCACAUAUCAUGGGUAAACCAACUUCGUCCAAAUCAGGAUUUUUAGGAGUUCUUGGUCGAGAAACUAACAUAUGGUUGUUGCAUACAGAUUCUUUUUCCCAGCUUGGAGGAGUUGACCAUCAUGUCAUGUGGGUUGAUGAAGAUAUGGCACAAUGAACUUUCUAAGGAAUCAUUCUGCAAACUAGCAUCCAUCACAAUCCGAGAUUGUGAAAAUUUGUCUCAUAUUUUUCCAUCAAAUAGAAUAGAGGUUUUCCGAAGCCUAAAAAUGGUUGAGGUGGUCAACUGUACCUCUUUGGAAUCAUUAAUCGAACUUGUUGCUGUCAAUACUAAGAAAAGGCCAAAAAGUCUAGUCUUCCGAAAAUUAAACGAAGUGAAGUUGUGGGACUUGCCGAGACUAGAUGCGUUAGUGACAAGUAGCUCCCAAGCAACUUUGAGUCUUCCUAGUCUGACUACUGUUAGCUUACGCAACUGCCAUAGUAUGAGAUAUCUCUUCACAUAUGAUACAUCCAAGACUCUUGAUAAACUUGAGAUGUUGGAUGUUUCUGAUUGCAAUAAGAUGCAGGAAGUAGUUGCCAUUGAAGAAAGUGAAGAGCAAAAGUUGAAGGCAAUGAAGUUCUCUUGUUUACAAACAUUGAAACUUUGUUCCCUUGAGAGCUUGAUUAGUUUCAGCUUAGGAAGUUGUGCAUUUGAGUUUCCCUCCCUCACAAACCUGUCAAUUCUGGAGUGCAUUGAACUCAAGGCAUUCAUAUUGAGGUUGCCAGCACCAAGGGUGGAGAUGACAAAUGAGGGAACUGCCAGUUCCAAUGAAAGUCCACAUUGUUUGUUUGAUGAUAAGGUUUUCCUCUUUCCUUUAUCUCGACUGGAUCGUUGUUCAUCUGAUUUGCUUCCUUCUUUGCGUUGCUCUAGAUAAAUAAGCAACUUUGCUUCAAUGCCAGUCAUAGUGACUUUAGCCAGGUGAUGCCUCUAUAGGUUGUUUUCCCAAAUUAGAAGAGCUACGUCUAACCGGAAUUCAAUCAAGAGAUUAUGUAUAAUUUUAACAAAGUAAUAUGCGUUUAUCAACCAAACGAAAAAAUUUAUUAGUAACAUUUGUAUCAUUUAAUGUUUUGUGUUAAAAGGUAUUAAGUUUACUCAAAUUUGAUUAUUUAGGUUUUAAAUUAUAAACACAUUAAAGUAUUGAUUUUAGAAUUAUCUUCAAAUUUAUCUUUUGUGGAAAUGUGGCUCUAAACAAACUUUGCUUCAAGCACCGUAGAUAAUUUUCUUAUCGGUCACAUGUUAGUAACUCAUCAAUAGGCUUAAAAAAGGACCUUUUUUUUUUAUAACUUUUAAAUCAUCAACUACUUUAAUAAUUUACCAACUUUCAUUUUGGCUUACCAAUAGAUUUGAAAUUACUAACUUUAUUUGAAGUUGCCAAAUUAAAUUUGAUUGGUUUACCAAUAUUAGUCACAUUAAGACUUCAUUCAUUUCACGAAAAAAGGAAUUUACGCAAAAUAUUUUUUGAAAAAUGAUCACUUGUAUUGUUUAUAAAAAUAAAUGAACAAAAAAUAUUUUUAUAAUCUACAAAAAUAUUUUGAUAUAAAUUAUCAUCGACAGUGAAAAUAAUUUUAAUUGAUUAAUUAUUAUCAAGCGAUAUAAGCAAUUAUUUGUAGGAAAACGUUUUUCAAAACAUUCAUUUUCUAUAAAAUAUAAACUAUUUUUAGUUACUUGCCACCUUAUUAUUAUCUUGUUAGGUUGAAAAGUACCAACAUUUUCAAAAUUACAAACUACUUUAAUAAUCAUCCAGUAUUUACUCUCGUGACAAGCCAACGCCUCUCAAAUUACUAACUUUAUUUUGAAAUUACAAAUAAAAAUCUAAUUGAUGUACCAACAAUCAUCAAAUUAAGAUACCAACAGAUUUUAUUCAUUGACCAACAUUUUAUUAGAUCUUGAAAGGUACUGAUAUAUAUUUAUAUUUUCAAUAUCACCGGCUACAUUAAAAACAUACCAACGUUCAUUCCUAUGGCUGGCCAAUGCUUUUCAAGUUAAACAUUCAAUCAAAAUUACCAAACUUAAUUUGAGUGGUAUAUCAGUUAUAUACCAAUACGAAAUUAGGUUCCUUUUUAACCGCAUGGAACGCUAAAAAUAUCCAUUUAUUUGGGGCUAUGUACUUUUUAUUUGUUUCGUUGCUCAUCUAAUGUUUUACCUUGCUUUUGUAAAAAUGAACAACUUGUCUUCAUUAUUUAUUCUUUUUUCCAUCAAAAUUUUGAACUAUCAUCUCUAUCUUGUUUUAUUGCUUUUUUGCCCAUGUCCUGUCAUUUCAAAUUUUCUUUUCUUCUCUUUUCUUUUCUUUUUUUGCCAAUCAUUUGUUGAGUUUCGAUGCAUUCUUCUCAAAGUUACAAAAAAAUGAAGCUAUAUGAUACUUAUGAUCUAUAGUAAAAUAGAUAUGAGGAUUUCAGCUUUGAAAACAAUGUGCAACAUUAAUACAACAUCUUACUAUCGAGACACAUACACUAACUAUGAAAACAAUCUGAUUUGUUAAAACAAGCAAGUGUAAUUUUUCCAUUUGAAUUUAAUUAGUUACAAUUUGAAAUAGCUAAAGCAUCAUUGAUUAAUAACUUUCUUUAUCCAAAUUCAUGAAAUAUAUUGUGAUUGAAUUGGGCACACACAUCAAUAAAAAAAAAAAAAUUGGGCACACCACUAACAACAAUCAUCCCCCAUAUAGUGGCCAUCAGUGCUUGCUCGUUUGCUUCUGAAAAGUUGUGUUUCUCAUUUUUUCCCUAAACAGAAAGACAUUUUAGUCAUUGGACUUUCGGCAGCCUAAAAAACGGAUUCCCUCCCACAGGUCAUUCCACACUUGGAGGGAUUGACAUUAGCAAGGGAGGACGUUGCAAUGAUACCGCAGCAUUACGUCUUCCACAAUCUCAAACAGCUAACUUUGGCAUGCUACGAUGAUGAAAAUGUCGCUUUUCCUUUCAACUUCUUGCUUCACAGAUUCCCCAAUCUGGAAACGCUUGCUGUGGAACAUGGUUCAUUCGAGGAGAUAUUUCCAGAAGAUUCAUCUAGACAUGGGGGAGCGACUCCCUGUGGAGAGCUAACUGACAUGGCAAAACCUCUCCAAGAUUUGCGAAAUCUUAGGCGACUUAGCCUGUAUAAGUUACAUAGCCUGAAGCGAGUUUGGAAAGAUGGCUCAUUGAUGGCUGAAAUUCUCAAACAGAUUGAAGUUGUGUGGGUUGAGGAGUGCCCGAGUUUAUCAAUUGUACUUCCAUCCCUAACUUCAUUCCAGAGAUUGAUACAAUUAGAAGUAGAGGAUUGCGCUGGUUUAGUUCAUAUGGGGACUUGCUCAGCAGCGACAAGUCUGGUGCACCUUACUUGGCUAUCCUUAAGAAAUUGUGGCGCAAUGGAAGACGUGAUAACAGAUGAUGGGAAUGGAGCAGGGGAUAUCUCUUUCCCCAAGCUGGAAGAGCUAAUACUUGACGGUUUACCAAUCCUUGAGAGCUUCUCAAACACAAAUCGUGCCUUGAGAUUCCCAUCGUUGGUGCGUAUUGUCAUCACGAAGUGCCCCAAGAUGAAUAUAUUCAGCAAGGGUGCCUUGAGGACACCGGAGCUAGAUGAAGUACUCCUCUCCAAAGAGGAUGAUGAAGGACAUUGCGAGGGCGACCUUAAUACCACCAUCCAAACCUUAUCUGCUUUAAACGAUCCACAACAAAUUCAGUAAGGUAGGUGAAUCUGUUUGCUUAAUCGUGUCUGCCUGAAUUUGGUGUCAAAAGGAAGAAAUUCGCAUUCUUCGAAUUCUAUAUUGGCUCAUACGAAGUCAAUCUUUCUUAAAGGAAUGUUUGACUGGGUUUUAUAGGAAUUGUCACAAGUUCGACAAUUAGGGCCUGUUGAGCACUUACUCACCCAUACAUUCUAGUUGUUUGAUGAAAUGCAUAGCAUGACCUCUGUUAGUGCAGCUUCAAAGAUUGUGAGGUUUUGUUGUAUGGCAAUGUGUUCUUAGCCACCUCUCUAGUUAAUCUUGAGGAGUGUCAGUAGUUAGACAUGUCUUAUAGACAAUAUUUGUUUCUUUCAGGCGUCAUGCUCACUACGAUCUAAGUGGCUGCUUUCAUUUGCUAGAAAGUGUCUCCUGUAAGAAGAUGUUGAAUGGAGCUUUUUGCAACGUUUUCACUAAUGGUGUUAUGAUCAUGGUGUUGAUGCCUCUUGAGAUGGCGUCUUUGUGCCGACAUGUGGUAUUCUCAAUGGGCAGCUGCUUCAUUGAAUAUUUCAUUCUUUUUCUAGUUUGGAAUGUCCUCUCUAUGUCAUUUCCUUGAUAAUGGUACUGGUGUAGCAUAAUGUUUGGAAUGUGAGGGUUCUCUAUCCUUUAUCGAAUUAUGUAGAGAUUUUGUAUGAGUGUUGGCUUUUGGGCAGCAUCGUUUGGCACCAAGUUGUUGUUUGGAGUUGGACUAUUUGGAUGACGACAACAGUAGCCAUACACUGACCAAAAGGGGAAGAAGUCUAAGAAUCCAAAUAAACAUGUCCUUCUAGCAGCGGACCAUAGCCUACAUGGAGCCAUUCACGCUAAAUGUUUUUAUCACCAAGCGCCUCAUCUUGGCUUCACUCACUCAUAAGGUCAUGUGCAAGUAGGUCGCUCUUGUAGGUACCAAUUCUAAAGACAUCAGAGCCGUGCUCAAGUUUCAACCACACAUACCAACAUGUUUGGCUAUAGGCCAGGUUCUGGCAGACUGGGCGGGGGAAGCUGAUGUGUGCAAGCUUCCUAUACUCCAAGAGAAAGGGACAAGUUUGACGGAAAAACUAGGGCAGUACUUCAAUCUCUGAUUGACAGUGGCAUUGAUAUUACAAUUUAUCUUAACUGAUUUUCCUCGCUUCAGCAUGAUCUUGUUAAUGUGCACUACUCCUAAUAGGAAGAUACUAAUAUCUUUGACAUUGUUUUGAGAAUAGGCAAGAUGUAAUGUUGGUUCUUUUGCUGGUUAUAUGUAGAUAAUGGUGACUGUUUGUUUGGCAAUAGGGGAAUCCAGAUUUUCUUUUGGCUUUGUCCAAAAAUUUACCUUGAUUCUUGGAUGAGCAUUGUGGUGGAUAUCAUUGUUGUUAGAAAAAUCCCUUAUGAUGUUUUGAAGAUGACAAAAUAAAUCAAAGGCUACUAACAUGUUUAAUGGUUAAGUAAUAGACCAUGCAGAUGAUAGAACAUGUAAAGGAUAUUGUCAAAGUCUGAAGACGACCAGAAGACUGAACGUAACAUAUGUCUAAAGUAUAUUAUGAAGAUUUCCAGACUUCUGUGUCAAAGUCUGAAGACUGUCAGACUCAAGACUCAAAGUCUGAAGACUGCCAGACUUUAGUGUCAAAGUCUGUUCUAUAUCAGAAGUCUGUCAACUCUGACAAAUUCCAGACUGAACAUGAAUGAUGAACCAGAAGACAGACUCUAUGUUGAAGCUAAACCAAAAGACAGACUCUAUGCUGAAGCUGAACUGGGUACAAACCUUAAAGCUAAAUCUGUUUAGAAGCAGAUAUGUUCAGACCCAGAUUGUAAAGUCUACAAACUCAGACUUUACAUCUAGAUUCGAUGAAUCGUAACUCAAGCCCAAUCAUACAACGGCUAGUGAUCUGGUUUGGAUUCCACAUCAAGAUUGAUUUGAUUGAUUCAAUCUAUUUGAUUGACGAUUGGAUCUUGAAGACAAGAACUUUCUAUAUGAAGAAGCUUUACUUAUGGAAACCAAGAUUUCGUUUGUAUGGGCGAUCGGAAUCAAUUUGGGAUUCUACCUUUGUCACUCAACGGCUACCAAAUCUUCUAGAUACAGAGCUGUCCAAUGGGUAUAUUGGAAGACGAUUCUCCGGGAUACUGUCCAACGGGUAGUUUGGAAGUGGAGGAGUAUUUAAGGAGAUCAUGGACCGAUGAGCAAGUAAGAGACGGAGCGUAGAAUUUAUAAUUCCAAAGUCUGAGCGACUUUUGAUCAUAUACUUGUCUCUGGAGAGCUUAAACGUUUGUAAUCAUGAGAGAAAUACCAAAAGAGUGACUUAGUGAGAUAGUGUGAUCUACUACUAAGUGUUUGCACUCGAGGUUGUAAUCUCUUGUUGAUUGCAUAGUGGAAUCCAGCCAAGAAGGCUGUUAGCGUGGGAGAGUGGACGUAGGCUUGGAUUAAGCCGAACCACUAUAAAUCUUGUGUUCUUAUUCUCUUCCCUAACUCCUUUAUUUUGUUCAUACUAGCACUCUCAAUUGCUUCAUCUAUAUUUCUUCAAUUUUACAUGGUGUCGACAUUGACUACUACUCUUGAAACGUUAUGGAUGUGCAUGCCAGGAUGGUUAGUUUGGUUCAUCUUCUUUUACCAGACAAUCGUUACAAGGUUAGGUCCACAGUUGUUGAUUAUCUGAAGUACUAUAAUAACAUGGAUUGGAAAAUAAUAUCCCCCACGAGUUAUCAUAACUUAAGUUAGUUUAGUUGUCUACUAUUCAGUUGUUUUACUGGAGUUCAUAAAAUAGAGAUACAUAGAUAUUACUUUGCCGGCCUUCGUGUCAUGACGAUAGAUAAACAAUUGACUUGAUAUAACAUGAUUUAAUUAUUUUAUUCUUGUAGAAAAUUUUGACACUAAAUAUAAGGUGUUGUUUAGUCAUUCUUUUGUUUUGUCUCUGAAUUUAUCUGAUCUGUGGCUUUGGAAAUGUAAAUCCUUGCCAAUUUACUUUGGUGGGAACUGAGAAAAACAUUUUUUGAAAGUUUGAUGCCAUUCAAACAUCUGCUUGGGUUUAAGAUAACAGUAGUACCGACCAUGUCAAUAUGAGAGUCUCUCUAAAUUGCAAUGAGUUCACGCUUGAACUUCUUUAGACCAUCGAAGAGAGAGAAAAUGGAUCCAGUUUUCUGUAGAAUUCCUUUAUGAACCACCCAUCCCAGCUUUUAGAGAUUCACGAAUUGCAAUUAUAUCCGCAUUUUACUCCGAUCCUCUCCCAUGGAUGUUGGGCGAUAUAUCAGGUAAAAUAGAGAUAUGUCCAAAAUCCUAUGCUCACAAGUAGCAUCCAAUCUUUCCUAAAGAAAUAGCAAGAGUGACCUAGUUGAUUGAAUGUGAUAUAAUUGCCUCGCGAAUCAAUUAUUUUAGAUGCAUCCCCUGCAAAAGCAGAUGAUCUAAGGAUCACUCAGCUACCGAGCAUAUCGUAAUUUCAUAUGUUCUUCGGAAGGUUAGUAUGAAGAAGAAAGGCUUACUUGCUAGUUUCUAUUAUAAGAUAAUGUUCGAACUCUACUCUUCUGCUUUUGUUAGAGUUAAGUUGUAUUCAAAGCUUCUUGGUGCUUCAUCCUCAUAGCUCUUUCCAUAAGCGCCAAUAUAGACUAUUCAUUUUUUUUUAAUUGAAUUAGGAGGUAAAAAUCCUCUCCUAACUAGGAGAAAAUACCAUUUCGGGUCCACAAUAUUGAGAGUUCUUAGUAAUCUGACUCUUCAAUUGUUUCGAAUGAGUUCAUAAAAGACAUAAAAUAGCUCACAAACUUAAGGCAUCAUAUUCAUUACCAUGACAUGUUUGCACUUAAAAGUACUGCAUAUCUCUAUACUAGUCAAAUCUCCACAAUUUUAACAUAAACUGUAUAUAAUAAGAUUGUGCAGUAAAACGUUAUUAUGAGUUCCUAGGAGAAGCUAGCUGUGUGCCAUCAGAGGUAUUUACUCCUGAAUCACAUUAUGAACCUAUCAUUUUCCAUGUACUUGGUUUCAGUGAAGUACAAGCGCAAGCCAUCUAGAUCUUGUCCGACGCAUCGUCUCCUUUCUAUUUUCUGCAGAUAGUCAAAAAGCAAAGUUGGAGUUUGACCUUGUUGCUUCUUACUAAAAAUGUACAAGUAGGCUUGAGAAACCUGGUUACUCACUGACAAUCCAUACUUAGGAAUCUGUUGUUUCCAGGACAGCUGAAAUAAUAUUUCGUUGUUCCCAAUUUGGAAAAAACAAAGAUCUGUUUUCUAAAAGUGCAGACAUAUCCAAAAUCUCUCAUCAAAUGUCCUGUUUGAUAUCGGUCCUUACCAUAUCUUUCAUUGCUCUGUAUCUCGUAUUAUAGUGUUACCUUUUCUUAGGACCCUUUCCUGAGAACAUCCAGAGGAGUUUAUUCUGGGGGUUCUCUCCCUAUUUCCUUGAAGCUGUCAUCAUAUUGUUUAAUUUGUUCGCGCAGGCUCUAGUGAUUUGACAUACUGUAAAACUUGUUGCUGGAAAAUCAAUUGGAGAAUCAAUUAGAUCAUUGAGUUCGACUUCAGUGCUAGUGGGAACCAUGCACUUGUAGGGUAAAUGCCUUUUCUCAUGCAAUUUGUAGUACUUGGGCUUUUUGUUUGUUAAUUUGCUUCUCGUUUAUCACAGUAAACUUCAGACAUCCAUAACAAACAUGGCGAAACUUCACAGAGAAAGCAAUGGUGAAAAUUUUACUUUACCAACUUCUCAUCAAGGCCAUGAAAAGGUGUAUGUCAUUCUUAAAUAGUUUAAUACUUUUUAUUCUGACAAGUCGUUUGUGAGAUAGCUAGUAUAAGCACCUAGAGGGGGGUGAAUAGGUGCACAAACAAUUUAUUUCAAUACGGAAGCAAUUCUUGGCAAACGAUAGAAAGGAAAUUCACUAUUGAUUAACAAAAUGAAGUACGAUCAAAGUAAAGAGAGUAAGGAAGAGAAAAUUGAACACAGGGUUUAUAGUGGUUCGGCUUAUUCUAAGCCUACGUCCACUCUUUCGCACUGACAGCCCACCGGCUGGAUUUCACUAUGAACAAAAGAGUAGUUACAGCACAGCUUUUCCUUGAUUCCACAGUGUAGAUGUUCUACCACACCUCCUCAAGGUUUCUCACAAAUAUAAACUCUCUUUUGAAUACAAUGUUUCGCUCAAAGAAAUUGUUUAAACAACAAGGAGCUUCAGACUUUGGAAUUCUUCUAUCGCACACUCUCGAACAACUUAGAACGUCUUCCUUAUGUACUCCUUUAUGCCAUCAUACCCGUUGGCACUUACCAAAGGAAUUCCUCCAAUCUACCCGUUGGAUGGAAUCAAUUAGGAAGAUUAUUCGAGCUAUUAAAGGAACGUGUCGAUAGCCCAUUAAUCAUGUUUGCCCAUUCAAUCAGGAUCUCGGUUUCCAUAAGUAGAACCUUCCAAGAAUAUUUAGGCAAUUAUCGAAUCUUCAAUUAUCGAAUCAAUCUCGAUCAAUCAAAGGAUUCCAUUAUGUCUUUUCCAGCCACGAGAUCUUCUCCAGUUGAUAAGGUUAAAUCCUUAAUGAAACAUACAGUUCUGGAUAACCUUUCUUCAACGGAUUAGAGACUGUCAAUGAGGAUAGACUUUGAGUCUUGAGUCUGGCUAUCCAGAGGUCUUCAGACUUUAAAUAGCAAAGUCUGCAAACCUUCAAACUAGAUUGAUGGAAACGUUUUGUUAGCUUCAAAACACUUCAAGAAGAUUUCUCCAACAAUCUCCCCCUUUUUGAUGGUAACAAAACUUUCCUGCAGAUUUGGACAACUUUGACCUGCAAAACAUUUCUCAAACGCAUAUGCAUAUCUUAUAGAGAUAAAUGGCUAAAUGAAUAACACUAGAAUCUGCAACCAUAGAAAAUAGGUUAGUCUAAUAAGUGAUAAAGCCAUCCAUAAGAUACUAAUGAUAGUUAAUAAAAGCAGUCAAGUUCAAGUCUAGUUCAGUUCUCAUCCAGACACAAAAACAAGGUCAAACAGAUCAAAAGAAUCCAACAAAAUCCAACAAACUGUAACCACACAGUCUAACAAACCACACGAUCUAAAAGUCAAAUUGUUCAAAUCUUACAGCUCUCCCCCUUUUUGUCAGCAUUAAAAAAAGGUUGAGAUGAAAAUGGAAUAAAGUCAAGAUGGCUUGGGAACGCGGACAAGCUGGAAAUCUCCCAUAGACCGAACGAUGCCUUCCGGCCUUUUCAAGUCUUCUUUCAGUUGUGCAAUCUCCUCACCCUUGGCAUUGGCCUGAAUCUAAAUAGAGAGGGCUUGCAUUUUAUCAUUCAAUGAACAUGAAGAGACUUGACCCGCAGUUUGCAAGUUCUGAACCUCGCAUCCCAAGGCAUAAAUUUGACAUCGCAUCUCCAAGAGAAUAUCCAUGAUUCUGCAAAAAUCGGCUAAGUUAUCGGUCUGCGUACUAGCUUCGGCACAUUCUGUAGAUGAUGGCAUAUCAAAAUAAUCUCGCAGAUUUGGCGAUGAAACUUCAUGACCUUCUUCUGGAAAUUGAGAGGCGUAAACAUCCUCUGGGUCUGCAGGUGAGCGACUGAUUCCUUCACUUGCAUCAGGAUAUGAGGACUUCCCUCCUUUCUUUUGAUCUCCCCCUAUUUCCAUGCCUAUAGGUGGAGAAGAGUGUUCCUCAGUUUCUCAUUCUUUUCUUCUUUCUUCUUCAGGUCUUUCCUCCUCUGCUUCUUUUUCGCCAACUGCUCUUUCUGCUUCUUUCUCUUGUUCUUCUCUUUCUUCUUCUUCUUUCUCUUUUUCUUGACCUUCUCUUUCCUCUUGGCCUUCUCUUUCUUUUUCUUCUGUCUCACGUUGUUCCAUUGACUUUGGAACAGUACGACUUAGCUUCUUCAAAGCUAUGGCCGAAAGGGUAAGGUCAUCAUCUUCUUCAUCUUCCACAAUAAGAGCUCUCCUUUUCGGUUUUGAAGCAACCAAUGGCUCCCUUCCUUUCCUUUUUGAAGAAGAGAUUUGAUGAGCUUUGACUGGAGUCUUCUCCUUAAAUUUCUCCAACUCCUUGUUCAGUUCCUUCAGACGCAUUUUGGUUACCAUCUUUAGUCCUACCACCAUAUGAUCGCACAAUCGAACACAAAAGAUUUGCGGAGGCUGAAUAUUCAGAUGUCUGAAUAACUUCGUAACAAAGCUUGGGUAAGGGAGUUGACCUCUGUCCUUCAUCAUUACUCUAUACAUGUGGAACAUGAUAGUGUGAGGGAGAGAAAACCUUUUCCCAGUGAGAAUGGCAUACAUCAGCUUUGCCUCUGAACUUGAAACAUCAGUCUUGGAAGUUGAUUUUGGUCGGAGGCAAUUAAUCACAAUCUUGUGAAGCAAGAUGUUGAAUGCACUCAUCCUUAAGUAGGUGAUCUUCUCCUCUGUUCUCCUGUCCUUCACCAAUUCCAGUGUGGCCCGAGCAAUGGAAACUUUGAUCGGUUGAUAACUUCCUCUUUCAACUCCUAACACAUCUGCCAGCAUAUCCAUAUCCACCACAUAAUCUUGAUCUUUGACACUAAAAGAGAAUCUAUUCGCAUCCAAAAAGCUAAGAUUUGAAUAGAAAUAUGCGGUUAAUUCAGCAUAGGCCUCUGUAGUGUCGGAGUAGAACUUUUCAAGUUGAAGAUAACCGAACUUUUCCCUUAAUUUCAAAUUCACCGCAUCUAGAAAGUCAAAAUCCACACUUCUGGGGUUUAUUACCCCACGCUUCAGCAAUUUCGAAUACAAAUCCUUUUGUUCCUUCAAUCUGAACAAAUCUCCCCUUUUUCCUCGACUUUCAACCGCAACACCCAUUCUCGGUUGAAAUUGACUGUACAAUUUGUCGUCAUCAUUCCCAUCUACAGGAUUCGGUCCCCAAUCACGAGGAUCACUUGGGAUAUUCACAAGGGUUUCCUCAGCCACCCCUUUACAAGCAAUUCCCAAACUUUCCAUUUUUCGCAGAAAGAUAUAUUCGUUCUCAUAUCCUUUGUCUUUGAGAAAAUCAUCGACAUAGUUCAAGGGAGUACAAGUUCCUUUUAAGGCACGAUAUAGCUUAUAAAUAUAAGCGGGCUUUUGAACUCUUACCGAAUCUGCAUCCUCAAUGAUUUCUUCUUGUUGUUGACGAUCAACGCCUUGAGGACUAGAUGGAGGAGAAUGACGCUGCUGAGAAUGUUGUGGGCUCGGUUGCUGUUCUUGAGACACUUCUUCUUCAAUGAGAUCAAAGUGCGUAGGCCACUCACUCAUUCGCCGUGGUCCCCUGCUUGCGAUCUUCGAAGACUUUCUUGAAGAUGACAUCUUUCUCAGUUUUUGGAAGAUUCCUUGCUUGACUUUCCCAAGAAAGAUGACAACUUUUUGAAGAUUAACCAAGGGAAGAAAACGGGAAUUGAGGAUCAAUGUUUUCUAGGGUUUUUGAGAGUAAAGUGAAGAGGAAUCAACAGUACACGAUCGGUUAAAAAUAGAAAUAAACGAACCGUCACAAAGGAAAUAAAAAGAUGCAUUUUCAAAAUAACUGUCCUUUUUCCGCGAAAAUAGUCAUUUCAAAAAAUAACUUCUCUUUCGAAAAGGAAACGAUGCAAUAAUUAAGCCGAUUAAAGAUAGCAAUAAAACACGGUUCACAAUCGUACUUUUUCAAGAUAAGAUUCGAGAGGGAGAAAGACUAACUUACAGUCUGACGGUCGUACCAAGACUAACUUACAGUUGAAGUCUUGUAUGUCUGAGUCUGAAAGUCUUUAGACUUUGAUCUGCUCAUACCUUAAACUGUUGAGUCUGGAACGGAUGAUUUCAAAUUGAUUUUUCUCCAAAGGCUUUGUAAAUAUAUCCGCCAGUUGAUUCUUUGAAUUAACAAAUUGAAUUGAAACAACUCCAUUUUGAACAUGGUCUCUAAUAAGGUGAUGUCGAAUCUCUAUAUGCUUUGCUCUUGAGUGGAGAAUUGGAUUUUUGGUGAGGUUUAUAGCGCUGGUGUUGUCUCAAUUAAUCUCUGUGCAUGAGUCUUCAAUUCCAAAGUCUCUUAGCUGCUGUUUUAUCCACAGAAUUGCGAACAACAACUUCUGAGAGCUAUAUACUCUGCUUCUGCUGUAAAGAGAGCUACUGUACUUUGCUUUCUUGAAAACCAAGACACUGUCCUGCCUCCAAGUAGUUGACAAGUACCCGAGGUGCUCUUUCUAUCGACUCUGCAUCCAGCAAGGUCUGCGUCUGAAUAUCCAAGAAGAGUAAAGUCUCCCCUUUUUGGAUACCAGAGACCAAAGCUUGAAGUUGAUGAAACAUAUUUGAUAAUACGCUUCGCAGCAUUCAAAUGAGAUUCUUUUGGGUCUAAUUGAAAUCUGGCACAAAUGUAAACACUAAACAGAAUGUUAGGUCUAGAAGCAGUAAGAUAAAGAAGUAAUCCAACAAUACUCCUGUACAGCUUUUGAUUGACUUUCUUUCCUUUUUCAUCUUUGUCUAUCUUCAAGGAACUUGACAUUGGUAUGUCAGCCUUUUUGCAAUUGUCCAGUCCAAACUUCUUGACAAGAUCAUUUGCAUACUUUUCUUGAUAAAUGAAAGUUCCUUCCUCCAGUUGUUUUAUUUGAAGUCCAAGAAAGAAGGUUAACUCACCCAUCAUGCUCAUUUCAAAUUCAUCCUGCAUAGUCUUAGAAAAUUUCUUGCACAGACUUUCAUUAGAGGAUCCAAAGAUAAUAUCAUCGACAUAUAUUUGAACAAGUAGAAAACUUUUGCUUUCUCUUUUAAUAAAAAGAGUAGCGUCUACUUUACCUUUAACAAAUCCAUUUCGAAUUAAAAACUUACUUAAUCUGUCGUAUCAAGCUCGAGGUGCUUGCUUUAAGCCAUACAAGGCCUUUUUGAGUCUGAAUACUGAGUCUGGUUUCUUUGGGUCUUCAAACCUUGGCGGUUGUUCCAUAUAGACUUCCUCAUGGAUGAAUCCAUUUAGGAAAGCACUUUUAACGUCCAUUUGAAAUAACCUGAAAUUUUUAUGACAAGCAAAUGCAAGUAAUAAACGUAUUGCUUCUAACCUUGCUACCGGUGCAUAAGUCUCGUCAUAGUCGAUCCCUUCUUCUUGUGUGUAUCCCUUGGCCACGAGUCUAGCUUUGUUUCUUAUGACUUUUCCUUUCUCAUCCAUCUUGUUCCUAAAAACCCAUUUAGCUCCAAUAAUUGUUUUACCUUUUGGUUUAGGAGUCAACUCCCAGACAUCAUUAAUUCUGAAUUGUCUGAGUUCUUCUUGCAUAGCUUCAAUCCAGCUCUCAUCGGAUAAAGCUUCUUCUAAGCUCUUGGGUUCUAUUUCAGAAAUAAGAGCUACAGCACUAGACUCUUCUCGCCUUUUGGAUCUUAUGCGGAUUCCUUCAUUGAUGUCGCCAAUAAUAAGAUCUUUGGGAUGACUGGACUUAUGUUUCCAGUUGCAUGUUAAUUUAUCAGAUUGAUGGUCACUUCCUUCACUUGAAUCUUCAAUAGUCACUUGUUGCUGGUUCUUCAAAGUCUGAGCUGUUUCUUGAGAUUUAGACUUUGUAGAGUCUGGAGCAGAUUCAGUCUCUUCAGGAUGAGUCUGAAUAUAUUCAUUUUGAAUAGAGUCUUGGAAUUUGACAUUCAUUGUUUCUUUCACAGUUUGAGUCUUCUUGUUGUAGACUCUGUACGCUUUGCUAGAGGUUGAAUAUCCGAGGAAUAUGCCUUCAUCUGACUUUUCUUCAAACUUACCAACUCGAUCAUUUGCAUUUUUCAAUAUGAAACAUUUACAUCCGAAUACAUGAAAAUAUGAAACAAUGGGCUUCUUUUCUUUAAAUAGUUCAUAGGGGUUUUUUCUAGAAUAAGCCUUAGAAAAACUCUAUUGAUGAUAUAACAUGAUAUUGGAACUGCUUCAGCCCAAAACUGUAAAGAGAUAUUACUUUUAAUUAAAAGAGUUCUAGCCAUUUCUUGAAGCGAUCUAUUCUUCCUUUCCACAAUUCUGUUUUGCUCUGGAGUAUAUGGAGAAGAGAACAAAUGCUGAAAACCAGAUUCAUCACAAAAUUUUACAAAAUCUUGAUUUUCAAAUUCACCUCCAUGGUCUGUCUUUAUACUUGAAAUAACAUACCAUUUUUUUAUUUUGAACCUUCUUAGCAAAUUUUUCAAAGUAAGAGAAGGUUUCAGACUUACUUGUCAAGAAAUAUACCCAAGUAAAUCGUGAGUAGUCAUCCACAAUUACUAGGCAAUAUUUCUUACCUCCAAUGCUCUGCGUUCUUAUUGGUCCGAAGAGAUCCUUAUGCAAGAGCUGCAGUACACGGUUAGUGGAAACUUGAUUUAUUGGCUUAAAGGAAUUUCUUACCUGUUUUCCCAAUAUACAUGGUGUACAUAGAUCAGACUUUUGGUAUGAUAAAUUGGGUAGACCACGAAAAAGCUUCUUUGCUGAGAUUUUGGCUAUCUGUUUCAUGUUGAUAUGCCCAAGCUUUUUGUGCCAUAAGCUCGCUUCGUCUUGGAUUGAUAUUAGACAUUGCGAUUCAUCUGGUUUCACGUCCAAGAGGUAGAUAUUUCCAUGUCUUCGACCCAUGAAUAACUGAGUAGAGUAUUUACUGGUUCCUGAGCAAAUACCCUCUUGAAAGUUGAUUUUAAAACCGGCAUCACACAGCUGACUAAUACUGAGCAGAUUGUAAUUGAGCCCUUCAACUAAAGAAACAUUGCUGAUCGUGAGGUUCCCAAUCUUUACAGUUCCAAAUCCCACUAUUUUUCCUUUGUUGCUUCCUCCAAAUGAGACUUUUCCACCAUUCACUUGAACAAUCUUUAUGAAGCAAUUUGAGUCUCCUGUCAUGUGUCUCGAGCAUCCACUAUCCAAAUACCAUUUCACCUUUUUCUUUAUAGUGACUUGCAUUUAAAAAGAAACUCAAGCUUUCUUUGGUACCCAUAUUUUCUUGUGUCCUUUUGAGUUAGUCUGAUAUACGGUUUUUGCCCAGACUUUAUUGACGGGUCUCCAAACCAUAGGACAAUCUUUCUCAAAAUGAUCUGCACUAUUGCAUUUUGAACAUCUAAGAGCAUUGCGACCUACUGGUUUUACAAAGUUUCUGUCAAAAUGAUUUUUGUAAGCAUUUAUUGUGGGUCUUUGUUUAAUUCUUUCUUUUAUUUUAGGAAAAUCAAUUAAAGGAAUGGUUUUAGCAGUCAUUCCUAAACCAGAUUUAUUGAAAUAAGGUCUUUGAACAGAAAGUAUUUUCUCCAGUUUUUCAGAUCCUAGAGAAAAUCUUUUGGAAAUAUUUGAAAUAUCAUUUUUCAAAAAUGCAUUUUCUUUUAAAAGAUUAUCUUUACUUUCUCUGAGAGAAGAAACAUUCUGGUCUAAGUAUUUCACUUUUUCUUCCAAAACAUUCUCUUGUUGUUUUAAAGCAGAAUUUUCCUUUUUGAGUUCGGAAAUUCUUUUAAGAGAAGUCUUAAGACUAAAAAAUAAUUCAUCAAUGUAUUUUGAAACUUUAAUAGGGAUUUUGAAGUUACUUACCUCGAAUUCACUUUCCGAAUUUGAAUCAGUCUCGAAGUUUGAUUCUGAGUCUGAUUGUGCCAUUAGACAUAUGUUGGCAUAAUCAUCAUCACUAUCUUCGCAUUCCGUAUCACUCUAGGUUUCAGCUUUGAGAGCUUUUCGAUACUUUUCAGUUUUUCCUUUCUUCUUCCUCAGAAGAGGACAGUUGGGUCUAAUGUGUCCAUUUUUCUUGCAUUCAAAGCAGACUACAUCUUUGUUUGAUUCAUCAUCUUCAGCAGACUUGGUCUGUUGUUUUUGAAAACUUUGUUUCCUUGAAUUGAAUCUUCUUCCUUUUCUAUUCAGCUUUCUAAAUCUUCUUAUCAUGAGAGCAAGUUCUUCAUCAUCCAUGUCGUCUUCAGAAUCUGUUACAUCAGAAUCAUCAUUAGAUUUUAAUGCAAUAGAUUUCUUACCUUUAGGAUCUUCGUCUUCAUUAAUUCGUUCUACUUCAUAAGACUGAAGGGUUCCAACCAACUCAUCGACAACAGUGGCAUGAUUCUUUGGGUCUUUCUGAUUGAGGUCUUUAUAUGAUUCCAAUCCUUGGAGAGUCCACGCAAUAGCUUGCUCACUUUCAUGGGAUCAGAAAUUGAUUGACCUUGAUUUUCAAGACCAUUCACGAUUUCUGUAAAACGACUAAACAUGUCAGUUAUAGAUUCUCCUGGUUUUAUUCUGAAGGCUUCGUAUUGACCGAGAAGAAUAUUGAUUCUAGUCUCUUUCACUCGAUCGGUUCCUUCGUAAGUAAUGUGUAAUCUAUCCCAGACUUCUUUGGCUGUAUCACAAGAAGAUAUUUUGUUAUAUUCAGUAGGUGAUAAAGCACAAUAUAAAGAAUAAAUUGCUUUUGCAUCAAGAGCUUGUCUCUUAANNNNNNNNNNNNNNNNNNNNNNNNNNNNNNNNNNNNNNNNNNNNNNNNNNNNNNNNNNNNNNNNNNNNNNNNNNNNNNNNNNNNNNNNNNNNNNNNNNNNAGUGUCCUUUCCCCUUUCUGAGACAGAUGCAGCUUUAGGAAUGAUUCCUUUUUCUACAACGUCCCAUUCCAGAGGAUCCUUUGAUCUUAAGAACGCCUUCACCUUGUUCUUCCAUAUGUUGUAAUCCUUCCCAUCAAAGUAAGGCGGUCUGGUGUUGCUUUGCCCUUCUACCAGCCCUGGAGCCAACAUACUAGCCAUGGAUCUUUUACUCUGAAGUAAAACACUUCAAACAAAGUGAGUACAUGAGCUCUGAUACCAAUUGAGAUAGCUAGUAUAAGAACCUAGAGGAGGGUGAAUAGGUGCACAAAUAAUUUAUCUCAAUACGGAAGUAAUUCUUGGCAAACGAUAGAAAGGAAAUUCACUAUUGAUUAACAAAAUGAAGUACGAUCAAAGUAAAGAGAGUAAGGAAGAGAAAAUUGAACACAGGGUUUAUAGUGGUUCGGCUUAUUCCAAGCCUACGUCCACUCUUCCGCGCUGACAACCCACCGGCUGGAUUUCACUAUGAACAAAAGAGUAGUUACAGCACAGCUUUUCCUUGAUUCCACAGUGUAGAUGUUCUCCUCAAGUUUUCUCACAAAUAUAAACUUUCUUUUGAAUACAAUGUUUCGCUCAAAGAAAUUGUCUAAACAACAAGGAGCUUCAGACUUUGGAAUUCUUCUAUCGCGCACUCUCGAACAACUUAGAACGUCUUCCUUAUAUACUCCUUUAUACCAUCAUACCCGUUGGCACUUACCAAAGGAAUUCCUCCAAUCUACCCGUUGGACGAAAUCAAUUAGGAAGAUUAUUCGAGCUAUUAAAGGAACAUGUCGAUAGCCCAUCAAUCCUGUUCGCCCAUUCAAUCAGGAUCUCGGUUUCCAUAAGUAGAUACUUCCAAGAAUAUUUAGGCAAUUAUCGAAUCUUCAAUUAUCGAAUCAAUCUCAAUCAAUCAAAGGAUUCCGUUAUGUCUUUUCCAGCCAUGAGAUCUUCUCCAGUUGAUAAGGUUAAAUCUUUAACAAAACAUCCAGUUCUGGAUAACCUUUCUUCAACGGAUUAAAGACUGUCAAUGAAGAUAGACUUUGAGUCUUGAGUCUGGCUAUCCGGAGGUCUUCAGACUUUAAAUAGCAGAGUUUGCAAACCUUCAAACUAGACUGAUGGAAACGUUUUGUCAGCUUCAAAACACUUCAAGAAGAUUUCUCCAACAGUUUGAUCAUAUUUAACUUUCAUCUUGCAAAAGUUGCCAGUAAAGGAGAUGAUUAUGUAGGUCCUAAAUAGUAGCAUCAUUUAAAAGUCAGUUUCCACAAUGAACGUAAUGAAUGUAACAUAAGUUUGGGAUUCUUUUUUUGCCAAAGACCUAGGUGUUGAUGAUAAUGUGCUAGACAAGUUAAUAUCGACAAUGCACUUAGAGCACAUCUUUCGCGAUAUUCACAUGUUUAUUGAUCGAGACAGGGUGUCUAGUCUUGUCUUGCUCUGACUCAAGGUCUCUGUUAUCACUUGGCAAAAGAAAAAAUAUUUAUAAAAAGAAAUGACCAUAAUCGCAAACCCGAUCAUAGCAGUUACAUAAGUGGUGUUGGUGAUCACCAUUCAAACCGCUUGCCUGCCUUAUCUUGAUGGGUCUUUCAACCCCGAUUACGACCCUAACAAUAGCAAGCUCAUGCUCAUGCUGCUACAAUUGACCACAGCAACACUAGUUAUGUGUAAAUCUCAAAUGACAUCCCAAACUACCAUGGCCACUAGCCCUAACGCUUGUUACUAGCUAUGUAUAAGUAGCAAUAGCACCGUCAAUGGAAAAAAAAUAAGUGGAAAAGAAAACGAAGGACCAUCUCUUUCCAUCAUCACAUGACAUUAUGUCUCAUAUCUUCUUGUUGAUAGCCUAGUUUGUGAUGUAAAAAUUAUUGUGGCUCACAUGAUAUGAUUUAUUAUAUGGUUUAAUAAUUUUUGAAAUGCUAUAAACAAUAAAUAUUGGUUAUAAGAAGUUGCGACUCUAAUAAAACGAAACGGUAUAAUUAUUUUCCGAAAAGAUGCGACUUUUAUGGAAGUUAAAAGGCGCUUUGAUGGAAGGCACCUAUGGAUAGAACGUAUGAAUUGAGUCCGGUCCUCUCUCCACCUACAAGAACAACAAUAAUUGAAAAGAACUUGGUAUUCUCUCCUCCAUCGAUAGAAUACAUUAAAGAAUAGUAUGUUAAGGGAGAGAAAUCGGAUUUCUUCAUUUGGUUCGAGUUCUUCGGUUUUCCACAACGAAUAUCAUCAAGGGUAACGCUAUGAAUAAAUGUAUGUCUUCAUCUAUUUGUGAAAAUCAUGAAGAUCAAAUAUCACUAUUUUCUUUUGAAUUUCCGCAUAAAAGAAGUAUAUGUAUCAUUUAAUAAUUGGUAUCAGAGCAAUAGUUUAUGAUCUCAUGAUUUUUCCAUUUAUAGAAAUAUUAUGAUUUAUGUAUGAUGUUUCGUUGAAUGAUCCUGUUCGUACUAUUUGUUGUUGUUGAAAUAUUUUCGGAGGGUUCUGUCGAAGAAACCCCAAUGAUGGAAUGUUUUCAAAAAGAAAAAAGAAAGGAAAAUGGAGGAAUUCAGAGUUUUUAGGUCAAGUGAGACUUUAAGAGUGAUACUCUUAUUGGAACUGGAACUUUAUGUGAUGGUCUCUACAAAUUUAGACUUGAUAAUACUUUUGUUGAGACAUUAAUGACAUUGCAUGAUAAUGUUGGCACUAAACAAAGUUUGGUGAAUGAGAAUUCUGCUUAUUUGUGGCAUAAACCUUUGAGUCAUAUAUCCAAGGAAAGAAUGCAAAGAUUAGUGAAUGAUGAAAUUCUUCCAAAUUUGGAUUUUACUAAUCUUGGAGUGUGUAUUGAUUGUAUUAAAAGUAAACAAACAAAGCAUACUAAGAAAGGUGCCACAAGAAGCACAGAGCUUCUUGAAAUUAUACAUACUGACAUAUGUGGUCCAUUCGAUAUUCCAUCUUUUGGUAAGGAAAGAUAUUUCAUCAUCUUUAUUGAUAAUUUUUUUACGUUAUAGUUACAUUUAUCUAUUGCACGAUAAGUCUCAAUCAGUGAAUGCACUUGAAGUGUAUAUUAAAGAAAUUGAGAGGCAAUUAGAUAGAAAGGUGAAAAUAGUAAAAUCGAAUAGAGCCGGCGAAUAUUAUGGAAAGUAUGAUGAAUCGGGACAAUGUCCUGCAAUUCCUUGAAGGACAUGGCAUUUAUGCUCAAUACAUAAUGCUAGAUACACCAUAACAAAAUGGUGUAGCAGAAAUGCGUAAUCAUAUUUUAAUGGAAAUGGUUAGGAGUAUGAUAAGUCAUUCAUCUUGUCAUUCAUCUUUACCCAUGUUUUUGUAGAUGUAUGCUUUAAAGACUUCUAUGUAUCUAUUAAACAGGAUUCCUAAUUAGGCAGUCCCAAAGACUCCCUUUGAACUGUGGAUGGGAAGGAAACCUAAUUUACGACACCUACAUAUUUGGGGUUAUCCAACGGAAGUAAGAAUCUACAAUCCACAUAAAAGGAAAUUAGAUUCAAGAACGAUCAGUAGUUAUUUCAUUGGUUAUGUAGAGAAAUCCAAAAGGUAUAAAUUUUAUUGUUAUAAUCAUAGUACAAGAAUUGUUGAAUAUGGAAAUGCUAGGUUCAUUGAGAAUGGUGACAUCAGUGAGAGUGAAAGAGUACGUGAUGCUUGCAUUCAAGAAAUAAGUGUAGAAGUUCCUAUACGCAAAGCUUCUAAAGUUGUUGUUCCUGAUAUUAUAGUACAACUUAACAAUAAUCGAAAAUAACAAAUUAAUUAACAAACAUUCCAUAAUGGAGAUGUCAAUAUUGAACCUUCAAUAUCUGAGUCACAAGAAAUAACAUUAAAAAGAUCUCAAAGAAAAAUGAAGUCGGUUAUUUCUGAUGGCUAUAUUAUUUAUCUACAAGAGUCAGAAAUUGACAGAGAUUGACUUAGGAAUUGGAAAUGAUCCAAGUUCAUUUUCUCAAGCCAUGGAAUAUGAAAAUUAUAAUGAAUGAUUUAAUGCUAUGGAAGAAUAGUUAAAAUCCAUGCAUCAAAAUCAAGUUUGGGAUCUUGUUGAAUUGCCUAAAUGAUGUAAAAAGGUCAAGUGUAAAUGGGUCUUUAAGACCAAAUGUGACUCAAAAUGCAAUAUUAAACGACAUAAAGCCAGACUUAUUACAAAGGGUUUUACUCAGAAAGAAUGCAUUUACUAUAAAGAUACAUUUUCACUAGUCUUUAAGAAUGACUCACUUAGAAUCAUUAUGACUUUGGUGGCUCAUUAUGAUUUGGAAUUACACCAAAUAGAUGUAAAAAUCGCAUUUCUUAAUAGGAAUUUAGAAGAAGGGGUUUAUAUAGACCAACUCGAAGGCUUUUUAGUUAAAGGAAAGGAACACAUGGUAUGUAAAUUAAAGAAAUUAAUAUAUGAACUUAAACAAGCUUCCUGACAAUAGUAUCUUAAGUUUAACGAUACCAUAACUUCAUUUGGAUUUAAGAAAAACACCAUUAAUCGGUGUAUAUAUAUGAAAAUUAGUGGGGGCAAAUUUAUUUUUUCUAAUUCUAUAUGUUUAUGAUAUUUUGCUUAUUGCUAAUGAUCUUGGUUUGUUACAUGAAACCAAGAAGUUUCUCUCUAAGAAUUUUGAAAUGAAGGAUAUGAGAGAGGCAACAUAUAUGAUAUGAAUAGAAAUAUUUCGUGAAAGAUCACAAGAAUUAUUAGGAUUGUCUCAGAAAGCCUACAUUGAGAAAAUUUUAGAGAGAUUUAAUAUGGAUAAAUGUUCGGUAUGAAUAGUUCCAAUUCUGAAAGGUGACAAAUUUAGCCUUAUGCAAUGUCCAAAAAGUGAACUACAACGAGAAUAAAUGAAAAAUAUUCCUUAUGCAUCUAUUGUGGGGAGCUUAAUGUAUGCACAAACUUGCACCAGACCAGACAUUAGUUUUGCUGUCAGAAUAUUGGGCAAGUAUCAAAGUAAUCCUAGAAUGGAACAUUGGAAAGCUACAAAUAAAGUUCUUAGAUACUUGCAAAGAAUAAAGAAUCAUAUGCUCAUUUAUAAAAGAUCUGAUCACCUCGAGGUGAUUGGAUAUUCAGAUUCAGACUUAGCCGGAUGUGCUGAUACAAAAAAAUCAACGUUUGGUUACUUGUUUCUUCUAGCUAGAGGGGCAAUUUCAUGGAAGAGUGCGAAGCAAUCAGUUAUUACUGCAUCCACUAUGGAAGCUGAAUUUGUGGCAUGCUUUGAGGCCACUAGCCAUGGAUUAUGGCUGCGGAAUUUUAUUUUAGGGCUUAAGAUUGUCGACAGUAUUGCCAAGCCGCUAAAAAUUUAUUGUGAUAACUCUACGGCAGUUUUCUUCUCUAAGAACAACAAGUAUUAUAAGGGUGUUAAACAUAUGGAGAUCAAAUACUUGUCUAUUAAAGAAGAAGUUCAUAAACGAAGAGCAUCAAUUGAGCACAUUAGCACUAAUCUUAUGAUAGCGGAUCCCUUAAUAAAAGGACUGCCGCCCAAAACAUUUAAUAAACAUGUUAAAAAAAAUGGGUAUUUUGGGACGUCAUUAAUAUUUGUAUUAUGAUUGUAUUAAAUUUAUGUAUUUGACACUUUGAGCUCAUUUACGUGUUUCUAAUAUUUCAUGUUUUCUAUUUAGUAUACAUUAUGGAAAAUAGAUGAAUAUUAAACAGGAUAGUUUCUAAAGAGACAUUAUAGUUGGACUAUUACUGUACUUCUUAUUUAUGGAUCAUAUUAAGUAAAAUGCUAUAGUUGUAGUGCAUAGAAGGGACUAUGUCGAUUAAUGACAUACAACCGCUAUUACUCGCAUUAAUUUUCUUUACUUAAUUGUGAUUAUUAUGUGAUUGCCAAUUAAUGAAAAUUUUAUAGCAUAAUGUUAUUAUGCAUAUUACAAUCUUUAUUAAACCAUGAAAGGAAAAUCAUAUGGGCUAAGUAGGAGAAUGUAAAAAUUAUUGUGGCCCACAUGAUAUAAUUUAUUAUAUGGUUUAAUAAUUAUUGAAAUGCUACAAAAAUAAAUAUUGGUUAUGAGAAAUUGCGACUCUAAUAAAACGAAACGGUAUAAUUCUUUUCCGAAAAGAUGCGACUUUUAUGGAAGUUAAAAGGCGCUUUGAUGGAAGGCACCUAUUGAUAGAACGUAUGAAUAGAGCCCACAUGAUAUAAUUUACUAUAUGGUUUAAUAAUUAUUGAAAUGCUACAAAAAAUAAAUAUUGGUUAUGAGAAAUUGCGACUCUAAUAAAACGAAACGGUAUAAUUCUUUUCCGAAAAGAUGCGACUUUUAUGGAAGUUAAAAGGCGCUUUGAUGGAAGGCACCUAUUGAUAGAACGUAUGAAUAGAGUCCAAUCCUCUCUCCACCUACAAAAACAACAAUACUUGAAAAGAACUCGGUAUUCUCUCAUCCAUCGAUAGAAUACAUUAAAAAAUAGUGGGUUAAGAGAGAGAAAUUUGAUUUCUUCAUUUGGUUCGAGUUCUUCGGUUUUCCACAACGAUUAUCAUCAGGGUAACGCUAUGGAUAAAGGUACAUCUUCAUCUAUUUAUGAAAAUCAUGAAGAUCAAAUAUCACUAUUUUCUUUUGAAUUUCCGCAUCAAAGAAGUAUAUGUAUCAUCUAACAGAUUUCUAUAUGAUAAGGUGAUCUUGGAAAAUUAACAUAUCUCUACUCAUGCAAUUGAUAGGAGAAAAUUGAUUUUUACUCAUCAUAGAACUCCUAAAAUAUUUUAAAGCAUGCAAAUAUCACGUGUGAGUUCUCCCAUAACAAUUUUGCAAUCAUCAUUUCAAACAUGCGAAAGGAGAGAUAUAGAGUCCUAUGCAAACACACGCUAACCAAACAUCCUUGAUUUGUUGACAAAAAGGUAAAAAUGAAAUUUACCAUACUUUAUGUAAAGGGCUAUAUCUGUGUGCAUCCCUAAUUGUAGGAAACUUUAUCAAACCAUGUGUUGUGUCGGUGAAUUAUAAAUUAUGGAUCACCUCAAGCAAAUAAAAAUAUGAGUGAUGUUCAUGUUAUCCUGACUUAAUACUCGUAAUUUAUCAUGCUUAGCACAUAAAAAUUGCACAUGACCACAUUUUCUAACCCAUUAGGCCCAACUUGUUGUGGCUCCAUUUACAACUUAACCUCAUAUAAUAACUUAUGAUAGAUCAUAUGUUGAAAAUUAUUAUUCAACUUCUGGCUUGUAUUAUUUUGUUUAAUACAUUUUGUCAUCCUUUUAUAGAUCAAGGUGUCUAGUUACAGUUAAAAAAUUGGAAGAAAAUAAACUUGUUACUUCUCCAUGAACAAGAGAAGAUCAUCAUUGAGCUUUAGGGAAACUCAUCCGGAUCGUAGCAAAUUGUCGAUAACCUCAGUUAUCUCAAUAAGUAGCACCAACUCUAUACUUGUUGUGCUCAUCACAAAACAAGGGAUGCACAUGGUCACAAGCACGUCUCAUUUUUUUUUUUUGAGUAAUUAAUUCUCUUAGCACACGUUUAAAAUAAGGUACAAAGUUAAUGAUAUUUAUUCAAGUGAGAUUUGUAGAGUUAUUUCCCAAUAUCGAUGACAUUUGAGAGAAAAUUAAAGGUGACAAUUGAUUUUAACAAAAGACAUCCAGAAUUUUGAUCAAUAUUUAUUAAAGCAAUAAAAAAAAUAGCGCCGGGAACAACCGAGAUCACUUCACAGUUAUAUAUCUCGCUCCCAAAGUGCACGAAGUCAGGAUUCAACUGAGUGCGAAUUAAUGUGGAGCUAAGUGUGGAGAAAGAUUUAAAAAAAAAAAAAAGAAUUGCAAGGAAAAUGUAAAUUGCAUUGGACGGAUAAAUUUCAUGGAAAAUGAAUUGGUGCAGUAAAAAGUAAAUAUAAACAUAGAUUAUAGAAUUUGCUUGAUUGAAAGAGAGAGCUUUUAAAAUCCCAAAAAUAAUGGUACUUGUAAAUCGAAUACUAAGAAUAACCAUUUCCUCCUAUACGUACAAGAACUGCCCACAUAACUCCAAUCAUUCCAACUCUUUUGCAACUUCCAACUUCAAAGAUGAAUGCUACCACGUGCAACAUGAGCUCUUCCUAGUUAGUUUCCCUAGCUUACCUGUACAUCUUCCCUGUUUGUUGUUUUCACGUUUUCUGUGUUUUCUUCCGGGAGAAGUACACUAUUGGUACCAUAAGUUGUGUACAGCGCUCACUUUGGUGCUAAAAGUUUUCGUUGAAUCACUUAAGUGCCAAACCGGCGAAAAAACAAUCACUUAAGUGCCUCUGGCGAAAAAUUCAGGCCAAAAAAUGGCGUGGCUUUUUUAAUUAAAAAUUUAAUAUGAUUGGGUAUUUUUUUUUUUUUAGAAAAUCAGUCCAUGUGGACUUUCUUGGCUGCUGUCCAACGAAGAAGAAAGAAAAUCAGUCCAUCCUCUUCUUCUUCUUCUUUUUCUUCAAUGUUCACACCUAUCGUUCUUCCUUGCUUUUUUUUUUUCUUCUCAGCGUGAAACACCGAGGAGGAGGACGAGGUCUCUAUCGCUCCCUUCUACUAGAGCUCCUCCACAAAGCUUAGGUCCAUCUACAAAGGAUGGCCCCACAUCAUUGACGAUCCACCCUCUGCCACCAUGCACAUGCGGUGAGUGGCGUCUAAAGUCCCUGGCUUAGACCCGAGCCACAACUCGGAGCCCCAUUCCCCUAACUCGGCCGGGAGGUCGUGGCUCCACGGAGCUGGAGCUUCAAGUCACGAGACACGUUACUUCCAGGACCUCUGCAGUGUGACCUAUCUCCUCAACCCUCUGACCCAAGACAUCUUCUCGCUGUCGAGCGUCGAGCCAUCGCACAAGUGGUGGCGCUGAGCAUAGAAUUGGAAUCGAGUCAACUGCCUGACCUACCGGUAGAAGAUCAUGUGAUAAGGGAAGAGGUCCUCAAUUGGGGCUCGAGGUCAUGGGGAGACAUCGCGAGCAUCCCUCCCAGGCUCCUCAACCCCGUGUUCGCUGCUGGAUCUAUCCAUCUGAAAGCCGCUGGCGGAAGCGGCAUUAUAAUCUUGUCCUUCAAUUACAGAGGAGGAGGUUGAGACAUCCACCUGGCACAAGUCCGGGACGUUCUGGGGCUUGUCGACAAUAAUUAGGGUUUAAAAUUAGGGAUUUCUUUCAAUUUGGCAAAUUAGGGUUCUUAUUUGGGGGGAAAUGCAACUAGACGACGUCGUUUCUUGCUUUAGAUGCUAACUAGACUCUCCGGCGAGCCACAUCAGCAUAAGAAAUUAAUAACAAAAGGCCACGUCGGAUUUCUAGCCAAUCAGAUCGGUGUUAGCACUAAAAUGGUCGUUUUUCAAAUUUGUUGGCAUUUAAGUGAUCCAAAAUAAACUUUUGGCACCAAAGUGAGCGUCGUACACAACUUAUGGCACCAAUAGUGUACUUCUCCUGUUUUCUUCCCUUCUCAUAACUAUACUUGUGAUGAUAACUAAUAUUUCAAAAUUGUUAAAUUUUCAUCACAGGUGUAGCUUCUCUCUCACUUAGUGCUUAUGAUUUUUCUUUAAUUUCCUAAUAAAUUUAUCUUAGUCAACAAAAGAGUUCCCUCUCAUCUUUAGUUCAUUCAAUCAACCUAAAUGCAGCAUUAAUAGAUGAUAUGUCAGCUUUUUUGCAAUUUUAACAAAAGGACUAACUCGAUCAUGAAAAUAAUAAUAAUUAGAGACCACAUUGGGAAAAAAGAGAAUUUAUGGACAAUAUUGAAUAAAUUGAAGAAGUAAAGGCACUUGCAAUUCGAUUAUCCCUAAACUUUUCACAAAAGUUUUAUGAAAAGAUUUUUCUAGAGGCUAUGUUAUACGCUAGUGUAUUGCUCCAAGUUCUUUUUCUACAAUCAUGAGUGGUUUGAGACAUUCUAGUUCAAUAACUCGAAGCCACUAGUUUGCAUCCCGCCAACUACAUACAAACCACUUUAAGUUAAAACCACUUGUAUAGGUGAAAUGCCCGAACUCAAUAAGUUUGUGAUACUUGUAGGUUGUUUCAUGGACCUCCAAAUAACUGGGUCUGCAUGUUCGUAUUCCUUAAAUUAUCAAUAGAAAAAUGAUCUGUCACAACUUUAAAGUCAUCUAUCGUAAUAAAAUAAUAAAAAAUUACCAACACAUCCCAAAUAAUUAAAUCACUUAUUAAAAUCAUUAAGCACAAAUUAAAAAUCUUCAAUAAUGAAUGAUUUCACACUAAUGAUCGAAGUAAAAUGUAAACCUUACGAUCCUCCCUAUUGCUUAGCACUUCCCUCUCCACGGGGAUUUUGAGUCAAAUUCAACAUUGACCUUACCCAAGCUUUUUCUUAGAGAUUUCCACAAAAAUUUCAAACACGGCACAACUUUCUUAUAUUUCUCAAUUAAUCCAUCAUCUUCGAAGCAUAUUACUCACCACUGGCGAAAUUUGCCAGUAAAACAGAUGAUUACGGUACUAUAACAUAAGUAUUGUGAUACAUUUCCUUUUUGGCCAAAGACCCAAGCAUUGACCAAAAGGUCAUUUAGCAAAAGACCAUUUGAGAAGGUUUACAGGCAAACAACCAAUUCGCAACCAUGUGUUCAAAUCAAACUUCUUGAUUGCAAGUUGUUCUGUGCCGAUAAAGUUGUGGUUUCUUGUUGCCUUGUUCUGCUUGUCUUUGUAUGAUAUGCAAAUAAUUCAUUGGUGCAAGCAUCCGACAAAACCGCAAUUCUGAAUUCUGUCCCCAAAAUAUCUUCACUUUGAUUUUCAUGGUGACGUGAUCCAAUUAAUAUCUUUAAAGUUUACAAGGUGAGGCAUUCUCAUGUAAUCUCGUGUUAAUUAGCACAAGGUAGCAUUAUAUGAUAGGAAUUCUCCAAUGAGUCGGUAACUUGUUAACGAGUGUGAAUGAUUUUGUACAAGACAAUUAUCAAUAAAAUUUUAAACUUAUUAUAUCCAUAUUAAGUUAGUCAUAAACCUUUUAAUUUUGUCAAUUUUGCCAAUUUAGUCUUAAACAUUUUCACAUUUUUCUAAUUCAGUCUAUCAAGUCAAUUUUGGCUGUAAAUCAAUGACGUAGACGCCAAUAGUCCAACGUGACACAACCACCAUUGACAUAGACAUUUUAAAAAUAUUUUAAUAGUCUUUUUAAAAAAAAUCUUUUUCUCUUUACUUUGUUUUUCUUUUUCUUUUUUUUUGGACCGAGGGCUGGCAAGGGUCACGCUAAUGAUUGAGGUAAAAUGUAAACCUCACAGUCCUCCCCAUUGCUUAGCACUUUCCUCUCCACAAUGAUUGUGAGUAAACUUCGACAUUGAACUUACCCAAGUUUUUCCCUAGAGAUUUCCACAAAAAUUUCAAACAUGGCACAACUUUAUUAUAUUUAUCAAUUAAUCCAUCAUCUUCAAAGCGUACUACUCAACACCAGCGAAAUUUGCCAGUAAAGCAUAUGAUUAGGGGAAUAUAACAUAAGUAUUGUGAUGGCCAAAGACCCGAGCGCUGAUCAAAAGGUCUUUUAGCAAAAGACCAAUUAUUUGAGAAGGUUUACACGCACAAGAAACAAAUCGCGACCAUGUGUUCAAAUCAAGCUUCUUGAUUGCAAGUUGUUGUGUGUCGAUAAAGUUGUGAUUUCUUGUUUCCUUAUUUCGCUUGUCUUCGUACGAUAUGCAAACAUUCAUUAGUGCAAGCAUUGGACAAAACCGCAAGUCUGAAUUCUGUCCCCAUCAUGAACAGAAAAUAUCUUCACUUUAAUUUCUGUGGCAAAAAAAAAAAAAAAAAAAAAUUCUGUGGCAACGUGAUCAAAUAAAUAUUCUUGUAAGUCUAUGAGGUGGAGCAUUCUCAUAUAAUCUUGUGUUAAUGAGCACGAGGUAGCAUUAUAUGAUAGAAAUUCUCCAACAAGUCGGUAACUUUCUAAUGUGUACGAAUGAUUUUGUAUAGGACAAUUAUCAAAGAAGUCUUAAACUUGUUAUAUCUGUGUCGAUUCAGUCAUAAACUUUUUAAUUUUAUCAAUUUAGUGUUAAACAUUUUCACAUAUUUCCAAUUCAGUCAAUUUUGGUUGGAAAUCAAUGACAUGGGCUCCAAUCGUCUAAUGUGACACGGCCAGCACUAACGUAGACAUUUUAAAAAUAUUUUAAUGAUUUAAAAAAAAAUCAUUUUCAUUACUUUUUUUAGACUAAAGGCGGGCAAGGGUCACUGAUUGACCUUGCCAACUAAUAGUACUGUAAUUUAAGAAUUAUCCUAAGCAAGUCCUUCAAAUACUUGAAUCUUCUUGUUCUUUCUAGUUUCUGCAUUACUAAACCUAUUUAGUCCCCCAUAUGCUAGCUCCAUUUCACUCUAGAUUAAGAAUUUCAGUAACUUUCCUAUUUCGUGGACAUCUGCAAUGUAGCGCCCUUCUACAGAUCUCAAGAUUUGGUUGCAACUCUCUAAUCAAUGAUCGGUCUCCAGAAAAGAUACUUCAAUAGCAGCCUUCUUAUCAUUUUUUUGAUGUGCAUGUUUUCCUAAAUUACAGAUGGAAUAUUUAUUAAAAAUCAUGGAGGUCAACAUUCAGUCUUCAAAAGCUGUCAAACAGUAACUAUAUGGCCAUCCAUGUUGUUAACCAAGUGCUUCUUCUUUGUGUGUUACCUGUGAUUCUUUUGAAAUAUUAAAUUCUAAUGAUGUUUUGUAGUUGCUAGAAAUUGAUUAGAUUAGAAAUUGGUUGGUCCCAUGUAGAAGAAGUUGCACUCAAGCUUUUCCGUCACUAUGUCUUUUAGUAUGAUCUGUUGACACAUAAAUUUUGACUAAAUAUUUAAAAUUAAAAUUGUAUAGAAAAUUAUGAAUCAAUUUGGUUUUAACAAAAAAGAUUUUCACAUCACAUAAGCAUUAAUAUUAUUUGCAUUAACUAAGUUUUAUUUUUGCUUUAUUUUCCCUUAUUUUACUGCAUUUUGGAUAAAUAGAAUUUUUUUAAAAUUUUAUUAUUACUAAGUAAAUGAAAAAAAAAAGUUGGCUUGGGGGGGUGGGCCUAACCCCAGCCCCUUUUCUCUUUUCCGUGCGGGCCCAGGGCCCAUCUCGCUCGGUGACUUCACGGCCCGGCCCUCUUCUUCUUCUCCUUCCUUCCUUCCUUCCUUCCCGAGUGAAGGAGAGAGAAAUCGGGGGAGCUCUUCAGAGAGUAAGUGAGAUCUGAGAGCUGUGAGGUGGAGGUGGCGGAGAGAGAAAUCGGGGGGUGUUCUAGAGAGCGAGGCCAAGAGAAUAGGAGAGAUCCAAGGGCGGAGAGUGAGAUCUGAGAGAGAGAACCGAGAGCGAGGCUGAGAGCGAGUGUUCUCCGGUGACAAAUACACUUGAAACCUGGCCGACGAUCCAUUGACAUCACCCCACUUCCCAAACCAAACCCACGGUAGGUAGGUUGUGUUCCGAUUCUUUUGCUUGUGCCGACUCGGGGUCGGCUUCCCAUGGAUCUCGGCUCGGGGGCGCGCGAGGCGGACGGACGUACCCCGAUCUUCGGGCUCGUCCGCCGUCCGAUGCCGUGGUAGGGACCCUCCGCCGAACCUCCCCUGUUUCGUGCCUUGUUUUGCCGCAUCGCGAAUUUUGCCGUUUGUCCAGCGGGCACGAUUUCCGGCCCCCUUCGUGUGUAUACUGCGGCUCUUGGGUUGUUGCUUGCCGAUUGUUGUCAGCUUCGGCGCGAGUCGGGGCUCCGUUGGUUCGUUUUCCCCCUCUUUAGUUAAUGCGACUUACCUGUUCGACGAAACGCCUAACUGAAGUGUGCGCUCUUGUUCUCAGUCCUUCGUCCAUUUUGGGCGUUCGUGGUUGGUGAAAUGCGUUUUGAUAGAUCCGCGCAGCUGUUCCUUCGCUUCUUACGUUCUUGUUUCGACGUUCCUUUUGCGCAUCGUGUUUCCGCAAGCAACCGACUCUUGACCGGCGAGAUUGAAGGGUGGUGGCGGCCCCGGUCACAGUGAUGGCCGUGCGAUGAUUGAACACGACCGGCAGCGGUACCGGAGCUUUGGUUGAGUUUUGAGUCCCUCUUACCACUUGAAUUUGCUCGCGUUAUUGGUCCGGUCGUUAAGAAGAUGGUCGCGGAGGAGAGGGAAGCGUGAAAGAAGGGAAUAAAAUGAAAAUGAAAAGAAACGGAGGUGGGAAGGAGGGGCGACAACUUUAAUUAAAUAAAAAAGUCUCCUUUUGUCUCUUGGUCACUAGAGUAUAAAAGCGCGGCUCUGUAUGACCACACGCACAAGAUAUAGGACAAGACAAGAGACAGAAAGCUAAGAAGAAUAAAUGAAAAGGGACUAAAAGGGGACUCUUCUCUGGCCAUCCGGAUGCGCGAUUCAGGUCAGGUUUAUAUUAUCUUGUUAUCUUAAUUUUUUAAUAAAAAAUUAUUAAAAAGUUUUUAAAAAUUCGAAAAUUUCUCAAAUUAGGGAAAGGCCUAAAAAUGUUUUUUUGGAAUUUUUUUAAUGCACGAAAAAUUUAUCAAAAAAAAAUCAAACUUCAAACUUUAAAUAAGAUUAAGCAUCGAAAGAGCAUUAGUUGAUAAUUAGUGUGAUCAAAUUCUCAAUCUUAGUUUCUUUGAAGGCGCAAGAGCAAAAUAUUUCUCCCAAUAUUUUAUUUAGAUUUUUAAUUGACCCAACCCAAAUUAAUUAUUGGCGACUCCUAAAUAAAAAUAAAUUGCAAGUUAAAACUCAUAUCAUAAGUCGCGAAUUAGUAGGCUUGGGAUGGCCCAAACUAUGCCCAAACUUAAGCCUUUGCGCCCACAAUAGGGCUUCAGAGGUCGCAACAUCCAUUAGUGGUUUUGCACGCAAAUGCAGAGGAGCUUUGCACUCGAGUUGUCAUCGACUAUAUGCAAACACAAUUUUGGAAAUAUAAUGGAAUUUCUUCAUCUGUCUUUGUCCACAAUAGUACAAAUGUAUACCUAUACUCUGUUAUUUUCCUUUUAGAUAUGUGCAUGUGAGCCCGACUUUGAGUUAGAUUCAGCAGAAUUUGGCGAAGGUCAGGCUUGAUAUCAGGUGGUAGUGAAAUCAUCCAAGUUGGUUCGUCUCAAAUGCUCAUUGAUUUGAUAUUUAAGAGAUUACAUUGAACCCUCCCACUAUGUUCACCAUUGCCAUCAGUAUACUUGUUUGUGGGAUUGUUCUUUUGUGAGGAGAAUAUUGGUGAUUGUGAAAGAAGAAUGUCCUAGAUUGCGUGAUCAUUAUCGUUUCCAACAAACUACCAAUAUUGCCUAGGGGUGAUUGAUUCACAAUCCAGUCCAGUCCAGUCCCACCUAGGAAUCAAUAAACCGAAUCGGGAGGAUCGCUUCCCACUAGUUGGACAAGGGACUAGACGGACUGGACUGGUUGGUCCAAUCUAAUGGAACUUACCACUCAACCAAAAAAAAAAUUAAAAAAAAUUAAAAAUACUAGAGUUGUUACUAUUGUAUGGUUUAUUACUAUUUUCAAGAACAUAAGAAAAUAUUUAUAAAAAAAAAAAAAAAAAGAGUUGGUCCAAUCCAAUUCUCCCUCGAAAUCGGGAACAAGACCAAAAAUCACCGGUUUUGUUUUUAUGAAACCAAGAACCGAACCGACGCUCGGGAACUAGACCAAACUGGUCAGUUCAGUUCGGUCCAGGCGACUCUAGGUUCAAUCAAUCCAAUAUGCUCACCCGUAGUGUUGCCUAGUACAUAGAUUAGUUUCUAUUAACUUGUGCUCUUGUAAAGAUUUGAGGGACAAAAUCAUUCAUGGAACCAUGAGUCAACUCAAAAUGUUUCAAAAAGAAUUCACACAUUAAUCAAUCCGCCAACUAUUACAAAAUAGGACCGGACUAAAUCAAAUCCGAAUCCAACCAUGAAAUGAUGUAUCAUGAUCACUUUAUUCUUGCUGAUUUGCAAAUGUUUGUUGGAUCUUUUAGGUUAAACACUCUUCUCGCUAUGAGGAGAAUUUUGGUGUUUGCGAAAGAAGAAUGUCCUAGAUUGCGUGGUCAUUACUGUUUCCAACAAAUUGCCAGUACAAAUUAUUUUCAAUUAGCUCGUGCUCUUGUAAAGAGGUGAGGGACAAAAUCAUUCACGAAAUCAUCAGUCAACUCAAAAUGUUUCAACAAGAAUUCACAUAUCAAUCGAAUUGCCAACUAUUACAAAAUUGGACCAGACUAAAUCAAAUCUGGAUCCAACCAUGAAAUGAUGUAUCAUUAUAAUAUUAUUCCGAUCGAUUUGCAAAUGUUUGUUGAAUCUUUCAAGUUAAACACUCUUCUCGCUAUGAGGAGAAUUUUGGUAAUUGCACAGGAAGAAUGUCCUAGAUUGUGUGGUCAUUAUCAUUUCCAACAAAUAGUCAGUGUUACAUAGGAUACAGAUUAGAUUCAGUUAGCUUGUGCUCUUAUAAAGAGUUGAGGGACAAAAUCAUUGACGAAAUCAUCAAUCAACCCAAAAUGUCUCAAUAAGAAUUCACGCAUCAAUCAAACUGCCAACUAUUACAAAAUAGGACCAGACUAAAUCAAAUCUAAUAUGACCCUGAAAUGAUGUAUCAUAUUUACUUUAUUAUGGUCAAUUUGUAAAUCUGUGUUGGAUCUUUCAGGUUAAAACACUUUUCCCGCUAUGAAAAAUGCAAGGGCUAGAGAAACUCCAUACGUAUAGAUUUAGUGAUUGAUCCUCUUAUGAUCUUGGGGACUCGACAUAAUGAAAAUUCGUUUAUUACGGUUUGGGUUGGGGGGGGGGGGGGGGGGGGGGGNNNNNNNNNNNNNNNNNNNNNNNNNNNNNNNNNNNNNNNNNNNNNNNNNNNNNNNNNNNNNNNNNNNNNNNNNNNNNNNNNNNNNNNNNNNNNNNNNNNNGAGAAACUUCACGGCAUAUACCAGAAAUAAAAGGAACUUAUUUUUUUCCCCGUCUGUUAGAGCAUCAGAAGGAGAGACAUCUCUCUAGAGACAGAAACCUAUCGGGCCGACAAGCUGUCGGACGUAAAAGCAUCAGGGACACCCCACAAGCAGCAGUGUGCGACCAACUUAUCAGUGAAAGCUUAUGCACGAAGGAACCAAGGGAUAAUUAUGCCAAGGACUCCAAUAUCAAUGAAGCAAAUACCAAUCAUCCAAUCCUCCUCUCAUAAGAACGCAAAAAUUACGUUGAUGAACGACAAUCUCAACCCCUAGAACGCGAAAUCUCACCUUCACAGCAAAAUUAGACUCCUCCAAACUCGAAAGGAACCCGUGCGAGAGAAACGGAUUAUACUUCUCAGGGCCAGUAGCAUCAAUAGCACACGCAUCCCAAUCAUCCGCCGAAACCUCGGAGAUGGAAUUAACAACCGAGGGCAAUAUGUGCUUCGGCCUCGACUCCGCCGCCACGACAUCCUGCGCGACAGAACACGAACCUAUUCAUUCCGUACAUCCCAGAAACAGAACCAUCGCGAACGUGACUAAGAACAAACCUUGACGCCCGGCGCCGUCAGAGCAUAAUAGCCGAGGGAAAGAUCGUCGGUCUCGCGAGGCUCCAAAGACUUCUUCGACCUCCAGAACAGCGCUCGGAUUCUGCCGGCGGCGGUGGCUCGAAGUCGGAGUUGAUGACGAGUUCGUCGGAGGGAGGAAAUCGGACGGAGGCUCAGAAGUUGCCGAGAGACCAACGCGAGCACAAACCUUACGCGUUGGAAACAGUGGGAGGCAAAGGCGGUCGGGAACCAGCUGCGACAGGCGAGGCUCUUGGAGGAGGCGACGUGCCAGAGGUAGAUGACCGGCGAGGCGGAGGCGGAGGCGGAGGCGGAGGGGUGGGAUGCGCUGAGAGGGAAGUGCAGCUCGUUCUCUGUCUGCUCUUCGAUGAAGAGAGAGAGACAAAACCCAAAAAAUUUCAAGUGAGGAGAGAGAAAAUUUAAGCGGGAGCGCAGAGCAUUCAUUACCCUUCUGAUCCGUCCUUUCUUCUGCCAGCCGAGCCGAGCCGAGCCCCUAGCCAUUUAUUUCGGAGAGAGCGAGAAGAGAGAGGAGAGAGAUAGGAGCGCAGAAGAUGGAGGGGCGUCAGAGUGGUGGGCCCCAAGAGCGCUUUUGAACGUCUGGCACCGUCGCCUACGUGGAGCCACGUGUCGACUCCUGAGUGGUCUUACCCACCGCUUACGUGGAGGGUAAAACUCAGCCAAUAUUUUCUGUCUUUCGGAGGAUGGUUCGCAGAAAAACUGAGAAGCAUUCUUCACAAUGUGGAUUCUACUCAAACCUCGCUAUCUGAACGACAUAAUGUUAAAUUUUGCGCGUAAUCUAAAGAAAACAUGGUCGUCUAAUUGGAGUUUUCUUCUUGUAUUCCUCAUCAGACUUGACUUCAGUAAAUCUGAUUUGUUUUCUUUGAACCAAAAUUUUGGUCUGCUUCUUGAGCCGUGACCUUUUGGAACUCAUGCAUUGCAUGCCGCAACAAGUUUAAUCGGGAUUUUUCGUCAGUUUAUAAAGGGCUGCUAAAUUAAGACAAAAGUCUAACUAAGCCUUGGACUUAUACACAAUUACAUUGUUCAUUCCGCAGAAACAGCUCUUAACUAUCUUAAAUUGUGUCACCUUAUGAAAUUUAAAUUUGGCGUUGCUGAUUAAGCUUAGCAAAGAGGGAGCUAGUACAAAUUAAGCAUAUUAACUUUCCAGCAACAAACUUCUUGCAUUGCAUAUGGUGUUCUACAUGAGUAUUAAUCUUGAAAUAUAAUGCCCACAGUUUGUAUGAUGUGCUGUAUUGUAUUGUCUUUGCUGCAGUUAUCCUUUCUUGCUUCAAAAUUAAGUGAUCCAGACGUCAUGUCAAAGGUGAGAAACUUAGCAUUUUCAGGAGACUUGGGUAUAUAUCGGAGAUGAACCACAUGCUUACAAUCAAUGAAGAACCAUCAAACCAAUAGAUAAAUGACAACAAAAUCAUUCAAAUUAAUGCCUAAGAGAAUUCACUGCAGCAUCCAGCUCAUUAAGCUUGCAAGGUUUACAAAUAACCCACUCCAACAAUACCCAAACAUGUCCUAAUAACUAGCAAAUCAAGUACACAUUGUCUUCCGACCACCAAAAAAAAAAAAAAAAAAAUGCACACAUUGCCACCUUAUAAUCUAAAUCACACUCAAAUGAAUCUUAAACUAGUAUACAUCAUGAAUAAAAUGGUGAUGUCAGAAAAAUCCAGAACAAAAUCAGAACAUUUAAGGCCGAAAUUCAUGAUUCUUUCUAACUAAUGGACUUGAAACACAUCGUUCUGCGAGUGUAUAUUAGCUCAAUUGAAAAUUGAAGUCAAAUGAAGAUCAUCAAUGCUUGUAUAGCGGGCACAUGUUCAAUUUCAGCAAAUUAAAGCAUGACAACAUGAUUAUCUUUCUUGAAAAUUAACAUGGAUUCCUCGUCUCAACUCGCACAACUAAGGUAACACAUAGACAAAUCUUGGCAAUUGUUGUUUGAACAACAAAUGGAUAUGGACAACAGGCAUCAACAUGAAUCCAGCAAAUUUAAGUCACGGACAACAUUUAUAACCAUGACUAAAGCAUGUUAUGAACAUACACAGAAUUCAUAGCCAAGAAAUCAACAUAUUUUUUUAACAUGUACAGCAAGAACAACAAUGAAUCCAGUAAAUUUAAGCCAUGUACAGUAAGAAUAGACAUAUUCAGCAAGCCCACAAUGCAGUGGGUGUACAAUUUUGACAAAUAGCACAUCUUGAAUCGAAUGUUGUGCAAGCUAAUGAUGAGAACUGAGAUAAGCCACCAUGUACUGGCACGUACAUCGCAAGCAUGACACAAACAUUACUCCAACGCAUCCAUCACAUGUGAAGUGGAGUCUCAACCAAGCCCAAAACAGAGCAGCAGUUAAUGCGAAAGAAAAGCUACAACUUCAACACAUGAACAAUUUGCAGUUACAGAUGAUUUCUUUAGAUUAAAACCUAGACAAUUAUGCUUUGAACACCUCAAGUGCAAAAAUAAAUCCAAAGGCUCUCAGUUUAUAGGAUGAUUCAGCCACGCUCCCAAAGCAGUAUUUAAUUCACUGAGAAUGAGUAAACAGAAGCACCAAGGGAAGGAGAACUCUAGGCCAUCAAAGGAUGAAGCAUCCAUUCGCCAUAUACAGUUAGUACCUUGAACAACAUACAAAUCACUCCUAUACAAUCUCAAAUUGAUCAAUUGAUUCAUCAUGGUCAUCUCCAAGGCAAAUUGUCGAACAGCUGGUGAGCAUGAAGGGUGUGGUGUUAUAUAAACAGGAAUUCCUAUCAAUUGGCGAGGAAUGUAACAUGAGAAACCCAGCUAAAAAUUGCUAGAGAGGAACCGUCAUCUCGGUCUGUGCGUUUUGUUCUUGUUUCGCUCAGUUCCUCAGCCCUCACGCGCGCACCAAGCUUCAGAGAGUGCAUUGUGGUUGUUGUUGUUGUGAAUUCUCCUACAGGCCGUGAAAUCGUCAGCUUAAAAAGAAUCUCCAAUGCAUUAGACGGGAGAGAAAGAAAGAGCAUGAGAGAGAAGUUCAAUUGGUGGUGGUGAUGAGCGCCAAAUGCUCUGCUCCAUCACGGCCAAGGCUGCGGCAGCUAGCGACGGAGUUCUGAUGGUGGCUGUUAUUGAUCGGAGAUGGAAGACGAUUAUCACCACCACCCAUCUUUGUCAGGCAGCUAUGUCAAAACACACUCGGCGACCAAGGAAAAUUUGUGCAGAAGAGAGAUUCUACCUGAAACUACCCGCGCUAUAAGCGAGCAACAUCCAGAAAUCACUGAACAUCACUUCCUCUUGUGUCCCUGCACAAAGCAAAAUUUGGGAAAACCCAUCAAUCAAUAUCAGAAUCGACAUUCGCGGACUGACCAACCAGGUUUUGGGCAUGGCUAGCGAAUCUUAAACACGCCUCGGUCUCGUUCGAACUCUUCUCCUCGUUACUCCGGCAGGUCUGGAAAGCCCGGAACAACUUUGUGUUCAGAGCUCAAAAUCCAAAGCCCCCUGUUCAUCAUGGACUCAGCCCUUGGCGAUGAAUCGAAACAAUUACCAGGUGGGUGACGGUAACUUCGUCGAGGACUCCAAAAAAGAAGCGAUUUACCCCUGGUUUGGACAGUGCCAGCUCCUGGCGUGCUCAAACAUCAAGGUCGAUGGGUCGGUUGUUCCAGAAACAGGGGAAGGCGCCAUAGCUUUUGUGUGCCGCGACUGCCACGCAACGGUGACCCGACGGUUGUGCCCACUCGGUGGUGACCGUCUCCUCGGCGAUUCAAAGUUGAAGCAAUGGCAAUUCCUGCCCGAAACACUUCGUAAGCCCCGGCGAAGUGAAGCUAGGUGAACUGAAGUGGGAACUCGAGACUGAUCAAUCUGAUCUGGUAGCUGCAAAUUUUUCUUACUUCUGCCAACAUUCCCAGAUGAUCUUUCCAACCAAGGGAUCGACUUUCUUUGGGGAUCUUGAGGCGGCGAUUUUGAAAACCUGCGUCACCUUUAACUUGCAUCGGGUUCAUCCCAGUCCAAAGUACUCUCAAAGUGGCAAGCUCCCAGAGAAUGACUCCAAACUAAAAAUGUCACAUCUGCACAAUCCACGAAACAUCGAAUAAAGUUUUGUAGCUCCUACAGCUUAAGCUUAUCAAAAGGAAGUGCUGUGGUUAACCAUAUCAUCUCAAGCAACGCGUAUAUAGAGCUAAUAACAUCAGUUAUACAGCUCUUAUAAAGCUCUUUUUCCCUGACAGUCACAUCCAAGCAGAGUCUGAUCAAAUAAAGUUCCAUCUUCUCAAUUUUGUAUGUCCUAUUCUCCAGACAUCAAAAGAUACACAUUCAAUCGAAAAGAAACUUUGCUUAAGGUGCAACUUUUUUCUCUUUUCUAUAUAUAAUAUCGUGUAAGGUAUCAGUGAUAGGGUCAAUCAGAAGGACAUUAUCCAAGUCCAUCCAAAUCCCAAUAUCGACAAAAAAAGUAGGCCAGGAAGAAUGCUUUCCAGCUUCAGCAAUGAAAAACAGAAGGCCUAAUAGUAUAAUUACAACAUAUUAUCACAGCAACGCUCAUAAGUGAAAUCAUUUAGGCUUGACUAUCGCAAAAUCUAAGCAAGACAAGCUUAAGAAACUUAGUUUGGACAAAAUAAUUGAAGCUACCUCAGAUAUGCACAAUUCACUUCUCAUUCGACAGUUCAUUACGGAGAACUUCUGGUGCCAUCCACUCAGCCUUACACGACCAAAAACUUCACAUUAGGAACAGCAAAAUCUCAAGAAACAUCAAGAAUGGUUUCUUUCAAAUCCAAGUAUAAAAUAAAAAUGGAAAACGAGACUCUCUGACUCUUAAGGCAUUGUUUAUUAUUGCUAUGGCAAACUGUUUUCUAAUUUCACAAAUUGAAUCACUAUGUACAUGCUUGUCUGACUGUUUAAGAUUGCAUUAGAGAAGAAGUCUAAUUCUGAAAUGACCAAAAAUAAUGUUUCUAGUUGUUUUCUCUUUGUUUCCUCUUUUGUUGCUAAUUGUCCAUUUAACUCCACUGAAAGCUAUUAGUAGAAACCAUCCAAAUGUUUUUACCUAUUUCAAUAUAGUUGGAUAUCGUUCUCUCUCCAUCCUUGAAAACUCUUCAAGAACGAUUUCAAGAAAGCUUCCAAAUUUACUGUUCUUGCAGUUGACUUGGAUGACAAGAAAGUAUUAUGCUUCAAGCGUGACAACCCAAAGUCACAAACCUGCACAACGAUAAAUUUUAGUGAGGACGCAAACAACAUUUUACUGCAAACUUUGAUUGUCAUUCACAUCGAAAUCACAGAUCACAUUUCUGAUGGAAAUUGCAUCGCAUCAGCAAGUUUGGAUCAAGAAUCAUCCACAUCAAGGUUCUGUACAAAUGUAAGUUCAUCUAUGGCAGUGAAAAGAGAGAAUGAGAAGUCAGAGUCUACAAGAAAUAAAGUUAACAUGCUAUCCCAGAAUAAGCUAAUACCAGUCAAUAUCGAGCUUAUUUGAGGUGCUCACACUGUCAGGCAAAAAAGAGUAUCCAAGAAAAAGAGAAAAAGGCCAAGCAAGAUGUUAGUAGCACCUAGGAGAUGGAUAAAUGACAUGUACGCAAGAGAAUAGCUUGAUUUGCUAUUUAAAGAAGUGAAAGAAAGAAAACAAAAGUGUCAGGCAACAUCAAUAAGUUUUAUGCACUUUGACAAUCCAGUUUUUGUCAACAAGAGGAUUUGGUGAUUUCAAAUCUCGAUGAAAUAUUGUCGGGAGGCUUGUGUGCAAGCAAUUCAUUCCCCUUGCCUGUAAAAUUUCCAUAAGCACUUAAAUCGAUUUCAGAAAAGGAAAUCUCUAUAUCUCCAGCACCAAAGAGAAGGGAGACCGAUUAUUUCAUACCACAUCAAGGGCCAUUUUUAUCCUGCGUUUCUCAUCAAUAUGACAGGACGAUGUAUGAUACUAUACAAGCUUCCCCUGGAGAAGUAAACAAAAUUAAAAAUCAGACAGCAAAAUGAGAUUGUCGCACACCAUCAAAAUAUCAACACCUUUAACAGUAGAUAAAUGAGCUGCAUGCCCCUAACAAUUGAUGUCAUUCCCAUACUACCAAGGUUUUUUAAGGUACAGAAAAUUGUACCUUGGAAGAAACUCCAUAAUGAUAGACAGAUGUGGAGGAUGAGCCGCAUCACCCAUGAAAAGAACAAAUUUGGAUGACACAGUCUACGGAUCAUCUGCACCUUGGAACAGAAGAACAAGACAUAUGGUCAGUUAUCUUCCUAAAUAUAUUGGAAAGCAUUUGUUGACUCAUUGCUCUGAUUAGUCCUCAUAUCUUUCCUUGCUAAAUAAGCAAAUCAAGCAAACAUAUUAAUCGUUGAACACAAUUAUUUCCAUAGACGCGGACAGAUCAUGGAACCCGUGAAAAGUAUGACAUUCUGAUGACACUGUCUACGUAUCAUCAGUAACCUUGGCACAGAAGCAAAAAGCAUGGUGCAUAGUCAUUUAUCUUACAGUUGCUGGAUAAACGGGGAAAGCAUUUCUUUGUCCUCAGUUUUAUUCUUGCUCAAAAUGCAAAUCAAUUACUGAACACACUAAUUCAUCAGCUUCCAAAAUACAUAUAGAUACACAUAAACUAAACUGAACUUGUGAUCCGUAAAUAUUUCUCUUUUGUUUUCAACUAUCAGACUUUAUGUGUCAUUCGGAUCUUAUGUAAAGAACAUUAAUUUAAUGUGUCGGCGUUAUAUAAAUCACCAAAAAAAGCAGACUAAAUCAACAAUUCUAUGCCAACAUCAACAAAGCAACAGGAAAGCAUAUUGCCUCUUUCCUCCUGUAAUAUUUCUGUCAAUGCAGAAUGCAUGGCGUGGUAAGGUAGUCUUAUUGUGAAACUCAUCUCUAUUAAGCGCCCGUGCUAAUUCUUUCCUUUACAAUGUUCAUCCAAGUUUUAUUCUUUACAGGUUUUGAGUUCUCAAUAAAUCUGGAAGAUUUUGUUCCCCAAAAAAUAAAAAAUAAAAGAACUGGAAGAUAAAAAGCACAAAUGAAAGACCUAUGGAUAGCUUACUUCUCAUCUGAACUUAUCCAAAGCAGCACUUGAGAGAUCCUGAUCCAAAAAUUUCCUCAUAGCCACCUCCUGCUAAACAAGCAAGUCAAGCCAGAUGUUAGACUCAGACAUGCAUUGCAAUUUAUCUUAGGUCUUAUACAUCAUAGAUUUUUAAUAUUAAAACACAUCACCACCAAGUAUUUUGCAAAAGGUAAUGUCUAAAUUGCAAAGUACCGAUAAUAAGUGCAUAAAAUUCUUCGAAGAAUGUUAAAAACUGAAAAAAUCGUCUGCUGCUUCUCUUUCCAUUUCUUGAUAUUUAAGAGUAUAUAAAACCAUAAGAACGACAAACCUAAACAACCCAGUGUUUAAAGUGCUUUUACCAAAUGGAUGGGGUUUGAUUGAGUCGCAGACUAACAAUUUACAAAAAGACUUUGCAACAGCCUAUUCAUUGUGACUAUUUGUACAAAAAUCUUCAGUCUUCACAAUAAGGAUUCAAUUACAUCCAGAGAACUUGCAACUCUUCACCGAAGAGCCAAACAUAGAAGCAGAAUCUUGCCAGCACCUAAUAACAGAAUAGCAAGGGGGCCAAAAAUAAAACUUCCUUUUGCUUAUCCAAAGUAUAAAAGAGAGAGUAGCAAGACAAGGCCAUGAAUGAGCAACGAGGAUUUAGUUAUUAUGGUUGGCACCAGUCCAACAAGUCAUGUGCGUAUGUCAAGUUACCGAUUCUGGAGCUUUUUUUAACCAACCCAGGUUGAAAUAUUAGAUUUUGAUACUAUAUCUGAUGUCACUAUUACACACUAGCUGCUUAGUCCAAAAAUCUAAAACAUUAGCACAAAGCAGGACACCGAAUUAGUACUAACCGUCAUCUCUUUUGACUAAAAGACUACUUGUCAUUUUCAAGGAGGAUCUCUUGCUUAAAAGCAAUCAUAUAAAAGGAGUCAACGGAUAAAUCUCAUUCCAUACAUUCAAACAAAUGGAAGUCACAACCAAAAAUAAAGGAACUCUUCAAGUAACUAACGCAAUGCCAGUUCUUGAUUUGCAAGAAUUUAGAAAUAUUUGAAACUGACCUUGCCAUUCCAGUAAGCAUGAUAGACCUCUCCAUAAGAGCCUGUUUGGAAGACGAUGAAAUGGGGUAAAAUUUCUGACACAUUAAACAGUAAAUGCAAUUUAAUGAGGAAAUGUUGCAGUAGAUCCUAUAAUAACUACUGCAAUUAUGCUUACAUUCAGAUUGCCAUAGGAACUUUAUAUUAGAAGGCAUGCCCUUCUUGUUACAAGGCUAGCUAGCCAUGAGCAUAUUAGGCGGUAAAAUGGUGGUAAAGCAUAUCUCAUAGUACUAGACAAAUUUCACCAAAAAUGCAGCAACAGGAUCAACAUAUAUGAAUUCAUGAGUCUUGUUCUCUGAGCUAAUAUGUGGACCUGCAUAAGAACAUGAAUAGAAUCUAUCCAACCAGGGACUUAAUCAAAGCAAUACCAAGUUCAAUCCUUUCACCAAUGAUCAAAUGUUCCCAUUGAAUCUCAUCACCAACAUCACGUCAUCAACUUUAUUGGUAUUACUAUCAAUUGAUGCACUAGGCCCUUAUGAAUUCUUCAACAUGAAGUUUGUGUCCAUGAAUUUGUCAUUAGUGCACUUUUCCGGAUCAGGAAAAGAAAUUUCAUGACCAUCACACCUGCUCAGAAAGUCUGCUAUGCCAUGAGUCCUAAGAGGGUCUUCCCUGAAGUGGGCAUUCAAGCGCUCUUCACAAGGCAUCGUAUCAUAUUGGCCUGUGCUACAUCUCAACAUCGGACUAUUUCUAUUGAAAGGAUUCCAGUGACUACUCUCUUUGAUCAACUUAUUUGAUUUGUUUGACGACUUGACGCUACUGCUCUCUUGAGCUGAAUGAUUAAAAUAAUUACGUAACUUAAAGCUGUCCAGAGAGCUGCCAAUGGAUGAUGACACAUCAUAAGCAAUAGGUUCCCAAUUGCUUCUUGGAAAUAGACCUUCCUUAAAAACCAUGUUCUUUCUUUCUUGCUACUUCGUUGAGAGAAAGUCGAUUUGUCAGCAUCGAUGGGACAGGAGGCUGACCAGGAAUGGAGUUAUUUUUCUAUCCGGCAUCUCAUUGAUUUUGUUUUCUGGGCUGUUUCCUAGGGCUUUUGGAAAGCCUGCCACUAAGAAAGGAUAGGGAUUUACAAAAUGAUUUGUGGGGUGCUUUGAACACAGCAUAAUAACAGCAUUGAUCCUCCUCGAUGAUGAUGGUGGUGGUUGUCCCGGUCCUCGGCAUACCCUGCUUCGCACUUCCUUUUUAUUUAGCUUUCAGUGACAAACCGACAACCGAGUGAUCUAAUCAUUCUUCUGGGAGGCGGGGAUGGGGGACGGACGGUUCGAUCACUUCGAUGCGUCGAUCUCCUCGGACCACAGAACCGUCCACCGGCUCUUCCGGUACCCUCUCGGGGGCGUCUCUGUCCAAAAAAUCGCCGGUUCUCUCAAAACACCGUGGCCAAUCCAAACGCUGCCGCCGGCCGGUCGACAGUUACACCGCACAUUCUCUUUUUUUUUUUUUUUUUUCUCAUUUUCUCACGAAAGUAAACAACGAGAAACUCUCAUUUUCUCAUCUCUCUCUCUCUUUCGCCCCGUGCCUCUCUGCGCACAGACAGAAGUGAGAGAACAGAGGAGGAGAAGUCGGGACCUCAUCGGCGUCAAGCCGCGCGCCGGGCCCUUAGACUUUCGAAUUUGCUGUGUUCUGAAGCAAAUUUUAUAUAUUAUCAGACUACUUCUUAAUGAGAAUUUCAUCAAUUUCAUCUAGGAUUGCAUCUCCAUCGAAAAUUUCACUUAGGAUUGCAGUUAAGGGAAUUGAAGCAGAUUGCAUUACAUUUGAAUAGCAUCAAUUAGAUUCUUAUUUCCAUAUAUCAUAGUUCAUUUUACAGAAAUAAUUCAUUUAGUAUUCAUAUAGUACCUCACGUUUUUAUAUUUGUUCUUUUUUUUUUAAGCGGUGGUUAAUUUUGAAGAUUUUAUAUUGAGUUUCCAUUUAUAGCUCACAAGAGUCUUGUGAUGAGCAUUAUAACAAGGUUUCAUAAAAAUUUUCCCAUACGGCUUGGUUCUUUAUUUUUCCUGCACCUUUUAUUUAUUGUUAUGGUUAAUAUUUAUUAUUGAUUGCUUGUUUAUUUUUUACUGCUCGAGCACUAUGCAUUAUCAUCUUCCCAUAUUAGAGGAUUUGGGAAAACAAAAAAUGAAAAUACUACUUGCAAAUUUUUUUAUGGAAGGUAUCGAAAGGGUAUUAAAUCAAUGUAGCGUACUCAAGUCCCAAGACACAUGAAUCUUUGGUUCCUAGGCUCUCGCAUCUUACCCAAGUUUCUAACUAGCUCCCAAUAGGUUAGUAAUGAUUCUUCAGCAUGAUCUUGAAUGAAUGAUUAAUUAGAAAAAUUAAAGUUACGAUUAGUACAACUUGUAAGGGCACAUCCUAGGCAUAGGCCCCAUCUAUUAAGAGGAACCAAUCUUCGUUUAAUAAUCCAUCAAAUUUCCUCGGACAUAACUAAUAUCACUUUCGGGAAGGUCACAAUAAUUUGCACAUAAAGUACAACUUAAUUCUAUACUAGUCAAAUGUCCGCGUGUUAUGCGAGAAAGAACUCCAAAAUUCAAUACAAUCAAUGUAAAGCGAGAUGUGCAGUAUAAUGUUAUUAAUACAAAUUUCAUAAAUAAAUAAAAAAGUUGGAAGCAAAUGAACAGAAACGAUGAGAUGAUACAUAUCACCUGAGAACGUCGAGGAUUGCUGCCAAUUACUGCCAUUAAAUAGCGCCCCAUGGUCCUCUCUUGUUGCUACGACCGUGCAUUGGCUACAACAUUAAAAUUUAUUGAUGAGAUCUAUUCUGGCACGAAAAAGCUUCUGUCAACACUUCUUUGAAAAUGUGAGAUCAAAAUAUAAUACAAGAACCUUAAAUCCAUUUUGCAAAAUGAAGAUAAUCACCUGAGCUACAUGCCCUCGCGUCUCUAAAGCAACAAUUUAGGCAAAUUUUUAAGGUCCAUAACACUUAGGUCAUCAUCAUUAUUUAGGAUGGUCCCAAUGGUGUAGUAGAGAUACAAUUCAAAUGAAGGUGCGACAAGAAACAAACCUCAAAAGGAGAUGAGAGGAAGCGAGCAUGCUGUCGAUCAAACCGAUGCACUCUUCUACCACCUCUUGAGGAAUUGUGUAACCAUAUUUUUUAACAUUGAUAAAAUUUCAAGGAGGAGAUUUGCUAAUAGGCUCCUGAUAUAACAAAAAGAUUUUGUAGGAUUUUUUAUUGUGAUUUUCUUGUGCCUUUUUUUUACGAGUACAACCCACUAAAAAAGUUAUCUAGUACACACUACUGAUGUUUGAAGUCUAUUUUAAUCCACACUUUUUCCCCCUCUUGAUUUAGAUCUUGCCAAAAAUUAAUUAUCAUUCUAAUAGGGCUAUGGACUAUUCUAAAUAUGGACUUAUCGACUAUCCACGCCUUUUGCUUAUGCAUGGAUGGCCAUGGACUCAGAUUGGUUUGCACGCUUUUAGUUGUAUUCGAAUAGGUGACCUACAAUUCUAAUUUGGAAAUACCCUUAUAUCAUGACCAACGGCGCCAACUUUAAUGGUUCUAUUAAAAAUAGAAGAUGCAGAUAAGAGAGAAAAAGGUUAAUGAAUUGAGCAUUAACAUCUUUUUUUUUUUGUCAUUUUCAAGGAUCUAUUUCGCAAUAGACUAGGGUGAAAAUCAAUGCUAAAAUGAAUGAAUAUAAGUGACAACCGCAAGUAAUCCUCCUUUGUCCCUCAUCAAAUAUGAAGUUUAGAAUUUACAAGUUGUGACUAUCGGGCUCGGCCCAAAAGCUAAUAAGCCCAUGAGCUAUGUAAUUCUGAGCCCAAAUUAAGAUUUUUUUUUUUUUUUAUGGUUGGUCCUUGUUGACACUUAAUUUUGGAAAAAUAAAAUUGCAUUUUGAACAAAUAAAAAGAAAAAAAAUGAAAAUGGGGGAAAUUGAUUUGAUUGAAGUAUGCAAGGAAAUGUGGAAUUCUGAUGGAUGCCCGGAUUUUGUUAAAUGCAGCAACAAUUUUAAAAUCAGAUGUACAAAUGGCAAUGAUUUUGACAAAAUGGAAGGAAUCAAUGUAAAAUCGAGCUGAUUAUGAAAUCAUGCUCCGAUUUGCAUUCAUAAUUUAAUGCAACAGAAAAUGAAAAUUUAAAAUUUUCCACAGAAAGCGGCUGAUCAAAACCACUAUAAAAGGGGUUGACCUACACAGUAUUCGGGGGGGCGGAAAAAAAUUGAGAGAGAAUCCACUAAAAAAAUUUUCGUGAAAAAGCUGAGAGGAUUCGCGAAAGUAAAAAAAAGGGAGAGAGGAAAUCCCAUUUUCUCGUCCAAGGUCAUUUCCUUCUUUUUUUUCCUUCUGACAACUUGCAGAAGAAAAGAAAAGGAAAAGUCAGCAAAAGAAAGAAAAAAGGUGCAGAGAAGCGACGUGUGGCCAGAAAGAAAAAGAAAAAAAGAGUAGCAGGAGCUACUGUUCGUCUUCUUCGCGUGGAAGCCCCUGCUCACGCUCGCGUCGCACCUCCUCCGUCCGUGAAACACUGCACCAGCACCAUCCGCGACGCCACCGAAGCCCGCUCGCUGCCGCGCCACCGCAACACCCGCCGUCCCUGCCUCAACCCGACGCCCGAAGCUCGCGCCGCCUCGACGCCCGAAGCUCGCGUCGCCCCGUAGCCGCACCCCCCCCCCCCCCCCCGCUCCGCCCGCGACGCCACCCGUCGAUCUCCGAGCUCCGCCGCGCCUCCGCACCGCCACCUUGCUGGUUCGCUCGCCUCUGACGCCGCGACCCUCCGCUGCCCCGAGCUCGAGCCCGCCGCCGUCCACCGUCGGUUUACCUCCUCCUUUAGGUAGUUUUUGUUCUUUUAUUUUGUUUUACUUUUAUAGUUUAGUUUAGUUUAUUUUAUUUGUUAUGUUAUUUUUGCUCAUUUCAUUUGAUAGCAUCUUUAAGUUUAGUUAUCUAAAUUGCAAUAUUUGAUUUUAAUAUUUGUGAAUUUAGUAUGAAUUAUUCGCAGGGAUUUUGUCCGGAAUUAUUAUAAUUAUUAAUUUGAUCCGAGAGACAUGGGAUCAUUUUUUUAAUUAUUUUAAUUGCUGGGCUUUUUAGUGAGAUUUUAAUUGUUAAAUCACAAUAAUUAUUUAAUUUGGUCCGUAAGACUUCGGAUCAGAUUUGUAAUUAUUUUGAUAUAUUUGUUGUGAUAAUUAGGGUUAUGAUAAUCGUUAAUUUGACCUGUGAGACAACAGGUUAUUUUUCGAUUAUUUUAAUCCUUUAUUUUGUUGAUAGUUUAGAUUUAAUAUUUAUUAAAUAAUUACUUAUCUUUAAAAAAAACUAAAAAAAAUCAAAAAAUCAAAAUUAUGCAUGAGCAUAUAGGUUUAGUAAAUCAGACAUGUAGGUUUAGUAAAUUAGACUUUCUUAGGAUUACAUUUUUAGGGUUGCAUUUUUAGAAUAAGUUAGGAUUGGACCUAAGUUAAUUUUUAGAUAAUGCUCGCACAUUUUAAUUAUCUCAUUUUAAAAAAAAUAGUUUUCUAAGAUAAGAUAGGGUUUAAGUCAAAUUAAUCCCUAGAAUAAAUUAGAAAAUUAUCCCUUCUUAAAUAGAUUACUUAGGAUCUUUAUAAAUUCUGAAUUUCAAUAAAAAAAAAUACAAAAAUACUAGGUGCAUGUUAACUAGUUCGCAUAAUAGAGGCAUUUAAUUAGAAUUUGCUCAUUAGUAAAAUUAGGUCAUGAGGUGCAUGUUAAUUAAUUUGCAUAAUAGACCCAUUUAAUUAGAAUUUGCAUAUUAAUAGGAUUAAGUCAUUUAGUUUUAAAAUGCAUUUUUAUAAAAGAACUCCAAUUUAAAAAAAAUAAUAAAAAAAAUGAUUGCUUGCUUUGUGUGAUGCAAUUUAUUUAUUUGAAUGUUUUAAAUAAUGGAUGAGCACCCGUGUGGUCACCACAUUUGCAUGAUAGUAAUUUAGGUUAAAAUAAAUCAGCUGCUUGCAAAAACAUUUUAAAAAAAAAUUAAAAAGAAAUGGUACCGAAAGGGCAUUAGAAAAUUCUAAUGUAACCAAGUCCCCGUACCCUUAGUCUCUGGUUCGUAGGAGUAAAAUAAAUCUCCCUUUAUUUUACUUAGGUGUCUAAUCGACCUACCAUAAACCGAUUAGUGGCGACUCAUAGUUAAUAAUCUUGCAUAUUUAAAAAUUUGGACUUAAGUCGUGAAUUGAUAUGGGCUUGGAAGAGUCCGAGCUAAGUUUAAAACUUAGUAGUCCAUUAACCUAGUUUUAGGUGGUGCACCCGAAAAAUAGGUCGCGACAGCUUGGCGACUCCGCUGGGGACUUGAGUUAAAACACUGGCCAAUUUUUCUUUUUCUUUUAAAAUGUUUUUGUUUGGCAGCGAGGAUUACGUCCCUAACAUUUCUAAGGUGUUAAAUGUUUUUGUAGAUGGGAGGUAUAAGGGGAGUAGUCUAUGCUAACCUUUGUCUUGCAGGUUGAAGUAUGGGAUUAAUGAUUUAUUUUUCCAUAAUUAGAAGUGUUGUUUGCAUUUAAAUUGUUGUGCAUGUUUUACUGUUUUUUGCACUACACUAUUGCACACACAACCUGUGGCCGGACCUGGGCUGCGAUAGGAUUUCUAGGAUGGUGUUGAGAAGGAUAUUUCCUCCAAAGCGAGACUGCUAUGUAGAGGUUGACCUUCUCUUCCCCGAAAGUCUUUUCAUGGUGUCGAAUGUGUUUGUCCAUAUCCGCGAGACUGCGUGACUAUUGGAUAUUCCAUUCGAUUGAGCCGGAGUUAGGGGGACCUGACACAUUAAUGCGAGACUGCAACGGUCAGAUCAUCCUCUUAGCUUCACUUUGUUAAGCCGUUUAGAUAGAAAUCGAGCCUCACAUUUCAUGCGUGUGUCUAUGUGCUUGUCAUCCCUUUCGGUGAAAGUAAGUUAUCUAAAUUCUUACUUCGCAAUUUACUUAUUUUAUUGCAAUUUUGUUGGUCCAUGACAAUAGGUUUCGUCGCCGGUCUUGUUUUAUAUGCUAUGGGGAGGACCGACAUACAAUUCAUUUCCACUCCCAAAAAAGAGCUCAAGAUGUGGCUGGAUCAGUUAGAUCAAGAGGGCCAGAGGUAUGUGAAGACUAGGAUUGCCCGACUUCUUCCACUAUUGGAGAUCAACAUCCACUCUAGUGUGAUACAAGCACUCCCUCACUUCUGGUGUCCACAAACUUCCACAUUCAUAUUUGGUGAGUACGAAUUGACUCCAACUCUUGAAGAAUAUAGUGUUGCCUUUAGAAUGCCCCUGGAAAAGGAGCUUGUUAGACCGCCUAUUGGUAUAGAUUCAAUUUCUGAAUUAUCACAGUUUUUAGAAAUCGAAGCCGAAAGAGUAAGGAAAGUUGUCAAGGCCAAUUGUUUUGCAUGCCCCUUUUCAUUUUUGAAAGGCUGUUUUGAAAGUCAAUCAAUGGUGUCAAAAGCUAGGAUCUUCAUGUUAGCAUUUUUCGGGCUAAUUGUUUUUCCUUAUCGAAAAAAUGCCAUUAAUCCUUCAAUUUCAUGGGUGGUUAAUCGUGUUUGUGACGGGUUAAAUUAUGUCAAUAUGGUUUUAGCUGAAACAUUUUUGUCAUUAAACCGUUUCAAACAAAAUGAAGAAAAGACCAUGCGUGCCCUCCCUGAACUUUUGCAAAUAUGGUUUUUCUCCCACAUAAGAGGAUUUGGGCACCUCAUAAAACAAUUUAAAAUUGACGAUUUUAGGCACCCCAUACAAAAAUUUGCGGUCUUAGAGCGUUUUUCUCCAAAUAAACAGUACGCUCGUUGGAUUAAUCUUUUGAAAAAUCCUAAUCCUAAGGCAUUCCUAUGGCAUACUAAAUGGUUCCGAGUUGAGGAGGCUCGUUUCUCACACAAGCAUGAUGAGCCAAUCCUGUUGCUGGGUCUUUCUGGUGUGACUUCUUAUUACCCAUAUAGGGUGGCCCGUCAGUACCAAGCUCUUCAGGAAGUUCCUCCGCCACUCAAGACAGAGUUGUUCCAAGUUUGUUUUAUUCGAGCAAACUAUGACUACUUCAAGGAGAUCCAGAUGAUCAUUGCUGCAUGGAAUGAAUGCCACCCAGAGAAGAUUUUGGUGCCCAAGAGACUAAAAGGCGAAGAGGAAGUCCACCAUGCGUCGGCAUUCUACAUUCAACAACACCGGAUUCCUGCGGCCUUACGUCCAGUGGUCCCUGAUGUGACUAAGAAGCCAACCCAACGAGCACAAAUCGAGCAUCUUAAGCGGAAAGUGGAAAUGAUUGAAGCGGAAAAUAAGAAGCUUCGCAGGGCGUUGAAAUCCCGAAAGCAUAUAAAAUGAGACGUCUUGAAUUUUCAUUCUUAGUUUAGGGACUUUGAUUUCUAGCUCAAUGUUUUCAAUUUUUAGAUUCGAUGUUUAGGGAUUUUGGAUUUCAAUUCUUAGUUCGUUGUUAGGAAACUUGGUUAAAAUUUCAAAUAAAAUCAGGCGAUUAAACCAUUGUCAUGGGCCAUUUUCCCUAUCUUGUCAUUGGUUCUUACAUUAUCUUUUUAGGUGGCAACGAAUUCUCCACGCUCACCCAUUAUCACGCGUUUAAGAGCAAGAAUGGCCGACCAAAGCGAAAUGCGUGAUCGUAUGUCUGCUGUGGAGACUCAACUCCAACAAGUACUCGCCUCUAUACAGCUUGUAACGGAUCAACUCCAAUUCCUCCAAGCAAAUCCAGUAGCUGCACCCGCUCUUCCUGAGAUGGUCACCCCGAAGCCGGCAAACAAGGCCCAAACGAGUGAGGAUGACAUGCCCGGGCUGGAAGAUGAUCCAUUCCCGAUUAACGUGGAAAAGGCUACUCUUGUCAACAUCCCUAAGACAAGGCAGGAUGAACGCAUUGCAAAGCUGGAAGAGAAAGUGAGACAGUUGCAAGAGUCUCAAAGCUCACUCCCAUUUGACCUCUCGAUCUAUGAGAAAGUUAAAAUGCCGAGCAAGUUCAAAAUGCCGGAGUUUGAGAAGUAUGAUGGGACAUCUUGUCCAAAGUCUCAUUUGCAGAUGUACCACGUCCGCAUGGCCCAGCACGUCAAAAAUGAGCCCUUUAUGAUCCAAUCAUUUCAUGCGAGUUUGACUGGGCUCGCACUAAACUGGUAUGUGAUGAAGAAUGUGAACCUCCUCGACACUUGGAACGAAGUGGCUGACGCGUUCCUCAAACAGUACAAGUUCAACAUGGACAUCGCGCCUUCCCGAGAAGACCUGGAGCAGAUGGAAAAGAAAAGAAGUGAGUUAUUUAAAGAAUAUGCUGUAAGAUGGAGAAACUUGGCAGCUCAAAUUACUCCUGAGCCUACCAACAAGGAGUUGAUGAAGUUGUUCGUGAAGACCCUUCCAUCUGAGUUCUGUAAUCGAAUGGCCAGUACGUAUGUUGAGAGCUUCAAUCAGCUUAUUCCUAUAGGAGAACAGAUUGAGAUGGGGAUAAGGGAAGGAUGGUUUUCUGAGCCAUCUACUAAAAGAUUCUCUGCCAAGAAAGAUAAGGAAGUUGUUGAGGAUGUGAAUGUGACCUAUAGCCUAGAAGGUACUAAUCACACCCAGCUAUCCAAAUGAAUCAAAGACAACAACAAAUUGCUGGUCGUCAAUCAUUUGCCCAAGCAUAUAAUACAAGGCAGUUCUCUCCUCUCCCUGGAUCUCCAUCUCAGGUGUUAGCGAUUCUCUGAAAGAAAGGUUUGCUUUCUAGUGAACCGAAGCGUCCUAACCGCGAAAGCAAUCGAGGUUAUGACCCAAUGAAGAAGUGUGACUACCAUAGCGGUGAACUGGGGCAUUCAACUGAUGAAUGUUUCACCCUCAAGCACAAGAUCCAAAACCUCUUGGACAUGAAGGCUUUUUUGUUUCAAACUGCUCAGCCGAAUGUCCAAAAAAAUCUGUUACCGGAGCAUGAGGGUACGGUGAAUGCUAUCUUGGAACAUGACGCCGGUCGAAUCAAGAGCUUGAAGAUGCAUGUGAUGGACACCCUGGGGCAGCCGAAUGAUGGAUGGGGUCGCAUGGACGAGCCAGGAGAUGGAGAACCCAAAUGAUGUGCUGGAAGGGGUUACGAACUUGUUCGACGACCUCAUCAUAGGAGCUGUUGAUGAAGGACCCCCUGAAGAUAUGGGCCUUGGCCCACAAGAGUAACUUUUUUACUGCUUUUGCAUAUUCCCCUGCGUGGGAAUUUCUAUUAUUUUUUAAGAGAUGUUUUUAGUGAUUAAGUGUGGCAUUUUUCCAUUCAAUAAAUGUAAUUGAUUGAUGAAUUUCAAUGAAAUUACAAAUUUUAAUUUGAGGGCAUGAUGAGGUAUACCAAACCAGCUCGGUGAUGAUAUCCAACCGAUAAAAGAAAAGAAAAUCCAAGGAGAAUUCUGAGGCCUGGGCUUCGUCAUGCUUUCUCGUGUCAAAAUGUUUCAAAAAAUGCUUUUCCAAAUGCUUUUCAAAAAAAAAAUUAAAAAAAAAAUAAAACUUGAUUUACUCUGUUUGUCUUUUUGACCCAUCCACUUUUUGUUUCAGAGACAGUCUUGUAACAUGUGAAGGUGUGGAAAUGGUCCAAUCCAAUUCCGGAGCCUAGGGGCAAGUUCGCUCCAAAUUACAGUGGCCCGUAUGUGGUAAAGAAGAUGCUUCCUGAAUGUGCCUCGAUCUUGGCAAAAAUGCAUGGUCAUGAGUAUUACACUCCAGUUAAUUCUGAUGUUGUUAAGAAGUAUUAUCUGUGAUAGAAUUUGCCAUGUCAUGUUUUGAACUGCAAGCAUUUCUAUGAUGAGUAAAUUACUUCAAUGAGUUGAAUCGUUGCAAAUUUUGCAUAUUUUCCCUGAUGAAUUAUGUGAGAUGAAUUGAAUGUGUCAAAUGAGGUACUUUAGAAUGAUGAAAGGCAAAACCUUGUUCCAUACAGUGUUUCAUACACUAACCCUCAGUGAGUUGUGUGAAAAAUUCCAUGCCCGCAAGGAAGAGGGCUAUCUCGCAAAGGGUACGUCAACCAAGGUGAUGAGAGGCAUUCUUUUCUCUAUCCUAAACACUACAAGUGAUCAAUUGCUCAACCCCUUUGAGCCCCAUACACUUAUGGAGAUUUUUUAAAAUUAUCCCUGUCAAGAAUCAUCCACAUUGGGACAAAUUUGAAAUGAAUGGUGGGAAUCUUCUUGCUCCCACUUGCAUCAAUCUUCGAAUAUUGCUUUUGCAGUAUAACUCGUACGGUAAUUCAAAUGCCUUAGGAUGACGAAGAGCAGUUCUUUCUUUACCCUAUACACUUCUAUCCAUUGCAUAGCCCACUUGAGCCUAUGAAUUUAUUUCAUAUUAAACCCAGUUGGUGAUCAUCCUCCACACUGGGGCAAGGCAAAAAGAACCAUUCAAGUAACAUGGCUUAGAAUGCUGUAAAGGAUGGUUGUGCAAGUUCAAAAAAAUAAGUGCAAAAUAAUGGGACAUGAAAAAGCAGUGUGCCUGGUAAAAGCAAGGCCAAUGCCAAGAAAAGAAAAAAAAUGAAUCAAACUCUUGAUAUAGCAAGUUGUAUCCCCAAGAAGGUGGUACCAGAAACCUCUCAAAUGUUGUUGCAAUCAAUGGAGUUGUGAUAAAAAAUCUUCGACAGUGGAAAAAGAAAGUGAUGGAAAUGUCAAGAUGAUCACCAACUUUAACCACCCUAAACACUUUUUGAGCCUAAUGAUCCUUUCAUUUCUCAACCCAUGAACCAAGCCUAUGUUACGUCCCUUGCAAAGUCUCUUCUGAUUUUAGCACUUGAAUUAACCUAGGGGUUCACAUGUUUUAAGCAUUGCUCGAAGAAGUGCGAGCAAGAUUAUUCCUUUCUCAUUUUGCAGGGUUCUUGACUUGUAAACCCAAAGAUGAUUAUAGAAUAUCGCUCUUUCUUUCAAAAGCCUUGACUCAAAGAGUCCCUUUUGUUAAGCCAUUGACCAGGCCCACAUUACGGUUCCUGUUAAAGACCUCUCAGAUUGGUAAGGUCGUACCACUUGCGAGAUUGCACAAAACCUUGUUUGGCAUGAUGACAGUGAGAUAGAGUGAUUGUCAAAAUCCUGCAUCAAAGAUCAGGAUGAAAUGACCCUUUUAAUGAGGAUGAGCGCAAAGCCCUUUCAGACUGAAAGACCUUUCAUUUGACACAUCCAUAACACUCAUGUAUCUAGAUUGGAAUAUCCUCUUGAAAUUCUUCCCAAAGGAAAUCAAGUAAUGCAAAAAUGAUAGAAAUCAUCACGCAUGAACCUUACUUGAAUUAAUGCAUGUCUGUGAAUGCAUAUUGCCUCUCCUACAACUGUGUUUUGCAGGAGACAUAUCCCCAAGGAACAGAGAUGUCAUCAGGUAAGUCUAUCUCUAUCCAUACUUGAAAUACUUGUCAUUGUACAGGUAUUCCUUUUCAAGCACCGACACUCAAUGGAGUUGUCCCUCAAAGAUUUUUCCUCCAGAUUCAAUCUGAUUAAGGCGACCGAAGAAUGGUUCGGGUCCUGGUUGGAUGAUUUCUGUCGCAAGGCUGGGCGACCGAAGAAUGGUUCGGGUCCUAGCCAAGCAAAACCUCAGUCUAGGCGACCGUAGAAUGGUACGGGUCUUGGAAAAGCAAUUACCUCAGUUCAGGCGACCGUAGAAUGGUACAGGUCCUGAAAAAUCAUUUUUUCGUCAAGGCGACCGUAGAAUGGUACGGGUCCUAAAAAAUCAUUUUUUCGUCAAGGCGACCGUAAAAUUGUACGACUCCUAGACAACACUCAGGCGACCGUAGAAUGGUACGGGUCCUGGAAAAUCUUUUUCAUUCAGGCGACCGUAGAAUGGUACGGGUCCUGGAAAAUCUUUUUUUCAUUCAGGCAACCGUAGAAUGGUACGGGUCCUGAAAAAUCAUUUUUUUCGUUUAGGCGGCCGUAGAAUAGUACGGGUCCUAGACACAACCAAACAAUGCCAUACUGGGCGACCGUAGAAUGGUACAGGUCUUGGGAAAGCAGUCACUUUGCGAAGUCAUAUUACUAUUCUGGGCGACCGUAGAAUGGUACGGGUCCUGGACAUGUAAUACUAAUCUAUCUUGAGUUACUCUACCAUCCUCGAAGGUAAGUAAUUCCAGGUAAGUUCAUUUAUCAUUUGCAUUAGUAUUUCCAUGCAUCAUAUAAAUUUCAUUUCAAAAUGGGAUUCAUUUUCCAAAAAAAAAUAAAAACGAAACAAAACAAAACAAAACAAAAAAACAAAAAACAAAAAGUGAGUUAGUACAUGUGCAUAAUUAAAAUUAGGUCUCAAUUUGUCUUUGAAGGCGAUCUCUAUGAGCUCACUUUCAAAGAGGGGCAGUUGUUGACACCUAAUUUUGGAAAAAUAAAAUUGCAUUUUGAACAAAUAAAAAUAAAAAAAUGAAAAUGGGGGAAAUUGAUUUGAUUGAAGUAUGCAAGGAAAUAUGGAAUUCUGAUGGAUGCCCGGAUUUUGUUAAAUGCAGCAACAAUUUUAAAAUCAGGUGAACAAAUGGCAAUGAUUUUGACAAAAUGGAAGGAAUCGAUGCAAAAUCGAGCUGAUUAUGAAAUCAUGCUCCGAUUUGCAUCCAUAAUUUAAUACAACAGAAGAUGGAAGUUUAAAAUUUUCCACAGAAAGCGACUAAUCAAAACCACUAUAAAAGGGGUUGACCUGCACAGUAUUCGGGGGGCGGAAAAAAAUUGAGAGAGAAUCCACUAAAAAAAUUUUCGUGAAAAAGCUGAGAGGAUUCGCGAAAGUAAAAAAAAGGGAGAGAGGAAAUCCCAUUUUCUCGUCCAAGGUCAUUUCCUUCUUUUUUUUCCUUCUGACAACUUGCAGAAGAAAAGAAAAGGAAAAGUCAGCAAAAGAAAGAAAAAAUAUAGGAUCCCGACCACGUAGAACCAGCGGGUCAUNNNNNNNNNNNNNNNNNNNNNNNNNNNNNNNNNNNNNNNNNNNNNNNNNNNNNNNNNNNNNNNNNNNNNNNNNNNNNNNNNNNNNNNNNNNNNNNNNNNNGUUUAUUUGUUAUGUUAUUUUUGCUCAUUUCAUUGAUAGCAUCUUUAAGUUUAGUUAUCUAAAUUGCAAUAUUUGAUUUUAAUAUUUGUGAAUUUAGUAUGAAUUAUUCGCAGGGAUUUUGUCCGGAAUUAUUAUAAUUAUUAAUUUGAUCCGAGAGACAUGGGAUCAUUUUUUUAAUUAUUUUAAUUGCUGGGCUUUUUAGUGAGAUUUUAAUUGUUAAAUCACAAUAAUUAUUUAAUUUGGUCCGUAAGACUUCGGAUCAGAUUUGUAUUAUUUUGAUAUAUUUGUUGUGAUAAUUAGGGUUAUGAUAAUCGUUAAUUUGACCUGUGAGACAACAGGUUAUUUUUCGAUUAUUUUAAUCCUUUAUUUUGUUGAUAGUUUAGAUUUAAUAUUUAUUAAAUAAUUACUUAUCUUUAAAAAAAACUAAAAAAAAUCAAAAAAUCAAAAUUCUGCAUGAGCAUAUAGGUUUAGUAAAUCAGACAUGUAGGUUUAGUAAAUUAGACUUUCUUAGGAUUACAUUUUUAGGGUUGCAUUUUUAGAAUAAGUUAGGAUUGGACCUAAGUUAAUUUUUAGAUAAUGCUCGCACAUUUUAAUUAUCUCAUUUAAAAAAAAAAAUAGUUUUCUAAGAUAAGAUAGGGUUUAAGUCAAAUUGAUCCCUAGAAUAAAUUAGAAAAUUAUCCCUUCUUAGAUAGAUUACUUAGGAUCUUUAUAAAUUCUGAAUUUCAAUAAAAAAAAAUACAAAAAUACUAGGUGCAUGUUAACUAGUUCGCAUAAUAGAGGCAUUUAAUUAGAAUUUGCUCAUUAGGAAAAUUAGGUCAUGAGGUGCAUGUUAAUUAAUUUGCAUAAUAGACCCAUUUAAUUAGAAUUUGCAUAUUAAUAGGAUUAAGUCAUUUAGUUUAAAAAUGCAUUUUUAUAAAAGAACUCCAAUUUUAAAAAAUAAUAAUAAAAAAAAUGAUUGCUUGCUUUGUGUGAUGCAAUUUAUUUAUUUGAAUGUUUUAAAUAAUGGAUGAGCACCCGUGUGGUCACCACAUUUGCAUGAUAGUAAUUUAGGUUAAAAUAAAUAAGCUGCUUGCAAAAACAUUUUAAAAAAAAAUGAAAAAGAAAUGGUACCGAAAGGGCAUUAGAAAAUUCUAAUGUGACCAAGUCCCCGUACCCUUAGUCUCUGGUUCGUAGAAGUAAAAUAAAUCUCCAUUUAUUUUACUUAGGUGUCUAAUCGACCUACCAUAAACCGAUUAGUUGCGACUCAUAGUUAAUAAUCUUGCAUAUUUAAAAAUUUGGACUUAAGUCGUGAAUUGGUAUGGGCUUGGGAGAGUCCGAGCUAAGUUUAAAACUUAGUAGUCCAUUAACCUAGUUUUAGGUGGUGCACCCGAAAAAUAGGUAGCGACAGUCCUACUCUAUUUUUAUUGUAACACUCACUCUCAGACUUUUGCCAUGCAUUUUUGCAGGGCGUGGGAGUCGAAACCCACUUCUGAAACUUAACCGUCCCCACCCCAACUCUUCUAAAAAGGUGGGGCCUUUCAUGUUGGAAGGGUGGUCACUGAGGCAAACCCCAGCGGUUGCCCAAAUUAAGAUUUAAGUACAGAUAAGAUAACUCAUAGAAACAAAAAGUCCUAAAAUAGAAUUGGAUGUACAUUAGUUCCAUGUCUUGCUAUGUUUCACGCGUUCUCUUUUUCUCAGCAUAUUUAUGAAGUUUUCUAACAUUUUCCACCCAAACUUUCUUUUUCUCCAUUUCCUUCUUUUCCCAAAUAUUGAAGAAGUAACAAUACCGUUACAAAUAAACCCAUGCCAACAUUUGCCAAUCAAUACAUGACCUCCUCUUUUGAAAAUCGUUAAAUCUUCUUUUUAUCAAAAAUUUUGUCACUUCAUAUGCGCACUCAACAAAGAAAUGGGGAGAAAGAAAUAAUAUAUCACAAUCGUACGAAAAAGAACACGUAUGAUGACAUCCAAAUAUCGAAUAUUAACAUCAUGAACUAAUCGCCUCACCCUUUUAGUAUGUACAUCAUUCCUCAGGUUAAUAUCCUCAAACCGUCCUGAGGAUUAUCAGAGAAAAUAUCAUCCAAGACCAAUUCUUGAAGGAUAAUGAGAGUCCGAUCCAUAUAACACUUGACAGCAUUCGAAUAAACCUCCUCAAGUUUUAGAAAAUAGAAACUCAAUCCACCGCAACCGUUUAAACCAUCGUAGAACUGUAACUCUAGCUUUCGGCCUUUUAACACGCUUCUAGUGUCAAAUUGCAAAUAUCUAUCGAAAGAAGCCCGGUUUGGGAAGUCUAGUUCAUUGAGCCCAAUUCUUGCAGGACCCGACUCAACCUCUUCUUUUCUUUGUGUCGUUGACCCGGUUUGAUGGAUUCCCUUCUUCCUAGCUCUGUAUUCGAUCCGAAUACUCCGAGGAAAGAGAGGAUUCUGGGGAAAAGAGGGUUAGGCUUUGAGUGUUAAGGAUGGAAUUGAAUGGAUUUAGGAGAAGGGUUGGAUUUUGAGGAAGAUCGAAGUGAAAAGGGCGUCAAUCUUGCCGUCAAUUUGAAGAAAUUCGAAGUAAAAUGGAGUUGGGUGAUGAAGAUUUGAGUGAACGAAGGUUGGAGGUAAGUGAGAUUCGUGGAUUUAGAGAGACAAACCGUGGUUUUACAAAUAACUAAUAAAGAAUAUGCAGCAAACAAAAGUUAACCUAAAAUCAUUCAAUAUUCACCAUUUUUAUUUUAUCCAGGGGCUUAAUAAAACUAUCCACUAUUUAAUUAUUGGUGUCCGCAGACUCAACCACGAGAAUGUUGAAUUAGAUUUUUGCGCAAGCUAGCAGCGAGGCUAUAGUCAAACCUAGUGGGAACAUUUUUUAUUUUUUUAACAUUUAUUCCAUAACCACACAAUUGAUGUUUCGCCCACAAAAUUUGAGCACAAUAACUAUCCGCGACACCAAAUUUGACUUAUGUCGUUUAAAUAGCAACUGAAAUUCUUUGAGAUCCGUGUGCUAGAAAUCCUAAAAUUUGUCGUGAAAGCUCAAUUGAGUUUUGAAAAUUUCAAAAAACACAAUCAUUUUUUUUAAUUUAUUAAAUCGGUACAAUAAAAUGUGAAAACAUUAUUUUUUACUGUCAAAUUGUUUUUUCUGUAAAAAAGAAGGAGGAGGAGGGGAUAUAAAAAUCAAAUGAAUAAAAUAACAAGUGAAAAAUAAAAAGAAAAGGUGCUUAAAUUGCUCUAAUCCAUCGCUAUGCCUCAGCCCACCAGACCAAGAUCAUUCAAGUUCGAAUGUCUAUUCAAUUUCACGAGGAAUUCGUCCGGCGAGCUUCUGAAAAAAUCUGCUGCGGUUCAGAUCAUCUUUCUUGGCUCUUCUAUUCCAGCGACCGAUCGCUCCCGAAAUCCAGUCGAAGCUAGACACCAUCACUACCAGUCUACCAGUCCUUUUCGCUGGAGAGGAAGUCGAGCGAAAAAGAGAUUUCUGCUCCCUCUCGGACCUUUCUUCACUGAAGCAUCGAGACUCCAAGAACGAGAAUACUCUUCUUGAUACUCUCGAUUGAACCUACGACGUUGACUCCAGUCCAAUCUUCGGCCGCCGCCAACAUUCGAAUCUCCAUCGACCGAGGCGCUUCCACCUCUGUUUGCUUCGAGCUCAGCCAGGUCGGAGAGAUGAAACGGAGUAUUGACAGAAAGAUGCCGAAGUCGCAGCCGAUCGAAGCUGCUUCCGAGCUUCACUGAUCGCAUCUCCCUGUUCUGCUCUGUUUGUUGUUCGGAGAUCUCGAAGUGCCUUGCACUCACAUAGCCCUCCUUUGUCAGGUCCGAUCAUCUCCGACGACACACCCAGGACUCCUUGUAAGUUGAGCAGCUGAUCGCGACUGCAAUCGCACAUCAUCGAGGCAAAACUGUUACUGUUUGUGUGAAAAUCGGCCACGAUUGAGGUUCUAUUAAGGAUUUAAGCUCGCUCCGAUGUUGUUGUAAUGAUCUAAAAGUGAGUCGUCGAUUCAUAUUCGUGUACAAUCUCCUUGAUCGAAAUGCGUAUCACCUGUUUGAUGAAAUACUCGAACCAGAUUUCUUUCUAUUAAAUCAUUGAGCCGAAAGUCGUAACGCAUCAACUCAACCCACUCUUGACUUAUUGAAACCUCACUGCAACUGAUUUAGUUGGACUCCGAUGCUCACUUGCCGUUGAAUUGGUGUUAUGAUUCUCAUGUUGGAAAUUGCAUCUUGAUUUCUCUGGUUCUAGUCGAGUCUUCUGUACGAACGGAGUUCAGUGUUGGAGUCGUUGCUUAUAUGCUCAGAUUUUUCUAUUAAAUCUUUGUAUAAUCCAUUUUCGGCAUUACUCUGACGUGAAAUCGCUUAUGUAUGGGUGUGGCUGGCGAACGAUGGCAACCUCUAAUCUUUGGACCAGUGAUCGAGGGAGAGCUUGUCUCUCAAAAUAGAAGCUCGGAGAAGCUUGGUGACUGUUCUUGACAAGGCCACAAUCAUAACUAUGGACUCUUCAUCCUUCUCUCUGCAUUUCGUUGUCUUCAUUGCAUGUGCUUCCUCUUUGCUGUCCGUCAUUCACAUCUUUGGUUUGGUUAUUGCUCUGUUUUGGGGCCCUACGAGAACGGAGUAAAGGGGGUACGGCAGCAACUGGUGAAACUCCUGCUCUUUUCGCAUCCACAUUGCUCUCAGCUUGAAAGGUUCGAGUACGGGUAUAUUCAUGUAAAUUUGAUAAGGAAAGAUCAAUUCAGUACAAGUGAAUCCUCGCUUGCCUAUAAUCUCUGUUUUUCGUUUUCCCCUGCUAUCCUGAUUAUGGUGCGAUCGUAUUUGGAAAGCUUGAGGUCUUGAAUAUUUUAAUUACACCCCCAAAAAAAAAAAAAAUUUGUAGUAGCUGGAGUUCUUUGGGGAAUUAUUGAUUGCUUUAGGGGAAUUGGGCAAGCAAAAUUAUAAUUUAUAUUGCAGAGCUGCGUAUUAAGCCAAUCUUAACCUAUUAUCUUGCAAUUACUUGGCCAAGGUUUCAAAUAGGAUCCGGUCCUUUAUAAUCCUUUCUAACCUGCACAAACUUACACAUCCAAAUAAUUUGUGAGGAUUUAGAAUCAGGGUGCUAACAAUCUCCCUUUUUUAUGAUAAGAAAAUCACUUUUAAAGCCUCAAAUUAACACUACCCUCAUCAUACUACAGGGAAAAUAAAUCAAGUGAAUACAUCGCAUAUAAUAUGAAGAUUUUACCAUUUUCCCCUUUUGUCAUAACAUCAAAAAGGGCUUAAGGUGGAAUGUAUCACCAAACACUUAGUAACCAUUUGUAUAUCAAAGACAUUCAUAAAACGUCAAUUCAACACAAGGUCUACAACCAUUAAGUGCAACAAAAACAUAGAGGAAGUUCAACAUAAACUUAAAGCACGUUCAACAUAAAACCACUUCAACAUAAAUUACAAAUCAAUCUAAAUACAAGUUUAAAACAAGGAGGAAAUAGAGAAUUUUGGGGAAAUUGUGAGGAUUCUAAAGAAAGUAUUGGACGAAUUGAGGGAUUGAUGUCUUGUCAAAGUUGGUGAAAAACUUUUAGCAUUUCAUUUCUAACCAUAUAAAUUUCUUCCCCAAAGUGAACUUAGCUCAGUUAGAAAGUGCCUCAACUGACGACUAAUCCCGUCCUCAUCCUCAUGUUUGUCGACUUCGACGGCUCUUAGAACACGUCAAUGGUGUCAGUAUCCUUUGAAUUAGGGUUGGCCAUCCCAUACAUUUUCUCUCAUCAAACUCCUUGUCACCUCUAGAUGUCUAGACUCUCCAAUGUAUUGACCAUCAAGUAAAGCCUUAGGAAACUCCCAUCGAGAUCGCCAUCAAAAGACCUGAAGGUAUGAGUAAGAGCCAUCCCAUCCAGUAAGUCCUUUCCUUUCAAAACACUGCAUUUAACCAUAGUAUCAAGUAUUAAGUCACUCAAAGAUACCUCAAACCCAUUCUUAAUCUUGAACAUUAACAUGAGUUGGUCCUCACAUGUUAAAUCAAAGAAAUAGGAGCAAACUAUAUAUCACAUCAUAUGAUGAUAAGAUUAAUGUAGUGUAACAAAUUCUAGACUAGUGAAGUUUUGGUUGGUAGGCUCUCGAGUCUUUCCCGGGUUUCUAACUAGCCCAUAAAAUGUUAGUGGCAACUCAUUAGUCUAAAUUUAAAUGACUAACUAAUUCGAAAACUAAGUUGUAGUUGGUAACACUUGGGAGGAUCCAUGUUAGCCAUGGGCCCACCUAAUAAGAGGAACCGCCCUAGGAAAGGUUGCGAUAAUUUGCACUUAAAAUACUAUAUGUUUUCGUGCUAGUUUAAACGUCUACACGUUACGAGAGAAAGAACUCCAUUUAACACAAUCAAUGUAUGACAAGAUUUGCAAUAAGAUGUUAUUAAUAAAUAUUGCAAAAAUAAAAAAUAAAAAAUGGGAGCAAAUGAACACAAAAGGAUGAGAUGAUGUAUCACCAGAGAAUGCCGAGGAUUUCUACCACAUAUUGCCAUAAUAUAACUUCUAAUGGUCCUUCUCUUGAUGCUACGACCGUGCAUUGGCUAUAACACUAAAAUAUAUUGAUGAAAUUUAUUCUGGCAAUAAACAUAGUUAAUGAAGAGAUAGUGAUUGUGGAGCGUACAUCAUCUUCCUUGUUGGCUUAAAAAUACGAGAACAAAAUUCAACACAAAUAUCUUAAUCCGUUCCGCAAAAUGAAGAUAAUCACCUGACCUGCAUGUCCUCACGUCUCUAAAGCAAUGAUUUAAGCAAUUUUUUUUUAAUCCACAAUACUUAUGUCAUCAUUAUUAUUUAGGAUAGUCCAAAUAGUGUAGUAGAAAUACAAUUCAAAUGAAGGUGCGACUAGAGACAAACCUCAAAAGGAGAUGAGAGGAAGUGAGCCUAGUGCCGAUCAAACCGUUGCACUCUUCUGCCACCUCUUGAGGAAUUGUAUAAUCGAAUUUCUGGACACUGCUAAAAUUUCAAAGAGGAGAUUUGCUAAUAGGAUUAUAUUUUGUGGGUUUUCGAUUGUGAUUUUCUUGUGCCUUACGUUGAUUUGUACAGCUGACUUUCAAAUAUUUCUUCUUUUAUUUUGGAUUUAAGGGGAGGGAUCAAACCAGGCAUCUAAUGAUUUAGUGAAUUCAUUUGUCGUGGAACCAAAAUAGCUAACAGGCUUCGUAUGAGUCUAUAUGGUCAAGUAGAAUAGGCAUGCUACUGAUUACAACAAUUCCUAGCCACGAACCAUCCAUGAACUAUAUAUAUAUAUAUAUACAGACAUAGUGUAAUUAAUUAAUAAACUUAUUCUCUUGUGCAGGCUAGUGUGAGCAAAUGUAAAUGGUGAUGAAGAAACUAUUUCUUAGGCCCUUACAAUUAUGUUUUGUCUUGCACGAGUCGAAGCUUACGAAAGGAAAAUGUAAGUGUCUUUCCACACAUUUGUAAGCGAGAAGAGGGAAAUCUUAUGGUGCGCUCACGUAAAUAUUGCUUACUAAUCAAAACCAUUCCUUAUUAGACGGGAAACGGAGAUCGCGUCCACCCGGCUCACGCGAGCUCCGGCCACUGGCCGUCCCUCUUUAGGCCAUCAUGCGUAUUCUGGUUCGUCGACGAGAACGCCGUCGUAGGUUCCGACCCCGUUAGGGCUAGGGAUCUCUCGCUUCGGUAGCGCACUUAAGCCGUUCGACAAAAUGCCACAAUGAGAUGUGGAUUUUAUUUCCCUGUUUUGGGCGGAGCUGAGUCGUCCUUGCUUGUCAUGCUCCCCGGUGGCCUUCCUGCGAUGCCGGAUUCCCUGAGUGUUGGCCGUUCAUUUGUUCCGUCGCUGUUAUUGUGUGUACGGCCGAGGAUACCGGCGGCGAGAGCGCCGGUUGAGGAGGGGUAACUCGGGCGAAGACCAAGCCCGUGGCUUGGGCCACCCAAGGCGACGACCUAGUGGGCAGCAGCACGGCCAAGGCGAGCGGCGCCGCUGUCUCAGCCGGCCAAACCGCGGAGAGCAGAGGGUGCCGCGAGGAGCGCGGAGAACGCCGGGGGCUGUCAGGUCGGAUCCGGGUCAGGAACAGGAUUCGAUCGGAUCUUUAGGGUUUGGUCUUUGGGCUGAGAUGAAUUACGGAUGUUGGGCUUAUUUUGUUUUCUUGGGCUAGAUUUAGUUUAUUUGCUUUUUAGGGGCUGGGGAGAUCCAUUUCUUUUCAGCUGGACUGGGUCCUCAAAUCAGGCCCAGUCCGGCUGGGGGGUCUCGCUACCCAGGUCGCGGGCCCGGGCUGCCUUCGACCUCCCUUAAUGUAAUAUUUUAUUAUCUAUAUAUUUUGAUUUUAAAAAAUUUUAAAAAAAAUUCAAAAUAUUCUGAGGUGAGGAAAGGCAUUAAAAAUAACUGUUGAGUAAUUUUCUCCAAAAAAAUGUAUGAAAAAUAAAAAAGAAUAAAAAAAAUCAAAUUUAAAGGUUUAAAUAAAAUUAGAUACCGAAAUGGCAUUAAUUAAUUAAUUGGUGUAAUCAAGUCAUUAAUCCUAAUUUCUCUUGUUGUAUGUUUUUUUCAAUAUUAAAUUUGGAUUUCUAAUUAACCUACCAUAAAUUGAUUAGUGACAACUUAUAAAUGAAAUGACUUAUAAGUUAAAAACUCAAACUAUAAAUCACAAAUUAACGGGCUUAGGAGAGUUUGGACUAAGCUUGGACUUAGCCACCCAUUAACCUCUGCGCCCAUAGGAGUGUUUGAAGAGGUCGCAACAUGUGUGUAUCUCCUUUUAUUUACCUCAUAUAUGCACUCAACAAAGGAACACUUCAAUAUGUAUUUAGUAAUGCCAAAAAAAAGAGCAAAGUUUUCAAUGGGCCAAAGAUCAGUUUGUAUUGUUGACUUUUGAGCACUUGUUAGGGAAGUGCUCACAAGAAGCACUACGAUUUAAGGGCCAAAUUAACUAAUGAUUCACAUGAGUCCACAUGAUCAGAUAAGAUAUGGUGGUUAUCAAUUACAUUAUGGAGGAAGUUCCUAAAUAUGAGCAAUCCAUUAGUUAGACAUUAUGAAAAAAUAGAGUAAAUUCUAUCGUGCAUAUAAGUGUGAGUCUGUGUCUGGUCAUAAUGAAAGGAAAAUAAUGCAAAUCACUAUGGCCAAAAGUAAUGGCCGACAAAAAUAAAAGCACCCUUGGAACAACACUAUCAAAUUUUCUAGAAUCGUUUUUGAGGGAUUAGCAUCACCAAGCUUAGCCAACCACAGAUUAUGUUACUUUGUUCCUUUUUUUUUUCUUUUCUCUUUGAUAAAAAAACAUUUUAUUUUGCGUUUAAAGUCAUCUAGUUUUUUCUGUUUUACUUUUUCAAUGAUAAAACCAGGCCACAUCAGCUUAUCACAUAAGCGUUGUUUGCUGCGUAAUCGAUGAACAGUUCAUUUUAUUGGUUAAAGUGAAAUUAUUUUUAUUCCUUUCAUAUAGAUACAUGAUUUUAUAUUGAUUUGGCCUAAACUUCAGAUGAUAUCUAUCUAUAUCUUAUGUGCUAUUGGCAUUUGAAUUACGUUCAGCCACCCUCUUUAUUAAAAUAUACAUGAAAAAGAAAAUUAGGAAGAAUAAACAAAAAAUGGGUAUAAUAACUGCAACAUAAACUCAUUUCAGUGGCACCAAUAUUGGUCUCUCUAAGCUUUUAUAUGUCUGUUAAAUGGUAAUUGUAUAACAUCAUGUUUAACUAUCUUCUUGUUGGUACCCUCAUAUGCGACUUAAAAAUAUUUGGUAAACUUGGAAAAUUAGCAAGUCUCUGCGCACUUUUAUUAAGACAAUUUAGCCUAUGACAAUUGAUAGGGAAAAAAGAAGAUUUCUACUCAUUGGAGAACAUCUACAUGUGAAUUCACACAUAAAAUUUUCAAAAUUAUCAUCACAUAUAGUGCUUAUUUUUCUUUCUUCAUUCUUUAUUCAAACAGUGAUUUUCAAUGGUUGGGCCAGUUGAACUAAUGGAAUUUUUUACUGACCCUCGCUCCUAUUGAACCUCUAAUAUUGUUUUCAAAGCAUUACCUCUAAAUGGUGGACUAAAAAUCAUCAGUUUUUUUUUUUUUGGAAAGAUGGGCAUGUGGAAAUCUUUAAUUAAGGGCCGUCAACUUUGGUUUAUACAUCUAUCUAUAGAAUUUCUUUAAUGGACAACCUUAUUCUUACUUUAAUAAAAUUCCAUCUACUUUAUUCGAAGAAAGUGCAAGUGAAUAUGGAGAAUAUAUCCAUGUGAAAAUGGAUAUGGUUGCUUUAAACCUGAUUCGUCCUUUUCCUAGAAUUCAUUCUUCAUCCUUUAAACAUGGGGAGAGAGAGAGAGAGAGAGAGUCUCAUACCAACACAUGCUCACCAAACUUCCUUGAUAACAUAUUUUAUCAAAUAAAAUUUAUCAUAUUUUAUGUAAAGGGCUAUAUUUUUCUCCAUCCUUAAUUAAAAGCAACUUUCUCAAACCAUAAUUUUAAUUGGUGGAUUACAAAUUAUAGACAUCACCCACAUACAAAGAUAAGUGUAGAUGAUAUACAUGUUGUUUAAAAAAACUCAGUGACCGUUACAAACUUGUUGAACUAAUAAAAAUAAAAAUAAAAAUAAAAAUGCAUAUCUUCUUCUUGAACAAGAGAUUUUAGUAAGCACCAUUGAGCUCAAGGAAGUGUCAUUUGGAUCAUAGCAAAUCAUCCAUAGUAUCAAGUUUUCUCGAUAAUUUAGCACCUGUACUACAUUUAUGGUGUCAAUCACAAAACAAGGGAUGCCCAUGGUCGAGAUGCAUCUCCUAACUUCUUACUAAGAAAUCAAUUUCCUUAUCACAAGAACAAAAUCAGGGACAAAAAAAAAAUGAUAUUUAUUUAAGUAGGAUUUGUAAAUUUAUCUUCCAAAGUUGAUGGACAUUUGAGAGAAAAUCAAAAGGGGCAAUCUAUUUUGACAAAAGGCAGAUAAAAAUUUGAUCAGAAUCUAUUAAAUCCUUCAAACCCUAUGUACCAAAAACUCAAAUUGCUACCAAUCGCUCCAAGGUUCCAUACCUCGCCUCACAAAGUGCACUAAGUGGAGGUUCAACAGAGUGCGAACUUAUGCCAAGCUAACUGCGGAGAAAUAUAAAAGACUAAUGCUGGCAGGGGCAACUCCUCAUGAGCUCUUCCUUCUAACUUCCCCAAACUUCCCUGCACAUGUGCUUAUCUGUUGUUUCCACUUUCUCGGCUUUUUCGUUCCCUUCUCAUAAAUAUGAGAUUAGCAGCUGGCCACAUUUUGUGAUGAUAAUCAAACUUCUGAAUGACUUUUUGAAUGGGUUUUGGUGUUGUAUCUUAGAAAUCCUUACAAUAAAUGUUCAACGAGUAAGACUUUGAUAGGCGGGUCCAAUUUCCCGCUUACCCACAACGGAGGAGGCCCCUCCAGCACCAAUAAAAACACCAGAAUAGGCGGGCAAUCGCACCCCAGAAUAAAAUUGAAUCCCGACCACGAAGCAAGGUAUGGUUUUAAUUAGCACGUGUUUUACCAAUUAAUGAAUACUAAGAAAAUGAUAAUAAUCAAUAAAAAGUCAACAAAAAAGUUAGCCUGUGAAUUUAAAAAGGCUGUAAAACAAAAAUAUGCGUCUUUAAUUAUCGCUUCACCCAGAAAAAUGAGAUGCCUACGUAUUAGAUUAGCACCUAAUAUACCUAGCCACAUUUAACGAUGACGCAGCACCGAUGCCAGCCGCAAUUACAUUUCUAUUUGCAAUUUUAACGGAAAAACUAAUUUGAGUAAGAAAGCGUCUUAGGAAACACAUUGGUAAAAAAGAAGCAUAUACACAAUACUGAUCACAUCGAAAAAAUACAUCACUAAUGCUUUCGUUAGCUCUAAAUUUUUGACACAGAUUUUAUGAGGAGAGAUUUAAAGAAAUUUUAUUUUGUCGCAGUGUUUCGUUUAUCUUUGCCAGGUGGUCACUUGCAAUCAUGGAUGUGCGCAAGUUGGACAAAACUAGAGUGAUGAAUUCUGUCCUCAUCAUUUCUAAAUGUCCUUGACUUUGAUUUUGUGCGGCCUCGAUUCAGAGGAAGGGAUUGCUUUGCUGGUGUUGGGAGGUUUAAAGAAGCAGAUUGACUCGUCAAAGAAACGGAAUCCAUCACGAGAUCUGGUUUAAGUGCAAGAGGGCUUAUGCUGGACGAGAAGAAACGAGAAAUAACGGAAAAUUUUAAUAUUUCUUCCCCAAGAAAGAUGAAAUACAUCAAUAUUGUAUUAGCAUUUAAUGUACCUUAGCUACGUUUGGUGAUGAAAACUAAGUCUUCUAUGUUAAAUUUUCAUCGCUGCUGUAGCUUCAGCCAUUCUUCUCUCUCUCACACACUAGGUGCUUGUGAUUUUUUUUUUUUUUUUUACUUUCUAAUUAUUUUAUCUCAGUCAAUAGAAAAAAUUCCAUCUUAUCUCUAAUUUAUCCGAUCAACAUCGAGACGUUAUUGAAGGCAAACAGGUCAAUAUCUCGGUUUGCAAUGUAUAUAGGGACCACAUUGGUAAAAAGAAAAAAGGUAUAUGGAUGACAUCGAACAAAAUAAAAAAGUAUGAAUACUAGAGAUUUCAUUUUCUCUAAACAUUAUGCUUAAAUUUUAUUAAUAGAUUUUUCUGGAUGCUUUAAUCUUCUCCCACCAUAGUGGGGCCACGAGGGUAAUAACAUUGUUAAGAAAGUCAUCUACAAGUCUCAAAUUCUAUUCCCCUCUCCACAUGGAUCAUCUUUUCUAACGUUACAUAACUCUCAAAGAGCAGUAUGUCAAAAGUUAAUUUUCACUAUCGACACCUUGACACUAACGCAAGUAUCGAUUCUUUCCACUAUUGUGGAGGGAAGCCAAUACGUCGCUCAUCUUCACUUUGAUUUGCAUGGCCAUCCGAUCCUAUUCCAAUGACAACUACCAAAAUAUCUUUGGAGUCUACCAUAGGGGUGAUAUUCUUGCCAAUUUAGAGGAAAGGAUUGUUUUGGUAGUUUUGGACAAAGUGGAGGGCUAAAGAAGUGAAUUGCCUCUUUAAAGAUUGCGUGGAUUCCAAGCACACGUGGAUCAUUCUUUGGGGCAAGAGAAAAGGCAAAAGCUUGUUAAAGUGCCAAGGGCUUGUGCUUUAAGAGGAGAAACACAUCGGUAAGAACACCAUCGCCAAUCACCAAAAAUGACCGAGAGGCUCCUUUUAUGUUCUGAGAUAAUUGGUUUGAUAGCUCGAAGCUGAGCGUGAAGAUAAUCCUUCGAUUGCACCAUCUUUUGGGACUCAAACACAACUUGAUCUAUUUCAAGGUAACUUACUCUCAAACACAAAACAUUUAAUUAUUACUCGUUGCAUAUCAUCUAAUAUCAUUUAAAGUAUAAAAAUGUAAGGUGCGAAAUUCGCGUGUGACUUUUUCGGAAUUUUCAUUACACAUAUUGCUCAUUCUUCUUACGAUAAUCUUUUUAUUCAAACUGGUUGAUAUAAAUUCUUGGAUUGGUUGAACCUGGUGAAAUAGUAUAUCGGCCCUCACUCCAUGGUUCUAUGCCUCUCACACAAAGUGCACAAAGUGAGGAUCUGACCGGGUCCAAAUUUAUGUAAAACUGAAUAUUGAGAAAAAUAAACGAUUAUAAGAAAAAUAUAAUCCUAUGGCAAAAAUAUAUUUUGCGAUAAGUAAAUUGAUGUAGUUAAGAAUAGAGAUAAACAUAGAUUAUAGAUUUGUUUGAUUGUCAAAAGAGAAAGCUUUACAAUCCUAAAACACUGGUAUUUAUAAACCUAAUAUUAGUAAUAAGCGUUCCCUAUAUGGACAACAAUCGCCCACACAACUCCAUUCUUCAUUCCUCCUCUUUCGUAACUUCCAGCUUCAAGGGCGAAUGCAACUCAUCGUGGGCUCCUCUCAGUUACUCCUAUUAUCGUGGCCAAGUUCUCCGAACUUCUUACAAUUCGGCCUAGCUUGGGCGAAUUGCAUAUUCAGCUUAGCUAGAACGAGGGACCACCAUUCUAUUAAUAUUUCUUCUUUUCAAGAAACACUUUUCAAUGGGUGUAACUAACUACGACUUAAGUAUUUCUUUAACCGAUUUUUUCUUUUUUUGGCGAUUUUUCAACGACAAACCUAGUUAACGAUGGUGUUUUUUCAACUGCUAAAUAGUUAGCACGGUUUAUUUCUUUUUCAAAACUUAGAUAAUAAUUUACCUCACCAUGAAAAAUAUGUUGCUCUUAUGAGUCAAGCGAGACUUACCCUCGAGCAUUAGGCUGAGCCAUCGACAACGAUGUCAAAUUACUCAUUUGGAAUGAAUAUUCAUUAUGAUCCUCCAAUUUUUCUAAGGUUAAAUUGACAUUAUUCACUUAAUUUCAGGUCACGAAAGAAUUUUGACUAAAAAAAUCCAGUAUGGUAAAUCAAUAUAUAGACCAUUUUCAUCCAUGCAAAAGUUUCAAGCCAAUUUUUCGUACACAUGAUUUUCCAAUGGGAAAGAUUUUCAUAAUCUCUCAAAACAUAAAGGUGCUUGACCGAGUUAACCACCGAAAAGAUUUUCACAAAAAACAAUAUAUGAAAUGCUUGGCAUGAAUAAAUUUAAAGAAGUUAGGGAAGACUGAUGGUUAACCGAUUUACGGUGGUUUGACCCAAAUCGGCACCUACUUCACUUCUCAAGACCAUUUGGUAUUUAUGGCCAUCCCACUAUUUUUGAAGUCUUAUAUAAAGGUUGGUUUAUAAUGGAGCCAACGCUCCUCUGCAAGCAAGGUGAAGUCAUUUACAAACAAUUUCUCUCACAAGAAGUUGAUUUGCAUAGUGAAUACAAGAGAGAUUUUGCAAGUAUUUUCAUGUACACACAUGCCCAAGACAAUGGCUGCCUUAUUUUUAGGAAUACAAACUCUCACGUCUAAUUUCCAUUGGUGGUAAAAAUCGGCUGAGAUUGGGCGAACGAAAUUCAAAUUUAAAUUGUCGAGCCGUGUAUUGGGCCAACUCUGGCCAGCUAUCCCACCAUUACUUAGCCAGGUACCUAGAUAUGCUUUUAGACAAACCCACUAUUUUUUAACCCUUUCCAACUUGCACAAACUUGCAGAAAACAUUUCCAUUGUGACGAUUAUAAAUAUACAAAAAAGAGUUUUGGAAUCAUCAAAAUUGAUUUAGGAUCAAUAGUGGCAACUUAUAAAUAAAAGGUGCAGCUUAAAAUUAUGUUUGACUGCCAAAAAUUUGAAUAUGAUAAAUGUAACAUUUAAACAGUUUAAUCUAUUGCAUGAAUUGGAGAAAAAGUAAUCUAGUAUCAGGUAACGAUUGAGGGUUUUUGUGAUGGGCUGUUUGCACUUCAUCUUCACUAAUGAGUAAUGAUACAAAGAAAAAAUUAUAGAAUUGUGAGGUUAUGACUAUCUACAAAAAUUUAAGUAUUUUAAAUCAGGUUUAAGAACCUUUAGCUUUAGUUAAAUUAUAUGAAUAAAAAAGGCAUUUGUCCAUUUUUCUUAACACGAUUGAUAGUAAAAUCUCGAAUUAGCCCAUUAAUUUGAUGCAUUUACUUAAAUGUAGAAUAUAAUUAUGAGGAGCAUAUGUUGAUAACCCUCUUAUUUAAGAUGUCAUCAGGCCGUUUGGUCAGCGAGGGUGUAUAGCCCUCACCUUGGCAUUGGCGACCUGCUGGCCUUCGCUGCUACCCCAUUAACGAUAGGGCGGUGGCCAUAGGUGGGAGGGAGUAGUGCAUUUUCCUUUUUUAAAGUUUUUUUUUUGUUUUUUUAUGAAAAGAAAAAAAGAAAGACAAAGGAAAAAUUUUAAAAGACGAAAUUUCCCUUCACAAACAAUAAGUUUAAACCCGUCUUUGAGAUUGAUAUGGGCACUCAGACCCUUAUUUAAAAUAAGAUUUUAUUUAUAUUUUUAUUUGAGAAAAUGAGAGCACUUUAAGCCAUUAUUUGAAAUAAUACCCGCUUCAAAUCCUUCUUUGAGAAGAUGCUGACACUUCAGGUUUUUAUUCGAAAUUUUUCUAAGGACUUGUUUACACUAGUUAAUCAACUAAUGUCAUUUCGAUAUCUAAUCUUGUUUAAACAUCAAUGUUUUAUUUUUAUUUUUUUGGAUUUUCAUGCACUUUCAAGAGAAAAAUACUCAAAAGCCAUUUUUAGGCCUUUUGCUAAUUAAAAAAAAAAAUUCUUCUGAUUUUUUAAUAAAAUAUUUUCAAAAUAUUAUAAUAAUAUUAUAAUAUACAAAAAAGGACCCAGGUUGGAACCCUCGGUGGGAACCGACCCGGGUCGCCUACCAGGGCCCCGUCUUGGCCUGAAAUGCAGGCCUAGUCCGGCAAACAAAAUGAACUAACCCUGGCCCAUUAAAGCAGAAUAAGCCCAAUAUGCCUAAAUCAUCCCAGCCCGAAUACCAAGCCCUAAAGACCUGACCCGGAUUCGAGACCUUACCCAGGCAGACCCGACUUUCUCUCCUGCCCCUGCCUCUCGCGGCGCUCUGUCGACCUCGCCCCGACGGGGGCGCCGCGGCGAGUGCGAUCGCUCGCCUCGGGCUGGCCACGCACCCAGUCCGGCAACGUCUCGACCAGCCCAGCCAGAGGGCCAGUUCUCGGCCGACCACCGUCGCCAGCCAAGAACCAGCUCGGCCACCCCUACUUCGGCCGAGAUUUGGCUCGGCCAGGCAUGGCUGGCAAAAGCCGCUCGACCCAAGGCCUCCCCAACGCCAUUUCCUCUGUCUCGGCCAUCCGCAUGACACCCAAACGGCGAGUAGACGAUUCGUCGGAGCUCGGGAACGGACUUUCUCAACGCGAACUUUUAGAUCUAGCUUAGGCAUCUCGUCAAGCGGAUGGCACGCAACGUGUUAGGGGGAUCAAGAUACCUGGUGAUAUCUGUUGCUCUUCAUCUUUUUGUUUCCCUCUAAUAUUACACACUAGUUCUCAACUAAUUAAUUUCUUAAUACCAAGUUGUGUGUUAACAAAGUUGUGAUUUUAUUUUGUCUUGUUUUGUUUGUGUUUAUCUAAUGGUCAUUUGCAAUUAUUGAUCUGGGCUAGUUGGACAGAACUGCAGUGAUGAUUUCCGUCCUCAUCAUUUCCCCCUUCUAUUAUACAAUUCUCAACAAAUCAAUUUCUCAAUUGCAAGUUUUUUCAUUGAUGAACAAUGAAUAUGCGUAUUUUUGUUGCAGGCAUACGUGCAGAGAGAGUUAGGACAAAAUAAUCUUUGUUCAAGUUGAAAAGUAGAGUCAAUAGUGCUCCAUAUAAAAAUGGCCCCCUACACCCCUUUACGAUUAAGUUGAAUAGAAAAAGCUACAUUGAAGAAUUAAGAAUCUAAGGUAAGAAGUAUUUUAUGGACCAAAAUUACAACCUUAAUAAUUUUACAAAAUUUAAUCCAUCAGAAUUUACGAAAAGUAUGGUUAAUUAAUGAUUAAUUGAUUUUCAAACAUGGCAGGAUAUAAAGUCAAUUUUAAAUAAACAUAGAAGGUGAAGAGGAGACGAGAGAGAAAAAAGUAGGGUGAAAUUGCGAUUGACCUUGUUUCCAAACAUAGAAGGUUAUUUUGAUCAAAUAAAAUAUUUAUCCCAAGCCAAAUAGGGCACAAAAAUAGCCACACCCUAUUUAUUAUAUUUAAAAUAAAGCAAGCAUCAAAAUUUUUACUUGGAGCAAUGUUAUACUUUAAUUUAGAGUUUCUCACAUUUGGAUGUGGCCAUUUUAAAGAAAUUAUAUUUUAAUCUAUGGUUGACACGGCAUUUGCUAAGCUAUAAGAAGCACCAGCUAUCAAAACAAGUGGUGGAUGGUAGAAACAUCAAAAUAAUUACUAGCUCCCUAAGAAGUACCUGGCAUGCUUUGAUUUGUAACCCUACUUUCUUCUUUCUUGUGAAAUCAUGAAAAUGAAAAGAAACGUUUUAAGCUUUGAAAUAUUGAGAAAAACUUCUAAAUGAUUCUGAAUUCAAAAGAAUCGACAACUGUUGAACUAGUAUGAAAGAAAACAUAGACAACAGGAACAAAAAAUGAAAAAAAAUUUAGGCUUCUAAUGCACAUGGUAGACCAGUAACGUGUUGCUUGCCCUCGUAAGAUCAUCUGCAAGUUCUCCACGUAAAAGAGUAACGGGUUACUUGGGUGCACCGAGCGCGGUGAGCCAUCAUUGAGCGACCAAGUUUUUUCCCAAAUAACUCUGCGUUCUAUGUUGCUCUUGUUGAUAUUCCCUAGUCUCUGUUUAUUUACAUCGCUCUUGCUUUCGUCUCUCUCUCUCUCUCUGGUUUUGUUUCACAGUUCUAACUGGUUAGCUCUGUUCUCGCUUCAGUUUCCCCCGCACCCAUUUGUUUAAGCGAAUAAUAAAAGGAGGCAACAAGAAGAGGAACAAAAGAAGGAAAGAAAAGGAAAUUCUAAAAAAUAAAGAAGAGAUUAUGGCCGAGGCAAUUGCUUGCCCCGUUGCAUCGAAUCUUUUGUCGAAACUCGGCGAGUGCCUAUUUGCUCCCAUUGGACGCCAAUUUGGGUACGUGCUAUGCUACAAGAGCUACGUCAACGAUCUCAAAAAUGGAGUCAAGGAGCUAGAGACUGCAUGGGAAAGGGUGCAGCACGACGUCCAAGACGCCAAGAAUAACGGAAAACCCAUAUACACCGAUGUUGAGAAUUGGCUGAAGAGUGUGAAGGAGGAGAUUGAGAAGGCAGAUAACCUGUUAAAAUGCGGUGAAAGUGCAAACAAUGCUUGCUUCCGUGGGUGGCUUCCCAAUCCCGUGGUGCGCCAUCCAAUUGGUAGGAAGGUGAUGAAGAUAACUAAAGUCAUUCAGGGACUCCAAGAGAAAAGCGGAAAUAAUAACUUCCAGAAGGUCUACCAUGAGAGUCCUCCGAUAGGAAUUGUCACUGCCACCACUUCCGUUGCAAGAUCUGUUUACAACAAAGAAGAUGUCUUGGAAUCCAGGGCCAAAAUCAUGGAGGAUGUAGUAAAGGCUGUAGUUGAUGACAAGGUCUAUGUGAUUGGGGUGUGGGGAGCAGGUGGAGUUGGCAAGUCCAAACUUUUGGAGGAUGUGGAAAGGCGAAUUAAGGAACAGAAGUUGUAUGAUGUGGUCGCCAAGGCAAAUAUAUCUCGCAAUCCAGACCUAAAAAGAAUUCAAGGAGAAAUUGCUUAUGCAUUGGGCUUGAAACUAAUGGAUGAGGAAACUACAUAUGGUCGAGCAAAUCGUUUACGUGAGAGGUUAGAGAGAGAUAAUAACGAAAACAUUCUCCUAAUUUUAGAUAAUUUGUGGGAGAAGCUUGAGUUGAAGGAAGUUGGAAUCCCUUGCGGAGAUGGUAAUAAAGUAAGAAGUUGUAAACUAUUGUUAACAUCUAGAUACCGAGAUGUCUUGUGCAUUGACAUGUGCUCUGACCAACAAUUCCAACUCAAUAAGUUAGAGGAUGGAGAAGCACAGAGACUUUUCGAAAGGAUAGUGGAGGACAAAGUUAUGGAUCCUGAGUUUACAAGCUUAGUGAAGAGAGUGGUCAAGAAUUGUGGAGGCUUGCCACUUUUGAUUGUUUCGUUGGCAAAAACGUUGAAGCACAGAGAUUUGGCUGCAUGUAGGAAUGCUUCGACCUAUAUAGAUGAGUCGAAUGUAAAAUCACUAGUGGAACAAAAUUACAAUGACUUAAAAGAUGAGAGGAUUAAAUCAUUGUUCUUGAUUUGUGCUCUAGACUCUGGGAGAAUUUUCCUGAGGGAUUCCUUUAUCUACUGCAUGGGUUUGGGUUUAUAUAAAAAAUUCAGCAACACCAUCGAAGACGCUAGAGAUAGGUUGAUUAUGGAUCUACAUAGACUGCAGGACUUUUCUUUGUUACUAGAUAGUAAUGACCCGGAAAAGUUCAGAAUGCAUGACAUAUUUGUUGAUGCGGCCAUCUCUAUUUUUUCCACAGAAUGGAACGGCUUGGUAGGGAGGAAGAAUUUGGGGUUUAAAAAAUGGUCAACGCAUGAGCUCAGAAAAUGCACCACAAUAUCCUUCUCAUGGGUUGGCAUUGAUGAGCUUCCUGAAAGUUUGGAUUGCCCAAACUUGAGGAUGCUUUUGCUGGCCGAACACAAUUUGUCUCUCAAAAUUCCUGAUUCAUUUUUUGAAUCUAUGGAGAAACUUCAAGUCUUGGACUUGACUGGCUUAUCUUUCACCUCUCUACCUUCAUCCAUUAAGUUCCUUGGAAACCUUGAGUCGCUAUCUCUUGAUCAGUGCCAUCUGGAGGAUGUGAUUGCUCUUGGAAAGCUGAAAGGAUUGCAAUUCCUAAGUUUUCUCAAAUCUGCAAUCCCUAAAUUGCCCAAAGAAAUAGGUGAAUUAACAGAAUUGAGAUUUUUGGACUUGACUAGGUGCAUUGAGCUCAAAGUUAUCGAACCAGGUGUGCUCGGAAGCUUGGUCAAUUUAGAAGAACUGUACAUGGAAGAUAGCUUUGAUCAGUGGGAGGCUGAGGAUGAAGCACCGCCAAGCAAUGCCAGCCUAGCUGAGUUGAAAAACAUGAAAAAUUUGAGCACUCUAUGUAUUGCCAUUCCUCAAUCUGUCAAUCUUUCAACAGGCUUGCCAUUUGGGAAACUUAACAAGUAUAAAAUCCAAAUUGGGGACGUUUGGGAUUGGUCGGGCAAAUACAAAGAAUCCAGAACUUUAAAGCUGAAGCUGGAUUCACGCAAUCUUCCUCUUGAAGAGUGGGUGUCAAAAUGUUCGCAAAAACCGCAAGAGCUCCACUUGGAUGGACUGCAAAAUGACAUCGAUAAUAUUCACGAUUUGUGCGUCGAAGGAUUUCAGGAAUUGAAGCAUCUUCACGUACAAAAUAGCUCCUCCUUUCAAUAUGUUGUUGGUUCCACAGAGAAUGUCCAGUGCACUGCAUUUACUAGAUUGGAAUCUUUGUUUCUCAAGAAUCUGAACAACUUGGAGAAGAUUUGUCGUGGUUCUCUUUCCCUAGAAUCCUUCAAUAAAUUAAAGAUUGUGACAGUGGAUAACUGUGGUGAAAUCAAACAUUUGUUUCCUUUCUCCAUGAAGAGAACAAUAUCACAGCUCGAAGAUAUUGAAAUAAGCAUGUGCUGCUUGAUGCAACAAAUUCUUGCAGACGAUGAGACAAAUGAAGAUGGAGAUGAAAUAAAUGACGAUACCAAAGUGAUGUCAUGCAAAUUGCGUAGGUUGACAUUACGAAACUUGCCAAAGAUGACAAGCUUCUGUAAAACUACGGACCAUUUAGUCGAUUUCUUCGACGGGCAACAGGUAUGUAAUUGGUUCUUGAGAUUUAGUGCAUGGAUAAAAAUUGGAUAAAUACUUUGUUUAUGAGAUUUUGUUUCCAGAAUAAUUACGACAAAUAAUAAUUUAAUUUUGCAAAAUGGAAUUGCUUUGUGAUAUUUUAAUACAUAAAAACAUUUAUACAUCGGUUAAUUACAUCUCACUUUGUUUGUGUUAUGUUAUCAACAUAGUUAAAAAGCGCCGUACGAUGCAAAGAUUUUUUAAAUAAUUUCAAAGUCUAUCAUUGCUUAAUGUUAAAAUCGAAUAUGAAUACAGAAACAUUUAUGGAUAUAUUCAUAAAUUGAAGGAGGUAUAUAGGACCUAUACAAUUUUUAUGACCUUUAUCUAAUAAUGAAUGGACAUACGUAGAAUUCUAUUAGUUCCGAUUGAUUAAAGUGAAAUAUAGAACUAAAAAUAUUUCAAUAGAUGCUUUACCAAAAAAAAAAUAUUUCAAUAGAUGAAUUUAACUACCUUGACUAUGUGUCAUACAACAUCCAAAUUAAUAAAUUAUACAUUUCCAAUUUUAAUCGUAAGUACAUCAGCAUUAGAGUAGUUGAGACUAUUAUGUUGCUUUUUUCUUCCCUCAAUGACUGUAAAGAGGUGGUAGGUAAAUGGACCGUUGUGGAAUUGUGGUUCGACACAAGGUUUCAUUAUACUCUUAUUUGUUAAACGGCGGAACUAUUAUGUGAUUACAAAUGAAAAAUCAAAUAUAAUAUUCGAUAGCCCAAAUUGUUUUGUUACCUUGGUACAUUAAUGAGAUGUUAGGGGAAUAAUUAAUUUUUUUGUUCUAAUUUGUGUAAGCUAUUGAACUCUUUAUCGUGAUAAAAUCUACCGCUAAUCUUUGUUCUAACAACUUUCCUAAUAUUAUUGGUAGAAUUUAUGUGCGAUGCCCAUGUUUAAAAAUUUCUUUUUAUUAACAAAAUAUUGCUUGAGAAUAUUAAUCAGAAACACAUCUAACAUUCAUUUGUGCACUAUCGUUUUGAUUUAGCAAUUGCUUUAACUGUUCUGUCAAUAUAAAUUUAAAAAGGGAAACCGUUUUUCAGAUUAUUUUUAUCAUGUGACCCAAGUCGCAAAAGCAUGAUGCUCAGCUAAAAUAAUUUAUUUAAUUAAGCAACUCUUUUUCUUGGCUACAAGACUAACUCUCCACAUAAAUUAAUUUUUUCAUGAUGAGAAAGGGGGUAUCUUAGGUUCUUUUAUAGGUAGAAUUAAACCCAUUGCUGAAAUUGACUUUGAUGCCCAUAUGGUGCCGUUGCGACCAGUUCAUGGAUGUUAUGGCUAACCAUGGAUCUUAAAUUGAUGAACCCCUUUUUGGCUUUGGUUCGACAAGUCAUCUGUUCUACAUUACAGAUAUACAAGAAUUUUAGGCCAUAUUAUUUAAGGGGACAAAAAAAAUUUCUGACUACAUAAAUUUAUAAUUACUAUAUACUAAUCUUUCGAUAAGGCUUUUUUUUUUUUUUCUUUUGUGGAAUACUUUGAAGAAAAAUGCCAGACUCAAAUUACACCUUAUAAUCAAUUAAAAGUAUAGUUUUUCUCGGUUUGUCAAUUACAAGCCCUUUAAAUAAUGUUCACUGUUAUGUUUAACGUUGUUCUAUGUCUUUCUUUAACUUAAUAUGUUGUUAGGUCGUGACCUUUCGGUGUAAAUAGUUGAGAUUUUUUUUUUAUAUAGAUGUUUGAAGUAUUAUACAAGACCACAUUUAAUGAAUAACAAAAAUUAAUUGAGUCUAUGCCAUUAAUUUGUAAAAUUUAGAAAGCACAAAAUGUGAGCGUAAAUUCAAUAACCUCAAUAACUCAAGGAUUAUAACUUCCUCCUCUUGUCAUAUAUAUAAUAGAGCCCCAGUAGACAAUAAGGUAAAUGAUAAGUCAAGUGUAAAUGUUUAAAAAUUUAAAGAGGUGAAAGGUAAUAUUAAAAAAUCACUACUUGGCCUUCCUUUACGUCAUCUUCAAAUCUAUUAUGUGAGAUUAUUUUCUUUAUUAAUAUUUCACAGACAACGCGUGUUCAUGGCUUUUAGUUUUAAGCAUUGUGAGAUUAUGUGGGGUUAUGCACUCCUUUCUGUUAAAGAAAAAUCAAUGCAUAUGCCUCCAUAACACGAUUCUCCUUUUUUUUUUAAGGUUUCAUUGCCCUGGUUGGAGUCCUUGACACUAUCUGCACUUCCCAGAUUGAAGGAGAUAUGGAACUCUCAAUUUCCUUCGGAUGUCAGCAAUCUAAAAUUUUUGAAGGUAGAGGAUUGUGCAUUCCUCAUGAGCAUCUUCCCAUCCAAUUUGGUAAUAAAGCUACAGAAUUUGGAAGCCAUCACCAUUGAGAGAUGUCAGUUUGUACGAAAAGUAGUCGACCUUGAAGGACUGACGUCCAAUGGGGAUGUCGAGAUUCUAUCACGAUUGAUCACAUUAACCUUGAGUGACUUACCAAGGUUGGAACACAUAUGGAACAAGAAUCCUAGAAUAGCUUUGUGUUUCCGAAACUUAAGGGUAUUGAAGGUGCAAGGCUGUGAGAACUUGAGGUUUAUUUUUUCUUCUUCCAUGGCUAAAGCACUCCAACAAAUAAAAGAAAUAAAAAUAGCGAGAUGUAAACUAUUGGAGGAAAUUAUUGAUGUGCAAGAAGAAGAAUCAAAGAAAGCUGCAUCUAUGCACACUUUAGUGUUCCAUCUAUUAUCCUCCUUAUCUCUUGAGGAAUUGCCAAAUCUUAGAACAUUCUCUCAUGGAACACACUGUAUUCAAUGUCCAACCUUAACAAGAUUGAGGAUAUUUGGAUGCCCCAGAAUGAUGACGUUCUCUUCAUUUGAAGGAAAGCAACAGAGGAUUACAACUAAUUCAAGUUUACAACAAGCACUUGUUGGUGUCAACUCUAGCUUGUCCUUGCCUAUACUCUUCGAUCAAAAUGUGCGUAAAUAUCCCUGGAAUUUUCUAUUAUAUGUUUAUCGUAGAAAUUAUUCUUGGUAACUAUAGUUUUAUCGCUAAUGAAGUAGUUGAAAACUCUAUCUGCAUGUCCUUUAAAGCCUUUUGCUACUGCAUGCAUUUGUCGUUUUUCUAUGAUGAUGGUAAUCUCGAGUAACCAACUUCAUUCUUGAGAAUAUAUUAUCGAGCAUAUUAUCAUGGGUAACCAACUUCGUCCAAAUCAGGAUUUUUAGGAGUUCUUAGUUGAGAAACUAACAUAUGGUCGUUUCAUACAGAUUCUUUUUCCAAGCUUGGAGGAGUUGACCAUCGUGUCGUGUGGUUUGAUGAAGAUAUGGCACAAUGAACUUUCUAAAGAAUCAUUCCGCAAACUAGCAUCCAUCACAAUCCGAGAUUGUGAAAAUUUGUCUCAUAUUUUUCCAUCAAAUAGAAUAGAGGUGUUCCAGAGCCUGAAAAUGAUUGAGGUGGUCAACUGUACCUCUUUGGAAACAUUAAUGGAACAUGUUGCUGUCAAUACUAAGAAAAGGCCAAAAAGUCUGGUCUUCUUAGACUUAAAUGAAGUGAAGUUGUGGGACCUGCCGAGGUUGGAUGCGUUAGUGACAAGUAGCUCCCAAGUAACGUUGAGUCUUCCUAAUCUGACUACAAUUAGCUUCCGCAAUUGCCAUAGUUUGAGAUAUCUCUUCACAUAUGAUACAUCCAGGACUCUUGUUAAACUUGAGAUGCUAGACAUUUCUGAUUGCAAUAAGAUGCAGGAAGUAGUUGUCGUGGAAGAAAUUGAAGAGCAAAAGUUGAAGGCAGUGAAGUUCUCUCGUUUACAUAGAUUGAAGCUUUGUUCCCUUAAGAGCUUUAUUAGUUUCAGCUCAGGAAGUUGUGCAUUUGAGUUUCCCUCCCUCACAAAUCUCUCAAUUCUGGAGUGCACUGAACUCAUGGCAUUCAUACUGAGGCUACCAGUGCCAAGAGUGGAGACGACAAAUGAGAAAUCUGCCGGUUCCAAAGAAAAUCCACAUUCUUUAUUUGAUGAGAAGGUUAUCCUCUUUCCUUUAUCUCAGUUGUAUCUUUGCUCAUGUGAUUUGCUUUCUUCUUUGUGAUGCUUUGGAUACAUGAUCAAUUUUGGUUCAAUGCCAGUCAUGUUGACUAUAGCCAGAUGAUGCUUCUAUAGGUUGUAUUUCCCAAAUUAGAAGAGCUACUUCUAACAGGAUUUCAAUCAAGAGAUUGUGUGUAAUUUUAAUAAAUUUAUAUGCAUUUAUCAACCAAACGACAAAAAUUGUCUAGUAACAUUUGUUUUGUCUAGUGUUUUGUGUUAAAAGGUAUCGAGUCUAUUCGAAUUUAAUUAUUUAGAUAUUUAAUUUAUAAACACAUGAAAGAAUUGCUUUUAGAAUUAUCCUCAAUUUAUUUUUUGUGGAAAUGUUACUCUAAGUAAACUUCUAUUAUAUAAAUCUUUUUAUACCUUUAUAUGUUGAUUUAUUGGACUAUUACGUGACUACGAAAUGAAAAAAAAAAAAUCCAAUAUAAUAUUCAAUAGGCCAAUUUGUUUUCCUUACCCGUGGUUGUAAUAUUGACCUUCCGUGGUGAUCAAAUACACCGCAAAUUUAUAUUCUAACCACUUUUCUAAUAUUACUCGUAAAAUUUAUGUGCGCUGCACAUGUUCAAAUUUAUUAUUAUUUUUUUUUUUGGUGUAAUAAAAUAUUCGUGAAAGUAUGUGUUAGAAAUACAUCUAGCAUUCAUUUGUUCACUGUUGCUUGACAUAACAGUUUCUGUAACUAUUCUGCUAGUAUAGAAUAAAAGUAUGGGAAACCAUUUUAAAGUUAUCUUAAAAUUACGUUUAUAAUGGGACCCAAACUGCAAAAGCAUAGUGCUAGGCUAACAUCAUUUAUUAAAUGAAGUAACUCCUUUUUCUUGGCUACAUGACUAGCUCUCCACAUAAGUUAAUCUUUUUCAUGACGAGUAAGGGGGUAUCUUAGGUUCUUAUAUAGGAAGAAUUAAAACCAUUGCUGACAUUGACAUUGAAAAGGUAAGUAAGCAUCUAUAGUAAUUUUUUAUUUUAUUAUUAUUCAGCAUUCUUCUAGUUUUGUUCAGUGAAGCAAUUUCUUAUAAACUGGCUCAUUAUUCUGUACCAAAAGCUUAACAAAUCACGGUGCAAGAACUAACUCAUGACGUUGUUCAUUUCCAAAGAUGUCCCUAAAUUAUCAGCAUAAUAAAUUCCAUUAGUUAUUCAACAUAUAUGAGGUUUGUAUGCAGGUUCUAUUUCCAAAUUUGGAGGAAUUGAAGCUUUCAUCCAUGUGCCAACUAAAGAGGAUAUGGCACAAUCAACUCCCCGGACAGUCCUUCUGCAAACUUGCAUCCCUCACAAUUGAACUUUGUGAAAAUUUGUCACGUCUUUCCAUCAAAUUCAAUGGAUAGGUUGCAGAGCUUGAGUAAGAUUAAGGUGGUUGGGUGUCCCUCCUUGGAAGCAUUAUUUGAACCGGUAAGCCUCAACUCUGAGGAAAGGCAUAAGCCAUUGGAACUCUUUGCAUUAAAAAAAAAUGAAGUUUUUUGAAUCUAACAGGGCUAACAGACAUUUUGAAGGGUGACCGUGAAGUAACCUUGACAUUAUGGAAUUGAAUGUCAGAUGUUGUCAUAGUUUGUCAUAUCUCUUCUCAAGUACCACGGCCAAAACUCUUCAUGAACUUGUAGUGCUUGAUAUUUCCUAUUGCAAUAAUCUAUGAGGCAUCAUUGUGAUGGAAGAAGGAAAAGGGAAAACUGUAGAGAUAUUCGAGUUCUGCCAUUUAGCCAAACUCAACCUUGGUGACCUUAAGAGUUUGAUUUGUUUUAGUUUAGAGAAUUGUGCCGGUGAUGGGGUUAUAUCCUCUAUUUGAUAAGAAGGUAUCAUUUUCUAAUUUAUCUUAUAUGUUAUAUUUCUUUGUUUUUUUGUAGCUUACAUUUCCAAAGCUAGUAGAGCUACACAUCGAGGGAGUUCAACAAGAACUAUGGAACAAUAAAAUCCUUGUGGAGUCCUUUUGCUGUCUAAAGGCCCUCGAGGUGAAGCAGUGUCACAACCUAGUGAAUGUGAUUCCUUCAUUCAUGUCAGAGAGGAUGCUUCACUAUAUGGAGUCCUUGACAGUUGAGGAGUGCCCUCGUCUGAGAAACCUUUUUACAAUGUCUAUGGCAAAAAGUCUACAACAACUCCAAUAUCUGGGUCUUGGUGGUUGUGGAGAGAUGGAGUACAUCAUCGCCAAAGAAGAGGAGAAACUUGAAGAAUCAACCAACAAAAUUGUAAUUCCUCAACUUGUCACUCUAUAUCUUCACAACAUGCCAAAACUCAGGAGUUUCUACCGAGGGAAGCAUAUUUCAGAGUGGCCCUCCUUGAAAGAGUUUACUAUUGAAGAUUGUAAAGCUAUGAAGGUGAUUCUAGGAGAUGCCAGUUGUAGAAAAUUAGAGGGUAACAGUCCAACAAAUCAACCACUUUUACUCGUUGAAAAGGUUCGCACUCAUUCUUCUCUAAUGGCAUAUCUAGUUUGUUGUCCUGAUGGUUUGAGUUAAGGGUAUGAGUGGUCACUUAUGAUAACUUAUCAUUUUCAUUUACAAAUAUUUGACCUCCUAUAAGAAACAUCUCAAAGCUACUUCUUUAAUAUAAAUUUUUGAAAUGUAUAUCAAAUUUUUUUCAUAAACUUCAAUAACUUAAUACGUUUUUUCUUUCAUUUUCAAGUCUUAAACUAAAUUGUAGCUGAAGCACAAAUAUUAAUGAGAGGCUAAGCUAGACAACGCCAGGGAUGUUUGCUUAACUUUAAAUAUUGUUCAAUGUAAGAUCAACGAUUAAUGACGUUACAAGUUCUAAAACUUGUGUUGGUUUGGCACUUAAGUUCUAAAAUUUGCACAAUUGAUGCAUUUCAAGACUUGUUAAGUUUGUCCCCUUUUUGUAGAGAAAUUCUGCAUUUUUAUCAUAUUUUUAGUCUUGCAUGGGCUUGACGCGGUGAUGGAGCUUCCUCAAGCAUAAAAGGGAGCUGUUUCACCAUUUCCACAUCGAAAAAUUGAAAAAUUAAAAAAGAGUAAAAAUUAUGAAAAAAAUCAGCAAUAAUAUGAAACUGGAAAUAAAAGAAAGUCCUACAGGAGAUCGCUAGUCAAGUGGGGAAGGGCAGCAUUUGGAGUGCCACUGCCGCUUCCCUUCCUACCGAUAAGGGCUAGCGCUCACCGUGAGCAAGCAAUGGCCUGUUACAGCUCUUGGCAAUUUGGGUGAGGGCAAGUGUGCUCACUCACAUGGUGGCAAGGAGCCAAGUUUGGCAACUGCUGGUGACCUAGCGAGGGUACUGAGCACCCUAGCCAUGACCCUAGGUACAGUUGCAACCCUCACCAGGGCAAAAGCCUUGAGACAAACCCUCCCUCUCUCCUGCCUUGUUUUCUUAUAUGUACUUUUUAAAUUUUUGGUCGCCUUUUUUAAAGCGGCAUCACCACAUUUGCACCACAUUUUACCAUUAAAAAAAAGGAAAAUUUAAUGAAAAACAAGUUUUACCAAUAAAGGAAAAAAAAAUUAGUUCUUAAACAUGCCAAAUCGCAAUAAGUUUUAAGAGUCAUUUUGUCACUAUUCCUAAAGUCAAUUGUAAAUAUUGUGAUGGAAAAAAUCGUUCCACAGGUCCUAAAAUGUAUUUAUGAAAUGCAAUCAAAUCAUAAAUUUUUUAGUUGGUGUAAUGAACUCUUAAACCUUUAUCAAAAAGUGCAAUCUAAGUCCCAAACCUUUCGGUUGGUGUAAUUAAGUAAUAAAUUAAUACGAACAAAUGCAAUUUGAGGUUGCCACAUAGGCAAUCUAAGUUAUCGUGUACUAAAAGGACUUGAUUACGCUUCUUCAAAAAUAUCUAAAACUCUUGACUGCAUUUCAAAUAUAAGAUUAAUACUUCCAAUGCACCUUUAUAUCUUGAUUAUGACUAAAACUGCAAGUAGUUGACAUAAUAUUUUUAACUUUUGGGUCAAACCUAGUCUGCUUAUUCAAAUACUAAUCAAAGGAACUAAGCAUUGUCGCUCCACAUGAGUCAAUAUUUGUUUCACUACAUGCAUUAUAUGUAAAUAAUUCAACUGCACUGACGUUGAUUCUAAAAUUUGAGGAUCUUUUUACCAGGUGUAUGAUAUAUAUGUUAGCAUCUGACAAUAUAGAAUGAAAUUGCAUAGCAAGGUUGAUUUAGAAUCAUAAAAUCCGCAGGAAAUUGUGUGUGUGUGUGUGUGUGAGAGAGAGAGAGAGAGAGAGAGAGAGAGAGAGAGAGAGAUUUUAAAUUAGGCGAGGAAGAAGAAACACCAAAUAGGCAAACUCAUUAGUCAAUGAAUUCAUCCUCAAGACUGAAGAAAAUUAGUAUUUUAGUCAAUGAAUUCAUCCUCAAGACUGAAGAAAUUAGUAUCUUAGCCGAUAUCAUAGGUAAUUAAAACAAGAGUUCCUUAACAAAAGAAAAAUAAGAGUACAAUGUAAGGCAUUUUGUGUAAUUUGACAAAGUAACAUGCAUUUAUUAACUAUACGAAAAAAAAAACUUUUUAGCAACAAUUGGAUCACUUAGUAUUUUGUGUUAAAAAGUGUUGAUUUUAAUCAAAUGUGAAUACUUAAAAAUUUGAUUUAUAAACACAUUGAAAUAUUGACUUUAGAGUUAUCUCCAUUUGCUUUUGAUAUGUGGGUGAGUACUAAUGUGAUACGUUUUGCAUUGUAUAGGAAAUAAAAUUUUAUGCAUGGGUAUUAUAGAGGAGUCUAAUAGCACAUAUAACUAUUUUUUUAAUUAAGACAAAAUAAUGAUUUAAUUUUUCAAAAUGUAAUUGCUACGUGAGAUGUGAAUGCAUAAAAACAUCUAUAUUAGAUAAUUUCAUCUAUAUGUGUUAUCUUAUCAACAUAAUUAAAGAAGCAACAUACGAUGUAUCGAUUUUUCAAAUAGUCUAAAAGUUUAUCAUUGCUUUAUGGUAAAGUAUAUACACAUACAGUUAUGGAUAUAAUCGUAACUUCAAGAAAGUAUUUAUGACCUAUAUAAUUUGUAUGACCUUCAUUUAGUAAUUAUGGAAAAUUGUAGGAUUCUAUGAUGUCAGCUUGAGUAAAGCGAAAAAACAGAACUUAAAAAAAUUUCGGUGCAAGUAAUGUAACUUUAGUCACUGUGUGAAAUAACAUCCAGAUCAAUUGAUUACAGAAAAUUAUUUUGCAAUUUUCGUCUUAAGUACAUUAAUGCUAGGGUAAUUGAGACGAUUAUAAGUUGCUGUUUUUUCUUUUCAAUAAUUGUAAAAAUUUGGGGAAGGUGAAUGGACCUCAGUGGAAAUGUGGUUCUACACAAAGUUCCAUCAUAUAAAAUUUUCUAUAGUCUUAUAUGUGAGUUGAUGGAACUAUUAUGUGACAACGAAAUUAAAAUUUAAAUAUAACGUUAGAUAGGCAAAUAUGCAUUUUUAUCCUUGUUAAAAUGAGAUGUUAGUGAAAUAAUUAAUUUUUUUGUUCUGAUUUAUGUGAACUAUGGACCUUUUGUAGGGAUCAAAUCUACCACAGAUCUUCAUUCUAACAACUUUUCUAAUAUUCCUGGUAGAAUUUAUGUGCGUCACGUGUUUAAAUUUCUUUUUUCUGUAAUAAAUGUUGCUUGAAAGUAUUAACGAGAAACACAACUAGCAUUAAUUUGUUCACUAUUGUUUGGAAUUAACAAAUUUUAUUACUAUUCUUUAGUAUAAAAUAAAAAAAAUUGGAACCCCUUUGCUACCUAUUUUUAAAAUUAUUUUUAUCAAGUGACCCAAACCACAACAGUCUGACGCUGGACUGAAAUCAUUAUCAAAUGAAGCAAUUCUUUUUCUUGGCUACAUGACUAAAACUUUUUACUUUCUACAGAAACUAACUUUUUUUAUGACGAGGAAGCGUAUCUUGGGUCCUCAUAUUUUAAAACUAAAUCCUUUGCUGAAAUUGACCUUGAUGACCAUACGGUGCUGAUAUGACCAAUUCAUGGAUGUUAUGGCCACCAAUGGGUCUUACGGAGAUGAACCGUUUUUCUAACAUUUCGUCGAUGCGGCAUCUAUUCCGCCUAUAGUGCUAUGCAUGGGGACAUUAAAAUCUUAAGACUACUUUAGUAUUUCUCUAUUAAAUUUAUAACUACUUUAGUAUUUCUCUAUUAAAUUUAUAACUACUUUUUACUUUUACUCUCUCGAUAAGAGAUACUUUUUUUUUUUUUGGAACAGUUCGGAAAAAAUGCCAGGCUCAAUUUACACCUACAAAUCAACUAAAAGUAUACUUUACUUUUAUUUUUCAGUUUAUCAAUUUAGUUCAUAACUAUUUAGGAGAGAAUCAUUAAGAUUUUUUUUACACUAUCAUUUGAGAUAUUAUAUCAGACCACAUCGAAAAAUCAAUUGAGCCUAUGCCAUGAAUUUCUAAAAUUUAGGCAAAUUGCACAAAAUGUGAGGGUAAAUUCAGUAACCUCAAUAAUUGAUUCUCGAUAAUAUAUGUAUGAUAAAGUCCAAAUACAUAAUAGAUAAAUGAUAAGUAAGUGUAAAGUAGAUAAUUUUAUAGAAGGAUAAGGGAAAAUUCAAAAUCACUACUCCGUUUUAUCUUCCAUUAUUUUAGUUCUACUAUGCGAGAUUAUUUCUUCUGUUAUUAUUUCACAUGCAACUCGUAUGCGUACUUUCUAGUUAAUAGCAUUGUUAUGGGAUCAUGUGGUGUUAUUCACCCCUUGCAGCUAAUAAGGUUGCAGAACUUGGAAGCUAUAACGGUUGAAAGAUGUCAGUUAAUACGGGUAGUAUUUGACCUUGAAGAAUUGACGACUAGUGGGGAUGUCAAGAUUCUAUGGCAAUUGACUAGAUUAACCUUGAGUGGCUUACCCAAGUUGGAAUGCAUAUGGAGCAAGAAUCCAAGAUUCUAAUAUAUGUUAGAAAAAUUUAUGCUUUCCACUUUAAAAUUAUAGACAAAUGAAUGAAUUUUAUGGGGUGGCAUCCACUAAAAAGAAAUAACGUAUGUCUAGUCUUCUUUUCUUUCUAUUUUUUGAUAAUAUCCAUCCUGUGAUUUUCUUUGUUCUCGAAAUCAAAGUAUUCUCUUUUUUGAAGGAAUAGAGAAUCGGCUCUAAUUAAUUAAAUUAAAAAUAACAGGUUGAGUUUCCUGCUAUGGAGUCGAUGAAGAUCUUGCACAUGAAUAACAUGGAGAAGAUAUGGCUUGAUGAUCUUGAUUCAAAUGCCUUUGGCAAACUCAAAACACUAGUAGUGGAGCAUUGUGAGAAACUUUUAUCCGUAUUUUCAUCUUAUAAUAUGCUCACGAGAUUUCAAAACCUAGAGAAGAUAACUGUGACCGAUUGUGGAUCCUUAGAAGUAGCAUUUCAAGUCCAAGAGUUUGAAUUUAGCGAAGCUUGUUCUACAAAUUCUUUUCAAUUGGGAGAAAUAGUUUUGACGAGGCUCCCAAAAAUGAAACACGUGUGGAAUGGACUUCCUCGAGGAGGUCUUACCUUUGGACGCUUACAACGCAUGGAGGUUGUCAAGUGUGAUAGUCUCAAAAGUUUAUUUCCAAGCUCGGUGGCAAAAAAUAUGACACAAUUCAAAGAACUUUUAGUAAUGGAUUGUGGGGUGGAGGAAAUUAUUGCGGAGAAAGAUGGAGUAGGGAUGAGUGCAAGUGAUCUAUUCUUUCCGCAAUUAACCGACCUAAGAUUACUUGAGUUGCCGAAACUAGGGAGCUUCUGCCAGAAUAGUCAUACUCUAGCAUGGCCACUCUUGAAGCAAUUGCGAGUAAGACAUUGCGGCAAGAUGAGGUCGUUCUUAUUUGCUUGUGAAUUUCAAGGCUGCCAAGGUACAACUACCAGCAAGAACCAAUCCGCACUCUUUUCUUUUGAAAAGGUACUGCCCUUAUCAAAGAUUCUAACUCUUUGCUAUUGUCUUCAUUGGUUUAUGUGCAUAAUUCUUGGUGCAUUGUUAUUUCCUCUAGGAAAUUGACAUUGUCAAACAUUGCAUGCUUGUUGAUGCUCGCCUAACCACACCUGUGAAUUGUUUAAAAAUUUAAAAAUUAUUUGUAGUUAAUUAUUUCCAGCUCAUAUUCUUUGGUGUAUAAAUCUAUUGAUCCCAGCUUUUACUUCGAAGAACAACACUUUUUAUUAAAUUGACUUGCAUAGAUAGCCAUGCUUCUGAUGAGCCACUUGUAUCUUAUGAUUGAGAUUUACCUAUUUAAUUUAAUUUGACCAACCUUGUCCACCAAUUUUUUUUUAAAUGGUAUUAUGUUCACUUGGAAUAUUGCUAGCUUAGCUACAAAACAAAUUUCCAUCCUCGAACAUCUUGAACAUGGUUGGUAAUUGUUAAGCACUGUGGAUAAUUUUCUUAUUUGAUCACAUGUUAGUAACUCAUCAAUAGGCUUAAAAAACGACGAACUUUUUUCUACUUUCAAAUCAUCAACUACUUUAAUAAUUUACCAACUUUUAUUCUGGCUUACCAAUAGAUUUGAAAUUACUAACCUUAUUUGAAGUUACCAAAUCAAAUUUAAUUGGUGUACCAAUAUUAGUCACAUUAAGACUUCAUUUGUUUCACGAAAAAUGGAAUUUAUGCGAAAUGUUUUUUGAAAAAUGAUGGCUUGUAUUGUUUAUAAAAAUAAAUGAAUGAAAAAUAUUUUUAUAAUCUAUGAAAAUAUUUAGAUAUAAAUUAUAAUUAAUCAAUGAAAAGAAUUUUCAUUGAUUAAUUAUUAUCAAGCGACAUAAGCAAUUAUUUUUAGGAAAAUGUUUUCCAAAACAUUCAUUUUCUAUAAAAUACAAACUAAUUUUAGUUACUUGCCACCUCAAAUUAUCUAGUUAGGUUGGAUAGUACCAACAUUUUCAAAAUUACAAACUACUUUAAUAAUCAACCAAUAUUUACUCUCGUGACAAGCCAACUUCUCUCAAAUUACUAACUUUAUUUUGAAAUUACAAACGAAAUCUAAUUGAUGUACCAACAAUCAUCAAAUUAAGAUACCAAUUGAUUUUAAUCAUUGACCAACUUUUUAUUAGAUCUUGAAAGGUACUAAUAUAUAUUUACUUUUUUAAGAUCACCAACUACAUUAAAAACCUACCAAUGUUUAUUCCUAUGGCUGACCAAUGCUUUUCAAGUUACAAACAUUUAAUCAAAAUUACCAAACUUAAUUAGAGUGGUAUAUCGGUGAUAUACCGACACAAAAUUAAGUUCCUUUUCAACCACACAGAACGCUAAAAAGAUCCAUUUAUUUGGGGCUAUGUACUUUUUAUUUGUUUCAUUGCUCAUAUGAUGUUUCGCUUUGCUUUUGUAAGAAUGAAAAACUUAUCUUCAUUAUUUACUCUUUUUUCCAUCGAAAUUUUGAACUAUCAUCUCUAUAUCGUUUUAUUGCUUUUUCACCAAUGUCCUGUCAUUUCAAUUUUUCUUUUCUUCUCUUUUCUUUUCUUUUUUUUUUCUUUUUUUGCUAAUUAUUUGUUGAGUUUGAAUGCAUUCUUCUCAGAGUUACGCGAAACAUCUUACUAUUGAAACAUAUACACUAACUAUAAAAUUAACCUAAUUUGUUAAAACAAGCAAAUGUAAUUUUUCCAUUUUAAUUUAAUUUGUUACCAUUGAAAUAGCUUAAGCAUCAUUGAUUAAUAAUUUUCUUUAUCUAAAUUUACGAAAUAUAUUGUGAUUGAAUUGGCCACACCACAUCAAUCAAAAAACAAAAAAAAAAAUUGGGCAUACCACUAACAACAAUCAUCCCUCCUAUAAUGGCCAUCGAUGCUUGCUCGUCUACUUCUAGAAAGUUGUGUUUCUCCUUAUUUCCCUAAACUGAAGGACAUUUUAGUCAUUGGACUUUUGGUGGCCUAAUUAAACGGAUUCCAUCCCACAGGUCAUUUCUCACUUGGAGGGAUCGACAUUGACAAUGCAGGAUGUUAUGACGAUGAUGCUGCAGCAUUACGUCUUCCACAAUCUCAAAGAGCUGGAUUUGGCAUGCUACCAUAAUGAAAGUGUCGCUUUUCCUUCCAACUUCCUUCUCCACAGAUUCCCCAAUCUAGAAUCGCUUGGUGUGAUAUGUAGUUCCUUUGAGGAGAUAUUUUCAGAAGAUUCGUUUGGACAUGGGGGAGCAACUCGAUGUGGAGAACUAACUGACAUGGAAAAACCUCUCCAGGCACUGCAAAAUCUUAGGCUACUAGACCUGUAUAAGCUAUGUAACCUGAAGCAAGUUUGGAAAGAUGGCUCAUUGAUGGCUGAAAUUCUCGAACAGAUUGAAGUUCUGUGGGUUAGAGAGUGCCCAAGUUUAUCAAUUGUAUUUCCAUCCCCGACUUCAUUCCAUAGAUUGAUGAGUUUAGAAGUAGAGGAUUGCGUUGGUUUGGUUCAAUUGGGGACUUGCUCAGCAGUGACAAGUUUGGUGCACCUUACUCGGCUAUUCCUAAAAAAUUGUGGUGCGAUGGAAGACGUGGUGACAGAUUAUGGAAAUGGAGUAGAGGAGAUCUCUUUCCCCAAGCUGCAAUGGUUGACACUUGACGAUUUACUAAGCCUUGAGAGCUUCUCCCCCACUAAUUGCACCUUCAGAUUCCCAUCGUUGGUGUGGAUCGUUGUCAUGAAGUGCCCCAAGAUGAAUAUAUUUUGCAAGGGUGCCUUGAGGACACCGAACCUAGAUAUAGUACACCUCUCCUACAUGGAGGAUGAAUGGCGUUGGGAGGGCGACCUUAAUACCACCAUCUGAACCUUAUCGUCUUGAAACGAUCCACUCCGAAUUUAGCAAGACAGGUAAAUCUGUGUGCCUAAUUAUGUUUGUCUGAAUCUAGUGUCAAAAGGAAGAAAUUUGCGUUCUUCAAAUUCUAUAUUGGCUCAUAGUAGGUCGGUCUUUCUUAAAAGAAUGUUCGACUAGGUUUUAAAGGAAUUGUCACACGAUUUGAUAAUUAAGGGCUUUUGAGCACUUAUUCACCCUUGCAUUCCAAGUGUUCGAUGAAUUGCUCAACAUAGUCUCUGUUAGUGUAGCUUCGAAGAUUGUGAGGUUUUGUUAUAUGGGGCUGCAUGCUCGCCCACUUCUCUCGUUAAAUUUGAUGAGUUCUUACGGACAACGUUUCUUUCUAUCAGGUGUCAUGCUCACUACGAUCGAAGUGGCUACUUUCAUUUGCUAGAAAUUGUCUCCUGUUGUAGGAUGUUGAAGCAAGAUUUUUGCACCGUGGGCACUAAUAAUGUUCUAGUGCACGGUGUUGAUGCCUCUUAACAUGGUGUCUUUGUGCCGACAUUGGUAUUCACAGUAGGUGCUUCAUUGAAUUUAUCAUUCUUUUGCUAGCUUGGGAUGUCUUCUCUAUGUCAUUUCCUUGAUAAUGGUACUGGUGUAGCAGAAUGGUUGAGCAAAUAAUCAAUUGAAUGUGGGGGUUGCUCUAACAUUUGUCGAAUUGUAUAGAUAUUUUGUAUGAGUGUUGGCUUUUAGGCAAAAGUUUCUCUGGAGUUGGACUAUUUGGAUGGUGAAAACAGUGGCAUGCACUAACCAAAAGGGCAUGGAGUCCAAGAAUCCAAAUAAGCGCGCGUCCUUCAAGCAGCGCAACAUAACCUACAUGGAGCUGUUCACGCUAGAUGUUGUCAUCUCCAAGCACUUCGUCUCGACUUCACUCACUCACAGGGUCACGAGCAAGCAGGGCACUGUUGCAGGUACCAAUUCUAAAGACAUUAGAGGCGUGCUGAUGUCUCGAUUGGACAUAUCGGCAUGUUUGGCCGAAGGCAGAUUUUGGCAAACUAGGCGAGGGAAGUUGAUGUGUGCACUGCUUCCUAUACUCCAAGAGAGAGGGACAAGUUUGAAGGAAAAAUUAGAGCAGUAGUUCAGUCUCUGAUUAACAGUGGCAUCGAUACUGUUGACACCUAAAUUUUGGUGACCCUUUUAAUUAUUAGUUGCAUUAAAAAUUAGGGAUUAAUUUUAACCCCUAAAAAAAUAUUAGUUAAUUAAUUAAUUGCAUAGCAUAUAGUUUUAGGUGCAUUUUAUUUUAAUUUGCAUUUUAUCUAUUGGACCGGUGGCGGAUGAGUUCGAAUUAGAUGGAUCAGGCCCACGAAGCGAGCAGGUUGGCCCAAGCCUGCGUUUUUUAAUAAUUAAAAAUUAUCUCAUAUGAAUAUAAUAUUUUAAAAUUUUUCUGAGAUAUGAAUCUUUUUUAGAUAGGGCAUAUGAUUAAAAAAUAUUGCGAUUUGGCCUUGAAAGAUUUGGAUUUAGGGAAAAAAUCUCAUCUUAAUCUUGAAUCCUAUUAAAUCCUUAUCAGUAUGGGAUGAAUUUUAUGAAAAAAUAUUGCGAUAUUGUGAUUUAUCUUUGCGAGAUUUGGAUUUCGAGAAAAUAUUUAUCAUAAUCUUAAAUUUUUAUCAAUAGUGAUCGGUUGGUGAAAAUGUAUCGCGGAUGUAGAUUUGAAGGGGAAAUCAAAGGCUUAUCUCUUACCCCUAUAAACCUGAGGGGGGCUUCUUGUGAUAAAAAAAAAAAAAGAAAGAAGAAAAAAAAAAGUGAAGAGAAGUUUUUCUUCUGAAGAGAGAGAGAGAGAGAGAGAGAGAGGGAGAGAGAGGGGAAAAGGUAAAAAGUAAAAAGGCAGAGGUGAGGGGACGUUUACUGUUCAUCGUCUCCCUCACGCUCGCCGGCUCUGUUUUGCCUUCCACCCGCAGCCAAGAAGCCCGCCGGACACCCCACCUCCGCCGCACCUCCGAAGCCCGCAACCUGCAGGUCUCUCGCUCGCCAUCACCGAGCAUCACCGACGCUGCUCCUGCUCCGUUCGCCUCUGCUCCUGCCACCUCCGUUCCGCCAGUAGCCGUGCACCAGCGCUGCCGCCUCGUCGCUCCACCUCCGAACCUCUGCCCGAGCACCAGAUCCCGAGUCCCCGCGACGCCGUUUCUGCUCUGCCUUCAGCCCGAAGCUCCACUGCUGCAACCAGACGUCGUUACUCCUGCUUGAUUCGCGAUCGGCCGCGACUUGCUGCAUCUGCUGGCCUCGAGACCUCUGCCCACGACGCCCGAGUUCAGCGCCAGGGUCCGUCCGCCACGCUCACCGAGCCUCUGCCGCGUCUCCGCCACUGCCCGAUCUGCUGACUGACCCGCGACGCCCUUGGACGCCGAGCUUCUUCACGCCCAAUCGACGCCGCGACCCGUCUGCUCCCGCGGCCCCGCCAAUCGACGCCGCAGCCCGACGACCACCGCGAUCAACACCCACGGAGACCCUCUGCAACGCUGCUGCCCCUCGCCGGACCUUCGCCGGAGCCCCGACCGCAACGCCCUUACCGGAGCCGGUGGCCAGCCGCACGGACGUGAAGUUUGAAAGGGAAGAAGAGAAAAAAAAGAAGAAAUCAUUUAGGUAGCUUUUUUUAUUUAUUUACUUUAUUUUAUUUUUUAAUGUUAUUCUCACUUUUUUUUUUCUUUAGUAGGAUUAUUCCUAAAUAUAUGAUUGAUGUUCUGAAAGUCCCCCUCAAGCAAGGGAUUGAUAGUCCGAUUUUCGUGCCCGAAAUCCGACUCGCAAUCCCUUAUAAAAAUCGACAAUCCAAUUUCAAGCCCGAGAUUUGAUUCGCGAUUUAAAAUUAAAAUUGGUCAACCCGAUCUCAUGCGCGAGAUACGGUUCGCCAAUUUUUAGAUAUCAAUAUUAUUUUGCUUGAUUUGAUAUCGUGUAUUUGGAUCAAUUUUAUUUUCAUAAGAGAAAAAAUCAUAAAAAAAAUUCAAAUUAGGAUUAAGUAUGUUUUAGAAUAUUCUUAGUCUUAGGGUUAAAAUCGCAAUCUGAUUUCGAAUUUUUUAAAUAAGAAAAUCAAAAAGAAAAAUCCGUAAGGACUAGGUUUGUUUUUGUUAUCUUGCAUAUUAGGAUUGCAAUCUUAUUAUGAAUUUUUUAAAUAAAAAAUCCAAAAAAAGUGCAUUCACUUAGGUUGUUAGUUUUUUUUUUGAAUUGCAUGUUAAUUAGGUAUUAAUUUUAAUUUCGAGAUUAAAGAAAAAUAUAAAAAAUCAUUGUGCAUAUUAGAUUAGAAUUGCACGUUUCAUUUUAGAUCAUCUUUUUUUAGAUAAAUGGCGUUUUAGAUUUGGAUAAUAUUUUAGUUUAGAUUAGGAUUUAAUAUGACUUAAUCCCUAGUUUAAAUUAGAUAGAAUCUUAAUCUAGCUAUAGAUCAUUUGAAAUUUCAUAAAAUUUGUCUUAGGAUAAAUUAGUUGCAAUUUCUAAGAUAGAUUGCAUUUUUUUAAUAAAAAAUGUCAUAUGCAUAUGUCAUGUAGAAUUAGAGCAUUCUUUGCAUGUCAUUGCAUGAUAAGAUUGCAUAUUAUAGGUUUAGAUAAUCUCUCAUAAAUAGAUUGCAUGCUUAUUAGGAAAAUAAAAAUCAUGUGCACGUCAUAUAGAAUUAGCUUCAUACAAUGCACGUCAUUUAGUGAUUUUUGUUAGAUGCAUCUAAUUAGAAAUUGCCCUUCAUUAGAAUUAGGUCAUUAAAUUAAUUUAGAUUGCAUAUUUAAGUGUUGCAUUUCUUUAAUUUCGAAUCUCAUGGAAAAUACAAAAAAAUUAUUUAGAAUAAAUCAUCUCAUGCUUAGGAUAGAUCACAUGCUUAGUUAUGUCAUAUUGCUUAGAUCAUGUAGCUAAGUCAUGAUGCCAUGUCAUAUCAUUCAUGUUAAAUUAGUGGCAUGCAUUGCAUAUUGCAUGAUUUUCAUUAAUUAAGUGAAAACAUAAAUUGAAAAAUUGCGUGUUAAUUAGAAAUCAUAUUUAGGACUGCUGAUGUGAAUUCUAAAUUAACAUUGCAGAUGCUUUCGUUGCUUUGAGGUAAGUUCUGCAUCAUUUAUUCAUUUGCUUUCUUGAGUGUUAAAUUGGUGGUAUGCGCACAUGUAUGAUCACCUCACAUGUUAGGAAGUUUAUUUAAAAUCAAUUCAAUUGCCAAACAUUUCUGAAAAUAAAAAGAAUGGUACCGAAAGGGCAUUAGAGAAAUCUAAUGUAAUCAAGUCCCCGUACCCUUAGUCUCUGGUUCGUAGGAGUAAAGUAAUUCUCCCAUUAUUUUACUUAGGUGUCUAAUCGACCUACCAUAAACUGAUUAGUGGCGACUCCUAAAUAAAAUCAAUUUGCAUGUUAAGAAUUCGAACCUAAGUCGCGAAUUGGUAUGGGCUUGGGAGAGCCCGAGUUAAGUCUAGGCUUAACAAUUCAUUAGCCAAACCCUAGGUGGUUCACACCCCGAAAAAGUGGUCGUGACAGAUACUGAAGUUUAUCUUGAAUGAUUUUCCCUCCUUGAGCAUGAUCUUGUUUGUAUGCACUAUUCCUAAUGGAAAUAUACUGACAUCUUUGACAUUGUAUUGAGAAUAUGCAGAAUGUGGUGUUGGUUCAUUUGCCAGUUACAUAUAGAUAAUUGUGACUAUUUGUUUUAGGAGCAGAAUCAGAUUUGUUUUGGCUUUGUAGAAGCAUUUACCUUCUAGAUUCUUGAAUAAGAGCAUUCUGAUGGCUAUCAUAGCUUCACAUAUAUUUCUCCAAUUUUACAUGGUGUCUGCAUCGACUCCAGCUUUUGGAACAUUAUGGAUGUCCAUGAGAGGAGGGUUAGUUUCAUCCAUCUUCUUUUAGCAGACAAUUAUUUAUGCAGCUAUGAUCAAAGUGGCUGCUUUUAGAUGCUAGAAAUGUGUCUCCUGUAGCAAGAGGUUGAAGCAAGCUUUUCACAACCCGUGCACUAAUAGUGUUCUAGUGCGCGGUGUUGAUGCCUCUCGACAUGGUGUCUUUGUGCCGACAUGUGGUAUCCACAGUGGGCAGGUGAAUUCACUGAAUAUCUGAUUCUUUUACUAGUUUGCGAUGUCCUCUCUCUGUGAUUUCCUUGAUAAUAUUACUGGUGCAGCAUAAUGGUUGAGCAGAUAAUCAAUUGAAUGUGGGGUUGCUCUAUCCUUAAUUGAACUGUGUAGGGAUAUUGUAUGCAUGUUGGCUUUUGGGUGACCAUGUUUAGUGGUUAAGACUUUAGUUUUUUGUUUUCGAUUUUUAUAGUACUCUCCUAGGUCCUUCAUGUCCUAAGAUAGUGCUGGCUGGUAAGCUCGACACUAUUUGUCUGAACAGCCUCAUUUAACACCAAGAAGUUUCUUUGGAGUUGAAGAUUACUUGGAUGAUAACAACAGCUGGCCAUACAAUUACCAAAAGGGGAAAAAGUCCAAGAAUUCGAAUAGGCACAUGUCCUUCACACAGCACACCAUAGCCUAGGUGGAGCCGUUCAUGCUAGAUGUUUUUAUCUCCAAGCACUUUUUCUCAACUUCACUGACUCACAGGGCCACGUGCAAGCAGGUUGCUGUUGCGGGUACCAACUCUAAGGACAUCAAAGCUGUACUCAAGUCUCGAUUGGACAUAAUUGCCUGUUUGGCCAUAGGCCGGAUUCUGGCUGACUGGGCGAGGGAAGCUGAUGUGUGCACUGCUUCCUAUACUAAAUCAAAGCAAUAGUUCAGUCUCUAAUUGACAGUGGCAUCAACAUUAAAGUUUAUAUUGACUGAUUUUCCCUCCUUGAGUGUGAUCUUGUUUAUACCUUGUAGGAGUAUACUAACAUCUUUGACAUUGUUUUGAGAAUGUGCAGCAUGUAGUGUUGGUUCAUUUGCUAGUUAAAUAUAAAUAAUGGCGACUGUUUGUUUGACUGGUGCAGAAUCCAAAUUUGUUUUGGCUUGUUGAAACAUUGACCUUCUCGAUUCUUGAAUGAGCAUUGUGAUGGCUAUCAUAGCUUCAUAUGUCUUUCUGUCAUUUUGCAGGGUGUUGAUAUCGACUCCUGCUUUUGAAACAUUAGGGAUGUCCAUGCCACGAUGAUUAGUUUCAUCCAAUCUUCUUAGCGGACACUUUAUUUACAAAGUUAGAACCAUAGCUCUUGAGAGUCCAAAGUACUAUCAUCACAUGGAUUGGCAAGUAAUAUCCUACUCAAAUUAUCAUAACUUAAGUUACUUUAGUUGUCUAUUGUUCAGUUUUUUUACUUGAGUUCAUAACAUAGAGAUACAUAGAUAUUACUUCGCCUGCAUUUGUGACUUGAUGGUACAUAAUCAAUUAACUCGAUAUCGCGUGAUAUGGUCAUUGUAUUCUUGUGGAAAAUAUGAGACUAUAUUUAAAGUGUUGUUUAGUCAUUCUUUUUCUUCUGCUUCUAACUUUGACUCUCUUGGACAAAAAGAGUAGGCCUCAUUGAAAGGUGAUUUUAUAUGAUGUGCUGCUUUUCUAAUGUUAUUUCUUGCCAAUUUACUUUUGUGGAUACUAAGAAAAAAAAUUUGUACAUAUUUGAUGCCAUUCUAAUAUUCCUGUGUUAUUACCACAAUAGUAGGAUCGCCUAUGUUGACAUAAGAGUCUCUCUAAAUUGCAAUGAGUUCAAGCUAUAAUAUCGUCAAACCAUCAAAGAGAGAGAAAGAGGCAUUGGAUCCAAUUUACUGUAGAAUUCCUUCAUAAACCCCUCGCCCCAGCUUUCUGAGAUUCACAGAUCACGAUAGUACCUGCAUUUUACUCACUCCUCUCCCCUGGCGGUUGAGCCACAUAUUAGGAUAAAGAGAGAUCCGAAAUCCAAUCUGCUCACAGAUGGAGUGUGAUAUUGACAUGUAAGGAAAGUAAGCUAGUUGAUUGAAGGUGAUCUAAUUGCUUCGCAAUUCACCUAUUUUAGAUAAAUCCACAGCAAAAGCAGAUGAUCUAAGGAUCACUCAGGUUUGGAGCCUAUUGCAAUUUCAUAUGUUCAUCGGAUGGCUAGUAUGAAGAAGAAAAGCUCACUUGCUAGUUGUUAUUGUCAGAUAAAGUUUGAAUUCUGCUCGUCCUCUUGUUGCAGUUUUAGUUGUAUUCAUUGCUUUUUUGGUGCUUCAUCCUCAUAGCUCUUUCCAUAAGUGCCAAUAUGGACCAUCAAUUGUUUUUUAAUUGGAUUAGGAAGUAAUACUCUCCUAGCUAUGGAAAAAUGUCAUCGGGGCAUCUUAAGAGUUCCUAGUAAUCUGACUCUUCCAUUGUUUCAAACGAGUUCAUAAAAUACAUCAAAUAGCUCACAAACUUAAAGCACUAUAGUCAUUUCCAUGACAUGUUUGCACUUAAAGUGCUGCAUAUCUCUGUACUAGUCAAAUGUCCACAAUUUAACAUAAUCAAUAUAUAAUGAGAUAUUGCGCAGCAAAACGUUAUUUCUGAGUCCCAGGAUAAGGUAGCUGUGUUUGGUCGGGGGUUAUUUACUCCUGAAUCAUAUUUUGAACGUGUCAUUUUCCAUGCACUUGGUUUCAGUGAAGUACAAAUGCAAGCCAUCUAUAUCUUGUCCGAAGCAUCUUCUUCUUCAUAUUUCCUUCAGAUAGUCACAAAGCAAAAUUCGGAGUUUGACCCUGUUGCUUCUUCAUAAAAAUUUAUAAGUAGGAUUGAGAAACCUGGUUAUCUGAUUAUCCAUGCUGAGGAAUCUGUUGAUUCUAGGACCACUACUGGAAUAAUAUUUCUCUUUUACCAGUUCUGAAAACAAAGAUCCGUUUUCUGGAAGUUUAAGCUGUCCAAAGUCUCUUCAAAUGUCCUGUUUGAUAUUGUUCCUUGCCAUAUCUUUUCAUUGCUUUAUCUCUCGUACUCCGGUUUAUUAGGAUCUGUUUCUGAGAAUGUCCAGAGUAGUUGAGUCUGGGGUUUCUUGUCCUAGUUCGUUGAAGCUGUCAUCAUUCGUCUAAUAUAUUACAAUGGGGGCACUAGUUGACAUACUUUAAAACUCGUUGCAAGUGCAAAUGCCUUUUCUUAUGCAGUUCGUAGUACUUGGGCUAUCUGUGUGUUAAUUUGCUUCUCGCUUAUUACAGUAUACCUCAGGUCAAUGGCAGACUUGAAGAAACUUCACAAAAUGGUGCCAAUUUUACUUUACCAGCUUCUCUUCAAGGGCAUGAAAAGGUGUCUGUCGUUCUUAAAUAGUUCACUACUGUUCAUUCUAAGGAGCCCUUCGAUCAUAUUCAACAUGAAUCUUGCAAAAGUUGUCAAUAAAGAAGAUGAUUACGCAAGUCCUAAAAUGUACCAUCACGUAAAAGUUAAUUUCCACGAGGAACAUCUUGAAUCUAACAUUGUAUCCAUUCGUUUUUUGCCAAAGACCUAAUUGUUGAUUAAAAGCUAAUUUCCACAAUGCACUAACAGCACUUCUUGCUCGAUAUUUACAUGUUUUUUUUUUCUUUUUUCGCUUGGAUGGGGUGUCUAUUCUUGUCUUGCUCAGCCUCACCAUCUUUCUUAUCAUUCGGCAAAAGAAAAAAGAUUAAUGAAAAGGAAUUGCCAUAAUCACAAGCCCGCUCAUAGCAAUCAGAUGAGCAAUGCUGGUUAUCGCCAUUGAGAUCACUUGUAAAUCUUGUCUUGAUGGAUCUCUCAACCGCGAUUAUGACCCUACCGAUGACAAUUGCAAGCUCAUGCUCAUGCCCCCAUAAUCGACCCCUGCAACACUAGCUAUGUGUGAAUUUUAAAUGACACCAUAACCCACUAUGGCCACUUACUCCAGCACUCAAUGUUAGCAUCCGGCUAUGUACAAGUCGCAGUAGCGUGGUCAAUGGGAAAAAAGAAAAAAUUGAAAAGGAAAACGAGGUGCCGUCUCCUUCCAUUGCAUGACAUCAUGUCUAUAUCUUCCUGUUAAAUGACCCCGGCGCGGAUUUGCUUGAGUUCGCGGAGGGAUUUGCAGUCUUUGAGGUACGAAACGAACGAUGUCGGGCUCGGAGAGAGGGAGUCGGAGGAGGAGUUGAGGAAAAGUCUUGAACAGACGUGGCCGGGUGUUGGCAGAAAGAACGGGACUCUGACUCCAGCCAACAUGUGCGAGGCUCAAAACUCAAACAAAAUUUGGGGUUUUAUAUACUAAUGCAAAGUGAUGAUGAUGAUGACAAUGGUGAUGAUUUUCAAAAGGACCUAAAGGGGAUAUUGUCUCAAAUAAGAGUAUAAAGUGAUUAACUUAGGUGCGUUUAGUUUUUUUAUUUAUUUAUAGAAAUAGUCCUUUAAUAUUUCUAUUCUUAACAAUUUCUAAGUGAAAGAACGUGUUUAGUAACUACGUAAAAAAUCUGUUCUCAGAAUUAAAAAAGAAUAAGAAAGCAUUUUUUAUGCCAUAGAAUUUCUUUUUAAAUUUUUUAGAUUUUUUUCCCCUCUCUUCUUCUUCUUUCUCCUCCUCUAGCUUGUGAUUGGCGAACGGUUGCUGGCGAUCGGUGACCAGCAACAGGCGACGAUAGAGGAUAGCGGCGGUCAAUUGGCGACAAUGGAGGACGACGGGGGACAACGGGGGCAGCAGACAUCGAGGAAGAAGAAGUAAAGGAAAAAAAAAAAAGAAAGGAAAGAAAAUGGCUCAUUUAUAAAAAUUGUUUCCGGAAAUAAGAAAUUACUUGUUUCUACUCAUCAUUUCUAUUCCAAAUCUAUUCCAUAACUGCUUUUCUAUUUUGGAUAAUGGAAAAAUUAAUUGACGUUACCAAACAAAUUUCUAUUCUUUUUCUAUUUCGAGGAAUGGGGAACAAAAAAGCAAAAGAACAAAGAAACAGGAACAUUGCCAUGCAGUGCCUUAGUCAAUCUCAACUUAAAAGCCAGCUAAAUCUUAAUUGUAGCUAGGGUAUUUCCGUCUAAAGACCUUCUUUCUGUCCUUUCUUCUUUUAUUUCUUUCCUCUUUCUUUUCUUCAUCGUCCUCGUGCCUCCACCUUCUUCGCUCUUUAGAUCGCAUUCUGUAGAGUCCAUCUCUAUCUUCCCAGCCAACCUCGCCAUCGACGCUCUCAACCUCCCCCAUUAUGCCCUCAACAGCAGUUCCAGUACCUUUGUGAAAAGAUGUAAGUCUAUCCGAGCCCUAGAUCGAGCACGAGUGGGCCAAGAUGUGACACUUUGCUCGGUUUGACCCCCACAUCUUGUGGUCGUGGUCAAGCAUGGCGAAGUGUAAUCCAUUAGCUCGCUGUCCUUGUCGUCGUUGAUGCUUGAACUCAAAUUUGUCCUCGUGGUCAAGCAUGGCGAAGUGUAAUCCAUUAGCUCGCUGUCCUUGUCGCCGUUGAUGCUUGAACUCAAAUUCGUCCUCACGCAAGCUAUGAUCAAUCUCAACGAGAAGCUGGAUUGAAGUCCCUAAGCGAAAUUUAUUAGAGGUGUUUUGAGGAAUCCCUAUGAUAUUCAUGUGCACCAAUUCGUUCAGUGAAAUGUGCGAUUUUUGGGGAUUUCAGAGCGAUUUUCCAUUUUAAUCAUCUUAUUAUUCUCAAUAAAAUCUAUGAAGAUAAUAUUUUAGAGUUAGAGAUGCAAAUUUGUUUCUACAUUUGUGGAACUAGAGUCAUCUGUUUUUGAGAUUGAGUGCUCUCUGAUUCGAAUCGCUAGUGGCAACGAAUAUCUUCAAUUAUGAGUCAGAAUGAUUCAACAACCUUUGUAGAUAACCAGCUUGUGCUACACAAUUGGCCCCUCUCGAGAAGCCACAUAUUCCACCUCAAUGCAAGCUGCGUCUAUCAAUGUUAUGAAUAAUCCAACCCAAACCCAACAUAACAUUCCCUAGAAAUUGUGAGUGAAAGUUAUCACGGCAUAGCCAAUUUCUUUAGCUGGGAGAACAUGAAAUUGUUGCACUAAUUACCAGGAUAAGUUCUUACCAGCAAAAAGAAUAAAAACAAAACCCAUUUAUGGAUUCUCCAUUCUCAAGUUUUUCAUCAUCAUCGGAUAAGGUGACUAGUGGCAAAUAACUUCAAUUCGGCUUCUGCUGAAAUUGAAUAGUGUUGGAUAAGGAUGCGAAAUUGCAGAAUGCAGAGAACGCACGUUGAAGUUUGUUGAUGGGGAGGCUGCAAAACUAAAGCAUGCAAUUUGAGUUUUGGAAAAUUGCAGGACUUCUCGAAUAUCUUUCCAUUUUCUUCUUUUCCUAAAUUGUUCAAAUUGUUUUGCACUUGUGCAAACUCGUGCAUGAGUCUGACACAGUUGUCAAGAAAGAGGUGAUGCAACUGGAGAAGGAGGAGGUGCAAGCAAGACGAUGACAGAAAGAAAAGAAAAGAAAAAAGAAAAAACAAAAACAAAAACAAAAAAUCCUUAGAUGAAAAUACUCCUAGCUGCAAAUAAGAUUUGCCUGACUUUAAAAUUAGGGCUCUUAUUUGGGACUAAGUUUGUCAUUUCAGACCCUUAUUUGAGAUAAAAUCUACUUUAGGUCUUUCUUUUUUAGAAAACAGUUACACUUCAGGUCUUUAUUUGCAAUAUUCCUUAUAAUAUAUGAUCACAGCAAUGCUUAGGCUUGAUUGUCGCAAACUCUAAGCGAUACAGGCUUAAGAAACUUAGUCCGGACAAAAUAAUUGAAGCUACCUCAUAUAUGCACAACUCACUUUUCAUUCAACGGUUCAUUGCGGAGAACUUUUGGUGCCAUCCACUCAGCCUGACACGACCAAGAACUUCACAUUAGGAACAGCUCAAAAUCUCGAGAAACAUCAAGAAUGGUUUCUUCAAAUCCAAAUAUAAAAUAAAUAUGGAAAACAAGACUCUCAGACUCUUAGGGAAUUGUUUAGUAAUUCUAUGGCAAACUGUUUACUAAUUUUACAAAUUAAAACACUGUGUACUUGUUUGUCCGACUAUUUACAUUGCAUUAGAGAAGAAGUCUACUUCCGAAAUGACAAUGAUGUUUCCAGCCGUUUUCUCUUUGUUUCCUCUUUCGUUGCUAAUUGUCCAUUUAACUUCACUGAAAGUUAUCAGUAGAAACCAUCCAAAUGUCUCUCUAUUUCAAUAUAGUUGGAUAUCUUUCUCUCUUCAUCAUUGAAAAUUCUUCAAGAAUGAUUUUCAAGAAAGCUUCCAAUUUUACCGUUUCAGCAGUUGAGCUAAAUGACAAUAAAGUAUUAUGCUUCAAGCAUGACAGCCCAAAAUCACAGACCUGCACAACGAUAAAUUUUAGUGAGGAUGCAAAUGAUAUUUUACUGCAAACUUUGAUCAUCAUUCACAUCGAAAUCACAGAGCACAUUACUGAUGGAAAUUGCAUCACAUCAGCAAGUUUGGUAAAUCUAGAAUCAUCCACAUCAGGUUUCUAUACAAAUGUAGGUUCAUGUAUGGUUGUGAAAAGAGAAAAUGAGAAGUCAGAGUAUACAAGAAGUAAAGUUCACAUGUUAUCCUAGAAUAAGCUAAUAACAGUCAAUAUCAAGCACAUCUAAGGUGCUCACAAUGUCAAAAAGAGUAUCUGAGAAAAAGAGAAAAAGGCAAGUAAGACGUUAGUAGCACUUAGGAGAUGGAUGAAUGAUAUGCACGCAAGAGAAUAGCUUGAUUUGCUAUUUAAAGAAUUGGAUGAAUGAAUAAAAGUGUCAGGCUACAUUAAUAAAUUUUAUGUACUUUGACGAUCUAGUUUUUGUCAACAAGAAGAUUUGGUGAUUUCAAAUCUCGAUGAACUAUUGUUGGGACGCUUGUGUCCAAGCAAUUCAUUCCCCAUGCCUGUAAAAUUUGCAUAAGCACUUAAAUCGAUAUCAGAAAAGCAAAUCUCUAUAUCUCCAACAACAGAGAGAAGGGAGACCAAUUGUUUCAUACCAAAUCAAGGGCCGUUUUUAUCCUGCGUUUCUCAUUAAAAUGACAGUGAGGACGAUGUAUACAAGCUUCCCCCGGAGAAGUAAACAAAAGUAGAUAGAUGAGCCGCAUCCCCCUAAAAACAAGUGAUGUCGUUCCCAUACUACCAAGGUUUUUUAAGGUACAAAAAAUUGUACCUUGGAAGAUACUCCAUAAUGAUAAAAAGAUGUUGAGACGGGCCACAGCACCCAUGAAAAGAACAAGAUUUGGAUGAUGCAGUCUACGGAUCAUCUGCACCUUGGAACAGAAGAAGAAGACACACUGUGAGUUAUCUUCCUAGAUAUAUUGGAAAGCAUUUGUUGACUCAUUGCUCUGAUUAGUCCUUAUUUAUUUCCUUGCUAAAUAAGCAAAUUAAGCAAACAAAUUAAUCGUUGAACACAACUAUUUCCAUAGACGUGGACAGAUCAUGGAACCCAUGAAAAGUAUGACACUCUGAUGACACUGUCUACGCAUUAUCAGUAAACUUGGCACAGAAGCAAAAAGCACGGUGCAUAGUCAUUUAUCUUACAGUUGUUGGAUAAACCGGUAAAGCAUUUCUUUGUCCUCAAUUUUAUUCUUGCUCAAAAUGCAAAUCAAUUACUGAAUACACUAGUUCAUCAGCUUCCAAAAUACAUACAGAUACACAUAAACUAAACUGAACUUGUAAUCUGUGGAUCUUUCUCUUUUGUUUUCAACUAUCAGACUUCAUGUGUCAUUCAGAUAUUAUGUAAAGAACAUUAAUUUAAUGUCUCGGCAUUAUACAGAUCACCAAAAAAAGCAGACCAAAUCACCAACUCUAUGCCAACAUCAACAAAGCAACGGGAAAGCAUAUUGCCCCUUUUCUCCUGUAAUAUUUCUGACAAUGCAGAAUGCACGGUGCAAUAAGGUAGUCUUACUGGGAAACUCAUGCCUAUUAAGCGGCCGCGCUGUUCUUUCCUUUACAAUGUUCAACCAAGUUUUAUUCUUUACAAGUUUUGAGUUCUCAAUAAAUCUGGAAGAUUUUGUCCCCACAAAAAAAAAAAAAAAAAAAGAACUGGAAGAUAAAAAGCACAAAUGAAAGACCUAUCGAUAGCUUUCUUCUCGUCUAAAGUUAUCCAAAGCAGCACCUGAGAGAUCCUGAUCCAGAAAUUUCUUCACAGCCACCUCCAGGUGAACGAGCAAGACUCAAAGAUGGAUUGCAAUUUAUCUUAGGUCUCAUGAUGCAUUAUAGAUUUUAAAUUUUAAGAGCACAUCACCAAGUAAUUUGCAAAAGGAAAUGUCUAAAUUGCAAAGUACUGAUAAUAAGUGCAAAAAAUUCUUUCGAAAAUGUUAAAAAGAGAGAGAGCCAUCUGCUGCUUCUCUUUCCAUUUCUUGAUAUUUAAGAGUAUAUAAAACCACAAGAACGACAAACUUAAACAACCCAGUGUUUAAAGUGCUUCUACCAAAUGGAUGGGGUUCGAUUGAGUCACGGACUAACAAUAUACAAAAAGACUUUGCAACAGCCUAUUCAUUGUGACUAUUUGUAAAAAAAUCUUCAGUCUUCACAGUGAGGAUUCGAUUACAUCCAGAGAACCUGCAACUCUGUACCGAAGAGCUAAACAUGGAAGCGGAACCUCAACAGCACCUACUAACAGAGUAGCAAGGGGGCCAAAAGUAAAACUCCCUUUUGCUUAUCCAAAGUACAAAAGAGAGAGUAGCAAGACGAGGCCAUGAAUGAGCAAUGAGGAAUUAGUUAUUAUGGUCGGCACCAGUCCAACAAGUCGUGUGCGUAUGUCAAGUUACCAAUUCUGAAGCUUUUUUUACCAACCCAGGUAGAAAUUCCAGAUUUUGAUACCAUAUCUGAUGUCACUAUUACACACACUAGCUGCUUAGUCUAAAAAUCUAAAACGUUAGCACAAAAGCAGGACACUGAAGUACUAACCGUCAUUUCUUUUGACUAAAAAGACUACAUGUCAAAUUCAAGGAGGAUCUUUUGCUUAAAAGUAGUCAUAUAAAAGGAGUCAACGGAUAUAAUCACAUUCCAUAAAUUCAAACAAAUAUAAGUCAGGGGCCUUUUGUCUUUUCUCGGUGUACUGUUCAUCACCCUCUCCUCUGCUGCGUUCUAACCUGGUUCUCAUCGGCUUCCCUUGCUCAAUCCGGCCGUUCCAGACCUCCGUUUGGCGUGAAAUUUGGGGGUUCACCUCCUCUGGUAAGCCCCUCGUUCCUCACCGAACGGAUUCGGUUUUCUUCCUCUCUAUGGCGAGAUCAGAGCUGCCCUUCAUCACGAGAAUCGCCCUGUUGCUGCGCUACUCGAUCCCUCGAGGUGCGGUUGCUGGUUCGACUCCAACCUUCUCAUAGCGGUUGUUAGGCGUCCCAGCACCCUCAGGUAAGCCUGCUGUGCCACGGCCUUGCUCCCGAUCGACUGUUGGUGCGUUUGUACCCUUUGUCCCGGACCGCUAUGCUGCUUCAUUGCUUCCGAACGGCUGCUGGUGCGUCGCCAGCCUAACUCGAAGGGGUUGUGAGGUGUCCCAACACCCUUCUCGGUCAAGCAUGUCGUGCUACGGCCCUAGUCGAGGUACUUCAUCCCUUCAAGUAGGAGCUAAUCAGUCCGUUCAGUCUGUCCGAGCUCUUUGGAGCCUCUGGCCACUGCUAUUCUGAGGUUCUAGCAAGAGUUUCGGUCUCAACAGCACCUGCCUUAGCCUAGUUAGCCUCUCACUUCUCUUUAUGGCUGCUAUGUAGAGGGUUCGGGUGUUAGCUGGCUGGGUAUUACUGUAGUUAUGGCUGCUCCAUUUGCUGUGCUUGGUGAGCCGAGUAUUGCGGCCCAGUUGAGAGCUGGAACGGAGAAGGCUUCUAGCCCUCUCAAUCGAAACAAGGAGGCCCAGUCCUCCUUGCUCACGGGCAAGGCUGUCACGCCCCGAUCUCUUAAACGGGGAUGUCAUGCCCCGAUCCUCCGAGCGCGCGAACAUCCCACUCUGGUCGAUACAAAUGCGACUUCCCAGGACACGUCGCCGACCCAUUCAAUUUUAUUAUGCAUGCGGAAGCGAAACAAAUCCCCUGACAACAUUAAACUUGGGAUAGAAAAGCAGGCAAUCAAUCACAACCAAACAAGCUUUCUUAUAAACACAUAGGUUUAUAUACAACACUGGAUUGCCUACAAAAUAGACCGGCUCAAUAAAAAGGGAACUGUCCUAUGACCAACUUGUCAGACACGUUCACCGAUUCUUCAGACUCCACCUUCCGAACUCCAGGACUUCCGGUCCUCCACGACCGUUAUCUAGGGACCUGAAAUAUUAUCCCACAACCGGGAUAAGACUACGUCUCAGCGAGUCCUACCAUCUAAAACUCAAUUAGGAAGAAAAUACGCCUCAGGGCGCUCUAGCCACACAAAUAGGAUAGAUGGCUUACCUCGCCUCAGUCCCUUUCCUGCACGUCAGUACAAUUCAUAUUCAAGCAAUGCUCGUACAAGCUGAAACUACCGACACUUAUAUCGGUCUAUCAAUUCAAUCAAUCCAAUCAUUCGCAAUGAUUCAAUUCAAUCAUAUUAUCUAUCUUUCCAUACUGUCUACCAAACCAGUCGUUAAUACGACAUAUGCUUUCCAAAGCUGUAGCUGAUAGAUAAUAUAAUAGCUCGCCAGAAGCUGCCGCAAUAUUCAUAUAGUAUACUAUAGCUCACCAGAAGCUGCCGCAAUAUUCAAUAUAGUAUACUAUAGCUCACCAGAAGCUGCCAUAUAUAUAUGUAUAUCAUAAUUGCUCGCCUAAGCGGAUACAUAUAUAUAAACUAAGCUGAUCAUUCAAUAAUAAACCAACUCAUACCUCAAUUUAAUCAAUCAAUCAAUCAAUCCAAUCGAUUCAAACUGGUUAUACAAACCAAUUACGGUGCUAAAAGCCAACACCGGGUAUUUUCAAGUUAAAUACCACAACUUCAUCAAUAUCACUCAAUUCCACACUUUUGGAAUUAUUAACCAUAAUCAUCAAUCACUCAAUUUCUCAAUUUAAACAUACAAUUAACACAAACCGACCGCACUGCUGCGAUCAGCGCGGAAUUCUAACGACCGGCCAUCCCGGCAUAAUUUUCGAAAUUAUUAAAUAAUUAAAUUUAAUUCCGAAAAUUAAAUAAUUAAAUUUUAUUUUAUAAUAAUAUAAUUUAAUAAAAUAAUAUUUAUAAAUUCGAAAUAAUUAUUUAAUAAAAAAUAAUUAAUUAGGGCUUAAACUAGAUUACACUAAUUUAAACAUACAAUUAGCCCUAAUUAAACAUCCAUUAAACUAAUCACACAACUAAUCUAAUUUACAUUAAAAUAAUCUAAUCUAACCACCUAAACCUAAUUAGACUAAUCUAAACACCCCUUAAGCAUCAUUAACUCACUAAGCAAGAAUUAGAGGAUAAACUCACCGGAUUAACAUUCCGGCGAGUCCACGGCGAAGGCGACGCCAAGGCGGUCGAUAAACCCCAAAGCGGCGACACCAACGGAGGCCGGGAAGACACUGAAAACGGGCCUCGAAGUCUCCAAAACCUUGCUGUCUUCUGCUUCUGAUCUGGACUGAACUGUAGAGAAGAAACCAGCAACUUCAACGGCGAAAACGAGCCGAUCGGAGCUCCGGCAAGCGGGUGGUUGGCAACCAAUGGCUCCCGGGGGUCUUGGGGAUCUUGUAGGAGGUUGGGAUGGGCAAAGGAAGGGUCGGAAAGGGGCGAAACAGCAAGAAAACGCGAAACAGGCGGAACCGGGCGGGUCCAGACGGUCCGGCGAGCGGCGGCUUCGGGCGGCAGUACGGGACGGCCGGAGAAUCGUUCCGGCGAGCGGAGAGGUGCUCCGGAGCGGUCUGGAUGUCCUCUUCGCGGAGAUGGGUGGCUCGUUUGCUGAUUCAACCGGGAAGUUAACUUUUUACUUGGAUCUUUGGCGAAAGGUCAGUUGGAGCAGAAACUGGAACGAGGGGAAAACAAGAGAGGAAAACGGCCGACGAUGGCCUUUCGGGCGUGCGACGAUGGAGGGGCUGGUGAGCUCGGUUUCCUCUGGUUCUCUUGAGCUUUUCCUAAGCCUCAACCAUGGAGAAAGCCAUGAAUAAAGGAAGAAGAUGGUCUGCUGAAGAGGGGGGUCUCCUUGGUGGCUCACUAGAGCUCAACACUUGUCUAAACCUCAUUUGCUUUGCCCCCACCAUGACAUCACAUGACAUCAUCCACUCUCUCUCCUCAAUCUUCCUCCACAACCUUGCCAAUAGGUGCAAAAUAGCUCUUCCCCAUGGUAUACGAAUUUCAUACAUUUGUACAUCAAAUUCAAUCAAUUCUCACUCAAUUCCAUCCAAUUGAAGCUCAAUUAAAUCAACCCAUGUGUCCUCGGCCUUCUCAUGAAAUUUCCCCAUCAAAUGAUCCAACUUGCAUCCCGAAGAUUCGAUUAAAAACGGCCCUCUGACAAUCCCGAACAAAAACGAGAUUACUUUGCUUUUCCGCCAAAAAUCUCGGUUUGUAGAAAAAUCUUCUGGAGAUGAGUCGACAUUCCUAAAAUGAAUUAUGACUUGACAGAACUUCCAAUUUCUAUAAUCGGGUUCAAUUUCACGGUUAAAUUCAAUCUGGCGUGACUUUAGCGCAUCAUAAUCUACCGGGUAGCUUUUAGGAAUUUUCUGUGCAAUUGACCUGUGGUUGAUUAUUCUCAAGCCACAAAGUGCAUCUUUGACACAUUGGCGACUCUUGAUUGUCGUAGAAAUCUCGAGGUUUCAAAUACGGACAUAGGGUACCAAAACGAUAGAGAAAUCGGUCUAGUGUCGAUCAACAAGAAUUGUGCAAUUAGGUGGAAUCACCCAUACUGAAUUACAUGGUUAUGUUGAAUCGACCUAUCUCCGGUCUCUAAUCGGUCUGUGCCGUAAUGACCCUUGCAGAUUAGUACGGUCGAGCAGUCGUUUCCUGGUCGAAUUCUCAAGUCUAUUGCGUUUAGAUUCCUUAACGGCUUCACCUGAUAGACUAGUUAUCUCGUGAGUGAUCAGCUCAGAGAAGAAAGCUAUAGACGCGAAGAUGAAAUGCCCGACUUAUUUAAUUGAAACUAGAAUUGGAAAAUCGGGAUGUCACAAAGGCUAUUACAAUAGCAGAGACCUCAAACUGUGGUCGUCCCAAGGAUGCAGUCUGUGAUAGGCGUUCAAGAGGAUGAAGCAGAGCGAGGUCGGCUUCCAAACGGCCCCAGGCCUCGCAAAAGCAAGUGAGGAAACCAGAGGCCCCGGUUGCUCAGACGUGGGCAAAUGUUGCGAAGCUUGCAGCGAAAGGGUAUGACCUUACCUUUGUUCCUCCUUCGUUUGAGAUGAUGUCCUUGUGGUGGAUCUCCCUGAAGAAGUGCUGGAUGCGGUGGAUUCCAAAUGGUAUGAGUGCCUAGUUGGGUAUUAUGUAGGAAGGAGUUUUCCAUUCCAGCUCACGGAGCACACGCUCAAGCUUUAUUGGGGACCGAAGCUUAUUGAGGUCUUCGCCAAUGACCAGGGCUUCUUUUUCUUCUGCAUCCCUGACCCCGAGUUUCGAAGGAAGAUUUUGGAAGAUGGACCUAUAACGAUUGCAAGGGUUCUGCUCGUUUUGCAACGAUGGAAGCCUCUUCUAGAGUUGAAGAGGGAGAAGCAAACCACGGUGCCGGCGUGGAUUCACUUGAAGAACCUACCUCUUGACCUCUGGACAGCCCCGGCAAUUAGUGCCAUCGCGAGUACUGUUGGCAAGCCUUUGUUUGUUAAUCAACGCACGAAGCAAACUCAAAGGAUCUCUUUCGCAAGAGUUUGCGUGGAGCUUCAAGUUAAUCAGCCGAGGGUCUCCUCGGCCAAGGUAAGACUAAAUGGAGUUGCUCGGUUCAUUGCCAUCGAGUAUGAGUGGAAGCCAGCGGAAUGCUUAAAGUGUGGCUCCUUUGGGCACAAUUGUGCAGCCUCUUUAGCUGGUCCGAAGGCGGUGCAAGGCCAGCAGCAGGUUCAAGCCAUCCCCUCCCCCCCAGUGGAGGUCCGCCCCCCCGAGACUUCUCCGGUGUUGGUGGUAGAUCUGAAUGAGGCUAAAUUGGGGUGGAAACAAGUCAAGGGAAAGAAGAAGAAAUCUCCCCCUCCUAAGGAGACGUGCUUAGCCCAUCCGAUCAGCUCUGGAGACGAGGAGCCAUCCCUUAAGUAGGCAGCAGCAACUCUUAAGAGCUUGCCAUCAACCUCUACCCAGAGGGCUCAGAGUGGACUUCGAGCCCUCAUCAAGGUGGAUGCUCCUGACUCGACAGUGGAGGAAAACGCCAUUAGCCAUCCAGAUGCAGACUCGGGGAGUGGAGCAGAGUUGAAUGGGUCUGCCAACCACCUAGAUAGCUCAGAUGAUGAUCUUCUCUCGCCUUGUCUAUCGCCGAAGGCUCCUCCAACUAGGAGCAAGGAGGAGACUACCCAGGACAAGUUCUUGGCGCUCUCCCCGGUCCCACCUCCUCCAUUGGCUCGUGCGGCUCCCUCUCCGAGCUGUCGCAAGCCACCGAAAAAGAGGUAACCCUUACUCUCUUCCUCUUUUGUACAUAUGUAUAUAGGAUCUGGAAUAUUAGAGGCCUUGUCGACCCGACUAGGCAAACGAAGAUUCGUAACCUCAUUAUUUUGAACCACUUGUGCUGUAUUGGUUUGGUGGAAACUAAGGUGCCACAGGAUCGCUUCAACUCCAUCUCCGAAGGUCUAUUGAGGGAUUGGUGUUGGAUUGUAAACUAUGACUUCUCCCCCAGGGGUAGAAUUUGGGUUGGUUGGGACCCCGUGAGGGUUAAGUUUGAAGCCUUCUUAGUCACCAAGCAAGUGAUUCAUGGGAACUUUGAGAGCCUGGUCUCUGGGGUGGCUUGCUGUGUAUCUUUUAUUUAUGGAGAACACUCCUUUUCGCUGAGGAGACCUCUUUGGGAGGAUAUCAUUCUUAGAAGCAUCCAUCUCCGGGACACUCCUUGACUUGUCUUGGGGGAUUUCAAUGCUAUUAAGGAUCCAUCGGACCGUGUUGGUGGCUCCGAAGAUUGGCUCCCUUGUUUUGAUGAGUUUAGACAGUGCUUGGAGCAAGCCGAGCUGGAAGACUUGAGGUUCGUUGGUUUUAGAUACACUUGGACUACGUCUUCAGGGCAUUCUAGGAAAGCAAGAAAGAUUGACAGGGUUCUAGUGAACGCCAAGUGGAGCCUGGAUCUCUCUUACUCGGAAGCCUCCUUCCUAGCACCGGGAAUCUCAGAUCACUCGCCUAUGGUGGUGAAGGUGCUUAAUUCGACUCACCGGAGGAAGCCCUUCAAGUUCUUCGACUUCUGGAUGAAGCACCUGGAGUUCAAUGAGAUUGUCUCGCAAGUGUGGAAUGCGCCGGGGGGUGGUGUUCCUAUGUAUAGGCUUGUGUCUAAGCUCAAGGCUCUUAAAUGUCGGCUCAAGUAGCUCAAUAGAGAUUCCUUCUCUAAUAUCUCUGCCAGAACUCUUGAUGCGCGGAAGUGUUGGAGGCCACUCAAGUAGAUUUGCAACUAAAUCCCUUUUCCGCUGACCUUACUGAACCCAAACGACACCAGUAAGACGUAUCUUUGCAGAGUUGCAUUCCUCGGAGGAGUCAUUCUUCAGGCAGAAGUCCAAGGUCAUAUGGCUCAGGGAGGGAGACUGUAAUACCAAGUUCUUCCACCAAUAUGUUAACAAAAGACAUUUGAGGAGCAUAGUCAUUUCCAUCCUUAACUCUUCGGGGAACCUGGUGACUGAGCCACGGUUGGUGCAACGACAAUUUGUAGAGUUCUUUGAGGACCUCUUGGCACCGCAAGAGGAGCUCAUUAGAACUUCGCUAGAGGACUUGAGGGAGGUUAUCCACCAUCCACUCUCGGUUGAUCAGGCUGUGCUCCUUGCUCGGCCGGUUACAGAGUUGGAGAUUCGGGACACUAUCUUCUCCUUGCCUAGGGGAAAGGCUCUUGGGCCGGAUGGUUUCACAGCGAAGUUCUUCAAAGAAAACUGGGACAUGGUUGGUCCUUUAGUAUUGGCUGCAGUGAUGGAUUUUUUCACCUCCAAAAAACUCUUGAGGGAGAUUAACAAUACCAUCUUGGUGAUGGUUCCUAAAGUGCUCAACGCCACUUCUGUGGAGGAUUAUAGGCCUAUCGCCUGCUGCAACACUAUUUACAAGUGUAUUACAAAAGUGCUAGUUAAUCGGGUGGCCUUAGUUUUGAAGAGCACGAUAGGCCCUUUUCAAAUUGCUUUUGUAAAAGGCAGGCGGAUCAGGGACAAUAUCUUGCUAGCUCAGAAGCUGUUCUCUAGCUUCCACAUUGAGCCUUAUCUCCCUAAAUGUGCGAUAAAGGUGGACUUCAGGAAAGCCUAUGAUACUGUGGAUUAGGACUUCCUCGAAAGUGUGUUGAUGGCCUUUGGCUUCUCUCAGUCUGUGACUCAACUUAUUAUGACUUGUGUUCGCACACCUAAAUUUUCAAUUGCUUUGAAUGGAGAGCUCCACGGUUUCUUUGCGAGCGGUCGAGGCUCCGCCAAGGUGAUCCCAUUCUCUCUUACCUUUUCACUAUGGUUACGGAAGUGUUUUCAGGGAUCAUUCUUAGGUACUCUUCGAGGCCUGAUUUCAAGUUCUUCUGGAGGUGCAAGGCAGUGGGUCUUUCACAUCUCUUUUUUGCGGACGAUGUCUUCUUUUUUGUGAGGCUCAUCUUCCUACGGUGGCUCUCCUUAAGGAAGGUCUUUAUAUCUUUUCCUAUUGGAGUGGCCUUUGUCCUAGCCCGUGCAAGAGUGAAAUUUUUUUGGCGGGUGUUGAUCCCUCCUUAAGGAAUAAUAUUCUCUUGGAGUUGGGCUUUCAAGAAGGAAGCUUGUCAGUUCGGUACCUGGGGGUUCCCAUUAUCACUUCGAGGAUCAGCAAAGCAGACUAUUGUACCCUGGUCAAUCGUAUCACUGCAAGGGUUCAGUCUUGGACCCACUGAUUCCUCUCUCUUGUUGGUCGGAUUCAGCUUAUCAAGUCAGUUCUUCAUGCUAUACAAGCCUACUGGGCUAGUGUUUUUGUUUUACCUAUAGCUGUGGUGGACCAGAUAGAGAAAAUAUUUAGACAAUUCCUAUGGAAAGGUCUGGACCUAGGCAGGGGUGGUGCUAAGGUAGUCUAGGAUGAAGUUUGCCUUCCAAAAGAUGAAGGAGGACUAGGUAUCAAGAGGCUCCAAGAUUGCAAUAAAGCCGCCAUGCUAAAGCAUAUCUGGCUCUUGUUCUCCGAUAAGGAAGCGCUGUGGUGUAGAUGGGUCCAUUCCACUUUCUUAAAAAACAAGAACUUUUGGGUUGCUAGGAAGCCAACAUCUGGAUCCUGGGCCUGGAAGAGCUUGUUGAACUUAAGAAGGGAUUUCAGGAUGGCCUUCUACUGGAAAAUUGGCGAUGGCCAAACAACCUCCCUUUGGUUUGACAAUUGGCACCCUAGAGGGCCCUUGAACUUGAUCUUCUCAAAUUCUCUUAUCUAUAGCUCAGGGCUCUCUAGGCAAGCUUGUGUUGCUAACCUCUUCUCAGAUGCUGGCCAAGCUCUCAGGAUGGUGCUUGAAUCGUGGGGUCAUCCUCUUCCGGUCUUGGCGGGUGUCCCGGAUCGUUGCUACUGGUGUGAAAGCUCUUCGGGCCAGUUCUCUAUGGCAUUGGCGUGGAACUUCAUCAGGAAGAAGAGGACGCAGGUCCAUUGGUACUCUUUCAUGUGGGACAAUGCCAUAGUGCCUCGAUAUCAGCUCAAUUUUUGGCUCAUGGCCAAGCGCAAGCUUUCAACCCAGGAUCUCUUUCUGUCCUAUGGUAUAACUGGAAGUGCUACCUGUGCGUUUUGCAAGAAUAUGCCUGACUCUGUUGAUCACCUUUUUUUUUUAUUGUUGUGUCACAGCUAGCAUUGCUUUCUUUUGGGCUUCCAGAUGCAAUUUACCUUGGCGUAACAGAACUUGGGGGGAGAAAUUCCGAUGGGCAGCUACCUAUUUGAUAGGUAAAGAUUUCUACAAGUGCAUAGCCCGUUUUUCCUUUGGCGCGCUUUGUCAUAUCAUUUGGAAAAACAUGAAUAACAUCAUCUUUAGAGACCAGCAUCUCUCGGUUCCGGCCAUGAAGAACCACCUCUUCAAAGUGGUCCGAGACAAGGCUAUCACCUUCAGGAACGUCGAAGAUAAUUUCAUAAUCAGAAGGUUGCAGAGAAGUUGGGGCCUAGACCCAAUUAUUUUCACUGGGGACCCAUAGGUAGCUCGAUCUGACGGUGGCCUCCUCCUCGCAUUUGUUGUGUUUGGUAGCCGGUUGACCUAGCCAUGCUUCGUUUGGUCUUGUUGUUGUAGUGUUUGUGCCGUCUUUUGCGGCUUUUACAUCUCGUCACCCUUCCACUUCUUUUGUUCCUACAUUUGGAGUGCAAGUUCCCGAUGUCGAGAUCUUUUGUACAUUUGGCCCUUCCUUAAUAUAUUUAUUACCUUUUACCAAAAAAAAAAACAAAAACAAAUAUAAGUCACAGCCAAAAAUAAAGGAACUCUUCAAUUAACUAAUGCAAUGCCAAUUCUUGAUUUGUAGGAAUUAGAAAUAUUUGAAACCGACCUUGCCAUUCCAGUAAGCAUGAUAGACCUCUCCAUAAGAGCCUGUUUGAAAGACGAUGAAAUGGGAUAAAUUUUUUGACAUAAUAAACAGUAAAUGCAAUUCAAUGAGAAAAUGCUGCGGUACAUCCUAUAAUAACUACUGCAAUUAUGCUUAUAUUCGGAUUGCCGUAAAAAACUUUCUAUCAGAAGGCAUGCACUUCUUGUUACAUGGCUAGCUAGCCAUGAGCAUAUUAGGCGGUAAAAUGGUGAUAAAGCAUAUCUCACAACACUAGACAAAUUUCACCAAAAAUGCAGCAACAGGAUCAACAUAUAUGAAUUCAUGAGUCUUGCUCUCUGAGCUAAUAUGUGGACCUGCAUAAGGACAUGAAUAGAAUCUAUCCAACCAGGGACUUAAUCAAAGCAAUACCUAGUCCAAUCCUUUCACCAAUGACCAAAUGUUCCCAUUGAAUCUCAUCACCAACAUCAACAUCAUCAACUUUAUUGGUAUAACUAUCAAUUGAUGCACUGGGCCCUUCUGAAUUCUUUAACAUGAAGUUUGUGUCUGUGAAUCUGUCAUUAGUGCACCUUUUCAGAUAAGGAAAAGAAUUUUCAUGACCACCACAUCUGCUCGGAAAGUUUGCUAUGCCAUGUUGCAAAUUCUCCAAAGUUUAAGAGGGUCUUCCCUGAUGUGGGCAUUCAAGCGCUCUCACAAGGCAUUGUAUUAUACUGGUCUGUGCUACAUCCCAACAUCAGACUAUUCUUACUGGAAGGAUUUUAGUGACUACUCUCUUUGAUCAAUUGAUUUGUAACAAUACCAUUACAAAUAAACCCACAUCAACAUUUGCCAAUCAAUACAUGACCUCCUCUUUUGAGAAUCAUUAAAUCUUCUUUUUAUAAAAAAAUGCCAGAUGUGGUAUUUUUUGUCACUUCAUAUGUGCACUCAACAAAGAAACGGGGAGAAAGAAAUAAUAAAUCACAAUCGUACGAAGAAGAACACGUAUAGUGACAUCCAAAUAUCGAAUAUCAAGAUCAUGAACUAAUCUCCUCACUGUUUUAGUAUAUACGUCAUUCCUCGUGUUAAUAUCCUCAAACCGUCUUGGGGAUUAUUAGAGAAAAUAUCAUCCAAGACCGAUUCUUGAAGGAUAAUGAGAGUCCCAUCCAUGUAACACUUGACAGUAUUCGGAUAAAUCUCCUCAAGUUUUAGAAAAAAGAAACUCAAUCCACCGCAACCGUUUAAACCAUCGCAGAACUGUAAUUCUAGCUUUCGGCCUUUUAACACGCUUCUAGUGUCAAAUUGCAAAUAACUAUCGAGAGAAGCCCGGUUUGGGAAGUCUAGUUCAUCGAACCCAACUCUUGGAGGACCCGACUCGACCUCUUCUUUUAUGUGUGUCGUUGAUCCAGGUUUGAUGGAUUCCCUUCUUCCUAGCUCUAUAUUCGAUUCGAAUACGCCGAGGAAAGAGAGGAUUCUGGGGAAAAGAGGUUUAGGUUUUGAGUGUUAAGGAUGGAAUCGAAUGGAUUUAGGAGAAGGGUUGGAUUUUGAGGAAAAUCGAAGUGAAAAGGAAGUGAAUCUUGCCUUCGAUUUGAAGAAAUUCGACGUAAAAUGGAGUGGGUGAUGAGAUUCGAGUGAAUGAAGGUUGGAGGUAAGUGAGAUUCGUGGACUUAGAGAGAAAUCGUGGUUUUACAAAUAACUAAUAAAGAAUAUGCAGCAAACAAAAGUUAACUUAAAAUCAUUCAAUACUCACCAUUUUUAUUUUACCCUAGGGCUUAAUAAAACUAUCCGCCAUUGAAUUAUUGGUGUCCGCAAACUCAACCACAAGAAAGUUGAAUUAGAUUUUUCCACAAGCUGGCAGCAUUGCUAUUGUCAAACCUGUGGGAACAUUUUUUUUAUAACAGUUAUUUUAUAAUCACACGAUUGAUGUUUCACCCCGAAAUUUGAGCAUGAUAAUUACCCGCGACAAUAAAUUUGACUUCUGUCGCAACUGAAAUUCUUUGGGAUUUGUACGCUAAAAAUUUUAGAAUUUGUCGUGAAAGAGCAAUUGAGUCAUGAAAAUUUCAAAAAACACAAUCAAUUUCUCAAAUUUGUUAAAUUGGUAACAAUCAAAGUGUGGAGACGUAAUAAUCACUGGUAAAUUGCUUUUUAUGUGAAAAAGGAGGAGGAGGGGAUAUAAAAAUCAAAUGAAUAAAAUAACAAGUGAAAAUAAAAUGAAAAGGUCCUUAAAUUGCUCUAAUCCAUCACUGUACCUCAACCCACCAGACCAAGAUCAUUCAAGUUCGAAUUUCAAUUCAAUUUCACGAGGAAUUUGUCCGGCGAGCUUCUGAAAAAAAAAAUCCGCCGCACUUCAGAUCAUCUGUCUUGGCUGUUCUAUUCCAGCGACCGAUCGCUUGCGAAAUCCAGUGGAAGCUAGACCCCCCGCGCUCCAGGUCUAUCACCACCACUACCAGUCCUAUUCGCCGGAGAGGAAGUGGAGCGAAGGAGAGAUUUCUGCUCCCUCGCGGACCUUUCUUCAUUGAAUCAUCGAGACUCCAAGGAUGAGAAUACUCUUCUGGAUACUCGACUGAACCUACGACGUCGACUCCAGUCCAGUGUUCGACCGCCGCAAACAUUCGAAUCUCCGUCGGCCAAGGCGCCUCCACCUCUGGUCGCUUCGACCUCAGCCAGGUCGAAGAGAUGAAACGAAGUAUUGACAGAAACAUGCCGAAGUCGCGGCCGAUCGAAGCCGCUGCUCCUGAGCUUUACUGAUCACAUCUCCCUGUUCUGCUGUGUUUGUUGUUCGGAGAUCUCGAAGUGCCUUGCACUCACUUAACCCUCCUCUGUCAGGUCCGAUCAUCUCUGGCGACACGCCCAGAACUCCUUGUAAGUUAAGCAGCUGAUCGCGACUGCAAUCGCACAUCAUCAAGGCAAAACUGUUAUUGUUUGUGUGAAAAUCGGCCACGAUUGAGGUUCUAUUAAGGAUUCAAGCUUGCUCCGAUGUUGUUGUGAUGAUCUAAAAGUGAAUCGUCAAUUCAUAUUCGUGUACAAUCUUCUUGAUCGAAAUGCGUAUCACCUGUUUGAUGAAAUGCUCGAACCAUAUUUCUUUCUAUCAAAUCAUUGAGCCGAAAGUCGUAACGCAUCAACUCAACCCACUGUUGACUUAUUGAAACCUCACUGUGACCGAUUUAGUUGGACUUCGAUGCUCACUUGCUAUUGAAUUGGUGUUAUGAUUCUCAUGUUGGAAAUUGCAUCUUGAUUUCUCUGGUUCGAGUCGAGCCUUCUAUACGAACGGAGUUGAGUGUUGGAAUCGUUGCUUAUAUGCUCAGAUUUUUCUAUUGUAUCUCAUUUUGUAUAAUCCAUUUUCGGUAUUACUCUGACGUGUCAUCGCUGUGUAUGUGUUGUGGCCGGCGAACGAUGGCAACCUCAAUCUUUGGACCAGUGAUCGAGCAAGAGCUUGUCCCUCGAAAUAGAAGCUCAGAGAACCUUGGUGACUGUGCUUGACAAGGCCACAAUCAUAACUAUGGACUCUUUAUCCUUCUCUCUGCAUUUAGUUGUCUUCAUUGCAUGUGCUUCUUCUUUGCUGUCCGUCAUUCACAUCUUUGGUUAUUGGUCUGUUUUGGGGUCCUGCGAGCACGAAGUCAAGGGUGUACGGCAGCAACUGGUAAAACUCCUACUCUUUCCGCAUACGCAUUGCUCUCAGCUUGAAAGGUUCGAGUAUGGGUGCAUUCAUGUAAAUCCUCCCUUGCCUAUAAUCUCUGUUUUUGGUUUUCCCUUGCUAUCCUGAUUAUGGUGCGAUCGUAUUUGGAGAGCUUGAGGCCUUGAAUAUUUUAAUUCCACCAACCAAAAAAAAAAAAAAAAAAUCGUAGUAGCUGGAGUUCUUUGGGGAAGUAUUCAUUGCUUUAGGGGAAUUGGGCAAGCAAAAUUAAAAUUUGUAUUGCAGAGCUAGGUAUUAAGCCAAUCUUAACCUAUUAUCUUGCAUUUACUUGGCCAGGGUUUCAAAUAGGAUCCGGUUUUUUAUAAUCCAUUCUAACCUGCACAAACUUACACAUCCAAAUAAUUUGUGGCGAUUACAAAUAUACAAAAGUGGUUUUAGAAUCAAGGUGCCAACAAUCUCCCUUUUUUAUGAUAAGAAAAUCACUUUUAAAGCCUCAAGUUAAACUACUACCCUCAACAUACUACAGGAAAAAUAAAUCAAGUGAAUACAUCGCAUAUAAUAUGCAGAUUUUACUAUUCUUCCCUUUUGUCAUAACAUCAAAAAGGGCUUAAGGUAGAAUGUAUCACCAAACACAUAGUAACCAUUUGUAUAUCAAGGACAUUCAUAAAACGUCAAUUCAACACAAGGUCUACAACCAUUAAGUGCAACAAAAACAUAGAACAAGUUCAACAUAAACUUAAAGCACGUUCAACAUAAAACAACUUCAACAUAAAUUACAAAUCAAUCUAAAUACAAGUUUAAAACAGAGGAGGAAAUAGAGGAUUUUGGGAAAAUAGUGAGGAUUCUGAAGAAAGUAUUGGAUGAAUUGAGGGAUUGAUGUCCUGUCAAAGUUGGUGAAAAACAUUUAGCAUUUCAUUUCUCACCAUAAGGAUUUCUUCCCUAAAGUGAACUUAGCUCAGUUAGAAAGUGCCUCAACUGACAACUAAUCCCGUACUUCAAUGGCUCUUAGAACGCGUCAAUGGUGUCAAUACCCUUUGAAUUAGGGUUGGCCAUCCCAUCCAUUUUCUCUCAUCCAAACUCCUUGUCACCUCUAGAUGUCCAGACUUGUGAGUGUGGACUCUCCAAUGUAUUGACCAUCAAGUAAAGCCUUAGGAGUUUUCCCAUCGAGAUUGCCAUCAAAAGACUUGAAGGUAUGAGUAAGAGCCAUCCCAUCCAGUAAGUCCUUUCCUUUUGAAACACUGCAUUUAACCAUAGUAUCAAGUAUUAAGUCACUCAAAGAUACCUCAAACCCAUUCUUAAUCUUGAAGAUCAACAUGAGUCGGUCCUCACAUGUUAAAUCAAAGAAAUAGGGAGCAAGCUAUAUAUCACAUCAUAUGAAGAUAAGAUUAAUGUAGCGUAACAAAUUCUAGACUCGUGAAUUUUUGGUUUGUAGGGUCUUGCAUCUUUCCUGGGUUUCUAACUAGCCCAUAAAAUGUUAGUGGCAACUCAUUAGUCUAAGUUUAAAUGAAUAAUUAAUUGGAAAACUAAGUUGUAGUUGGUAACACUUGGGAGGAUCCAUGUUAGCCAUGGGCCCACCUAAUAAGAGGAACCACCCUCGGAAAGGUUGCGAUAGUUCUUAAAAUACUAUAUGUUUUCGUACUAGUUUAAAUGUCUACUCGUUACGGGAGAAAGAACUCCAAAAUUUAACACAAUCAAUAUAUGACAAGAUCUACAAUAAGAUGUUAUUAAUAAAUAUUGCAAAAAAAAAAAAAAAAUUGGGAGCAAAUGAACACAAAAGGAUGAGAUGAUGUAUCACCAGAGAAUGUCGAGGAUUUCUACCACAUAUUGCCAUAAUAUAACUUCUAAUGGUCCUUCUCUUGAUGCUACGACCGUGCAUUGGCUAUAACACUAAAAUAUAUUGAUGAAAUUUAUUCUGGCAAUAAACAUAGCUAAUGAAGAGAUAGUGAUUGUGGAGCAUACAUCAUCUUCCUCGUUGGCUUAAAAAUACGAGAUCAAAAUUCAACGCAAAUAUCUUAAUCCAUUCCGCAAAAUGAAGAUAAUCACCUAACCCGCAUGUCCUCACGUCUCUAAAGCAAUGAUUUAAGCAAUUUUUUUUAAUCCACAAUACUUAUGUCAUCAUUAUUAUUUAGGAUAGUCCAAAUGGUGUGGUAGAAAUACAAUUCAGAUGAAGGUGCAACUAGAAACAAAACCUCAAAAGGAGAUGAGAGGAAGCGAGCCUAGUGCUGAUCAAACCGAUGCACUCUUAUGCCACCUCUUGAGGAAUUGUAUAAUCAAAUUUCUGAACACUGCUAAACUUUCAAGGAGGAGAUUUGCUAAUAGGAUUAUAUAUAUUUUGUAGGUUUUCAAUUGUGAUUUUCUUGUGCCUUACAUUGAUUUGUAUAGCUGACUUUCAAAUAUUUCUUCUUUUAUUUUGGAUUUAAGGGGAGGGAUCAAACCAGGCAUCUAAUGAUUUAGUGAAAUUCAUUUGUCGUGGAACCAAAAUAGUUAACAGGCUUUGCAUGAGUCUAUAUGGUCAAGUAGAAUAGGCAUGCUACCGAUUACAAGAGUUCCUAGCCACGAACCAUCCAUUAACUAUAUAUAUAUACAAACAUAGUGUAAUUAAUUAAUAAACUUAUUCUCUUGUGCAGGCUAGUGUGAGCAAAUGUAAAUGGUGAUGAAGAAACUAUUUUGUUACUUCUUAGGCCCUUGCAAUUAUGUUUUGUCUUGCACGAGUCGAAGCUUACGAAAGGAAAAUAUAAGUCUCUUUCCACGCAUUUGUAAGCGAGAAGAGGGAAAUUUUAUGGUGCGCUCACGUAAAUAUUGCUCACUAAUCAAAACCAUUCCUUAUUAGACAGGAAAUGGAGCUCGCGGCCACCCGGCUCACGCGAGCUCCGGCCACUGGCCGUCCCUCUUUACGCCAUCAUGCGUAUUCUGGUUCGUCGACGAGAGUGCCGUCGCAGGUUCCGACCCCGUUAGGGCUAGGGAUCUCUCGCUUCGGUAGCGCACUCGAGCCGUUCGACAAAAUGCCACAAUGAGAUCUGGGUUUUAUUUGCCUGUUUUGGGCAGAGCUGAGUCGUUCAUGCUUGUCAUGCUCCCCGGUGGCCUUCCUGCGAUGCCGGAUUCCCUGAGUGUUGGCCGUUCAUUUGUUCCGUUGCCUCCGUCGUUGUUAUUGUGUGUACGGCCGAGGAUACCGGCGGCGAGAGCGCCGGUUGAGGAGGGGCAACUCGGGCAAAGACCAAGCCCGCGGUUUGGGCCACCCAAGGCGACGACCGAGUGGGCGUACAGCACGGCCAAGGCGAGCGGCGCCGCUGUCUCAGCUGGCCAAACCGCGGAGAGCAGAGGGUGCCGCGAGGAGCGCGGAGAACGCCAGGUGGUGUCGGGUCGGAUCUGGGUCAGGAACAGGAUCCGAUCGGAUCUUUAGGGUUUGGUCUUUGGGCUGAGAUGAAUUACAGAUGUUGGGCUUAUUUUGUUUUCUUGGGCUAGAUUUAGUUUAUUUGCUUUUUAGGGGCUGGGCCCGCAAAUCAGACCCAGUCCGGCUGGGGGUCUCGCUACCCAGGUCGCGGGCCCGGGCUGCCUUCGACCUCCCUUUAUGGUAAUAUUUUAUUAUCUAUAUAUCAAAAUGUAUUUUAAAAAAUUAAAAGAAAUUCAAAAGAUUCUGAGGUGAGGAAAGGCAUUAAAAAUAACUGUUGAGUAAUUUUCUCCAAAGAAAUGUAUGAAAAAAAAAUUAAAUCUAAAGGUUUAAAUAAAAUUAGGUAACGAAAUGUCAUUAAUUAAUUAAUUGGUGUAAUCAAGUCCUUAAUCCUAAUUUCUCUGGUUGUACAUGAGUAAAAUGUUUUUUUCAAUAUUUUAUUUGGAUUUUUAAUUGACCUACCAUAAAUUGAUUACCGACGGCUCAUAUAUGAAAUGACUUGCAAGUUAAAAACUCGAACUGUAAAUCACAAAUUAGCGGGCUUAGGAGAGUCUGGACUAGGCUUGGACUUAGCCACCCAUUAACCUCUGCGCCUACAAGAGUGUUUGAAGAGGUCGCAACAUGUGCAUAUCUCCUUUUAUUUACCUCAUAUAUGCACUCAACAAAGGAACACUUCAAUAUGUAUUUAGUAAUGCCAAAAAAAGAGAAAAGUUUUCAGUGGGCCAAAGAUCAGUUAUUGUUGACUUUUGAGCACUUGUUAGGGAAGUGCUCACACGAAGCACUACGAUUUAAGGACCAAAUUAACUAGUGGAAAAUUCACAUGAGUCCACAUGAUCAAAUAAGAAAUAGUUGUUAUCAAUUACGUUAUGGAGGAAGUUCCUACAUACGAGCAAUCCAUUAGUUAGAUAUUAUGAAAAAAAUAGACUAAAUUCUAUUGUGCAUAUAAGUGUGAGUCUAUGUCUGGUCCAUAAUGAAAGGAAAAUAAUGCAAAUCACUGUGGCCAAAAGUAAUGGCCGACAAAAAUAAAAGCACCCUUUGAACAACAUCAUCAAAUUUUCUAGAAUCAUUUUUGAGGGAUCAGCAUCACCAAGCUUAGCAAACCACAGAAUUAGCAUUACAAAGAAAAGGUGGAGGGCAUCGCAGACUUUUACAUGCUUGAUGAUGCAAUCACAUUAGCAUUUGCACAAUGCUUUCUCAGUAAAUUGAAAGGAAUAAAGGGGAGGGAAAAUGCGACAAUUGCUUUUGCUUCAAGAUUCUGUUACUUUGUUUUUUUUUUCUUUUCUCUUUGAUAAAAAAAACAUUUUAUUUUGCAUUUAAAGUCAUUAAUUUUUUUUUUCUGUUUUAUUUUUUCAAUGAUAAAACUAGGCCACAUCAGCUUAUCAUACAAGCGUUAUUUGCUGCGUAAUCAAUGAUGAGUUCAUUUUAUUGGUUAAAGUGAAAUUAUUUUUAUUCCUUUCACAUAAAUACGUGAUUUUGUAAUGAUUUGGCAUGGACUUCAAAUGAUAUCUAUCUACAUCUUAUGUGCUAUUGGCACUUGAAUCACGUGUAGCCACCCUCUUUAUUAAAAUAUAUACACGAAAAAGAAAAAUAGGAAGAAUAAACAAAAAAUGGGUAAAAUAACUGCAACAUAAACUCAUUUCAGUGGCACCAAUAUUGAUCUCUCUAAGCUUUUAUAUGUCCGUUAAUGGUAAUUGUAUGACAUCAUGUUUAACUAUCUUCUUGUUGGUACCCUAAUAUGCGACUUAAAAAUAUUUGGUAAACUUGGAAAAUUAGCAAGUCUUUGCGCACUUUUAUUAAGACAAUUCAGCCCAUGACAAUUGAUAGGUUAAAAAAAAGAUUUCUACUCAUUGGAGAACAUCUACAUGUGAAUUCACACAUAAAAUUUUCAAAAUUAUCAUCACAUAUAAUGCUUAUUUUUCUUUCUUCAUUCUUUAUUCAAAUAGUGAUUUACAAUGGUUGGACAGUUGAACUGGUGGAAUUGUUUUCUGACCCUCACUCCUAUUGAACCUCUAAUAUCGUUUUUAAAGCAUUACCUCUAAAUGGUGGACUAAAAAUCAUCAGUGUUUUUUAUUGAAAGAUGGGCACGUGGAAAUCUUUAAUUAAGGGCCAUCAACUUUGGUUUAUACAUCUAUCUAUAGAAUUUCUUUAAUGGACGACCUUAUUCUUACUUUAAUAAAAUUCCAUCUACUUUAUUCGAAGAUAGUGCAAGUGAAUAUGGAGAUAUAUCCAUGUGAAAAAAUAUGGUUGUUAAAAAACGAUUCGUCUUUUGCCUAGAAUUCAUUCUUCGUCCUUUUAAACAUGGAGAGAGAGAGAGAGAGAGAGAGAGAGAGAGAGAGAGAGAGAGAGAGAGAGAGAGAGUCCCAUACCAACACAUGCUCACCAAACUUCCUUGAUUCAAUAUCAUAUUUUAUAUAAAGGGCUAUAUUUUUCUCCAUCCUUAAUUAAAAGCAACUUUCUUAAACCAUAAUUUUGAUUGGUGGAUUACAAAUUAUAGACAUCACCUACAUACAAAGAUAAGUGUGGAUGAUAUACAUGUUGUUUAAAAAACUCAGUGACCGUUACAAACUUGUUGAACUAAAAAAAAAAAUUAAAAUGCAUAUCUUCUUCUUGAACAAGAGAUUUUAAUAAGCACCAUUGAGCUCAAGGAAGUGUCGUUUGGAUCAUAGCAAAUCAUCCAUAGUAUCAAGUUUUCUCGAUAAGUAGCACCUGUACUACAUUUAUGGUGUUAAUCACAAAACAAGGGAUGCCCAUGGUCGCAGAUGCAUCUCCUAACUUUUUACUAAGAAAUCAAUUUUCUUAUCACGAGCACAAAAUCAGGGACAAAAAAAUGUAUUUUUAUCCAAGUAGGAUUUGUAAAUUUAUCUGCCAAAGUUGAUGGACAUUUGAGAGAAAUCAAAAGGGACAAUCUAUUUUGACAGAAGGCAGAUAAAAAUUUGAUCAGAAUCUAUUAAAUCCUUCAAACCCUACGUACCAAAAACUCAAAUUGCUACCAAUCGCUCCAAGGUUCCAUACCUCGCCUCACAAAGUGCACUAAGUGGAGGUUCAACAGAGUGCGAACUUAUGCGAAGCUAACUGCGGAGAAAAAUAAAAGACGAAUGCUAGCAGGGGAAACUCCUCAUGAGCUCCUCCUUCUAACUUCCCCAAACUUCCCUGCACAUGUGCUUAUCUGUUGUUUCCACUUUCUCGGCUUUUUCGUUCUCUUCUGAUAAGUAUGAGAUUAGCGGCUGGCCACAUUUUGUGAUGAUAAUCAAGCUUCUGAAUGACUUUUUGGGUGGGUUUUGGUGUUAUAUCUUAGAAAUCCUUACAAUAAAUAUUCGACAAGUAAGACUUUGCUAAGCGGGUCCAAUUUCCCGUUUACCCACAAUGGAGGAGGCCUCUCCAGCACCAAUAAAAACACCAGAAUAAGCGGGCAAUCGCACCCCAGAGUAAAAUUGAAUCCCGGCCACGAAGCAAGGUAUGGUUUUAAUUAGCGCAUGUUUUCCCAAUUAAAGAAUACUAAAAGAAAUGAUAACAACCAAUAAAAAGUCAACAAAAAAGUUCGCCUAUGAAUUUUAAAUAUUUGUAAAACAAAAAAAUGUAUCUUUAAAACCACCGCUUGCGGUGACCUAGUUGGAUAAGGCUCUCAUGAUCCUUUGCAAGGAAGAGAGGAGUUCGAAUCCCGCUGGCCGCAUGGGAUCUUAAGUGCGACGUCGGAGUGGUGGGUCCUCCGCUAGCGUCGCCUCAGGGUUUGCCCACCGGCUAUCGGCUUACGGGGUUCCCCGGGUCAUCAAAAAAAAAAAAUAUGUAUCUUUAAUUAUUUCUUCACCCAGAAAAAUGAGAUGCCUAAGUAUUACAUUAGCAUCUAAUAUACCUAGCCACAUUUAGUGAUGACGUGGCACCGAGGCAGCCGCAAUUACAUUUCUAUUUGCAAUUUUAACAGAAGAACUGACUUGAGUAAAAAAGCGUCCUAGAAAACACAUUAAUAAAAAAAAAAAAAAAAAGCAUAUAGACAACACUGAACUCAUCGAAAAAUUGCAUCACUGAUCUUUUCGUUAUCUCUAAAUUUUUGGCACAAAUUUUAUGAAGAGGGAUUUUAAAGAAGUUCUGUUUUGUCAGUGUUCCGUUUAUCUUUGGCAGAAAAUCACUUGCAAUCAUGGAUGUGCGCAAGUUGGACAAAACUAGAGUGAUGAAUUCUGUCCUCAUCAUUUCUAAAUGUCCUUGACUUUGAUUUUGUGCGGCCUCGAUUCAGAGGAAGGGAUUGCUUUGCUGGUGUUGGGAGGUUUAAAGAAGCAGAUUGACUCAUCAAAGAAACGGAAUACAUCACGAGAUCCGGUUUAAGUUCAAGAGGGCUUGGGCUGGACGAGAAGAAACGAGAAAUAACGGAAAUUUUUAAUAUUUCUUCCCCAAGAAAGAUGAAAUACAUCAAUAUUGUAUUAGCAUUUAAUGUACCUUAGCUACGUUUGGUGAUGAAAACUAAGUCUUCUAUGUUAUAAGAUUUUCAUCGCUGCUGUAGCUUCAGCCAUUCUUCUAUCUCUCACACACUAAGUGCUUCUGAUUUUUUUUUUUUUUUGGGUCUAAUUUCUAAUAAUUUUAUCUCAGUCAAUAGAAAAAUUUCCAUCUUUUCUCUAAUUUAUCUGAUCAACAUUGAGACGUUAUUGAAGGCAAACAUGUCAACAUCUUGGUUUGCAAUAUAUAUAGGGACCACAUUGGUAAAAAAAAAAAAGUACAUGGGCUCACAUCAAACAAAUUAAAAAAACACAGAUACUAGAGAUUUCAUUUUCUCUAAACAUUACGCAUAAACUUUAUUAAUAGAUUAUGGAUGCUUUAAUCUUCUUCCACCAUAGUGGGGCUGUGGGGUAAUAACAUUUUUAAGAAAGUCAUCUACAAGUCUCAAAUUCUAUUCCCCUCUCCACAUGUAUCAUUUUUUCUAACGUUACGUAAGUCUCAAAGAGCAGCAUGUCGAAAGUUAAUUUCCACUAUCGACACCUUGACACUAACGCAAGUAUCGAUUCUUUCCACUAUUGUGGAGGGAAGCCAAUACGUCGCCCAUCUUCACUUUGAUUUGCGUGGCCAUCCGAUCCUAUUCCAAUAACAACUACCAAAAUAUCUCUGGAGUCUACCAUAGGGGUGGUAUUCUUGCCAAUUUAGAGGAAAUGAUUGUUUUGGUGGUUUUGGACACGGUAGAGGGAAGGAUUUUUUUGGCUGUUUGGAAGGAUUGUUUUGGUGGUUUUGGAUAUAGUGGAGGGCUAAAGAAGUGAAUUGCCUCUUUAAAGAUUGCGUGGAUUGCAAGCACACGUGGAUCAUUCUUUGGGGCAAGAGAAAAGGCAAAAGCUUGCUAAAGUCCCAAGGGCUUGUGCUUUAAGAGGAGAAACACAUCAGUAAGAACACCAUCCCCAAUCACCAAAAAUCACCGAGAGGCUCCUUUUAUGUUCUGAGAUACUUGGUUUGAUAGCUCGAAGCUGUGCGUGAAGAUAAUCCUUCGAUUGCACCAUCUUUCGGUACUCGAACACAACUUGAUCUAUUUCAAGGUAACUUACUCUCAAACACAAAAUAUUUAAUUAUUACUCAUUGUGGAUCAUCUAACAUCAUUUAAAGUAUAAAAAUGUAAGGUGUGAAAUUCGCGUGUGACUUUUUCAGAAUUUUCAUUACACAUAUUGCUCAUUUCUUUUGCUAUAAUCUUUUUAUUCAAACUGGUUGAUAUAAAUUCUUGGAUUGGUUGAACCUGGUGAAAUAGCAUAUUGGCCCUCACUCCACAGUUCUAUGCCUCUCACACAAAGUGCACAAAGUGAGGAUCCGACCGGGUCCAAAUUUAUGUGAAACUGAAUAUGAGAAAAAUAAACGGUAUAAGAAAAAUAAUAAUCGUAUGGCAAAANNNNNNNNNNNNNNNNNNNNNNNNNNNNNNNNNNNNNNNNNNNNNNNNNNNNNNNNNNNNNNNNNNNNNNNNNNNNNNNNNNNNNNNNNNNNNNNNNNNNNNNNNNNNNNNNNNNNNNNNNNNNNNNNNNNNNNNNNNNNNNNNNNNNNNNNNNNNNNNNNNNNNNNNNNNNNNNNNNNNNNNNNNNNNNNNNNNNNNNNNNNNNNNNNNNNNNNNNNNNNNNNNNNNNNNNNNNNNNNNNNNNNNNNNAAAACACUGGUAUUUAUAAACCUAAUAUUAGUAUAAGCGUUCCCUAUAUGGACAACAAUCGCCCACACAACUCCAUUCUUCAUUCCUCCUCUUUCGUAACUUCCAGCUUCAAGGGCGAAUGCAACUCAUGGUGGGCUCCUCUCAGUUACUCCUAUUAUCGUGGCCAAGUUCUCCGAACUUCUUACAAUUCGGCCUAGCUUGGGCGAAUUGCAUAUUCAGCUUAGCUAGAACGAGGGACCACCAUUCUAUUAAAAUUUCUUCUUUUCAAGAAACACUUUUCAAUGGGUGUAACUAACUACGACUUAAGUAUUUCUUUAACCAUUUUUUUUUUUGGCGAUUUUUCAUAGUCAACGAUGGUGUUUUUUCAACUGCUAAACAGUUAGCACGGUUUAUUUCUUUUUCGAAACUUAGAUAAUAAUUUACCUCAUCAUAAAAAAUAUGUUGCUCUUAUGAGUCAAGCGAGACUUGUCCUCGAGCAUUAGGCCGAGCCAUCAACAACGAUGUCAGAUUACUCAUUUUGAAUAAAUAUUCAUCAUGAUCCUCCAUUUUUUCUAAGGUUAAAUUGACAUUAUUCACUUAAUUUCAGGUCAUGAAAGCAUUUUGACUAAAAAAAUCCAGUAUGGCAAAUCAAUAUAUAGACCAUUUUCAUCCAUGCAAAAGUUUCAAGCCAAUUUUUCGUACACAUGAUUUUCCAAUGGGAAAGAUUUUCAUAAUUCUCUCAAAACAUUAAGGUGCUUGACCGAGUUAACCACCGAAAAGAUUUUCACACAAACAAUAUAUGAAAUGCUAGGCAUGAAUAAAUUUAAAGAAGUUAGGGAAGACUGAUGGUUAAACGAUCCAAAUCAGCACCUACUUCGCUUCUCAAGACCAUUCGGUAUUUAUGGCCAUCCCACUAUUUUUGAAGUCUUAUAUAAAGGUUGGUUUAUAAUGGAGCCAACGCUCCUCUGCAAGCAAGGUGAAGUAAUUUACUAGGGGUGGCAAAUAGGUGGGUCGGGUUGAAAAUGGGUCAACCCAUGUUUGACCCAUUUAAUACGUUUUGACCAAUAUUUUUAUAGUGUAAAUCUAGUGACCAAUACUCGACCCGACCCGUACCCGACCUAACUCGUAUUGCUAAAUUCUAGGAAAACCCACUUUUCCUAUAUGCUAAUUGAAUUAAAACUUCAAAUUAAAUUAAAAAUAGCAAAUAAAAAUUUUUUUAAAAAAAAAACCUAUAAAUUGAAUGGAAAAUUUUUACAAUUCUUUCUAUAAUAUUUUUUAAAAAAUCGAAUUUUAAUUUUUUUAAAUAUUAUUUUUAAUUAUUUUUUUAAAAUAUUAUUUUUAAUUAUUUUUUUAAAAUAUAAUUUUUAAUUAUUUUUUUUAAAUAUCAUUUUUAAUUAUUAAAAUAUAAUUUUAAAUUUGUAAAUGACAUUUACAAACAAUUUCCCUCACAAGAAGUUGACUUGCAUGGUGAAUACAAGAGAGAUUUUGCAAGUAUUUUCAUGUACACACAUGCCCAAGACAAUGGCUGCCUUAUUUUAAGGAAUACAAACUCUCACGUCUAAUUUACAUUGGUGGUAAAAAUCGGCUGAGAUUGGGCGAACGAAAUUCAAAUUUAAAUUGUCGAGCCAUGUAUUGGGCCAACUCUGGCCAGCUAUCCCGCCAUUACUUAGCUAGGUACCUAGAUAUGCUUUUAGACAAGCCCACUAUUCUUUAACCCUUUUCCAACUUGCACAAACUUGCAGAAAACAUUUCCAUUGUGACGAUUAUAAACAUACAAAAAAGAGUUUUGGAAUCAUCAAAAAUGAUUUAGGAUCAAUAGUGGCAACUUAUAAAUAAAAGGUGCAGCUUAAAAUUAUGUUUGACUGCCAAAAAUUUAAAUAUGAUAAAUGUAACAUUUUGAUAGUUUAAUCUAUUGCAUGAAUAGGAGAAACAAUAAUCUAUUAUGUUAAAAUAACAUAUCAGGUAACGAUUAGGGUUUUUGUGAUGGGCUAUUUGCACUUCAUCUUCACUAAUGAGUAAUGGUACAAAGAAAAAAUUAUAGAAUUGCGAGGUUAUGACUAUCUACAAAAAUUUAAGUAUUUUAAGUUAGUUUUAAGAACCUUUAGCUUCGGCUAAAUUAUAUGAAUAAAAAAGGUAUUUGUCCAUUUUUCUUAACACGAUUGAUAGUAAAAUCUCGAAUUAGUCCAUUAAUUCGAUGCAUUUACUUAAAUGUAGAAUAUAAUUAUGAGGAGCAUAUGUUGAUAACCCUCUUAUUUAGGAUGUCAUUAGGUCGUUUGGUCGGCGAGGGUGUAUAGCCCUCACCUUGGCACUAGCGACCUGUUGGCCUUCGCCGCUACCCCACCAACAAUGGGGCAGUGGCCACAAGUGGGAGGGAGCAAUGUAUUUUCCUUUUGUUAAGUUUUUUUUUUUUUAAAGAAAGACAUAGGAAAAAAUUUAAAAUUUUAAAGACGAAAUUGCCCUUCAUAGACAAUGAGUUCAAGCCAUUCUUUGAGAUUGAUAUGGGCACUCAAAACCUUAUUUAAAAUAAGAUUUACUUCGUAUCAUUAUUAGAGAAAAUUAGAGCACUUUGAGCCAUUAUUUGAAAUAAUACCUGUUUCAAAUUCUUAUUUGAGAAAAUGAUGGCACUUCAGGUUUUUAUUCGAAAAUUUUCUAAUGACUUGUUUACACUAGUUAAUCAACUAAUGUCAUUUCAAUAUCUAAUCUUAUUUAAACAUCAAUGUUUUAUUUUUAUUUUUAUUUUUGGAUUUUUCAUGCACUUUCAAGAGAGAAAUACUCAAAAGCCAUUUUUAAGCCUUUUUCUAAUUUUUUUAGAAAAAUAAAUAAAAUUCUUCUGAUUUUUUAAUAAAAUAUUUUUUAAAUAUUAUAAUAAUAUUAUAAUAUACAAAAAAGGACCCGGGUUGGAACCCUCGGUGGGAGCUGACCCGGGUUGCCUACCAGGGGCCCAUCUGGGACUGAAAUGCGGGCCGAGUCUAGCAAACAAAAUGAACUAACCCUGGUCCAUUAAAGCAGAAUAAGCCCAAUAUUCCUAAAUCAUCCCAGCCCGAAUACCAUGCCCUAAAGACCUGACCCGAGUCCGAGACGGUACCCAGGCAGACCCGACUUGCUCUCCUGCCCCUGCCUCUCGCGGCGCUCUGUCGACCUCGCCCCGAUGGGGGCGGCCGCGGCGAGUGCGGCCACUCGGCUCGGGCUGGCCACACACUCAGUUCGGCAACGUCACAGCCAGCCCAGCCCGAGGGCCAUUUCUCGGCCGACCAUCGUCGCCAGCCAAGUACCAGCUCGGCCUCCCCUACUUCGGCCGAGAUUUGGCUCGGCCAGGCAUGGCCGGUGGAAGCCGCUCGACCCAAGGCCUCCCCAAGGCCGUCUCCACUGCCUCGACCCUCCGCGUGACACCCAGACAGCGAGUAGACAAUCGAUCGGAGCUCGGGGAACGGACUUUCUCAACACAAACUUUUAGAUCUAGCUUAGGCAUCUCAUCGAGCGAAUGGCGCGCGAUGUGUUAGGGGGAUCAAGAUACCUGAUGAUGUCUGUUGCCCUUCAUCAUUUUGUUUCCUUCUGAUAUUACACACUAGUUCUCAACUAAUUAAUUUCUUAAUACCAAGUUGUGUGUCAAUAAAGUUGUGAUUUUAUGUUGUCUUGUUUUUUCGUGUUUGUCUAAUGGUCAUUUGCAAUUAUUCAUCUAGGCUAGUUGGACAGAACCGCUGUGAUGAUUUCCAUCCUAAUCAUUUGCCUCUUGUAUUAUACAAUUAUCAACUAAUCAAUUUCUCAAUUGCAAGUUUUUUUUUUUAUUAUUUUUUAUUAUUUUUUUAUUGAUGAACGAUGAAUUUGCGUAUUUGUGUUGUGCGCGUACGUGCGAUGGAGAGAGUAAGGACAAUACAAACUUUGUUCAAGUCGAAAAGCAUCGUCCCGUUAUGAUUAAGUUGAAUAGAAAAAGCUAUAUUGAAGAAUUAACUAUCUAAGGAAAGAAAUAUUUUAUGGACCAAAAUUACAAACUUAAUAAUUUCACAAAAUUUAAUCCAUCAGAAAUUAUGACAAGCAUGGUUAAUUGAUGAGGAAUUGAUUUUCAAACAUGGAAGGAUAUAGAGUCAAUUUUAAAUAAACAUAGAAGGUGAAGAGGAGAUGAGAGAGAAAAAAAAGUAGGGUGAAAUGGUGAUAAAAAUAGCCCCAAGGAUAUAGAGUCAGCUUGUUUGCAAACAUAGAAGGUUAUUUUGAUCAAAUAAAAUAUUUGUCCCAAGCCAAAGAGGGGAUAAAAAUAGCCCCACCCUAUUUAUUUUAUUUAAAAUAAAGAAAGCAUCAAAAUUUUUACUUGGAGCAAUGUUAUACUUUAAUUUAGAGUUCUCACAUUUGGAUGUGGCCAUUUUAAAGAAAUUAUCUUUUAAUCUAUGAGCUCCUGUUAUCAAACCAAGUGGUGGAUGGUAGAAACAUCAAAACAAUUACUAGCUCUCUAACAAGUACCCAGCAUCUUUUAAUUUGUAACCUAUACUUAUUGCUUUCUUGUGAAAUCAUGAAAAUAAAAAGAAACGUUUUAAGCUUUGAAAUACUGAGAAAAAGUUCAAAAUGAUUAUGCCUGUCAAUUUUCAAAAGAAACGACAACUGUUGAACUAGUAUGAAAGAUAACAUGGACAACAGGAACAAAAAAUGAAAAAAAAAAAAAAAUUAGGCUUCUAGUGCAUAUGGUGGAGCAGCAACGUGUUGCCUCGUCCACGUGAGAUCAUUCGCAAGUUCUCCAUGUAAACCGGCAACGUGUUUUUCUAUGUUGCUGACAUUCCUCAGUCUCUGUUUAUUUACAUCGCCCCUGCUUCCGUACACUCCAGUCUCUCUCUCUCUCUCUCUCUCUCUCUCUCUCUCUGGUUUUGUUUCACAAUUCUAACCGAUUAGUUCUGUUCUCACCUCAGUUUUCUCCGCACCCAUUUGUUUAAGCGACCAAUAAAAGGAGGCAACAAGAAGAGGAAAAAAAGAAGGGGGGAAAAAAGAAAUUUGAAAAAUUAAAGAAGAGAUUAUGGCCGAGGCAAUUGUUUACCCUGUUGCGUCGAAUCUUUUGUCGAAACUCGGCGAGUGCCUCUUUGCUCCCAUUGGACGCCAAUUUGAGUACGUGUUGUGCUACAAGAGCUAUGUCGAAGAACUCAAAAAUGGAGUCAAAGAACUAGAGACUGCGAGGCAAAGGGUGCAAAGCUCCGUUGAUGAAGCCAUGUAUGACGGAAAACUUAUAGACGUGGAUGUUGAGAAUUGGUUGAAGAGUGUGAAGGACGAGACCGAGAAGGCAGAUGACCUGUUAAAACGUAAUGAAAGUGCAAAAGAUGCUUGCUUCCGUGGGUGGCUUCCCAACCCCAUGGUGCGCCAUCCUAUUGGUAGGAAGGUGAAAAAGAUGACUCAAGUCAUCCAAGGACUCCAUAAGGAAAGCAAAAAUAGUAUCUUCCAGAAGGUCUAUUAUGAGAAUACUCCCAGAGGAACCGUCACCACUACCACUUUCGCUGCAAGAUCUGUUUACAGGAAGGAAGAUGUCCCGGAGUCGAGGGCUUCAAUCAUAGAGGUUGUAAUUAAGGCUAUAACUGAUGACAAGAUCUGUGUGAUUGGAGUGUAUGGACCGGGUGGGGUUGGCAAGCCGAAGCUUAUGUAGGACGUAGAAAGGCAAGUUAAGGAGGAGCAGCUAUUCGACGUGGUUGCCACGGCAAAUGUAUCACGCGAUUUAGAUGUAAAAAGAAUCCAAGGAGAACUUGCUGAUGCACUGGGUCUAAAGCUAGUGAACGAGGAAACUGUUCGUGGGAGAGCACAUUGUUUAUACAAGAUGUUACAGAAAUAUUCUGAGAAAAAGGUUCUCAUAAUUUUAGAUAAUUUGUGGACAAAGUUAGAGUUGAAGGAAGUCGGAAUCCCUUGCGGAUAUGAUAAUAAAGCAAGAGGCUGCAAACUAUUGCUAACGUCUAGAUAUCGAGAUGUUUUGUACAUUGAGAUGAGCUCUGACCGAGAAUUUUAUCUCAAUGUGUUAAAGCAUGGAGAAGCACGAAUCCUUUUUGAAAGGAUAGUGGGGAACACAAUUAACAACCCUAAAUUUGAGAGCUUGGUGGAUGGAGUGGUCAAGAACUGUGGAGGCUUGCCUCUUUUGAUUGUCUCGGUGGCAAAAAGGUUGAAGUGUGGAGAUAUGCCUGAAUGGAGGAAUGCUUUGACCAAUGCAGAAGGGACAACUGUAAAAUCAAUAGUGGAACAAAAUUACAAUGACCUACAAGAUGAGAGGAUCAAAUCAUUGUUCUUGGUUUGUGCUCUAGACUCUGGGAGACCGGACAUAAGUUAUGCCCUUGUCUACUGCAUGGGUUUGGGUUUAUAUGAAAAAUUCAGCCAGACCAUUGAAAACGCUAGAAAUAGGUUAAUUAUGGAUCUACAUCACUUGCUUGACUCUUCUUUGUUGCUAGGUAGUGAUGACCUGGAACAGUUGAGCAUGCAUGACUUAUUUAUUGACGUGGCCGUCUCUAUGCGCGACAAAUUUAUUGACAUGGAAUGGAACGCCUUGGUCGGGAGAAAGGAUUUUGGGUUUAAAGAGUGGUCGAAGAAUGAUCUCAGAAAAUGCACCGCAAUGGCCUUCAAUUAUGUUGGCAUUGAUGAACUUCCUAAAAAAUUGGAUUGCCCAAACAUGAGGAUUCUUCUGUUAUUAGAACACAACCGAUUUCUCAAAAUGCUUGAGUCAUUUUUCGAAUCUAUGGAAGAGCUCCAAAUCUUGGACUUGACUGGCUUAUCUUUUACCUCCCUACCUUCGUCAAUGGAGUUACUUAAAAACCUCACGUCACUAUGUCUUGAUUCAUGCCGUUUAGAGGAUGUGACUACUCUUGGAAAGCUAAAAAGAUUGCAGUUCCUCAGUUUUUUAAACUCUACAAUUGCUCGGCUGCCCAAAGAAAUGGGUGAACUAACUGAAUUGAGAUUUUUGGACUUGCGAAGCUGCACCGAGCUUAGAGUUAUUGAACCUGGCAUGCUCGAAAGCUUGGUUAAUUUAGAAGAAUUGUAUAUGCAAUAUAGUUUUAAUCAGUGGGAAGCCGAGGAUGAAACCCCGCGAAGCAAUGCUAGCCUGGCUGAGUUCAAGAGCAUGAAUAAGUUGAGCACUUUAUACAUCGCCAUUCCUCGUUUAGCCAGUCUCUCAAGAGACUUACCAUUUGGGAAACUAAAUAAGCAUAAAAUCCUAAUUGGGGACAUUUGGGAUUGGUCAGAUGAAUACGAAGAAUCCAGAACUUUAAAACUCAAGCUAGAUUCGGGCAAUCUUCUUCGUGAAGUGUGGGUGCGGAGAUGUUUGCAAAGAACACAAUAUCUCAACUUGGCGGGAUUGCAAGAUAAUCACAGCAUGCACAAUUUGUGCUUCGGAGGUUUUCAGGAAUUGAAGCAUCUUCACAUACAAAAUAGCCCCUCACUUCAGUACGUUGUUCACUCCACGGAGGACAUCCAGUGCACUGCAUUUACGAGAUUGGAAUCGUUGUUUCUCGAGAAUCUAAACAACUUGGAGAAGAUUUGUUGCGGUCGCCUUGCCUUAGAAUCCUUCAGCAUAUUAAAGAUUUUGAAAAUGAAUAGCUGUGGUGGAAUCAAAUAUUUGUUUCCUUCCUCCGUGAUAGGAAACUUCUUGCAGCUAGAAGAGAUUGAAAUAAGUAAAUGUCACUUGAUAAAGCAAAUUGUCGCAAAUGCCGAGGCAGACGAAGACGGAGAUGAAAUAGAUGUUGAUCCCAAAGUGAAGUCAUGCAAUUUGCGUAGGUUAACAUUACGAAACUUGCCAGAGAUGACAAGCUUUUGUAAAACUAUGGACCAUUCGGUCGUACUCUUCGACAAACAACAGGUAAAUUUCAUAUUUUCUAAAAUGGUCAUAUUAUCCACCAUCCAUGCCAUCCUAAUUGGAGAAUACUUUCUCUACCUAGUCUUGAGAUCCAUGAGUUACAAAUAUGAACAUUGCCUUCAAUUAAUUUAGUUCCCAAGCGUUGGGCCGACUUAAAAAAGUAUUGACUUGUUGAAAUAUUUACUUUGGAGAUAUAAUGUAAGGACUUUUGUGUAAUUUGAUAAAGUAAUAUGCAUUUAUCAACUAUACGAAAAAUUUAUUUACCAACAGUUGAAUCGAUUAGUAUUUUGUGCUAAAAACUAUUGAUUUUAGUCGACUGUGAUUACUUAAACAUUUGAUUUAUAAACACAUUGAACUAUUGACUUCAGAGUCAUCUCAAUUUGAUAUGUGGGUGAGUACUGGUGUGACACGUUUUGCAUUUUAUAGUAAAUGAAAUUUUAUGCAUGGGUAUUUUAGAGGAGCCUACUAGCACAUAGAGAAAUUGGAAAUAUAUACAGAUUCUUUCAAUUAAGACAAAAUAAUGAUUUAAUUUUUCAAAAUGUAAUUGCUAUGUGAUAUGUGAAUGCAUAAAAACAUUCAUAUUGGUUAAUUACAUCCCAUUUUAUAUGAGUUAUGUUAUCAACAUAGUUAAAGAAGCACCAUGUGAUGUAUCAAUUUUUUAAAUAGUCUAAAAGUUUAUCACUGCUUUAUGGUAAAGUAUAUACACAUACAUACAUUAUGGAUAUAAUUGUAACAUAAAGAAGGUAUAUACGACGUAUAUAAUUUGUAUGACCUUCAUUUAGUAAUUAUGGAAAAUUGUAAGAUUCUAUUACAUCCACGUGAUUAAAGGGGAAAAACCAGAACUAAAAAAAAAUCCCUGUGAAUUGAACUUAGUGAUUAUGUGGGAAGAGACAUCCAGAUCAAUUGAUUACAUUAAAUUAUUUUGCAAUUUUCAUCUUAAGUACAUCAAUGCUAAGGCAAUUGAGACGAUUAAGUUGUUCCCAUAAUUGUAAAAAGUUUGGGUAGGUGAACGGACCUUAGUGGAAAUGUGGUUCUACAAUGUUCCAUCAUAUAAAAAUUUUCUUUACUCUUUUAUGUUAGUUGAUGGAACUAUUAUGUGACAAAGGAAUGAAAAUUCAAAUAUAAUAAGGCCAAUUUGCGUUUGUUACUCUUGGUACUUUAUUGAGAUGUUAGUGGAACAAUUAAUUUUUUUUUUCUAAUUUAUGUGAGCUGUGGACCUUUUUGUAGUGAACAAAUUUACCACAAAUCUUCAUUCUGGCAGCUUUUCCAAUAUUCCUAGUAGAAUUUAUGUGUGUGGCACAUGUUUAAAUUUAUUUUUCCUGUAAUAGAAUGUCGCCUUGAAAGUAUUAACUAGAAACACAUCUAGCAUUCAUUUGUGCACUAUUGUUUGGAAUCAUCAAAUUUUAUAUCUAUUCUGUUAGUAUAAAAUAAAAAAUUGGAAACCCUUUUCUAAUUAUUUUUUUUUAAUAAUGUUUAUCACGUGACCCAAACCACAAAAGCGUUAUUCUCGGUUAAAAUUAUUAUCAAAUUAAUCAAUUCUUUUUCUUGGCCACAUGACUAAAACUUUCUACAUUUUACAUAAAGUAAGCAACUUUUUUAUGACGAGGAAGCGUAUCUUGGGUCCUCAUAUUUUAAAACUAAAUGCUUUGAUGAAAUUGACUUUGAUGACCAUAUGGCGCUGUUAUGACCAAUUCAUGGAUAUUACAGCCACCAAUGGAUCUUAUGGAGAUGAACCCUUUUUCUAACAUUUGGUCGAUGUGGCAUCUAUUCCGCUUUACAUCAAUACCAGAAAAUAAUGGAUCUUUUAGUGCUAUGCAUGGGUACAGUAAAAUCUUAGGACUACUUUAGUAUUUCUCUCAUAAAUUUAUAAUAACUUUUUAUUUUUACUCUCUCGAUAAGAGGUUUUUUUUUUUUUUGGAAAUAGUUUGGAAAAAAAAAUGCCAAGCUCAACUGACACGUGCUAAUCAAUUAAAAGUAUUUUUUAAAUCAAUUUAUCAACUUAGUUUAUAACAAUUCCAGAGAAAAUAAUUAAGAUUGUUUUUUGCACUGUUGUUUGAGAUAUUGUAUCGGACUACAAUCAAUGAUCAAAAAAUCAAUUGAGCCUAUGCCAUGAAUUUCUAAAUUUUAGGCAGAUUGCAUAAAAUGUGAGGGUAAAUUCAAUAACCUCAAUAAUUCAUUCUUGUUAAUGUAUGUAUAAUAAAGUCCAAAUACAUAAUAGGUAAAUGAUCAGUAAGUGUAAAGUAGAUAAUUUUAAAGAAGAAUAAGGGAAAAUUCAAAAUCACUACCCCGCUUCAUCUUCCAUUAUCCUUAGAUCUGUCAUGAGAGAUUAUUUCUUCUGUUAUUAUUUCACAUGCAACCCGUAUUCACAGUUUCUAGUUAACAGCAUUGUUUUGAGUGUGGUGUUAAUUCACCCUUUGCAGCUAAUAAAGCUACAAAAUUUGGAGGCUAUAACCGUUGAAAAAUGUCAAUUAAUACGAGAAGUAUUCGACCUUGAGGAACUGUCAAUUAUGGGGGAUGUUGAGAUUCUAUGUCGAUUGACUAGAUUGACCUUGAGCGGCUUACCAAAUUUGGAACACAUAUGGACCAAGGAUCCAAGCAGAGCAUUGUGCUUUCGAAACUUAAAGGCACUGAAGGUGCAAAAUUGUGAGAACUUGAGGUUUCUUUUUUCUUCUUCCAUGGCUAAAGCACUCGUGCAGAUAAAAGAAAUCGAAAUAGCGAAUUGUGUACUGAUGGAAGAAGUUAUGUAUGUGCAAGAAGAAGAAUUAGUGGAAGCUACAACCACUGACACUUUUGAGUUUCCUUCGUUAAGCUCCUUGUCUCUUGUGGAAUUGCCAAAUCUCAAGACAUUCUCUUAUGGAAAGUACUGUAUUCACUUUCCAUCCUUAACAAGACUGACAAUUUCCGAAUGCAUCAAAAUGAUGAAAUUUUCUUCAUUCGAAGGAAGGCAACAGUUGAUGACAAAUGAUAUAGGUUUACAACAAGCAUUUGGUCAUAUCAACUCUGGCUUGUCCUUGCCUAGCUUCUUCAAUGAAAAGGUAAGCAUCUAUAGUAUUUUUCUAUUGAUCAUUCUUCUAUUCUAGUCAGUGAAGCAAAUUAGUAGAAAUUUGAUCAUUAUUCUGUACCAAAAGAUUGGCACUUCACAGUGGAAAAACAAACUCGCAGCUGGUCAUUCCCAAAGUUUGCCCUUGCCCCCGAGUUUCGGCAUAAUAAAAUUAUAUACCAAAAAUUUCAGCCAUUUUACAUAUACAAUGUUUUUACACAGGUUCUUUUUCCAAGCUUGGAGGAAUUGAAGCUUUCUUCCAUGUGCCAAUUAAAGAGGAUAUGGCACAGUCAGCUCCACGGACAGUCCUUCUACAAACUUGCAUCCCUCACUGUUGAACUUUGUGAAAAUUUAUCACAUGUUUUUUCGUCAAAUUCAAUGGAUAUGUUGCAGAGCUUGAAUAAAAUUAAGGUAGUUGGGUGUCCCUCCUUGGAAGCAUUAUUUGAACCCAUAAAUCUCAGCGCUGAGAAAAGGCAAAAGCCGUUGGUCCUCCCUGCAUUAAGAGAAUUGACAUUGUUGAAUCUAUCAAGGCUGAGAGACAUUUUGGAGAGUGAUUGCAAAGUCACCUUGGCAUUUCCUAGUCUGAUGGAAGUGAACGUGAGGGGUUGUCACAGUUUGCCAUAUCUCUUCUCAAGUGCCAUGGCUGAAAUUCUCGAUAAACUUGCGGUGCUUGAUGUUUCCUGUUGCAACAACCUACGGGGCAUAAUUGCGAUGGAAGAAGGAAAAUGGAAAACCUUAGAGACUUUGAAGUUCCAUCAGUUAAGCACACUCAAGCUUGGUGACCUUGAGAAUUUGAUCAGUUUUUGCUUAGUGAGUUGUGCUAGUGAUGGGUUACAACCUCUAUUUGAUGAGAAGGUAUCAUCUCCCGAUUUAUCUUAUAUGUUAUUUUACUUUGUUUUUAGUGCUUUGUCCUUAAACCACAUUGCAUAUCUUUUGGUGGCUUACAUUUCCAAAGUUAGAAGAGCUACACAUCACAGAAAUUGAAGGGAAAUCAGGUAGCCAAAAUAGGGGGUAGAGAGAGAGAGAGAGAGAGAGAGAGAGAGAGAGAGAGAGAGAGAGAGAGAUGCCAAUGCAGAUGAGGAAGGAGAAAUGCGACGUAGGGAAACUCAUUAGUGAAUGAAUUCAUCCUCAAAACUGAAGAAAACAAGUAUCUAGGUCGAUAUUUACAAGUAAACAAGAGUUCAAACUAAGUAAGCAUAUCUAAAAUAAGAGAAAUAAAUCAAGAUACGUAUCUUAAAUUAUUAAUAGUAUCAAAUUUAAUAAACUAAUUGAAGAUACAAAUCAGCAAAGUUGUUGGAGAAUCAUGUCAUUCAUCAAUCUUUCCCACUGAAAUGAAGUCAAAUCCUUUCUCCGGUGGCUCUUCCUGUGAGUAAGAGAUAAUACCACAACUUUUGCCCUACAAAAAAUCUUCGCGACAUGCAGAACGCAUAAUUUGGAUAUGCACCUAAGGAGUAUAAGGCUAUACGAAGUAUUAUAGAACAAAUUUUAGCAUCACGAAUUUUUCUCUUCUAUGAAUCAUCAAUAGGAGAAAUUACGUUUAUGAAUUUAUUAAAUAUCAAAAGGUGCUUCAAUAAAUUCAUCCAGAUUAUCUGUAGAAUUUUACUACUCACUUCACUAUUCUCAAAAGCAGAGAUCCUUAUUCAAUUCUUCAAGACGUUGAGAAUAUUUUUCCAUGUCAUUUAGCUCAUUGGCAAAUGAUUUUGGCCCGUUUUCAUGUCUCCCUUACAAUUGUUGAUUGAAUCUAUCCAAUUCUCAUCAAAAUUGUUGAUAUUUUCUCUCAUAUCAUUAAACAAAUUUUUAAUCUCUUCAGGAUUAUUAAGGAUUUAUAAUAAUCAUAAGGAUGGUAAUAAUCGUAUUACUCCCGACAAUUAACACUAUUAGACUAACAUUGUAAUCCUUGUAAUUGUAAUCACAUGAAGUAAUAAUAGCAAUAACCCCUACUCUUUUCAAAUUUCAGAAUAACAGAUUUAAUAAAUAUUGCAAGACUUUUCAUAGAGAUAAUUAGACCAAGCAUAGAGUGGCUCCAAACCAGUAAAAAUGGCAGCUGAAGUUUCAAUAGACAUCAAUGCCAUAUAUCUUCAUGAGCAUAUCAGAUCAAAAUUGCAACCAUAGCAACGAAAAUGAAAACCAAAGUGGUGGCCUUUGGUCUAGUAUCAUCACAUGACAAUACCACAAGCACGAAGCAAUGUUUUGAUACCAAUUAAAUGUUGAAGAGAUCCAGCUCAGAUACCAAUUGAUGAAGAACAUAUAUAAAUCCAUUACCAACUAGAUUUGUAGAAAAUGGAGGAAAAUAAGAUAAUAAGGGGAAAAAAAGAGAUAAACUAGAGAGAGAUGAAAGAGAUAGAAGGGCCAAUCCAAGCUGGCAAAAAGUCACGUCAUAUAGGCAAACUUAGUAAUCAAAUCAAUCUAUUUAUUUUGUAGGCACCUAUUAAGAGAAAUAAUCAAGAUAAAUUUCAUUAAUCUUCGAUAAUAUCGAAUAACUAAAAUAAAUAAAGAAACAAAUCAGCUAGUGGUGGAGCAUCUUGUUCAACAUCAAAAUUGAACAGUACAUACCUGCACCCUACCAUCUUUUGAUUUAAUUGUUGGAUUUCUUUCUUUAGUUUAUGUCAUGUUUUUUUUUUUUGUCAGUAUGUCGUGUUUUCUUGAAGUCUAUACUUUGUUGAAGAAAAUUUUGAAGUGCAAGAUUCAUGAAGCAUUGAUUUGUGCUAAUUGGUUUUUAUUUUGUGGGCAUCGACACCCUACAAUACACAAGCUAUAUUUUUUAAAUGGUUCAAAGAAAUGGGAGAGUGCAUUUGAGGAAUCUAAAGAUAGGCUAAAUUUGAUAUUUGCGGGAAACAUCCGACGUGUGACAUGAUUAUGCUUGUCUAACUUAUGUGGUUAUGGAUUAUGCUACAUUUCAAACAUAAUGCUUGAUAUCUAUUAGAUGAAUAUAUGCUUUCUACUAAAAAAUAAUAUGAUAGGAGAAUGGAUUUUAGGGGGUGGCAUCUACUGAAAAAUCGUGCGUCUAGUCUUUCCUUUUUUGUUCUAUCCUAUCGAUUAUGCUUGUUUAGUGAUUUUCCUUCUUCUUGAAAUUACAGUUCCCCCCCCCCUUUUAUGGGAAUAGAGAAUCGGCUCUAAUAAUUUAAUUGAAAAAUAACAGGUUAAGUUCCCUAAUAUAGAGUCGAUGGAGAUCUCGCACAUGAAUAACUUGGAGAAGAUAUGGCUUGAUGAUCUUGCUUCAAAUGCCUUUAACAAACUCAAGACACUAGUAGUGAAGUAUUGUGAGAAACUUUCAUCCAUAUUUUUAUCUUAUACUAUGCUCUCAAGAUUUCAAAACCUAGAGAAGAUAAGUGUAACCGAUUGUGGGUCCCUAGAAGUGGUAUUUCACGUCCAAGAGUUCAAUUUUAGCAAAGCUCGUCCUACAAGCACUUUUCAAUUGAGAGAAUUAGUUCUAAUGCGGCUCCCAAAAAUGAAGCACGUGUGGAGUGGACAUCCUCAAGGAGGUCUUACCUUUGGAUGCUUACGAUGCAUGAAGAUUGUUGAGUGUGAGAUGCUCAAAAGUUUAUUCCCAAACUCGGUGGCAAAAAGUAUGACACAACUUGAAGAACUUUUAGUACGGGAGUGUGGGGUGCAAGAAAUUAUUGUGGCGGAAGACAGAGUAGAGAUGAAUGCAAGGGAUCUCUUCUUUCCGCCAUUAACUGAUCUCAAAUUACUUGAGUUGCCGCAUUUGAGGAGCUUCUACAGGAAUAGUCAUACUUCAACACAGCCACUCUUGAAGAAAUUGCGAGUAAGACAUUGUGGCAAGAUGAGGUCAUUCUCAUUUAUUUGUGAAUACCAAAGCUGUCGAGGUACAAGUACCAGUGAGAAUCAACUCGCACUCUUUUCUUUUGAAAAGGUACAGUCCUCAAUUCUAGCUCUCUGCAAUUGCCUUUGUUGGUUUUGUUACUCUCUAUUGGAAAUUCGAAUUGCCGAAAAUUUCAUGCUUACAAAUACUUACUGAGCCAAACCUAUGAAUUUCUUCGAAAUUUAAAGAUCGUUUGCGGUUAAUUAUUUCUGGCUCAUAUUCUUCGAAAUCAUCCCAACUUUUACUUUGAAAAAAAAAUUAUUAAAUUAACUUGCAUAAAUAAUUGUGCUUCUAAUAGCGACUUGUGCGUUAUGGCUGGGUUAUACCUACUUAAUUUAAUUUUAUCGACAUCAUCCCCUAAAAUUUAAAACAAAAAAAUAUAUUAAGUUCAUGUGGCAUAUUGCUAGCUUAGCUAUGGACAAAAGUUCCAUGCUUAAACAUUGUGAAAAUGAUUGGUAACUGUCAAGUGCUGCAAAUAACUUGCUUAUCUAGUCACGUGUUAGUAAUUUAUUAGUAGGCCUUGAACAGCACAAACUUUUUUUGCUCAAAAAAAAAAAAAAACAGCACAAACUUUUUUCUACUCUGUAAAUUACCAACUACUUUAAUAAUCUAGCAACAUUAUUCUUGUGGAUCACCAAUGUAUCUGAAAUUACUAAUUUUAUUUGAAUUUACGAACUUAAUUUGAUUGGUGUACCAACAUCCGUAAUAUAAAAACUGAUUUUACCAACUUUCCAAAAUUAUGAAUUACUUUAAUAAUCAACCAAUAAUAUUCUUGUGACAAAACAAUGACUUUUGAAUAACUUACUUUAAGUUUAACUUACAAAUGUUAAAUUGAUUGAUGUACCAACAUAUUUCAAAUCAAGAUACCUAUGAAUUUUAGUCACUGAGAAACCUUUUAUAUUAUAGAUCUUGAAAAGUACUUAUAUGUCUUUAUACUUUCAUGAUCACCAACUACUUUACUAAUCUACGGACAUUUAUUCUGAUGGCUUGCCAACACUUUUGAAGUUAAUAACGUUUAAUCGAAAUAAUCAACCUUAAUUUGAGUAUUAUAAUAGUGAUAUAACAACCCAUAAUUAAGUUCCAUUUCAAACCACACGGAACGCUCAAACCGUCCUUGCAUUUGGGGGUCGCGUAUUUUUGGUUUGUUUCUUAGCUUAUAAAAUGUUUUAUUGCCAAUAAUUUGUUCGGUUUUAAUGCAUUCUUCUCGGAGGGGGAAAAAAAAGGUUAAGCCACACUCUACUCAUGAUCUAUAAUAAAAUAGAUAUUAGAACAGUAACUUAGAAAAUAGAGUGCGACAUAUUAAUAUAAUUUCUUACUAUUGAAACACAUCUACUUACUAUAAAUGUGACAUCAUUUGCAAAAAUAAAUAAGUUUUUUUUUUUUUAAAAACUUUUUUGCUAUGAACUUGUUGAAAUUCAUGUUUUUUAACUUUUGGAUUGAAUUAGUUGACUAUUGAAAUAGCUGGAGUAUGAUUGACAAAUAACUGUCUUUAAACUUAUUUUGAUUGAAUUGGGCAAACCCUUAACAAACAUCCCUUCUAUUGGCUCUUGGGUUCUUUUUUCCUCUUUUCCCUAAAAUAAAAGGAUGCUUUAGUUAUUGCGCUGUGGCUAUGCCUCGUAUUUACUUCCAGUAGCCUAAUUAAAAGAAAUUCCCAUAGGUCUUACCUAACUUGAAGGGAUUGACAUUGAUGAGCGGGGAUGUUAUAAUGAUGACACUGCAACACCAUUACGUUUUUCGCAAUCCCAUAGAGCUGGACUUGGCAUGCUACCAUGAUGAGAAUGUCGCUUUCCCCUCCAACUUCCUCCUCCAUGGAUUCCCCAAUCUAGAAGUGCUUUCUCUGUCCUGUAGUUCCUUUAAGGAGAUAUUUCCAGAAGAUGCGUGUGGACAUGGGGGAGCAACUUUCUACGGAGAGUCAACUAACAUGGAAACACCUCUCAAGGCACUCAAAAAUCUGUGGCGACUUGAGCUGAAUAAGUUGUGUAAACUCCAACGAGUCUGGAAAGAUGGCUCCUUGAUGGCUGAAAUCCUUAAACAGAUUGAAACUCUGCUCGUUUCGGAGUGCUCAAGUUUAUCAAUCGUACUUCCAUCCCCAACUACGUUCCAGAGAUUGGUGGGAUUAGAAGUAGGGGAUUGCGCUAGUUUAGUUCAUAUGGGGACUUGCUCAGCAAUGACAAGUCUGGUGCACCUUAUUUGGCUAACACUAAGAAAUUGCGAUGCGAUGGAAGACGUGGUAACAUAUGAUGGAAAUGGAGUAAAGGAGAUCUCUUUCCCCAAGCUACAGCUGUUGACACUUGAUGAUUUGCCAAGCCUUGAGAGCUUCUCCCCCACUAAUUGCACCUUCAUGUUCCCAUCAUUGUGGCAUAUUAUUGUGAAGCAGUGCCCAAAGAUGAAUAUAUUCUGCAAUGGUGCCUUGAGUACACCAAUAUUACAUAAAGUAUGCCUCUCCGACGAGGAUUAUGAAGGACGUUGGGAUGGGGAUCUUAAUACCACAAUCCAAUUCUUAUCAACAUGAAACAAUCCACGCUGAAUUCACUGAGUCAGGUAAAAUCUAGGUGCCUAAUCAUGUCUCCCUGAAUCCAGUGUCAAACGGAAGAAACCGGUGUUAUUCUUCGAGUUCUAUAUUAGCUAAUAUGAAGUCGCUCUUUCUUUAAAAAUGUUUGACUGUUUUUAACGGGAUUGUAACAUAAUUGGAGUUGUUGGGUCUUUUGGGCACUUAUCCACCAAUGCAUUGUAGUUGUUUGAUGAAUUGCUUAGCAUAACCUCUGUCAAUGUAGCUGCAAAGACUGGGGUUUUGUUAUAUGGGGUUGUGUGCUGGUCCACUUAUUCAGUUACCCUUGAGGAAUGUCAGUAUUUAGACACGUCUUACUGACAAUGUUUGUCUCUUUUAGGUGUCAUGCUCGCUAUGCUACGAUCAAACUGGCCUCUUUUAUUUGCUAGAAACGGUCUUUAUAGUAAGACGUUGAAGCAAGUAUUCUGCAGCCUGUGCACUAAUAAUGUUCCAGCACAAGGUGUUGUUGCCUCUCGAUAUGACGUCCAUGUGUUGACAAGUGGUGUUUGUAAGAGUUUUCCUAAUGUAGACUACAUUAAUUUAUAUUAUAAUUUACUGUUUUUACGGUUACCGUAAAACAGGGUUUGUCUAAGAUGAGAUAAAAAGUUUCUUACUUAGUCUAAUAUGGAGCUGGCUAGUGUAGGCCGAGUUGAGCCUGGCCCAUAAUGAGGGGCCUGGUUGGAAACUCUAUAAAUAGUGCUCAAGUCUCUCAUCUAAUCAUAAUUCUCACAUAUCCUCACCUAAGGGGCAUUUACCUAACGCUACACGUGAGGGGGCCGCCUCAUUGAGCCAGUGAUACGGAGGGCAAUAGAGGAGAAUGACUUGUGCGUGGAACAUUGUGUUUCCGCUUCCGCUUCAAGAACAAUGGGAUCCCAAAACAGGUGCGUUAAUAUUUCUACUCAAUUAUGCAUGUCUUUGUUCUAGUAUGGAGAUCUUGGGGUUGCGCAAUUUGUGCAAACAUAUGGUAUCAGAGCCUCCAUAACCCUAGAACACGAACGCAGAGGAUUUUCCCUUAAUUUGAGAUUUUUAAGAUUUUUCGUUCAAUAAAAAUUAAAUUAAAUUAUAUAUUCGGACUGGGUUCGACGAGACGAAGAAAACCAUAGGCGGUGCAUCUCUAGAGGAGGCCGCACGCACCCCCACGCACGGUCACGCGCCUCUUGGGCGUCAAACACGCGCCGCGCACACAGGCGGUGCGUGCGGGCGCGUGGAGUGUCCGUUCGGCGCAUGGUUGGUGGCGUUGGAUUCUUAUUGUCAUGUUCUAUCUUGUGGUGUAUUUAUUUUACAUGUUUGAUGACUUUAUGGAUGUGAAAAUAUGUAUAAAACCCUAAAUACGUGUAUUUUUGUAUAUUUUUCUUGUAUUUUCUGUAUUUUUGGAAAUACUUGUGUUGGGUUAAUGUAUGUUAUCACAUAAGCAUUAUAAAAGUGUGAUUCAUUAAUAAAGUUAAACUUUAUUGUAUUUUAUUAAUGAAUAAGGUAGUGUAAUUAGCAUGGCAUGUGAUUUGAGUGAUAUGAUGCCCCUAUCAUUAAAGUUAAAUCACAUGUAUAUGGUGUAUGUGAGAUGUAAAGAUUAUAUCCCUGGUAUGAGAGAGUUUCAAGUGAGUUGUGACCUCCAAAGUGGUACACUUGAUUGGGUUUGAGAAAUUUCAAUCUCGUAUAUUGAUUGGGAUGUCUUCUGGUCUAAUGCAUAGUCAUACUCCCAAAGGAGGUGAUUGUGUAUUAGUUCAUGGAGGGAUAUAUAAUAGUGUGGUGGAGGAGUGACCAAUCCUAAUGGUUUAUAUGCCCAAAAGUGAUGAAUUCACGAAGAUUUGAAUAUAUUUUCAUAACCUCUAUCAUGUGGGGAGUAUACAAUUGUAUGUCAUGUAUUAUACCCAAAGGUGAUUAUAUGAUUUUGCAUGUAACUCUCUGGAUAUUUACUUGUACGUCAAGUUACACAAUGCUCACAUGAUGCUAAUUAUAUAUACUGCUUAUCUUUCAGUCACAUUUUCUGUAAACGGUAACUCCGUCACUAUUGAGGUUCUUGUUGGUUCAAACUUUAAGAAAUAGAGAGAAGAUUUUUUAUUUACUAUGGAGAUGGCAAAUGUUCAUAUGGUUCUUACUGUCGAUCGGCCGACAGAUCUUAUUGCUAAGAGUAUAGAAGCUCAGAAAGCUCAUUACUGUAUGGGAAAGAGCAAUAGAAUUUGCUUACUGUCGAUGAAACGUUCCAUUCAGGAACACUUGAAAAGUGGUUUGCCUGCAAAUUCCACUGCUAAAUAGAUAAUGAAAGCCUUGAUGGCUAGAAACCGUGUCUCACCUAAUGCUAAGAUAGGAACACACAUGCAAAUACUAUUUACUAUGAAGUAUGAUGAUUCUGGUGGAGUUAGAGAUUAUGUUAUGAGAAUGGUAGAUUUGCAAACAAAGCUUGAGACUCUUAAUGUUGUUAUUCCCACUGCUUGCAUUGUUAUCCCUGGUAUGAGAGAGUUUCAAGUGAGUUGUGACCUCCAAAGUGGUACACUUGAUUGGGUUUGAGAAAUUUCAAUCUCGUAUAUUGAUUGGGAUGUCUCCUGGUCUAAUGCAUAGUCAUACUCCCAAAGGAGGUGAUUGUGUAUUAGUUCAUGGAGGGAUAUAUAAUAGUGUGGUGGAGGAGUGACCAAUCCUAAUGGUUUAUAUGCCCAAAAGUGAUGAAUUCACGAAGAUUUGAAUAUAUUUUCAUAACCUCUAUCAUGUGGGGAGUAUACAAUUGCAUGUCAUGUAUUAUACCCAAAGGUGAUUAUAUGAUUUUGCAUGUAACUCUCUGGAUAUAUACUUGUACGUCAAGUUACACAAUGCUCACAUGAUGCUAAUUAUAUGUACUGCUUAUCUUUCAGUCACAUUUUCUGUAAACGGUAACUCCGUCACUAUUGAGGUUCUUGCUGGUUCAAACUUUAAUAAAUAGAGAGAAGAUUUUCUAUUUACUAUGGAGAUGGCAAAUGUUCAUAUGGUUCUUACUGUCGAUCGGCCGACAGAUCUUAUUGCUAAGAGUAUAGAAGCUCAGAAAGCUCAUUUUACUGCAUGGGAAAGAGCAAUAGAAUUUGCUUACUGUCGAUGAAGCGUUCCAUUCAGGAACACUUGAAAAGUGGUUUGCCUGCAAAUUCCACUGCUAAACAGAUAAUGGAAGCCUUGAUGGCUAGAAACCGUGUCUCACCUAAUGCUAAGAUAGGAACACACAUGCAAAUACUAUUUACUAUGAAGUAUGAUGAUUCUAGUUGAGUUAGAGAUUAUGUUAUGAGAAUGGUAGAUUUGCAAACAAAGCUUGAGACUCUUAAUGUUGUUAUUCCCACUGCUUGCAUUGUGCAUCAAGCUCUAAAUAAUCUUCUUCCUGAUUUUGGGAUUAUCAAGACCAAUUAUAGUUCCCAAGAUGAAGCUUGGUCAGUUAAUGACCUAAUUGCAAGGUUGGUGGUAAAGGAAGAAAAAUUGAAGAAAGAUAAAGGGCACGUUGCCCUUUAUGCUUCUAACUCUGGUAAUGAUAAGGGAAAGAAAGUAAAAACUUAUACUCAUAAGGACAAUUCUGAAGUUGCUGGGCCUUCCAACAAUAAAGGAAAUUCUGAAGAUGUUGGACCUUCUAAUAGUUUGGGUCCCAAGAAAACAUUCAUCAAGAAGGAUGUUGUUUAUUGCUACUUUUGUAAGGAGAGGGGACAUGUAAAGAAACGCUACAGCAAGUUUAAGGCUUGGUUGUCUAAGAGAACUAAGAGUAAGCCUAAAGGUAAUGAUUCUUUGGCAUUUGUUUAUGAAUCCAAUCUAUCUGAAGUUCCGACAAAUUCCUGGUGGCUAGAUAGUGGUGCAACUAAUCAUGUUGCAUUUACAAUACAGCAGUUCAUAAACCGAAUGACGCCAAAUCAGGAUGAAUUAAAGCUCACUGUUGGAAACAACGUUAGAGUUGACGUCGAGUUCAUGGGAAAGGUUAUUUUGAUUUUAGAUUUUAGUUUUCGGAUGUUGUUAAGAAACACUUUUUACAUACAUUCUUUUAGGCAGAAUUUAGUUUCUGUGUCUUGUUUAAACAUGUGUGGAUACUCUUUUAAAAUAAAGAGUAGUACUAUUUUCAUGUUUUAUGAUUCAAAUAAGAUUGGGUGUUGCAAUUUAUCCGAUGGAUUAUAUCGAUUGAGUUUAUCUCCCAAUGACAUGUACGUUACUUAUUCAGCUGAAAAAGUUGUUUCCAAAAGGCCUCUACCUAAGGAACAGUCUUAUGCAUUGUGGCAUAAAUGUCUUGGUCACAUCUCUAAAGAAAGAGUAGAAAGGUUUAUAAAGGCUGAUAUCUUGCCUACUCUUAAUGGUGAUCAAGAGACUUGCGUAGACUACUGUAGAGGUAAGAUGACCAAGAUAAAGAAGAAAUCUGUUGUACGAAGUUCAGACUUGUUGAAGGUUAUUCACACUGAUAUUAGUGGACCAUACACGGCUACUUUGUGCAUAAAUUUUUAUUUCAUCACAUUUAUUGACGACUAUUUCCGAAAUGGAUACUUAUACUUGAUUAAAGAAAAGUCCGAGUCUCUUGAUAAAUUCAAGAUUUUUCGGAUUGAAGUGGAGAAAUAGUUGGGAAAAGUUAUAAAGAUUAUCAGAUCUGAUCGCGGUGGUGAGUUUUUUGGUAGGCAUGGUGAUGCUGGACAACUUAAAGGGCGGUUUGCUAAAUACUAGAGGAUUCUGGGAUAAUAGGUCAGUUUACUAUGCCUGGAAGUCCUGAACAAAAUGGUAUAGCUGAAAGGCGGAAUCGUACUCUUAUGGACAUGAUGAGAAGUAUGAUUAGUAUGACAAAUUUACCUAAUUUUCUGUGGGUUAAAGCUUUGAAAACAACUCUUUAUAUUCUAAAUCGCGUUCCUACUAAAGUGGUUCCAUUGACUCCUUUUGAAUUGUGGACUAGACAUAAACCUAGCUUGAAUCAUCUUAAAGUUUGGGGAUGUCCAGCAGAAGUGAAGUUAUAUAAUUUAACAUUGAGUAAGCUGGAUUCCAAAACUACUCAGUGUUACUUCGUGUCUUACCCAAAUCACUCAAAGGGGUAUCAAUUUUAUAAUCCUAAUGAGGUACAGAAUUGUCGAAUCUUAGACUGUAAAAUUUUUAGGAUUUGAUGUAGCCGAAAAGGGUAGCUGCUCACAAGCUAUUGAAGAUGAUAGUAUGGUGAGGAUUACUGGAUCACUGUCUUAUCCUAUGCAAACAAUUAUAGAACCUCCUGUGCCACAAAUUGAGCUUGUUGUGGCCCAGGAUCAUAUUGUUGAGAUAGUUCCUGAAGAAAUUCUACAAGCUCCUCAGAUUCAAAAUGAGGAUGAAGUAGCUCCACUCAAAAGAUCAACUAGGGAAAGACAUUCAGCUAUACCACCAGAUUAUCUAGUCUACCUGGGAGAGCAUGAUUAUGACAUAGGCUGUGUUGUUGAUCCCGUGACUUAUAUUGAUGCCAUCUCAUGUCCUCAAUCAAAUUUGUGGUUAGAUGCGAAAUGAGAUGCAAUCUAUGAAACACAAUGGUGUUUAGGAGCUUGUUGAAUUGUCUGAAGGUUGUAAACCUAUUGGCUGCAAAUGGGUAUACAAGACUAAAAGGGAUUCCAAAAAAAACAUUGAAAAGUUUAAAGCCAGACUGGUAACUAAGGGUUUUACUCAAAGAGAAUGAAUAUAUUAUGAAGCAACAUUUUCUCCAGUUUCUUCUAAAGAUUCUUUUAGAGUGAUCUUGGCAUUGGUAGCUCAUUUCGAUAUGGAGUUACACCAGAUGGAUGUUAAGACUGCUUUUCUAAAUGGAGACCUUGCUGAUGAAGUUUAUAUGGUGCAGCCUGAAGGUUUUGCAGCAGAUGACUCAGGUAAGCUUGUUUGUAGAUUGAAAAAGUCUAUUUAUGACCUUAAGCAAGCUUAUAGACGUGGUAUUUCAAGUUUCAUAGUGUUGUUACUUUGUUCGGAUUUAUUGAGAACAAAAUAGAUCAGUGUAUAUACACCAAGGUUAGUGGGAGGAAAUAUAUUUUUCUCAUACUUUAUGUAGAUGAUAUCUUGCUUGCUAUUAGUGACAUUGGUUUACUAUAUGAGACGAAGUGGAUGUUAUCGAAAUUUUUUGACAUGAAAGACCUUGGUGAGACGUCUUUUGUUCUUGGCAUUGAGAUCCAUAGGGAUCGCUCACGCCGUUCAUUGGGUUUGUCUCAGAGGGCAUAUAUUGAUCGCAUUUUAGAAAGAUUUAAUAUGCAUGAUUGCAAAUCAGGAAUUGCUCUUGUUGUUAAGGGUGAUAAACUAAGUCUUUCACAAUGCCCUAAUUCAGAUUUUGAGAAAGCUCAAAUGAAGGAUGUACCUUAUGCUAGUGUGCUUGAAAGUAUCAUGUAUGCUCAAGUUUGCACUAGGCCAAAUAUUGCUUUUGCAACAGGGUUUCUAGGCAGAUAUCAGUCUAAUCCAGGACGCGAUCACUGGGUUGUUGCCAAGAAGGUUUUAAGGUACUUAAAGAGAACAAAUGAUUAUAUGCUGAUUUAUAGACAUGUUUCAGACUUGCAACUAGCAGGGUAUUCAAAUGCAGAUUUUGCUGGUUGUCAAGAUGAUAAGAAGUCAACGAUAGGAUACAUAUUUAUGUUGGCAGGAGGUGCAGUAUCAUGGAAGAGCGAAAAACAGAAAUCCAUAUCUUCUUGAUAUGGAUUUUGUAGCAUGUUUUUCAGCUACUACUCAAGUUAUUUGGCUCCGAAACCUCAUUAGGGAGUUAUUUAUUUUGAUUUUGUGGAUAAACCCAUAUAGUUAUAUUGUGACAAUAACCCUGCAGUGUUGUUUAUUAAUAACAACAAAAGUCUCAAGGGGUCUAAACACAUGGAUGUCAAGUUUUUGACCAUAAAGGAAUCGGUGCAGAAUGGUGACGUCGUAGUAGAUUAUAUUCCUAUAGAUGAUAUGGUUGCAGAUCCACUAACUAAAGGCCUACGCCCGUGUGUAUUUGAUCGACAAGUCAUUAGUAUGGGCUUAGGAGCAUCUUGGGAUGCUAUUAUUUAGUGGGAGCUAUGUUUUAUUUUUCUUUGAAUAAAGUUUACAUCUGUUUUGUUACAAUUUAGUAACACUUUGAUAUUAUAUAUGUCAACUUUUGCAUUCAAUAAAAUAUUUUUGAAUGAAUUGUUAUUAUGUUGAAUAUAUAUAUUGUUGAAAGUCUCAAGGUAUUACUUAAACCUUGAGUGAAGGCUAAGGGCAUCCGGGCAUCCAGGCAUCCGGUUAUUAGCCUUGUGCAUAUGUCUUAUGAUAAAUAAAAAAAGGUUAAUCGUAAUGACAAGACAUAUGUGGGUUCAUUGAAACCAUAAAGCAUUCUCUAGUGGCACAAGUUUUUUUUUUUUUUUUUUUUUUGCCUAAGGUAAGAGAAUGGUGAUUGAUAAAUGAGAUCUCUCUAUGAGAGAUGUUAUCCAUUUACCACACUAUCAUAUUGAAUCCAUAUCAAUAAAGUUGAGAGCACUUGUGACCAUGGAAGGCUCUGUGUGUAUACAUGCAGUUACCACCAUGAUUCGGUGUUUAAGACUUUAUGGGAUAUGAUUGACUAUUAAGAAUUAUCUUUGGACCAAUGUGCGCACAUAAGGCACGAUUUCAAUUAAUAUAGUCCAAAUAGGAGAAUGUAAGAGUUUUCCUAAUGUGGAUUACAUUAAUUGAUAUUGUAAUUUACUAUUUUUACGGCUACCGUAAAACAGGGUUGGUCUAAGAUGAGAUAGAAGGUUUAUUAAUUAGUCUAAAAUGGGGCUGGCUAGUGUGGGCCGAGUUGAGCCUAGCCCAUAAUGAGGGGGCAUGGCUAGAAAUUCUAUAAAUAGUGCUCAAGUAUCUCCUCUAACCCUAAUUCUCACAUAUUCUCACCUAAUGGGCGUUUACCUAACGCUACAUGUGAGGGGGCCACCUCAUUGAGCCAAUGAUACAGAGGGCAAUAGAGGAGGACUUGCGUGUGGAACAUUGUGUUUCCGCUUCCGCUUCAAGAACAAUGGAUUCCAAAACAGGUGCGUUAAUCUUUCUACUCAAUUAUGCAUGUUCUUGUUUUAGUUAUGGAGAUCUUGGGGUCGCGUAAUUUGCACCCAACAGUGUUCACAGUGGGCAGGUGCUUCAUUGAAUAUCUCAUUCCUUUUCUAGUUUGGGAUGUCCGCUCAUUUCCUUGAUAAUGGUACAAAUGUAGCAGAAUGGUUGAGCAAAUAAUCAAUUGAAUGUGGGGGUACUCAAUCUUCCAUUGAAUUUUAUAGAGAGUUUCUAUGAGUGUUGGCUUUUAGGUAGCCUCGUUUAGCAUCAAGAGUUUCUUUGGAGUUGGCCCAUUUGGAUGAUGACAAUAGUGGCCUUACACUGACCAGAAGAGGAAGAAAUCCAAGAAUCCAAUUAAGCACGUCCGUCAAGAAGUGCACCAGAGCCUACAUGGAGCCAUUCACACUAGAUGUUUUCAUCUCCUAGCACUUCGUCUCAGCUUCACUCGCUCACUUAUAGGGUCACGUGCAAGCAGGUCGCUGUUGCGGGUACUAAUAGGACAUUAAAGCCGUGCUCAAGUCUCAAUCGAACACACCAGCAUGUUUGGCCACAGGCCGGGCUUUGGCAGACUGGGGGAGAGAAGCUGAUGAGUGCACUGCUUCCCAUACUGCAACAGCAAGGGACAAGUUUGAAGGAAAAAUCCGAACGGUAGUUCAGUCUCUGAUUGACAUUGGCAUCGAUUUAUAUUGAGCGAUUUUCCCUGCUUGAGCAUGAUCUUGCUUAUGUGCACAGCUCGUUAUAGGAAUGUACAGACAUCUUUGACAUUGUUUUGAGAUACACAAGAUGUAGUGUUGGUUCAUUUGCUGGUUAAAUAUAGAUAAUGGUGACUGUUUGUUUGACAAGAGUAGAAUUCGACUGUUUUGGCUUUGUUAAAACAUUUACCUUCUGGAUUCUUGGAUGAGCAUAGUGAUGGCUAUCAUAGCUUUGUACGUUUUCUCUCAUUUUACAUGGUGUCUAUGUUGACUCCGCUUUUGAAACCUUAGAUGUCCAUGCCACGAUGAUUAGUUUCGUCCAGUUUUCUUUUAGCAAAGACUUAUUGCAAGGUUAGGUUCAAAGCUCUUAAGAGUCUGAAGUACUAUCAUAGCAUGGAUUGGCAGGUAAUAUCCUACUCAAUUAUCAUAACUUAUGUUAGUUGUCUCUUGUUCAAUUGUUUUACUUGAGUUCAUGAUAUAGAGACACAUAGGUAUUACUUUGCCUGCCUUCAUGACCUGAUGAUAAGAAAUCAAUUAAUGCAAUAUCAUAGGAUUUGGUCAUUGUAUUCUUGUGGAAAAUAUGACGCUAAAUAUAAAGUGUUGUUAGUCAUUCUUUUUCUUCUGUUUCUAAGUUUGACCAUCUUGGACAAGAAGGGUAGACCCAACAAAAAGGUGAAUUGAUCUGACCUGUUGCUUUUUGAAUGUUGAGCGACAUAUCAUGAAGAGAGAUGUCCAAAAUUCAAUAUGCUCACGGGUAGUCCAGUAUCUCCUGUAAAAAUAGUGGUGACAUGUCUGGAAAAUGAGCUAGGUGAUUGAAGGUGAUCUAAUUGCUUUGUCAAUCACCUACUUUAGAUGCUUAUACUACAAAAGCAUAUGGUCUAACCAUCACUCAGCUACUUAGCCUAUUGCAAUUUCAUUUGUUCAUUGAAGGGCUGGUAUGAAGAAGAAAGGUUCACUUGCUAAUUGCUAUUAUCAGAUAAUGUUUGAAUUCUGCUAUUUUCGUCUUGUUGUAGUUUUAGUUGUACUCAUAACUUCUUUGGCGCUUCAUCAUCAUAGCUCUUUCCAUAUGCGCCAAUAUGGACUAUUCAAUAUUUUUUUUUUUUUUUGGAUUAGGAAGUGAUAUUCUCUACUAGCUGUGAAAAAAUAUCAUUUGAGUCCACAAUCACAGAGUUCUUAGUAAUCUGACUACUCAAUUGUUUCAAAAGAGUCCAUAAAAUACAUCAAAUAGUCCACAAACUUAAAGCACCAUAUUCAUUUCCAUGACAUAAUCAAUACAAGAUUGCACAGUAAAAUGUUAUUUACUCCUGGAUCACAUUAUGAACGUGGCAUUUUCCAUGCACUUGGGUUCAGUGAAGUACAAGGGUAAUCCAUCAAGAUCGUGUCGAAAGCAUCUUUUCCUUUCUGUUUUCUGCAGAUAGUCACAAAGACAAGUCAGAGUUUGACCCUACUGCUUCUUAAUAAAAAUGUACAAGUAGGCUUGAGAAAUCUGGUUACUCACUGACUAUCCAUGUUGAGGAAUCUGUUUCUUCCAGGAUUGCUGUUGAAAUAAUAUUUCACUGUACCCAGUUUCAAAAACAAAGAUGUGUUUUCUAAAAGUGUAAGCUGUCCAAAAUUUCUCAUCAGUUCCUUGCCAUAUCUUUUCAUUGCUUUCUAUCAAGUAAUCCGGCGUUACCUUUUCUUAAGAUCCUUUCCUGAGAAUAUCCAGAGUAGCUGAGUCUAGGGGUUCUCUUCUGUUCUCUUGAAGUUGUCAUCAAAUUGUCUAAUAUGUUCCUGGAGGCACUAGUGAAUUGACAUACUGUAAAACUUGUUGCCGGAGAAUCCAUUAGUCAUUGAGUGCUUCGACUUAAAUACUAGUGGGAACCAUGCACUUGGAGGGUAAAUAACUUUUCUCAUGCAUUUUGUAGCGCAUGGUAUGUUAAUUUGCUUCUCGUUUAUUCCAGUAAUCUACAGUAAGUCCAUAGCAGACUUGGGGAAACUUCACAGAGAAAGCAACAGGGAAAAUUUUACUUUACCAUCUUCUCAUCUAGGCUAUGAAAAGGUGCUUGUCAUUCUUAAAUAAUUUAAUUCUCUUCAUUCUGAUAAGCCCUUUGAUCAUUUUCAACAUGCAUCUCGCAAAAGUUCCCAAUAAGGGAGAUGAUUACAUACGUCCUAAAGAGUAGCAUCAUGUAAAUUCGCAUGAUGAAUGCCUUGAAUCUAACAUACUAUUGAUAUGUUUUGGCCAAAGACCUAAGUGUUGAUUAUAACGUGUUAGAUAAGUGCAUGUAAAUUUCCACAAUGAACAUCUUAAAUCUAACAUGCUACCAAUCUUUUUUGGUCAAAGACCUAAGUGUUGAUAAUAACGUGCUAGAUAAUUUCGACAAUAUACUUAGGUUGUGUUUGGCAGUUAAGAUAAAAUUUAUCCUAUCUUGCGUUUGGUGCACGCUCAAGAUAGGAUAAUGUCAAAUAUAAAUGGAAUAUACACUGGAUAAAAUUAUUCCAUGGUGGAGCUAGGAUAAAGGUGGAUAGGAUUGGAUAUAAUAAGAAAGUUUUUUUUUUCAAAUAAUUUUUUUUUAAAAUUAACAAAUUAAAAUUAUAUUUCAAUAUCAAUAAUAAUUGAAUUAUAAUAUAAGAAAUUCAAAAUAACAAAAAAUAAAAUUUUAGUUUUUCAAUUUAAUCUUAUUUUUAUUUAUAUAUUCGAAUUUAAUUUUAUCUUAUAAUAUACAUUCAAUAUAUAAAUAUCUAUUUAUUACAUAUUUUAGGUGUUUUAGUAGUUUAGGUAUAUUAGUACAAUUUCUAUUUAAUAAAAUUUUAUUAGAGAAUGAUGGAAGGGGAAGAAAGAAAUAAAAAAGUAAUUAAUUAAAAAGAGGAGAAAAUAAAAUAAAAAGAAAAUAAAAAUAAGGAAGACAAGAGUGUUACGAGAGAUUUUUACUAUAUCUGUCUAUUAAUCAAACAAAAUAUAUAAUAUAAUGUGAAAAUAUCCAAUUUUAUUAUUGCAAUCAUUAAACAGUAGAUAAGAUAUAAAAAAAUCUGCUAGAUUUCAUAUCUUAUCCUAUCUAGUUUUAUCUUAAUUAGAAAUCUGGACGACCAAUUGUAAUUUUAGAGCUCAUCUUUCUCAAUAUUCACAUGUUUUUUUUGCUCGGGAUAGGCUGUCUUGCUUAGCCUCACUACCUCUCUUAUACCUCAGUAAAAGAAAAUUUAUAGAUGAAAAGGAAUUGCAAUAAUCAAAAACCCGCUCAUAGCAAUCACAUGAGCAGUGGUGGUGAUUACCAUUGAGAUCGUUUGCAAGCCUUAUCUCGACGGAUCUCUCAACCCUGAUUAUGGCCGAACUGAUGACAACCGUAAGCUCUCGCUCACGUCCUUGUAAUCAACCCCAGCAGCACCAGCUAUGUGUGAAUUUCAAAUGACUUCCCAAUCCACCAUGGCCACUGGUCCAGCACUCAUUGUUAGCAUCCGGCUAUGUCGAAGUCACAAUAGCCUGGUCAAUGGAAAAAAAUUGAAAUAUAAAACAAAGUGUCGUCUCUUUCCAUUGCAUGACAUCAUGUCUUAUAUCUUCUUGUCAGUAGCCUAGUUGGUGACUUGAAAAUAUUAGGGCGAUCUCAGAAAAUUAGCAUGUGAUAGGAAAAAAUUGAUUUUUACUCAUUGUAGAACUCCUAAAAUACUAUAAAGCAUGAAAAUACUACAUGAUUUCUCUCAUAACAUUUUCGAAAUCAUCAUUGCAAAUAUUGCUUAUUUUUCUUACUUCAUUCAUUAUAUUCAAACAGAUUGGUACAAAUGGUUGGAUCAGUGAACUAGAGGAAUCGCAUAUUAGCCCAUACUCCGGUUCAAUCUUCGGUAUCAUUUUCAAAACAUUGCCUAUAAUUAGGCCUGAAAUAAUUGACUAAAAGUUAUCCAUUCUUUCUUGAAAGGUGGGUAUGUGAAAAUCUUUAAUUAGGAGCACUCGCCUUUGCUUCGUAUAUCUAUUCAUUGAUUUUCUUUAAUGGAUGACCUCACUCGUAGUUUAUUAAAGGGAUAAGUACAUUGAAAAUUCUAAAACUUAUUAACAAAGUGUCAUUUAUUCAUAAAAAGCGCAAUUAAAUCCUCUAAUUUGUCAUGAAAGUGUAAUCGCGUCAUAAAACUUUUAAAAAAUAUAAUCAAGUUCUUAAACUUGUCAAGUUAGUCAAAUUAAGUCCUUUCAUUGAUAGCACUCUUUAAAAUAUUUUAGGUCUCAAUUGUACUUUUAUGACAAGUUUUAGAACUUGAUUGCACAUUGUAAUAAAUUUUAGAACUUAAUUGCAUUUUUUGAAAAUUUUAGGAUUUAAUAACAAUUUCAUAACAAAUUGUAGGACUUCUAGUAUACUUAUCCCUUCAUUAAAACAUCAUUCUUAAAAAAAGUGGAAGUAUAUGGUGAUUAUAACAACGGGGAAUUGGACAUCGUUACUUUGAACCUACUUUGUCCUUCUACUAAUUGAGAGGAUCUGACAAGAAUAUACAUUUCAAACAUGUGGAAGGAGAGAUAGAGUCCUAUGCAAACACGCACUAACCGAACUCCUUCAAUUUGAUAGCAAAAGAGUGAAAAUGAAAUUUACCAUACUUUAUGUGAACAGUUGUAUUUACGUACAUCCUUGAUUAUAGGAAACUUUAUCGAAACAUGCCUUUCGUCUGUGGAAUACAAAUUAUGGAUCAUCUACAUGCAAAUAAAAAUAUGAGUGGUCCAUGUUAUCUUAACUUAAUACUUGUAUUUUAUUAUGCUUAACACGUGAAAUUGCACAUGACUAUAUCAUCUAACCAAAUUCACCCCAACUUAUAGUGGCUCCAUUUACCUCUCAACCUCAUUUAAUAAUUAAUGAUAGAUCAGAUGUUAGAAAUUAUAAUUCAACUUUCGGCUUCAUUAUUUUGUUUAAUACAUUUUGUCAUCCUUUCCUAGAUCAAGGCAUCAUCCUCUAUAUUCUAAAUAAAGAUCGCUGAGUAUCUUAUUACAGUUAAAAACUUGAAAGAAAAUAACCUUCUUACUUAUCCAUGAGCAAGAGAAUAUAGUAAGCAUAGCUAAGCUCUAGGGAAACUCAUUCGGAGUAGCAAAUCAUCAAUAACCUCAAUUAUCUCGAUAAGUAGCACCAAGUCUAUACUUGUUGGAUCCAUCAUGGGACACAUGCUGUGACUGGGUGCACGCACAUCUCCUAAUUUUUAUUUUUCAAUUAAUAAAGUUUCUUAGCAAACGUUCAAAAUCAGGUACAAAAUUAAUGAUAUUUAUCCAAGUGAGAUUUGUAAAUUUAUCUUGCAAUAUUAAUGGACAUUUGAGAGAAAAUUAAAGGGGACAAUUUAUUUUAACAAAAGAUAUCGAAAAUUUUGAUCAAUAUUUAUUAAAGCCAAAAAAAAAAAAAAAGCACCAAGAGCAACCGAGAUCGCUGCACGGUUACAUACCUCGCUUCUAAAGGCCACAAAGGGGUUGCGCAUUAACGUGGAGCUAAGUGUGGAGAAAGAUUAAAAAAAAGAUUUGCUAGAAAAAUGUAAAUUGCAUUGAAAUGGUGAAAUUCGAGGAAAAUAAAAUGUAGUAAAAAGCAAAUAUAAACAUAGAUUAUAGAUUUGCUUGAAUGUGGAAAGAGAGAGCUUUACAAUCCCAAAACACUAGCAUUAAAAAAAAAAAAAAAAAAAAAAAAAAAAAAACUAAGAAUAACAAGUCCCUCCUCUAUGUAAAAGAACCACCCGCAUAACUCCAAUUAUUCCGCCUCUUUUGCUACUUCAACUUCAAAGACGAAAUGCUACAACAUGCAACUCAAUCAUGAGCUCUUCCUAGUUACAUCUGGCUUAUUAUCAACACAUCCCAAGCACGAUUUAAAACUCAAUUAUUGAAAUCAUCAAGCAUGAAACAGAAAUCUUCAGUUACGAAUGAUUUCAUGCUAAUUACGGAGCUAAAAUGUAAACUCCCGGUCCUACCUAUUGCUUAGCUCUUCCCUAUCCACAGUGACGGGGAGUCAAAUUGGACAUUGACCUUACCGAUGCUUUUUCCUAGAGAUUUAGACAAAAAUUUCGAACACGGCAAAACUUUAAUAAAUUUCUUAAUUAAUCCAUUAUCUUUGAAGCAUAUUACUUAACAUCUCGUGAAAGUUACUAGUAAAGCAGAAGAUUACGAGGCUCUUAAAGAGUACUAUCAUCUAAAAAUCAAUUGCCGCUAUGAACACUUUGACUCCCACAUAAGUUUCAUAAUACAAUUCUUUUUUAGCCAAAAGGUCCCUUAGCAAAAGACCCGUUAUUUGGGAAGGUGUACAGGCAAAAAAUUAAUUAGUAACCAUAUCUCUUCCAAUCAAACUUUUUGAUUGCAUGUUAUGGUGUGUCGACAAAGUUGCGGUUUUUGGAUACCUUGUUUGGUUUGUCUUUGUAUGUCUGUAAUUAUUAAUCCACGCAAGCCUUAGACAAAAUCGAAGUCAUGAAUUCCGUCCUGAUCAAGUUGGACACAAAUUUUUUUCACUUUGAUUUGUGUGGCCACAUGAUCCAAUUAAUAUCCUCAAAGUCUACUAGGUGGGGGCAUUCUUGUACCAUCUCGUGUCAAAAAGCACAGGGUAGCACUAUGUGAUAGCAAUUCUCCACGAGUUGGUCACUUUUUAACAAGCACGAAUGAUUUUGCAGAGGAUUAUUAUGGCAAAUGCAGAAACCCUUGCGGCAAAUAUAGAGGAGAAACACAAAUCCACUAUAGAAAUCAAGUAUUACAAAAGGUGGCUCUAAAAAGCUUAAACUAUUUCUGUCUUAACUUCAUGCAAAAUGUUUUAGUAGAAUCUCCUACUAAAAUAUCACUCUUCUAGACCAAAAUUAGAUUUUUAGGUCAUCAUAUCCACUUAUGUACCAUAAUUCCAAUAGAAAAGUCAAUCUCAUUUAUUGAUAAGUUCCCGGAUGAGAUCAAAGACAAAACUUAAUUACAAAUAUUCUUGGGGAGUCUCAAUUAUAUUCUAAAUUUCUUCCCCAAUAUUAAUAUACUUUGUAAACCUUUACACCAAAGGCUACAAAAGGAUCCUCCACCGCAGACUUCAAUCCACACAAAUAUUGUCAAACAGAUAAAGACCUAUGUUAAAGAAAUACCAUGCUUACAUCUAAUUGAUCCAUCCAUUUUAAAAAUAGUUGAAACAGAUACCUCAGAAAUAGAAUAUGAUAGUAUUCUUUAACAGAUCAAAAAUAGUAAAGAAUAGGUUGUCCAGUCUGUCUCAAAAUAUUGAAACUCAACAUAGCAAAACUACUCAAUAAUAAAAAAAAGAAAUACUUGCUAUUGUUCUAUUCAUAUCAAAAUUCCAAGGAGAUUUAAUAAACCAAAAAUUUCUCUUGAGAAUUGAUUUCAAAUAGGCCAAAGAUAUUGUACAAAAUGACAUUUUAAAUAUUGCUUCAAAACAACUUUUUGCGAAAUGACAAGUCAUACUUUUAGUGUUUGAUUUUGAUAUUGAAUUUAUAAAUGGUUCUUCGAAUUCAUUAUCAAUUUUCUCACAAGAUAAUUUUUACAGGGAAUACAAUCAUGUCACCAAAAUUCAAAAAAAGACAAAGACAAAGACAAAACCAUUGCCGAAACCUCCAAUACACCACCUAAGCCAAAAGGCUUAGACCAAUGAAUAUUAAUGAUCUCCAAAGAGAAAAACAAAACUAGAAGAUCAAAAUGAUACUUCCAAUACCUUUGAUCUAAACUUCUUAAGGUUAUUGAUGGAAAUAACUUCUAGAAAAUGGAUAAUUAAUGUAACAAUAAAAAACAAUAAUGAAUUCAUCAUUGAAACAACAACACUCUUUGAUAUAAGAGCAAAUCUCAAUUAUGUUAAAGAAUGUCUUGUUCCAACAAGAUACUUCGACAAAACAUCAUAAUCAUUAAAAUCACCCUUAGGAGAUAAGUUGAAUAUCAAAUAUAAAUUACCAUAAGCUUUAAUAAUAAUAAAAUCACAUGUCUUUUAAAACUUCCUUUUUUUUAGUCAAGAAUAUAAGGCAAAACAAUUGAAUAGGAUAGAGUCAACGAUUCAUAAUCCUACCCAACAAAUCAUAUCAUAAGUAGAAACAUUCAAAAAUCCUAUUUUUAAGACAAUUGAAUUCCCAAAAAAUCUUGGCCUAGAGUUUGCCAAAGCCAUAGAACAACUCCAAAAAUUAUAUCAUAGUAGAGCUACCCCACUAGACAUUACUUUAGAAGAAUCAUUGCAAAACAUACAAAAUAAAUACUCUCCAGACGCCAUUUAUGAAUGGAAUAUAUAUGGUGUUGCUGAAAGUAAUAUAAUGGAUAUUUUAAACAAUAUGGUAAUAUUAGCUAAUGCCUACAAAACAUAGCAAGAUGUUUCUAAUCAUGCUAUUGCUCAUCUUUUAGUAGUGGGUUUCGCAGGACAACUAAAAGGAUGGUGGAAUAAUUAUUUAACAGAUGAACAAAAGGUAUAAAUUUUAAUUGUCUAUAAAAUAGAUGACUUUGGACAACGCAUGGAUAAUGAACAAGGACAUCUCAUCCAAGAUGCGAUGAAUACAUUCAUUUACUCUAUUUCACAACACUUCAUAGGAGACCAAUCACAUAUUAGAGAUAGAAACCAAGACUUCCUAUCCAAUAUGAGAUGUAUUAUUCUUCUUUUGUUAGCAUAUUUAUUUCAAGGGUAGUUAUUGAACAAAAUAACUAUACAAAUUAACAUUUAGUAACCACAGAAAAAACAAUUGAAUAGGAUAGAAUCAUCAAAAAGUAAUUCUAAAAACACCUUUCAAACAAGUGAUUCAACCUUUUACAAUAACACAUGAAGGAAUUGAAACCCGGGCUUUAAAUAGAAAAUUCACUUUCGAUUUUAUAACCAAACCACAAAGGAGAAGCCUAAAUAUCUUAGGAGAACACUCAAUUUCAGAAAUAAAUUAUCUUAUUAAAGAUAAAGAAAACCGACUUGAGUUUUUAAAGAAGACUUAGAAUUCAAGAGAAUAGAAGAAGAUCUCAUAAAAACAAAUAUCAAAGAUAAAAUAGAAUCUCUACAAAAAUACAUUAAAAAAAAAAAAACUAUAUGUUCCACUUACCCAAUGCACUUUGGGGAGCGCAUACGACAGUGAUUUCCUUAAGGCUAGGUUCUCAAUUCUCUCAGCCAUCACCAUGAGACUAGCAUUCUCUUUUAGCACAAUCCCCUUAGUGGUUUUUGCAUGUAGAUGCAGGAGGAGCUCUGCACCCUGAGUUUGUCAUCGACUUGUAUUGCAGGCACAUUUUGCAAACACAGUAGAACUUCUUUUCUUUUCGGUCAUUUGGUCCUUUUGUUAGGAUCGUACUAAAUCGGGUACCUAUAUUAUUUUCCCCUUCUAGAUAUGUGUGCUGUACGACCAACUUUUUGAGCCAGAGUGUGCUUUGGUGGAACUUGGCAAAGGUCAAGCCUUGAUAUCAUUUAUGAUGGAUUUAUGAGAUGGGCUUAAGGCCCGUUCGCCCAUGCUGGGCCCAAAAGGCCCGGCCCACGGGAAUAGGGCCCGUGGAAAGAAGGGGGUAUAAAAGGGAGGAGAGAGAGAGAGAAAAGGCACCGUUUAGCUAAAAACAAACGACGUACGCUUCUCCCUCCCCCUCUCUCUGUCGUUUUCCUCCAAAAGGAAAACAGUGACUCCCGAAGGCGUUUUUCCUUCAUCGGAUCAACAGGACCAAGAUUCUCUUCCUCCAUUGACGACGGUGUUUAAUCUGUGGCUAACAAGGUACGCUCGACUCCGUGGUGUGCUUUACGAUCGGUGAUACGUGUAAUUCCCGGGCUUCGUCUUCCGCAUUGAUUUAGGGGUUCGAUUUAGUGUCGAAUCCGGCUUUUGGGGAUCAGUAAUUCCCAACAUUGGUAUCAGAGCCAUAGUUCACGUUUUUCCCGAUCAAUUCCAAUGUUUUUGAUUGAGUUUUUGCGAAGAAACUUUCGGCCGUACGGAACCGGGNNNNNNNNNNNNNNNNNNNNNNNNNNNNNNNNNNNNNNNNNNNNNNNNNNNNNNNNNNNNNNNNNNNNNNNNNNNNNNNNNNNNNNNNNNNNNNNNNNNNNNNNNNNNNNNNNNNNNNNNNNNNNNNNNNNNNNNNNNNNNNNNNNNNNNNNNNNNNNNNNNNNNNNNNNNNNNNNNNNNNNNNNNNNNNNNNNNNNNNNNNNNNNNNNNNNNNNNNNNNNNNNNNNNNNNNNNNNNNNNNNNNNNNNNNNNNNNNNNNNNNNNNNNNNNNNNNNNNNNNNNNNNNNNNNNNNNNNNNNNNNNNNNNNNNNNNNNNNNNNNNNNNNNNNNNNNNNNNNNNNNNNNNNNNNNNNNNNNNNNNNNNNNNNNNNNNNNNNNNNNNNNNNNNNNNNNNNNNNNNNNNNNNNNNNNNNNNNNNNNNNNNNNNNNNNNNNNNNNNNNNNNNNNNNNNNNNNNNNNNNNNNNNNNNNNNNNNNNNNNNNNNNNNNNNNNNNNNNNNNNNNNNNNNNNNNNNNNNNNNNNNNNNNNNNNNNNNNNNNNNNNNNNNNNNNNNNNNNNNNNNNNNNNNNNNNNNNNNNNNNNNNNNNNNNNNNNNNNNNNNNNNNNNNNNNNNNNNNNNNNNNNNNNNNNNNNNNNNNNNNNNNNNNNNNNNNNNNNNNNNNNNNNNNNNNNNNCGACGUGACCGUUGACUUGACCGUGACCGUUGACCUAAAACAAAGAAAAAGGAAUUUGUUUCUUUUUCCAUUAUGCCUGUGUGGGUUGUAGGUAAUCCAUUUUUAUUCUGCAUUUGUUGCAUGAAUCAUGGAAAUUUAUGUAUUUUCCAUUUUGUUUAUUAUGGAUUAUAAGUGAUCCAUUUUAGUUCUGCAUUUGUUGCAGGAACUAUGAUGCGUUAUGCACGGAUACCUGCAAUCCCAACAACGGAUGAAGGAAGAGCUAGACUGAAAAGGCUGAUGAAAGAGUUAGCUGAUUAUCGGUGGCUUGAUGGUGAUUUAGUAUCACACAUGGUCAAGGUCAAUCAGAUGAUACAGGAAAUCAUCUGGAAUGGUUACCUUAUGCCGGACUUUGAGAAGGUGCCGGCUUUGAUGAACACUCUUCCACCUGAAUGGCAAGCAGUGUUAGAUCGGCUAUGGGAGGUCAACGUGGUCCCGGGUUAUAGGGGUCUAGUGGAAACUUUUGUAAGAGAAUACUAUAGGAUUGAGUUGGCCAAAACUUCAACCUUUAGAUUGAGCGCCACAUGGCGCAGAGCGAAUGCACCUUGGUGGCGACAUAAGAGCUCUCCAAAAGUUUUUCCAUGGUUGGCAAAUGUGCCUUCGGUUUUCUCAGAUGUUUUGACUGAUAGAUUAGAAGGGACUUUCCCUAAUUAUUUCUUUGAUUAAUUAUGUAAUGUUUACUACCUGAUUGUUGUUGAUGUAGCAACCGAUAUGUUAGUUGUAUCAUGUGAAAGCGUUGUUAUUUUAUUCGAUAUUCUAUUAUAUAUUGCUUUCUGUUACUGCUGGUUGCUGUGGGUAGUUAGCUGUGGGUAGUAAUAGAAGUUUUUGUAACUUCAUAAAAUGUAUUUGCAUAAGACAAUUAUAUUAAUAAUAAUUUUGAGUUAGGACUUUGGAGGAUGAUUGGAAACAUAGUGACCUUUUGAUUCUGAAGCCUUACUUAAAAUUAUUUAUUAAUAUGAUGGGUCUAUGCAAAUAGGGAUGCAUAAAUGAUAGGCAUUAAUUAUUCGUGCAUGUAUGUCUGAUGUGUUCAGACUGAUGGUUUCAGCAAUUAAGAGCGUGAUUGCUGAUAUGAACGGCUACAAUUGUGAAAUAUUGAAUAUGAAGAUUCAAUAUGUGCUGGAAAAGCAAGAAGCACUAUAAGCUCUUGACCAUGUUAUGGAAGAUCUUGAGAAUGUUGUGCGCCACCUUAAGCUGGUAGAGGACCGCUUAACGGCAUGUGAGCUGAGAAUAGAUAUUUGCAAUGCCGGUUCUAGCUCAUAAAGAGUUUUGAGCUCUAAGCGCAAGCGUAUUGAUUCGUUCAAUAUGUGGGAAUGCAAAGGAUCAAGUCCUUAUUGCAAGAGAUCAAGAGUUAACCAACACAAGAGAGGAAAACGUCCUCAAUUGAAGAAAAUGUCAAGAGUGAAAUGUUACAACUGUGACAAGAAGGGUCACUAUGCUCGCGACUGUCGUGAGCCAAAGAAGGCAUACACCUCUUGUACAUUUGAGAACUUUGAUUACGUGUCAAGUUCUGAAUUAUUGGCUGAAUCCAAUCCUUUGUGGACUGUAGAUUCAAGAGCAACAGACGAUCUAGCAAAGGAUAAAGGAUCCUACGUGGAAUUCCGACGAAUACCAACUGGAACUGAGUGGAUCUAUGUGGAAAACAACUCCAGAGCUGAAGUUAAUAGGGAUUGGCACCUGCCAACUGAACAUGUGUGGUGGACGCAACUUGUUCCUACAUGAUGUUCUAAAUGCUCUGGAGAUUCGUCGAAAUUUAGGUGUCUGUUUUGCUGUUGGUUAAGCUUGGUUUUAAUAUGAACUUCCAUAAUAGAGCUGUAGAUUUGUAUUUGGAUACAAACUACUAUAAUAGUGGUCACUUUCUAGAUGGUUUUAUUGUACUAAAUGUUGACUGUGAUGAUGUCAAUAUGUUAUCCCCUUGUUUCACGUCUUCUAUCUUAUAUGAUAAUGAUGUGAAUAUGAUGGCAUGCUAGACUUGGUCAUAUGGGCCAACAACAUAUGAAAAGACUAGCCAAAAAAGGGCUUAUUGGGCAAUAUUGAAAAAGUUGAUUUGUCCAUAUGUGAGCAUUGCCUAAAAGGGAAAACGACAAGGAAACCAUUUGGAAAAGGUAAAAGAGCUAACGUUCCUCUGCAUUUAAUCCAUUAUGACGUUUGUGGUUCAAUAAAUGUGAGAGGAAGGCAAGGGGCUGUUUGUUUCAUCACUUUUAUGGAUGAUUCUACUUGAUUCGGAUGUGUCUAUUUGAUUUCUCAUAAAUCUGAAGCAUAAGUUGUUUCAAAAGGUUCAUGAACCUGGUGGAAAAUCAAUUAGACAAGAAAAUAAAAGCAUUUAGAUCCGAUCGAGGUCGAGAAUAUUUAUCUGAUGAGUUCAGAAAAUUAUGUGAUGAAAAAGGAAUAGAAAGACAGUUGUCUAUUCCACAUACUCCUCAACAAAAUGGUGUUGCAGAGAGAGGAAACAGAACCCUACUGGAAAUGGUUAGGUCCAUGAUGGCAUAUGCUAACUUACAUAUCACUUUUAUGGAGUGAUGCGUUGUUAACUACUGCCUAAAUACUUAACCGGGUGCCUUCCAAAUCAGUUAGUUUCACUCUAUAUGAGUUAUGGAUAUGUAGAAAAACCGGACUUAAGUUUACUUAAGCCAUGGGGUUAUGCUGUCUAUACUCAUAUGUCCUCUCACAAGUUUGGGAAAUUGAGUCCCAUAUAAAAGUAGAGUAUUUUAAUGAGAUACUCCGAACACUCAAAAGGGUAUGUGUUCGUAAGUGAGCAGGAAAGUGGGAGAAUAACUGAAUUUGAAUCACAGGAUGUCACAUUCUUAGUGGAUGAAUUUCCUAAGAAGGGCGAAAUAGGGGAAGAUUACUUCCUAUUUGAAACCUUGGAUUAAGAUUAUGAUAUUAAUGGAGUUCAUCCAAGUGGGAGUAAUAUGAGAUGUGAUGAAUUGAAUUCAACUCAUUCUCAAUUGCAACCACCUGAUGUGACGACAUCAUCAUUACAUAAUCCAAGUGGGAGCAUAAUGGGGAAUGAUGUGCUAAGCGUACAAUCUCCCAUACGGUGAACAAGUCGCUAAAGUAUUCCCCGUCGAUGUUUUGACAUUGAAAGGGAAACUUUUAUGGUUGCUCCACAAGAUGAGGAUGAGCCAAGAAACAUUAAUGAGGCUCUGAAUUGCCCUAGUAAGGAAAAAUGGAUUUAUGCAAUGGAAGAGGAAAUGGAGUCAAUGAAAUCAAACCAAGUCUGGGAACUGGUUGAUCUUCCAAAAGGACGCAAAGCCAUUGGGAACAAGUGAGUUCUCAAAAUAAAGCGAGAGACUGAUGGCUCGAUAGAAAGGCAUAAGGCUCACCUUAUGGCGAAGGGGUAUAAUCAACAGGAAGAUAUUGAUUAUGUAGAUACAUUUUCUCCUGUAGUGAGAUUUACCUUGAUUCGCAUAAUUCUGGCAAUAGUGUUUAGUAUGGAUCUUGAGUUACAUCAAAUGGAUGUAAAGACUGCUUUCCUCAAUGGAGAAUUAGAGGAAUAAAUAAAUAUGGAACAACCUGUCGGUUUCAUAGUGAAAGGCCAAGAAGAAAAGGUAUGUCGACUUUGGGGGUCGAUAUAUGGCCUUAAGCAGUCGUCAAGACAAUGAUAUAUACGUUUUCAUAAUGCCAUAAUAGCAUAUGAUCUUACAAUGAUAGAUGAGGAUCAUUGUAUAUAUAUCAAAAGAUCCAAGGAUCAAUUUGUGAUCAUAUCAUUAUAUGUUGAUGAUAUACUAAUUGCCGGAAGCAAUAUGGAGUUGGUUAAUACUGUCAAGAGACAGUUGUCUUCCAACUUUGAGAUGAAUGAUAUGGGAUUGUAAACCCAUAAACACUCCUAUUGCAAAAGGUGAAGGAUUGAGCCAUAGACUGUGUCCAAGGACUCCACAAGAGAAGGAACAAACAAAAUAUGUUCCUUAUGCUAGUGCUGUUGGGAGCUUGAUGUAUGCUAUGAUGUGUACAACACCCGACAUAUGCUUUGCAGUUGGAAUGAUGAAUAGUUACCAAUCCAAUCCAAGUCAAGCACAUUGGAAAGCCGUUAAAAGAAUACUAAGGUAUCUAAAGGGGACUGCUGAUUAUACGCUGAGUUAUUAUGGAAAGGAUCUGCAACUCAAAGGCUAUUCUGAUGCUGAUUGGAGAGGAUAUUUAAUGAAAGAGAAUCUACCUCUGGAUUUGUUUUCUUACCGAAUAAUUGCACCAUAUGUUGGAGCAGUAAGAAACAAAAGUGUAUAGCCUUGUCCACGAUGGAAACUGAGUUCGUGGCAUUAUCAGCAGCAGUAUAAGAAGAUGUUUGGCUUAAGAGAUUAUUGGAUCAUUUAGGUGUUAUUGGAAGUGCUGCAGAUUUGUUAUUAGUUAACUAUGAUAAUCAAGCAGCAAAAGUGUACACUAAAGAUCCAAAUAUCAUGGCAAGACCAAACAUAUAGAUACCAAGUAUAAUUUUGUCAAGGAUAUGGUUGCACGAAAAGAUGUGAACUUAGAGUACAUACUACACAUAGAAUGGUUGCAGAUCCUAUAACAAAGCCAAUACCUAGAGAUGUGCUUUGUGGCCAUGUGAAAUCUCUAGGACUGCGUAGAGACUGAUGUACUAAAUAUUGUAAUUUCCCUAAGUGUUCACAAUUUGAUGAAUUUGUGUUUUCAUCAUUAAUGCCUAUGAAUCUUUGUUUGAUCUUUAUGCAUCUUAAUGCUUAGUGCAUUACUUUAAGUUGAGAAGUAUGUCGGACAGAUAUAAGAUUAGCCCACUCACACGGGUAAUCGCCUCUAUUUACUGUGUGAUAAAUAGAGAUGAGACUGUUUUUAAGCUUAUUAUCUAGGUGAUAAUCGAGAGCUCAAGCUUAAAACACGUAUGUCGCCUUAACUGAGUGUUAAGAUGAGGACAUAAUACUUACUAUGUCCGAAAGUAAAAAUACCCCACAUGUUUUACUUUAUUUGUCUAUGAUGCCAGAUGUGAGUUCUGAUGAAUUUAGUGAAUGAGUAGAUACGUGAACUCAAGUUAGACAUUGGGUAUGUCUGAACUAUCAUCUGUACGGUAUUGAAAGGUGUAGACAUACGCUCCAUGGGAAAUGAGUUGAUACCGUAAUACGUAUUUCAUACUACGUAUGCAUGAGACGACCAAUAAGAGUGGCAAAAGUUUGAUCUCAACUUUUUAUGUCGUGUGAGACUCUUGAGGAAAAGAGUUCCUCAAUUUUUUAUUUUUUAUUUUGUCCCCUCAUGACUCUUACUUAUUCUCAAGAUUUCUAUUUAGUGUUUGCUAUCUUAGGAUGUUGCCAAUGGUCAUGAGUUUGAUUCGAUCUAAUGGGGCAUUUCUAGAAAAGCAAGUUGAACUGAAAUUGAGAGUUUGAAGGGAAGAGGAAGAUCGAUUUUGGAGAAUCACAUUGUAGUUUUGUAUUCACCGGUUAACCAAUUAUGACUGUCUUUGGGAUAAUCAUAAUUGUGAAUACAAUAUAUAUAUCAUUGUUUAAAAGAGAUCAAGAGAGAUAUAAAUGUGAUCGAUCGAUCUAGGGUACUGCAUACUAAAUCUACUCGGAGUGUGACGCCCAUUAUGAGCUGCUAUAUAUUCCUAACAGAUGUAUGGCAACGAGCUCUCAAAGUAUGCUGGUCGCACGGAUUAUUCACCGGUAUGAAUGUUGAAGAGAGGAAAAGAGGAUUAUGUUCGGCCCACCAUGUUAAGUGAGAGUCUAUGAUGGAUUUUUCUCUGAUGGGACUAAGUAGGGCCUGUCCGCCCAUGUUGGUUUUGCACCACCAUGUGCGAGUGGGAGAUGAUGGAUUUCUGAGAUGGGCUUAAGGCCCAUCCGCUCAAGUUGGGCCCAAAAGGGCCCGGCCCACGGGAAUAGGGCCCGUGGAAGGGGAAGGUAUAAAAAGGAUGAGAGAGAGAGAGAGAAGACAACGUUUGAGAAAGGAACGUACGUCUUCUCCCUCGCGUUCUCUCUUCCUCCAAAAAGGAACAGUAAGUUCAAGGCACUGUUUUCUCCCCUUCAAGGCGUCAUCGGAUCGAACGGGGCCAGAAUUUCUUCCUCUUCUUCAGUGUUGGUGUUUAAUCUGUGGCUAACAAGGUACGCUCGAAUCCGUGGUGUGCUUUACGAUCGGUGAUGCGUGUUUUCCCGGGCUUCGUCUUCCGCAUUGAUUUAGGGGUUCGAUUUAGUGUCGAAUCCGGUUUUCGGGGAUCAGUAAUUCCCAACACUAACCUUCAACUAUUCAUAUAACUUUGUAUGUUGACGAGACCCACCACUCGUACAACUGUCUCAAGUUGAUUUAAUGAAACAUGACAUUAAGUACGUUUCACCCAAAGAUUUACUCUUUAAAUAGAUAAAAUAGUUGAUCCUAUACACAGAUUUCAAGGUGGAUCCUUCAAGACAUAAUUCUUCGGCAUAUUAAUUAAUUAACUGAUUUUAACUGAAAGAGUGAAAGGUAGUCUUCACUUCUAAUUCUUCAUGGACAUAUAAAGUUAUGCACAUGGGAAGAUGGAAAACAUAUCUUUAGAGAAAAAUGGCACUAGGUUCAUUUUCUUCCUUUGUAUUUUACUUCUUGUUUAUCUAAACCUGCGUGCUUGAUAGAUCAUAUUAUUCAUCUUCUCAAUUCAAUGAUAUAAAAUUGCAUCAAGAAAUAUGGAGAAAGGACAUUAGAAACAAGCCUUCAUAAGGGAAAUGACAUUUCAAGUUGUCCUAGUGACAUCUCUAUCAACUAAAUUUACAUUGCUAGUUUACAAAGAUAGAUUCCUCAAAUAAUUUCAUUGUCCAUGAAAUUUGAUGGCCUUUCGCUUUGACUUCUCUAUCCACUCGACUGUUCUACUCUCCAGCAUCCUCACACCUUGCAUGAGCCAUUUGAGCCUUCUCGUUUCAAAUGCUAUGUAUGCUAUCGAAAUCCCAAUUAUGAUUCCCGAUGCAUAGCCAAUCCACACUAUUUUUUGUUUCAACCUCCUCUCAUGCCCUUUACGGUCGAAAGUUAAUAAGGACAAUGGUGGAGGAGGUUGAGCAUCGCCAGGGCAUGCUUUUGGCAAUGGAGUUCCACAUAAGCUUGGAUUCCCACUAAACGAGUUGCUUGAAAAUGUGCUCAAUUGCUUGUCUUGUGGAAUUCGACCGGUGAGUUGGUUCUUUGAGAGGUUUAAGUACCCAAGAGAUGCCAAAUCUCCCAAUUUUCGAGGAAUCAACCCGCUAAACUUGUUCGAAGAAAGAUCGAGCCAUUCAAGAUUAGUCAAGUUCCCUAGAGUCGAUGGGAUGGAACCCGUAAGAUGGUUAUUAGACAGGUUGAGCCCUAUGAGAAAGUGAAGAUGUCCAAUAACUUUGGGGAUGUUCCCUUGGAAAGAGUUGCACGACAAGUCAAUAAUCGUGAGGAAGGUCAAGAUCCUCACUAGCUCAACCUCUAGUCCUUUCAUCAUCACAGCCACCGAAUUUUCGUAUGUCCCCGAUCCAAAAGAUCGUGUCAUAUACAAUGAUGUGUCUUGCAUGUUUUCACCAUUCAUCAUGCCUUUAAGGUUCAUUAUCAAGUUGGCUGGCAAAGGACCGCUAAAGCUGUUGUUGGAGAGGUCCAAAAUGUGUAACUUGGGAAAGAGGUGAGCUCCCUUGGGAAUAUCCAAAAGAUCCUUCAAAUUGUUGGACCUCAAAACAAGAACUUUGAGUUCUGAGAGUGUUCCCAACCAUCUCGGAAAUGUGUCUUCUAUCUGAUUGUGACUGAGAUCCAGAACUUCCAGAUAUCUACAUUUGACAAGCAACUGGGGCAAUGUGCUUUCAAACCGAUUUUGACUCAAGUCAAGAGUCAUCAAGCCACUUCUCGACAAAAAAUAUUGAGGAAUUGUGCCUUCGAGGUGAUUCAUUCGCAAGUUCAAAACUAACAGAUUGGUGCUAAAAUUUGUUAAGCACCGAGGCAAGCUACCUGUUAAGCUGUUGUUGGACAAGUCAAUGAUCUCUAGCCAGGUCGCAUUGCAUAUCAAAGAGGGGAUCUUUCCAGUUAUGUUAUUACUUGCAAUAGAAAAGUAAUUUGUGACAGGAGAUGGAAGCGGAAUUGGCCCUCCAAACUUGUUGUUGGACAAAUCUAUAAUAUUUAGUGAGGUGUUUGAGAAGAACUCUGUGGGCCACUAUCCAAUGAAAUUAUUGUUGGAAAUAAAUAAAUUUUGAAGAGCAGAGAAGGAGAGUCCAAAGGCAGUGAGGUUGAUCCUACCAUGAAAUUUGUUCGAUUGCAAAUCGAGGGUAUACAGUUGUGAUGCUUUUAGCCAAUGUGGGAAGAUAUCACUAAACUCGUUAUGACUGAGAACUAGUGUUGAUAAGUUCACGCAUUUGACCAGGGAGCAUGGUAAUGGUCCUUGCAAUCUAUUAUUACUCAAGUUCAUAAACAUGAGAUUAGUUAUAUUACCUAAACAUAAUGGCAUAUUCCCAGAGAAAUUAUUAUUAGACAAUUUUAAAUAUGUUAGUGAGCUAAACUGGCAAAUCGAGGAGAGGAUCUCACUGGUGAAAUUAUUCAAUAGUUGUAUACCUCCCUCCAAAAGGUUAUUAGAAAGAAUUAAUGUUUCCAAUUUAUCAUGGCUUAUUCCCCAAAACCACAUUGGGAUCUCCCCACCAAUCCUAUUUGAAGAGAGGUCUAAGUAUGUUAAUCUUUUCAAUGAAUUCAAGAAAUAGGGAAGCUUGGUCAAGUUGCAAGAACGCAAUUUCAACCUUUCAAGCUUUGGGAAUGUAUACUCGAGUGUAUCGUAGAUUAGAUUUAGUUCUUGAGAAACAAAAAGAAUUCGGAGAUUUUUAAGCUUUAUAAAUAACUCAAACUCUACAACCCCACAGAAGCUAUUCCCGUCAAUCCACAAAACUUGGAGUUGUUUGAGAUUCCACAUUGAUGAGGGGAUGUGUCCAGUGAAUUUGCAAUCCUCAAGAUCUAAAACGGUUAAAUUCUUCAUGAUACCAAUUGAAUCGGGUAUUUCUCCCGAAAAGCUCGUACUCCAGAGAGCCAAAGACUCAAGAGGACUAGUCCAAUUGGAUUUGGGAAGAAUCCCAGAGAGGUUAGGAUUGGCAAAUGAAUAAAGAGUGGUGAGGCUCGGUAAUUGAAAAACGGCGUUUGGAAAUAUCCCAUCUAAGGAACAAGAACCGACGCUUAGAUAUGUCAAAGAAGAAGACAAAUUCGCAAAAGACUUUGGUGAAACCAUGGACAUGUCUACUUCAUCAAGAGCAAGCUUUCUCAAUGUUGUUAGAUUUUGAACAAGCAUUGUGAAAAUUGAAUUUUCCAACGAGAGUUUGCUGAAAAAAUAAUUGUUAGAGAGAUCAAGCAACACCAACUUAGAGAGGCGAGAGAUUUCACAGGGAAUUGAACCCGAAAAGGAUGAACCAGAGAGCUUCAGAUGAGUCAAUGUUGCAAAUGCACUCAGAUUAGACAAAAUGUGAGAGCCAAAAAAGUCAUUACUAGAAAGGUUGAGGUUCUGAAGAUGGCGAAGGAGAAAGAGGGAGCUAUUGGAAUGGAGAGUGCCACGAAGCCAACUGCAAGUAAGAUCGAGACCGAUGACGUUACCGGUGGCACCAUCACAAGUGACACCGUCCCAUGAGCAGCAAUCCAUACCCUUGUACCAUGAAUUCAUCUUUGGAUAAGACUUGACAAGGUGUAUCUUUUGAUAAAAGGAGUCAUCGGAAUGCCAAUGACAAGGGUUUGAUGCCUUGCUAUCAAGCACGAAGGAAUUCUUAAAAUGGAGCAAGGCAUCAUGUUGGUCGGGAGGGCAAAGGGGCAAAGCAAAUCGAAGGGAGGAAAGUAAGGAAAAGUGAAAAGAAAGGAGGCAGAAGAUCUGAUGAUGCCACCCCAUUCUACAAUUUAGCAUGGGAGCGAGUUUAUUCGUGGUGGAGGAGAGUGCUUCCACUUAUAUAGCCCCUCUGUAGUGUGAAGUGAUCACGUGGGCCUUCUCUUAAAGGUCAAAGUCAAAGUCUUCUUAAAAUAAAAUAAUUGGAAUCACCGAAUCUCCAUGGGAAAGAGCCUUGAUGGGAUUAGUUGGGUGUGGAAAAUUAUAAAUGUCGUAGAAAUUUCAAUGGAGAACUCUUCUUGGAAAUUGAUCUCUCUGUUACUUGGUGAGAAUUAAUUUAAAAGAAAUGCUUGUCAAGUAUUUUACUACUGCAAUUGAAAAGGGAAAGAAAAAAAUGCGGUUUGGUAGAAAUCAAAGUCUUCAUGAAACGACAUUACUGGGGUUACAUAUAUGGUAUUCUUUUUCUUUUUUUAUUGUCUUGGCCAGGUUAGCUGGGCGUGAAAAAACUUUUAGUGCCAUAAAAUUUCCAAGAAAAAGUCUUCUUGAAUUGCGCCGCGAUGUCAUGCCACAUGUACUAAUUCCAUGUCAUAGCAUUAACAACUCGAUUUGACAAGUUACGGAUUUGAGUUUAAGAAGUUCUUUGAUUGUAAUUUUUGUUGGUAUUUGUAAAUAAGCUAAAGAACUACGAAACGUAGUCUUUAUAUUUCAUAUGCUAGUAGAGAGAAUUAGGGUAAUUGUAACAAUUUGACCAUUAAAAAACACAUAUAAAAAUUUGUAACUUGGCUAUCAAAAAUUAAUAACUCUAUGACAAAGCUCUUGAGCUUUUCAUAGAAUUAUUAGGAAACUUUCAUUAUGACAAAAUAAUAAGUUUCAAUCCUAUCGAAAUCUUUUCACUUCUUCACACAGCUGGUUUCCUACAUGAUUUAUGGUGCAUUUGGUUAAGCUUUUUCAAGGGGUUUUCAGCUUUCAAAGCCCUUUAAGGAAAUGCUAGGGUGUUUGGCAACCCUUUUGAAGUAACAUUUGCGGAAUCUUGAAAUUUUGUUUAAAUAAUCUUUUUCCCAAAGUUAUCCUUAUCAAUUUUUAGUUUUCCAAUUUUGUCCCUCAUUGUUAUUGUUCAUCUUCUUAGCCACGGCGGCCGGCGAGGUUGUGCGAUCCACGAGAUGGCUACCCAAGGUCGUGUGACCGCCCUUUCUUAAGGAGCUUUGGCUUUCAAUAUUUGCAUUGCACCCAAAACCUAUUCUUUAAAGUCCAACCAAGCCCACACUUAAUAUGCUCGUUAUACUAGGUGCUCAGAUUAUUGUAAAUUGUUUUUAACGUGUAAUAAAAGGUCUCAAGAAUGUCAGGGCACUAAAUUCAACAUUUGCUUUUUGGUCAUGUAAACAUAAGAUUUGGCACAUUUUCCUCAUCAGUGAUGGAAAAGAUGCUUGUCUUUGGAUAUGACACGACAUGGUCAUUCUAAUCACAAGAGUCCGAUGCCAUGAUGCCAUGCUAUCAAGCACGAAGAAAUUAUUAAGAUGGAGCAAGACAUGCCGUUGGUCACGAGGGCAAAGGGGCGAAGGAAAGCGAAGGGACGAAUGAAAGAACGAGUGGAAACAAAGGAGGUGGAGGAACUAAUGCCUUUUCAUUUUGCAAUUUAGCAUUUCCACUUAUGAUAAAGCCCCUUUUGUAUCGUGAAGUAAUCGACAUGGGUCUUCUCUAUAAGGUCAAAGUCAAAGUCUUCUUAAAAUAGCAUUAUUGGGACAUAGAAUUUCCAUGGUGGUGGUCCCUUGCGUGUGGAAAAUUUUAGUGCAAUGGAGAUUUUCCAUGGAAAAAUCUUCUUGAAGCGUCUUGUGCGCGCAAUGUCUUGACACAUGUACGUCACCCAAUGUCACGACACUCACAACUCUACUUGACAAUUGACAAAUUUUGGCUAUUUUAAAUUUUUUAAUUGCGGUUUUUGUCGGUAUUUGUAAAUGAGCUAAAAAUAAUAUGCUUUGUCGAGAAAGUAUUACCUGAUGACAAUGCUCCAUUUUGCAAGUCGAAUUUUAUUUCCCAGGAAAGAGACUUAGGAAGGUUUCUAAUCAAUAAUUAGUAAUUCAUUCUGUUGAUAAAGCCAAUAAGCUUUUUAUAGGAUUACAAAGGAAAUCUCCAUUACAAUGAAAUUAUAACUUUCUAAACCUGUCGAAAUCUUUUCACGUCUUCACAUGAUUAGUUACUUACAUGAUCUAAUAUGACAAUUAUAUUAGGCCUUCAAAUUCCUAUAAAUUGUUUAAAGGUGUAUAUAAUAAGAUUUUAGAGGGUGUUGGGGGCACCUAAUUGAACAUUUAUGUAUGGAUUAUGUUAACACAAAAUUUGGCAUAUUUUCCUCAUAUGUGAUGGAAAACGUCCCAAAACGAUGGAUCAACUCAAAGGAUGAUUAAGCAAAUGGGGCAUAUUUCAUAGAUCAGGAAUAUAUAUAUCGGUCUAUCUCGUGAUCGAAGUACAUCUUUUAUUUCCUUUGCUUUUUUUUUUAAAUAAUGAAAUGGGAAGAAGCUCGGAUCCUAGGGCUCUCUUUGAUAAAAAUUUGCGGGGAAGUUUUUUUUUUUUUGUCAAAAAGAGAAGUUGUUUGGUGCCAAUUUUGUUGUCAAUCAUGAUUUAGGGACUUACUAUAUUCUCCAACCCUCGUUGACUUGGAAAUAGGCGUGAUUCUUACUCAUUUUAAAGGCUGCAGACACAAUGAUUACUCGCGAACUAUGUUCGUACAACUCACAACGGCAAAAGAUCCUUUUCAUGUUGGACUCUUGCCCACUUCGUUGAACAAAUGAGCGCCGGUUAAUCAAAUUUGGAGUUGAAAACAUUCAUUAGGAAAGCUGUAUAAAUUUAAUGACCCGAUUAGGCAAUUUAAAGGUCUUAAGAGCCCUUAUAGGCAAGGCACAUUAUUUCUUUUCUUCUUUUUUUUUUUGGAUUAUCAAGGUAUGCUACUUGAUAACACAUUGAAUUACAUUAUCUCGAUUCUACCCUUUUCAUAUUUCAAAUCGUAUAAAUUUCUAAUGAAUUGACUUCACAAGCAUCAGAACUAGCUAAAAACGUGUUCUGAAAAAUUCCAUUGGUCCCUCUAGUUUUGCUCCAAAAACAACCCUCCAUCUACUUAUGAAUCUAAAAAAAAGUUAGAGAGAUUAAUUUUUGAGUAAGAGCACCAACGGUGGCAUUUUUCUUUUGUUUUUUUUUUCCUAUACAAGCCAGCUUCAUCCUCAAACCUCAAAGAGCUCCAUCCAAACCGAAUGUGUAACCAACAAGGCCAAGCUUAAUCAACAUGAUAUGAAUUCCAUAAAAAUAUUAUCGAUUUUGUUGGAUGAGUGAAAUAUGUAAAGUAAGCUAACUAUCUUCACAUAUACCUAAUGAAUUCACGAGAUGACGGAUAAUUGCUCAAAAGAAAAUGUAUCGCGUCGGAAAAUAAAUGAUAAAUAAAUCAAUUCCAACAUGGGAAAAAGAAGGGAUCCAGUGCAUUUCUGUCGUGACUUGUCUCCUUGAGUGGUGGUUUUGCUUUGAGGGCCAGCUGUUCCUCCGUUCGGCCCAGCACCACCCUCGCCUUCCUUAUGCUCCCUCCAUUAUGGUCUCGGAUCUCAAAGAAAAAAAUCGGUUCAUUUUCGUUUUAUCAAACACUUUUAAUCAAUACUUUUUAAAUUACUAAUAAAUUCGUGAUGCUUACUAUGAAAAAUUAAUCUCUCUUUUAAACUUUACAGUAUUUUCGCAUCUAGUUACUUAUAAAGGCUUUGUCUGUUUAAAAUUCAGCGACGAAAGUGAAUAAUACGAAAAAUAGUUAAAAUAUUAUUCUAACUUUAGAAAAAAUUAUAUGUAAAUUCACGACUCAAUAAUUUGUAUAUUAUAAAAUUUUAGGUAUUUCAAAUUUAGCAAAAGUCAUAGCGCGUGUACUGCAAGAAUUUAACAAUGUGAGAGUCAAUCCUUCGGUUCUCUUGAUUAUCCUAGGUUUUCGUUUGCAAAAAUUAUUAAUUGAAUGUUCAACCUAAGUAAGCCAAUCGGAAUCACUUCAUCAGAUUGAAUACGCACAUUAAACGCAUGAGCUUAAACGAAAUUAGCAAGAGAAAAUGUUAUUUAUAUACUAAGAUAUUACAUAUGAAUAACAAGACGCGAUUAAACCAACUUAACCCAUUUCUAAUGAAAAGCCUGGCUCACUCUUGCGACUCGUGGCGAUCUUCUUCUUCUUCGUUGAAACCGAAAUGAGCGAGCGAGCCGCAUUGAGAGAUACGAAGGAUAAGAAACCACACGAGCUCUGCAACCGCCUACGACCAUGUACUGCAAAGUCGGACUAAGCGAACCUGCACUAGGGCGGCAGUUCCAGAGUCCACGGCGUGACCAUCCUUGUCGCCAAGCACUCGAGUAAUCUCCUUUGCCGCUCGUGCCAGAGCCCCACGCCACGGAAUGCGUCGAGGCCGAGGCUCAUGCUGACAGGACACGUCUAAUUCGGACCUGGGAAGAAUAGGAUGUUCGGAAAAUAUGGCUUUGAAUUGGGUAGAACAAUGAAGACGGAUUUUUAGGGUACUCAAGUCGGACUUUAAGGCGUGAUAUCACUUUCUUUAAGGAUUUAUUUGCCCCACAAAGUUGCUAAUGGUCACCGGUAAAUUUCCUCCAGUAUACAACAAAAUCUCAAAUGAGAAUACUAGAUAACAAUUCUAAUAUUUUUCCAGGGUCUCUCUAGGAAACAAUUGAAAAGAUGGUUGCAAUUUUUUCAGAAAGAAGGCUUGGAAUGAUAAAAUGAUCAUACACCCGUUCUUCUGAAAACUGACAUGUAAAUAUACGCACACCCGUUCUUCUGAAAACUGACAUGUGUAUAUAUAUAUAAACAGUCUUAAAAAUGUAGGCAACUUUUCGUGAAAGGUUGCAAAGCGAACAAAUGUGUCCUUUCGAAAAUUGUCCAGAUGAACAAAGGCGUCCAUUCGGAAGAAGUUGAAAGAACAAACAAUUGCAACCCUUUGAGAAAAGUUGCAAACUGAACGAAUAUCUUUUCCAAUGGUUAUCUUGAAAAGACACAAACAAAAAUUCGGAAUAAUAUUUUUUUUAAAUAAAUAAAAUUUUGAAUUUUUAUUUUUUAAUAAUUUCCGAAAAUUCUCAAAACCAAAAAACAACCUUUGAAUUGAUUAAAGUUAAUAAGAUAACCGUACGAAAGAAAAAAAUAAAAUACAAAAGGGGUUAAUGCUAAUUAAACCGUGGGUGCGCCAAGUACGCCAAAUAAUCGCAUACCCGCACGCGGGUAUGGUGGGGUCUAGCCCACACCCAAUCAUUCCUUUAGGUACAAAGGAAACCCCACACUUAUUAAUUAGCCCACUUCUUCUCACAUUUCCUAUGUGGACAAGGAAAAUGCACUUAGUUUGUUUUUACAAACAAACUUCCAAUAGAGGAUGCGGCGAAAAAACCCGCCUUCUUGAAGGUUUUUUGGGCUGAGCAGAGCUUCGAGCGAAUGGUACGUCGCUUCUUCUUCUUCUUCUUCGCCCUUUCUAUGUUCACGCGAACAACGCCGCGUGGACUGGUUUUUUAGGCCAUAUUCGUUCCUUUAGUCUUUUUAUCCGGUUCUAGUCUUCUUCUUGCCAUUUUAACUUCGCCGUCGCUAGCUUUGGUGGCCUCAAUGACUUGCCGCCCAGAGGUCGGGGCUUGCAGCGGCAGCUCCGCCCCAAGAGAGCCAGGAUUCGGCAGCCAUGGCUCUCUUUGCACAGGUUCCUAAAGUGAGAGAGCCCACAAAAAAAAAUGAACGUAUACUUAAUUGCUUUUGGCGUGAAAUUAACUUUUGGAGAGUCGUAACUAGCAGCGUCGGGCCGACGAGAAGGGAAAAAGAAGAAGAAAAAAGUAGCUCGUUUUCAUCAUUCUCUAUGCAUUUUUCUUUGUAGCAUACAUCCCUUUUCUUUAAAUAAAACGUACCGUCGGUAUGUGAAAGAGUUUCAUGUUUAAGGUUCUAAACAUAUCUUUCUUAAUUCCCACAGGAAAUCCCACCAGCCUUUCAAGAUUACAUCAAAGACCAGUCGCCUCAAGCAAUCUUGUUAACCGGCCCGAGUGGCAAUUCCUGGACGGUCGCCCUGAUCAAAGAAGAGGGCGCGCUUUAUUUCGGUGGAGGGUGGCCCAAGUUCGUGGGGGAUAACUGCGUGCAAACGGGUGACUUCUUGAUCUUCCGUUACGAUGGGGAAGCUGGUUUCAAGGUGCAAAUGUUCGACUCGACUAGGAGCCCGAGGGAGGCUUCCUUUUUGGCCCGGAAUUCUGAUCGAGCCUCGAUCGGAUCUAACGAGGUCGUGCCGAUCAAACCGGGUAAAAAGAAAGAAAAAGAAACCACAACUUAGAUGAUGAAUGUCGUCUCUGGUUUAGAUAGCUUUUCUUUAUGCCUUUUGCAUACUAAAAUUCUUAUUAACGAUCUUCUCAGACAGCGGCACGGACGGAGCGAGUGGAUCAUCCGGUACCGAUCACUUCAACCAGGCCAUCUUGGUAAGUUCGACCCUGUAAUCCUUCUCUUUUGCUUCGGUCCACUCAAUCGCAUUUCCUGUCCGGUUUGUCGACUGUACUGAUAGAGGGAAAUUGCUUUUCAUUGUUGUCGGUAGCCAAUUCCUAGAAAUUUCUGUGAACGCCAUAGUCGGGACCGCAGAAGGAAAGUAUGCGAAUUUUGUGCUGUGCGACCAAGGAGGGAGGGAAGCAGUGGCUGGUGUGGAUGACUGUAAGGACACCACCAAUUAGGAGAGCUGGUCGUUGAGCAAACGCUUUGCAGCUUUUAUCCGCGACAACUGCAUCUCGUGGGUCCGUCUCUGCGAGUCCGCAUUUCUAGGGCAUAGGAGGAGGAAGCAAAUCAAGCUAGCUGAACCAUUUUCUACAGUCAAAAGACAAUGGCCAAAUCAUUUUCAUAUGAUCUAAAAUCUUUCCGAUCUCCACGCCAAGUUAUGUUGUGGAACUUAAGAUUUAAGUUUUACUAGAUUGAUUCAGUUCAGUGCCAAACUUCUUAUUCCGUAUUACAUCUCCCUUUAAAUGCAAUGCGACAGUUUGUACUGAGUGAUAUGCAUGCGGGCUUAAUCAAUUAAUUAAGAUCAUUCACAGAGAAGUUCGUGAGACGCAUUUAGACGACUGCAAUUAAUUGAAAAUAUCCUCCGGGAGAUUCACGAGAGGCAUCCCAAUCACACAGGAACAACAAUUUCCACCAUGAUCACGCAACCGAACCUCAGAAAUGUUGGGGUUUCAUGAAUCAUGUAUAAGAAAAAUCAACAAAAUAAACGCAGCGGAAACAAAGAUAUAUAUUACACAUGAUUUUCCUUAGGCAUUGUUCGUGCGUUUUAAUCAAAAAUCUAAACAUAAAAGGGAGUUAAACGAAAUACCUCUCGAAGCGCGCUUUGAAACGAGUCGGUUCGGUUGUUCUACAAUUCGAGUCCCACAAGCGUCGGACCUCUAGUUCAGACACACCAACAACGAACGUCGAACGGAAGAGAGAACCUUCGGAUAUUCUCCACUUCGAUUGUGCUAGCAAUCACGUGGAAAUGAUCCAACGUAUCCUCAAUGUAUUAUAGCCACAGCCCGAACGAGAUAAUGAUCUUCUUUCUUGCGUCUCAAAGACACAAGAACACGCACACUAUUUGCUUUCUAUUUUCAGCAAAGCAUCAUUGAUUUCUCGCUUGUGUUUCUCUCGAACAAAACCAAAAACACACUAACUUUUUCUCUGUUUUUCAACAGCACCUCUUUCUCUCAUCCUCAAUUGCCUUUUUAUAUUAAAAUGACCAGCAACGGUUGCUAAUCGAUGGACGAUCAGCAACCGUUGCUGAUCAUCCAUAUUAUACGAUCGUGCAUGGNNNNNNNNNNNNNNNNNNNNNNNNNNNNNNNNNNNNNNNNNNNNNNNNNNNNNNNNNNNNNNNNNNNNNNNNNNNNNNNNNNNNNNNNNNNNNNNNNNNNCCGUCCUCUGCUGUCGCCGGAGUCGUCUAUGUGAGAAUUUAAAUUCCUCAGCUUACUCUGAUCGCGUUCAGCUCGGUUGUAGCCCAAAGUUAUCUUUGUUUAAUCACGGAACUGAUUGGAAGAAUAGGUGCGCAUGCCUGAGCCCCCCGUUUGGUGAUCCUAAUUAGUUGUUCGCCGUUGUUUCUUCGUUGGGUUUGGUUGCCGAUGCAUGUCCUUGCGUUUGCUCGUUUAAUUUUCAGUUUAUUUUCUUUUCAACGUGUUUGCUAGAAUCUCAUAAUUAAAUCAUUCUCUUGAAAUCAGUCGGUGCCGAUUGUUGUCUAUGUUUCAAAUAGCAUUGGCAUAACAUAGUAAGGGAGUUCUGCAUCGUGUAGUCCAUUUUUUUUGCACGGUUCAUACCACUAUGUAGGCCAAUCCAUGGCCUGGAUAAGGAGCCGUCAUUCAUUUUUUGAUCCGAUAUUUGGUUUCUGUUCCCAACAUUUGCCCUAACAAUUAAAUAAUUUCACGUUUCUUUCGGUUAAUCCACAUUGAUUUUUCGUCACAUUGGUUCAGACUUAACGCCUUAAUAUGUGAGAAUGUACUGAACAACACUGUCUAAUCCAUGGAUAGUGUGAAUUCAAACAUGUUUCGCCUACAUGAUACCUCACAAGCCUCUUCCAACACAUAUGGUCAAGGAAAAAAUUAUCCAAAAAAAAUCUUAAAACCAUUAUACCACAAUCAAUACAGUUUUAAACUUGAUAUAAUCACUUGAUAUCAUAUGAAUUGGUCAUUGUAUUCUAGCGGAAAAUUUUUUAACACUAAAUAUACAAUGUUGUUUAGCCACUCUUUUUGUUCUAUUUUCUGAAAUUUGACUAUCUUGGAUAAGAAGGGCAUCCAUUCUUUCUUUUUCUUUUUCCUAUUUUCUGAGUUCAACAAUCUCGGAGAAGAAGAGUAAAGGCUCAUAGAAAAAUUAAUUCGUUUGAUCUAAUGCUUUUAUAAUUUAGUUCUUGCCAAUUUACUUUGGUGGACACCAAGAAAAAUGUUUUGCACAAAUAUUAUGCCGUCUAAUGUCCCUAUGCGAUUUUAGCAUAAUAGUAGUAUCGGCCAUGCCAAUGUGUGCGUCUCCCUCCAUUGCAUUCAGUUCAAGUCAAAAAAACAGUUGAACCAUCAAAGAGGGAGAAAAAGGCAUUGGAUCCAGUUUUCUUUAUAUUUCCUUUAUAAAUCUUGCCCUAGCUUUCCAAUAUCUACCAUCCAAAAUUUACUGGAUCCUCUCCCCUGGAGGAUGAGUGACGUAUCAAGGAAGUGAGCUUAGUUGAUUGAAGAUGAUUUAGUUGCUUUGCGAGUCACCCAUUUUAGACUCAUCUACUGCUGAUAAACCUCGCAAGAUUGGGCUUGGCCUGAAAACUCACAGGCCUCAAUCACAAACCCACUCAUAACGAUCGCAUGGGUGGUGCUGGCUGUUUGUGCCUUGCUUUGCCCCUUUUUGGGCUCGCUUGACCGGACUCGGACUUCUUUGUUGUUUGGUUCUCACGAGCAUCGGCCCCAUUCUCCGUGCACCGCUACUUUGGGCCACUACUUGUUGAUUAUUGUGAGUCCCAGCACAAGUUGGUCGGUUUUUCCCUCAUUUAGUCAGUGCGUUUCAACUAUGAUAAAAUAUCUAAACCAAAUCUAUUCGGUAGAAUUUGGACUUUUGAAUUGUUNNNNNNNNNNNNNNNNNNNNNNNNNNNNNNNNNNNNNNNNNNNNNNNNNNNNNNNNNNNNNNNNNNNNNNNNNNNNNNNNNNNNNNNNNNNNNNNNNNNNNNNNNNNNNNNNNNNNNNNNNNNNNNNNNNNNNNNNNNNNNNNNNNNNNNNNNNNNNNNNNNNNNNNNNNNNNNNNNNNNNNNNNNNNNNNNNNNNNNUUGCUUGGUGGCUGAAGUCGCUUGCUGUGAAGAUGCAGGGAUGUGGUCACGUCGUUGACGAUGAUAAUAAUUUCUUCACGUUAUGGUUUGGGGAGAGUCUCGGUUGUGGAUGUGUGGGUUUAUUCAAUGAUUGAGUAAUUUUGGGCUUAAGUGGUUUUAAUGAAUUCGGGUUGGCUUCAUUUUUAGAAGUGCUUGGGCUGAGUUCUUUUUAGUAAUAUGGGCUUAGUGCACUUAGUUACAAAGGAAUGGGCUUGGUGUAGCUUUGGUGGAGGCUCACUUGGGAGUUUUUUCCCAAUUAGCCUUGGAAAGGGUAGAAAUGGAGUGAGCUUGAGGAUAAGAUCAAUCGUCCCCUCUAGUUUGAACUGUGAGUCCAAGUUCAUCCAUGUUCUAGCUAGGUCCCUAUUUUUAGACUACUUAUUAAUUGAAUAAAAAAAAUUAAUUUUAUAAAAGUUAAUUAAAAAGUCCGAAAUUUUUUUUUUUUUCCUAAAGUCAGAAAAUGCUUUAAAAUACUCUUUCAAGGUAGCCUUCUCUUAAAGUUAUGGGAAAAUCAUUGAUAAGAAAAUUGUGUUAAAAAAUUAAACAAGCCCUUAUGACUUUAUCAUAGGGUUCCGAUUGUCAUUAAAACAAAUACCCUUAAUUACACAUUUUCCAUAUGUUGAUUAUGAUUUCCCUUUAGCUUAGUCUAAGAUGACAAGCUCCUUAUUUGAUGUUGCUAGAUUCUUGCUCUUCCGAUUCAAUUUAUUCGAUGCCACUUUAGUUGCUAAUUGUCAUGUUAAUGAUUGGACAUUCGCAUGAUCACCUUAUGUAUUAAUGAAUAGGUCUAAAAUCAACACAGACUGCCUCAUGGAAAAUAUUUUUGAAAUGAACAAGAUUAGGUAUCGAAAUUGCAUUAAUUAUUUAAUUAGUGUAAUCAAGUCUCCAAUCUUAGAUUAUUUGAUUACGUAGGAAAUGAGGUAUACUCCCAUACCUCAUUUGAUUUAUAGCCGAUCCUAAUAAACUAGUAGCGACUCAUUUGAAAAAUUUUAUGAACACUAAACAUCACGGGAGGUGUGAACUUAGAAGAGCCUACGUCUAAUCAUGGGCCAUAGGGACGUCUUUAAGGCAAUACUCCUAAACCUAUUUCCUUUUAUAUCGAGGGGUAGGUCGAGACAAGUAAAUAUUGAUCUUGCACUCUUCAUCAAUCAGAUGAGUACAUAUACAUAGAUUUAUUCAGUGCUACUCUAGACUUAAAAAUUUGAUCAUUGGUAAUCUAUCUUUAUACACAUAGAAGUGGAUAUUACUCUUGUGAGAGUGACCCACGUGGUAGCACAUGUGCUUCUUCAUCUGAUCUAAUUUUUAUGGUAAUUUUAACAUAUUUUUAUUAGUUUAUUUAAAUUAACGAUUGUUGUGAGUUUUAAAAAAAUGUUUAACAAUAUAGGGAUACAUAUUAUGCUAUGAUAUUCAUUUGACCUUAAAUCGAGGACUAUGAGGUUUUCGUUAAAAGAUUUUUCGCAAUUUGAGAUCCAAUUUAUGACAUGAUAGCCCAUAUUUGGUAGAUGAUAUUAGCGAAUCAAUAAAAGAAAAUCCAUUGCUACCAGAAAAUUUCAUCACAAAAAAUUAAUAAUAUGUAUAUUACAAAUAAAUGAAUAUAAGAAAAUGAUUGACAUAAAUUGAAGAAGAAAAUUGGAGAGUGGUUUGGGAGAAAUUGUAAUCUGUAUUCUUUCUGUAUAUUCAUGUACAAGAGCAUUGCUCUAUAUAUGUUACAAGAGAAAGAUAGAAAAGGAAAUAUACAAGAUUACAUUACGAUCACAUUCCCACUUUACCAAGCCAAACAUAUAUUAACUGAAUCAAUUAAUUGACAAUAUAAUCGAUAUGGAAUCGAUAUCUGCCAUUAUAUUUCCAACACUCCCCCUCAAGCUGGUGGCCUGUAUAUGUCAAUGACACCUAGCUUGCUCAAAAGAUAUGUAUGUUGUCUUUGACAUAAUGGCUUGGUAAAGAUAUCUGCAGGCUGCUCUACAGUUCCAAUUCCUCUUGCUGUGAUGAUCCCUUCUCGAAUCUUGUCUCGAGUGAAAUGACAAUCAACUUCUAUAUGUUUAGUCCUCUCAUGAAAAACUGGAUUUGCCGCUAACUUGAGUGCAGCAUCAUUGUCACAAAAUAAUUCACUGGGUCCCUCGAUUUGUACUCCAAGGUCAAGAAGUAACCCACGUAUCCAUACUAUCUCACAAACAGUCUUUGCCAUGGCUCGAUAUUCUGAUUCGGCUGACGAUAAUGACACGGUUGACUGCUUCUUUGUUUUCCAUGAGAUGAGCGACUUCCCUAGUUUGAUACAAAAACCAGUAACUGAUCUUCUCGUCAUUGGACAAGUAGCAUAAUCUGUAUCGCAAAAGGCUGUUAUCUUCAUAUCGCAAUCACGAGAUAAGAAAAUACCAAGUCCUGGACAUCUCUUCAAGUACUUCACAACCUUUAAUGCAGCAUUCAUAUGAGAUUGCUUCGGCUUGUGCAUGAACUGACUGAGUAUCUGUACUGCAUAACAAAUAUCAGGUCUUGUCAUGGUGAGAUAGAUUAGCUUUCCAACAAGACGUUGAUAUCUCAAUGGAUCUUCUAGCAAUGGAUCAACUGUGGAUGAGGGCAAGCUCAUAUCAUAUUCAUGCGUUGUUAGCUUCGCAUUUUGUUCAAUCGAUAUGGUAGCCGGUUUGCAUCCUGAUAAUCCCGCUUCUGAAACUAUCUCCAAAACAAACUUUCGUUGGCUAAGGCUGAUUCCUUUAUCUGAGCGAGCUAUUUCAAUACCUAGGAAAUAUUUGGGAGGUCCCAAAUCCUUGAUAUGAAAAGUAGAAUGCAAAUAUUUUUUGAAUCUUGUGAUAGCCAACUCAUUGUUCCCCAUGAUAAGAAUGUCGUCAACAUAUAUCAACAAAUAAAUUGAUGAAGUACCUUCAGUCCAAGUAAACAAGGCAUAGUCGUGCUUGGAAUGCUGGAAUCCUGCGCCAAUAAGUGCAGUAGUGAAUUUGGCAUACCACUGUCUGGAGGCCUGUUUAAGUCCAUACAGGGAUUUGCGUAGACGACACACCAGAGACUCCCCCUGUCUGCAUAAACCCGGCGGAAGUUCCAUGUAAAUUUCUUCAUCUAAGUCCCCAUGUAAGAAAGCAUUAUGAACAUCCAUCUGAUGUAGUUGCCAAUUGCGAACAGCGGCAAUAGAUAAGAAGGAACGAACAGUAACUUCUUUAGCUACAGGGGAAAAGGUUUCAUGAUAAUCAAAACCUUCCCGUUGCGUGAAACCCUUCGCAACUAACCGAGCCUUGUAUCUUUCGAUGGAACCAUCUGCCUUGAAUUUUAUCUUGUAAACCCAUUUGCAGCCAAUGGGUCUUCGAUGUGUAGGUAAAGGAACAAUGUCCCACGUGUGGUUUUCAGUCAGUGCUUUAAGCUCUGCUUCCAUUGCAUCCUGCCAUUUGGGGUCACGUGCCGCUUCGUGAUAGGAAGACGGCUCCUGUUCCUCAGAAAUCCGACUAAUACAGCAUAUAUGUUCCGGUGACAACUGACCAAAAGAAACGUAUGAAGACACCGGAUAUUGUGUACCUGGAGAAUUUAGCGUAGGGCAUAUGUAAUCCUUUGUCCAGGUGGGUGGUCGUUUAUGUCGACCAGAACGCCGGGGCUCCGCCACUCUUUCUUCUUCAGUAAUGAUAUUUAGUGAGUCUUGUGAAGAACCCUGUAGCUCCUGUUGUGAAGAAGUGAUCGGAGAACCAGAUGACUGAUUUUCUUCAUCUGAAAGAAUGGGUAAUUCGGCUUCAUGAUGAGAUGAAUUGGUUGUCACAGUUGCAGGUUGUGCAACGAUUACAUAUGGAGGUUCCAUACAUAGAUCUUCUUCUGAUAAAAAGGGGCGAUGAUUGGGAGCUGGGAUAGAGGAUGAUGGGGUUCUUUCUCGGAAUGGGAAUAUGUCUUCAUGAAAAACCACAUCCCUGCUCACAAAGAAGUGCCCUGUAGAGAUCUCCAUGACUCUAUAACCUUUUUGCAAAGAGGGAUAUCCCAUAAAAAUACAUGGAAUAGCGCGAGGGUCCAUUUUAUCUCGAGGCCCUACUGUCGUGACAUAACAUAAGCAUCCGAAUACUCUGAGGUGAUCAAUUCUUGCUUCCUUUCCAUAAAGCAAUUGAAAAGGUGUUCCCCCAUUGAGAAUCCGUGUUGGCAUGCGAUUAAUUAAAUAUGCUGCUGUAACAACACAAUCUCCCCAAAAAUCUUCAGGAAUCGAAGCCUGGUAUUUAAGAGCACGAGCAACCUCUAAGAGGUGCCGAUGUUUACGUUCAACUAUCCCAUUCUGUUGAGGAGUAUAUGUGCAAGAGCUUUCAUGAAUUAUUCCCUUGGAUGAUAGAAAGGAUUCACACUCUCUAGUAUAGAACUCGCGUCCAUUGUCAAUACGAAUUCUUUGAAUUGUUUUCUUGAAUUGAUUUUCAAUAAGAGUGAAAAACUUCGAUAGAGUUGGGAAAGUUUGGCUCUUUGACUGCAUGAGGAAAACCCAAGUCGCACGACUAUAAUCAUCAACAAUGGUAAGAAAGAAUCGUGACCCAUCACGAUGUGGUGUGUGAUAGGGUCCCCAAAUAUCAAUAUGUAGUAAAGAGAAAGCAAUGUUGGCUCGAGAUGUGCUAGUAGGGAAGUGUGUCCGAGACUGUUUAGCUAAAGGACAAAUGGGACAUUUUGGAUUAGGAAAACGUGCACUAUGACCCAAGCGUUGAUGGAAAAUAAGACUUUUAUUAUUGAUAAUAGCAUUACAAGAAGUGCUUUUAUCAAAAACUUCAGAAGAACUAGUCCAAAAGUAAAGUCCUUGUGCAACACUACCCAAGCCCAUCGGUUUGCCAGUCGAAAGGUCCUGAAAGAAACAAUUGUCGGAGUUGAAUACGACACCACAAGAAUUGUCUUUACAAGCUUUAGAAACAGAUAUCAGGUUGAACUCAAACUCUGGAAUGUGGAGGACAUUUCUAAGGACAAUAUUGGAGCUAAGGUGAACAGUUCCAACCUUAGUGACAUGACUAACAUUGCCAUUCGGAAGUCGCACAGAAUAUAAAUAUGGACUUUUCUGAGCAUGGAAAAAUAAUUUCUCAUUGCAUAUUAUAUGAUCACUUGCACCCGAAUCUAUAAUCCAUGCAUCAGUUGGUAUUGAGUUCAUGUCACCAAGGAUAGUACCUGAAAAACCCGCACUCUUGUCACUUGUGGUUAAACGACCCAAAGCCCUCAUGAUAUUCUGGUAUUGGUCUUGGUUGAUUGGCUGGUAUGCCCCAUCAGUCCUUAAUGCCGACACCUGAUAAGCAGAAAAUUCCUUCUCCUUUUUUUCUUUAUCACCUGGCUUGCCAUGCAAUUUCCAGCAAGUUUCUAUAGUAUGGUGUGGACGUUUGCAAUAUUCACAAAAUUUUCCUCUAUUUUUCGAAAUUUGCCCACCUGGUCUUUGUGAUGACGUGGCAUGACGUGGACCGUAGGAUCCCACGAACAUCUGAGCUGACGUGGCCAAGUUAGAGCCCUCGGAUUCUAGCGCACCGAAGGAAGAAAAUCCACCGUCGGAUCUCCUUUGCUGCCCACCGUUAGAUCCAAAAGAGUGAGCGGAUGGGUAUGAGCCGUUGGAUGCCUUCUUUUGAUCCUGACCGUCCAUCCGUGGGUUCUUAGGGUUCCCACUGCUUCUCCUCGUCGCCGCAGCCGCAAGACCACCGAAGCUCCCGAAGCUGUUGCUUCCUCCAUGGCCGCCGUGCGUCGGGUCGAGCGAAUCAGGGCCUCCGGUGAACGCAACAGCAAGAGCAACUCCAUCAGCUGCUCGCGCGUGCUCGGUGGUCGCCAACUUCUGGCUUUCUUCUUGAACAGCCAGCUGAUAAAUUCGUCCGAGCGAGGGUGUUGGCUCCAUCGUCAAGAUCUGCGACCUAAAAGUAUUGUAAGCAUCGUUUAAGCUCAGCAAGAAUCGUGUCACUUUCUCCCUUUCUUUCAUAUCCUUAUACUGACGAAGUGUUGCUUCAGGUCCGUCCAAUCGCUCCUCGGCCGCCUCAAGCUCGUUCCAAAGGGCAGAAAGCCAAUUGAAGCAAGCGGUAACCGUGAGGUUCCCUUGCUUCAAUUCGGAGAGGGCUCGCGUUAUGGUGAACAAUUUCACCCGAUCGAGCCGUCCAUACAUUUCACGGAUGGACUCCCAGAAGGUCUUCGAGUCGUCUGUCGGAGGAAGCCCCGCUGCAACGUCCGGUGCAAGGCAAUUUCCAAUCCAGGUACGUACCAAUUGAUUGCACCGGCGCCAGUGACGUUGAAGUCGUUCUUCUGUCGGGUAGGGCACGGAUCCGUCGAGAAAUCCCUCUUUGUCUUUGGUGAUGAGAGCUCGACGGAAAUCGCGUGCCCAAGUGCUGUAGUUGUCGGGACCAGUGAGCUGUAGCUGAAUGAGCUUCAAAUCAGGUCCAUCCACCGGUGAUGUGAACAGUGGGUCGCCGGCCUCGAGUCGGCCGUAGUUGCCGGCAGGGAACAGAUAUGGUAGGUAACCGGGUCCAUAAACCGGGUAGGGAUUUGGCCCUUGACCCGGUAUGGACCCGAUCCCUUGGUUCGGAUCCCUCCGAUCCGCUCCCUGAUUCGGGUCAACUUCAUUUCUGUGCAUGUUUGGAUCUUCCUUUGGCUGUGGUCCGACAACGUGUGAGCUUUCUCCCGGGUAUGGCCCAUAUUGACUCCAUGCCUGUCCUGGACCUGUGCCCCAUUGCCCUUGAACAGGAAACCAUGGAUACGGAGGCCAGUGAGUCGGUCCCGAAGCUUGAACCGGAACAGAAGGAAGAAUGGUGGUGUUCUGAGGAUCUCCAGACUUUGGGACGGAUGUAUCCUCCUGCUCAUUCAAGUUGGUUUGAACCGAUGAAGCUGGAGUCUGGUCGUGAGACAUCUCUUCCAAAGGUAAAUCUCGAGCAUCCCCCUUUUUUGCCAUGGAUCAGAAAAUUGAAUUCCAACUCGGCUUUCUUUGGGUUUGUUUUGCAGAUAAGAAAAACCGCAACAACAAAACUCAAAGAAAAGAGACGAGGGCAAUUCUGAAAGAUAGAUUCUGAGGUUGCGGAAGCUAGGUCUAGGAUCAACGCUCUGAUACCAUGACAUAAAUUGAAGAAGAAAAUUGGAGAGUGGUUUGGGAGAAAUUGCAAUCUGUAUUCUUUCUGUAUAUUCAUGUACAAGAGCAUUGCUCUAUAUAUGUUACAAGAGAAAGAUAGAAAAGGAAAUAUACAAGAUUACAUUACGAUCACAUUCCCACUUUACCAAGCCAAACAUAUAUUAACUGAAUCAAUUAAUUGACAAUAUAAUCGAUAUGGAAUCGAUAUCUGCCAUUAUAUUUCCAACAAUGAUGAAAAUAAUUAUUAGCAAAAGAGGAGAUAGAGUAAUCCACCAUUAAGAAAAAUUUAACUUAGAAAAAAAAAGCAUUAGAUGACAUGAUUGCACAUAAUUUCGUAUACAAAUAUGAUAGCUCUUGGUAUUAUAUGCAUAAUCGUUAUCACUAAAAUCAAGCCAUGCCCUAACACUUUCAACCGUUGAAGAAUUUAGCUAUUACAAAUCAAUUACCAAACCUCCACCUAUUAGCAUAGAUAUUUUCAAAUGCAAGCCGGCCUUUGCAAAGACGGUGGAAAUUCCUAACCACAAGCCAUCUAUUAUCAUAAUUAUUUUUAAAUACGGAGUAAUUAAUAGAUAAAUUUUAUUAUGUUAAACGGACAUGAUGGCAAGGAAAUUAUUGUGUAAGCCCUUUUGAUUAUGCUUUGUCUUUGUAGGAACCAUAGCCUAGAAGAAGAAACGCUAGUCGCUUUUCCACGCAUUAUGUAAGAGAGAAAGGGGAAUCUUAUGGCGAGCUCAUGUGAAGAGUUGCUUAUCAAUCAAAACCUGACCUUUUUAGAUGGGAAGGGACUGAAGAUAACAUCUCAAUUUCCACGACCCACACCAUCCAUAGUCGUUGCCUUUGUUUUAUUUUGUCUUCUGUGUCUGAUUGUCGCUCGCAAUUAUUGAUCUGGACAAGUUGGACGGACCCAAGAAAAUAAAGAAAGAAUUGACUCAUGUGUAUCAUCCUUUGUGGGGCAAGAGAAAAGGCAAAGAUUUUUUUUCGUGGGGUCAAAGAAAAUUUUAUUGAAAUUGCGAACAUGGUCGAAAGAGUCCCAUGCCAGGGGAAUCUAAACAAUGGAGAGAACAAUUGGCUUACGGAGGAAUAGAAAGGCAAUUUUGUGGAAGAGAGCCAAUCCGUCGAGUCUUCGCAACUUAAUUUACAAUGCCCGCAUCAGUAAGAACAAAAAGUGUAAUAAUCUGUAUCUAUAUCACAAAAUGGAAAGGGAGAUCUAUUUUAACGGAAAUAAUCUAUCAAAAAGUGUCAAAAAUCCAUAAUUCCACAGACAAGUUAGUAGAUUUGGGGGGGGGGGGGUGAUUUCCAUGUGGAUCGAGGCAAAAUUUAAACCUUAGGAACCAACACAUCACUAGCCCCCCUCUCUCAACGGUGCAUGAGAGUCAAAUUUGUGAUUUGCUAAUAUAUUUGAGAUGUUACUAACGAGAAUAUGAAAUUUACAGUUCCCAUGAGUGGUGCAAACGGUCAAGAUAUCAAAGAAUUUCCAAUUUAAGAAUUGGAAGUCACAUGCGUAAAUCUCAUAAGAUACGUAAUAAAGUAUUUUGGGUUAUGGUCACCUGCACAUGCAAAUUGAUAUCUUUAAAUCAUGAAUUAAGAAAUUUUAAUUACUAAUGCUUUCAUGCUAAAGUGAAUGUAGGCAAGAAUGUAAAAACCUCUUGCUCUUAUGAUAGCUCUUCGUGUCUCCUCUGCAAAAUUCAAGAAAGAAAUUAGCCAAGAACAAGUUGACGGAAGCCGCCUCCACGGAUUAUUACCAAAAAAAUGAGGUGGCAUAAGAGAUGCACCCGAUGUUUUCUCAGCUGUUCCCUCUCUACGGUAAGAAACGUCAUGGAUCAUCACGGCUCUUAAAGGUGUGAAUGGCAACGUUUCUAUUCCGGGGAACUAUUUAUUUUCAGAAAUAGUUUUUUUUUUUAUACUACGAGAACAAUUUCUGAGUAAAAUAAGGUGUUUGGUAAUAAUAAUUUUUUUUUAUUCUUGGAAUAGAAAAAGAAUAGAAAUGCGUUUGGUAAGAAUUUACAAAUUUUCAUAUUUACUUGUUUUCUCUUCUUAGUCACGGACCAUCGACCGCCGCCCGCCACCACACGACCGCCGCACAAACGCCGCAUGACCGCCACACGACCACCGACUGUCAUCAUCACUGUAGGAUUGACGCCUGCAACCCACCAGCCGCAGGAGGGGGUGGAAGCCAUUGGGCUGUGGGCGGCAGUCCUACGGCAGUGGUCAUGUGGCAAUCGUGUGGUGAUUGGCGACGGCAGGCUACCGACAGACGGUAGCUCUGAUAGAGAAUUCCAACUCAAUGAGUNNNNNNNNNNNNNNNNNNNNNNNNNNNNNNNNNNNNNNNNNNNNNNNNNNNNNNNNNNNNNNNNNNNNNNNNNNNNNNNNNNNNNNNNNNNNNNNNNNNNNNNNNNNNNNNNNNNNNNNNNNNNNNNNNNNNNNNNNNNNNNNNNNNNNNNNNNNNNNNNNNNNNNNNNNNNNNNNNNNNNNNNNNNNNNNNNNNNNNNNNNNNNNNNNNNNNNNNNNNNNNNNNNNNNNNNNNNNNNNNNNNNNNNNNNNNNNNNNNNNNNNNNNNNNNNNNNNNNNNNNNNNNNNNNNNNNNNNNNNNNNNNNNNNNNNNNNNNNNNNNNNNNNNNNNNNNNNNNNNNNNNNNNNNNNNNNNNNNNNNNNNNNNNNNNNNNNNNNNNNNNNNNNNNNNNNNNNNNNNNNNNNNNNNNNNNNNNNNNNNNNNNNNNNNNNNNNNNNNNNNNNNNNNNNNNNNNNNNNNNNNNNNNNNNNNNNNNNNNNNNNNNNNNNNNNNNNNNNNNNNNNNNNNNNNNNNNNNNNNNNNNNNNNNNNNNNNNNNNNNNNNNNNNNNNNNNNNNNNNNNNNNNNNNNNNNNNNNNNNNNNNNNNNNNNNNNNNNNNNNNNNNNNNNNNNNNNNNNNNNNNNNNNNNNNNNNNNNNNNNNNNNNNNNNNNNNNNNNNNNNNNNNNNNNNNNNNNNNNNNNNNNNNNNNNNNNNNNNNNNNNNNNNNNNNNNNNNNNNNNNNNNNNNNNNNNNNNNNNNNNNNNNNNNNNNNNNNNNNNNNNNNNNNNNNNNNNNNNNNNNNNNNNNNNNNNNNNNNNNNNNNNNNNNNNNNNNNNNNNNNNNNNNNNNNNNNNNNNNNNNNNNNNNNNNNNNNNNNNNNNNNNNNNNNNNNNNNNNNNNNNNNNNNNNNNNNNNNNNNNNNNNNNNNNNNNNNNNNNNNNNNNNNNNNNNNNNNNNNNNNNNNNNNNNNNNNNNNNNNNNNNNNNNNNNNNNNNNNNNNNNNNNNNNNNNNNNNNNNNNNNNNNNNNNNNNNNNNNNNNNNNNNNNNNNNNNNNNNNNNNNNNNNNNNNNNNNNNNNNNNNNNNNNNNNNNNNNNNNNNNNNNNNNNNNNNNNNNNNNNNNNNNNNNNNNNNNNNNNNNNNNNNNNNNNNNNNNNNNNNNNNNNNNNNNNNNNNNNNNNNNNNNNNNNNNNNNNNNNNNNNNNNNNNNNNNNNNNNNNNNNNNNNNNNNNNNNNNNNNNNNNNNNNNNNNNNNNNNNNNNNNNNNNNNNNNNNNNNNNNNNNNNNNNNNNNNNNNNNNNNNNNNNNNNNNNNNNNNNNNNNNNNNNNNNNNNNNNNNNNNNNNNNNNNNNNNNNNNNNNNNNNNNNNNNNNNNNNNNNNNNNNNNNNNNNNNNNNNNNNNNNNNNNNNNNNNNNNNNNNNNNNNNNNNNNNNNNNNNNNNNNNNNNNNNNNNNNNNNNNNNNNNNNNNNNNNNNNNNNNNNNNNNNNNNNNNNNNNNNNNNNNNNNNNNNNNNNNNNNNNNNNNNNNNNNNNNNNNNNNNNNNNNNNNNNNNNNNNNNNNNNNNNNNNNNNNNNNNNNNNNNNNNNNNNNNNNNNNNNNNNNNNNNNNNNNNNNNNNNNNNNNNNNNNNNNNNNNNNNNNNNNNNNNNNNNNNNNNNNNNNNNNNNNNNNNNNNNNNNNNNNNNNNNNNNNNNNNNNNNNNNNNNNNNNNNNNNNNNNNNNNNNNNNNNNNNNNNNNNNNNNNNNNNNNNNNNNNNNNNNNNNNNNNNNNNNNNNNNNNNNNNNNNNNNNNNNNNNNNNNNNNNNNNNNNNNNNNNNNNNNNNNNNNNNNNNNNNNNNNNNNNNNNNNNNNNNNNNNNNNNNNNNNNNNNNNNNNNNNNNNNNNNNNNNNNNNNNNNNNNNNNNNNNNNNNNNNNNNNNNNNNNNNNNNNNNNNNNNNNNNNNNNNNNNNNNNNNNNNNNNNNNNNNNNNNNNNNNNNNNNNNNNNNNNNNNNNNNNNNNNNNNNNNNNNNNNNNNNNNNNNNNNNNNNNNNNNNNNNNNNNNNNNNNNNNNNNNNNNNNNNNNNNNNNNNNNNNNNNNNNNNNNNNNNNNNNNNNNNNNNNNNNNNNNNNNNNNNNNNNNNNNNNNNNNNNNNNNNNNNNNNNNNNNNNNNNNNNNNNNNNNNNNNNNNNNNNNNNNNNNNNNNNNNNNNNNNNNNNNNNNNNNNNNNNNNNNNNNNNNNNNNNNNNNNNNNNNNNNNNNNNNNNNNNNNNNNNNNNNNNNNNNNNNNNNNNNNNNNNNNNNNNNNNNNNNNNNNNNNNNNNNNNNNNNNNNNNNNNNNNNNNNNNNNNNNNNNNNNNNNNNNNNNNNNNNNNNNNNNNNNNNNNNNNNNNNNNNNNNNNNNNNNNNNNNNNNNNNNNNNNNNNNNNNNNNNNNNNNNNNNNNNNNNNNNNNNNNNNNNNNNNNNNNNNNNNNNNNNNNNNNNNNNNNNNNNNNNNNNNNNNNNNNNNNNNNNNNNNNNNNNNNNNNNNNNNNNNNNNNNNNNNNNNNNNNNNNNNNNNNNNNNNNNNNNNNNNNNNNNNNNNNNNNNNNNNNNNNNNNNNNNNNNNNNNNNNNNNNNNNNNNNNNNNNNNNNNNNNNNNNNNNNNNNNNNNNNNNNNNNNNNNNNNNNNNNNNNNNNNNNNNNNNNNNNNNNNNNNNNNNNNNNNNNNNNNNNNNNNNNNNNNNNNNNNNNNNNNNNNNNNNNNNNNNNNNNNNNNNNNNNNNNNNNNNNNNNNNNNNNNNNNNNNNNNNNNNNNNNNNNNNNNNNNNNNNNNNNNNNNNNNNNNNNNNNNNNNNNNNNNNNNNNNNNNNNNNNNNNNNNNNNNNNNNNUAAAGGACAGUGGGGGGACAGAGUUAAUGACCCUAAAUUUAAGAUCCUCAUAGAUAGAGUGGUCGAGAAUUGUGGAGGCUUGCCUCUUAUGAUUCUCUCAGUGGCUAAAAGGUUGAAGCAUGGAGAUUUGCCUAAAUGGAGGGAUGCUUUCACCUACAAAGAAAGGUCCAAUGUAAAAUCAAUAGUGGACCUUAGUUACAAUGACCUAAAAGAUGAGAGGAUCAAAGCGCUAUUCUUGGUUCAUCCUCUAGUCUCUCGGGGACUUAGCAUAAGGGAUGCCCUUACCUACUACAUGGGCUUGGGUUUAUAUAAAAAAUUUAGCAAGACUAUCGAAGACACUAGAGAUAGGUUGAUUAUGGAUUGACUUCGCCUCCUUAACUCUUCUUUGUUGCUAAGCAGUGAUGGCCAAGCCCAGUUAAGCAUGCAUGACCUAAUUAUUGAUGUGGCCAUCUCUAUGCAUGACACAUUUAUUGACAUGGAAUGGAACGCCUUGGUCGGGAGAAAGGACUGUGGGUUUAAAGAAUGGUCACAGUAUGAUCUCAAAAAAUGCACCGUAAUGGUCUUCUACUAUAUUGACAUUGAUGAAUUUCUUGAAAAAUUGGACUGCCAGAACAUGAGGAUUAUUCUGUUAUUAGAAGAAAACUUUCUCAAAAUGCCCGACCCUUUUUUUUCAAAUCUAUGGAGAAGCUCCAAGUCUCGAACUUGAUUGGCUUAUCUUUUACCUCCCUCCUUUUGUCGAUGAAGUUACUUAAAAACUUCACAUCUAUGUCUUGAUGGAUGCCAUCUGGAGAAUGUGACUGCUCUUGGAAAAAUGAAAGGAUUGUAAUUACUAAGUUUCUUCAAUUUUAGAAUUGUUCGGCCGCCCAAAGAAAUUGGUGAACUAACAGAAUUGAGAUUUUUGGAUCUGAGAUUGUGUUCCAUGCUUGAAGUUAUUAAAAGCUUGGUUAAUUUAGAACAAUUGUCUAUGGAAGAGAAUUUUGAUCAAUGGGUGGCCGAUGAUAAAACUCCACGAAACAACGCUAGCCUGGCCGAGUUCAAGAACAUGGAUAAGUUGAGCACUUUAUACAUUGCCAUUCCUCGUUCAGCCAAUCUCUCAAGAGACCUACCAUUUGGGAAACUAACCGUGCGCAUGACAAGGUUUCUAUUUCGGUGAACUAUUUCCUUUCAGAAAUAGUUUUUUUUUUUUAAAUUUCUACUCCGGGAACAAUUUCUGAGUAAAAUAAGGUAUUUGGUAAUUAUACAAAAUUUAUAUUCUUGGAAUAAAAAAAGAAUAGAAAUGUGUUUGGUAAAAAUUUAUAAAUUUUUAUAUUUAUUUGUUUUUUCUUCUUACUCACGGACCACUGCCCGCCGCCGCCUGCUACCGCACGACCGUCGACCAUCAUCGCCGACUACCACCGCAGGAUUGCUGCCCACAGCCCACUGAUCGUGGGAGGGGAUGGUGGCUGUCGGUAGUGACGGUCGGCGGUCGUGCGGCGACAGGCAACGGUCAUGUGGCGGUCGUGUGGUGGUUGGCGACGGCAGGCUACCGGCGGAUGGUGGCUCUGAUCUAGAAUUCCAACUCAAUGAGUUAGAGUAUGGAGAAGCAUAUAUACUUUUUGAAAGGAUAAUGGGGGACAUAAUUAAUGACCUUAAAUUUAAGAUCCUCGUGGAUAGAGUUGUCGAGAAUUGUGGAGGCUUACCUCUUUUGAUUCCCUCAAUGGCUAAAAGGUUGAAGCGUGGAGAUUUGCCUGAAUGGAGGGAUGCUUCGACCUAUAAGUAAGGCUCCAAUGUAAAAUCAAUAGUGGAACUUAGUUACAAUGACCUAAAAGAUGAGAGGAUCAAAGCGCUAUUCUUGGUUCAUGCUCUAGUCUCUCGGGGACUUGGCAUAAGUGAUGCCCUUAUCUACUCCAUGGGCUGGGUUUAUAUAAAAAAUUCAGCAAGACCAUCGAAGACACUAGAGAUAGGUUGAUUAUGGAUUGACGUCGUCUCCUUGACUCUUCUUUGUUGCUAGGCAGUGAUGGCCGGGCCCAGUUGAGCAUGCAUGACCUAAUUAUUGACGUGGCCAUCUUUAUGCAUGAAAAAUUUACUGACAUGGAAUGGAAUACCUUGGUUGAGAGAAAGGAUUUUGGGUUUAAAUAAUGGUCACAGUAUGAUUUAAGAAAAUGCACCGCAAUGGCCUUCUACUAUGUUAACAUUGAUGAAUUUCUUGAAAAAUUGAACUGCCCGAACAUGAGGAUUCUUUUGUUAUUAGAAGAAAACUUUCUCAAAAUGCCCGACCCAUUUUUCGAAUCUAUGAAGAAGCUCCAAGUAUUGGACUUGACUGGCUUAUCGUUUACCUGCCUCCCCUCGUCAAUGGAGUUACUUAAAAUCCUCACAUCACUAUGUCUUGAUGGAUGCCAUCUGAAGAAUGUGACUGCUCUUGGAAAGCUGAAAGGAUUGCAGUUCCUAAGUUUCUUCAAUUCUAGAAUUGCUCGACUGCCCAAAGAAAUGGGUGAACUAACAUAAUUGAGAUUUUUGAACCUGAGAUUGUGUUUCAUGCUCGAAGUUAUUAAAAGCUUGGUUUAGAAGAAUUAUCUAUGGAAGAGAAUUUUGAUCAGUGGGAGGCCGAGGAUAAAACCUCGCGAAACAACGCUAGCCUGGCUGAGUUCAAGAACAUAAAUAAGUUGAGCACUUUAUACAUUGCCAUUCCUCGUUCAGCCAAUCUCUCAAGAGACCUACCAUUUGAGAAACUAAGGGUGUGCACGGCAACGUUUCUAUUCCGCGAAACUGUUUCUUUUCAGAAAUAGUUUUUUUUUUUUUUUACUCCGGAAACAAUUUAUGAGUAAAUUUUUAACAAAAAAAAAAUAAUUUCUGAGUAAAAUAAGGUGUUUAGAAACUAUACAAAAUUUAUAUUCUUGGAAUAGAAAAAGAAUAGAAAUACGUUUAGUAAAAAUUUAUAAAUUUGUAUAUAUAUUUCUUUUUUCUUCUUACUCAUGGACCUUUGACCGCCGCCCGUUGCCGCACGACCACCGCACGACCGCUGCAUGACCGUCGAUCGUCACCGCCGACCGUCGCUGCAAGAUUGCUGCCCGUCGACCAUCAACCGCGGGAGGGGGAGACGGUUGGUAGGCUGUGUGUGGCAGUCGGCAGUGACGGUUGGUAGUUAUGCAGCGGCUAGUGGCGGUCGUGCGGCGGACGUGCGGCAGCAAGCAACAUUUGUGUGGCGGUCGUGUGGCGAUUGGCGACGGCAAGCUGUCGGCAGACGGUGGCUCUGGUCCAAAAUUCCAACUUAGUGAGUUAAAGCAUGGAGAAGCACAAAUAAUUUUUUAAAGGAUAGUGGGGGGACGGAGUUAAUAACCCUGAAUUUAAGAUCCUCGUGGAUAAAGUGGUCGAGAAUUGUGGAGGCUUGCCUCUUUUGAUUCUCUCAGUGGCUAAAAGGUUGAAGUGUGGAGAUUUGCCUGAAUGGAGGGAUGCUUCGACCUAUAAACAAGGGUCUGAUCUAAAAUCAAUAGUGGACCUUAGUUACAAUGACCUCAAAGAUGAGAGGAUCAAAGCGCUGUUCUUGGUUCAUGCUCUAGUCUCUCGGGGACUUGGCAUAAGGGAUACCCUUAUCUACUGCAUGGGCUUGGGUUUAUGUAAAAAAUUCAGCAAGACCAUCGAAGACACUAGAAAGAGGUUGAUUAUGGAUGGACGUCGCCUCCUUGAAUCUUCUUUGUUGCUAGGCAGUGAUGGUUGAGCCCUGUUGAGCAUGCAUGACCUAAUUAUUGACGUGGCCAUCUCUAUGCAUGACAAAUUUAUUGACACGGAAUGGAACGCCUCGGUCAGGAAAAAGGAUUUUAGGUUUAAAGAAUGGUCACAGUAUGAUCUUAGAAAAUGCACCGCAAUGGCCUUCUACUAUGUUGACAUUGAUGAAUUUCCUGGAAAAUUGGACCGUCCGAACAUGAGGAUUCUUCAGUCAUUAGAAGAAAACUUUCUCAAAAUGCUCUACUCAUUUUUCGAAUUUAUGGAGAAACUCCAAGUCUUGGACUUGACCGGCUUAUCUUUUACCUCCCUCAUUUUGUCGAUGAAGUUACUUAAAAACCUCACAACUAUGUCUUGAUGGAUGCCAUCUGGAGAAUGUGACUGCUCUUGAAAAGCUGAAAGGAUUGCAGUUCCUAAGUUUCUUCAAUUCUAGAAUUGCUCGGUUGCCCAAAGAAAUUAGUGAACUAACAGAAUUGAGAUUUUUUGGACCUGAGAUUGUAUUCCAUGCUUGAAGUUAUUGAAAGCUUGGUUAAUUUAGAAGAAUUGUCUAUAGAAGAGAGUCUUGAUCAGUGGGAGGCCGAGGAUAAAACCCCACGAAACAACACUAGCCUGGCUGAGUUCAAGUACAUGAAUAAGUUGACCACUUUAUAUGUUGUCAUUCCUCGUUCAGCUAAUGUCUCAAGAAACCUACCAUUUUCGAAACUAAGGGUACGCAUGGCACGUUGCUGUUCCAGGGAAAUAUUUUUUUUUCAAAAAUAGUUUUUUUUUUGUUUUAUUUCUACUCCAAGAAAUAUUUCUGAGUAAAAUAAGGUAUUUGGUAAUUAUACAAAAUUUCUAUUUUUGGAAUAGAAAAAGAAUAGAAAUGCGUUUAGUAAAAAUUUAUAAAUUUUUAUAUUUGUUUGUUCUUUCUUCUUACUCACAGACUGUUGACCGCCCACCACUGCCGUACGACCACCGCACGAACGCUGCACGACCAUCACACGACCAGCGCAUGACCGUCGACUGUCACCACCGAUCGCCGCCGCAGGAUUGCCACUUGCAGCCCAAUGACUGCUGUUGGGGGCGGCAGCUAAUAGGCUAUGUGCGGCGGUCUUGCGGCGGCCGUUGGUAGCGACGGUCGGUGGUCGUGCAGCGGUAGGCGGCGGUCGUGUGGUAAUUGGCAACAACACGCUGCUGGUGGAUGGUGGCUCUGAUCCAUAAUUCCAACUCAGUGAGUUAAAGCAUAGAGAAGCACGUAUACUUUUUUAAAGGACAGUGGGGGACAAAGUUAUUGACCCUGACUUUAAGAUCCUCGUGGAUAGAGUGGUCGAGAAUUGUGGAGGCUUGCCUCUUAUGAUUCUCGCAGUGGCUAAAAGGUUGAAGUGUGGAGAUUUGCCUGAAUGGAGGGAUACUUCGAUCUAUAAAGAAGGGUCCAAUGUAAAAUCAAUAGUGGACCUUAGUUACAAUGACCUCAAAGAUGAGAGGAUCAAAGCGUUGUUCUCGGUUUAUGCUCUAGUCUCUCGGGGACUUGGCAUAAGGGAUGCCCUUAUCUACUGCAUGGGCUUGGGUUUAUAAAAAAAAUCAGCAAGACCAUCAAAGACACUAGAAAGAGGUUGAUUAUGGAUUGACGUCGCCUCCUUGACUCUUCUUUGUUGCUAGGCAGUGAUGGCUGAGCCCAGUUGAGCAUGCAUGACCUAAUUAUUGGCAUGGCCAUCCUUAUGCAUGAAAAAUUUAUUGAGACAUAAUGGAACGCCUUGGUCGGGAGAAAGGAUUUUGGGUUUAAAGAAUGGUCACAAUAUGAUCUCAGAAAAUGCACCGCAAUGGCCUUCUACUAUGUUGACAUUAAUGAAUUUCCUGAAAAAUUGGACUGUCCGAACAUGAGGAUUCUUCAAUCAUUAGAAGAAAACUUUCUCAGAAUGCUCUACUCAUUUUUCGAAUCUAUGGAGAAGCUCCAAGUCUCGGACUUGACUAGCUUAUCUUUUACCUCCCUCCUUUUUCGAUGAAGUUACUUAAAAAACCUCAUAACUAUGUCUUGAUGGAUGCCAUCUGGAGAAUGUGACUGCUCCUGGAAAGCUAAAAGGAUUGCAAAUCCUAAGUUUCUUCAAUUCUAGAAUUGCUCGGUUGCCCAAAGAAUUUGGUUAACUAACAUAAUUGAGAUUUUUGGACCUGAGAUUGUGUUCCAUGCUUGAAGUUAUUAAAAGCUUGGUUAAUUUAGAAGAAUUGUCUAUGGAAGAGAGUUUUUGAUCAGUGGGAGGUUGAGGAUAAAACCCCACAAAACAAUACUAGCCUAGCUGAGUUCAAGUACAUGAAUAAGUUGACAACAUUAUACAUUGUCAUUCCUCAUUCAGCCAAUCUCUUAAGAAACCUAUCAUUUGCGAAACUAAGGGUGCACAUGGCAACAUUUCUAUUACAGGGAACUUUUUUUUUUUUUUUUCAGAAACAGUUUUUUUUUUCUAUUUCUAAUCCAAGAACAAUUUCUGAGUAAAAUAAGGUAUUUGGUAAUUAUACAAAAUUUCUAUUCUUGGAAUAGAAAAAGAAUAGAAUUACGUUUAGUAAAAAUUUAUAAAUUUUUAUAUUUGUUUGUUCUUUCUUCUUACUCAUGGACCGUCGACCGCCAACCGCCGCCGUACAAUCGCCGCAUGAACGCCGCACGACCGUCGCACUACCGUCGCAUGACCAGCGCAUAAAUGUCGACUGUCACCACUGAUAGAAGCGCAAGAUUGUCGCUUGCCGCCCACUAACUGCGGUUGGGGGCGGCGGCUAAUGGGCUGUCCAAACAUGAGGAUUCUUCAAUCAUUAGAAGAAAUCUUUCUCAAAAUGCUCUACUCAUUUUUCAAAUCUAUGGAGAAGCUCAAAGUCUUGGACAUGAUUGGCUUAUCUUUUACCUCCCUCCUUUUGUCCAUGAAGUUACUUAAAAACCUCACAUCUAUGUCUUGAUGGAUGCCAUCUGGAGAAUGUGAUUGAUCUUGGAAAGCUGAAAGGAUUGCAAUUCCUAAGUUUCUUCAAUUCUAGAAUUGCUCGGUUGCCCAAAAAAAUUAGUGAACAAAUAGAAUUGAGAUUUUUGGACCUGAGAUUGUGUUCCAUGCUUGAAGUUAUUGAAAGCUUGGUUAAUUUAGAAGAAUUGUCUAUGGAAGAGAGUUUUGAUCAGUGGGAGGUCGAGGAUAAAACCCCAUGAAACAACGCUAGCUUGGAUGAGUUCAAGUACAUGAAUAAGUUGACCACUUUAUACAUUGUCAUUCCUCGUUCAAGCAAUCUCUUAAGAAACCUACCAUUUGCAAAACUAAGGGUGCGCAUGACAACAUUUCUAUUCUAGAGAACUAUUUUUUUUUUUUCAGAAAUAGUUUUUUUUUCUAUUUCUACUCUAAGAAUAAUUUCUGAGUAAAAUAAGGUAUUUGGUAAUUAUACAAAAUUUCUAUUCUUGGAAUAGAGAAAGAAUAGAAAUGUGUUUAGUAAAAAUUUAUAAAUUUUUAUAUUUGUUUGUUCUUUCUUCUUACUCACUAACCGUCAACCGCCGACCACUACCGUACGACCGCCACACGAAUGCCGCACGACUGUCGCACGACCGUCGCACGACCAGCGCACGACCGUCGACUGUCACCAGCGAUCACCGCCGUAGGAUUGCCAUUUGCAGCCCAAUGAUUGCGGUUGGAGGCAACGGCUAAUGGGCUGUGUGCGGCGGUCAUGCGGCGGCCGUGGGCAGCAACGGUCAGUGAUCAUGCAGCGGUAGGCGGCAGUCGUGUGGUAAUUGGCAACAACAGGCUGCCAGCAGACGGUGGCACUGAUCCAUAAUUCCAACUCGGUGAGUUAAAGCAUGGAGAAGCAUGUAUACUUUUUUAAAGGACAAAGGGGGACAGAGUUAUCGACCCUGAAUUUAAGAUCCUCGUGGAUAGAGUGGUCGAGAAUUGUGGAGGCUUGCCUCUUAUGAUUCUCUCAGUGGCUAAAAGGUUGAAGUAUGGAGAUUUGCCUGAAUGGAUGGAUGCUUCGACCUAUAAAGAAGGGUUCGAUGUAAAAUCUAUAGUGGACCUUAGUUAUAAUGACCUAAAAGAUGAGAGGAUUAAAAUGUUGUUCUCGGUUCAUGCUCUAGUCUCUCGGGGACUUGGCAUAAGGGAUGCCCUUAUCUGCUACAUGGGCUUGGGUUUAUAUAAAAAAAUUCAGCAAGACCAUUGAAGACACUAGAAAGAGGUUGAUUAUGGAUUGACGUCGCCUCCUUGACUCUUCUUUGUUGCUAGGUAGUGAUGGCCGGGCUCAGUUGAGCAUGCAUGACCUAAUUAUUGACGUGGCCAUCUCUAUACAUGACAAAUUUAUUGACACGGAAUGGAAUGCCUUGGUCGGGAGAAAGGAUUUUGGGUUUAAAGAAUGGUCACAGUAUGAUCUCAGAAAAUGCACCGCAAAGGCCUUAUACUAUGUUGACAUUGAUGAAUUUCCUGAGAAAUUGGACUGUCCGAACAUGAAGAUUCCUCAGUCAUUAGAAGAAAACUUUCUCAAAAUGCUUGACUCAUUUUUUGAAUCUAUGGAGAAGCUCCAAGUCUCAGACUUGAUUGGCUUAUCUUUUACCUCCCUCCUUUUGUCGAUGAAGUUACUUAAAAACCUCACAUCUAUGUCUUGAUGGAUGCCAUCUGGAGAAUGUGACUGCUCUUGGAAAGCUUAAAGGAUUGUAAUUACUAAGUUUCUUCAAUUUUAGAAUUGUUCGGCCGCCCAAAGAAAUUGGUGAACUAACAUAAUUGAGAUUUUUGGAUCUGAGAUUGUGUUCCAUGCUUGAAGUUAUUGAAAGCUUGGUUAAUUUAGAAGAAUUGUCUAUGGAAGAGAGUUUUUAUCAGUGGGAGGUCGAGGAUAAAAUCCCACGAAACAACGCUAGCCUGGCUGAGUUCAAGUACAUGAAUAAGUUAACCACUUUAUACAUUGUCAUUCCUUGUUCAGCCAAUCUCUUAAGAUACCUACCAUUUGCAAAACUAACAGUGCGCAUGGCAACAUUUCUAUUCUAGGAAACUAUUUUUUUUUUCAGAAAUAGUUUUCUUUUUUCUAUUUCUACUCCAAGAAUAAUUUCUGAGUAAAAUAAGGUUUUUGGUAAUUAUACAAAAUUUCUAUUCUUGGAAAAGAAAAAUAAUAGAAAUGUGUUUAGUAAAAAUUUAUAAAUUUUAUAUUUGUUUGUUUUUUCUUCUUACUCACGAACUGUCAACCGCCGACUACCGCCGUACGACUGCCGCAUGAACGCCAAUGUACGACUGCGACACGAACGCCGCACAACCGUCGCACGACCGGCACACAACCGUCGACUGUCACCGCCGAUCGCCAACAGAGGAUUGUCACUUGCAGCCCACCGGCUAAUGGGCUGUGUAAGACGAUCUUGCAGCGACCCUCGGCAGCUACGAUCGGCGGUCAUGCAGCGGCAAGCAGCGGUUGUGUGGCUGUUGGCGUCAACAAGUUUCUAGCGGAUGGUGGCUCUAUUCCAUAAUUCCAACUCUGCGAUUUAAAGCAUGGAGAAUCACGUAAACUUUUUUAGAGGACAGUGGGGGACAGAGUUAUCGACCCUGAAUUUAAGAUCCUCGUGGAUAUAGUGGUCGAGAAUUGUGGAGGCUUGCCUCUUAUGAUUCUCUCAGUGGCUAAAAGGUUGAAGUGUGGAGAUUUCCCUGAUUGGAGGGAUUCUUCGACCUAUAAAGAAGGGUCCGAUGUAAAAUCAAUAGCGGACCUUAGUUACAAUGACCUAAAAAAUGAGAGGAUCAAAGCGCUGUUCUCGGUUCAUGCUUUAGUCUCUCGGGGACUUGGCAUAUGGGUUGCCCUUAUCUACUGCAUGGGCUUGGGUUUAUAUAAAAAAUUCAGCAAGACCAUUGAAGACACUAGAAAGAGGUUGAUUAUGGAUUGAUGUCGCCUCCUUGACUCUUCUUUGUUGCUAGGCAGUGAUGGCCGGGCCCAGUUGAGCAUGCAUGACCUAAUUAUUGAUGUGGCAAUCUCUAUGCAUGACAAAUUUAUUGACACAUAAUGGAACGCCUUGGUCGGGAGAAAGGAUUUUGGGUUUAAAGAAUGGUCACAAUAUGACCUCAGAAAAUGCACCGCAUUGGUCUUCUACUAUGUUGACAUUGAUGAAUUUCCUGAAAAAUUGGACUGUCCGAACAUGAGGAUUCUUCAGUCUUUAGAAGAAAACUUUCUCAAAAUGCUCUACUCAUUUUUCGAAUCUAUGGAGAAGCUCCAAAUCUUGAACUUGACUGGCCUAUCUUUUACCUCCCUCCUUUUGUCCAUGAAGUUACUUAAAAACCUCAUCCUGAUGGAUGCCAUCUGGAGAAUGUGACUGCUCUUGGAAAGGUGAAUGGAUUGCAAUUCCUAAGUUUCUUCAAUUCUAGAAUUGCUCGGCUGCCCAAAGAAAUUGGUGAACUAACAGAAUUGAGANNNNNNNNNNNNNNNNNNNNNNNNNNNNNNNNNNNNNNNNNNNNNNNNNNNNNNNNNNNNNNNNNNNNNNNNNNNNNNNNNNNNNNNNNNNNNNNNNNNNNNNNNNNNNNNNNNNNNNNNNNNNNNNACCUGGCUGAGUUCAAGUACAUGAAUAAGUUGACCACUUUAUACAUUGUCAUUCCUUGUUCAGCCAAUCUCUCAAGAAACGUACCAUUUGUGAAACUAAGGGUGCGCAUGGCAACGUUUUUAUUCUAGGGAACUAUUUUUUUUUUUGAAAUUGUUUUUUUAUUAUUCUGUUUCUACUCCAAGAACAAUUUCUGAGUAAAAUAAGGUAUUUGGUAAUUAUAGAAAAUUUCGAUUCUUGGAAUAGAAAAAGAAUAGAAAUGGGUUUAGUAAAAAAUUAUAAAUUUUUAUAUUUGUUUGUUCUUUCUUCUUACUCACGGACCGUUGACCGCUCACCGCCGCCGGACGACCGGCGCACGAACGCCGCACGUGCGUCGCAUGACCGCUGCACGACCGUCGCACGACCGUCGCACGACCAUCGACUGUCACCACCGAUCGCCGCUACAUGAUUUCCGCUUGCAGCCCACUGACUGCGGUUAGGGGCGGCGGCUAAUGGGCCGUGUGUGGCGGUCUUGUGACAACCGCCGGUAGCAACAGUCGGCGGUCGUGCAACAGUAGGCGGCGGUGGUGUGGCAAUUGGCAACAACAGGCUGCCGGCGAACGGUGGCACUGAUCCAUAAUUCCAACUCGGUGAGUUAAAGCAUGGAAAAGCACGUAUACUUUUUUAAAGGACAGUGGGGGACAGAGUUAUCGACCCUGAAUUUAAGAUCCUCGUGGAUAGAGUGGUCGAGAAUUGUGGAGGCUUGCCUCUUAUGAUUCUCUCAUUGGCUAAAAGGUUGAAAUGUGGAGAUUUGCCUAAAUGGAGGGAUUCUUCGACCUAUAAAGAAGGGUCCGAUGUAAAAUCAAUAGCGGACCUUAGUUACAAUGACCUAAAAAAUGAGAGGAUCAAAGCGAUGUUCUCGGUUCAUGCUCUAGUCUCUCGGGGACUUGGCAUAUGGGUUGCCCUUAUCUACUGCAUGGGCUUGGGUUUAUAUAAAAAAUUCAGCAAGACCAUUGAAGACACUAGAAAGAGGUUGAUUAUGGAUUGACGUCGCCUCCUUGACUCUUCUUUGUUGCUAGGCAGUGAUGGCCGGGCCCAGUUGAGCAUGCAUGACCUAAUAAUUGAUGUGGCAAUCUCUAUGCAUGACAAAUUUAUUGACACAUAAUGGAAUGCCUUGGUCGGGAGAAAGGAUUUUGGGUUUAAAGAAUGGUCACAAUAUGAUCUAAGAAAAUGCACCGCAAUGGCCUUCUACUAUGUUGACAUUGAUGAAUUUCCUGAAAAAUUGGACUGUCCGAACAUGAGGAUUCUUCAGUCUUUAGAAGAAAACUUUCUCAAAAUGCUCUACUCAUUUUUCGAAUCUAUGGAGAAGCUCCAAAUCUUGGACUUGACUAGCCUAUCUUUUACCUCCCUCCUUUUGUCCAUGAAGUUACUUAAAAACCUCAUCCUUAUGGAUGCCAUCUGGAGAAUGUGACUGCUCUUGGAAAGGUGAAUGGAUUGCAAUUCCUAAGUUUCUUCAAUUCUAGAAUUGCUCGGCUGCCCAAAGAAAUUGGUGAACUAAGAGAAUUGAGAUUUUUGGACCUGAGAUUGUGUUCUAUGCUUGAAGUUAUUGAAAGCUUGGUUAAUUUAGAAGAAUUGUCUAUGGAAGAGAGUUUUGAUCAGUGGGAGGCCGAGGAUAAAACCCCGCGAAACAGCGCUAACCUGGCUAAGUUCAGGUACAUGAAUAAGUUGACCACUUUAAACAUUGUCAUUCCUUGUUCAGCCAAUCUCUCAAGAAACCUACCAUUUGUGAAACUAAGGGUGCGCAUGGCAACGUUUUUAUUCCAAGGAACUAUUUUAUUUUUUGAAAUUGUUUUUUUUAUUCUAUUUCUACUCCAAGAACAAUUUCUGAGUAAAAUAAGGUAUUUGGUAAUUAUAGAAAAUUUAUAUUCUUGGAAUAGAAAAAGAAUAGAAAUGUGUUUAGUAAAAAUUUAUAAAUUUUUAUAUUUGUUUGUUCUUUCUUCUUACUCACGGACAGUCGACCGUCGACCGCCACCGUACGACCGGCACAAGAACGCCGCACGUCCGUCGCACGACCGCCGCACAACCGUCGACUGUCACCAUCAAUCGCCGCUUCAGGAUUGCCACUUGCAGCCCACUUUUUGCGGUUGGGGGCGGCGGCUAAUGGGCUGUGUGUGGCGGUCUUGUGACGACCGCCGGUAGCAACGGUCGGCGGUCGUGCAACGGUAGGUGGCGGUGGUGUGGCAAUUGGCAAUAACAGGCUGCCGGCGGACGGUGGCACUGAUCCAUAAUUCCAACUCGGUGAGUUAAAGCAUGGAAAAGCACGUAUACUUUUUUAAAGGACAGUGGGGGACAGAGUUAUCGACCCUGAAUUUAAGAUCCUCGUGGAUAGAGUGGUCGAGAAUUGUGGAGGCUUGCCUCUUAUGAUUCUCUCAGUGGCUAAAAGGUUGAAGUGUGGAGAUUUUCCUGAUUGGAGGGAUGCUUCGACCUAUAAAUAAGGGUCCGAUGUAAAAUCAAUAGCGGACCUUAGUUACAAAGACCUAAAAGAUGAGAGGAUCAAAGCGCUGUUCUCAGUUCAUUCUCUAGUCUCUCGGGGACUUGGCAUAUGGGUUGCCCUUAUCUACUGCAUGGGCUUGGGUUUAUAUAAAAAAUUCAGCAAGACCAUCGAAGACACUAGAAAGAGGUUGAUUAUGGCUUUACGUCUCCUCCUUGACUCUUCUUUAUUGCUAGGCAGUGAUGGCUGGGCCCAGUUGAGCAUGCAUGACCUAAUUAUUGAUGUGGCAAUCUCUAUGCAUGACAAAUUUAUUGACACAUAAUGGAACGCCUUGGUCGGGAGAAAGGAUUUUGGGUUUAAAGAAUGGUCAAAAUAUGAUCUCAGAAAAUGCACCGCAAUGGCCUUCUACUAUGUUGACAUUGAUGAAUUUCCUGAAAAAUUGGACUGUCCGAACAUGAGGAUUCUUCAGUCUUUAGAAGAAAACUUUCUCAAAAUGCUCUACUCAUUUUUCGAAUCUAUGGAGAAGCUCCAAAUCUUGGACUUGACUGGCCUAUCUUUUACCUCCCUCAUUUUGUCCAUGAAGUUACUUAAAAACCUCAUCUUGAUGGAUGCCAUCUGGAGAAUGUGACUGCUCUUGGAAAGGUGAAUGGAUUGCAAUUCCUAAGUUUCUUCAAUUCUAGAAUUGCUCGGCUGCCCAAAGAAAUUGGUGAACUAACAGAAUUAAGAUUUUUGGACCUGAGAUUGUGUUCCAUGCUUGAAGUUAUUGAAAGCUUGGUUAAUUUAGAAGAAUUGUCUAUGGAAAUGAGUUUUGAUCAGUGGGAGGCCGAGGAUAAAACCCCGCGAAACAACGCUAACUUGGCUGAGUUCAAGUACAUGAAUAAGUUGACCACUUUAUACAUUGUCAUUCCUUGUUAAGCCAAUCUCUCAAGAAACCUACCAUUUGUGAAACUAAGGGUGUGCAUGGCAACGUUUUUAUUCUAGGGAACUAUUUUUUUUUUAAAUUGUUUUUUUAUUCUAUUUAUUCUCCAAGAACAAUUUCUGAGUAAAAUAAGGUAUUUGGUAAUUAUAGAAAAUUUCUAUUCUUGGAAUAGAAAAAGAAUAGAAAUGUGUUUAGUAAAAAUUUAUAAAUUUUUAUAUUUGUUUGUUCUUUCUUCUUACUCAUGGACCGUCGACUACCGACCGCCGCCGUACGACCGGCGCACGAACGCCGCACAUCCGUCGCACGACCACCGCACGACCGGCGCACGACCAUCGACUGUCACCAUCGAUCGCCGCUGCAGUAUUACCGCUUGCAGCCCACUAACUGCGGUUGGGGGCAGCGGCUAAUGGGUUGUGUGUGGCGGUCUUGUGACGACCGUCGGUAGCAACGGUUGGCCGUAGUGCAACGGUAGGCAACGGUCGUGUGGCAAUUGGCAACAACAGGCUGCGGGCAGACGGUGGCAAUGAUCCAUAAUUCCAACUCGGUGAGUUAAAGCAUGGAAAAGCACGUAUACUUUUUAAAAGGACAGUGGGGGACAGAGUUAUCGACCCUGAAUUUAAGAUCCGCGUGGAUAGAGUGGUCGAGAAUUGUGGAGGCUUGCCUCUUAUGAUUCUCUCAGUGGCUAAAAGGUUGAAGUGUGGAGAUUUGAUUGAAUGGAGGGAUGCCCUUAUGUACUGUAUGGGCUUGGGUUUGUAUAAAAAAUUCAGCAAGACCAUCGAAGACACUAGGAAGAGGUUGAUUAUGGACUGACGUCACCUCCUUAACUCUUCUUUGUUGCUAGGCAAUGAUGGCCGGGCCCAGUUGAGCAUGCAUGACAUAAUUUUGACGUGGCCAUCUCUAUGCAUGACAAAUUUAUUGACACAGAAUAGAACGCCUUGGUCGGGAGAAAGGAUCUUAUGUUUAAAGAAUGGUCACAGUAUGAUCUCAAAAAAUGAACCGCAAUGGCCUUAUACUAUGUUUUUUUUUUUUUUUUUUUACUAUGUUGACAUUAAUGAAUUUCCUAAAAAAUUGGACUGCCCAAACAUGAGGAUGCUUCUGUCAUUAGAAGAAAACUUUCUCAAAAUGCCCGACUCAUUUUUCGAAUCUAUGGAGAAGCUCCAAGUCUUGGACUUGACUGGCUUAUCUUUUAUCUCCCUCCCUUCCUCGAUGAAGUUACUUAAGAACCUCACAACUAUGUCUUGAUGGAUGCCAUCUGGAGAAUGUGACUGCUCUUGAAAAGCUGAAAGGAUUGCAGUUCCUAAGUUUCUUCAAUUCUAGAAUUGCUCGGUUGCCCAAAGAAAUUGGUGAACUAACAAAAUUGAGAUUUUUGGACCUGAGAUUGUGUUCCAUGCUUGAAGUUAUUGAAAGCUUGGUUAAUUUAGAAGAAUUGUCAUGGAAGAGAGUUUUGAUUAGUGGGAGUCUGAGGAUAAAACCCCGCAAAACAAUGCUAGCCUAGCUGAAUUUAAGAACAUGAAUAAGUUGAGCAUUUUAUACAUUACCAUUCCUCGUUUAGCCAAUCUCUCGAGAGACCUACCAUUUGGGAAACUAAGGGUGUGCAUGGCAACGUUUCUAUUUUGGAGAACUAUUUUUCUUUUUUCAGAAUUAGUUUUUUUUCUAUUUCUACUCCGAAGACAAUUUCUGAGUAAAAUAAGGUGUUUGGUAAUUAUAUAAAAUUAUUAUUCUUGGAAUAGAAAAAGAAUAGAAAUGUGUUUUGUAGAAAUUUAUAAAUUUUUGUAUUUAUUUGUUUUUUCUUCUUAGUCACGGACCGCCGCCCGCCACCGCACGACCGUUGAUUAUCACCACCGACUGUCAUCACUGGAUUGCCGUCUAUAGCCCUCCGGCCGCGGGAGGGUGCGAUGGUCGGUGGGUUAUGGGCGGCGGUCCUACGCGAACGGUCAGCGGUCGUGUGGCGGUAGGCGGUGGUCAUGCGACAAUCGUGUGGUUGUUGGCGAUGGCAGGCUGCUGACGGACAGUGGCAAUCGUCCAGUAUGCAUGAAUUCAAUAGGAAAACCUUAAUUUAAUCUGAAAAAUGAAGAUUAAUCACCCAGUAUGCAUGUUCCAGUGUCUCUAAAGCAACAAUUAAAGCAAUUUUUAAAAUCUACUAUAGUCAUCCAAUUGGUGAAGUAGAAAGAGAAAUUCAAAAGGGGGAGAUUGGGUACUAGUCAGAUUAUAAAUGUCCAACCAANNNNNNNNNNNNNNNNNNNNNNNNNNNNNNNNNNNNNNNNNNNNNNNNNNNNNNNNNNNNNNNNNNNNNNNNNNNNNNNNNNNNNNNNNNNNNNNNNNNNCAAGAGAGUUGCCGAUUGAAAAAUAAAUAGAGAAAAGAUUGUUGACAUUCGAAUUUUUCUUUUAACAAUAAAAAGUUAAAAAUAUCAACAACAAAAAAUUAAUAAACAAGAAAAUUAAAACAUAUAUAAAAAAAGAAAAUGAAAAAUGAAUGAUAAUAUAAUAAUAACAAUGAAAUUCGGGUAGGCCAUUUAUGCCUGGCCCGGUUCCUUUAGUAAGAUUCCUGGCCCACUCAGUCUUAAUCCCUGAAUUAGCCCAAUUUCCCUCUUAUCUUUCUUAUUUUUAAUCCAGCCCAACCCUUUUCUUCGGCUUUCUCCUUUUCUCAGCCCAUUUUGUUGUUUCCAAAGCCCGGCCCUUUUGCCUUUCUCCUCCAUGGCGCACACGCGCGCCUGUGAGCAAGAACGAGACGAGCGGCGAAGGGAGGAACGGUCCAGCGAGAAUGUCCGUGAGACUCACAGGCAGGUGAGGCGAGCGAAUCCACUGUUCUAGAAGGUUGCUAGCCGGCGUAUGGGGAGUCGGGCUUAACGGAAAAAGAUUCCGUUCGAGCGAGAGAAGGAAAAACGGCCGAGAGAAAGCAACCUUUGGAGAGAGAGAGAGAGUUUCAGAUUUUCAAGCUCCGUUCCGGUCGAUAUCUUUGAUUCGAGCUCCGCUGCAUUUUCCUGAGGUUUCGAGCUAGCCGAGCCAUGGCCGAGUUGAGCGACUCAGUGUCCACGUCGACCUCAACGCCGUACCUUUCGAAGGGAAGGAGCGUGUGGUGAAGACGAGCGAGGAUUCGGUUUCCGUGUUCGUCUGCGGCGAUCGGGAGAAGCCCGCUCUGAUAACGCCUCCCGACGUCGCUCUCAAUUAUACGUCGUGUUUCUAAGUGUUGAUGACCUUGCAGACCACGUCGUCGAAGUGCUCGACUUCUCUGGGCUGAAGGAAGUUCUGUGCUUUUAGGUGUAACGGCCAGUGCUUACAUCCUGACUCUCUUUUGCGCACAAGUAUGAAGAGCGGGUUCUUGGUCUGAUCUUUGUUUCCCCAGUUUGCAAGGCACAUUCGUGGACUGAAUGGUUUUAUAACAAGGUGUUGCUGAACCUCUUGAAGGAGUUUCUUCUCCAGCGGUACUUCAGUAAGGAAAUUCGCUGCAGCAUGCACGGUUCAAAAUCCGACCUCGUUCAAACUUGUCGAAAGUUGCUGGACGAAAGAUACAGUCUGAACGUCAUGCGCUUUCUUGAGGCCAUGAAUAGGAGGCAUGAUCUAACAGACAACUUGAAGAAUUUGCACUGCAAAACACUCAUUUUUGUGGGUGAGAGCAGUCCAUUCCAUGCUGAAUCAAUGUACAUGAGUGCCAAAAUGGACAGGAAAGUCUGCGCUCUUUGUUGAGGUGGGAUCGUCGGCCACGAAGGGGCUCAGCUGAAGAGAGCUUCGCUGGAAAAAAAAAAAAAAAGAGAAAACGAAAAAAAGAGAGAACACGAGAGAGAAGACAGUGACUCCAUUUCCGAAGCAGGGAAGCUCCUCGCUCCUAACGCAUUACUUUGCCCUGUUUUUGUUGAAGCUGAGAUACAAUAUUAAUUCAUGAAAUCGUGAGUGAAUUGUAUGAAACGAAGGUCGAUUUACAAUGAAUAAUGCCGAAUGAAAUUUUUAUUUACUACAUGUAGAUCGAGAAAUGCAUUUCAAUCGAAUCUGGAAUUGGUAUUUGAAAAUGCCUUCUAUCUGUUUGAUGAUUUGCCAGAACGAGACAGUAAACUUAGGAUUGUGUAAUCGAUGUUUAGAAACUCAGAUUGGCACUCGAAUGCUUCCACAAUUACUGAACUGUUUCCUCUUUGUGUUUUUUCUGUGAUUUUUCUCGAUGUUAUUGCAUAUGCUUCAACUUUCGGCGUCGGCCGUGGAUGAGUCCUUGCGUUGGAGAUAACGUUAUCUUACCAGCGUCGCCCAUGGUUAAAGGCCAUCACCGUAAGUUCUCUGUAUCCUUCUCUCUAUUGUGCGCGCGCGUAUUCCUUAUGCAGUUUGAGAGUUGUUAAUGCUGUUUUGGCCAGAUGUCGAUGGCCAUUCGAAAUCGAGUUUGUCUUGGCCAUCGGCCGCGAUAGGUCGGUCCUACAUCACCGACGCUGGCUCGAUUCGAGUUCAACGGCUGUAAGCAUUGGUGAUGGUUCGGCGAAGGAGAAGUUGCAGGCGAAGAAGAUAUCAUUGAAGAAGUAGAGCUUUGGGAAGAAGACCUGCAAAAGAGAAAGAAGAAACAAAAAUAAAAUGAAAAGAAAAAAAAGAAUUAAAAAAUCAAUAAAAUAAAAAGAACGAAAAAAGCUUUACAAAAUUCGGGUUUAUUUUGAGGUGCGUCGGAUCUGGAUAGGCGGAUCGGGCUGGUGGAUCGGACCGGGUUACCGUGGUCCGAAUUCCCUUUCUAGAAUAUAAUAAUAAUAAAUGUUUAAAAAGGUUCAGAAAUCGUAAAAAUCAUUAAAAAAAAUUCUUUAAAAAAUUCCAAAAAGAUCAAAAGAUUCAGAAAAUUCGAAAAUAUUAAAAAAUUUCAUAAAAAAUCUAGAAAAUCAGAAAAUUCAUCAAAAAAUUCAGAAAAGUUAAAAAUUCAUAAAAAAUUCUAGAAAAUCCAGAAAAAGUUUUGAAAAAUCUUUAAAGAAUCUAGAAAAUUCAGAAAUUCUUGGAAAAAGCUUUAAAAAAUUAGCUUUUCAAAUAGUUUUCUAUUAAAUUUUGGAAAAUCCUAAAAAAAUUAAAAUUGGAAAUUGAACAAGUUUUUAGGGUUUUACAAUAGGGACUCUUAAAUUGCCAUUUUUUUAAGAAAUGAUAUUAGAUUACUUGUGUGUUUUUUACUUCAAUUAUACUUGAUUGCACAUUUCAAUAUCUUGAGUGUUAUUUCUUUUAGAAUGGUUAGGAUGAAGUCUAAAAAAUCUUCAAUAAGUUGCUAUGGCAUUAGUUAGCAUGCAAUCGAGUUAAGUAUCAAAAGGGCAUUAGUCUUAGUAUUAAUGUAAUCAAGUCCUUGUUCCAAGAUCUCUAGUUGCACGUGAAAUGAGAUAUUUUCUAUAUCUCAUUAGCAACUCUUUAUAUGGAAAUUUGUCUAUAAUUAAUUAAAUAGGAAUCAAAUGUCCAAAUGUCAUAGGAGGGAAACCCAAAUCAAUUGAAAGCCGUUGACCUGAAUUUGACAAUAUCUCUAAACCUAAUUCCUCUCCCUACUUAGGGGUAGGUUGCAACAAAGAUUAUAUAGUUUUUCAAUUGUGAUUUUCUUGUACCAUUUUACAAGUACAGCCCAUUGCAAAAGCCAUUCACGGCACACACACACGACCUAUAUUUCAACUCUAUUAUAGUCAAUGCUUUUCUUUCUCAUGAUUUAGAUCUCACUAAAAAUUUAAAGUUAUUAUAAUAUCACUAUGGGCUUUUAUGGAGUUUCAUGUCUCUUAUAGUCAAUGCCUUUUUUUUUUCUCCUUAUGACGUAGAUCUCGCCGAAAUUCUACUGUCAUUCUAAUAUCAAUUAUAAACCAUUUUUCUCUAUGCAAAUAUGACCUUGGAGAAGAUUAAAAUUUACGAGUUGUAUCUAUUGGGCUUAGCCCAAAACCUGAUUGGCCCACGAAUUAUGUCUUAGUCUCGAUCCAAAUUAAGUUUAAACUACAGAUAACUCGCAUGACCAAAGAGGCCCAAAAAUAGGAUUGUAUUUGCUGUUGUUCCGAGUCUAGCUAUGUUUGAGAUGAGGGGGUAAGGUAAAUUAUGGAAGAAAAUUUCAGAAUUUCACCAUUUUCCUUCCCAACAAAAUUUUAAAUUCUUCUGCAUUAUCCACCCAAACUGUCGCUUUCUCCAUUUCCUUUGCAAUCCAAACAUUGAACAAGGAACUCUACCAUCACUAAUAAACCGAGGCCAACCUUUCCAAUUGAUACAUCACCUCCUCUUUCUUGUGGAAAGGGCCAAAAUAACUAACAAGAACAUCACACGAGUCUACACGGUCAAAUACGAUAGGCUUGCUAUCAGCUACAACAAGGUGGAAGUUCCAAACUGCGAGCCAUCCACUGGCUAUAUAUUUUCAAACAUAGAGUAAUUAAUUGAUAAACUUAUUCUCUUGUGCAGACUAGUUUGAGAAAAUGUAGAUGGCGAUGAAAUUACUUUUUAGGCCCUUACGAUUAUGUUUUGUGUUGUAUGAAUUGUAACUUGAGAAAGGAAAUAUUAGUCUCUUUCUACGCAUUUGUAAGCGAGAAGAAGGAAUCUUAUGGCGUCCUUAUGUAGAUUAUUAAUCUAAUCAAAACUUGUCCUUAUUUUUUAUUUUUUAUUUUUUUCACUAAAAACUUGUCCUUCUUAGAUGGGAGGGUUUUGAGGAAAAAGGUCUUGGUUUACUAGGCCAUACCAUACCAAAAUUUUCAGUAAACGUGGUCAUUGGAGAAUAAUGCCUUCUAGUUGAGUUGAAAUAAAAAAUUCGAAGCAUGCCAUUCUGACAUUUUGCAGAAGUUGUCAAUAAAAUGGAUAAUUACGUACGUGGCUCUUGAAGAAUAGCAUCAUGUAAAUAUUAAUUUCCACUAUGAACAUCUUGAUUCUAUCAUAAGCAUCGAUUCUUUUUUAACCAACUACCUAAGUCUUGAUUAAAACCUUUUUUUUUAGCAAAAGACCAUUUAUUUGGGACGCACAUUAGCAAAAGAUGAAUUUGACUACAGCAUUAAUUGGUCCGAAAGUUUCCUUAUGCUAUCCAGAUAGCCCUCCUACUAGUUCCAAUUAUGACGAUAUUGUGAUUUUUUUACUUGGUUAUGCUUCACUAUUCCUUUCUUGAAGAAACGUUCUCCAAUCCAAUGAAAACCGGUAUUGCCUAUGCUUUUAAAUGUGUUGAGAAAUUAAGAUUUUUUUUCCACAAUUGACCCCCAAUAGAAUACGUUGCGGAUUUGUUGGAAUUUUAGGAACCGUGACUACAAAUUUUCAUUUUUCUCUUCCUACGAAAACGCUUUCAAUGUGUAUUUGAUAAGUCCCUAUGUACAUAAUUCAGGUAACUUACAUGUAUUCAUGUGGAUUAAUUGACUUCAAAUGUUUGAGUUCCCCAUGUUUUUGGUAUUAAAAAAAAAAAACAAUUUUGGUGAAGAAAAAUCAGCUUUAUUUAGGACAACAAAAAUUCCCCGAGACAAAAAUGUCAUAGUUUGCGACAUAUUGCAGUAACAUCAUAAAUAAUAAUUUUUUUAAAAAAGCAAGUACAUAUAAAUAUUGGAGGGACAAAAACAGUCCCAAUCGAGGAAACAGAGCUAGCCUGCGGUUCCAUGCAAUAGCUCUGUUGUGGGCCUUUCACCUACCCUCACUCACCCCAAGUGUGGAUGGUUACUAUACCAGCCUACUCGGUGAUAAUUGGGACAUACAAGCAUACCCCAACGUUGAGUAUUGUAAGGCUCUCAAAUUCCCUAUUUAUCUUUGUCUUCCCGAUAAAGAGGGAAUACGGAGGACAACAUGGGAUUUUCCACCCUUGGGCAGUUCUCCUGUCUAUUUUCUCCUUAAACCUUUUAAAGAAUUGCUCAAGUCUGACCACUUUGCAAAUAUCCUACAAAUAAAUAAAUAAAUAAAUAAGCACUUAUUCUUAAACAAGGAACAAAAUAGCCGCCUUUAUUUUUUCUGUCUUAAUGAAACUACGUGGUAGCUGACAAGGUAAACGGCGCUUCAUGUUAAACUGAUGUGUCGUUUCUUAUUAUUAGAAAAGUAUAAAAUAAAAUUAAUAAUUUUAAACUCAAAAUAAAAUGGCUUUUAUCAAAGAGAAGAAAAAGAAAGAAAAAGAAAACUUAGAAGCAAAGAGAGGAAGCGGGUGUGUUCGGUAGUGGUGGCCACACCACCGUCGAGGUAAGCGUGGCCACAACUAUUACCGCAUCGCCUUUGGUGCUCUUUUCGAAUCCAAUGGGCAAGGCCAGCAUCGGUUCCUCCGCGGAACGUAGAAAAAAAAGGCGACCAUGGAGAAAGCACCAUUCACAGCAGGGCUGGGCACUGGGUCUCUAGUCUCGUCCUGCUCAGUCUCACAGUUUCUCUUAUUUCUCGGCAAAUGUAGAUACAUAAAAGAAGGGUAAUGGACGCCCGCUUAUAGCGACCACAUGAGUGGUGCUGGCGAUCACCGUCGAGGCCGCUUGCAGACCUUGCCUUUAUGGGGCGAGGAAGUUGACCGAUCUCUCAAACAUUGAUUAUGACCCGACAACGAGGGCAAGCUCAUGCUCACGCCCCUCGAUUUGCCCUUCUAACCCUAACCUUAUAAAUUUAAAUCCAAAGUGCAUCAAUGGUAGAUUGUAUGUAUCUCCUAAAACUGUUUGAUCAAUGCUCUCUAUUGUAGUAUUAGCGUCCAACUAAUGAUUUCUCAUUUUCACUGUGACUAUUUUUUCGGGUAUUAAAAAUAGGAGCAAGAGGUUGGUAUUUCCUUUUCUCUUAGUACUACCGUAUUAUCAGAUAUCAAACUAUAAUCUCAAUCCGACAUUGAUGAAGUUGGCUUUGAAACCAUGAGGGGGUUACAGCUGGACUAUUAACAUUCAGAGUUAGGAAUCACUCUUGGUCUCAGGACAUCACUAGUCCAUAAAGUUCUCCGGCCUCCAUAAGCUUUUUGAUCCACAAUAAAAGGGCAAUAAUGCAAAUCACUAUGGCCAGAACAAUGACCGAUGAAAAAAAAUAAAAGCAUGCUAAUUACAACAUUAUCAAUUCCCCUAAAAUCGAUUUUGAGGGAUCAUAAUUGCCAACUUCGGCCAACCAUCGCCGCCAACUAUUCAAACUCAUGAGCUCAAGAUCCACAUCUUAUGCGAUAUUUUUCUAUGUAAAUCGGAAGGAAUAAAUGAAAGGUAAAUGUGACAUCUGCCUUUGCGUUAAGAUUCCGUUACUUUUUUUUUCUUUCAUCUUUGAUUAAAAAACAUUUUCUUUCUGAGUUUAAAAUCAUUAAGUUUUUUUAUGUUUUACUUUUUCAAUGAUAAAAACAAUGCCACAUCAGCUUAGCAUAUAAGCAUAAUUGAGCUUGUACACUCAUCGAAAAAGAUAAUAGUGGUCAUUUUUAUACAUAAAAAAGAAUACGGGCUUUUGUUAUUCCUUUCUUAUAAAUACAUGAUUCUUUUUUAUCUGGAUUUGGCCAGAACUUCAAAUGAUGCUUCAACCCACGACGGGGCCCUAGUGCUCUUUGUUGGCAUCUUGAUAUGUCCAAGUUGCAAUAGCAUCAUGGGAAUGAGAGAAAAAAAAAAAAAAAAAAGAAGCGAAAAUGAAGAAAAAGCCAUUGCGGUUGUCACCAUCGACAAGUCAAAAACGACCGAUUACGUUUGGGCUUCGGUCGACAAUGUCCUUCGUUGCCUGCUGUUUUCGCCCGUCACGGGUCCACUCGUUCGAGGCAAUGAAGAGACAAUGAUUGCCAAGCGAACACAUCAUCUUCCUCGUUGGCUUAAAAAUACGAGAUCGCAAUUGGACACGAAAACCUCGAUGCAUUCCGCAAAAUGAAGAUAAUCGCCUGAUUCACGCAUGUCCUUUUGUCUCUAAAGCAAGAAUUGAGCAAAUUUUAAAAUAUACAAUAUCUAUAUCAUCAUUAUUUUUAGGACAGUCCAAAUAGGUGAAAUAGGAAUCAAAUUCAAAAGACGGGACGAGUAGAAACAAACCUUAGAAAGAGAUGAGAGGAAGAGAGCAUGCUAAUGAUCAAACAGAUCCACGCUUCAAACCUCAGAAAGGUUGUAUACGGCAUUCAACCUUUGUCUUAAGUCUAUCAUAAUCCACACUUUUUUUGUCCUCCUAAUUUAGAUCUAGCCAAAAAUUUAAUAUCAUUGUAAUAGCACUAUGGACUGUUCUCAAAUUGGACUUAUCAACUAUCCAUGCCUUUUGCCUAUAUGUGGGUGGCGCAACUUCAAACUUGCACAUUAUUGGUGGUAUUCGAAUAGGUGACUCUAAGUCUUGAUCUAAAAUUUUCUUGAUAUCCUGACCAACUGUGCCAACUUUUACAAUUAUUUAAAAAAAGAAAAGAAAAUAAGAUGGAGAUAAAGAGAGAAAAAGGUUAAUGAAUUGGGUAUAAACAUCUUCUUUUCACUUUGAAGGUUCUAUUUCAAAAUGGAGAGAAAACUUAAGGCAGACUAUGACGUGAAUAAAAUCAUAGACUUGAUCGACCAUUCAAGACUAGGUUGAAACUAUUACAAGGUUGUUGACUUAAAUUGAAUUUUUAUCCCCACAUGUCACGAACAGAAGUGAUGAUAUGAGGUAAUCCUCCUUUGUCUGCCAUUAAAUAUGACUGGCGAAGAUUGAAAUUUACAAGUUGUGUGUAUUGGGCUCAGCCCAAAACCUAAUUAGCCACUAGUUGUGUCUUAGUCUAAUUGAUGCCACAGACAACUCGUAGGACCAAGGAGGCCCAAAACAGAAUUGUAUUCCCAGAAGUUCCAUGUCUUUGCUACGUUUGCAAUGAGGGGGUGAGGAAAAAUUGUAGGAGGAAUUUCGAAAUUUCACCCUUUACUUUCUCGAAGAAAUUUUAAAUUUUUCUGCAUUUCCCAGCCAAACAUUCAUUUUCUCCAUUUCCCUUAAUUUCCCAAAUGUUAAAAGGAGUAACUCUGCCAUCACUAAAUCUAUGGUGAAUAUGAAAAGUGAUGAAGUCAUACGGGAAAAUUGGCAGAAAAUGACUAAAUUGGCACAACCUAAAAAGGUUUAGGACUAAAUCAGCACAAAAAAAAUGUUUAGGACUAAAUCGGCACAAAGACAAAAUGUUUAAAACUUUUUUGGCACUUUUCCAGUCGAAAGUAUAUUAGGUCUAGGGUGAAUUGGUGGGGCUGUGUUAUUUAUUUUAAUUACCUAUGCUAGUCAUAAUCCAAUAUGUCUUUUGCAAAUAUAAUAAUUACCACAUUAAAGCAGCAUAAUCCAAAAAAUUUAUCCUCUGGCUGUCGUCUCUUAAAUUCAACUUAUGCAAAAAAUUCAAUGAAUAUGUAAGUGUAGAUUUCAUAUUGCCAAUAUAUGACACACUUAGCAUGCAUUAAUAUAAAAAGAGCACGAAAGAGGGACGCUUGUCCGAUUUAAAGUAGUUCGGUUGAAAUUAGUGGCCAGUCCACCCCUCAAGACUGUUCAGGAAUUGUUCUGAUUCCACUAUAUUUGAAGUUUCUUAGAAAAGUUGAUUUAUGAGGACCUAUUUGGUAAUUGGUCAAACAAUGUCUGAUUCUAUUCUUUUGUUCUGUAGAACAAAAAAAAAACAAGGAAUAGAAAUUUGUUAGGUAAAUUUUUUGUUCCCGAGAAUAGAUUUGGAGUAGAAUCAAAAAGUCAAAAAAAAAAAAUGAUUCUUUGUUCUUGAGAAUAACUCCAUAAUCAAGCACAUUUUUUUUCCUCUUUUUUUAUUUUUUUUCUUCUUUUUUUCUUUUCCUUUUCUUCUUAUUACUUGAGCCGGUCUCUAACUAGACAAGGGCUAGCGAACUCACCGAAAUGUCACCAACCCCUAAUGAGACUCGACCUCGCCUUAGCUGAGCGAGGUCGACCUUGCCCAAAUUUGGUGAGGCCAAGCUCACCCAACCAUCGGCGAGGCUCGAUCUCCCCCACCCACCGCAAGGUUGAGUCUCGUCAAUGGCUGGACAAGCUUGGCCUUGCUAGAUCUGGGCAAGCUUAACCUCGCCUUUGCCUAGCCACGGUGAGGCUCAAACUGAUAAGGUUCGGUCUUGCCGGGGGCCGGUAACACUUUGAUAAUCAACUCAAGGAAGAAGAAAAGAAACCAAAAAAAAAGAAAAAAGAAAAUGCAAUAAAAAUAUUCAAAAAAUUAAAAGAAAUUCUAAGUUAUAAAAGUAUUUUGAGGAUCAUACCAAAUACAUUUCUAUUCGGAGAAUAAAUUUUUUUUUAUAGUUAUUAAAUGCAUUCAAAUAAUGAAAAAUUCAUUGAAGGAAUGGAAUUUAAAAAAAAAAACAUUUCUAAGUAGAAAUUGUUCUCAAUAAUAGAAUGAUUACUAAAUACAUCUUAAUAGAGCUAGCAUUCCUCUACGAAUAAGGUGAAUUCUUUCACAAAUAAUUUUUCUCGCAAGAAGUUGAUUUGCAAAGUGAAUACAAGAAUGACUUUGAAAGUAUUUUCACGUACACAUGUCCCAAGACGAUGAGCUACCUUAUUCGAAGGAAAGCAAACUCUCCUGACUAAUCCCCGUCAAGGAUGGCAGAUCCCAAGGUGUUAUUAACAUUCCCGGAUGUCCAUUCAAAAGAUGGCCCAGCACUAAUUAGGUUGGGUGAGCAAAAUUACAAUGUAUAUUGUAAAGCUGGGUAUUUGGCCAAUCCUAGCCUAUUAUCUUGCAAUUACUUAGCCGGGUACCUAGAUAUGUUUUUAGACAGGAGUCGGUUCCCACCUUGCACAAACUUACAGAAAACACAAAAAAAAAAUCAUAGCGAUUACAAAUAUACAAAAGUGAGUCUUAGAAUCAUCAAAAUUAAGUUAAGGUUGACAAUCUCCCAUUUCUUAUGAUGACAAAAUCACUUUUAGAACCUCAAAUUAAAUCCCCCUUAACGUAAUAUAGGAGAAAUAAAUCAAGUGAUUACAUCACACAUAAUAAAACAUUAUUCUAUUCCCCCCCUUUGUCGUAACAUCAAAAAGGGCUUUAAGGUGGAAUGUAUUAUCAAACACAAAAAACCCAUUUGUGUAACAAAGAUAUUCACGAAACAUCAAUUCAACACAAGGUUGACAAUUAUUAAGUACAACACAAACAUAUAGCAAGUUCAACAUAAAACAUCUUCAACAUAAAUUACAAAUCAAUCUCAAUGUGAGUUUAAAACAGAGUAGGAGGAAAUGGAGGCUAUUCAAGAAAUAAGUGAGCUGAAGAAAAAAUUAGGCAAAAUGGGAGACCAAUGUCCUGCUGAAGUUGGUGAAAAACUUGUAGCAGUUCAUUUCUCACCAUAUGAAUUACUCCCUGAAGGGAACUUAACUCGGUUAGAAAGUGUCUCAACUAAUGACUAAUCUUGUUCUCAGCCUCAUUUUCAUCAACUUCAACGACUCUAAGAACGCGUUAAUAGUGUCCUCACCCUCUGGAUUAGGGUUGGCCAUCCCAUCUGUUUUCUCUUAUUUAAGUUCCUUGUCGCCUCUAGGUGUCCAUACUUUUUAGUGUGGACUCUUCAAUGCAUUGACCAUCAGAUGAAGUUUCACCUUUGAGAUCACCAUCAAAACCCUUUAAGGUAAAAGUAAGGGUCAUCCCAUCCAUUAACUCCAUUCCUUUUGAAACAGUGCAUAAUCGCCGUAUCAAGCAUUAAGUCACUCAGAGAUACCUCAAACUCAUCCUUAAUCUUGAACGUCAACUUAAAUCGGUCCUCACGUGCAUCUAUUUGAAGAAAUAGGGAGCAAGCAAUGCAUCACAAUCAUAUGCAGAUACAUACAUUGACAUCCAAAUGUUGAAUCUUAGGAAGUAAUUACCUUACUUGUUCAUUAAUAUAUCAUUUCUCAUAGUCAUGUAGGUAUCAACGACAAUUAAUAUCUCUCGAGACCAAUAUAUAGACAGUUGGUUGCUAAUUGUGUUUCUUGUUUUGUUUAACAGUGCGUGGCUUGUGAAAUUGUGGAUAGCUGCUAGUUUCAUAAGUGGGGCUUAUUAUUUCAUUUAGGAUUAGUUUCGACUUCCUAACGCGAGCGUGUCUGCUAAAGACAAAAGUUAGAAUCAGUAGUGCUCAUUAUAAAAAAUAGCCAAUCAACUAUUUGCCCUUUAGCCACUAGUACCUUUUCGAUUGAUUUUACAAUCACCAAAAUCUGCAUCCAGAUAAGCAUGAAGAGCAAAAGAAAAAUUUCUCGAAUGCCACACUCUUAAUGAUGAUGUAUCUUUAAAAUAUCUAAAAAUAUGUUUAACGGCUAUCAAUAUAUAACACUUGGCAUGCGUGGAUAUAAAAAGAUGGUAGGGAAGAGAGAUGCUCGAUGUAUUCAUACUAUUUUGGCCCAAAUUGCUCAUAAUCCACUCCCAGGACCUUCUGGGAGUAUUGGCCAAACCACUAUACUUGAAGCCUAGCACAAUGGUUGGUAUGGUUGGUAUGGUUGGUAUAUAUAAGAGCCAACACUCCCCUAUGAACAAGGUGUCUUUCUAAGCAAUUGCUUUCGAAAGUUUAAUCUCACAACAAAAAAUUGAUUUACAGAGUGAAUACAAAAGAAAUUUUGCAAGUAAUUUUCAUGUAAACGUGCCCCAGGCAAUUGUUUACCCUAUUUAUAGGAAAACAAACUCAAUUAGCGCUUACUAACACUAUAAAUAGCUAGUUUUUCGACCAUUGAAGAUUCAGGUUUCCAAAAGAAAUGGCCAAACACACGCUAGAUUAGGUAGAAAAUAUUCAAAUUUGAACUCAGCGUAAAUAGGUAUCUAGCCAGACCUAUUUUCAAACCACGCUAAGCCCUUUUUAACUCUUGCUAGCCUACCCAUAACUGUAGAAAACAUAUUCAAAUAGCUUGUAACAAUUACAAAUAUGCAAAAGUUUGUUUUGGAAUCGUCAAAAUUUAUUUAAGGUUUACAAGUAAAAAUUGUAAAUAAAAGGUGCAACUAAAGAUUAUGUAUUGCUAUCAAAAAAUUAAAUUUAAUAGAUGUUACUUUUUAACACUUUAAUCUAUCAUAGGAAUUGGGGGAAAAAGAAUACAAUACAUUAAAAUAGUAAAUCAGGUAACAACUAAGGGUUUUGCGGUGGCUCGUGUGAGCUUUAUUUUCACUGAGGAGUAAUCAUACUAGGAAAAAACGAUAGAAGAGCCAAGAUAUAACUAUCCUACAAAAUUUUGUUGGUAAUAUUAGAUUUUUAGAACUUAUAAUUUCGUUAAAUCUUAUGAAUCAGAAAGGUUAAUGUCCAUUUUUUUUUAACACAGUUGAUAUUAAGAUCUUGUAGCCAAUCAAUAUGAUGCCUUUAUUGAAAUACAAAACAUGGUUAUGAGGAGUAGAUGUACCCAAGAUAACGUAGGAUGUCAUCCUCCCGUCCAAUUUUGAUUGGUGCACAUGAUGCACCGAUUCUUUGUAGCUCUAAAUAUAUAGCGUGAGAUAGGGGUGUGCAAAAGAAUCGGGAACUGCUCGAUUCAUCCAGAAUUGAACCAGACCGGACUAGAUUGGCAACUCCCAUGGGGCUGGUCUGGUUCUCAAUUCCAAUUUAGUGGAACUAAUCAGUAUUGGUCUGGUUCUCGAUUUUAGGCAUGAAACUGCUCGAUCAUUCACUCGGACGGAACCAGUAUAUAUAUAUUCAAAAAAAGAAAUUCCAUUUCAAUUACCUAAUUAUUGGGUAUGCAAUAGGAUUAACCCCCUAUUUUUCUUUUUCAUUCUAAUAAUUCAUGUACUUAUUUUUUCAACUGAAACAAAAAUAAACAAAUGUAGACGAAAGAGAGAACCGCUUAGAGAUGUCCACAAGAGCCAAUGACUCAUUUUAAGAGUACAAUUAGGUCUUUCCUUAGUCAUCGCAUGAUUAAAUUAGAUUAACGUUGAAAAAAGAUUAAUCAAACGACUAAUGCUUUAACAUUUAUGUGGUUAGGACUUUUAAUGUGGAGUGUAAUUCUCCAUUUGUUUCCGAUGUCAGAAAAUCUUAAGAAGACCAACCACACUAUGAACUUCGAAUAAAUGAAUUUUUUACCUAAAGUAUUGACUAUUCAUUUUGUCUUAUAGUUUUCCAUUCUUAAUUAAAAUAAAUGGCUCGCAAUUCAACCUGAAUAUAAGGCAAACAAGCUUUGUAGGGAUUGAGAAUCGGUUUCAUGGACCCACCUAGGAAUCAGAUUGGACCGGUAGUUCGGUUCCCGAGUGGGUCCAUGAUCUGGUUCCCAGGUGGGUUUGCGAAACCAACGGGUGGGUCUCGGUUCCAAUUUUUUUGGAACCGAUCCUUAGUGGGCAAUUCCCAGUUCCAAGAUAGGAAUCGUCCACCCGGAUCAUGCUCAUCCCUAGUGUGAGAUUUUCUUUAUUUCCCACAUCUCACAUGUGCACUAGAUAUUCUCCUCCCACAUCCAAGUUAAUUCCAAGGCCCCAUUGCCGAUCGAUGCAUGAAGUUCUCUUUUGGGAAUCAUUGAAUACUUGUUAUUAUCCCAAAUGCCAGAUGUGGCGUUCUUUCUUCUCCUCCAUGCACUAAAUAAAGGAAUGCUUUAAAAUGUAUUUAAUAAUGCCAAAAAGAAAAGAAAAAUCUUCAACAAACAAAGCAAAAUCCUCGGUGGGCCAUAAAUUGGUUUUUAUUGCUGCCCUUAAAGCGCUUCUUCUUUUUCCCUUUUUUGUUUUGUCUUUGGAAGGGAAAUGAUCACACCAAGCACUCAAAAUAUUUAAAUUUAUAUAUUGUGAAAAGGACCCGAUUAACUAAGAGAAGUUUCGCAUGAAUUCAUAGAGUCAAAUAAAAUAGGCUUGUCACAAUUAUGACAACAGUGGAAAUUCCAAACUAUGAUCCGUCCAUUAGUUAGAUAUUUAAUUAAUAAAAUAUGGCGAUAAAGAAACUUUUACUUAGGACUUUAGGAUUAUGUCUGGUCUGGUACUAAUCAUAGCUUAAACAAAUGAAAUGUUAGUCUCUUUCCACGCAUUUGUAAGUAAGAAUGGGGAAUCAUAUGACGUGUUCACGUGAAUUAUUGCUCGUUAAUCAAAACUUGUCUUAGUUUAUGGGACCACACCCCACCAAAAUUUCCACAAAGCAAGGUCAUUAGAGAACAAUGCCUUUAGGUUGAGUUGAAGAAAAUAAUUCAAAGCAUACUAUUCAACCACUUCCAAAAGUUGCCAGUAAAGGAGAUGAUUACUUGGCUCUUAAACACUAGCAUCAUUUAAAAAUUAAUUUCUAGUGUGAACACCUUGACUCUAACAUAAGUUGAUUCUUUUUUGGCUGAAGACCUAAGUGUUGAUUAAAAUGUCUUUUAGCAACAAGACCAAUUAUUUGAGAAUGUCUAGUAGCAAAAGACCGAUUUGAGACCAUUUUUCUUUGAUCACUGAAAGUUGGCUAUAGCAUUAAUUGGUUCGAACGUUUCCUUAUGCUAUCCAAUUUACCCUCCUACAAGUCCCAAUUGCAAAGAUAUUGUGAUUCUUCAACUCGAUUAUGCUUCAUAACUCUCUUUCUUGAUGGAACGUUUCUCCAACCUAACAAGUACUAGCAUUGCAUAUACUUUCAAAGUGUUUCAAAAAAUUAAGAUUUUCUCCACAUUCGAUCGCCAAUAGAUUACGCUAUGGAUUUAUUGAACUUUUAGGAAACAUGAACAUGAACCUUCCUAUUUCUCCCACACAAAAAUGCUUUCAAAAAGUAUUUGAUAAGUUCCAAUGUACAAAAAUUCGGUGAUUGCAUGUCAUGGGUUAAUCGACUUUAAAAAUUCAGCUACCCCAAUAAAAAGUAACUUGAUAAAGAAAAGUCAGAUUUUUUUUUCUUUUAUCUAGGACAAAAAGAUUUUCUCAGAGGCUGUAAAAAAUAUUGUAUUAACGGCAUAAAAAUAGCAAGUAUGGAUACACAUUGGAAGGAUAAAAAUGUCCCCACCUUUCAAAUGUCCUAAAACAAGCACGUGCUAUUAAUUGAGGGAUAAAGUGGCCACCAUCAUUUUUUUUAAGUCCAAAUGAGCCUGCGUGGCAACUACAAACAACACUUUAUGGUAAGAAAGCAUUGUUAGCAAUGUGGCUUGAGAUAGGGUCUCUAGUCUUGUCUUGCUCGGCCUCACCACCUCUCUUAGCACUCAGCAAAAGGAAAACUUAAAAGAUAGCCACAAUCACGAGCUCGCUCAUAGCCAUCACAUGAGUGGAGUUGGUGAUCCCUACCGACAUCGCGUGCAAGCCUUGCCUAGACAAGGGUGGGAAGUUUGCCCAUCGACCAAUCUCUCAACCCUGAUUACAACCAUAACAACCUAUCUCGCCCCCCUUGGAUCGCCCACUCUUAUCCCAACCUUGUGGAUUCAAAUGUGAAGUGCAUCAACGGUAGCCCCUCUGUGGGUGCAUUUGGUUCAGCAUUUUGAAAGCCCAUUGGAAAAAUGCAAAGUAGUUUAGCCUAAAGGACUUUAGACAAAUGCAAAAGCCGUUUGGUAAACUAUGCUUUGAGAAGCAACUUUGAGAAAAAUGCCGUUUGGUAGAAGAUACAUUUGAAAAGCCAUUUGAGUGAUUAAUAUUAGUUUUUUUUUUAUUUCAUUUGUUUAAAAUUGAAAAAAAAAAAAAAAGAAUGUAUGCAACUUUUUAAGUAUAAAUUUUGACAAUAAUACUAAAAAAAUCAAAUACAUAUAUAAUUUUUUUUAUUUAAAAAAGACCAAACCCUUCAUCAGAAUUUUUUUAAUUUUUAUUUGCUUAAAAUCGAAAAAAAAAUGUAUGCAACUUUUUAAAUAUAAUUUUGAUAAUAAUGCUAAAAAAAAUCAAAUACAUUUAUAUUGGCGAGCAUCGGAAAUAACUACUGAAUUACAACCCAAGCUUCAUUCUAGUCAUGGAUAGAUCACCCAAGUGAGAUUGAAAUGUCAUAGAAUGGAUCAAUCGUAUUAUAAAAAAAAAAAAAAAAAAAACCAAAUCCUUCGUCGAAAUUUUUUAAUUUUUAUUUGUUUAAAAUUGAAAAAAUAAUGUAUGCAAAAUUUUAAAUAUAAAUAAAUAAUGUUAAAAAAUCAAAUACAUAUAUAUAAUUUUUUUUAAAAAGACCAAACCCUUUGUCGAAUUUUUUUUAUUUUUUAUUUUUUUUAAAUUGAAAAAAAAUAAUGUAUGCAACUUUUCAAAUAUAAAUUUUGAUAAUAAUGCUAAAAAAAUCAAAUACAUAAAUAAUUUUUUUUUAAAGGCCAAAAUAUAUUUAAUUUUUUUAGCAUUUAUAUAAUUUUGAUUUUUUUAGCAUUUACAAAAAUAGUAACGAGGGCAAAAUAAGAAAUUUGAAAAUUGAGUGAUGAUAGUUUUGGAAAAAAAAAAAUAUAAGUUUCAACAUUUGGCCAAAUGUUGAAAGUUCAAAGCUAGUUCCUACUAGCAUUGGGCUUUCAGCCUUCUCAAUGCUGACUUUCACUUGAAAGCUACUUCAAAAUGAUUGGGGCUUUGGAGGCUGAAAGCCCCCUGGGAAUGCUGAACCAAACACACCAUGUAUCUUCUAAAACUAUGAAAUCAAUCCUCUCUAUUCUAGGUUUCACAUAUAAAUCAUGUUUUUUUGGGUUAAUACAAUAAAAAAAACUCCAAACUAAUACACAUGUAACGGAUUUAUCUUAAACUAAUUUAUGAUAAUCUCAAACUGAUACAUUCGUGACAAAUUUAUCUUUUGUUAAUUUUCAUUAAAUUGGAUUAAUAUCACGCAAAAUUACAAACUAAUUCACGUGAUAAAUGGAAGGUAAAACUCCAAACUGGUACAGCCGUCAGUUGUCACGUGUCAUCCAACUCAGCAAUUUGAUUGUAAAAUUUAACAGAAAUUAACCCAAGGCAAAUUUGUCACAAGUGUGUUAGUUUGAGAUUUUUCAUAAUAUUAAUAUUUUUUUUAAAUAUUUUUCAUAAUAUUAAUCUCUCUUUUUUUUCCAUCAAUCGUUCCUCUUUUUCAUCGUGAUUGUGAUUAUGCAGAUUUGACCAUGAGGAUGGUGUUUCCCUCCCUGUAGUACUGAUGUACUAUCAGAUGUAGAAUUAUAAUUUUAGGUCGACAAUAAUAAAGCUUGCUCUGAUAUUAUGGGGGGUUAUGGUAGGGACUAAUAACGAUGUAAGAUAAGUACGCCUUUUAGUCUUAAGAUGACAUCAAUUAUGUCAUGGGAUUCUAAUAGACAGAAAAAUGACAAUAAUGCAGAUCAUUGUGGCCAAAAGUAAUGGCCCACAAAAUUAAAAGCACGCUAAUUACAAUAGAUAAAAAUUGUAAAAUGAAAUUGCGUGAGGAGCAACCGAUCGCUCCGAGGUUACUUGCCUACCUUACAAAGUACACGAAGUAGAGAUUCAAUAGAUUGCGAAUUAAUGUAAAGCUAUGUGCGGAGAAAAAUAAAAUAUUGGACAAGAAGCACCCACACAACUCCAUUAUUCAUUCCACCUAUGAAAAAAAAUUAAAAAAAAUCAAAAAAUAAAAAUUGUAAAAAUUAUCCAAGGCUAACCAUAAGAUGACAAGCAAUAACUAGACCACUAUACUAGAAAUCUCCAACCAAAAUGGAUUGAAAUAACUAAAUUUACAGAUAGUUAAAAUGUUUAGGACAAGCUGAUCAAGUUAAAAGGUUUAUAACUGAAUUAACAUAAAUAUUAUAGGUUUAGGAUAUUUGUUGGUAAUUUUCCUAUCAUGAAUGACUUCAUGCUUACAAAAGUCAAGGCCAAAUGUAAAUCUAGUGCUCUUACAAAUUACUUAGCUCUUUCCUCUCACAAUGACUAAGAGUUGAAUCCGACAUUGAUCUUUUACAUCAACAUAUUAAAAGGUGCAUGUGUCACGAACCGGCCCGUGACAUGUGUCAAACCUCAGAGGUCAUCCAAGCUUAUUUCGAGAUAUUUCCACAGAAUUUUAAACACAGCAUUACUUUAGCAAAAAUUCUCAAUCAAUCCAUCAUUUUUUAAAGCAUAAGUAUUCAACAUCUUGACUUUAAAGGAUAGCAUCAUGCAAAAGUUAAUUUUUAGGAUGAGCAACUUGACUCUAAUAUGAAUAUCGAUUUUUAUUUUUUAUUUUUACCAAAGACCUAAGUGUUGAUUAACAUCUCCUUUAUCAGAAGAUCAAUUAUCCUUGAAGUCUUUGGGGGAGGGUAUACUUGCCAAUCUAGAGGAAGGGAUUGAUUUAUCCUUUGCGGCAAGAGAAAAAAGGAUUUCCACUACCAACGCCUUUUAAAAGUUGUCAAGUAAAGGAGAUGAUAAUUUCCACUGUCCCCACCUUUACUAUGACAUAAAGAAUCGAUUAUUUCAUUUAGUGGGGUAGGGAGAGGCCAUUUUCACUUUAAUUUGCGUGGCCACCCGAUCUCAUUACGAAGACAACCAACAAAGCAUCUUUGGAUUCUAAAGGGGGGGGGGGGGGUGUGGGUAUUCUUGCCAAUUCAUUUUAUUACAUAUGGUUUAAUUAUUAUGUAUGGAGCUUGUCAAAAUUUUAUAUGAUAAACAUAACAUUGAUUGGAAAAAUUGAUAGUAUGAUAUAAUUAUCGCAUUAGUGAUGAAUGGAUCUUUGUAAAAUAUUCGAUACGACAUAAAUAGGUGAAAUUUUUUCGACUUCACAAGCUUCGUAUCACUUUAUUGCUGAUGAAGAGACAUUCUAUCACUUUAUAACUGGUGAGAAUAAAUUUGAAGUCAGAAAUACUGUAAGCUUUUGAAUGAGUUUUUGAAAGAGUUUUAGUAUUAUAUCUUCAAUAUUCUCACAAUAAAUAAUCUGAUUAGCAUGUAUUUUACAAAUAAUAAAAAUUAUAAAAAGUACAAAAAUCAAUGAAAAGUCAACGAAAACGGUUGCCUAUGAUUUCGAAAAUGUUGUGAAACAAAAACAUGUGUCUUAAUAUUGCAUCACCAAGAAAAAUGAGAUACAUAAAUAACGAACUAGCAUAUCUUUUGAUAUUCCUUUAUGCAUUUUCACUAACAUUGUUUUUGUUUCCAAUAUUUGGUUUAUUUUCCUCUCUACGUGUUAUGUGUGAUGGCGUUUCCUGGUUAUAAAUUCGCAAUGUCUAUGACUGCAAUUCCAAGUCACGUUCUCCUGGUUAUGGAUAGACUGAAUUUUUGGUUUUGCCCUGAAGUAGGACUAUAUAAAGAUAAACGCUCGUCUUUUCUCACCUUCAAUGUUCAAGUGUGGUAGGACGACAAAAUUUCCGGGGUGGAUUGGCCUUAGCUGUCUUGUAAUCUCCAAAUCGCUAUAUCCUUGGAGUCGAGGAAAAACAAAUGACUGCAUUGGACGACCUUAUGUUCGUGCUGAAAUUCAAAUGUUGAACGGCAAUUGAGGGCAUCAUGACUUGCAAUUACCCUUGCAAUCAAGCUUAUGUGGAAAAUGUUUAUUAGCCCAUUCAAAUUACUUGAAAUUCUAUUUGCCUUUUGUCUUUCCACGUGAUGAAGAUGAUAUCUCCACAGUAUUUUCAAUCGGGAGGUUUCAUAGCAGAGGUUAAAGUUGAAGGACCCAAAGUUUAUAGGAGAAAUUAGCCGUGUGUCGUCUAAAACCUUUUACUUCCGCCAAACCUAAAAAAGUUGACUAUGGCGAUUCAGAGAGGAAACUACUACAGUGCUACGAGGAGCUAAAGCACAGCUGCGGUUAUGAAUAGUAUUGCUAUAGUGCCGUCAACGGUACUGACAUGGUGCCAUGAAUUUGCGUAAUAAUGAUCACUAACUCUAAAUAAAGGUAAAAGCUAAUUUAAAGAAUUGAGGAUAUAACUAAUAAACCGAUAAACUAAAAUUGAUAAAUGUGUAAGUGUUCAUUGAUUGUCGAUACUCUACAACUAAUCAAGCUUCGCUUUAUAUAAUCUUGCACAAAUCCUUGGUUAUUUUCAACUACACUUCCUUAUCCAUAAGCAAUUACGAUCCCUGAAUAUCCUCCGGCUCAACCAUUGGUCAAAAAUUCUUAUACAAUCUUCACUUUAUAUCUUUUCAUAACAUAAUCAGUCAUUCACCAUCAUAUGUCGAUAACCGUCUUGGUCCAUCACCACCUAGCAACACUUUCAUCGGUAACAUAUGAUUGGUCUUACGCCAAUGGUUUAUUGAUUAGUGACUAGACCUAUCGAUUACUCUUUCGACGACACAGUACCAACACCAUAUCAAUUUAUAAGGACUCGAAUUAUUUUUUAAUGUCAACACACCCUUUCUGAAAAUUUAUGGGCUAAUAAAAUAUUAUCAAUUACCCCUAUCCUCUUCACUCCAAAUAUUCAAUGUGAUAUUUUAUUAAUUUCUUACCUCGCAUGUGCACUAGAUAUUAUUCUACUCAUGUGUGAGUCUCUCAAACCGGGCUUAAUAAUUGUCAAUUGAUACUUGGGCUCCCCCUUUGAAAAUUAUUGCGUACUUUUCUGUAUCCCAAAUGUCAAAUAUGGCAUUUCUUUUCAUACUAUCACUUGACAAAAGAACACUUCAGAAGUUUUGUGAAAAAAUUUAAAAAAAGAAAUUCAAAAUUUAUUAUAAUUGUAUUAAUUCAAUCAUUAAUUUUGUAUUAAUUAAAUUUUAAAUCCUUUACAAUUAUAUCAAUUUAGUUUAUUCGACCAAAUUGGGUCAGCUUGCAUUAACGUGAAUGCUGGGGGGCUGGUGCCAUCCUAGUGAUGUGAAUGUGAUAAUUUUUAUAAUAUUUUAUCUUUUUUGAAUUUUUUUUCUUUUUUUUUUCCUUCUUUUUUUUUUUCUCUUCUUCCCUUUUGGCUUCUUUUCUUACAAUGGCCGGCUCACUAGCCCUUGGACGUAGGGAUGUGCAACCAGACCGGGUAUACCUAGGAACCGAACCGGCCCACCCGAAAAAUAAGGUCGGGAACCAUUUCCCGUUGAAAUCGGUCUGGGAACCGGUUCCCAAAAUUUGGAACCAGUUUAAACCGAUCCGGGAACAUGGUCCGAUUGAUUAUCCACCCAGGAACCGAUUUUGGGACCGGUUUUGGAACCGAUUUGGGAACCGGUUUUGUAAGUAUAAGUUUAAAACCCUUUUUCCCUCUUAUUUUUAUUCUUACUUUCACAAUCACACGGAGUUUUUUCUCUUGGCUCUCUUAAACACCCAUGGCACUCUUCCUUCGUCAUUCCUCUUCUUUACUUGCUUCCCUCCCUCAUCGGCUCCCUCUCGCAUCGUCCUACGGAUGGAUAGUGUUUGUCGCUGCCAAAUUCUUAUGUAUCACGUGGAUUGGUUUGCUUGAUUUCUCUUUUAUAGAAUGAGUUAUGCUUAUAUAAAUCAGUAGCUUCAUAUAAUAGUUGUGGGAAUAAGACUAAUAGUAGAUCCAUGUUUGUUGCUAAUUCCUUACCUUAUGAUUUUAUUUAUUAAAAAGUUCAUGUAUUUAUUAAUUACAAAUACUUAAUGUUUUGAUACAAAUUAAGAGGAUUAUGUCAUUUUCUUGCAUAUUAAUAUAAAAUUCAAAGUUGUAUAAGAUAUUGGGAGAUUGCAAAACAAGUUCUAAUGAAAACAUGGUUGACCCUAAAACUAGAUUGAAAAAAUAGGGUGGGUCAGAUAUAUAGUCCAAUACAAACAAGGUCGGGUACAUGGUCCAAAAAAGAAGAACCGGUUAUAAGAUAAUCGGGUACAGAGUCUAGAUCUAGGCCUUGCCUACCCUCGAUCCGAUCACCCUUACUUGGACAAGGGCCGCGAAGCCCUCGCCCGGCCUCACCCACCCUCGGUGGCCUCACCACAGUUGGCGAGGCUUGCCGGCCUCUCGAAGGAGGAGGAAGUCCCCUUUCCUCUCUCUUCCAUAAUCUCUCGCUCCUCACUCUGUCUUCUUCCGCCUCUUCUCGGUUAGCACCAGGAGCUCUCUCGAUCUCCUCCAUUGCAUUCCAUCCCCUUGAAUCUCUCUCUCCCUUCCUCUCUCUUCCAGAAUUUCUCGCUUCUCGCCUCGAUUUCCCAAACCUUUCUCGAAGGACUCGCAGGUGGUUGGGUGCGUGUGUAGUUUUUUCCGUUUCGCCGAAAUCACGUUGCUUUCUUGGAAAUGUUCCAGUUCCGCCUGUGAUCCGAAUUCUGCUCGCGUCCCAGCUUCAAGGCUCGAUUCUCGUCCUGGGGUCGAAUUUCCUCGUUCUGCUCUCGCUUUCUUCGGUCGCGGGAAUGUUCUGCUCUCGCUUUCUUCACAAUCCGCGGGUGAGGCCGCCUUCGCCAGUGGCAAGGCCAUGGCGAGGCCGCUGGCAAGGUUGAGUGAGGCCAGGCAACUGCCGGCGACGCCGAAGGCUUCGUGGCCCUCGCCCAGUCGCCGGCGAGUCUUGCCGACCACAGCGGAGAAAAGAAUCCAAACGAGGAAGAAGAGAAAAAAGAAAAAGGAAAAAAUUCAAAAAAAUAUUAUUAAAAAUUGUAAUGUCAGCAUUAGCCAGCAUCCACAUUAGUUUCAACCAAUCAAAUUUAAUUGAAUGAAUUAAAUUAACAUAAAUAUAAAAUAAUUAUAAUUGAAUUGACAUAAAAAAAAAGUUUAUAACUAAAUUAUGUCAAGUUUAAGAUUUUUUUAAUAUUUCUCGCAACACGUUGUAGUCUUGAAUUAAGGAAAGUGAUCACAUCAAGCAUUCAACCAAUUGUUGAGCAGAUUAGUGUGAUAAAAUGUAGAGAAAAUUUUCAAAUGAUUUAAAGUGAGACUAUUCUUCUUAUUGAGAAUUCAAAGUGGACUUUUUGUCUGAAAGAAGAGCAUGGAAUAACAAAAUUUGUUUCAAACUAGUCCCAAGCUUUGCUCUGGGCAUUUACGUCGAAUAAAUUUUUUAUUUCUUUUUCUUCCUUUUCUUUUUCUUUUCUAUUCACCAUCUUCUUCUUCAUCGACAAUGACAGCUUGGGCUUGGACUGAGCGUUUGUGACAGGAACGUAUCAAUGAGCGACAAGAAGUAGCUUCUUGUGAAGGUCAUGAAAUGUGAGCAGGUUCUUGAGGACGUGGAAUGGCGGUGGAGAGAUAGAAGGAGAGGAGGUGGAGGAGAUCGGAGAAAACCAUUGAACUAGGUACGGAUGUGCUUCGAUAUGCGUGUUUCAGUUUUCAAUCAAAACUCAUUUUUGGCAUUUGAUGCGUUCGCGAUCCACGCGUAGAUGAAGGAACAAAACCAUGAAAAAUACACUCGUCAUUGUUCUCUCUUUCUUUUCUUUUCUUUUCUUUUUUAAUUUUCUGAACACAGCAGACGCACAUGUCGCUGUCGAUCAUAGAAGAAAAGGACAAGCAUGAAGAAGAGAAACUGUGGAGGACCACGUGAUGAGUGCGGUCCUCAUCAUUCAUCAUUCCUAAAUGUUCUUUUCACUUCGAUAUAUGUGGCCACGUGGGCCAAUCACAAAGAGACCCAAGAAAACAUCCUUAAAAUCUAGAGGCUAAUUAAGAGGAGGGGUUUGUUUUGGUGGUCUUGGUAAAAAGGGUAAGGGUUAAAGAAGUAAACUUGCCUCAUUAUAGAAAAAGCAACCAUCACAAGAUUUCGUAUAUACCAAUCGCGUCUGGCUCAUCCUUCGGGGCAAGAGAAGAAGUCAAGCUUACUUUAGGAGGCGAGGGCUUGUGCUUGAAGUGGAGAAAUCACACCGGUAAGAAAAUCACCGAGAUGCUCCUUUUUGUUUUGAGAUAUUUAGUUUGAUGACUAUAGGUUAAGGCGUGAAGGUAAUCCUCAAAUUGUAUUUCUUUUUUAGACUCAGACACGACUUGAUCUAUUUCAAGAAAAUUUAUUCUGAAACACAAAACUCAAUAUAGUAAAUUUCAUCUCUACAUUACUCCUCUAGAAAAGCCCCACCUUCAUUUUCUUGUUUAUUAAAAUUUGACAGGAUGGAAAACAUUUGAGUUUUACUUGUUGCAUGACACUCUACAUCCUCUAAAGCAUACAAAUUCACAAAUUACUUUUUCAUCUUCUGGGGAUAAGAAAAGAAGUAAAGCUUUGUUUGGCUUGUGCUUGAAGAGGAGAAACCGCAUUGGUAAGAAACACCACGCUGAUUUUGAGAAAUCAUUGAUACACUCAUUCUUGUUCUCAGAUAUUUGCUUUGAUGACUACAGGUUAAGGUGUGAAGCUAAUCCUCCCACCAUAUUGCAUUUCAAGACUUGGACAUGACUUAAUCUAUUUCAAGGUAACUUAUUCUGAAACACAAAACUCAUUAUAGUAAAUUUCAUCUCUACAUUGCUCCUCCAGAAAGCCCCCCUUCAUCCUCUAGUUUAUUAUAAUUGAUAGUAUGAAAAAUAUUUCAGUGUUAUUCAUUGCGGAAUACAAAUUCACGUAUUACUUUUUCAUCCUUUGGAGCAAGAGAAGAAGUAAAGCUUUGUUUGGCUUGUGCUUGAAGAGGAGAAACCGCAUUGGUAAGAAACACUGUGCAAAUCUUAAGAAAUCACUGAGAUGCUCCUUCUUGUUCUGAGAUAUUUACUUUGAUGACUACAUGUUGAGGCAUGAAGUUAAUCCUCCAAUCGUAUUGCCUUUCGAGACUCGGACGCGACUUGAUCUAUUUCAAGGUAACUUAUUCUAAAACACAAAUCCCAUUAUAGUAAAUUUUAUCUCUACAUUGCUUCUCUAGAAAAGCCCCACCUUCAUUCUCUAGUUUAUUAUAAUUGAUUAAAUGAAAAACAUUUGAGUUUUACUCAUUGCAGGACACUUGACAUCCUUUAGCAUUUAAAUUCACAUUACUUUUUAAAAAUAAUCAUCACAUAUUGCUUUUUUUUCUUAAUACAUUCAUUCUAUUCAAAACCCAUUGGUAUGAACCAUUGGUUUGUUUGGACAUGGUGGAAUCACAUACCGAUCCUCACUCUAGAGCAGUUCUCGAAACAUUUACCUUUGACCACCUGAAUGAUUGACUUUAAAAGGUGUAUAGGGGAGAAUCUUUACUUAAGGGACCUCAACUUUGGUUCUCGCAUUUAUACACAAAAAUGUCUUUACCGGAUGAACUCGCUCUUAAUUUAUUAAAUCUCAAUCCGAUGAUGCCAAGGUAAAGUGUAAGGGUAUAUGAAAAUUAUAUCCACGAGGAUUUGGACAUCGUAGCUCUAACCCUGCCUUGUCCUUUAUACUAUGUGAGAGGAUCCACAAACGGAUUAUCGAUUUGGAAGUGCACAAAGAGAGAGAUUCGUAACUAUGAGCCGUCAGACUAACUAUAUAUUUUCAUACAUAGACUAGUUAAUAAAUAAAUUCAUUUUAGUCUAAGAAAAUAUAUAUGGCGAUGAAGUAAUUAAUAAUAAAAUAUUAGUCUUUUCCCACACAUUUUUAAGUGAGAAAGGGGCAUCCUAUGGAGAGCUAAUGCAAAUUAUUGCUCAUUAAUAAAUAAAUAAAAAGUGUCCUUAUUAAAUGGGAUGGGUUUGUGUAUAACGUCUUAGCUCACGGGACCACACCGCCCCAUAAUUUCAUGUUUGAAUACAUUGUCUCUAAUGUCCGUAUCGAUUCCUUUUUUGCCAAAGACCUAAGUGCGAUUACAGCGUCAUUUAGUGAAAGACCAAAUAUUAGACAACGUCUUUUAGCGAAAGACCAAUUUGAAAGCAUACUUCUUUCGAUUGCCUAAGGUUGACCAUAGCAUUACUCGGUUCGAAAGUUUCCUCGAGCCUGCGAGUUCCAAUUGCAAAGAAAUUGUGACUUUUUUCCUUGGGCACGCUUCAUAACUCCUUUCAUGAUGAAACGUUCCUCCAACCUAAUGAAAACUAGUAUUGCAGAAUACUUUUAAAGUGUUUAAAAAAAUUAAGUUGAUUUCCACAUUCAACCCCCCAUGUAUUACGCUACAUAUUUGUUCAUCUUUUAGGAACCAUGAACACGGGUUUUCCUUAUCUCUUCCAACAAAAUGCUUUCAAGAAGUAUUUGA
rnacentral:lncRNA from 1 species